UAGACUCCUGCGUGAAGAUCCUAGGGCUUGGCGGUAGUUUUCCAGUAGCAGUUUUUCCUGUUCUGUGCUGUUAGUCGAGAUGUCCGUGCUGUGUCGAGGGUUCUAGGCUGUAAAUUUGAAAUCUGGGUUCGGGUGCACCUGUGAUCCGGUGCACCCUUGUGUGUGCGUGAGAAACUGUGGCGACGAUCGCGUUGUACUAAGCUUAUGUAUUUGUGUAACUGAAUUGGGGUAAUUGAAUCUUCAUUUUAGCAAAAUCCUUCUGAAAUUUGUCACAGUUUACGUUGAUUCCUUUGCCCAAAUGUUUGGUACUGCACAAUUGAAAUUCUAGUGUCCUCUGCACAAUUGAAAUCUUGUGCUGUCUCGUGGAACAUGGAAUCUAUUUUGAGAUCUGAAUUUAGAGUUUGUAUUUGAUGGCAACUGCCGAGCAAAUCUCGUCGGGUGUCGAUUCAGUCUAGUAGUUGGCUUCAUGAGCUGUAAAUAAGAAGGCUGUUGUAUUCUUCUCUGUACACUGCCAGGUUCAGAAUGAAAGGCGGGCUUGAAAAGCUCGAGAUCGACGAAUGUUUUCAGCUAUGGCCGGAGCGCGUUUGGGAACGGCAGCGCGGGCCUUUGGAAUGGUCCACAAGCACAGGGGCUGCUGCGCUAGAAGAUUCGCAGUACCGUUGGCUCCGGUGACCUGGCAGUCUGGCAGGAUGUUUUGGGUGAUGCGUGCGGAGUGACUGCAGUGUUACCGUUUCCGAGCCCAUCCCUGUGCUACGCAUUCUCUCACCAAUGUCAGCAUGGUGCUGUGAGUGAGCGACAAGAAACUUGCGGCAUGUGAAUGUGCAGCAAGCGUGUUUUACUCGGGAUGUACCACACGAGUGGCUAAACGUGAGAGCAUCUCUCGUCGCCCCGGCGCCGAAAAAAUCCCCAGUCACGCGCUUCCAGGAUGCCGAAAUCCGCCGGCUUGACCCAUUUUUUACCUGGUGAUCCNNNNNNNNNNNNNNNNNNNNNNNNNNNNNNNNNNNNNNNNNNNNNNNNNNNNNNNNNNNNNNNNNNNNNNNNNNNNNNNNNNNNNNNNNNNNNNNNNNNNNNNNNNNNNNNNNNNNNNNNNNNNNNNNNNNNNNNNNNNNNNNNNNNNNNNNNNNNNNNNNNNNNNNNNNNNNNNNNNNNNNNNNNNNNNNNNNNNNNNNNNNNNNNNNNNNNNNNNNNNNNNNNNNNNNNNNNNNNNNNNNNNNNNNNNNNNNNNNNNNNNNNNNNNNNNNNNNNNNNNNNNNNNNNNNNNNNNNNNNNNNNNNNNNNAAGCAUCUUGCACUUUCAGAUUGACCCCCUCCCGCGCACAUGCCCUACCGCUGCCGUGCCGAUCCCGGCGUCGCCUACCCAUCCACCGCCGCUAGAAAGGCCAUUCCCCUGCCGGAAAAGAGGGUGUUCCGCUGCGGCAGCCUCCAUCUCGCUCCUAGGCGAGCUUUCCGGUGCUGUGGCCACACAGGGCGGGAAUACCGGCGGCUGCACGCCUACCACGCCUGCCAGGUGUUCGGCGAUUUGUGUGCUCGGCGAUGGACUUGGACGACGAGGAGGCGUUUGCGGCGCUGUUGGAGGAGGAAGCCGAUGCCGACGCCCAGGACGAAGAGCAUCUCAUGGUCCUCGCCGCUCUGGCCGGCCUGUUCGCGAGCAAUGCAAGGCCGUGACGAGGUGGCUCGGCGCCGGGCCGGCUGAAGGCUAAGCAAAGGCAUCGACUGGAAGGCUAUUGCUUGCUCUACUCCGACUACUUCGCCGAUGCUCCACUGCACCGCGAGAAAGUAUUUCGGCGCCGUUAUCGGAUGAGCCGAAAGCGCUUCCUCAGGAUUGUGAAUUCUAUCCGUGAGUUCGACAGCUACUUCAAGUGCAAGAAGGAUUACACCAGCACACUUGGAUUCACCUCACUCCAGAAGUGCACGACAGCUAUGAGGAUGCUUGCAUACGGAGCUCCCGAUGAUUCACUCGAAGACUAUGGACGCAUGGCCGAGUCCACGACCAUUGAGUGUUUGUACAAGUUCUGUAGGGCAGUGGUGAUAGUGUUUGGACCGCAAUACUUGCGAUCACCAAAUGCUGAAGACACUGCUCGGAUCCUAGCACAGAAUGCAGCAAGAGGAUUUCCUGGGAUGCUUGGAAGCAUCGACUGCAUGCAUUGGAAAUGGAAAAACUGUCCAUUUGCUUGGCAAGGGAUGUACAAAAGCGCCAAAGGUGGUUGCAGUGUGGUACUUGAGGCACUGGCCACACACGACCUCUGGAUUUGACGCUCCUUCUUUGGUAUGCCAGGAACUCACAAUGACAUCAACGUACUGCAGUGCUCCCCUGUCUUUUCCAAGCUUGUUGAAGGCCAUUCUCCUCCAGUGAACUUCGAGGUCAAUGGGCGGCACUACAAUAAGGGAAACUACCUAGCAGAUGGCAUCUAUCCAAGAUGGUCUGCAUUUGUGAAGACUAUCUCAAACCCUGUGCCAAGAGGCAAGAACUCACACUUUACCAAGUAUCAGGAGACUUGCAGGAAGGAUGUCGAGCGGGCAUUUGGUGUUCUCCAAUACCGAUUUGCUGUUGUCCGAUACCUCGCUCACACUUGGUCGAAAGAUUGUGGGGGGUCAUGACUUGCUGUGUCAUCUUGCACAACAUGAUCACUGAGAGCGAGCAGGAAGAGCUAGUGUUUGAUAGUGAACCAUAUUACAGGCAGGGUCCCCUUGCCCAAGCUGAUCACCAGCUACCGGCAACCUAGAAUGCCUUACUCAAUAUGCGUCAGGUGAUCCGAGACUCACAGGUGCAUCAACAACUGCAGCAGGAUCUGGUGGAGCACCUAUGGAGGCUCAAGGGCAACGCCUAGCUCGACGUGUGAUGAAAUAUGAGUUUUUAUUUGUUGAACUAUAUGAUUUGUAUUGAUUUGUUGAACUAUUUGAUUUGUAAUGAUUUUCUAUGAUGAACUAUGUGAUAAAAAUAGCUUCUAUUGAAUUUGUGCCGAAGCACGUCGAAUAUGGGCCGAAAUUGGUCAAUUUGCGCCGAUAGUGGGCCAAUUUGCGCCAAAAAUGGGCUGAAAGUGGGCCAAUUUGCGCCGAAAGUGGACCGAAAUCAGCGCUUGAGAGCGACCUUGGGGGAGGGGGGGGGCUGGGAACCCGAGCCCCCCAUGCUGAUUUUUCCGCCGGCGCACCCCCAGACGGCGCUAUUUCAAGCCCAUGAGGGGAAGAACGGCUCGAGAUGCUCCGAGGACCUAUGAAUGACGAAACAACCAGAGGGGCGAGCAACAGUGUGGCAUAAUGCACAAAAUUGGCCGGGCGCCUAGAAAAUUGAGCCACAUGCUUAAAAAGGUAAAUCACCGAAUUCAUAUUCGAAAUAAUUUAUUUGUGAUAUAUAACUUAUAUUACAUUGUCAAAUUGAUAAUCCAAGUCGGACUUUACAAUCCGAGAGGGAGGGGCGAACGAGUAAGCGGGUAGCACAACAUAUGCAUAGAUGGCACCGAUUAUAUACUCCUGAGCCCAUAGUAAACCACGGGACAAACCACUAUGCUCCAAUUUCUACUAUUAUCAAAUAUUUUGUUAUUUAACCUCUUGACGAUCACAAUAGUUGCAACAUGUUAAGGUAACUAAUGAGAUUCACUAUCUAUUAUAGGCAGUUUGACAAGCUCACCGGGGCGUAUCGAAAGGUUGAGGAAGGAAGGAGAAGAGAGACACGAGAGAGUGUAGCCGCCACCGCACUCCUAAGUGCUAGGGCAGAGAGACCGCUGAUUAUGUAUUGCUUUCCUUCUUGGGCCUUGAAUCCAUUAUGGCCCCACUGACUCUGGGGUUGUGCUUCCUCACCCUUGUAAUCUUGGGCCUGAUCACCCUUCGUUUCAUGUUGUCACUUGGAGUAGAUGCCGUGUCGGGUUUGUCUGGAGCAACAGGGGAAGUAGAGGUAGAAUCGUAGAAGUGUCGCCAAUAAUGCCCUCUUCUUGAAAUCCGUCUUGUCCCCUAGCUGGAGCUUCAAGGUGGCCUUGACGUAGCCGACGAGGUCCUCCCGUAUCACCUUGUCUGCUGUGGAGUAAGACCAGCGGAAGAGAACUCGUCCAACUGGCUUGUGAUUGGUCUUUUUGUUGCACCGAUCAAGGGUUUGCAGUGGUGCCUAGGCUGGAGCUCUUGGGAAGCGUCGAUGAAGAUCAUCAAUGUCUUUCUAGGUGGAGGCACCCAUGGUUUCCCUAGUAUAAGUGGCGAGGCCAUGGCACACCAUUUUGUUGGCAAAUUUGCACCAAUGAUACACAACACUUUAGGGGUAGCUGAAAUCAGGUUCAUUAGUGGGGAGAGGACUCACUGGCUGGUCGAUGGGAAGAUGCGCUUUCUUGCGCUGCAAUACAUCAAACACAGGAUGAACAAGCGAGUCACCGGUAGAUAAAGCAUGUAAGCCACUACCCCAACUCUAGCUAUGACCAUGAACGACCAAAAGAACUUGAAUGCGAGCUUGUGGCAUGCACACUUGGUGACCAAUAAUUGGAUGUAAGGCUACAACUCCAGGUACACCUUGUUGGAUAGGUCUCUCUUAUCAAUGUUUAUCUGCAUGGUCCUUCAUCCUUUGUUGUGCUCUAUGCAAGUGUUGCUUGACCGACUUAUGAACACUUGUCUUUCUUCCAUCCAUGCCCUCACAUCCAUAGGUUGGCAAACAUCCACCAAAGCUAGUCCUUGUCAUCGAGGCUAUCUGGCAUGAUUCCGGCAGAUCCCUCGAUAGGGUAUCCCGACGAGGUGAGUAGAUAAGAGGGGAAACAGGAGACCAUGUCAAAGAUUGAGAAGAUAUGUCUAGAUUGGGGGGAGGGGGUAUCCAACUUGCUUGCUCAUGAAGAUCUCGGGCAUUUGAGGAAGCUCAUCAUCGGAAUAUACAAGCCAAGUUCUAUAAUGAAAAAUACCCACUAGUAUAUGAAAGUGAUACAUAGGAGACUCUCUAUAUAAAAAACAUAGUGCUACUUUGAAGCACAAGUGUGGGAAAGGAUAGUAACAAUGCCCCUUCUCUCUUUCCCCCCCUUUCCCCCCUCUUUUUUUUAUGUUUUUUCUUUUUUCCUUUUCUUUUUUCUUCUUCUUCUUUUCUUCUUCUUCUUUUUUUCUUUUCUCUCUCUCACUGUCCAGAGUCUCAUCCCGACUUAUGGGGGAAUCAUAGUCUUCAUCAUCCUUUCCUCACCGGGACAUGCUCUAAUAAUGAAUAAUGAUGAUAAUCACACUUAUAUUUACUUACAACUCAAAAGAAAUAAAAAUUACAAAUCGAUGCCUAGAACAAAGUAUGACUCUAUAUGAAUGCCUCUGGCAGUGUACCAGGAUGUGCAAUGAUCUAGCAUAAGAACGAUAUCAAAAAACAGACAAGCCAUGGAAAUAUCAUGCUAGCUAUCUUACGAUCAUGCAAAGCAAUAUGACAAUGAAUGCUCAAGUUAUCAAUAUGGACCCGGUGGAAGUUGCACGACAAUAUAUCUCGGAAUGGCUAUGUAAAGGCCAUAAUAGGUAGGUAUGGUGGUUGUUUUGAGGAAGAUAUAGUAAGGCUUAUGUGUGAUAGAGCGUAUCAUAUCACGGGGUUUGGAUGCACCUGCAAAGUUUGCACCACAUCUCGAGGUGAGAAAGGGCAAUGCACGGUACCGUAGAGGCUAGCAAACUGUGGAAAGGUAAGAGUGUGUAUAAUCCAUGGACUCACAUUAGUCAUAAAGAACUCAUAUACUUAUUGCAAAAUUUUAUUAGCCCUCGAAGCAAAGUACUACUACGCAUGCCCCUAGGGGGAUAGAUUGGUAGGAAAAGACCAUCGCUCAUUCCCGACCGCCACUCAUAAGAAAGACAAUCAAUAAUAAAUCAUGCUCCAACUUCAUAGCAUAACGAGAGACUAUACGUGCAUGCUUCAGGGAUCACAAACCUUAAGACCAAUAUUCUUACUAACCACAUCCAUUUACUAGUACCUGCCACAUAUUACCAUCUCUAUAUCGCUAAAUUAUUGCAAGGAAUCAGUGAUCCAUAAGUUUUAUGUAGGAUUUUAUGACUAACCAUGCAAAUGACCAAUUCCUGUUGACUCUCUAAAUUGAUAUAAGUGAAGCAUGAGAGUUUAAUUCUUUCUACAAAAGACCAUGCUCUAAUAAAUAUAAGUGAAGCAAAAGAGCAUUCUACAAAUAACGGUUUUCCAUGUGAAGAGAAACAGACAAUCCAAACUUCAAAUGAUAUAAGUGAAGCACAUGAAGCAUUCUAUAAAGCCAGACUCAAAAGAUAUAAGUGGAGUGCAAUGAGCAUUCUAUAAAUCAACCAUUGACGAUCUCAUACUAGCAUGGUGUAUAAAAGAAAAAUGAAAACUAAACAAAAGACGCUCCAAGAUUUGCGCAUAUCACAUGAAAGAAACAAAGACGAAAACUUACCGAUACUUGUUGAAGAAAGAUGGGAUGCCUUCCGGGGCAUCUCCAAGCUUAGACGCCUGAGUCUCCUUAGAUAUUUGCUUGGGGUGCCUUGGGCAUCCCCAAUCUUGAGAUCUUGCCUCUCCUCCUUCUCCUCAUAUCGAGACCUCCUCGAUCUUUGAUCACUUCAUCCACACAAAACUCAACAGAAACCUCGUGAGAUUCGUUAGUAUAAUAAUGCAAAUCACUACUUUAAGUACUAUUGCAAACCAAUUCAUAUUUUGUUUUUGCAUUGUAGAUACCUUAAUAUAAAUUUUCCAUGGCUUAUACCACUGCUAAAAAUCGGUAGUUUCAUCAAAACAAGCAAAACAAUGCAUUAAAAAUAGAAUUUGUCUUAAACAGGACAGCCUGUAGUAAUCUGAACUCCAACCAUACUUAUGGUACUCCAAAAAUUCUGAAAAAUUAGGAUAGAAUAAACAAUUUGUAUAGAAGUACUGUGCAAAAAGUUUCAGAAGCUUUUAAGGUUCCAGUAAAAAAAAUGUAAAAUCACGCACUACGGCCAAAGUUUCUGUUCCUGCACCGCACAUACCAACAAGCAAUCUAAUCAUCAUAAAGGAAAAUCUUGGCACAUUAUUUUUAUAAUACAAUGGAUUUGUACAAGGGGAUAAUUAUUUUUGUAAGAAACUUCCAUAAAAAAUUCUACAUUGAGCAUGAACACAAUUGUUCAAGGUCGACCCUCACUUCUCCAAUGCAUAACUUCCAAUUGCUUCUCUCUUUGAAAAAGUUUUAAGUUCCCCUCUAUAUUUGUUUUUUUAAACUUUAUAAAAGCACUCAACAGAAAUAAAUGACUCUCUAAAACUUCCGGCCCGUCUUCCUGGUAGCGCUUUCUUUAAAGCCAUUAAGCUAGGCAUAAAGUGCUCAAGUAAUGAAUCCACCCGGAUCCCAAGGUAUAUCAAAGCCAACUUUAAUUAACAAUGAUUUGGCAUUUAGUAGUGAGCACAAAGCAACAUUUAUCAUGCAAUGACGAAGUCUAACUCUGUUCCUAUGCAUCAACAUGUCAUACAAGAACAAUUCAUGCACAUCAAGUAAAGGCCAAUACAUAGCAUAAGCAGUUUCUUGCAAUUUUAUCGUGUUGGAAACAUAGAGAGGCGGAUAUAUAUCUCCUCUCUCAUAAUAAUUGCAAGUAGGAUCAGCAAGCACAUGCAUAUUAUAUUCAUCAAAAUCAUCAUGUGUAGUAGUAAAACGCAACCCAUCAAUGUAAUCCUUAAUAAGUGCAAACUUCUCAAAUAUAGUGUAGUUGGGAGAAUUUAAAAAGAUAAUAGGACUAUCAUGUGUGGGUGCAAUAGCAACAAUUUCAUUCUUAACAUAAAGAACUCUAGCAAGUUCAUCUCCAUAAGCAUCAUUCAUAUUGGCAUCAUGGCCACAAGCAUAGCAAGCAUCAAUUUCAUCAAAAAGGGAUAUUUCAAAUGAAUCAACGGGAUCAUAGCAAUUAUCAUAGCAUUCAUCCUUCGGUAAGCACGGAGGGACAUUAAACAAUGUAUGAGUUGAAGAGUUACUCUCAUUAGAUGGUGGGAACGGGUGAUCAAUCCGCUCUUCCUCCAUUUGUUCUUCGCUCUCCUCCUCAUCUUUUUUCAUCCAAUGAGUGACAAUUUCAUCAAUUCCUUCUUCCGUAGACUCUUGCAAAAUAUUAGUCUCUUCUUGGAUAGCAGAGACUUUAUCAAUAAACACAUCAAUAUCGACAUUGUAUUUGUAAUUUUCAUAGCAAUAUUGAAGGAUGACAAAAUUUCCAGGUCUAUAAACAGAAUCAUCAUAAUCUUCAAACAGAGAUUCAAUUUCAUAAGCACCCUUAAAAGCAAAAAAUUCUUAUAUUCGUUCCACAUCAUAGUAAUCAUAUCUACCAUUAGCAUAAGAAGCUAAGGUUUCAUUAUAAAAAAAUUUGCAUGAAAAGGGAAGGUGUGGAGCAUUCAUCCUAGAGCAACAAGUGUAAUCAUAUCUCAAGCAUAGCUCCCUAGCAUGCCAAUGCAACAUAUGAAUUUGAUCCCAUAAUAAUUUCCCCUUUUGUGUCAAGCGAUAAUCCCUAAAGUAUUCAUGUUGAUCCAACAUGUGUCCCAUUAUCAAGUUGAAUGGGGUUUUCUCAGGAUUAUCAAAGUAGUGUUUAAUAUUUCUCACAUAACGAGCAUCGAGGGAUUUAGGAGAUCCCCCAUCUCCAUGAGUAGCAAGUACAACUAAUUUGGCAUUUCAUGUUCCAUAUCCAUAACUAAAGAUAGAGAACAACUUAGAACAAGAAAUAAAAACUACUUAGUGAUAAAGCAAACAAGCACACACGAGAAUAUUCACCCCACGCUAUUGCUCCCCGGCAACAUCGCCAGAAAAAGGUCUUGAUAACCCACAUGUAUAGGGGAUCGUUUGUAGCCUUCUUCGAUAAAUAAGAGUGUCGAACCCAACGAGGAGCUAAAGGUAGAACAAAUAUUCCCUCAAGUUCUAUCGACCACCGAUACAACUCUAUGCACACUUAACGUUUGCUUUACCUAAAACAAGUAUGAAACUAUUUUGCAAGAAUAAAACUACGAGUAAUUUGCGAGAAUAAAACUAUGAAUAAAUUGCAAGGUAAUAAAAGUGGAUAGCUUUUGUCAACAAGAAAGUCAUUUGUCCCUAGGCAAUCGAUAACUCGACCGGUAAUCAUUCUUGCAAUUUUAAAUGAGGGAGAGGCAUGAGCUAACAUACUUUAUCUACUUGGAUCAUAUGCACUUAUGAUGGACCCCUAGCAAGCAUCCACAACUGCUAAAGAUCCUUAAGGUCGUGAAACCCACCCAUAGCAUUAAGCAUCAAGUCCUCUUUACUCCCAUAAGCAACAACCCACUUACUCGGGUAUGUGCUUCUGUCACUCACGCCACCCACCAUAAGUGAAUCAUGAACAUAUCGCAACACCCAACAGCGGGGACCCCUACAUUUGUGCGACACGGAGGGCACCGUAGGAUAGCACCAUAAAUAAAAUAUACAAUCAUACCAACCAAGAUCAUGAUAGCCCACAUGACAAAACGGAUCUACUCAAACACCAUAGGAUAACCAUAGAUCAUUGGGAAAUAAUAUAUGGAGUUGAGCACCAUGUUUAAGUAGAGAUUAUAGCAGGGAGAAGGGAGGUUACACCGUUGCAUAGAGGGGGAGAGAGUUGGUGUUGACAGUAGCAAGAUUGAUGUAGAUUGCCGUCACUAUCCUUGCCCCGGCAGCACUCCGACGCCACCGGGAGAGAGGGGGACAUAGCCCCCCUUCUUCUUCUUCCUUGCCCCCUAGAUGGGAGGAGAGUUCCCCCUCUGGUCCAUGGCCUCCAUGGCAAUGGAGGGACAGGAGCCCCACUAAGAUUGGAUCUCCCUCUCUAUUCUCUUCUGUUUCACGUUCCUAGAUCUGGCCCUUCACCGUUUCUUAAAUUCUCGGAGAUCCAUAACUCUAAUUGCGCUGAAAUUUUUACAUGAUUUUUUCCAUAAAUUAUCUUUCUUGUGCCAGAAGAAGGGCCCCAACUGCCUUAUGGGGAGGGCAGAAGACACCUGGGCGCGCUAGCGGUUGCCCGACGUGCCCUUUUGGGUUGUGGAGGCCGUGGGCCUCCAUUAGCGUUGAUUCCACCUCCCAAAAAUCACAUAAAUUCUAAAAUAAUUCUUUGUAAAUUUUCAUCGUGUUUGGACUUUGUUUGAUAUGGAUUUUCUACGAAACAAAAAACAUGCAACAAACAGGAACUAGCACUAGGCACUGUAUCAAUAGGUUAGUCCAAUAAAUCAUAUACAAGAUUACCAAAAAUAUGUGGAAGUUGUAUAAUAUUGGCAUGAAACAAUAAAAAAUAAUAGAUACAACGGAGUCGUAUCAGCUACUUGUGAGCUGCGUUGGGAUUUCCUCAAAGAGGAGAGGAAAUGCAGUACAGUAGAGAUAAGUAUUUUCCUCAGUUAAGAACUGAGGUUAUCAAUCGAGUAGGAGAAUCACACAAAGCCUCGUGAACAACACCCGCACACACAAGUGCAAAUACUUGCACCCAACCCAAACAAGAGGGUUGUCAAUCCCCUUGGCGAUUAUUUGCAAGGAUUAAAUCUUGUAGUGGAAGAGAGAUAAAUUGCAAAGAUAAAAUAAAAUAAAAUAGAAAAUUGCAGCAAAUAUAUUUUUGCGUUAUAUAUAUAGGAUCCCUAUAUAGGACAAAUGUUUCCUACAAGCAGUGGUAGUUACCACCACUUGCGAUUUGUAUGUUGAAUGUAGUAUCUGUCGAAACUGAGAGUAUGUACGUGUAGUAUGUAGUAUAUAACAAUGAUUAGGUAGUAUAUAUACAAAUUUUUAAGUAGUAUGUACCAUUUUUUGAGUAUGCUUUUUUUACGUACAAAUAUGUACGUAUUUCAUAAAUAUAACAAAAACUAUGGGCUCAUAUGCAAUUUUUUCAUGUAACUUGUUUUGAAAUAUCUUAGAUAUAGUAUACGAACAUAUUUAAAAUAAUAAAAUAGUAUAUAUAGUAUCACAUGCUAGUAUAUGAUACAUGUGGGGUAACUACCACCAGGUGGUAGGAUGGAUUUUCCCUAUAUAUAUAUAUAUAUAUAUAUAUAUAUAUAUAUAUAUAUAUAUGAACACUAUUCUGAUCACUGGAUGAGAAUAAUAUUCUCAUCACAACCUGACCUGCCCCGCUAGUAAUACGUUGAACUUCCCUGUGAACUAGGUUGAACUUCCGCCAACAUUGCCCAAAUGGGGCUUGUGAUAUACCGUUGGAAAGCUAUGGACACCAGUAUCAUGACCCAACUUAAAUUUUUGGCAAAAUGUAAGCAGUUUAAGAGCAGUUUUGAAAACCGUUUUUUCUUCACACAAAAAACGUGAAUCGUAUUUUCGAUCGCAUUUGUAAACCAUUUAUCGGAAUGAGACAUAUAAUAUGGCGUUGGAAAGCUGCUGCAAAACCGCUACUUCCACAUGUUGAAAGUUUUCUCUAAUUCUCUAUGGUCAAAGAGUAAUUUGAAAAACGUAAAAUUUCACAAACCGAACAGCCGAGUUCGUAUUUUCAACGUCAUUUCUAAACGGCUAAUCCAAUUGAGGCAUAUGAUACGGAGUUGGAAAGCUUAUGAAAAUGCAAUACUCUUUCAUCUGGAAAGUGUUUUUCUAAUUUUGAACAGUUUAAGAGUAAUUUAGAAAACGGUUCAAGUCCUACUGAGUUUGUAUUUUCGAGCUAAUUUUUUAACCGUGCGCCCGAAUGCAGCAAAUGAUAUGGCGUUGGAAAGCUUGAGCAAAUGUGAAACUUGUUGGUAUUUAUUCUUUCUCCUAAUUCUUUACGGUUUUAAGUCAGUUUUGAAAAUGGCGAAAAAGGCAUUUUUGCUGUAUUUUGUACAAACUUUAUCGGAAUGGUGCAAAUAAUAUACCGUUGAAAAGCUAUGGAAAGUGCAAAACUUUUUCAUGUUGACAGUUUUCUCUGAUUUCCAACCGUUUUCUAGUAAUUUCAAAAACGGCGAGAUCAUUCGUUCUGUCAUUAUCGCGAAACAGAAUCGUCAAAAAUGCAUCGAGUGAAGUACCUGAACUUCUCGGUAUGAAACCUUGAACUUCACUCUGUUUUUCACGUGCUUUUUCCCCUCGUAUAUCUCUAUCCGCUGCUCCUAGCUCUACAUCCAGUCACCGGAAUUGAGCAAGUGAUAUACCGAUGGAAAGCUGCUGUAAAGCCGCAACUUUCCCGUGUUGAUCAUUUUUUCAUACUCGCAACGAUUUUAAAAGUUUUUCAUCUGAAAUUUAUUCAGCGUAGUAGUUGAACUUAAUGAUAUUUUCACGUUGAACUUCUGUGACGUAUUUUUGUUUGUACACGCGCCUGAACUUCCCUCUGUACGAACCCGACCUUCGGGCUAUCUUUGCAGCCGUGGCUUCCCCUGCGAAUUAUUCUGGUUAGGAGUGUUCUGUAUGAUGUUAGUGUAAUCUAGAUAGGUUUUUUAGCAACUAAAUACCGGUUUUAAAUAGAAAUCUUGCUCGCUGGCGGAUUUUUCUCUCGGGUCGUGAUGAAAUUGUGUUUUUUUUGCAAUUUUACUGUCUGAUUUGUUCGACCUGAACUUCCCCUAGUGCUAGGUUGAACUUCCGUCAAUAUUGCCCAAAUGAGGCUUGCGAUAUAUAGUUGGAAAGCUAUGGACACCAGUACUAUGACCCAACUUAAAAUUUUGGCAAAAUGGAAGUGGUUUAAGAGCAGUUUUGAAAACCAUUUUUUCUUCAUACAAAAAACGUGAAUCGUAUUUUUUAUAGCAUUUCUAAACCGUUUAUCGGAAUGAGGCAAAUAAUAUGGCGUUGGAAAGCUGCUGUAAAACCGCUCCUUCCACAUGCUGAAAGUUUUUUCUAAUUCCCUAUGGUUAAAGAGUAAUGUGGAAAAUCGUAACAUUUCGCAAACCGAUCAACCGAGUUCAUAUUUUCAUUUCCAUUAACGCCUAAUCCAAUUGAGACAAAUGAUAUCGCGUUGGAAAGAUUAUGAAAAUGCGCUUUUUUUCUCGUGUUGAAUUUUUUUUCUAAUUUUGAAUGGUUUAAGAGUAAUUUAGAAAACGGUACAAGUUCUACCAAGUUUGUAUUUUCGAUAUAUUUUUUUAAUCAUACAUCCGUACAUAGGAAAUGAUAUGAUGUUGGAAAGCCUGAAAAAAUGCAAAACUUUUUGGUAUAUAUUGUUUCUCCAAAUUCAUUACGGUUUUAUGUUGAUUUUGAAAAUGGCUAAAAACAUAUUUUCGCCGUAAUUUCUACAAACUUCAUCGGAACGCGGCAAAUAAUAUACUGUUGAAAAGCUACUAAAAAUGCGAAACUUUUUCAUGUUGAUGGUUUUCUCUGAAUCCCAGCCAUUUUCAAGUAAUUUCAGAAACGGCGAGAUCGCUCGUUCUGCCUUUAUCGCGAAACAGAUUCGUCGAAAAUGCAUCGCGUGAAGUACUUGAACUUCUGUGGCAGUUCUACCUGAACUUCACUCUGUUUUUCAUGUGCUUUUUUGCUCAUAGCUCUUCAUUCACUCACUGUAAUUAAGCAAGUGAUAUACCGAUGGAAAGCUGCUAUAAACACGCAACUUUUCCGUGUUGAUUAUUUUUUCAUACUCGCGACGGUUUUAAAAGUUUUUCUUGUGAAAUUCAUUCAGUGUAGUAGUUUAACUUCCUGCCGUUUUCACGUUGGACUUCUGUGACAUAUUUUUUGUUUGUAAUUUCCCCAUCCAUUUUCGUCAGUGUUACACAAAUGAUAUUCUUUUUGUAUAAACCUCUCUCACAAUAUUUUUUAAAAUUUCUCCGACCGAGGACUUGACCUUACACAAAUUAUAUUCCUGUUAUUUUGAAGUAAAUUAGAAAAUGACAAGAUCAUGAUUUCUGCCUUCAUCGUGAAUGGAAAUGCACUGCGUGAAGUAGUUGAACUUCUCGGGCAUGUCUGUUUGAACUUCACUCUAGUUUUUGACGUGCUAUUUUUUGCACUGCGUGUAGUAGUGGAACUUCUUGGGCAUGUCUGUUUGAACUUCACUCGGUUUCACUUAUUUGUAUUUUUUAUAUGAAAUACACACCAUGUAGUACGUGAACUUCCGGUCGUUAUCACUUUUGAACUUCUCUCCGGUUUGAGAGAAUUAUUUUAAAACACAAAAAAACAUAUUUUUAAUGUAUUUUGGACAUCUAAAUACACGGUGAACCUCUCUCACAAGAAUUUUUGAACUAUCCCUCGCUGAGCACUUGAAUUUCUCCUUUUUUUGUUUUCUUUCAACAUUGGGUUACACGUCGAACCACUUCAUCUUUAGAAAUUGAAUCUCUCAUUUUCUUUUUAUUUUCUUUCAACAUUGGUUUACACGUUGAACCACAUCAUCUUUAGAAAUUGAAUUUAUCCCUUUUUGUUUUCUUGCAUGUUUUACCUUGCAUGUUUAAAUUUAUUUUGAACUUGCUGAGAUAACACACUGGACCUUCUCGAACACAACAUUUUGACCUUCGCAAAACAUAAAUUAAAGCCAAACUUUUGACCUACAGAGCAUGUAUAAAUUUCUCCACUUUUUCAAGAAUAAGCGCUGAAUCACCCCGUUAGUUUGACUUGGACUUCUGCUGCACAUGAAUAAGCUGUUGAAAACACGCAACUUUCCUGCUCCGUUAUUUAAAUUUGAACUUCUAGUUUUUUAAGAAAUGGGAUUUUUUUAAAAACUUUUUUACUUGUUACUUUUAUUCUAAUUUGAACUUCUAGAUUUUUAUAACAGGAGAUCAUAAUUUCUGCCUUCAUCACGAAUGGAAAUGCACUGCAUGAAUUAGUUAAACUUCUCGGGCAUGUCUGUUUGAAUUUCACUCUUUUUUUGAUGUGUUGUUUUUAGCCCGUAACUCCCAAAUCACUUAUCGAAAUUGAGCAAAUGAUAUACAGAUGGGAAGCUUUUGAAAAUAGGCAACUUUUUCGUGUUGAUCAGCUUUUCAUACUCGCGACUAUUUAAUUUUUAUUUUAAUGCAUAAAAAAUGUGUUUUUAACGAUAUACAUAAAACUUUUAAACCAUUCAUCGGAAUAUAGCAUAUAAUAUACCACCGAAAAGCUUGUGAAUAGGAGCACCUGUUUCAUGUAGAUAGAUGUUACAACUUUUUGUCAUUUGAGAGCAGUUUUAAAAAUGGAAAAACAACAUCGUUUCCCCCCUGUUUUUUACAUGCAUUUGAAGGUCGGACGUCUCACACUGGAGAUCUUGAACUUCACCGAGAGGAGCACAUGAACUUCUUGCAGCAAACCUUUAUAAGCUUUUUGUUUUCUAUUCUUAUAUUCCUAUCCGAAACACAUUUCGUGUAGUAGUUGAACUUCCCGCUGUUCUCACCUUGAACGUCUGUCACGUAUUUUUGUUCAACCCCUCUCACAAGAAUUUUUUAACUUUCUCGGGUCAAGCACUUGAACUUUUAGCAAAAAACUUUUUAUCCUUUGGUUUCAUUCUUUUUUUCAUAAAAAUGCACACCGUGUAGUACGUGAACUUCUGGCAGUUAUCAAUCUGAAUUUCUCUUGGUUACGUGAGAAUAUCUAAGUUUUAUAGACAUUGAACCACUCUACCUUUUUUUGUUUGAACUUCAUUGUGUAUUUUUAGAAAUAUGAAAAUUGGAUUUUUUUUAGAAACAUCGAACUUCUUCGCUAUUUCGAAUUGAACUUAUUUGUUUUAUUCUUUGAUAAAUAUCAAAGUGCUCCGCUUUUACAAAUUGAACUUCUUGGUUUUAUUCUGUAUUAGCGAGAGAACCUGAGUUUAUUAUUUACAUUGAGCUACUCCGUUUUUUAAAUUGAACUUCUUGGUUUUAAUCUUUAGCGUGAAAAGUUGCAUUUUUUAGUGAACUUUCCUGUCAUUUUUUUCUAUCUUUUUAAUACAAAUUGGACUGUGCAAUUUUCGCAUGGUGAACUUCUAUCUUUUCAAUAAACACAAUGAAUUGCUACACACAACAAUUUUAUCUAAAUAUCCAACAGUUGCUCCAAGUCAGUUUUUUUGGGCUCAGACACCAACAUCUUUGCACACACAUGUACGACUGAACUUGAGACAAGAAGCUAUUUAGAAACACUACAUAAGUGGACAUAGUACAGCAGAACGAAAAUGAGAUUUUUGCUACCGCAACAAAUUCAAAGCAAGUGCACACACCAACGCCAGCACACACACACACACACACACUAGUGCAUGAACAGACGCAUUAGAACAUACCCUAUGCCUUUUUCUCGGGGGGCACUCGCAAGGCGUUGGUGGACUAGCCGCGGAGGUCGCGAGGACAUAGGGCAGUUGCAGCGGCGGGAUGCAGAGCUCCGGGGAGACACGCUGGGUCGCGGGUCGCGACGGCGCCCCAUCCAAAAAUUGAGAUCACACACCACGCAAUGCUUUGACUCCAUGGACAAGAUGCUAGAAGCAAUUAGUGCAAGCGAUUAAGGACUAUGAUGAUCGCUCUUGUACACAAAGAAGAAUCUGGUCUAAAAUAUAAGAAAACAAUUCUCACACAACUUGAACUUGCCGUAUUCAGUUAAAUGUAUCUGUCACAGCAGAGAGCCUCUCCUAAUGUAGAUCUUUGCGCACCUACUUUUCUCUUGAUAGUAGCAAUGCUGCAUAGUAUAAAUGUACUGAAAAGUUUUCUUCAGUGACUGGCCGUUGAGGAUUCCUAAGCCAAAUCAGGCUGAAUUUUACGAGCAACAUGUUGGAACGUGCUUGCUUGCUGGACCUAUGCACAAUAAUUUUUUUUCACUUGCUGGCUUUCACAGGGAAGGCGGGACUGCUACGGCGAGUAGCUAGCCGAUGGUGCGGUUCCACAUGCGCCGGGGGUACCGGCCACACGCCCACGUCAAGCCGCAACAGUUCAGCUCAUAACACCAACCAAGAAAAACAUCAAAAUUCAGCAAGCUGCAGCCAAAGCAGCAAAUUGCAGCAUUGCACUUAUGCCAUUCAGCCCGGAGUGGCUAGAGGUUCAAGGGAGAUAGACACUGCAGUUCGCCCAGCUGAUGCCUAUGUCGGAGGCAGCAGCACCAAUAAUACUGGGCGGCUCUUCACACCACAUUGUCAGUUUCUUCUGUAGGGCCGACGAGGGCUUCAACGUUGGUGGAGGAGUUGAUCCAGGGGCGGACAGUGGUGUUUUUGUGGCUGAAAUCUGUGAGCAUCGUCGUUGAACGGCUGGAGGUGGUGGUGGCGAAUGGCCGGAAGUGGCCGUGGCGAACGGCCUGAGCGCCGCGACGGUCGGUCCCCAUGGGGAGUAGGCCGCGUUACUGGGGCAACGGGGUUGCCCGUCUUGAGCCGGGGACCCUGGGGGCGGCGGGCGGGAUCCAGAGCAAGGCCGCGGCACGCGGGGUCGACGACCAGGAGGCAGCAUGCGACGCCCAUGUCCAGGCGGCGGCGCGCAAGUUCCACGACCGGCGGCCGUGCGUGGGAAGCUAGGGGUAGUGGUACGGCGGUGCAGUGCGCGGGGCCUGUCGGCGGUGCGGCGCGCAUGGCUGGUAGGAGGAGGCGCGCAGGGCGGCGAGAUCCAAGGAGGAUGGCGGCGCUCGAGGGAGGGGAUCGAGGGAGGAAAGGGAGGGGAUCAAGGGAGGAAAGGGUGGGGAUCGGGGCAGCCGGUGGGGUGGGGUUGUUUUUUUCUUCAAUCGGUCCGGCGGGGUCUUCGGGAGUUCGGGAGCACAGCGCCGCGCCUAUAUAGGGACGAUUGUGAUCCAAAUAGUUAUUCUAAUUCCAGGAUUAGAAUAGUGUCACUCUCUCUCUCUCUCUCUCUAUAUAUAUAUAUAUAUACAUAAACACUAUUCUGAUCACGGGAUCAGAAUAAUAUUCUGAUCACAACCUGACCUGCCCCGCUAGUAGUACGUUGAACUUCCCUGUGAACUAGGUUGAACUUCUGCCAAUAUUGCCCAAAUGAGGCUUGCGAUAUACCGUUGGAAAGCUAUGGACACCAAUAUGAUGAUCCAACUUAAAUUUUUGGCAAAAUAUAAGCAGUUUAAGAGCACUUUCGAAAACCGUUUUUUCUUCGCAUAAAAAACGUGAAUCGUAUUUUCGAUCGCAUUUCUAAACCGUUUAUCGGAACGAGGCAUAUAAUAUGGCGUUGGAAAGCUGCUGCAAAACCGCUCCUUCCACAUGUUGAAAGUUUUUUCUAAUUCCCUAUGGUUAAAGAGUUAUUUGAAAAAAACGUAAAAUUUCAUAAACCGAACAGCUGAGUUCGUUUUUUCGAUGUCAUUUCUGAACGGCUAAUCCAAUGGAGGCAUAUGAUACGGCGUUGGAAAGCUUAUGAAAAUGCGCUACUUUUUCAUCGUGAAAGUUUUUUUCUAAUUUUGAAUGGUUUAGGAGUAAUUUAGAAAAUGGUCCAAGUCCUAUCGAGUUCGUAUUUUCGAGCUAAUUUUUUAAUCAUGUGUCCAAAUGCAGCAAAUGAUAUGGCGUUGGAAAGCUUGAACAAAUGCAAAACGUUUUGGUAUGUAUUGUUUCUCCCAAUUCUUUACGGUUUUAAGUCAGUUUCGAAAAUGGAGACAAAAGUAUUUUCGCCGUAAUUUCUACAAACUUUAUCGGAAUGGGGCAAAUAAUAUAUCGUUGAAAAGCUACGGAAAAUGCGAAACUUUUUCAUGUUGACGGUUUUCUCUGAUUCCUAGCCGUUUUCAAGUAAUUUCGAAAACGGCGGGAUCAUGCGUUCAACCUUCUAUCGCGAAACAGAUUCUUCCAAAAUGCACCGCGUGAAGAACCUGAACUUCUCGGCGUGUGUACCUGAACUUCACUCUGUUUUUCACAUGAAAUUUUUGCUCGUAGGUCUCCAUCCACUGCUCGUAACUCUCCAUCCACUCACCGGAAUUGAGCAAGUGAUAUACCAGUGGAAAGCUGUUGUGAAGACGCAACUUUCCCGUGUUGAUCGUUUUUUCAUACCCGCAACGAUUUUAACAGUUUUUUCAUCUUAAAUUCAUCCACUGUAGUAGUUGAACUUCCUGUUGUUUUCAGUUGAACUUCUGUGACGUAUUUUCGUUUGGAAUUUUCUCAUCCAUUCGUCAGUGUUACACAAAUGAUAUUCCUUUUGUACAAAUCUCUCUCGCAAUAUUUUUUUUACUUUCUCUGACGAAGGACUUGAACUUAUAACAACAAAACUUUUAACCUUUGCUUUAUUAUUAUUAUUUUAAUACAAAAUGCACACCAUGUAGUACAUGAAUUUCUCGCAGUUAUCAACCUGAUCUUCUCUCGUUUACGUGAAAAUAAUUGAACUUUUUUAUGAACUUUUAAUCUGAUUUUCUUAAUCUUUUUUUAUGAAUUUUGAAACGCUCUCUUUUUAAAUGUUGAACUUCUUAUUAUUUUAUUUUUGAACUUCUUGUUUCCAUUCUUUAAUAACGAGGAAAAUCUGAGUUUUCUAUAAUCAUCGAACUUCUCCAUCUUUUUAAUAUGGACUUCCUAGUUUUAUUUCUUAAUCCUUUUUUAUGAAAUUUUGAAACGUUCAAUUUUUAAAAGUUGAACUUCUUGGUUUUUUAUUUUUGAACUUCUUGUUUCCAUUCUUUAAUAACAAAGAAAAUCUGAGUUUUCUAUAAUCAUCGAACUUCUAUAUCGAACCGAUCUAAGUUUUGUAUUUGAAUUUAUUUUAUGUAUUUUUAGAAAUGUGAAAAUUGAAAUUUUCUUAGAAACAUCAAACUUCUUUGUUUUUUGAAUUGAACUUAUUUGUUUUAUUCUUUAGUAACAAAAAAAAUCAAGUUUUUAAUUAAAUAUCAAACUUCUCCACGUUUUUAAAUUGAAGUUCUUGGUUUUAUUCUUGAGUAACGAGAAAAACUAAGUUUUUAAUGUACAUUGAAUUCCUCGGUUUUUUAAAAAUUGAACUUCUUGGUUUAAUCUUUAGUAUCGGGGAAAAUCCGAAUUUAAAAAAAGGGAAAAAUCUUAUUAAAUUUUUCAUUCCCUUAUUUUAAUUUAAACUUAUUAGUUAUUCUUUAUAACGAGAAUCUGAGGUUUUUAUCAACUUUGAACUUCUGUGUUAUUUUAAUUUGAAUUGCUUAGUUUUAUUUUUUAGAAAUGAGAAAAUCGAGUUUUUUGAAGUUCCUCAUUUUAAAAUUUUGAACUUCCUAAUUUUAUUUUUUUUAUAAUGUGAAAAAUCUGGAUUUUUUGUAGACAUCGAACUUCACCAUUUUUUAAACUUGAGCUUCUUAGUUUUAUUUCUUAGUAACGGGGAAAAUCCUUUUUUUAUAUAAACCACACCGUUAUUUUAAUUUGAACCUCUAGUUUUUAUAGAAUGGGGGAAAUCUGUUUUUAUAAAAUCUUUUUGAGAUGCUCCUCUUUUUUAAUAUUGGACUUCUCUGGUUUUUUUAUAAACAAGGAAAAUUCGUUAUAAAGAUUUUUGAAGUACUUUUUUUUAUUUGAACUUCUUGCUCAAAUUUGUGGUCUUCCAAUUUGACUUUUAAAUAUUAAAAAGUUUAUUUUUUAACGUCGACCUACUUCGGUUUUUAAAUUUGAACUUCUUAUAGAAUUUUGUCGUGACAUUUUUAUGCAUUUUUUGCUUUUCAGUGAAAUGGCCUCGACGGUCUCUUUGGUCCCUUUUUUUCAUUUGAUAGUUUUUCUUCUGUAUGUGCUACGCGUGAACUUCAGAAUUUCUGAAAGAUGAACUUCAUGUGCUAUUUUUUUUAUGAAACUCCAUAGUUUUUAUUCUUUGAAUUCCAUGAUUUUUUUGUUUACAUUUUUCUGGUUUGAAUUUUGAUGUUUGUUAGACCUGAACUUUCGAAAUCACCCCCUUUUUAUACACAUUUUUUCUCUUGAAUCCAAGGUCUGCAAAAACAAUACGAAAAUUGGGGUCAAUUCUCAUAAUCAAGUUUUAACAUGCUCAAAGCUAGGGUUUCAGCAAUGGGCAAACAGAUAUCUUUUUUCAAACCCAAGACAUUGGUUUCAAUUGCUAACAGUUUUAAGAAAGCAAAACAAUUGCCAAAAGCCCAAAACUGUUCUCAGUGGCCAAAAACCAACCACCUGGACGUUCUCUGUUCUUUCUUCAAAGGAUGAUGCUGUAAUGAAUUUUUUGUGCCUCCUUUUUUGCUCCAACUUCUUUAGUUGACCUGCCACGAGCUUUGUGUUUGACCUACUGAUGAGUGCAAUCCGGGAGGAGCAGACCAUCGCGGCUGCCGGUGACGCACGGGGUAGUCAGGAGGUAUUGCAGUAGUGGUGGGGGAAGCCGGUCAAAGGAGGAUCCGCCACGGAGUAGAGAAGUGGGGAGUGACCUGUCAGUGAGGAGGAUCUUGAUUUAUUAGUAAAUUAGUGACAAUAUAUCCAGGCGAGUGGCAAUGCUGAGAAGGAUCCACAAAGCUAGCUACUCUGAUAUACUUACUACACAAGUUGUUAUAACAGCCUGACGCUGCAUCUGAAACAAGAUAGUUAUUGUUGUGAGUGAACGUGUAGUGAGUGAAAUUUGCAUGCCAGAAACCAACCCAAACUAAUCAAAACCUCCAUGACGAAUUCAGGGGACACCAAUGCACGCACGAUUGUGGCUUCCAUGUGGCUUCUCAGGCACUAUAGAGUUGAGGGUGCACGUUCGCUCGGGGAACAACCUGGACUUCUGCACUUUCGAAGAACAGAAAAAUAUACAGGAGAUUCAGUCGCAAGCUCCUCAAAAUUGUAAAAGUCCACACAUCAUAGUAGUGAUUAGAGAAUAAAAAAGGUUCACAGAGAGGAUACCGGGGAGGCGCGGUCGUGUCAGCAGUAGGCCGUGGCGGUGUGUGUUGAUGACAGCCGGACCAAAAGCGGUUGUGGUUUAGCGGCUGGAUAGGUCCUUGCAUGGUCCCUUGCAAGUAACAAAACAGCCUGCAUGGCCCCUUGCCACCAGAGAAAACUUCUUGUUGCUACUGCCAAAGCAAUUGUUAUGAAAAACAAAGCAUUUCAAAAAAAUUUACCAAAGCUACAGAAGUGACAAAAUUACUUCAAAAACUAUUACAACUGUAUGAAUAAAGCUUCGUGUCAAAUGUAUUUUCUUAAAAGCUUGAGCUACUAGAACCCGUGGAUGAGGUUUUGGUGUCUUCCUACUUAUUCUGGAUUCAUUUUUGAUGCUAGUUACGACACUCAUUUUAUGUAUCUUUUACAAAUGGUGCAAGUGUUCAGGUGAGAGGAGCCAAGGUCAGAACCACUCUGAAGCCUGAACUAAGUAUGUGCGUAGACAAAAUGCAAAAAGGAAGAAAGCAACUUCCCUGAAUGUACUAAAAAAGCAAUCUCUAAAAUUUAAUGCCCAGCCACUUCGAAUUGCAGCACUCUUGGCACCACGCCCAGCACACCGGAGAGACGCACGCCAACCCCAGCCGUCGUCGGCCAUCGUAUGCCUGUUGGGUCGAUGUUGCUGCAUGGAACGCUCCAUUUUGUAGCUUGAACUGCUGAAAAGAAGCACCAUCAGCUAGCUACAACGAAGGUGAAGAAGUAGCAGCAGAGGCUGUUCGGGAAGUGCUGUACUGACAAAGAAAUUGAUACGCCAGCCUAAGAAACUUAACUCAAGUUUGUACAUCCUGGUUUUUUUUCAAAGCCUCCUUGUUUGUAAGGUGUAGCUAUGAUCCAGGGAGAUGCAUCAUCAUAUGAAAAAUGUAAGAGAACUCAAUACAUGGAAAUAAAAAUUGAAGUAUCUGCAGGGAGAACUCAACUUGAACUGGCAAUACAACCAAACGUCUCCUUCAUUUCAAAUAAUUUCACACGAAUGCAGAGUAUACCGGUCAAAAUGUGUUUAUUUUAGUAUAUACUGAAACUAUAAGCUUCAGCUGAUUGGAUGUUGGUCUCAGAUUUAUGAAGCUAAGAAAUGAAAAACAGGGAAAAAACAGUCGGAAUGUACAUAAAAAAUACUGUACAUCUCUGAACCUUAAGCCACAUUCACUCUGAAGUUCAUCAGUACCCUGCAAAAUUGGAUGAGUUGGUUUCUCAUCGUGGCACCGCCAGAAGCCGAGGCGCACACGUAUGGAAUGGGCGAAGACACGCCUGCAGUUCUACUACUCCAUGUGAUAGAGUUCAAUCAUCCAAGAGGGGAGUUGGAAGCAACAGGAGGAGGAAGAUCAGUACGCGUUUGGAGAGAAGGUCACCUGUGGACAUGAACAUGGCAAGUGGGCGACGGGGAGAGGUGGUGUGCUGCAGAGGAUGGAGCCAAGCGGAGGCAGGGGUUCGGCCGCGGGGCGGCAUCUCUGUCGCUGCUCCUAGUCUCCACCAAGCAAGCAUGCUAGGGCGACGGGGGUGGCCGUGUGGCCUGAUUGGCGCGCACGACAGAAGCCGUCGGGGCUCCAGGAGAAGGACGGCGACGGGGCCGCCGGAGGAGGCCGAUGGGGCAGCGCCGUGAAGCCGGGAGGUGGAGGCGCGUGGCGACCCGGCCUGGAGGUGGAGUCGCGACAACGCGUCUGCCGGGGAGGAAGUUGGGGCUGGCGGUGCGUCUGGCGGGGAGGGAGAUGGGGGCGGCAGUGCUUCUGCCGGUGGAUGGAGGUGUGGGCGAUGACGCCUACUGCCGGGGGAGGGAGGUAGCGGCUGCGGCGCCUGCUGCCCGGGGAGGGAGGUGGUGGUGGCAUGGGUGUCGGGUUAGAACGGCGUGGGGAUAAGGUUGGGAGAGNNNNNNNNNNNNNNNNNNNNNNNNNNNNNNNNNNNNNNNNNNNNNNNNNNNNNNNNNNNNNNNNNNNNNNNNNNNNNNNNNNNNNNNNNNNNNNNNNNNNNNNNNNNNNNNNNNNNNNNNNNNNNNNNNNNNNNNNNNNNNNNNNNNNNNNNNNNNNNNNNNNNNNNNNNNNNNNNNNNNNNNNNNNNNNNNNNNNNNNNNNNNNNNNNNNNNNNNNNNNNNNNNNNNNNNNNNNNNNNNNNNNNNNNNNNNNNNNNNNNNNNNNNNNNNNNNNNNNNNNNNNNNNNNNNNNNNNNNNNNNNNNNNNNNNNNNNNNNNNNNNNNNNNNNNNNNNNNNNNNNNNNGGCGCGUCGUGGCUGGGGGGUUGGUGGCGGCGGCGCCGCCGGUUGGGGACGGGGUGGCGGGCAUGUCGCCGUUGAGGGCAGGAGCUGCGGGAGAUGGGGCAUCUGUGGAUCAGGGGGAGUAGAGGUGGGGUGGGCUUUUUUCUUUUGUCUGUCACUGCCCGAUUUGGGAGUUCGGAGUUCGGGAGCACCCCAUCGGACCUAUAUAGGGUGUGACGUGAUCCAAAUAGUCAUUCUAAUCCUGGGAUUAGAAUAGUGCCACUCUAUAUAUAUGACAAAAGUAGACCCCAUGGACCAUAAUUUUCACUAGAGGCUUCUCUCUCGAACACAUAGCAUACGGUGGGUAAACAAAUUACUCCCCCCUCCCAUAAUUUUCAAAAGCGCAUAGUUGUGACGAUAUUCAAGGCGAUGGUCAUGUAUAUAGGCAUCACGGUCAUCAGGUCAGAGGUGAUGACGACUCCCCCCUCCCACCUCUCCCACCCCACCCAUGGCGACUCCCCCUCCCACCGACCUCCAAGAUCUUCCAUGGUGAUUGUUGAUCCAUUUGAGAUUUGAUGGCAAGUCUCAUCCAUUGGGAUUUUGCCCCUGGGCUCAAGGUGGAGCAGAAGUUACGUGCCAAGUUCAGAUCCACGGUGCGCUUUGAUAGUUCUUUGGGAACCAAGGAAUUUUUCUUGGUUGUCUCUUUCUCGUUGGCCUCCUUCCCUCUAUCCGAAGAGGCGGUAGGAGUGGUUUUGCAAUGUUGCAUUGGUGGUUUGGCCACGGGUUUCAACGUCAAACAAUUGGGAGAUCGUAAUUUUCGAUUUUCGAUGGCUUCCAAUUGUGUUGGUCACUUCAUCUACGGUUUGAAGGAUUGUGUGUGGCCAAAUUUUGUUUGUCAUUUCCGCUUGUUCAAAGUUUCGGUGGACUCUGCUUGGAAGGGAUCGGAUUAACAUCUUGAUGAGGUUAUCCCGGAGGUUUAUGCUUGAUCGCCUAUGGCUAUCAGAAGCUCUCUAGGGUUUCUUCAUAAGAGUGCUCAAGGAGAAACCUCAUCUAGUUCUGAGUUGGCUAAAUUUAAUUUUUCUCAUGCUGAAGACAAGAUUUCCACCGAUCUUAAUGGUCAGGUUUUGGAUAAUCAUCUGGAGUCUCAAGAUCAAUCUUUGAAUCCUAGUUUGGCCUCCAAUGUUCAAGCAAAUGAAUUGGUUUUUGGCAGUUUGCAUGCGCGUAUCUCUCAGCCGAAUCAUCAGGUUAUUGGCAAACGUGUCUAGGGAUCCGCUUUUUCAACUUUCUCAUGGAAUUUAAUUCCGGAUCCAAAGCUGGAGGAAGUGCGGGAUUUAUGGCAAGCUGGUUAUUCUAAUGAUAUCAUUCAAUCGGUACUUAACAUCUCUUCCCUGCCGACUAAAUCGUUCAUCUACAAUAAGCUUCUCAUUUGCAUGGUUUGUGAAGGACGAGGUCAUCAUUUUGAGGAUUGCGUUCAUAAGACUUUGGCAGCUAGUUUAACAUCUUCCACCAAUAAAAUUGUUGUGGCUUCUCAUAUGCAUAAUGUUUCAUGGUGCACCAAGUGCCGAUCCAAUAAAAAUUCUUUUUUAGAGUGCAAUUUUCGUAGUAGAAGUUGCAAUAUAUGUGGUGUGAGCGGUCAUGUUCAAUGGAAUUGUUAGGCACGAAGAGGAUUUACUUCGAAACAUGUUUCUUGGGUUAAGAAAGAUCGGGUCCGUUCUGUUAGGUCUCGGGUUUCCAUUGGCCAUCACAAAAUUUGGCGCAGAAAAUCUCGGAGUAUGGCUCAACAGAAAAGGGAUAAGAAGAAAAUAUGGAUUGUCAAAUGAAAUGGGAGGGAUCCGGUAAAAUCUUUUGUACCUUCUGCCAAAAAUACCCCGGAUGUUUCGCCUCCUUACCAACCUAUCACCACCCUCCAGAUUCCCGAGACGACGGUGCCUCCCCUGUUUCACCCGUCACCUUGCGCCCCUGUGCUCUCCUCCACCCCUCACCUCGAGCUCUCCUCCACUCCAAUCCGAGCGCCAAUGGCAAAGCUACCGGUGCUUCCCUACCAUUUUGUGCCGGGGAGAUGGAUAUCCAACAUGGUCCGAAGGGGAGGCUGCAAAGGAACAUGGUGAUCAUGGACGACCCUCCUCUGGAUCACUCAAAGCAUGCGCUUGUGAUGGUGGUGCCGCCCCCUGGAGAUCUGCAACGUGAAGAAGUUCUUGUUGAGGUCAGAAGGGUUCACUACAAAAAAGACACAUCCGUGACAUUUUGGGCCGAACAAUUUUUUUGUCAUACAUGUGACACUUCUAUGACGAUAAUUGUGACAAAACCCAGUAUCAUCAUAGAUGUGGUGGGCUCCUACUUCUAUGACAAAAAAUCAUGACAGAAAAUGGGCUUUUCAUCCUGGGCGGGCCGGAGACGCAGCUGCAUGACAUUCUUUGGGCCGUCCAUGACGGAAAAAACCGUGGUAGAAGCAAGGGGGAGGAAAAUUUCGGGGAGUUGCCGGUUACGGUGGGAGGUCGGGGGCCGAGCGAUGCGCGUUUCUCUCGUACACGUACGCACGUGUGUGCGAGGCGUUGGCCGUAACUGAACCCGAGCGAGGCGUUGGCUCUAACUGAACCCGAGCGAUUGCACUGCAGGCUACGCGUUACUGAAUCCGAGCGAUCGAUCGAUGGCUGUUAACUGAACCCGAUGGAGCGAUUCCUUCGCUACUGCUGCUAACUGAAGCCGAUUGAUUGGAUGAAUGGUGAGCGUUNNNNNNNNNNNNNNNNNNNNNNNNNNNNNNNNNNNNNNNNNNNNNNNNNNNNNNNNNNNNNNNNNNNNNNNNNNNNNNNNNNNNNNNNNNNNNNNNNNNNNNNNNNNNNNNNNNNNNNNNNNNNNNNNNNNNNNNNNNNNNNNNNNNNNNNNNNNNNNNNNNNNNNNNNNNNNNNNNNNNNNNNNNNNNNNNNNNNNNNNNNNNNNNNNNNNNNNNNNNNNNNNNNNNNNNNNNNNNNNNNNNNNNNNNNNNNNNNNNNNNNNNNNNNNNNNNNNNNNNNNNNNNNNNNNNNNNNNNNNNNNNNNNNNNNNNNNNNNNNNNNNNNNNNNNNNNNNNNNNNNNNNNNNNNNNNNNNNNNNNNNNNNNNNNNNNNNNNNNNNNNNNNNNNNNNNNAUGAAUAGUAGCCGAUGGAGUAGCGCGCGGUGGAGGCUGGAUGAACAGGAGCCCGUGGAGGCUGGAGGAGAUCGACGGUAGCCCGUGGAGGCUGGAGGGGGUCGACAGUGGAUAUGAACAGUAUCCCGUGGAGUCCCAUUUUGCGGUACGCCACACCCCUCCCGAUGAACAGGACCCCCAUUUCGACCGUAGGAGGUCCGUUUCAUCCGUUUUGCGGUACGCCACACCCCUCCCAAUCAACAGGACCCCCGUUUCGACCGUAGGAGGUCCGUUUCCUCCGUUUUGCAGUACGCCACACCCCUCCCGAUCAACAGGACCCCCGUUUCGACCGUAGGAGGUCCGUUUCCUCCGUUUUGCGGUACGCCACACCCAUCCCGAUCAACAGGACCCCGUUCUGAACGUAGGAGGUCCGUUUCCUCCUUGUGCGGUACGCCAGGCCUCGUUUCCAUCGCCUGUUCCGUCCAAGCCCUCCCGAUGAACACGACCCAGCCGGUUGGCUCCCCAUGAACACGACGACGAUGCUGUUUCUCUGUUCCGACCCAGCCAUGUACGUAUGCACGAGUAGGCGUUCGAGACCCUGCCCGUAUGUACGUACGUGCCGUAUUUUCUUUCUUGCACCCUCACCACUGUAAGUAUGUGUACAUGCUACGUGUGCGCCUCUACUACGACAUGUGUGCGCCUCUACAUCCACCAGUAUAUAUGUACGUACACGUUCGCGACCAUAAUGACAACGCUACGUACGCUUCGACCAGGUGGGUCCCGACUGUCAGGCACUUCCUUGCAUGCGAAGAUGUAGCUGGUGGGUCCCAGCAGUAAGGGGGGCGAAUAGUUUUUUUGCCCGGACGCACUUCCUUGCGUGCGAAGAUGUAUGUGGUGGGUCCCAGCAGUCAGGGGGGCAAAUGUUUUUUUGCCCGGACGCACUUCCUUGCGUGCGAAGAUGUAGCUGGUGGGUCCUAACAGUCAGGGGGGCGAAUCGUUUUUUUUCCCGGACGCACUUCCUUGCGUGUGAAGGUGUAGCUGGUGGUCCCAGCAGUCAGGGGGGAAACAUUUUUUUUUUGCGAAAUAUGGUGGCCCGUCUGGUGGGUCCCCGCUGUCAGGUGGAGGAAUAAUUAUUUUGCGCGUAAUAAGGAGGCACUUCCUUGCUGCGGCCGUGGACCCAACUGUCAGCCUCUCCACGUACAGUCCACGUCCGAUGGAAGACAUUCCUUGGCCAUGUUGACCACGCCGCGCUGAGAGCACCAGGGCGGUGGACGACGGCGAGGCCUAGGAAGGGGACGAUGCGGAGCCGGGGAAGACGCGGCAGUGGAUGCCCACGCGUAGAGGAGUACGAGGGUUCACUGGUUCGCUGCGGUGUGAGGCUGCCGUCGUCGCAGAAUAACAGGGGGUGUGGGUGAGUAGAGGGAUGGCCUGGCCAGCGGUGGGAGUAGUAGGGGGCGGUGAGGCCUCCGCCGCAUCGUAGCCGGCCACGGGAGGCAGGAGCACGAGGCACGACCGGCGUUGGUUUGGGCGGCUGGAGCAAGAAGACCAGUGGUUGAAGAAGUACUACGGCCGUUGGAUGGAUAUCGUAAGGUCACUGGAUCUAGAAUCAUGCAUAUUUACUAAGUUGACAAAGCCCUCCGUCCCCGUCAACUUAGUAGGCCCACAAGUCAGCCUGCCACUAUACUGGGUCCCAGCUAACAGGGGGUGUAUUCAGUUUUUUGUGCGUAAUAAGGAGGCACUUCCUUGCGUACGAAGAUAUAGCUGGUGGGUCCGAGCUGUCAGAGCCGGCCGCGGGGAGGAGGCAGCAGGCAGUCCCACCGGCGCUUGUUUGAGCGGCUGGAGCAGGAACAACAGAGAUUGAAGAAGCACGACGGCCGUUGGAUGGCCAUCCAACAAUCACUGCUUGUGUGUCAACCUUUUUUUAGGAAAGCCUCAAAUCUGUGGAAAACAGCAUACAACCCAUCUGCCAUUAUUUUUUAAUAAUUUACAGCCCAUUUGCUAAUUCUUAAGGGUUUUUUGGAGCCCAUAUUCUUUUUGUUAGCAUUACAGCCCAUAUUGUGGCCACGGUUAAAAACUUAUACGAAAUUUUGCAUAUUUCGGUGCGGUCCGAACUGUUUUUAAUCCCGAAAUUUCGACUCACAUUCAAACUAAUUUUAAAAAUAAAUGUAUAUCAAUAUAAAAUCCAACAAAUUCUCCACACAUAAAAAUUAAUAUAAUUUAAAAUCUCGAAAUGAAAAAAAGGUAUUUGAAACUAAUUGCCGGUUUGAUGUGUUUUAAAAAUGUACAACCCAUUUCUCAUUACUGAUGGGCCAUUUUAUCGGCCAGCCGAAUGAAAGCUCUCCUCGUCUUGAAAGAUUUGCAGCCCAACAAGCCUGACAAAGCGACUUACUUGGCAAAUCACAAAAAAACUGGGCUAUGGUAGUGGACCCAACUGUUAGCCUCUCCACGUACAGUACUCUUUCGAUGGAAUGUCGUGGACCACAUUGACCACACCGCGCCGAGAGCACCAAGGCGGUGGACGACGACGAGGCCUAGGAAGGGGACGACGCGGAGCCGGGGAAGACGCAGCAGUGGAUGCCCACGCGGAGAGGAGUAUGAGGGUUCACUGGUUCGGCUGCGGUGUUAGGCUGCCGUCGCCGCAGGGCCUGGCUAGCGGUGGGAGUAGUAGGGGGCGAUGAGGCCUCAACGGCAGCACAGCCGGCCACUGGAGGCAGGAGCAGGCGGUCUCCCCGGCGCUGGUUUGGGCGGCUGGUGCAAGAAGAGCAGCGAUUGAAGAAGCAGCAAGACCGUUUGAUUCAAAUCCAACGGUUACUACUUCUAGAAUCGUUUGUUGACUAAGUUGACAAGCCCUGCGUACGCGUCAACGUAGUAGGCCCACAGGCCAGCCUCCGAACUGGUGCGCCCCAGAUGUCAGUGGGAGGAAUCAUUUUUUUUGCGUAAUAAGGAGGCAGUUGAUUGCGUGCGGCCAGGCCAGCGGAGGGAGUAGGGUGGGCCGGGGAAGCCUGCGCGGCAUCACAGCGGGCCACAAGAGGAGGGAGCAGGCAGUCCCGCCGGCGCUAGUUUAGGCGACUGGAGCAGGAAGAUCAGAGAUUGAAGAAGCACGACGGCUAGAAUCGUGUGUUCACUAACAAAGCCUUGCGUAAACAAGUCAGCCGCCCGUUUUCCAUUUUUAGAAUUGCCGGCCAUUUUCUGAUCAGUACCAGGGUAAAAAAAUUAACUAAAUAUGUGGGAAAUUUUUGCUGGGGAACAAAAUAUUUUUAAUCCAAAAAUAAAUAGCCAUACUAAAACAAAUUUAAAAAUAAAUUAGUACUAUGUCAUGUUAAACCCAAUGAAAUAUGUAUAAGAUAUCAGUGAAGAACAAAAUUAAAAAAAAACUAAUAUCCCAUUUGCUAUAAGUUUUUGGAAUUUUCAACCCCUUUUGAUAUUACUUUUAACAGACAUUGACCAUACUCUUUGGCCAGGACGGAAUGCAUCCCUCCUCGUCUUGAAAGAUUUGCAGCCCAGUAAUUCGGAGAAAACAAAUAGGCCUAGCUUGGGUAUUCUUCAAAAAGAAAUACCGGGCUACCUAUUUUCCUAAAGAACUGGUGCAUGAGCAUUUAGCUUUAUUUAUUUAUUUACUUAUUUAUGUUUAGGGGACCAUGAGCAUGUACCUGGGCCGGAUUCAUGUGAGAGCCUCCCUUCCAGUUAAUUAUGGGCUUCUCUAUUGGGCCUUCAUGAGUGGGCUGCAUGUUAUCAACAAGUGGAAAAUGUGUUCCGUACGAAAAAUACUAUGAGCUACAUACGGUACGGGGCACUAAAGGAUCGAACCGUGCAACGACUUCCAAAACAGACAAAACAUACUACUGAUUGUACAUUGAAAAUAGCAGCAGCAGCAACCAGGGCUGGGGGUGCAAUAGAAGCAGUAAGCAAGCUAGAAGAGUGAAGACGCAGCUCUCUCUUCCAAACCAAACAUCAACCAUCAUUACAAAAGGGCUACCAAAAAAUAACAAGUGUAUGCAUCAAACUAAAUAAAGAUCCUACUACACCAAGUGUACGCAUCUAACUAACUGGCUCAGUUAGACAUUACUAUUUAUUAAGCUGUGGAGAUUGGCUGACGACUUGAACCAGAUGGGUGCUUGACGGGGGAAACUCCAGCCAGCAGGUCGAAGUCUAAUACUUGCGAACCUCUCUCCUACUUUGGGCUGCAGAGCAUGGCGGCACAUAUCAGGGUAUGGUGCAUGCAGAGACGCAUGGUAUGCUGUGUACACACAGUUUUGCCUGAUGAACGAAACCGCGGUGCCAUCAUGAUCGUUGCCGUUGGUUAUCUCCUGGUUAAUCGGAUAAUUCAGUCCGACAAACAGAGAGCGUGUACCAAGGCUACUUACCAGCCUCCAGUCAAAAAUUCCUGAAGGCCCAGAGAAGCUGGGAUCCUGCUCAAAGACCUUGUAGUGACUGUGAUUGUAUUCCGCUAAACAACACAUCCAGUACAUGCGAACGAUUAUCAAUCUUUCGCCAUCGUCUGAUCGAGCCAGGAACCACCUGCAACUGCCAUGUCACUUUUCUUUGAAAGGUUCUGGGAUUAGGAAGGGUAGGGACACCAGGCGGCCUACAACAUCAUAUCAAGUUGGAGUCAAAUAAAAAAAGGCUCUUGAUUUAGUCAAUCUUAAGAACAACAUGUUAUGAGCAUGAAUAUUUUUCAGUAAAUGUUGACAGUAAUAUAAGCAAGCCAUCAUGAUAUCAUAGGAAAGUAACAUACUGCUGUAACAGCCGUUUAUAGCGAUGACUGGAGUAGGCCGGCAAUACGUCCAACCAUAGAAGGAGUCGACAGCAUAAAUGAAGCCCUUGUGUUCAAUGGCAUCAGAGAACCAUGGAUGAUGUAUGAUCCUGCGAUGGACGUGCAGAUUUAUCCACUUACCACAGUGACCUGUCAGAUAGGCGAGAUCGCGGUUGAUGAACGCAAUUAGCCUGAAAUCUUUAUAAUUCGCAGAUCUUGUAGGCACUUGGCAGAUUACAACCUUGAGCAAAUCAAACUUGGUAUCAUGUUGGCUACUGUAAGAUUCUGAGUAUUUUGGGCCGCGGUGCCAAAGCAGUGCAGUGUUAAUCAAAUGAAGGGGGAUCAAUCGCCGGGUGUAGACCUCCACGAGCAUCCAACUGCCGCGACCGUCGACGAGCACCAUCCAAGACGUGUUCAUGCCGACCCAGUACAUAACGUUAAUGUAGCUGAGGCUGACGGGGAUCGGAUCGCAGUGAAGGGGGUUGAUGCUCGCCACCCUACGAUCGUUAUGCUGCGUGACACGUCGUUUUUGAAGAUCAGGCGGCAUCAACAAGCAAGGAGCUGGCUUAAAAAGCUCCGGCCUAAGGGCUUUGAGUAAAUGGUACAACCCCGACGAGAACGCGGCGAGCGGCAUGGUACUGAGAUUGUCCACACGCGAAACAAUGAGCUUUAUUACCUCUGUGGGGAGCGAAUUCCAACCACUCUUUCGGUGGGCGCUGCUCGGUUCUGCCAUUGUUAGUGCUUGGGUUUCGGACGAGGGGGGAGGCGCCGUAGCGGGGAUGGAAGCUUGGACGAGAUUAUGUGCGGACAAAGAUGGAGAAGCGAAUAUGUGCUGCGGGAAGUGGACAGGUGAUGAUGACUACAACGUACCGCUUGACUUACGAGACACAUACCAGCUGCAUAGGGUCAUAUCGAUGCCAGACAACCUGCUUGAGUGAUCAUAGUACUGGUACUCCCUACAGUACCUACUACAGUACUAUGCCCUAGCUUGCUGGAGUAGAGUAGUAGAGUAGGACUUUGCUCUACUACUAGCACUGGAGGAGUAGUAUAUUCUAAUCUAAUAUAGUUACAAACAUCAAUGCCCGAUCGUGGAACGACUACGAACCAUGCUCAAAGACCGUGUCUACGUGGUGUUUGGACUUAUAUGCAAAAAAUAGCAAGAUGCCCGUGCAUUGCACGGCACACCAUCAUCACCAACUCAGUUUUUUCUCUACUCCUACUCCUAUAAAAGACUCAGUUGGUGAUGAUGGAGGCCAGGAGGCGUGUUCAGCCGGGCGUGCAGCGGACGGUGCAACACUAUUCGAUUUGUUAUAAAAAAGUAGUAGAGAUAGAGACAUAGGGAGGAGCACGAGGUAAGGCCUUAUCUGUAAAUGUGGAGAGAGGUGCGGGUAUCUUUUGUAAAAUUGUCAUAGUUGGCUUUCUAUCCGUCAGAUAUAGAUCGAACGGUCUAUAUUACAAGAUGGCAGGCAUACCAUCAUCACCAACUCGGUUUUCUAUAAGAGUAGAUAUAUAUAGAUGAGUAAAAUGCAUUCGAGGUCAUCGAACUUGUGUCGAAAGCUCACUUUGGUCACUGUACUUAAAAAUACGGUCAAUACGGUCACUAUAUACGAUUACAGGUGAUUAUACGGUCACUGUCUUACCGUAUAGCUUCAUAUUUUACUUUGUUGACUGGUCAAACAUGAACAUGACAGCACCCUCUCUCUACCUAUGUGGAUCCAACCAGUUAGUGAAACAAAAAAGAAUAUGCAGCGUCAAAGGAGGUCGAGCCUGCGAUCUUCCCGUUGAUGCCCAUGUACACCAACUACUGCGCCCACACAACUUCAUGACAAACACGUGUAGAGCCACGCAUGUUUAAUUAGCACAGAACGCACUUUACACUCAUGCAUGCAACAAUUUUCCAGCCGUCGUCAGACUACUUAGUGACAGUCGAUAGCGGUCGAGGCGCGACAUCGUAUUGUCGCAGUUCUACGUCGGCGUCGCCAUCCUUCUGGCGGUGCAUGUCAUUGGCGUCAUCGCCAUCGUGGUAUCCUUUACGCGUCGCCAGUGGCAAGGAGGAUGCUGGGAAAAGCCUAAACGUGUGAACCGUCGUCGAGCUCAUCAUGGUGUCCACGAUGUCAAGCUAAGGCAUGUGCGGCUGUGCGUGCAUGCUGAUGAGCAGCUGGAACACGGCCAUGUUCAAGCGAGGACACCGGGCUCAACUGCCUGUGCCCUAGACGCUAGUCGCCUCAUUCCUCACUGUUGGCUGCAUGAAUAUGCAUGCGCGUGGAGCUGAAGAAGAUGGUUAAGGAGGGAAGGUAGCUGAGAGGAUACUAUACUAGCUAGUAUACCUGCUCUUGUCGGUGUACAAGUGGCGAUGGUGCUUGUGCUUGUCGGAGUUCAAGUGGCGAUGGUGCCUGGGCUUGCCGGAGUGCAAGUAGCGAUGGCCUGCGGCAUGGAGUGGAGCUGCGUGCCCUGAGGAAUGUGCGCCCAUGGCAGAAGACGGCAAACGUCCUAUAUAUGUAUAGUUACGUAAUAUAUGUACAUACAGAGGUAUAAAAACAGAAAUCCUCCUACGCACAACUCUUACAAAAUCUGACGUAAUGUGAGAGGGGGGAAAACUGCAUACAAUAGAACUGUUACAGAUCGGCUCAAACUACACUAGUACGUAAGAAUUUUUGUAGAACUUGCACGUAAGAAUAGGAUUGCCAUAUAAAAAUAGCCCCGUGGCAGAGUACAAGAAUUGUUGGAUGGAGACAAAAAGGGUCAGGAACACAGACGUAGCAUGCAGAAGAAGCAGGAAGCCCCGUCCCGCCCACGAACGAUAGCAUGCAUGCCUGCACACACGCAGCGGAGCCAUCAAGCAUAAUAAUGUCGCUCUAAUUGUCCAAAGCUCGAUCCUGUGGUCAGUUGGAUAGCAGGUUGGGCGGUGCGUGUGCGUGGUCAAUGUUACUACCCCUCCGGGUCACGUGGGCGGCGACAUCGGCCUCAUCGGACAGACUUGGACUCUGGGGAGCUAGGACUAUCCCGCUAAUGUGGACUUUGAAAACCCAUGGCAUCCGUUCCAUCCUUUACCCGCCGACUCGGUGCACGGGGACUCCAAGGAGGUUCACCUGGACAUACACAUUAUCAAGUGCACUUAGAAAACAUGUAGUGUGUGUGUGGGCGCUUAUGGCCCGUGUCUUUGCCGCUUUUGAUUCUGUAAGCUUGUCGUUAAACUUGAGUGGCUUUUGCCGCAGUCCUUCCUUUGAACUGCUCCUCUCAGUGAGCUGAUGUAAGACACUUUGGGUUUCAUAUCACAAAAUGGAACUGGGGAGGAGCCUCCUUGUUCUUCUAAAAAAAUGCAUUAUCAAGUUAAAUGUUGAUCAUUAGUCUUCGCUCAAUGUAAUCCGCUGUCUAAGCAGGAGACUUCCAUGCAUGAUCUUGCUCUAUUGGAGUAUCGCGCAUGAAUAAAAGUGUAUCUGUUUAUGGUUUAGUCUAGAAUCUUCCAUGUAUGAAUUUUUACUACAGUACUGGUGAAAGACUUACGAUGAACCAUUUCUUACAUCUCCUCUGCCCCCUUGCAAGUCAUCCUGAUUUAAUCCCUCCGUCUAGGUGUAUAAGGGCAUGGUUAAUAUUACUUAAUAGUAUAGCCAACUGUUGACUAUAAGAAAGUGCCAUGUCAUCUGUAGCCAACAUGUAUAACAAUUGAUACUCAAAAACUAAUUCUUAAAGAUCAUAUCUUGCAAAGCGCAAUAAGUGUUAUUUCUUCACAAGUUUUGGAUGCAGGUUGAACAGUUGAACGCUUUUGUUUGCAAAAGAUACCUUUUUAUCUAUUUCACCCGGAUGUUUGUGAGCUCUAGAGAUGAGAUAAUAUCCGAAGAAACCUAUCGAUACCCGUUACACAUGAGAUGACCCCCACAUCCUUUGUAAAAUUAAACAACUCCCCGAUCAAUGCAUUUCACUCUUCGGUGCAACGCACGGGCACCUUACUACUAUAGAUUAGUACGACCAAAAAUUGAACUAACAUUAUAUAUAGUACGAUAAAUACUGAUGCAUGUCACCUAAAAUUAUAUCAUUCAAAACUAUGUUCAAAUACGAAUCCAACGAUAUAGUUUUUGUUGACAUGCACUAACAUUUUGUCAGUUAAAUCUUCAGUAAAAUUCAAUGGGGGACUAAUAAACCACGACCGAUGUAGUACAAGUGUAGAGGGCGGCGCUGCACGGGAGUCUCACCUCUCACCCCGCUCGUGGCGCGGCAGUAAAGAUGUCAUAUCAGAAAACCCAACCACUCCCAGUAAUAAAUGGCCUGGUAAAAUAAACGGACAAGCAACCAUCACAUCCCUCUGUCUUUUUUGCAUUUCAUCUCUUUGCAUUUACUUUCUCCAGUUCAUCUCCCACACUCGAUCCCUAACUACUACUCCUAGGGCCAGUUCUUUUGUCGGCUUCCCCAGCUUUCCCCACAAGACUAGUCACAGUGGAGAGUAACAAUAAGGCGCCUCACUCAUUUAUUUGGGCUUCUAAACUAGUACUCCGUCCUAGUUUAUUCCUCACCAUUGUAAUUUGUGCUAAAUUUUGACCAAAGAUUUAACUGAUAAAAUGUUACUCAAAACACUUAGGCGCAGUGCAUCUAGGUGUGUAAGUCAUCUUACGAAAACCAAAUAAUCCCAAAACACUUAGGCGCGGUGCAUUAAAUUCUACCUCGUUUCUUGUUUCUUGACAUAUCAACCAAUAAGAGAUAAAGAGUGUGCAUGCUUUUAAUGACUUGAGAUAUCAAACACGACAUGCAGUGGUUAGUUCAUUGCAUGCAAUACUAUUAAUUAGCAAAUAAACAUUAACAUUUCUCGUUUUCUCCUCCUCCUUGGUCACAGUGCACAGCCUAAGAUGACUUACUCACCUAGACAGAUGGAGUAGUGCAUGUGACAUGCACUAACAUUUCAUUAGUUAAAUUUAUGAUCAAAAUUUGACAUAGAUUACAAUGGGGACCAAUAAACCAGGACAGAGGUAGUAGUUAUGGGAUUACUAAUCUAGAAGCCUAAAAGAACUGGCCCCUGGUACUCCUACUAGUAGUAGUACUCAAGUUGGAAUUCCAAUUGCACGACACAAUUUGUUAGGCAAAAAAUUCGAUACAGGGUGUAGGAAGCGGUUUGGGAAUUUGCAUGCCUUUCCAACCAGUGAGAUGCUCCGUACAAAGUACGACAGAGAAAUAACCACAGAGAAGGAAGCUAAAAGUAAACAAUCAAACAAGCAUUUUUGCAUUUGUUUUGCAUUGAAUCGUUUCACAAGCUUGACUAGUGCUGUUUUUCUACUUUUACAAAAACCGCAUCGUAAUGUUAAAACGUGCAUUUGCACAUACAUAAGUAAUAGUAGUACUCCCUCCGUCUAGGUGUACAAGUCUUCCCUCCUUCUUGGUCACCGUGCACAACCAAAGAUGACUUAUUGACCUGGAUGGAGGGAGUAGCACAGUAUGCAAGCAUAUAUCGAGAGAGACGUGUAGUCCGAUAGUAUAUAGUAAAGUUUGUGCUAUAUGCACGUACUUGCAAAAUGCGUAAUAAUACACAACGUUUCCAAACUUUCCCUUUUACAUACUUAAUUAAGGACGCUAAAAAUUCCUGAACAUUCGGGAUUUAUCGUUUGCGUCCCAAAACUAAUGAGAUCACCUUACCAAACACAAAUUAUACUCCUCCUAAAAGCCACGACGCUCGCAGGAGCACUUGCAGCGCGCCACGAGUGCCCUUGUGCGCGGCCGUUUCCCAGCGCGCCGACACAACGCCUCUUCCUCAGCCUCGCAACUCGUGAGGUGCUCAUUAGCGGCUUGCCGGCGAGCGAGCGCGAUCUCACCGGUGUGGUGAUCCGGCGCCAACAGGUACUCCUCCUGGCUGGAAACGUGCACCCGAUCCACGUACCGCCAAGCGUAGAUGAGGCGCUUGGGACCGACUGCACUCAGGGCGUCGGCACGGGCGUCCUCUGCCACCCUCACGGCCCUCGCACGAGCCUUCUGCCAAAGAACCAGUUGCUUGACUCUCUCGGACGCGACAUAGAUCUCCCAGAAAGCUUGUUGCGCGAUGCGCUUCUCUUCCUCGGCCUUCUUCUCCGCCUCUGUUUUGGCGCGCUCUGCUGGAGGCAAAGCCUCCCACAAGGCGACAUCCAUUUGUUUCCAAAGCUCCUCAAGGCUAGGGGGCUCGACGGGCGACGCAGCAUUCUCCUCGUAGCGGGGAGCCGACGCGUCCUCGGACGCGUGCUGGCGAGAUUGGGAACACCGACGCGUCCACCUCAACGCAUCGCGGCGAGGAGCGGAACACCGACGCGUCCUCCUCGACUAGUGGCGGCGAGGAACGGAACGACGACGCGUCGCAUCGCGGCAAGGAGCGGAACACCGACGCGUCCUCCUCAACUAGUGGCGGCGUGGAACGGAACAGCGACGCGUCACGUAGCGGCGAGGAGCGGAACGCCGACGCGUCCUCCUCGACUAGUGGCAGCGAGGAACAGAACGGCGACGCGUGACCAUCCGUGCGGUGCAGCGAGGGGCUCCUAGGGCUUGGGAGGGGCGAUGCCAUGGUGGUCGACAUGAGAGGGAGGGGGAGGAGAUAGCAAUGAACGUGAACGUGAGGGGGAGGAGAUAGCGAUGUCAUGGGAGGCGCAGUAUUUAUAGCGAGCAAUGGCACACCUACGUAAGAUAUGGACUGAGAUGCACUGACUUAACUGCAGGUCCAGUUGCGUCACUGACAUGUGGGCCAAUACACUGAUGGGCCCUUAUGUCAGUGACUCAAUGCACCUGAAGUUAAGUAAAAGCUACGUGGGCAUAUUUGUUGGAGUAAAUUACGGGGGAGCGAAGGGGUGGAAAUAUUGUUGGUCACAACGGAUUGGACGAGCGUGGGGGGAGGAGAGUCAUGCAUGCAGAUUUUUUCACACGGGGUGGAGUGGUGGGACCGUCGGAGGGAGAAGGAGAGUUUGACUGGCAUAUUGUUUCCACACAUGGAGAGGAAAAUAUUUGGAGACGAACGGGCUUCCUGCAGGUAUGGGGAACGGUGCAUAAUAAGUCAUCUUGCAUGCCGGGCUAGGUAUAGUCUCAAGUCAUUAAAAACAUACACGCCCCACACAUGUUCAUAUUUCAAGGUGCACUAAAUUAUUGCAUGCGAUGAUUAAGGUUGGCCAUCAUGGUGGUAUCUUAGCUGGUAUCAUGCACACGGGAAUAGCAAACAUGCUGAUGUGGCAAAUAAUUAAAGAAGAGAGGGGGGUUAGAGUAACUAGUGUUCAUGCUUGCAUUGGUAAACACAUUUUUUUGUGAAGAAUGACAACAUUAAUUGAGUACUUUUGCAGACUUCAAAAACUAUUCCAUCGCCUCUACUAUCUUGCUAAGAGUAGGUGAAAAUUUUGAGUCGAGCCCUUUAAACUAGAGGGGAGGUAGUGGUACUCUAAUAGCUAGGUGUGUAAGUCAUCUUACAAAAACCAAAUAAUCCCAAAACACGUAGGCACGGUGCAUUAACUUCUACCUCGUUUCUUGUUUCUUGACAUAUCAACCAAUAAGACUAGCCACAAUGGAGAGUAACAUACACUAGUAACAUACACAUAUCCCUAGACUAUGUUACUACCUCAAUAGUGGUUAGUAACAUAAGUGUGGUAACAUGCAAAGCUUCAUUUAUUAGGUUAUAGACUCAUAUUGCAUUGGGACAUGUGAUGUUACAGCAACUAGCUAAGUUACUAAUACUACAUCUCUCCUCAUUAACUCAUUGCCACAUAAGCAAAUUUGCUGAGUUGGACUCGAUGUUACUACCGAAGUUAGGGUGUGCAUGCUUUUAAUGACCUGAGACUAUCAAACAUGACAUGCAGUGGUUAGUUCAUUGCAUGCAAUACUAUUUAAUUAGCAAAUAAACAUUAAUGUCUCUCGUUUUCCCCUCCUCCUUGGUCACGGUGCACAGCCUAAGAUGACUUACUCACCUAGACGGAGGGAGUAUCAACAUUCACAAUGUCAAAUCAAUAUUUUUACACUCAUUAUAAAAUGUAGUUCUUAUACUCAUUAUAAUUAGUAUUGUAGAUAUUGAUAUUUUUAGUAUAAAUUUGGUCGUGGGAUUUCAUUGAUGCCUGUUAAAGCAUGGAGGAAGCGGAGCUUAGGGCUUGCAUUGCCGGUCUCUACAUAGGCAUUUCUCUUCAUAAUCCUAUAAUUUUAGAGACUGGUUGCGCUUUUGUGGUAGCGUCUCUUGCAUUGGGGGACUAUGACAUGUCUGCUAUGCGUGACCUGAAGAUGAAAGCGUUGAGCAUCUCGAAGUUGAUCAACAAUCUUCAAUUGUCAAAGAUUAGCCGCUCGGCCAAUAAGGUGGCACACUUAAUCGCUAAGUAUAGCUUUGACAAUAGAUUAGAUGGUAUUCUUGUAAAUAAUGUACCGCCCUGUGUGGUGAAUAUUGUAUCGAAUGAGUGUACUGGUGUGGCUAGUUAAUUAAUAUAAGGUGGUGUCCAAAAAAAAGUAUAUAUUUGGUCAACCACUUUGCAAACGGUUGACGGGAGUAAAAAGGACCAGAGGGAGUAUCAUGCAUGCGGAGUAGGCAAAAAAAGUUUGCUCAUUUAUAGCCGGUCGAAGUCUCAAAGGGCGCGACCGCGCGUGGGAGGCGAAGGUCGUGGGAGGCGCGGCGGUUGACAGAAUUAAGUGAAGUUACAUCCACGCGCCGGCAUGGCGUGCGAACAGGCAGAAGCUAUACCGUCAGGCCUACGAUAUGGGUCUAGUAGACAUGACAUGUAGUGGGUCCUGCAUAGUUCUCGAGAACUCUUUGGGGGCUUGGAGCCGUUUAUCCACCGGGCAAGCCAGCAACCCCACGCCGUUCGCACGCCCUACUCGUCCCCGUCUUUUACCUCACAAUAGUUCGCUCCCAGUCGUCCCAUCCUUUCACAUUAGUUCGCUCCCAUUUUUUGCGGGGUACAACAGUUCAACUUCUCCUAACCCUCCUCCAAAAUCCAUGGCCUCCCAAAUCUCCAUGGUCGCUGCUGAGUACCAGGUUAGAGCCAUCACCGGCGAUCAGUUCAUCGUCAUCUACACACGUGGAUCUGCGACGGUGAAAGCAUGGCUUGCUCGCUUCCUACGCAUGUUCAAGAGUUCAACGGAUGAGUGGGUCGCUGGGCUAGAUGUUGAGUACACCACAGUCCUGGGAAGAGAGAAGGAUCUAAAGGAAGAAGAGAGGAAGAAGCCCGCCAUGAUCCAGGUUUGCGUACAUAAUGUUUGCUUGGUCUACCACAUAUGCCAUGCCGACGUUGAGUGCCAGGAUUUUAAGAACUUCCUCAAGGAAAAAAGAGUGAAAUUCAUUACUGUAGGCUUUAAGAAUGACAGGGAUGUCCUGCGUCGGAUAGGUCUCGUUGUAGGCCAGCCCUUCGAUCACCAAAAGGCAAGCCUGGUGUCCUCCUCUCAACCUUCAAUGCUGACCCUGGCAGCAGCCAUGAUCGAUCCUUCAUACGCUAAACUGAAGAAACCUCAUCACGAGUUUCAUCAUGCAUGGGAGUCGAAGACAUUAGAUGAAGAUCACAUCUUGUAUGCAACAAUGGAUGCCUACCUUUGUUUAAAUAUCUACAUGGGUUGGAUGAAUAAGCAGAGCCCAAUGUCCGGUUCAAGCAAAGAAGCGUCGGUGAAGAGGAAGAGGACGAGGGACGAGGACGAAGUCGAGGACGUGGACUCAGACUCCGAGUAGGUGGUAGUGCCGUCGCUCAUGCUGGUUCUACUGCAGUGUCAAGAAGACUAGUUGCUUAGUUUAUUUUCAAGGGUGUGUUGUGCUGAGGCCCCAGCAGAACUAUGUUUAUGUUCUUUCUCGUUAUUUGAACUCUUUAGUACGUAGAGUAGUACUAGUACUAUGUCUUACUACUGUUCUUCUUGCAGUUGGUACUACUGCUCGUACCUUCGUGUUCCUACUGUACUUAAUACGUUCAUACCAGUAGUAUAAUUUGGGUCAGUCGAUUUGUGAAAUAAGUUCGACGGAGCGAAGGAAGAAGACGACAGAAGAGGUGGAAGAAGCCCUUCUAGCCAUCCAUGUUGCAUAAAACGGCUCACAUGAGUUGACUGACCCAAAUUGCUCCUUAAGAUUGCAGGAUCCACGUGGCAUUCAAGGUCUCGAAGGUAGAUUCCGCAUCCGCACCCGGUUUGCGGGCUCGACGCGCGCGCGACCGGCUUCUGCCGCGACAGCCACCAUGCGCGCCUCCUCCGUGCGAGCGGAGACGACAAUGACACGCUAGUUCCUCCUCGCCGGCAUGCUGAAGCAUGCGCUCGUCCUCCUCUUCGUACGCUGCGUGCAUAGACGCGGCUCCACCAGCUGCUCGCAUGCUUGGCAGCGCGGCGACAUGGCGACGAGGGACUGCAGACGACGUGAGCGGGCGAGCCUUCGGCUUCAUGGUACAAGGCUGGUGGCGACACGACGGUGAUGGGCGAGAAGUUGUUGUCCGGAGCGGGCGGGCGCCGGCAUGCGCAACGCCGGCGGCGGCAUAUUGAUGAGUGCACAUAUGGGAGCUUACUUUAGUUUUAUAUGAGGUUGAUCAAACUUAAAAGAAAACCAUACUAGUACACGUAAACAUUAGACUUAGGCAGCGCUUCUAUUAAUUUUUUUGAAGUUAGUACCACAACCACGAUACGGAAUCCUGUACAAGCGCGUGAACCGCGGCCGUGCGGUCGAUCGAACAAUGCGUCGCCGUGUCGCGCUCGAAGGACAUCCACCGAACCUUUUUGUGUGUGUGAAAACAAUCCUCGAAUAUUACUCAACUUUUUUUUCCUGGGAAAGUUCUUGACGCUGCAAUAUUUCCAUAUAUUUGAAUUUAGCUCCAGUUUGUGUUUAUUUGGAUUUGGACGUUUUAGGUGCGCCCUAGUUUUUUAAUACUUAUUUUAUGUGUGUGACUGUGAGAGAACGUGUGUAUGUGUCCAUAUGUGUGUUGUGGCGGAAGGGCAAUGUGGAGACAGUGUGCGUGUGAUACAUUCAUAGAGAGGUGUGAAUGUGCAAAUGAUCAUACAUGAGUGAGACAUAGACAGAUGCCGAUACGUUGUGUAUACAUGAGAGAACGGUCUUCUAGUUUACUUGUGUGUGUGUGUGUGUGAGAGAGAGAGAGAGGAGCAUCCGUAACACAACAACCAUCUCUCUCGAUUCGUCCGUCCCUCGCACGAUCGCAUGCAACAUAUGCAUCAACACACACAUUUUGACACCCUCACUCGGCCCCUGCCCACGUCAGGGCCCGCACAAUCUCUUCGUGAAUACCCAUUUCUCUCCUUAGGUUUGUUUUUGCUCAAUAUCUGACACACACACACACACACACACACACACACACACAGCAGAACACACACACACACACUCCCACGAGCACACAAUUCAUCCCCAUCCGAGGUUAUACGGCGACCGCUCUCGCUUGUGCUUCUUUGCACCCCAACAUGCACCACACCUAAAUCUUCAAGUAGGGCAUCGAGCAGAUCGAAGACGGCGACCACACCACGCUAGAGAAUGCAGUGUCAUUUGGAAGCAGGGUGAUGUGACGACGGCUGACUGACUCCUCCCCCACCCUCUCUCUCUCUUGCACAAAAUUACCAAUCCCUCUCUCCCCCGCACAAAAUUGUCAAUCCCUCAACCCAUGAGAUCCUUCCCCUCUUGUACAUGUUUUUCCAGCUCUCUCAUCAAACAUGUUGUCUCUUCUCCUUACACGUAUACAGAAUCACGUAUAUUACAUGUCUCCAUCUUUCUCACAGACCUAACUUCUUCCUCUCUCUCUCUCUCUUGUUAGGUUUGUCUCCUACUCUCUCGUCCACAUACAUACAAUCUUUCCCGCCCUAUCUGCUCCAUCUUCAAAAGCUCUCUCUGCAUGUUUCAUUCACACAAUGGGAUAUGUCAAAAUGUUGCUUCUAUAAUGGCUGAUGUAGAGUUUUGGUUGUUUUUGUUGCAUCCUACAAAGUAAUAACUAUGAAAUGCAUUUAGAUUCUCAUUUGACUGGGAUUAUGUGAGUUUGAGCAUGUUGUGAAGAACUAUAGACCUUGUAUACAUCUUGGGAUUCGACAAUGAUUGUAACUAUUGAAUUGUACAGACCAUUACAUUUGAAGUCAAUAGCCUAAUAUAUUUAUUUCACAAUUUCAACAAAUGAUUAGUUCACUACAUACUAAGAAAACAAAUGUGUACUCCCUCCGUUUUUAUUUUAGUCCGCGUAUUAGCAUUGGUCAAGUCAAGUUUUGUAAACUCUUAGAAAGCUUAUAACAAAAAUAUUAACAUAUACAAUAACAAAUAAAUACCAUUAGAUUCAUUAUUGAAUGUACUUCCACAUCAUACAUAUUUGUUAUGGUAAAUGUUUAUAUUUUUAUAUAAACUUGGUCAAACUUUUGGAAGUUUGACUUCGGUCAAACCUAAUAUGUAGAGUUUACUACUACUACUCGCUAGUUGCUUAGCCGAAUCACUCAACACACCACACGGGGAGUCCAGUGUCACAAAAUUUUGAGGUCGGCGGGAAAAUCUGCCGCGACCCUGAUUCGAGCAGUGGGAAGUUACCAUCAUAGCCUUAGGAACAGGCCUACGGACGACGCUUGGUAGGGGGCUGUUUUCGUAACUUCAGGUUCACCCUACCCAGCCAGCCCCACCCCGGCACCCAGAGUAGUACACCUGAAUACUCCCCAUUUUCUAUCCCCACUACAAAAUAGACUUCUCCAUGGCACCGCAGCCUUUGUGCUCCUCCCCUUUACAUCGACGCACUCGUCCACCGCAACGCAUCUGCCUCAUCAACGACCUCGUAUGCCGCACUGGAGCCGGUCCACCGUCAUCGUCGUAGGCGGAGCCUCUUCCCCGGCAUUGUCUUCCACGGUCUCGGAUAUGCUUCCCGGAAGCCGAUGCCAAGCACAGAAGUACCACCGUCGUGGACAAUGAACUGACUCCCGUUGCCGACCAUGACUCACAGAGGCCGCCGCGACCAUCGUUCUCCUCCUCGAUUGGUAAUGUGUGUAUUGAAUCACUUAGCAGUACAUGUGCGGUUCCAAUUUUGUUCAUACCUACCCUUCAAUUUUCCUGGGUGCUAUUGUUCCCGUAAAAGUAAUUGGUUAUAGCCUCCAUUGUCCAACAGAACAUCAGCUUGUAAUUGUGCGUCGCUCCUGUAUCACGCUGUGCUUGUGUAGGUUUUUCAUCUGCAACCAGCAGUGUGGCAAAUGAUGGAAAGGUUUUUAGAACUAGCAAGAUGCCCAUGCGUUGCACGCAUCAAGAUGCAUUUGUAUGAGUAGUUUAUUUUGUGGGAGAAAAGGAUGAAUGAGGGAAGGCCUUAUUUGCAAAUCUGGAGAGGUGUAUGGGUAUCUUUUUUUAUCUAUCUAUGCUGAGAACUAUCCUCUACUCUCUAGUAUCUACUUCUCAAUCUCAGCACUGUAAAUGCUUUUUUAAAGCGCCGCGCGUUGCGAUUCUAUUAGAGAUGCUCUAACAUGGCAGACGAGUGCUUUAAUGUUGCCCACAAGAUGAGCGAGUAUUACUAGUAGUAUUUUUCUUGCCAUGUUGAGAUUUUAAAACCACGAGUGUGAACAUGCAGAGGAGCAAUGAAGACCAAACACGGGAUAUUCGGGACAUCUUCAAGGAGCGUGGCAAGUUAAAGAGGAGCUGCACCGAACCUAUAAAACGAGCUUUGGUAAGUAACACCCUUUCAAUUACUUUCGUUUAGCCUUGUGUUCUUCGAUGUGUAUAUGUUGUAGUUUCUAUUUCUCUUAAGCGUGGUGUUCUUUGAUGUGUAAUAAGAAGAGUCUUAAUCAUCCUAAUGAUUUCGUUUUUAACUUGAUGUAGGAAGUGGGUGUUCUCACCUUGUAGUCUGUUUUUAUAUUUCUUUUCCUUUUGAAUUCACUUCUCCGAGUUCUGUUUAUCUGGCUUCUACUAAAUGGAUCUAGGUUUCUCUGAGUAUUGAUCUAAAAAAGAAGUAACUUCAUGUCAGGAUGCAGUUCCUGCGAGGAGGGAAGUAUGGUCAACCUCGAGAUCAUGUUUCCAAAAUGAAGCUGGAUUACACACAAGGUGCCAGUUCCCAAAUGAUGCUGGAUUAGACACAAGGAGCAAAUUCCCAGAUGGUGCUGGAUUGCACACAAGCGAGGUGGAGUCGUCAGCUGUUCGUGUCCUCGUCGCAUUAGUAAAGGUUGAAAGAAAGCGUGCAACAGCCCUUGAGAAUGUAGCUGAGUUCCUGAAGAAGCGAAAAGAGCAAUCAGAUGCUCUCUUCACCCAAGCCAAAGAAGAGAUGGAAGAAACCAGAAAUAAGCUAGCAGAGGCAGAGCAGGCUAGGCGUCUCCUGCUAUCUAAAACAGUUUUCAAUACAAAUUUUCCUUCAUAAUAGCUAGGUUCAAAUGUUUAUCCAGUCAGCAUGCCUGUUGUGAUGUCUGUGCAUCUACUGAUGUGGCACAAAAUGUUUUUUUUGGGUCAUGUAAUAACAACAAUUACUUUCCAAACAAUAACAGACAAAGCAUUGUACAUGGUAUAGUUCACGUGCAAGCCCGACAUUCCAAGUUCAACUUCCACAUCAAACUCAUGUUCACAGAUAUCUGCACAUUCAUACAUAAUGUCCAGAACCAUGAUUCACUUCAAAGCCAAAAAAAUGUGAGGAGAGUUAUAAAUAAAGAAAAACCUCUACUAGUUCCUGCUACCAGUGCGAGCACAACAAGUCAAGACCAUGCGUAAAUUAAUUAUAUUUUAGUCAUUCUUUGUGUUCUAAAAUGCCUGCCAGCUCGCGGAAGGACGUGUUGCCGGCACACGCACGGAUUCAAUGAAGGCAGGCGGGGCAGUCUUAAGCUGGUUGCAUGCGGCGAGGAGGCGUGCUCAGCCGGGCCUGCAGUGAGUGCGGCCCUCUUGGCCGGCGUGCCGGUUCAAUGCCUGCACUAUGAGAGGCCGUGUCCGUGUCAUAGCAAUCACUCCCUCCAGUCCUUUUUUGUUUGGGUAUAGUAAAAUCUUGUUUUCCAUUCACAUUUUACAAGUAAAAUUCGUGGACAAACUUUGACCCAAAGUACGAUGGGGACUAGUAAACCAGAAUGGAGGUAGUAGUCUUUUUUAAUCAAAGAAGGGUUUCCCCUUCCGAUUACUGAAAACCACCAUCUAAAUCUAAACCAUAGUAUUGGCCCUAGAACUACCAUGUUCAACAUCUCGUAACAUAAACCCAUACGACCAUAUGCCAAGGAGGUACGUAGUACUGUGAAUUCCAUUUUCACUCCAUACCAAUCAUUCUAAAAACUACUUACUACUUAUAACGUGCCAUUGAAAAUCAGAACUCUUAACCCCGCUAAAAAACGAUAUUUUAAACGUGGCUACUCGAUCUGUGGCAACUAGCGAGCCACCAUGCUCCAAGUCGUUCACCUCUGGCCCCAACCAUCAACUCCUACAAAGGUGCUCCACCACAUACCCGGUACCCGCGAAUGCAGCAAUCGUGCACCUAGGGUUUUAGGGUUUAUUUGUUAACGUCGCCUUUACGUAACACUCAUGUGUGCGAGACAACGAGAGGCCGACUACGUGCGUGUGCCUCUUCUCUUCGUAUAUGUACUCCACCGUUUGUCUGGUGUCCAAAAAAUUAUAAUAACCACUGGCAAUGUGCCAAUGCGUUGCCACACGAUCAAAGUAGAUUAAUACAUAUUCACCGAUUUGAUAGGAAAAAAAGUCUAGUUUUGAAAUACGUAUACCACUAAAAAUAUGUUAUGUUUCACUCAAAAUAUAUUCUUUUGGCGGUUUUGAUGAGAUAAGGGAGGAAUGUUGUUGGUUUCAAGAUUCGAGAAGUGGUAUAUGUCUAAUUUCUACUCUUACUAGCAAGAUGCCCGUGCAUUGCAUGGAACAUCAAGAUCUUGUGGGAGAAAAGGAUGAACGAGGGAAGGCCUUAUCUGCAAAUGUGGUGAAGAGUGUGGGUAAAUUGCCAUAUUUUCCUUCCUACCCGUUAGAUAUAAAUCGGACGACCUACAUUGCAGGAUGGCAGGCCCACCAUCAUCACCAACUCUAUUUUUUAUCCCUACUCUUAUAAAAAGCAUUGUCGGUGAUGAUCGUGUGGCCGUCCGAUCUAUAUCUGACGGAUAGGAAGGAAACUAUGGCAAUUUUCCAAAAAGAUACCCACACCCCUCUCCACAUUUGCAAAUAAGGUCUUCCCUCGUUCAUCCUUUUCCCCCACAAGAUAAACUACUCAUACAAAUGCAUCUUGAUGUUCCGUGCAACGCAUGGGCAUCUUGCUAGUUGUUGCAAAAAGCCCAUGUGUGUGUGAGAGAGAGGGGGAGUGGAGGAGGACGGAGUGCAUGUGUGACAAAGACACAAGUAGUGUGUGUGCGAUAGGUAUCAGCUUAAAAUGAGGCGAUAGUGUGUGUGUGUGCACGAUCGAGUGGGCGUGUCUCAAGAAGGGAAGAAAAAGCUACAUGGAUACAAGGAGCGGGAGAGAGACAUGUAUGCGAUGGUGGAAGCAUGAGUGUGAGGGUGUAUAAACCUAUCUAGAGGCUAGCUAGUCGAUAAAUGUUUGUGAGAGAAAUACGAGUCGGGGUGCAAAAGCAAGAGUUUUGUGUGUGUGAGAGAGAGACAGUAGUCGGGAAGGGGAGUGGAAGCAGGAGUUGUGUGUGUGUGUGUCUGUGUGAGAGAGAGAGGAGACGGUAGUCGGGGUUGUCUGAUCGGUGUCAGUCUGGGAUGGAGACGAAAAGGAGACCGCAACAAAUGUUGUGUCUACAGGAGAGAGAGAGAGAGAGAGUAAUUUUUGUGGUAUGAGUCAUAUGUAGAGACAUAUAGGGUAUGUGAGAGAAUCCCAUAGAGAGAAAGACAAAGUGAAAGACAAGUGGAGACUGUGUGUGUGGCUGUGAAAAAGAAAGCUUAGGUACCGAGUGAUACCAGAGAACAGUAGAGACGUGAGAGAUAAUGAAAACCGUGUAAUGUAUAAUGAUACGGAGAGUGUGACACUUCUCAAGGGAGACGUCGAGAGACCAUGUUUGCGAGGAUAGGAGAAACAUGAAGUGAGCGUGCGGGUGAGCUGGAGAAAAGAGAGUGAUAGCUACCUGAAGGAGAAUGCAUGCGAGAGAGAUGGGCGUGAAAGGAGUGAACAAAAAAGGGAUUCAAAUAUUUGAAUUCGAGAUGAUGAUACAUAUAAUCCAUACUCGAACCAAAAUUGAUCUAUCAAACAUGCAUACUCAUAUGAAUUCACGCACAUAUAUGUUAUUUAAUAUGUAGAUAUUACUGAUCCAUACAUUUUAGUAGACCAUAAUUUGGUUAACUUUUUUCGAAUUCAACCUUAAGAUUUCGAGAUCGUUGUAUUUGUAAAUCAUAUUAUACAUAUAAAGGAGCAGAAUUCUUUGUUGUGCUUUUGAAAGUAUAUAUAAAAAAUGAUGUAUAUAGAAUGUAAUUCCAAUUGAAAAUGGAUCCCGCCCAAAAAAAAUAGUAAAAUACAAACGAGAUUCGAAUUGAGUUGGCACGGUAAAUGUGCACUGUGCAAAAUUUGAACGAAGCAGGGAAAGUCACAGUAACCGCCCGAAACCAAAAUCUGCGAGAUGGAAAUCACUACUGCCUAUCCCUGCCACGCAAAGCCUAUCUACUGGAUAUCUAUAGGUAUCGAUAGGGGUAGGUUUGUAAUUUCACCCAAAUGUGACGUAACCGCCUCUCACCCGGAUUCAUACACGGUGGGCGCCAAAACACAGUGUGCCCUCGGCCGAAAUCGACUCCCUCCCCGAUUCAUAUUCAUACACGGUGGGCGCCAAAAACAAACUCUCGUCGGCAAAUAUUCGGUGCAUGCGAGAUUACCGUCCUAUCCUCAACCGACUAAUGUUGCUAUGAUGUAGUAGAAAUUUGAAACGGGGGCUAAGUUUGUAAAUUUCCUUGCAUUUGAGACAAGCGCGCCUUGAAUACAUGGUUCCCCCCUUCCUCUCUACCUCCCUUUUCCCCAUUCGUACUCCGUGGGCGCCAAAACACCCUCUCCACCCCACCCUCCUCCGUCUGCCGCCGUCCGCCACCCCAUCCACCGCCGUCCUCCUCCACCAUGCCGGAGCUGAUACCCCGUCGCCGCCGUCCAUUACAAGAGAUCGACCUCUCUCAUCCACGCCUUUGGACCAGGAUCCUUGCAUCCCGUCCUCUCGCUUCAUCCCCGCCGUCGUCCACCUUGCCGGCGCCGCUCCUACGACCGUCUCGUCCACCACGCCCCGCCGCCACCGUCUGCCCUCCUAGAUCUGCUUCCACGCCGCCGACAGCCAUCGCUACCGCAACACCGUCAAAUUCUCAGCAGAUGCGUGCACGGCGCCGCACCAGAGGCGGUACUCUUUCGUAUCUGCUCAACUUAUUUAUCACAGCAAGAAAAUAGAUCGCCACUACUUUACUCUGAUUUCUUGUCUUGGUUGCGAAGUUGCCUUUGUCCGGUUUGCACCUUCAGAUCCGCUAUGGCACGCUCAAUACUAUACUCCCAAUGCUUAUGGUUUUCCUCUUUUAUAUUCCACACUAGUUAAAUCACAGUAGACUAAAUUUCAAAAUUGGGUCAGUCGAUUUUUCAGAGCUCGCCGGAGUUCGCCGGCGCGAUCCAAGGGGCUCGGGUGGUUGUGGGGCCUCGCUGAAUGAAGAAAACUCGACGCGGGUGUGGGGCGGGGGUGGCGGAGGAACACAGGCGGUGGGGGACGGUGGUCCGGCCGGCGGCCCGUGCGGUGUUCUGUAUGGGAAGAAUCAGAGACGAGGAAGAAGAAGGGUUAGGAGACGUAGGAUCUUCAUCCAACCGCCUGAAAUGGUCGAGAGACAGCUAGGAGUUGCAUUCUUAAUGCGCUCUGGCUCAUCAUGUGUGGGCACUGCGCAACCAACAUUUUAUUAUCCAAAAUCUGCUUGCUCUUCUUUACCAUGUUUGAUAGUGCUGGCCUGUACGUGAUCGAUAGGCUUUCAAUUACUAGCGGCAAUACAACACCGUAUUUUCAAGCCAGUUCCACUUUCCCGAUUUAUAUAUCGUGGUUAUGGUGUACCCCUGUUAUGUACACUAUGAUCUGCCUAGUUGCUGUGUGCUCUUGUUAUCAUGGUUUGGCAAUAAACUCUCUAUACAGUAUAUUAUGAACCUAUCAUCUGCCAACUAUCCUUACUUCUGGAGCCUAUUUUUUUUGUGUACUUGUGCCAGAUUAUAUAAAUGCACGCACGAUAUUACAACCCACAUGAGCUCUCUCAUCAGAAUCCAGUGAUAGCACAUAAGUGUUUACAGGGGCGCCCCUAUAUUAAAAUAUCAUCUGCAUUACAAAGAUAAUCUCACAACUAUUUAUGUUUUCAUGGUUCUCAGAUAUUAUACGCAAUUACAAUGAAUAUCAGAAUCCGCGCAUCAGAAGAAUAUUGUGGAACACUGCAAUGACUUACAAAAUUGGCACCAAGGCAUUGAGUGCCAUUCUGGAAGCAAGGAAACUCGUACGCUCCCCACCUGUUGAUUCUUGUUCAAAAUAUCAUCCUAAUGACUAUUCUAACCUCGAGGAGUCAAAGGCAGAUGGCCUGUCCUGUUCACCCAUCAAGGUGCCUGUUCUAAUUUGGCAAGGUUUUAUUGAUUGCCUGUAUCUUGCAUAUGUUGUCUUGCAUUUCUUCUACUUUGUUGCACCACCAUCUGCUUAGUUCACUCAUCAUAUAACUCGAGAUGCCAUGCCCAUCCAUUAUCAAUACAUAUUCCAUCUGUCGUCAUACCAUGUUUUUCCACUCAAAUGCUGUUCUUGUGCAUCAGACAUCAAAAAGGAAGAGGGUGAUUGCCGAACCUGAAGGAGCACCAGCAAAGUCCUUGAAAAACAUGGUGGUGCCGGGGAAAUCAGACAGCGCCCCACUUAUAUUGGCUGUACAAUCAGUGACACAAAACAUAGGACCGACUCCAGCAGACUGUACCCAUACUUCACUGGCCACACCACUAGCCCCACCACAUAGGACCUGCACUCCAGCAAAAGGUAUACCGAUUUCAUUUGCCAUAGCACCAGCCGUACCACAGAAAAAUCCCACUCCAGCAAAAAGUACAGCAAGUCCACCGGCCGAAGACCUAUCCCAACUACAGAGACGACCAAUUCCUGUAGAUUGGAACCCUAUUCCAUUUGUUCCCAGUUUAAAAGACAAUGCUUUCAAUGUUGUUAGGGACCACGUGCAUAUAUUCCCAUCAUGGGAAGAUUAUAGUGAAGACAAACACCAUUUUCACAUCUUCCUGUCCAACUUACGUGUAAGUGCUAUUAUUCAUGGUUAUUAUUUUCCUGUUUUUUGCUGAUCGAACACAUCAAUGAUUUACAUUACAUUGUUCUAACUAGGUGAGGGUCAAUCUGGAUAGUCAUGACGAGCAAAGCUUGCUUGUGCUUUUCAAGGAAGCAUUGCAGCAGCAUCGGUGUUACCUGAGGAAAUCACACUUUGAUGGCAAGUCUAUAAACGAAUUUCCGGUGAAGUCUGCUGUGCUAAAUUUAGAAGAUGUUGAAUGGAAAAAUCUUGUUAUGCACUGGUCUCAUUCCCAGGAUGAGGUACUGUCUAUGAAAUCACAUGACAAUUUGAACUUCUACUUUUCCGCAUGUGCCUUACGGAUCUUUUUUGCAGGAAAUCAGCUCGAAGAAGAAUUCCGAUUUGAAAAGAAUGACAGGAUAUCACAAAUAUGCUGCCCGCUGCUUUGCUCUUGUUAGUACCUAUUGUCCUAUAUCACUGUACUUGCAUACACACCUAGUUCAUUAUGUGACAACAGUAUGCAUGAUAGCUUGCUUAUCAAUUGUUCGCUCCAAAUUAUCUGAUCUGUAUGAAUGGUUACAUUAGUGUAGAAUAUAUCCAAUGCCAAUGAAUUUAUUUAGCUCUGCAUUGUUCUUGUAAGUACAUGCUGUCCUUUAUCAGUGUACUUAUAUUGACAGGUAGUUGUUCAUGUACCAUCACUCUGCAGCUUAUUUUCCUUUGCCCUCCAUUUUCUACACAUUAGAUCUAUAUUUACUCUUGCCAUAAGGUUGGUACUGAAGAAGUUUAGCUGUGCAUUGCUCUUGGCUGUGCCUUUUGCCUGUAUCGCUGCACAUACAUUUAUAGCUACUUGGUUAUGUAGCAUCACUCUUCAUCUUAUCUUAAAUAUUCUCCAUUUUUUCGUAUAUUAUCACAUCUAUAUUUACUCUUAACAAAAUAUAGAAUAAAGGCAAUGCUUAUGAAGAAGAUUCUGUGCUAAACUUCUUGAAUUGCCCCCCCAUCAGGAUGGACAAGGGCUUUAUAGAGCCUGUCUUCACCAGUAAUGUAAGUUUGUCCUUCUCAAGCCUUCAAACAUUGUUGUGUAUAUUUGGUUAGGUAUGACUGCAACAGCUGUUUAUUUUUGGUGUUUGCAUCAAGUUGCAUGUUUAAAGUUUAUUAUGUAGUUCAUAAACAAAAGUUUGUCCUUCUCAAUUUAAGUUUUCAGUUGUACAACCAAGUUCCUUCUUCAUACCAUGUAAAUUAAACUAUUCAGAGCAAGUGAUCUUCUUUUGCACUGCAUGUAUGCUUCUGUUCUUCAUCCGUAAUCCAGUGGUGUGGUGAACCUACCCACUACAGCACAAUGUCAUAUUCUGCAAUGUCUUAACUAUGAACAAUGUCAUAUCAUUCUACUAUUAUUUAAACUGUCUCUUUAUUUGCCAAUCUGAAAUGGGAUAAAUUGACAGCACACUAACCAUUGAUACUUAUGAGUUCUUGAUCUGUAAUCCAGUGGUGUCGUGAAGCUGCCAACUCCUUCACAAUGUCAUUUCCUGCCAUGUCUUGACCUGAACAAUACCAUAUUGUGUUAAUGUAAUUUUAAACUGUGUCACUUUAUUCAUCAGUAAGAAAUGUGAUGAAUUGUCAGCACUGAUACUUUUAUGUGCGAAACCUGUCAUCUGUCUGCUUGUUUAUCUUUCAGAGUGAGGAAGAUAUAAGUGUUGAACAAGCGCAGUCUCAUCAUCUUGCUCAGCUGCUUGCGCUGCAGCUCCCCAGCAGGGCUAACCUUUCUUGAACUCUAUUGAAGUGCUGUCGGUUUUGUAUAUUAUUUUGUCGGCGUGUUUAUUUGCACUGGUGGCGAUCUUUGAUGCCCAAUGUAUGUAAUCUAUUGUCUGCUUGUGCUUUAUUAUUAUAGUGGCGAAAUUUGAUGCCCAGUGGAUGUAAUAUGCCGUAAUUUCUUUAUUGUAUAGUCUAGGUUUUUUCUUAUUCUCGAUGCUGCAGUUAUUUUACUGUAUAUAUGUCCUGUCUUUGCAGUAAACCGGCCAAACCAUAAAAUUACGGUACAUAAUCGGGACGUCAUGCAAUCACGAUGUAUGAUCCGCAUCAUGGGCCCCGUCAAACUGGCCCACUAGUAGAUUCGGGCCUUUAAUAGGCCGAGUAACCCCCGGCCCUCUUUUCGCAAGAACACUCAAUGGGCUUUUAGGAGGCUGAGAAGUAGGCUCGGCCUGCAACGUGCCGAAUAGCUCACGGGCCGGCGGCAGCCCAAAAUGGACCCCGACCCAAUCAAUUCACGGGCUUUUAACAGCCCAAAGUUGUCUCGGUCCUUAUUUGGCCCAAUCAGAUAUCGGCUGCGAGCAGGCCGGAUGCAAACCGGGCCGUAGUUAGGCCCAACUAUAUGACUGACUUUUAACGGGCCGAAAAUAAUAUAGGGCCCAAAUGUUAAAUGGGCCCUUAAUAGGCCGAAACUAAUAUCAGGCCGAAUUACUAAAUGGGCCUUUAGCAAGUGGGCCCAAAAGCAUAGCGUACAGUCAACGGGCCGAAUCUGAUAUGGGCCAUAAUUGAGCCCAAAGCCUCUUAAAGGGCCGGACCUGAUCUGGGCCAUGAUUUGGCCCAAAAAGUGGGAGGAUUUUAACGGGCCGGAUCUUAUAUGGGCCAUUAUUAGGCCCGGAACGUGGCAGGCCAUUAAUGGACUGGAUCAAUUAUGGGCCGGCAUUUGGCCCAAAACAUGACAGCCAGUUAAUGGGCCGGCCUACUAGGGUCCUCAAAAUCUUGUGGGCCUAUAGCUGGGCCGGCCCAUUAAUGUCGGCACAAUCUUGUGGGCCUUUAGCUGGGCCGACCCAUUAUGAUCCGCAAGAAUCUUGUGGCCCUUUACCUGGGCCGUCCCAUUAAUGUCGGCGCAAUCUCGUGGGCCUUUAGCUGGGCCGACCCAUUAUGAUCCGCAAGAAUCUUGUGGCCCUUUACCUGGGCCGGCCCAUUAUGGCAUACAAAAAUCUUGUGGGCCUUUACCUGGGCCGGCCUAUUAUGGCCCGUGAAAUCUUGUGGGCCUUUAGCUGGGCCAGCCCAUUAUAGUCCACAAAAUCUCGUGGGCCUUUAACUGGGGCGGCCCAUUAAGGGCCGCAAAAUCUUGUGGGCGUUUAUUUGGGCCGGCCCAUUUAAACUUGUUGGGCCGUGCCACGUGUCGACGUAUCAUAGGCGCCUUCUGUCCAAUGAGUGGAUGACAUCUGUCCCAAUGAUGAGCCGACACGUGUUUCCUCUAGCCAAUGAUGAUUUUACAAGUGGAAAAUCCCCAGUGGUCGGGGCUGUUAAUGGGUUAUCGGAUCCAAAACCCGACCCGAUAGCUUAAUAGUGUUCCGUUAUGGUGGAUGCCAUGUGUCGGUCACCCUUGACGAAAGCACUUCUGUGACGUGCGAUUUAUCGUCAUGGAAGUGGACACUUCCGUGAUGAUAAUUUUGGUAAUGUCAUGGAACACUUCUACGACAGCACAUGUAUGACUAUCUUGAUUCUGUCAUAAAUUUUUCAUGGACGUACAUGCAUGACAAAAAACGCGACCUACUGUGACAAACACGUAUCAUCAUGGAAGUGUAUUUUUUGUAGUGGUUCUGCGAGAUGAUCAUGGCGCUCCUACGACAGAGGGUGAGAUCUAUCCUUUCUGUGUGGGUUUAGUUAGAUUCAAUGAUAGUGUGGUUAGAGAUACGAUGAUUAGCAGAGGGGAACAACCAUUAGAUGAGCACUCCAACUUCUAUUUGCUACGCCACGACGAGGGUCCCAAUAUGCGUAGGCCUGUGAUUGAAAGAGAUGCAUGGGUCAUGCUGCUCGGAUUUCCUCUGAACUACCAAACAGAGCACUACAUCAUUAAGGCAGUGUCAUGUUUCGAUAGAUGUGUGUAUUGGCACCGUCCAGGACAUAGGAAAUCGCGUGUGCUUGUUCGAGUGCUUAUCAAUGAACUUGCUCUGGUGCCUUAUAGUUUGAUUGUUAAGAGAUUCACUGAUAUCAACGGGUUAGGCACUUCUUGGACUAUUCCUAUUUAUGUGUUAAAUGGCAGAAAUCCUAGUCAGGGUCUGGUGGGUGAUGAAGAUGUGCCACCACCUUUAGGUGCUUCUCCUCAUCCUGUGCACCUUCCUUUCCUCAGUGCGAUGCAGCAGGAACAGCACAAUGCUCAAGUUUGGCAACUCCAGAAUGCCGCCAAUGCUUGGGAGGCUGCUCCACCGCCUCAGCAAGGUUGGGGUGAGUGGCCAGUUCUUCCACCUGUCCCAUCGGUUUAUCAAGGCUUCAGUUAUAGGAGAUUCACUGGUUAUGAUGGAACUUCUAUGAUGGAUGGAAUUUAGACUAAGGACUCUGGUUUUGAUGAUGGGCCGCGUGUUUGGAAUGAGCAUGUUGCAAUGGUAGAAGAGGUGGCAGACAUAUUUAUCCAUGGAAGCCCUGCUAUAGAUCUUGCCUUUCAGCAGUUGAACACACACGAAGUUGUUUUGGAAUUUCCAGGUGAGGGGAACUGGCUGUCCUUCAUGAUUGGUUUUUACUGCACGACUUACACUCCCAGACUCAGUUGGAUUGCUGAAGAAAAUAGCAUGUCAAAUCUCUGGCUAAGGUUUGCUGAUGGUUUGCAGAGCACUCUGGUGGAUCUUGUGGGUACUGCAUGCUUCACAUCAUUCCCGUUUUCACCUUUUGCACCUGGGACCAGUGUUAGUCACUUUCCUAAGGAAGCUUGGUUAAUCUGCUGUGAUUUUGUUUCUGCUAAACUGAACAAACUCUUUCUCUAGGAUAGUGUAGAGCCCAUAUCUGUGGAAGAUAAUUCACAUUUGGAGAACUAUGCUCUUCCUAGCACACAACUUGAGAUGAUGGAGCUUGACACUUUGGCCAAUAAUAAGUGGAAGCGCAGAAUGGUCACACCUUUGGAUGUGUCAGAGGUCAGGCGCAGUGUGAGGGCAACUAGAUACCAAGGGUUUAAGCCACCAUCUAUGGCAGACAACAAACGCAGGCCAUCUUGUGUUAAGUCGAGGAAGACCCCUGAUAUCCUGGAAUUGCAGCAUGGAAAUAGCACUGAUGCAACAUAUGCUUCAACUCACGUCCCCCCUCCCACUGCGAUUGAGACUCUGCAAUACCUUGGAACAACUCAUUGUGCUAUUCCACAUGAGGAUAUCACCAGGGAGAAGUUGCUUGCUCCUCUCGAGGGCAAGAACUUGGACGAGGCCUAGUCCCUGUUUUAGCGUGCUUGUGUCUGCUGCUUUGUUGCAUUUAUUAGCAUAUUUCUGAACUAUUUCUGCACUUUUAUUUAGUUUGUUUCAAGACUUAAUGGCUUCUGUUAUGUGGAAUAUUUUGUGCUGGAAUAUCCGUGGAUUAAAUGCUAGUUCGAAAUGGGAUGCCCUUCGUAAUAAGAUUGAUGAAUCAAACUGCUCGAUCGUAUGCCCGCAAGAGACUAAGAAACCUGAUUUUGAUCAUUCUUUUAUUAUAAAAUACUGCCCAAGGAGAUUCGAUAAAUUUGAGUUUAUCCCGUCUGAUGGCACUUCAGGUGGCCUAGUUAUUAUUUGGUGUAGUAGCCAAUUUUUGGGUCAGAUCAUUCAUCAGUUCUCUUUUGCGAUCACUAUGAAAAUGACCUCGGUUCAAACUAAUGAAAGUUGGUUCCUUACAAAUAUUUACGGUCCAUGUGAUGGGCCUGAGAGGUUGACUUUCACUGAUUGGAUGGAUAAUCUACACUUUGAAACAGAUGACCUUUGGCUUUUUAUGGGUGACUUCAAUUUCAUGCGAUCUUUGGAGAAUAGAAACUUACCAAGAGGAAAUGCGGAUGAUGUGUUCAAAUUUAAUGAAAUUAUUAGUCAUCUCGGACUGCUUGAAAUUCCAAUCAAAGGGAGGGGAUAUACGUGGAGUAACAUGCAAGAAACACCGUUAUUGGAGCAAUUAGAUUGGUUUUUUUUCUUCAGAAUGGAUUUUAAAAUUCCCAAAUAUGGUUGCAAAACCUUUGGCUAGACCAAUCUCUGAUCAUGUACCUUGUAUUCUGUCAGUGGAAACGACGAUCCCUAGAUCUAAGCUGUUCAGGUUUGAAAUUUUUUGGCCCUCUCAUGGAUUUUUGGAAGUUGUGAGAUCUUCUUGGCUUGCUCCCAUUAAGGCUUCUUCCAGUGCCAGCAUAAUCUCUUCUAAAUUAAAGAGACUAAGAUAUGCUUUAAAAAAUGGAGUAAGUCCAUCUCUAAGAUAAAGAUUCUAAUAGAAAAUUGUAAUAGAAUUUUGCUACAGAUCGAUAACCUUGAGGAAAUUAGGCAGCUUUCCACUCUAGGAGCUAAUUUCAGAAUCAUUCUAAAAGCUCAUUUUCUAAGACUACUCAGAUAUCAAAGUGAGUAUUGGAAAAAAAGAUGCACAUUUCGGUGGCAGUCCAAGGAGGGGAGAAUACUAAAUAUUUCGAAGCCCGUGCAACUGAAAGGCUAUGAAGAAAUGCCAUCACAAAUUUGCUAAUGCCUGAUGGUCGUUUGGUUGAAAAUCUUGAGGAAAAGGCAGCAGCUUUUUAAGACUGUUUUAAAAGAAGAAUGGGGGUGUCUAACCAGAAUGAGUUUGACUUUGAACUAUCUGAUCUCAUUCAAAAAUGCCAGGGUCUGGAGGAGCUUUCGGUUCCAUUUAUGAAAGAAGAAAUUGAUAAUGUUAUCAAGAUUAUUCCGGCUGAUCGAGCACCGGGACCCGACGGUUUCAAUGGUGUUUUCCUUAAGGUGUGUUGGUAUAUAAUCAAAGAGGAUUUUUAUUCUCUUUGUGAUGACUUCUGGAAAGGAUAAAUCAGCCUACAAUGUUUGAAUACAUCUUUAAUCACGCUGAUCCCAAAGAAACUGACACCAGAAUCUGUCAAUGAUUAUAGGCCAAUCUCCUUGUUAAAUUGUGUACUCAAGGUCAUCACAAAAAUUCUUUCUGAGAGGUUUCAACGUUGGAUUCUCAAGGUGGUACAUCAAAAUCAAUAUGGAUUUAUUAAGAAUGGGACAAUUCAAGAUUGCCUCGGUUGGGCUUUCGAGUAUUUACAUGAGUGCAAACAAUCGGGCAAAGAAAUUGUGAUAUUGAAAUUAGAUUUUGAGAAAGCCUUUGACACGAUGGAACACUCAUUUAUUCUGAAAAUGCUGGAAUGCAAGGGUUUUGACGACCGAUGGUGUAUGUGGAUUAAAAUGCUGCUUCAAUCCAGAUCCUCAUUGAUUCUUCUCAACGGAAUACUAGACACAUAAUUUAAAUGUAAACGGGGAGUGAGACAAGGUGACCAAAUAUCCCCCUUGUUAUUUGUGCUUGCGGCAGAUUUAUUGCAAUCCUUAAUUAAUAAAGCCUGGCAGGAUGGUUUAAUUUCACUCCCUAUUAAUAAACCGGCUUCGGAAGAUUAUCCGAUUGUAAAAUAUGCAGACGACACAUUAAUUAUCCUCCCCACUGAUCAACAUGAGCUUCAAACAAUUAAGGUGAUCGUUGACUCUUACGCCCGGGCAACUGGUCUAAAAAUUAAUUACGCUAAAUCAAAAUUAAUGCCAGUUAAUGUGAGUGCUCAAAAAGCUUUGGAUCUAGCCAAUAUACCGAGUUGCCAAGUUGGGGUGAUGCCGUUUACUUAUUUGGGGCUGCCUCUCGGUACAACAAGACCCACUAUUAAUGAUUUGAUGCCAUUAGUCGACAGAAUUGAGAGAAGAUUGACUGGAACGGCUAUCUGGUUGUCUGAUGGAGAACGAGUGCAAUUGAUCAACUCUGCAUUAUCAUCACUGCUGACUUUUGCCAUGUGUGUCCUAAAAAUUCCACUUAAGCUGAUUGAGAUAUUUGAUCGCGUGAGGAGGCAUUGUCUGUGGAGGAAAGAAGUGGCCCGUGAUGCAAAAUCUCAUUCCUUAGCCGCUUGGGACAUGGUAUGCCGACCAAAUAAAAAAAAGGAGGCCUUGGGGUUUUAAACUUGCAAAUUCAAAAGAAAGCAUUGCUUCUCAAGUACCUUCACAAGUUUAUCCACAAACAAGAUGUACCGUGGGUAAUGCUAGUCUGGUAUGCACAUUAUGGUGAUUCCCCCCACAUGCAAAACCUAGUUGCAGUUCUUUUUGGUGGCGCGACAUUUUUUUCUCUAAUGGAUAUCUACCGCGGGAUCACCUCUUGUAUUCCUACUACGGGGGAUUCAAUCCUUCUUUGGAAAGAUGUUUGGUUUAAUGAGAGACCAUUGAUGGACACCCACGAACACCUAUUCUCUUUUGCCACAAAUGAAGAUAUCUCUUUGGCACAAUACUACAACAACGAUGACCACGUGGACAACUUCCUCCUGCCUCUGUCAAUGGAAGCCAGAGCUGAGCUUGACAAUUUGCAAGUGAUCAUGGAAGGGGUCAACUUGGAAGCCAUGGGGACAGAUCAAUGGGUCUUAUGUUGGGGCGGUGCUAUUUUUAAACCUAAGAAGUUUUAUAACUUCAUGUUCAGGAAUAUAUUGGCGCCACAAUGCAUCACCUCCAUUUGGAAAAUAAAGUGUAUCAUGAGACAUAAAGUGUUUGCUUGGUUGAUGUUACAUGAUAGAGUUAAUACGAGGGACAUGCUUCUUAGAAGACACUUUAACAUUGGAGAUGAUCAUAACUACCCGGUGUGUGACAUGGAGGUUUUGGAAUCAAACACACAUCUAUUCUAUGAGUGUCCAUUUGCUACAAAGUGUUGGGAAACUGUGGGUAUCCAUUGGGACAAUCAGCUGGACCUGCAGCAAAAAUACAAGAGAGCUAGAUUUGGCUGGCAGGGUCCUCUUUUCAAAGAGAUUACCAUACUCACAUCCUGGAACAUUUGGAAGCAGCCCAACAAAAAGGUGUUUGAUGGUCAUGUAGCCACCCAUGCUGAGUGGCUAAGAAAGCUCAAGGAAGAUUUUGUGAUCUUAGGUUUCAGGAUCAACCCUGAAAACUUAACCUUUUAAGAAGGUUUCAGCAACUCUUUGACUGUUUAAAUUUCUAAUAAGGCUAGCUGAGUGAUUCCUUGUUUUUCUUUUUGGACAUGGCCCAUUUUGGGAAUGUCUUUCAUGUAAAUGUCAUGUAAAUCCUCCUGUUAACCGUAGGUUAACAUUUUAAUAAAGAAAAAACAACAGUAGGAGUCCCUCCUACUGUUUUCAUUGGUCAAAAAAUGUAUAUAGGCAUCACGUCUGAGAAAACUAGACCGACUCUUGCCUACAUAUACUACUAUUACUCCACCCAUCGACCACUGUCCAGCAUGCAUCAAUGGAAUUUAGUUAACAAAAACAGAGUAACACCUUAAGCAAGAUGACAUGAUCUAGACAAAGUAAACUCAACUAAUAUGAAUAAACCCCGUCGUUUUAUCCUUAAUGGCAACACUACAAAUACGUGUCUUGUCCCUUUAUGUCAUUGGGAUACAACACCGCAAGAUUGAACCCAUCACAAAGCACUUCUCCCACUGAAAAUAAAUCAACCUAGUUGACCAAACCAAAUGGAUAGAUCAUAGAGAAAUACAAAGCUAUGACAAUCAUGCAUAAAUAAGUUCAGAGAAGACUCAAAUAUUUCUCAUGAAUAUUCAGAUCAUAAAUAUACAAUUCAUCGGAUCCCAACAAACACACCGCAAAAGAAGAUUAUAUCGAAUGGAACUCCAAGAAGGUCGAGGAGAACAUGGUAUUGAAUAUCAAAGAGAUAGAAGAAGCCAUCUAGCUACUAGCUAUGGACCCGUAGGUUUGGGGUAAACUACUCAUGCAUCAUCGCUAGGGCUGCAAGGUUGAUGUGGAAUCCCUAAGUGACCAAUCCCCCCUGUGUUAUAGUACCGAAAAAGGCCUCCAGAUGGGAUCACGGAAGAACUGAGACUCGCGGGGACCAAAAGAGUGUUUUGGGUGGCUCUUUGAGGGUUUCCCAAUAUUUAAGAAUUUAUAGAAGUAGAAUUAGGUCGGACGGAGCCACAUGGGACCCACAAGGAAAUAGGGCGUGCCUAGCCCCCCACGACGUGCCUUGUUGCCUUGUUGUCUCCUCGUUUGUCAUCUAGUCUCCUCCUGAAGCUUCCAGGGUCUGUUUUGUCUAGAAAAAAUCAUCAAAAAGUUUCGCAUCAUUUAUAAUCCAUUUGGUAUAGAUUUCCUGGAAAACUAAAAACAAGGAGAAAAUAACAAUUGGCACUAGGCACUGGCUUAAUAGGUUAGUCCCCCAAAAUAAUAUAAAAUUAUAUAUUAAAGCAUAUAAAAUAUCCAAGAUUGACAAUAUAAUAUUAUGAAACAAGCAAAAGUUAUAGAUAUGUUGAAGACGUGUCAGGUAUGAGGGGAGAUGAUGUUUAACCAGGUUUGGGCCCUCUCAAAUAUGUAAAACCCUUUGUCCUGUUUUGAUUAUAUUGAUGUGAUGGAGUAUAGAGUACAAGAUGAUCUACCUCGAUAUCAUAUGAUUGUGUUCUAAACCCUAUGGCUGGUAAUCGCAUCCCUAAAAAGUAAACCCCUUGGCUUAUAUAUGCACCGGUAGUACUGCUGAGUGACAUUUUUACACUCGUUUCACCUUUAUUUAAACCGAGACAUUUCAUUUAAAAAUAUAUAUUCGCUCCAAUAUUGGUACUAAUGACUAAUGAAUGGAAAGGAAUCCACAAAUCCUCUCUUUGAUGUGUUUCCACAUGAAAUGGUCUAAAAGGGAAGAAAUCACGUGUUGAAAUGGAUGGAAGGAGAAUGGAGGAAGAAGAAAUCAAUAGGAGGCGUUGCUGCGAAAACAACACAAAAGACGGUGUUUCAUACGGGUGCAUAAUACGUCUAUUUUGCAUCAUGUUUUCCUAUUUUUAUUUAUAAUAUUUUUGAUCAAUAUAAUACAUUCUAAUGCCUUUUCUAUCUUAAUUUGCAAGAUUUACAUGAAGAGGAGAUUGCCAGCAGCUAGAAUUCUGGACCUGAAAAAGCUAUGUCAGAGAUACCUAUUGUGCACAACUCCAAAUGAGCUGAAAUUUCACAAAGAAUUAUUUUGGAAUUGUGUUGAUUUUUCCCUUGAAGAGGAAAGGGUGAUGCAGCAAAGUAGAGAUAAGUAUUUCCCUCAGUUAAGAACCAAGGUAUCAAUACAGUAGGAGGCACAAGCAAGUCUUCAAUAUAUGCAACUGCACAAACUAAUAAACACUUGCACACAACGCGAAAAAUGGGUUGUCAAUCCCUUCACAGACACGAACAAGAGUGAGAUCUAAAAGAGAUAGGUAUAAAAGAUAAAUAAAAGAGCAAACUAAAGUAGACAGAAAUAAGUUGCAGCAAAGUAUUUUUGGGUUUUUUGGUUUAUAGAUCUGAAAAUAUAUGAUGGAAAAUAGACCCGGGGGCCAUAGUUUUCACUAGAGGCUUCUCUCUUGAAGAAAACAUAUGGUGGGUAAAAAAAUUACAGUUGAGAAAUUGAUAGAAACGCGCUAAGUUAUGACGAUAUCUAAGGCAAUGAUCAUGAAUAUAGGCAUCACAUCCGUGACAAGUAGACCGAAAUGAUUCUGCAUCUACUACUAUUACUCCACACAUGACCAACUCUUGCCUGCAUCUAGAGUAUUAAGUUCAUAAGAACAGAGUAAUGCCUUAAGCAAGAUGACAUGAUGUAGAGGGAUAAAGUCAAGAAAUAUGAUAUAAACCCCAUAUUUUUAUCCUUAAUGGCAACAAUACAAUACAUGCCUCACUGCCCCUUCUGUCACUAGGAGAGGGCACUGGAAGAUUACACCCAUCACAAAGCACUUCUCCCAUUGCAAGAAGAACCAAUCUAGUUGGCCAAACCAAAUCAAUAGAUCGAAUAGAAUUAUUAAGCUAUCUCAAUCAUGCAUAAAAGAGUUCAAAGAAGACUCAAAUAAUAUUCAUAGAUAAUUUGGUCAUAUAUCCACAAUUCAUCGGAUGUCAACAAACGCACCACAAAAGAAGAUUACAUCGAAUAGAUCUCCAAGAAUAUCGAGGAGAACAUUGUAUUGAAGAUCAAAGAGAGAGAAGAGUCCAUCUAGAUACUAGAUAUGGACCCUUAGAUCCGUGGUAAACUACUCAUGCUUCAUUGAAAGGCCAGCAAGGUUGAUGUAGAGGCCCUUCGCGAUCAAAUCCCCCUCCGACGGAGUGCCGGAAAAGGCCCCAAGAUGGGAUCUCACGAGAACAGAAGUUUACGGUGGUGGAAAAGUAUUUUUGGUGUGCUCUCUCGUAUAGGGGGAAUAUUUGGGUAUUUAUGGAGCAAGAAUUAGGCUGUAGGGUCUACGGGAGGCCCACAAGUCUGAGGGGCACGCCCCUAGGGCUUGUGGCCGCCUUGUAGGUCUUCUGGCCUCCUCUCCAAGUCUCGUGGGUUUCUUCUGGUACAAGAAAAAUCACCGUAAAGUCUUAUUCUGUUUGAUAUUCCUUUUCUGUAAAAUUCAAAAACAAGGAAAAAACAAAAACUGGCACUGGGAUCUAGGUUAAUAGGUUAGUGCUAUGUCUUGAGCUUGCAUUGGUUUUCCUUGAAGAGGAAAGGGUGAUGCAGCAAUAGUAGCGUAAGUAUUUCCCUCAGUUUUUGAGAACCAAGGUAUCAAUCCAGUAGGAGGCUCCUCAAAAGUCCCACGCACCUACACAAACAAACAAAGAACUCGCAACCAACGCAAUAAAGGGGUUGUCAAUCCCUUCACGGCCACUUGCGAAAGUGAGAUCUGAUAGAGAUAGUAUGAUAAGAUAUAUAUAUUUUUGGUAUUUUAUAAUAUAGAUUGGAAAAUAAAAGAUGCAAAUAAAAGCGGAUAGCAAACUUAUAUGAUAAGAGAUAGACCCGGGGGCCAUAGGUUUCACUAGUGGCUCCUCUCGAGAUAGCAUAAGUAUUACGGUGGGUGAACAAAUUACUGUCGAGCAAUUGAUAGAAAAGCGAAUAAUUAUGAGAUUAUCUAGGCAUGAUCAUGUAUAUAGGCAUCACGUCCGUGACAAGUAGACCGACUCCUGCCUGCAUCUACUACUGUUACUCCAAACAUCGACCGCUAUCCAGCAUGCAUCUAGAGUAUUAAGUUCAUAAGAAAGAGUAACACAUUAAGAAAGAUGACAUGAUGUAGAGGGAUAAACUCAUGCAAUAUGAUAUAAACCCCAUCUUUUUAUCCUCGAUGGCAACAAUACAAUACGUGCCUUGCUGCCCCUCCUGUCACUGGGAAAGGACACCGCAAGAUUGAACCCAAAGCUAAGCACUUCUCCCAUUGCAAGAAAGAUCAAUCUAGUAGGCCAAACCAAACUGAUAAUUCGAAGAGACUUGCAAAGAUAACUUAAUCAUACAUAAAAUAAUUCAGGGAAGAUUAAAAUAUUUCUCAUAGAUAAACUUGAUCAUAAACCCACAAUUCAUCGGAUCUCGACAAACACACCACAAAAGGAGUUACAUCAAAUAGAUCUCCAAGAAGAUCAAGGGGAACAUGGUAUUGAGAUUCAAAGAGAGAGAAGAAGCCAUCUAGCUAAUAACUAUGGACCCGAAGGUCUGUGGUAAACUACUCACAACUCAUCGGAGAGGCUAUGUUGUGGAUGUAGAAGCCCUCCAUGGUCGAUUCCCCCUCCAGUGGAGCGCCGACGAAGUCUCCAAGAUGGGAUCUUGUGGAUACAGAAGGUUACGGUGGUGGAAAUAGCUUUUUGUGGUCUUCCCUGAUGUUUUCAGGGUACGUGGGUAUAUAUAGGAGGAAGAAGUACGUAGGUGGAUGCUCGAGGGGCCCACGAGAUAGGGGGGCGCGCCCAGUAGGGGGGGGGCCUCCACCCUCGUGGACGCCUCGGAAGCUUCUUGAGUUGCACUCCAAGUCCUCUGGAUCACGUUUGUUCCAAAAAUCACGCUCCCGAAGGUUUCAUUCCGUUUGGACUCUGUUUGAUAUUCCUUUUCUCCAAAACACUGAAAUAGGCAAAAAACAGCAAUACGGGCCGGGCCUCCGGUUAGUAGGUUAGUCCCAAAAAUGAUGUAAAAGUGUAAAUUAAAGCCCAUAAACAUCCAAAACAGGUAAUAUAAUAGCAUGGAACAAUAAAAAAUUAUAGAUACGUUGGAGACGUAUCAAGCAUCCCCAAGCUCAAUUCCUGCUCGUCCUCGAGUAGGUAAAUGAUAAAAACCUAAUUUUUGAUGUGGAAUGCUACCUAGCAUAUUUCUCAAUGCAAUUUUCUUUAUUGUGGCAUGAAUGUUCAGAUCCAAAUGAUUCAAAAUAAAAGUUCAUACAUAAGAAAUAGUAAUAGUUCAAGCAUACUAAUCAAAGCAAUCAUGUCUUCUCAAAAUAACAUGGCUAAAGAAAUUUCAUCCCUACAAAAUCAUAUAGUUAGGCUAUGCUUCAUUUUCAUCACACAAAAAUGCUCCCAUAUUAUACACCCUCGAUGACAAGCCAAGCAAUUGUUUUGUACUUAAAUAAUCUCAAACUUUUUCAACUUUCACGCAAUACAUAAGCGUGAGCCAUGGAUAUAGCACUAUGGGUGGAAUAGAAUAUAAUGAUGGGGAUUGCGUGGAGAAGACAAAAAAGGGGAAAGUCUCACAUUGACGAGGAUAAUCAACGGGCUAUGGAGAUGCCCAUCAAUUGAUGUCAACAUGAGGAGUAGGGAUUGCCAUGCAACAUAUGCACUAGAGCUAUAAAUGUGUGAAAGCUCAACAAAAGAAACUAGUGGGUGUGCACCCAACUUGCUUGCUCAUGAAGACCCAGGGCAUUUGAGGAAGCCCAUUGUAGGAAUAUACAAGCCAAGUUCUAUAAUGAAAAAUUCCCACUAGUAUAUGAAAGUGACAACAUAUGAGACUCGCUAUAUGAAGAACAUGGUGCUACCUUGAAGCACAAGUGUGGAAAAAGAGAUAGUAACAUUGCCCCCCUUUUUUUCUUUUCUUUUUUUAGGCCUUUCCUUUUUUCUUUUUGGCCUUUCUUCCUUUUUUUAUUUUUUUCUUUGGCCUUUCCUUUUCCCCCCUUUUUUGGGACAAUGCUCUAAUAAUGAUGAUCAUCACACUUCUAUAUAUUUACAACUCAUGAAUUACAACUUGAAACUAGAACAAGAUAUGACUCUAUAUGAAUGCCUCCGGCGGUGUACCGGGAUGGGCAAUGAAUCAAGAGUGACAUGUAUGAAAAUUUAUGCACGGUGGCUUUGCCACAAAUACGAUGUCAACUACAUGAUCAUGCAAGGCAAUAUAACAAUGGUAAUGUAUGUCAUGAUGAUAAACGGAACGGUGGAAAGUUGCAUGGCAAUAUAUCUCGGAAUGGUUAUGGAAAUGCCAUAAUAGGUAGGUAUGGUGGCUGUUUUGAGGAAGAUAUAAGGUGGUUUAUGUGUGAUAGAGCGUAUCGUAUCAUGGGUUUUGGAUGCACCAGCGAAGUUUGCACUAACUCUCAAGGUGAGAAAGCGCAAUGCACGGUACCAAAGAGGCUAGCAAUGAUGGACAGGUAAAAGUGCGUAUAAUCCAUGGACUCAACAUUAGUCAAAACAACUCAUAUACUUAUUGCAAAAAUCUACAAGUCAUCAAAAAACCAAGCACUACGCGCAUACUCCUAGAGGGAUAGAUUGGUAGGAAAAGACCAUCGCUCGUCCCCGACCGCCACUCAUAAGGAUGCACAAUCUAAGAACACCUCAUGUUUCAAAUUUGUUACACAACUUUAACCAUACAUGCAUGCUACGGGACUUGCUAACUUCAACACAAGCAUUCUUAAAAUUCAUAAUCACCCAACUAGCAUGACUCUAAUAUCACUACCUCCAUAUCUCAAAACAAUUAUCAAGUAUCAAAUUGAUCAUAGCAUCCAAUUCACUUCCUAUGAUAGUUUUUAUUAUACCCAACUUGGAUGCCUACCAUUCUAGGACCAAUUUUAUAACCAUAGCAAAUACCAUGCUGUUCUAAGAUACUCUCAAAAUAAUAUAAGUGAAGCAUUAGAGAUCAACAAUUUAUUCAAAAUUAAGCCACCGCCGUGCUCAAAAAGAUAUAAGUGAAGCACUAGAGCAAAAAUUAUCUAGCUCAAAAGAUAUAAGUGUAUCACAUAGAGUAUUCUAAUAAAUUCCAAUCAAGUGGGAUUCUCCCAAAAGGUGUGUACAUCAAGGAUGAUUGUGGUAAACUAAAAAAAGCAAAGACUAAUAUCAUACAAGACGCUCCAAGCAAAACACAUAUCGUGUGGCGAAUAAAAAUAUAGCUCCAAGUAAAGUUACCAAUGAACGAAGACGAAAGAGGGGAUGCCUUGCCGGGGCAUCCCCAAGCUUAGGCUUUUGGCUAUUCUUGAAUAUCUUGGGGUGCCAUGGGCAUCCCCAAGCUUAGGCUCUUGCCACUCCUUAUUCCAUAGUCCAUCAAACCUUUACCCAAAACUUGAAAACUUCACAACACAAAACUCAACAGAAAAUCUCGUAAGCUCCGUUAGUGAAAGAAAGAAAACCCACCACAUAAGGUACUGUAAUGAACUCAUUCUUUAUUUAUAUUGGUGUUAAACCUACUGUCUUCCAAGUUAUGUAUGGUUCAUACCCUUACAUACUAGCCAUAGAUGCAUCAAAAUAAGCAAACAACACACGAAAGGCAGAAUCUGUCAAAAACAGAACAAUCUGUAGCAAUCUGUAACUUCCCAAUACUUCUGGAACUCUAAAAAUCCUACCAAAAUAGGACGUCUUAGGAAAUUUGUCUAUUGAUCUACAACAAAAAUAAUCGACGCAAAAUCACGUUUCUGUGAUUUAUUAAAUGUUUUCUCGUGAGCACAAAGUUUAUGUUUUUCCGCAGAAUCAAAUUAACUAUCACCAUAGGUUAUCCUAUAGGUUCUACUUGGCACAAACACUAAAUGAAACAUGAAAACACAUCUAAACAGAAGGUAGAUGCAAAAUUUAUUACUAAACAGAAACAAAAACAAAAAACACAAAUAAAAUUGGGUUGCCUCUCAACUAGCGCUAUCGUUUAACGCCCCUAGUUAGGCAUAAAAACUAGGAUAGUCUAAGUAGUGCCAUCUUUGACACUUGAUUCAUAAGUACCUCGCAUGAUUGAUUCAUAAGGUAAUUUAAUUUUCUUUCUUGGAAAGUGCUCCAUGCCUUUCCUUAAUGGAAAUUGGAAUCUAAUAUUCCCUUCCUUCAUAUCAAUAAUCGCGCCAAUCGUUCUAAGGAAAGGUCUACCAAGAAUAAUAGGACAAGAAAGGUUGCAAUCUAUAUCAAGAACGAUAAAAUAUACGGGCACCAAAUUUCUAUUUGCAACAAUGAGAACAUCAUUGAUCCUUCCCAUUGGCUUUUUAAUGGUGGAACCCGCAAGGUGCAAAUUUAAAGAGCAAUCAUCAAGAUCAUGGAGUCGGUCUACUUGUUAUGGACAUGAUGCCUAUAUACAUGAUCAUGCCUAGAUAAUGUCAUAAUUAUUCGCUUUUCUAUGAAUUGCUCGACAGUAAUUUGUUCACCCACCAUAAUAGUUAUGCUCUUGAGAGAAGCCACUAGUGAAACCUAUGGCCCCCGGGUCUAUCUCUUAUCAUAUUUGCUUCCAAUCUACCUUUAUUUGCAUCUUUAUUUUCUGCAUCUAUAUUAUAAAAUACCAAAAAUAUAUUUAUCUUAUCAUACUAUCUCUAUCAGAUCUCACUUUUGCAAGUGGCCGUGAAGGGAUUGACAACCCCUUUGUCGCGUUGGUUGCGAGUUCUUUAUUUGUUUGUGUAGGUUCGUGGGACUUGUUGAGAAGCCUCCUACGGGAUUGAUACCUUGGUUCUCCAAAACUGAGGGAAAUACUUACGCUACUAUUGCUGCAUCACCCUCUCCUCUUCAAGGAAAACCAACGCAAGCUCAAGAUGUAGCAUCCGCCUCGGCAACAGCGGAUCCGCGCGUGGGCCGAGGCGCGGUAGUGGCAGGCCCCAGCCUGUGGCGACGUCCCGUCGCGCGCGUGGGCUGGUGCCGCACGGCGCGCAGGCAGCGGGCGGCCGGCUUGACGCCCGACAAGCACGCCACCUGGCUCCCGCCUUCAUAUUUCGAAACCAUCAAAACGGCGAGCCUGAUCAUGGCCGACUCCUGGCUGUCGGCUCUUCAGAAUAGGAAGCUGCUGAGGUCUCUCGCCUUUAAAAACCGUGAUGCCCCACAAGCUUCGGGGACUACUGUCGGAGUAAAUGACCACGGGUAGUCUUAUCUGCUCCCCAUGGCAUUUCAAAACAUCGGGGCCGGCUGCGCCCCUCAAGAACGCAAGACAAAGGGACGCCUCCUUGUGGCCGGCUGGUCCAAGCGGCCGGCUGGAGGAAGGUGGCAAGGCCCAAAGAGCGGCCCUAGAGUGGGCCGACUCCUUGCAGACGGCCACCAGAGUGGCCGACUCCUAGCAGGCGGCCCACCCAUGCACCCUGAAAGUUUGCACCCACAUAAUGGCGACGAGACAGGGCGGGGCUAUAGUGCGGCCUACCACCCCCAAAUCCCGGAGCAGGCGUGGCCACAGUGCAACGUACCGGGUGGCCAUCCCUCGCCCAGCGCGGCAUCGUUGCCACGUUGACUAUGACAUCACCCAUGGCCGAGCUGCCAUGCUUCCACAACGAGCUGUCGGUACGGUCCACAGGCGGCGGGCCCUACCUGCCAGAGAGACACCUGAAGGCGACAUGCUCCGACCAGUCGGCAUAGGGGAAAGCCGACUCCCAACAGCCGGCCCUCCCCUUCUCUAGAAGGUCGUGCACCAUUAACCAGAUAAGAUGGGGUGUGGCUAUAGUGAACGUCCGCCAGGUGGUGGUACUAUAGCCAUGCCCUCCCCGACCAAGGCAUCGUCAUCAGGGGUGAGGCUACAGUAAUGAGCCAUCAAAAGGGCCCACAGGCAGUGGGCCCAACCUGUUGGGCAAGAACCCGACAGCCGAUGGGACCCACCAGGCGGUGGGCCCCAGCGGCUGGCGGAGAAGCUGGCGACCACAGACACUAACGGCCUGGGCCUACGCCCAGCCGGAUUACCAUUGUACCUCUGGGGUGUAGGCCUAUAUAAACCCCCGAGGGCACCCAUGCAAAGGGUUCAACUCUUAGACUACACACACCCAUGUAUAGAGAGGAGUAGUGCUAGCCUUGCUCAUCUUCCUCCUCUAGCCGAACAGCUCAAGGAGCACCUUGUAGCCACUUGUUGAUGUAGCGACCAUGCGGAGACCCCGUAGAGCAGGACUAGGGUUGUUAUCUCCUAGGAGAGCCCCAAACCUGGGUAAGAUUUGCCGGCGUGCAUGUCUCCGCCUCAUCCCGUUUCCACACACAGGCGACGUCUUACUAGCUCCCACAAUGAUUAGCCAUCCUUUGGCAUAUGUCGCACCAACCACCCGACAAGGGUAGCCCUGCUCAGGAGCUGCAGCGCAAGCAGCUGAGCAAGCUGAUGAGACUGCGCUUGUUUGACACUUAUAUCCUCCUCACUCUUGAAGAUAAACAAGCAGACAAAUGACAGGUUUUGCACAUAUAAGUAUCAGUGCUGACAAUUCAUCACAUUUCUUACUAACGAAUAAAGUGACAGAGUUUAAAAUAGCAUUAACACAAUAUGGUAUUGUUCAGGUCAAGACAUGGCAGGAAAUGACAUUGUGAAGGAGUUGACAGCUUCAUGACACCACUGGAUUACAGAUCAAGAACUCAUAAGUAUCAAUGGUUAGUGUGCUGUCAAGUUAUCCCAUUUCAGAUUAGCAAAUAAAGAGACGGUUUAAAUAAUAGUAGAAUGAUAUGACAUUGUUCAUAGUUAAGACAUUGCAGAAUAUGACAUUGUGCUGUAGUGGGUAGUGUCAGUGUCAAAACCGGCGGAUCUCGGGUAGGGGGUCCCAAACUGUGCGUCUAAGGCUAAUGGUAACAGGAGACUAGGGACACGAUGUUUACCCAGGUUCGGGCCCUCUCGAUGGAGGUAAUACCCUACUUCCUGCUUGAUUGAUCUUGAUGAUAUGAGUAUUACAAGAGUCGAUCUACCACGAGAUCGGAGAGGCUAAACCCUAGAAGCUAGCCUAUGGUAUGAUUGUUGUUGUUGUUGUUGUGUCCUAUGGACUAAACCCUCCGGUUUACAUAGACACCGGAGGGGGCUAGGGUUACACGGAGUCGGUUACAGAGAAGGAGAUCUUCAUCCGAAUCGCCAAGCUUGCCUUCCACGCCAAGGAGAGUCCUACCCGGACAUAGGACGAAGUCUUCAAUCUUGUAUCUUCAUAGUCCAACAGUCUGGCCAAAGUAUAUAGUUCGGCUGUCCGGAUACCCCCUUAUCCAGGACUUCCUCAGUAGCCCCUGAACCAGGCUUCAAUGACGAUGAGUCCGACGUGUAGAUUGUCUUCGACAUUGCGAGGUGGGUUCCAUCUCCGAAUACUCCAAGAUAAAUUCCAAACACAAGGACCAUGUCCGGCUCUGCAAUACAAAUUUCAUAUACCACCGUAGAGAGAAUAAUAGACCACGAAUAUAAUCUGCUGAUAACUCUUCGUAGCGUGACAUCACGCCAUGGCCCGGUCAUUAUUUGAACCAUUUUCUAUAACCUUCUUCCGCACAUAUCGCGAGGAGGUUUCUUUGGCACGUCUUGUCAAAGCAGAGAUCGUGCCCCCUUAUCGCGGGAUCUCCAUCAAUACGGGUAUGGGUAACCCAACCAGCGCCACCAAUCGAGGCGCUUGGAAAAUAAGUGAUUUCGAGAGGCAAGUGGGGAGGCACAUAUUCUGCACCGCCUUUAUAAAGGGACAAGGAUCUCCUGAUUUCACCCACGCCUUCUUCCUCCUUUGCUCAUCCGCUCUCGCACUCUCGAGCUCCAGCGCCCAAGUUCUCACCUUCUUCGUAGGACCGCAGCAUGUCCGGAGCGGGAGGCAAGUGGAUGGCCUCCUAUGUCACAGAGGAGGACAUUACCAAGCUUCGGGAGGCCGGAUACCUGGCCGAGAGCAUCGCGCACAGGCUUCCGGCAGAGGGAUAGAUUACCCCCACCCCAAAGUCUAGGGAGAGAGUAGUAUUUCUCCCUCCGUUAUACUUUCCGUUCGGCUUCGCCUUCAUGGUUUGUAAUAAUUCCGAACUUCAUAAAUGUAGUCUGGCGAGGUCCAACCUCGGGGUAUCCUCUUCGAAGGGAUCCUUGAGUGAGUCAAAGAUGAUCAGAGAUUCACUCCCGACGGCCACCUCCCCAUGCCACUCGUACGACACCGAGGUGCUGUCCCAAAGGAUACCAGAGCAGGGGGCGGUCGUUCUGGAGGUCCCCAGGGAAAAAUCCCAGGCGCCGGACACAUGGGGGGUAAGACCCCCAUGGAUUAUGCUGACGGGAGCCACAACAAAUCUGGCUCCUAGCCGGUUACUGCACCGGAGCCUCCAAAGGCUCUGGAUUCCAAUAGGCAGCCCUUCGCGAAGGAGGUCGAGCCGGCCGUGCCAACGACCUCCGCCUAGCCGGAGGCAUCGGACAAUUUGUGGGAAGUGCUUCGAGGCGCUUCCAUCGAUGAUGAGCACCGUACUCUUAUGAGUACGGUAAUUGAGAAGGUUCUGUUCGCCAAGAGCGGAUUGACCGAUGCCUGCACCAGCCUUCUAACAGGCUUUGAGGUAAGUAAAAAGGUGUGAGGAAAUAUCACCCGAUAGACAGUAGCCCCUAAAACUCUGUUUGGUGUUCGGAAGGAAAAGCCAAACGGAGGGUCAACUAAAAAACCACAGGAAGCUAAUGGUACUUUGUCUAUGUUAACAAGUAGGCAUUGCUGCUGACUGCCGCUGCACGCACAGCUGAGGUUGCCGGACUGAAGUGUGACCUGGGGCAGGCCGAAGAAGAGCUCGGCCUCAUGAAGAGGCAGCUCGAGGAGAACAAAGGUAAGUGAAACCCCGUUCGUGUGUCGUAUAGAGGAGAAAAAUUGAUGAUGCUAACAAAAAGCAUCAUGGUUUUAAAUAGGGACCACGACCGAAGUGGCGGCCUUGAAGAAAGCGCUGUCCGUGGACAAAGCCAAAGCGGCUACGGAGAGCACCGAGCGUGAAAAGCAAGAUGCUCGGGUAGGAGAGGUACAGCAAGAGCUCCAGGAGCUCGGUAAGAAGUUCGAGUCCUUGGAGCAUGACUUCAAGACGCAGAAGUCUGAGCUUGCGAACGCCCUCCAGAGCGUGAUGGACGCCAAGGCCGAAGCCCAAAAGGCCCUCCAGGAAAUCUAGGUGGCCAAGAAGAUAGCGGAGGGUAGGCAUUUUUUAUGCAAAGCAAGCAUGUGGAAGAGUCAUUUCUUUUACUUACACAAAUUCGGGGCUCUCCAGGGGCAUUCGCAGAUCUGCCACGCAGCAUUUCGGAUGCCGCGGAGUUCUAUCGUGCUGAAGAGGGGAGCUCAACGGAGAAGCUGUUCUGGUCCCAAUACACUAGAGCCGAACACCCGAUGCCUCUAAGUGACCAACUGAAGCAAUUGGUCGAACUCCACAAUGUGGCUGAACGGGCCAUGAAGGACCUCAUAGUCCGGAUGUGGCCUAGCGAGCCCCUACCCGGCAGCUAUUUUGGUCUGGUAAAGCGGUUGGUGCAUGCCUGUCCACGGCUAUAAGUUAUCAAGCAGUCCGUCUGUAUUGAGGGUGCUCGUCGGUCCUUUUCCCGCGCGAAGAUGCAUUGGGCCAAACUAGAUGCUGAGAAUCUCAUGAAGGAUGGACCCCCGGAGGGUAAGGAGCAUCGCUAUCCCAAAAAAUAUUAUGAUGGCAUUAUGAAAGGCGCUCGUCUUGUGGCAAAUGAAUGUGCCAAGAACAUAAUCUUUGAGUGAAUGUACUUAUGUCGUCUUUGUAAUAUGAGAACGAGUUUGUUUGCGCUAUAUAACACUUUGUUUGAUUUAAAAUAUUACCUUCUUUGCGGCCGUUUAUCAAAAUCUGAAAGUAGGCCAGUCGUCGGCUUCCGCCCCCUUGUAACUAGUACUGGGGUGUUUGUGGAAAACGCAAACACUCUUUAUCCAAUUGUUGGUCCUUUAAGGAGGUGUUUAGUGCAGCGAACAAGGCAAUUGGACUAUUCAUCUUUAUAACUCUCACUUGUCCAUAGAAGUCUAUAAUAUUAAAUUUCGGCGAAGCCUCUAGUAUUCGGAAGGCCGAACUGGGGCGCUAUUGACGCCUAAGUCGGGCAAGGCCGAUUCCUCACCUUAAGCGGAAAAAAUCUUUAAGGAUUUAGUACCUCGCGAACAUCGACCAGCUCUCACCACAUCAUGACGGUCAUUUUUCGGCUUUCUCUACUGAGAUGCUCUUCCGGAAGAACCGGGACACAAUCGCAGUAGUUCUCCCUGCGCUACCUUAGCCGAUGUAAUGGAACGUAAGGUACCAAAACAAGGGAGCCGGGCUAACCCAACUAUUGACCCAAGACAUGAUUCGGAGCUGAUGCAUAUAAUGCUAUAAGUUCGGGGUGCCGCACUGUCGAAAGUGUUCAGACUUUUCUUGCCAUCUUAUGGGGCUAAAAAAAAGCCCCUGGCAACUGAUCGUACCAAACUGUACGAGUGCAAUAUUAAAUAAAUAUUCCAGGGAAAAAUGGGAAGAUAUUAGUAAGAAGUUGACGCUGUAUACUAUUUCCCAUUGUUAUCUGGAUAAUACGUCCAGGCGUAUGUGUUCAAGUAAUGCAUUAAGCAAAAACAAAUAGGACUAUUUGACAUGUCCUAUCCAAGGGCAGGCUGCGUGCAGGUAUAUAAAACAGGUAUAACGAUCAUUAACAGAGACCACCUAGGUAUUCCCUUGUGUGCAAAAGCCUCUUGCCUCCUUGGUGUUCCCUCCUAUGGCGAGUCCGAUGAUCCGGCUCUCUGAAGAGGCUGCCCGAAUGUGGGGUCCUGAAAGAAAAGAGGAAAAAAGGGGUAUGCGGGCCUAGUGGCGGCUGAUCCGCACUGUAGGCUGCAUAGUAAUCUCGCCUCCACCACGCCCACGGUAUUUUAAGUGCGUAAUUAUGUACGCGUGGCAGGAAUGCCGCCUGAAUGGGGCUGGGGCAGAGGCCGGAUUGCUAAUCGAGCUCUUGGCGUGCCUGGCGAUCCUGUUGCGGGGUGCUCCGGACUCGCUUGACUGUGUUCGGGGUUGUCGUUGCCGGGUUGGCUGCUUGUCGAAGGAGGUUGCUUUGUACUUCUGUCGCAAGGGCCGCAGUGUGCUCCUCUGUACGAAGGGAGCGAUCUGUGUUUCCAUUGACUUUUAUAACCCCGCGAGGUCCUGACAUCUUGAGCUUAACGUGUGCAUAGUGAGGCACCGCGUUGAAUCGAGCAAACGUGGUUCGUCCAAGUAGCGCAUGAUAGCCACUACGGAAAGGGACGAUACCGAAGAUUAACUCCUCGCUUCGGAAGUUAUCCGGAGAUCCGAAGACCACUUCCAGUGUUAUUGAGCCCGUAUAGCGGGCCUCUACCCCUGGAAUUACACCUUUAAAGGUGGUUUUGGUUGGCUUGAUCCGUGAGGGAUCUAUGCCCAUUUUGCACACUGUGUCCUGAUAGAGCAGGUUCAGGCUACUACCACCGUCCAUGAGGACUCGCGUGAGAUGGAAUCCGUCGAUGAUUGGGUCAAGGACCAAUGCAGUUGAGCCGCCGUAACAGAUGCUGGUGGGAUGGUCCCUACGAUCGAAGGUGAUCUGGCAGGAUGACCAUGGGUUGAACUUUGGGGCGACAGGGUCCAUCGCAUAGACGUCCCUAAGUGCAUGCUUUCGCUCCCGUUUGGGGAUGUGAGUGGCGUAGAUCAUGUUUACCGUUUUCACCUGGGGGUGGAAUUUCUUCUGUCCCCCAGUGUUCGGAUGCCGGGGCUCCUCGUCAUCAUCACUGUGCAGCCCCUUGUCCUUGUUCUUGACAUUUAUCUUGCCAGCCUGUUUGAACACCUAGCAAUCUCUGUUAGUGUGAUUGGGUAGUUUAUCAGGGGUGCCGUUAAUUUGGCACGAGCAGUCGAGUAUGCGGUCCAGACUGGACGAUCCCGGAUUGUUUCUUUUAAACGGCUUCUUCCGCUGAACGGAUUUGGAGUUGCUGAAUCCGGCAUUGACUGCCGUAUCUUCGGCAUUGUCGCCAUUGUUCUGUCGCUUAUGUAUAUUGCGCCAUGGCUUUCCGUUACUGUCGCGGAUAUCUGAAGUGCCAGAGUUUUCUGUCGCGGUGUUACUGCGAGCCCGCCAGCUGUCCUCGCCCACGCAAAAGUGGGUCAUUAGUGUCGUGAGGGCCUCCAUGGACUUCGGUUUUUCUUGGCCAAGGUGUCGGGUAAGCCACUUGUCGCGGAUAUUAUGCUUAAAGGGCGCCAGGGCCUCGGCAUCCGGACAUUCGACAAUUUGGUUCUUUUUAGUUAGGAACCGAGUCCAGAAUUUCCUGGCUGACUCUCCAGGCUGUUGGGUAAUGUGACUUAAGUCAUCAGCAUCCGGUGGUCGCACGUAGGUGCCCUGGAAAUUAUCCAGUAAUGCAUCCUCAAGAUUUUCCCAACUGCCAAUGGAGUUUGCUGGCAGGCUAUUCAGCCAAUGUCUGGCUGGCCCUUUAAGCUUGAGUGGGAGAUACUUGAUGGCAUGUAGGUCAUCACCGCGAGCCAUGUGAAUGUGGAGAAGGAAAUCUUCGAUCCACACCGCGGGGUCUAUUGUGCCAUCGUAUGAUUCAAUGUUGACAGGUUUAAACCCUUAUGGGAAUUCAUGUUCCAUUACUUCAUCAGUGAACCAGAGGGGGUGUGCGUCGCCUCUGUGCCGAGCUAUGUCACGACUCAGUCUGGCUAGGUCUGGUCGGUUAUGUUCGGCCCGGCCAGAUUUAUUAUUAGUGUAUCCGGCAUGACGAUCAUCGUCAUGUGUUGUGGUGCGCCCUCGUGAUCCGUAGAUCGAUCUUGGUUGUCCUGCGUUGUUUUCCAAUGUGUCUCGCAGGUCCUACGUGUUGCCCCGGGCCGUAGUGAAUCAGCAUGGGGGUGCGGGCUGGUACGUCGUUUUAUCCCGGCCACGAGGUGGCCGGUCAGCCUCAUCUUGUGCUGGAAGUUUAGGCUCUUCGGUCUCUUCUUCUAGCGAUUUGUGCUUUGGGUAUCCCCUGAUGGGGGGCUCGAGUCCGUAUUCCUCGGCCGCCAGGACCUUGGUCCAUCUGUCCGUGAGCAGAUCUUGAUCAGCUUGGAGUUGCUGCUGCUUCUUUUUCAGGCUUCCUGCAGUGGCUAUAAGCCGGCGCUUGAAGUGCUCCUGCUCUAUGGGAUCCUCCGGUUCGCCGAAUUCGUCGUCAUCGAGGCUCACCUCGUCUUCGCAGGGAGGCAUAUAGUUAUCGUCCUCCAAGUAUCCGUCUGUCGCCUGUUCAUUUGGGCUUACGCGCCCGUGUUCCUGUUCGGCUUGCUCGAAGGUGGGCUGAUCAGGAUUGUAUUCCUCUUUGGCGCCAUCUGGAUUUUCUUCUCCAGUGCCGGUGUUGCUAUGGCAGGGCUUGGAGCGGCGCCGAUGACGCCCGUGCUUUGAUUUCUUCCCUGAGGGGUUAUCUCCUGUUGCCUCAUCGCCAUUGUUUUCUUUGGGUGUAUCCACCAUAUAUAUAUCAUAUGAAGAGGUGCAGUCCAACGCCCUGUGGGCGGUGGUUCCUGUUCUUCUCCCGCAUCGUCGUCUAUACUGUCGAUGUCUUCGGAGUCGAAGUUAAGCACGUCGGUCAGAUCAUCGACCGUGGCUAUGAAGUGGGUGGUGGGUGGGUGACGAAUUUCUUCGUCGCCUGCUUCCCACUUGAGCCGAACAUAGUUCGGCCAGGAAUCUCCUGACAGAGAGAGAGACCUUAAUGAAUUUAGCACAUCGCCAAAGGGGGAGUGCUGAAAGAUAUCCGCGGUAGUGAACUCCAUGAUUGGGGCCCAAUCAGAUUCGAUGGGCAUGGAUGCACGCGGUCCGGAACCCACGACCGAAGACAAGUCCGGGGGUCCGGAGACACAGAUCUCCUUAGGAGCGGAGUCUGUGUUCGGCUCCAACGCCGAUGAGUGUGCGGCCUCCGGGGCGGGGUCCAUCCACCCGUCCUCGGAAGGCAUGAUAUGCUCUGGAACGAAAUCUGGAGCCGUAGCAGGCGCGGUGUUCUGAAUACUAUCCAACGACAGAUCUACGUCAUGCACGUUGUGAUCGUUCGGCGCUCCUGACAUGGGCCCGAAUCCGCCGAAGAUCAAGUCUCCACGGAUGUCAGCAGUGUAUUUUAAGUUUCCAAACCUGACCUGACGGCCAGGGGCGUAGCUGUCGAUCUGCUCUAGAUGGCCAAGCGAGUUGGCCCGCAGUGCGAAGCUGCCGAACACAAAAAUCUGUCCGGGGAGAAAAUUCUCGCCCUGGACGGAGUUGUUGAAGGUUGGAGAAGCCAUCGAGCCUUACAGAGACGACACAGAGGAACUCUCAAUGAAAGCACCAAUGUCGGUGUCAAAACCGAUAGAUCUCGGGUAACAGGAGACUGGGGACACGAUGUUUACCCAGGUUCGGGCCCUCUCGAUGGAGGUAAUACCCUACUUCCUGCUUGAUUGAUCUUGAUGAUAUGAGUAUUACAAGAGUUGAUCUACCACGAGAUCAGAGAGGCUAAACCCUAGAAGCUAGCCUAUGGUAUGACUGUUGUUGUUGUUGUUGUUGUUGUUGUUGUUGUUGUUGUUGUUGUUGUUGUUGUUGUUGUUGUUGUUGUUCUUGUUGUGUCCUACGGACUAAACCCUCCGGUUUAUAUAGACACCGGAGGGGGCUAGGGCUAGGUUUACAUGGAGUCGGUUACAGAGAAGGAGAUCUUCAUUCGAAUCGCCAAGCUUACCUUCCACGCCAAGGAGAGUCCCAUCCGGACACGGGACGAAGUCUUCAAUCUUGUAUCUUCAUAGUCCAACAGUCCGGCCAAAGUAUAUAGUCCAGUUGUCCGGAUACCCCCUUAUCCAAGACUCCCUCAGGUAGGUUCACCACACCACUGGAUUACGGAUCAAGAACAGAAGCAUACAUGCAGUGCAAAAGAAGAUCACUUGCUCUGUAUAGUUUAAUUUACAUGGUAUGAAGAAGGAACUUGGUUGUACAACUGAAAACUUAAAUUGAGAAGGACAAACUUUUGUUUAUGAACUACAUAAUAAACUUUAAACAUGCAAUUUGAUGCAAACACCAAAAAUAAAUAGCUGUUGCAGUCAUGCCUAACCAAAUAUACACAACAAAGUUUGAAGGCUUGAGAAGGACAAACUUACAUUANNNNNNNNNNNNNNNNNNNNNNNNNNNNNNNNNNNNNNNNNNNNNNNNNNNNNNNNNNNNNNNNNNNNNNNNNNNNNNNNNNNNNNNNNNNNNNNNNNNNNNNNNNNNNNNNNNNNNNNNNNNNNNNNNNNNNNNNNNNNNNNNNNNNNNNNNNNNNNNNNNNNNNNNNNNNNNNCUUUAUUCUACAUUUUGUUAAGAGUAAAUAUCGAUGUGAUAAUAUAAGAAAAAAUGGAGAAUAUUUAAGAUAAGAUGAAGAGUUAUGCUACAUAACCAAGUAUCUAUAAAUGUAAGUACAUCGAUACAGGCAAAAGGUACAACCAAGAGGAAUGUAGAGCUAAACUUCUUCAGUACCAUCGGUGUUAUCCAACCUUAUGGUAAGAGUAAAUAUAGGUCUGAUGUGUAGAAAAUGGAGGGCAAAGGAAAAUAAGCUGCAGAGUGAUGGUACAUGAACAACUACCUGUCAAUAUAAGUACAAUGAUAAAGGGCAGCAGGUACUUAUAAGAACAAUGCAGAGCUAAAAAAUUUCAUUGUCUUGGAUAUAUUCUACACUAAUGUAACAAUUCAUACAUAUCAUAUAAUUUGGAGUGAACAAUUGAUAAGCAAGCUAUCAUGCAUACUGCUGUCACAUAAUGAACCAGGUAUGUAUGCAAGUACGUUGAUACACGACAACAUGUACUAACAAGAGCAAAGCAGCGGGCAGCAUAUUUGCGAUAUAAUGUCGUUCUUUUCAAAUCGGAAUUCUUCUUCGAGCAGAUUUCUUGCAAAAAAGAUCCGUAAGGCACAUACGGAAAAGUAGAAGUUCAAAUUGUCAUGUGAUAUCAUAGACAGUACCUCAUCCUGGGAACGAGACAAAAGCAUAACAAGGUUUUUCCAUUCAAUGUCUUCUAAAUUUAGCACAUGAGACUUCACCGGAAAUUUGUUUAUAGACUUGCCAUCAAAGUGUGAUUUCCUCAGGUAACACUGAUACUGCUGCAAUGCUUCCUUGAAAAGCGCAAGCAAGCUUUGCUUGUCAUGACUAUCCAGAUUGACCCUUGCCUACUUACAACGAUGUAAUGUAAAUCAUUGAUAUGUUCAAUCAGCAGAAAACAUGACAAUAAUCACCAUGAAUAAUAGCACUUACAGGUAAGUGGGAUAGGAAUAUGUGAAAAUGGUGUUUUUCUUCACUAUAAUAUUCCCAUGAUGGGAUUAUAUGCACAUAGUCCCUAACAACAUUGAAAGCAUUGCCUUUUAAGCCGGGAAUAACUAGAAUGGGGUCCUAAUAUUCAGGAAUUGGCCGUCUCUGCAGUUGGGAUAGGUCUUCGGCCGGUGGACUUGCUGUACUUUUUGUUGGAGUGGGAUUUUUCUAUGGUAUGGCUAGUGCUAUGGCAACUGAAAUCCGCAUACCUUUUUCUGGAGUGCAGGUCCUGUGUGGUGGGGCUUGUGGUGUGGCAGUGAAGUAUGGGUACAGUCUGCUGGAGUCGGUCCUACAUUUUGUGUCAUGGUUGUACAACCAAUAUAAGUGGGGUUGUCUAAUUUCUGCGGCACCACCACAUUUUUCAAAGACUUUGCUAGUGCUCCUUCAGGUUCGGCAAUCACCCUCUUCCUUUUUGAUUUCUGAUGCACAAGAACAUCAUUUGAGUGAAAAAACAUGGUAUGAUGACAGAUGGAAUGUGUAUUGAUAAUGGAUGGGCAUGGCAUCUCGACAUAUAUGAUGAGUAAACUAAGCAUAUGGCGGUGCAACAAAGUAGAAGAAAUGCAAGAAAACAUAUGCAAGAUACGCGCACUCAAUAAAACCUUGCCAAAUUAGAACAUGCACCUUGAUGGGUGAACAGGACAGGCCAUCUGCCUUUGACUCCUCGAGGUUAGAAUAGUCAUUAGGAUCAAAUUCUGAACAAGAAUCUAUAGGUGGGAAGCGUAUGAGUUUCGUUGCAUCCAGAAUGGCACUCAACACCUUGAUGCCAAUUUUGCAAGUCAUUGCAGUGUUCCACAAUAUUCUUCUGAUGCACGGAUUCUGAUAUUCACUGUAAUUACGUAUAAUAUCUGAGAACCAUGAAAACAUAAAUAGUAGUGAGAUUAUCUUUCUAAUGCAGAGGAUAUUCUAAUAUAGGGGCGCCCCAGUAAACACUUGUGUGCUAUCACUGGAUUCUGAUGAGAGAGCUCAUGUGGGCUGCAAUAUGGUGCGUGCAUUAAUAUAAUCUGGCACAAGUACACAAAAAAUAGGCUCCAGAAGUAAGGAUAGUUGGCAGAUGAUAGGUUCAUAAUAUACGGUAUAGCGAGUUUAUUGCCAAACCAUGAUAACAAGAGCACACAACAACUAGGCAGAUCAUAGUGUACAUAAAAGGGGUACACCAUAACCAUGAUAUAUAAAUCAGGAAAGUGGAACUGGCUGGAAAAUACGGUGUUGUAUUGCCGCUAGUAAUUGAAAGCCUAUCGAUCACGUACAUGCCAGCUCUAUCAAUUGUUGACUGCAGAUGUCCCUGCUCCCCUUCCUGACAAGGAACAUAUUGUACGUACUAAAUACAGAUUAACAAAAGAGGAACAUGUUAAAGAACAGAAGAGGAAGCAUAUUCUUGAGGUUCCGCUUCAUUGCAUACAAUGUUGGUUGCCCACUCAUGAUGAAUCACAGCGCCCAAAGAAAUGCAAUUCCAUGUUGUCUCUCUAUAUGUGGCCACAUGCAUUUGGAAAAUCAAGUGGGAGCAUUACCUGACCAAUUAAAUGUGUGUCUGAUAACUAAUAUCAGUAUCAUAUCACUAUUUGUAUUUGAAGAAGUAAGCUUUGGACUUAUGAUUGGUGUGUUUAGCUUCAAGAGUGGACUACUGCUAGUGCGACACAAAGCAGCUACACAGAUCAUAGUGUAGAUAUAACGGGAAAACCGUAAGCAUCAGAGUAAAAUCAGCAAAGUGGAAGUUGCUAGAAUAAAUGUGCUAGUAUUGCCGAUACGGCUAGAAAGGCUUCAGAUACCAGCCUUCUUCAACUGAAGGUGCGUUACUGUUAAUAUCAGUGUAACUCUCAAUGGCGACACAACUCCCCGCAUUUCCUUGCUAUUCUUAUAGGAUUCAAGUGGGCAGGCCACUACAAAUCCUAUUCCUAUGUUUACAAAAUCCUACGAAUCAAAGAGGCCCGAAGAGUUCAAAGUGUCCAUCACAACCGACCGUAUAGACCUCUACACUGCAAAUGUCCCCGCUCAUCUUCACUAAAAGGAACAUACUGUACUACUAUCAUACUCCCUCCGUUCCAAAAUAUAAGUCUUUGUAGAGAUUUCCACUAUGGAUCACAUACAGAUGUAUGCAGAUACAUUUUAGAGUGUGGAUUCACUCAUUUUUCUCCAUAUGUAGUCCAUGGUGGAAUCUAUACAAAGACUUGCAUUUAGGAAUGGAGAGAGUACUUAUUAAAGAAGAACGAAAUAGGAACAUGCUAAAGAAGAGCAAGUAGAUUUUGGAUAAUAAAAUGUUCCUUGCACAGUGCCCACACAUGAUGAACCAGAGCGCAUUAAGAAUGCAACUCCCUGCUAUCUCUCUAUAUGUGGUGCACAUGCUUUUCGAAAGUAAAGUAGGAACAUUAGCUGACCAAUUAAAUGUUAUCUGUUUUAGUAAUAUCAUCAUCAUAUCAGAUUCGUAUUUGAGCAACAAGUUUGGAAUUAUGAGUGGCACGUUGUUUAGUUUGAUGGAUUUAGGAGCAGUGCUAAGUAGGUACAAUGAUGGUACUAAAUAUAAAGGCAUGUAUGCAUGCAAGUCGUGUGACUUUUGUCAUUUGGGUUAGUCGACCAUUUUAGGCGGUUGGAUGAACAUCCUACGUCUCCUAACCCUUUUUCUUCCUCGUAUCUGAUUCUUCCUAUACAGAACACCGCACGGGCCGCCGGCCGGACCACCGUCCCCCACCGCCUGUGUUCCUCCGCCACCCCCACCCCCACCCCUGCGCCCACUCGCAUCGAGUUUUCUUCGCUCGGCAAGGCGCCACCACCGCCCCCACAACCACCGUCCCCACCCGAGCCCCUUCCUUUGCACGGGCGAACUCCGGCGAGCUUUGAAAAAUCGACUGACCCAAUUUUGAAAUUUAGUCUACUGUCAUUUAACUAGUGUGGAAUAUAAAAGGGGAAAACCAUAAUCAUUGCGAGUAUAGUGUUGAGCGUGCCAUGGCGGAUCUGAAGGUGCAAACCGGACAAAGGAAACUUCGCAAUGAAUGUUUGCUUUCAACUAACAAGUGAUGGACAAGAAAUCAGAGUAAAGCAGUGGCGAUCUAUUUUCUUGCUGGGAUAAAUAAGUUGAGCAGAUACAAAAGAGUACUGCCUCUAGUGCGGCGUCGUGUAUGCAUCUGCUGAGAAUUUGACGGUGCUGCGGUAGCGAUGGCUGUCGGCAGUGUGGAAGCAAAUCUAGGAGGGUAGACGGUGGCGGCGGGGCACGGUGGACGAUACGGUCGUAGGAGCGGCGCCGACAAGGUGGACGACGACGGGGAUGAAGUGAGAGGACGGGAUGCAAGGAUCCCGGUCUGAAGCCGUGGAUGAGAGAGGUCGAUCUCUUGUAAUGGACAACAACGUCGGGGUAUCAGCUCCGGCAUGGUGGAGGAGGACGGCGGUGGAUGGGGUGGCGGACGGAGGAGGCUGGGGUGGAGAGGGUGUUUUGGCGCCCACGGAGUACGAAUGGGGAAAUGGAGGGAGAGAGGAAGGGGGAACCAUGUCUUCAGGGCGAGCUUGUCUCAAAUGUGAGGAAAUUUACAAACUUAGCCCCCGUUUCAAACUACAUCACAACAAUAUUAGUCGGUUGGGGAUAGGACGGUAAUGUCGCAUACACCGAGUAUUUGCCAACGAGAGUUUGUUUUUGGCGCCCACCGUGUAUGAAUCGGGGAGGGAGUCAAUUUCGGCUGAGGAGACACCGUGUUUUGGCUCCCACUGUGUAUGAAUCCGGGUGAGAGGCGGUUAUGUCACGUUUGAGUGAAAUUACAAACCUACCCCUAUCAAAACCUAUAGAAAUCUAGCCGAUUGGCUUUGCAUGGCAGGGAUAGGCAGUAAUUUCCAUCUCGCAGAUUUUGGUUUCGGGCGAUUACUGUGACUUUCCCCGCUCCGUUUAAAUAUUGCAGAGUGCAUGUUUACCGUGCCAACUCAAUUCGAAUGCCGUUUUUAUUCUAUUUUUGUUCGGGCAGGAUCCAUUUUCGAUUGGAAUAAAAUUCUAUAUACAUCAUUUUUUUAUAUAUACUUUCAAAAGCACAACAAAGAAUCCUCCUCCUUUAUAUGUAUAAUAUUAUUUACAAAUACAAUGAUCUCAAAAUCAUAAGGUUCAAUUCAAAAAUUUUAAACCAAAUUAUGUUCUACAAAAAUGUAUGGAUCAGUAAUAUCUACAUAUUAAAUAACAUAGAUGCGCGUGAAUUCAUAUGGUAUGCAUGUUUGAUAGAUCAAUUUUGGUUCGAGUAUGAAUUACAUGUAUCAUUAUCUCGAAUUCAAAUAUUUGAAUCCCUUUUAUGUGGACUCCUUUCACGCCCAUCUCUCUCACAUGCAUGCUCCUUCAUGUAGCUAUCACUCUCUUUUCUCCAGCUCACCCGCACGCUCACUUCAUGUUUCUCCUAUAAUCGCAAACAUGGUCUCUCGACGUCUCCCUUGAGAAGUGUCACACUCUCCCUAUCAUUAUACAUUACAUGGUUUUCAUUAUCUCUCACAUCUCUACUGUUCUCUGGUAUCACUAGGUACCUAAGCUUUCUUUUUCACUGCCACACACACAGUCUCACUCGUCUUUCACUUUGUCUUUCUCUCUAUGAGAUUCUCUCACACACCCUAUAUGUCUCUAGAUAUGACUCAUACCACUAAAAUUACUCUCUCUCCUACAGACACAACAUUUGUUGCGGUCUCCUUUCCGUCUCCAUCCCAGUUAUAAAACUAACAUUAUUCAUUUGUUUACCGAUCAGACAAACUCCCCCCCUCUCUCUCUCACACACACAACUCCUGCUUCCACUCCCCUUCCUGACUACCGUCUCUCUCUCUCACACACAAAACUCUCGCUUUCGCACCCCUGACUCGUAUUUCUCUCACAAACAUUUAUUGACUAGCCUCUAGAUAGGUUUAUACACCCGCACACUCGUGCUUCCACUAUCGCAUACAUGUCUCUCUCCCGCUCCUUGUAUCUAUGUAGAUUUUUCUUCCCUUCUUGAGACACACCCUCUCGAUCGUGCACACACACACACUAUUGCCUCAUUUUAAGCUGAUACCUCUCGCACACACACUCUUUGUGUCUUUGUCACACAUGCACUCCGUCCUCCUCCUCUCUCCCUCUCUCUCUCACACACACAUGGGCGUUUUGCAACAACUAGCAAGAUGCCCAUGCGUUGCACGGAACAUCAAGAUGCAUUUGUAUGAGUAGUUUAUCUUGUGGGAGAAAAGGAUGAACGAGGGAAGGCCUUAUUUGCAAAUGUGGAGAGGGUGUGGGAAUCUUUUUGCAAAAUUUCCAUAGUUUGCUUCCUAUCCAUCAGAUAUAGAUCAGAUGGCCUAUAUUGCAGGAUGGCAGGCACACCAUCAUCACCGACUAUGCUUUUUACAAGAGUAGGGACAAAAACAGAGUUUGGUGAUGAUGGUGUGCCUGCCAUCCUGUAAUAUAGGCCAUCCGAUCUAUAUCUGACAGAUAGGAAGGAAACUAUGGCAAUUUACCCGCACUCCUCUCCACAUUUGCAGAUAAGGCCUUCCCUCGUUCAUCUUUUUCUCCCACAGGAUCUUGAUGUUCCGUGCAACGCACGGGCAUCUUGCUAGUAAGAAUAGAAAUUAGACAUAUACCACUUCUCGAAUCUUGAAACCAACAAUGUUCCUCCCUUAUCUCAUCAAAACCGCCAAAGGAAUAUAUUUUGAGUGAAACAUAACAUAUUUUUAGUGAUAUACGUAUUUCAAAACUAGACUCUUUUUUCUAUCAAAUCGGUGAAUAUGUAUUAAUCUACUUUGAUCGUGUGGCAAUGCAUGGCACAUUGCUAGUAGUUAUUACCACUGUAUAAUUUUUUGGACACCAGACAAACGGUGGAGUACAUAUAUGAAGAGAAGAGGCGCACACAAGCAGUCGGUCUCUCGCCGUCUCGCACACAUGAGAGUUACAUAAAGGCACCAUUAACAAAUAAACCCUAAAACCCUAGGUGCACGAUUGCUGCAUGCGCGGGUACCGGGUACGUGGUGGAGCGCACCUUUGUAGGAAUAGUCAGCUCGCGUGAUAAUUUGAUCCAUAGGAUUUGAUGGUCGGGACCACUAGUGAAUGACCUGGAGGCUGUGGCUCGCCAGUUCCCACAGAACGAGUAGCCACGUUUAAAAUAUCAUUUUUUUAGUAGGGUAAGAGUUCUGAUUUUCAAGGGCGCGUUAUAAGUACUAAGUAGUUUUUAGAACGAUUGGUAUGGACUGAAAAUGGAAUUCAUAACUACUACCUCCUUGGCGUAUGGUUGUAUGGGUUUAUGUUGCGAAAUGUUGGACCUGGUAGUUCUAGGGAAAAUACUAUGGUUUAGAUGUUGGUUUCCAGUAAUGAAAAUCAGAAGGGGGAAACCCUUCUUUGAUAAAAAAAAAGAAUCUACUACCUCCGUUCAGGUUUACUAGUGCCCGUCGUAUUUUGGGUCAAAGUUUGUCCAUGAAUUUUACUUGUAAAAUGUGAAUGGAAAACGAGACUUUGUUAUACCCAAACAAAAAAGGACUGGAGGGAGUGAUUGCUCUGACACGGAUGCGACCUCUCAUAGCGCAGGCAUUGAACCGGCGCGCCGGCCAAGAGGGCCCCACUCAUUGUAGGCCUGGCUGAACACGCCUCCUCGCCACAUGCAACCGGCUUCAGACUGCCCCGCCUGUCUCCAUUGAAUCCACGCAUGUGCCGGCAACACGUCCUUCCUCGAGUUGACUGGCAUUUUAAAACACAAAAAAUGACCAAAAUAUAAUUAAUUACGCAUGGUCUUGACUUGUUGUGUUUGCACUGGUAGCAGGAACUAGAGGUUUUUCUUUAUUUAUAACUCUCCUCACAUUUUUUUAGCUUUGAAGUGAAUGAUGGUUGCGGACAUUAUUUAUGAAUGUGCAGAUAUCUGUGAACAUGAGUUUGAUGUGGAAUUUGAACUUGGAAUGUCAGGCUUGCGCGUGAACUACACCAUGUCCAAUGCUUCGUAUGUUAUUGUUUGGAAAGUAAUUGUUUUUAUUACAUGACCCGAAAAAAAUUUAUUUUGUGCCACAUCAGUAGAUGCACGGACUUCAUAACAGGCAUGCUGACUGGAUAAACAUUUGAACCUAGCUAUUAUGAAGGAAAUUUUGUAUUGACAACAGUUUUAGAUAGCAGGAGACGCCUAGCCUGCUCUACCUCUGCUGGCUUAUUUCUGGCUUCUUCCAUCUCUUCUUUGGCUUGGGUGAAGAGAGCAUCUGAUUGCUCUUUUCGCUUCUUCAGGAACUCAACUACUUUCUCAAGGGCCGUUGCACGCUUUCUUUCAGCAUUUAUAACAGCCACGAGGGCACGAACAACUGACGACUCCACCUGGCUUGUGUGUAAUCCAGCAUCAUCUGGGAUUUGCUCCUUGUUUCUAAUCCAGCAUCAUUAGGGAACUGGCACCUUGUGUGUAAUCCAACCUCAUUUUGGAAACAUGAUCUCGAGGUUGACCAUACUUACUUCCUUGCAGGAACUGCUCCUGACAUGAAGUUACUUCUGUUUUAGAUCAAUACUCAGAGCAACCCAGAUCCAUUUAGUAGAAGCCAGAUAAAAAGGACACGGAGAAGUGAAUUCAAAAGGAAAAAUAUAUAUAAAAAGAGACUACAAGGUGAGAACACCCACUUCCUACAUCAAGCUAAAAAUGAAAGCAUUAGGACUAUUAAGAAUCUUAUUGUUACACAUCGAAGAACACGAGAAUAAGAGAAACAGAAACUACAACAUAUACACAUCAAAGAACAUGACGCUAAACGAAAGUAAUUGAAAGGGUGUUACUUACCAAAGCUCAUUUUACAGUUUCGGUGCAGCUCCUCUUUAAAUUUCCAUGCUCCUUGAAGAUGUCCCCAAUAUCCCGUGUUUGGUCUUCUUGCUCCUCUGCAUGUUCGUACUCAUGGUUUUAAAAUCUCAACAUGGCAAGAAACAUAUACUACUAGUAAUACUCACACAUCUUGUGGGCAACAUUAAAGCACUCGUCUGCCAUGUUAGAGCAUCUCCAACAGAAGCGCAACACGCGGCGCUUUAAAAAAGCGUUUACAGUGCUGAGAUCGAGAAGUAGAGAUAGAGAGUAGAGACUAGAGAGUAGAGGAUAGUUCUCAGCAUAGAUAUAGCAUAGAUAGAUAAAAAAAUAGAUAAUUAAACUACUCCUCGUUGUCCGACUGCUCCUCGGUGAUGUCCUCCUUCGACGUCUGAAUGUAGGCGUGAAGAUACCAAUCAUCGUCGGAUUCCCAGGGCGACGCUGCUUCUAGCCUCAUGUUGAAUUGAGUGUCUGAUUUUCGCGUACGCUUGUCCUCGCGAUAGGUGGCUCGCUCCACCCUCCUCUUCUCCCUCUCCGCCCUCCUUUGCGCGUAGAACUAGCGCUCGUUGAUGAUGUCCUGCGAGAAGCAUUGGCGCCACAUCGCCAUGGCUUCCUUGUCAAUCUCAGCGAUGCCGAGAUGGUGCUCCCGCCUCUGGUUGUCGCGACGAUCCUCGUCGGUGAUAAGCCGUGGCAGAGGCGCGAGCUCCUGCGCUUGCUCCCAUGUCGGCAUGUUGGGGAAGUUCAAUGUUCUAUGAGGCCACCGGAGGUGCCACAUCGCCGCGUCAUACGCACGGGCGGCCUCGUUGGUGGUGUCAAAAUUUCUGAGGCCGAGGCGCAUCCCGCGGAACCGGAUCUCGGCGGAGAAGUCGCCGGAGGGGCACGCGCGAAUGCCACGGUAUCCCCAAGUUUCCCGGCAACGCGGCGGCAUGGUGGCGCGGCAGCGGCGAGGUGAGAAAGAGCGGGGAGAGAGUGGUGGUGAGGCACAUAGCGGGGCAGAGCGGUGGCAAGGCACAAAGCGGUGGGAGGGCGUUGGAUUUUAUGAAGUGCGCCGAAUGCCGCGCGCCAAAACUAGCACACGCCCGGCCGNNNNNNNNNNNNNNNNNNNNNNNNNNNNNNNNNNNNNNNNNNNNNNNNNNNNNNNNNNNNNNNNNNNNNNNNNNNNNNNNNNNNNNNNNNNNNNNNNNNNNNNNNNNNNNNNNNNNNNNNNNNNNNNNNNNNNNNNNNNNNNNNNNNNNNNNNNNNNNNNNNNNNNNNNNNNNNNNNNNNNNNNNNNNNNNNNNNNNNNNNNNNNNNNNNNNNNNNNNNNNNNNNNNNNNNNNNNNNNNNNNNNNNNNNNNNNNNNNNNNNNNNNNNNNNNNNNNNNNNNNNNNNNNNNNNNNNNNNNNNNNNNNNNNNNNNNNNNNNGAUCCUUUCCCGACGUCCUUGCUACCUCUACUCUCUUCUCUAAUAUUAUAUUUAUGUUAUAUUUUAUAUUUAUCUCUACUUCUCUACUCGCUACUUUUUUCUUUUAAAAACAGAGUUGAUGCUGAUGGUGUGCCUGCCAUCCUGCAAUAUAGGCCGUCCGAUUUAUAUCCGAAAGAUAGGAAGGAAACUAUAGCAAUUUUGCAGAAUAUACCCACACCCUGCUCCAGAUUUGCAAAUAAGGCCUUCCCUCGUUCAUCCUUUUCUCCCACAAGAUAAACUACUCAUACAAAUGCAUCUUGAUGCGUGCAACGCAUGUGCAUCUUGCUAGUUCUAAAAAACUUUCCAUCAUUUGCCACACUACUUGUUGUAGAUGAAGAACCUACCCAAGCACAACAUGAUAUAGGAGCGACGCACAAGUACAAGCUGAUAUUCUGUUGGACAAUGGAGGCUAUAACCAAUUACUUUUAUGGGAACAAUAUCAACCAGGAAAUUUGAAGGGUAGGUAUGAACAAAAUUGGAACUGCACAUGUAUUGCUAAGUGAUUCAAUACACACAUUACCAAUCGAGGAGGAGAACGAUGGUCGUGGCGGCCUCUGUGCAUCAUGGUCGGCAACGGGAGUCAGUUCAUUUUCCACGACGGUGGUGCUUCUGCGCUUGCCGUCGGCUUCCGGGAAGCAGAUCCGAGACCGUGGAAGACGGUGCUGGGGAAGAGGCUCCGUGUAUGACGACGAUGAUGGACCGGCUCCAGUGCGGCAUAUGAGGUCAUCAAGGAGGCAGAUGCGUUGUGGUGGAUGAGUGCUGAUGUAGAAGGGGAGGAGCAUGAAGGCCGCGGUGCCGUGGAUAAGUCUAUUUUGUGGUGGUGAUAGAAAAUGGGGAGUAUUCAGGUGUACUACUCUAGGUGUCAGGGUGGGGUUGGCUGGGUAGGGUGAACCUGAAGUUACGAAAAUAGCCCCUACCAAGCGUCAUCCGUAGGCUGUUCCGAAGGCUAUGAUGGUAACUUCCCACUACUCGAAUCAGGGUCGCGGGAGAUUUUUCCGCCGACCUGAAAAUUUUGUGUCACUGAACUCCCCGUGUGUCGUGCUAGGUGAUUGGGCUAAGAAACUCACGAGUAGUACUAGUAACUACUAGUACUCCCUCCGUUUUUAUUAACUAUGCAUAUUAGGUUUGACCGAAGUCAAACUUCCUAAAGUUUGACCAAGUUUAUAGAAAAAUAUAAACAUUUACCAUAACAAAUAUGUAUGAUGUGAAAGUACAUUCAAUAAUGAAUCUAAUGGUAUUUAUUUGUUAUUCUAUAUGUUAAUAUUUUUUGUUAUAAAAUUUCUAACAGUUUACAAAACUUGACUUUGACCAAUGCUAAUACGGGGACUUAAAUAAAAACGGAGGGAGUACACAUUUGUUUUAUUAGUUUGUAGUGAAUUAAUCAUUUUUUGUAAUUGUGAAAUAAAUAUAUUAGGCUACUGACUUCGAAUGUAAUGCUCUAUACAAUUCAAUAGUUACAAUCAUUGUUGAACUCCAAGAUGCAUAUGAGGUCUAUAGUACUUCACAAUAUGCACAAACUCACAUAAUCCCAGUCAAAUGAGAAUCUAAAUGCAUUUCAUAGUUAUUACUUUGUAGGAUGGAACAAAACCAACCAUAACUCUAUAUCCUCCAUUAUAAAAGAAACAUUUUGAACACAUCCCAAUGUGUGAAUGAAACGUGUAGAGAGAGCUUGCAAAGAUGGAGCAGAUAGGGCGGGAAAGAUUGUAUGUAUGUGGACGAGAGAGUAGGAGACAAACCUAAUGAGACAGAGAGAGAGAGAGAUAGAGAGAGAGAAAGAGAGAGGAAGAAGUUAGGUCUGUGAGGAAGAUGGAUACAUGCAAUAUACGUGAGAUGCGUGUGCAUCCGGAUUCUGUACACGUGGAAGGAGAAGAGACAAUAGGUUUGAUGAGAGAGCUGGAAAAACAUGAACGAGAGGGGAAGGAUCUCGUGGGUUGAGGGAUUGAUAAUUUUGUGCGGGGGAGAGGGAUUGGUAAUUUUGUGCUGGAGAGAGAGGGCAGGGGGGGGGAGGAGUCAGUCAGCCGUCGUCACAUCAUCCUAUUUCCAAAUGGCCCCGCAUUCUAUAGUGCAGUGUGGUCCCCGUCUUCGAUCUCCUCGAUGCCCUCUUUGAAGAUUGAUGUGUUGUGCAUGCUGGGGUGCAGAGAAGCACAGGCGAGAAUGGUUGCCAUAUAACCUUGGAUGGGGAUGAAUUGUGUGCUCGGGGGAGUCUCUGUGUGUGUGUGUGUGUGUGUGAUAUUGAGAGAAAACAAACUUAUGGAGAGAAAUGUGUGUGUAUGCGACAGAAAGCUACAUGCUAAACAAGGUUUUCAUGAAGAGAUUGUGCGUGUGAGAUAGAGAGCGAUGUGCGGGCCUUGAGGUGGGCAGGGGCCGGGUGAGGGUGCCAAAAUGUGUGCGUUGAUGCAUGUGUUACAUGCGAUCGUGCGAGGGAUGGCCGAAUAGAGAGAGAUGGUUGUUGUGUUACGGAUGUUCCUCUCUCUCUCUCUCACACACACAAGUAAAAUAGAAGAUCGUUCUCUCAUGUAUACACAAUGUAUCAGCAUCUGUCUAUGUCUCACUCAUGCAUGAUCAUUUGCACAUUCACACCUCUCUAUGUCUCUAUCACACGCACACCGUCUCCACACUGCCCUUCCGCCACAACACACAUAUGGACACAUACACACAUUCUCUCUCAGUCACACACACAAAAUCGGUAUUAGAAAAAAAACUAGGGCGCACCUAAAACAUCCAAAUCCAAAUAAACACGAACUGGAGCUAAAUUCAAAUAUAUGGAAAUAUUGUAGCAUCAAGAACUUUUCCAGGAAAAAAGGUUGAGUAAGAUUCAGGGAUUGUUUUCACACUCACAAAAAGGUUCGGUGGAUGUACUUCGAGCGCGACAUGGUGAUGCACCGUUCGAUCGACCACGCGGCUGUGGUUCACGCGCUUGCACAGGAUUCCGUAUCGUGGUUGUGGUAACUAAUAUAAGCGCUGCCUCAGUCUGAUGUUUACGUGUACUAUUACGGUUUUCUUCUAAGUUUGACCAACCCUAUAUAAAACUAAACUAAGCUCCCAUAUGCGCACUCAUCAAUAUGCCGCCGCCGCUGUUGCGCAUGCCGGUGCCCGCCUGCUCCGGCCAACAAUUUCUCUCCCAUCACCGUCGUGUCGCUGCCAUCCCUGUGCCAUGAAGCCGAAGGCUCGCCCGCUCACGUCGUCUACAGUCCCUCCUCGUGAUGCCGCCGCGCUGCCAAGCACGCGAGUAACUGGUGGAGCCGCAUCUAUGCACGCAGCAUACAAAGAGGAGGACGAGCGCGUGCUCCAGCACACCGAAGAGGAGGAACUAGCGUGUCAUUGUUGUCUCCGCCCGCACGGAGGAGGCGCGCAUGGUAGCUGUCGCGGCGGAAGCCGGUCGCGCCCACGCCGAGCCCGCAAACUGGGUGUGGUCGCGGAAUCUACCUUCGAGACCUUGAAUGCCACGUGGAUCCUGCAUUCUAAAGGAGCAAUUUGGGUCAGUCGACUCUUGUGAGCCGUUGGAUGCAACGUGGAUGGCAAGAAAGGCUUCUUCAACCUCCGAAAUAGAUGCACGGUUCAUCUUCUCAGCCUGCCACACGCCUAACCACCUGCUGCCGCCGUCUCCCUGAACCGCCUGCUACCGCCAUGCUCCCCCACCCCCGCCAUCCUUUUAACCCAGGGCAUGAUCCAUUUUUUCAGUGAACUGCAUUCCACACCCAACACUCAUAAGAUAGAUCAUGGGCACCCUGCCACCCUAAUGUAGAUACUGGGGUAGCUUCUCUGUCGUGUUCUUCCUUCGCUCCGUUGAACUUCUUUCACAAAUCGACUGACCCAAAUUAUACUACUAGUAUGAAUGUAUUAAGUAAAGUAGGAACACGAAUAUACGAGCAGUAGUACCAACUACAAGAAGAACAGUAGUAAGACAUAGUACUAGUACUACUGUACGUACUUAAGAGUUCAAAUAACGAGAAAGAACAUAAAGUUCAAAUAAUGAGAAAGAACAUAAACAUAGUUCUGCUGGGGGCUCAGCACAACACACCCCUGAAAUAAAACUAAGCAACUAGUCUGCUUGACACUACAGUAAAACUAGCAUGAGAGACGACACUGCCACCUUACUCGAAGUACGAGUCCACGUCCUCGACUUCAUCCUUGUCCCUCUUCCUCUUCCUCUUCGCCGAUGCUUCUUUGCUUGAACCAGACACUGGGCUCUGCUUCUUCAUCCAACCCUUGUAGAUAUUUAAACAAAGGUAGGCAUCCAUUGCUGCGUACAUGAUGUGAUCUUCAUCUAAUGUCUUCGACUCCCAUGCAUGAUGAAACUCGUGGUGAGGUUUCUUCACUUUAGUGUACGAAGGAUUAAUCAUGGCUGCUGCUAGGGUCAGGAUUGAAGGCUGAGAGGAGGACACCAGGCUUGCCUUCUGGAGAUCGAAGGGCUGGCCUACAACGAGGCCUAUCCUACCCAGGACAUCCCUGUCGUUCCUAAAGUCUAUAGUAACAAAUUUCACUCUUUCGUCCUUGAGGAAGUUCUUAAAAUCCUGGCACUCAACAUCGGCAUGGCAUAUGUGGUAGACCAAGCACACGUUAUGUACGCAAACCUGGAUCAUGGCGGGCUUCUUAUUCUCUGCCUCCUUUAGAAUCUUCUCUCUUUCCAGGACUGUGGUGUACUCAACAUCUAGCCCAGCGACCUACUCAUCCUUUGAACUGUUGAACAUGCGUAGGAAGCGAGCAAGGUAUGCUUUCACCAUCGCGGAUCCACGUGUGUAGAUGACGAUGAACUCAUCGCCGGUGAUGGCUCUAACCUGGUACUCAGCGGCGACCAUGGAGAUUUGGGAGGCCAUGGAUUUUGGAGGAGGGUUAGGAGAAGUUGAACUGGUGUAAUGUGAAAGGACAGGACGACUGGGAUCGAACUGUUGGAAGGUACUGUACUAGUAGACGACGGGGACGAGUAGGGCGUGCGAACGGCAUGGGGUUGUUGGCUUGGCCGGUGGAUAAACGGCUGCAAGCCCCCAAAGAGUUCUCGAGAACUAUGCAGGACCCACUAAAUGUCAUGUCUACUAGAACCAUAUCGUAGGCCUGACAGUAUAGCUUCUGCCUGUUGGCACGCCAUGCCGACGCGUGGAUGUAACUUCACUUAAUUCCGUCAAUCGUCGUGCCUCCCAUGACCUUCGCCUCAAUCGCGCGGUCACACCCUUUGAGACUUCGGCCUGCUAUAAAUGAGCAAUUUUUUUUGCCUACUCCGCAUGCAUGAUACUCCCUCUGGUCCUUUUUACUUCCAUCAACCGUUUGCAAAGUGUUUGACCACAUUUAUACUAAAAAUAUCAAUAUCUACAAUACUUAUUAUAAUGAGUAUAAGAACUACAUUUUAUAAUGAGUAUAAAAAAUAUUGAUUUGACAUUGUGAAUGUUGAUACAUUUUUCUAUAAGUUUGGUCAAAGUAGAGGUACAUUGACUUCAGACAAAACUUAAAUGCACAAUGCAGACUAGUUCCUCCGUCCAGGUGCGUGUCAUGUCCUAUCUAGUCAUCACAACAAGGUUAGCUAUUAGAGUACUACUACCUCCCUUCUAGUUUAGAGGGCUCGAUUAAAAAAAAUCAUCUAAUCUUAGCAAGAUAGAGGCAGUGGAAUAGUUUUUGUUGUUUGCAAAAGUACUCAACUAAUGUUGUCGUUCUUCACAAAAAAUGUGUUUACCAAUGCAUUAUUGCAUUGCAUGCAUGCGUGAACACUAUUUACUCUAACCCCCUCUCUUCUUUAAUUCUUUGCCACAUCAGCAUGCAUGUUCGCUAUUCCCGUGUGCAUGAUACCAGCAAAGAUACCACCUGUCGGAUUUUGGGUUCUGGCAGACCCUUGAGGUUCGAACUCUGGGGUGCGCGCGAAGAUCUCUCCCCUACCAACUCACGUCUGGAAGCCUCGUAGGAAUCUAGGCUACACGAUGAACAACACAAGGGACACAAGGUUUAUACUAGUUCGGGCCACCGUUGUGGUGUAAUACCCUACUCUAGUUUGUGGUGUUGUGGAUUGCCUCAGGGGCUGAUGAUGAACAGUACAAAGGAAGAACAAGCUCGCGAGGGAUGUUCUUGUGGUGGUGUUGUCCCUUUGGAGGGGUCGAUUCCCCAUGCCUCUAUACUAUGGUGGUUAGCCCUAUAUAUAGAUAGAGAGGUCCUGGUCCUCUUCUCAAAUAUUGAGCGGGAAGGGCGCCAACAAUUGGCCAUUUUGAAGGGGAACAUCUAGUACACUUAUCCUAACUAAUGUUGGUCUUCGACUGCCAAAGACUCUGAUGAUGACACCAUCUUGGGCUCCACGGUGACCUCCAUCCUGCCGCUCUGCUGGUCUUGGUCUUGUUGCACCGAAACGGUAACCUUUGCCUGAUGCCUUGGCCUAUGCUUGCUCCCUUUGCACCAAAGGGGAAACAAGGACACUGCGCAGGCCGGCGCCCGCCUGGCGUCCGCCUGGCCUCGAUCGUCAUGGCUUACGUCACGGGCACCUCGCGAGGUACCCCUGCCUUGAUCUCUCUGCCUCCUCACGAGCCUGCCUGACAAGGCUGCUCCUGAGGAAGCUUCCUGUCGUACGCCCCGCGAGGCUUGGCCCCUCGCAAGGGUCUUGAACUUGAGCUGAUGAAGGUGGGCCGCAUUGGGCCACUGCUUGAGCCACGCCGCAGGCAGGCAAGUCUGGGGACCCCCGUUCCCAGAACGCCAAUAGUAGCCCCCGGGUCCAAGGCGCGCCCGGACUUGGCUUAGCUGAGAAGCGAAGGGGCAAGUGCGAAGCGCCACGGGCCCCAACAGCCUGCGGCCUUGGGCGCCGCGUGGGGUUGAUUGGACGUGGGCGCCUCCGCUUUCCCACAACGCCUCGGCAACCGUCCGACAAGACAAGUCCCUGGAAUACGAUGGCGCCUCCCUGAUGCUGUUCAAGGUCUUCGACGAGGAAGGACGCCGGCUGGAGUGCUGCCCCAGAGACAGCGGCCGAAGCCCUGGAGCGGCGAGGACCAGGCCUGCCGCCCUCCUUUCCAGCAGCUCCUCUAGUAGCAGCGUGCAUGCCGGAGGGUCCAGCGAGUCCCCCGAUCUUCUUGUGACUCCGAAGACGAGCGACGACAGCUAUGAGCCACCGAUCUCACGUCGCGCCCGGCGGUUGGCGCGGUUGAUCUGGAUGGGGUUGGCGCCGGCACCACAUGGCCCAUUGUUGAUGAUGGCGUCUACUGCUGCGGCUCCAGUAGUUAGGGCUCUUUAGGAUUUGCGUCUUUUGUUUCCUGCGGAGAAUCAAGGAAGUACCCUGUGGGGGUAUGUAAAGCGUCUGUAAUCCCUUUUGUUAAUAUGAUCCUUAUCGUGAUGCAGUGUGAGAGGCUUGUCCUAUCCCGGCUUGAUUCCUCCUUUCUAACCUCAUGAGGGCUUGGUGCUCUGCGCCGACAGGUCCCAGUCCACCGGCAGGCUUCAGCCAUCGCUGGUAUGCCAGGUCGCGAUGCCGUGGUCAAGGCCAGGAGGUGAGCGGCCCGAGGUCCAGUAAGAGCCUCCGAGGCGCGAUGCUCAGGGGGUCCCCCUUGGCGCUCAAGCAGCUGUCGCUCGGUGAGAGAGGAGCGCAAGUCGCCAUUACAGGGCCGCAUUAGGGGCAUAGUCGGUGUUGCGUUAGCUAGCAGUUCAGUAGAGGGCGACUUAUCUCAGGAGUUUGGUGCCAUUUCUCGGCGCGGCCUCAGUCCCACGCGUCCAUAGCUGGGGAGUUGCCCGGUGAGGUCCUCGCGAGCUUCCUCCUUCUCCCCCGCACUCCCCUUCGUGCUCUACGUCCUCGGGUCCCGGCCCUCGAGCAAGCUCAGCCGUAGCUGGUAUGCCAGGUCGCGAUGCCGUGGUCAAGGCCAGGAGGUGAGCGCUGGAGAGACAGUAAGAGCCCGUGAGUUGCGAUGCUUAGGUGCCCCCCUUUAACACACAAGAGGUUCGUGGGGGUGAGAGAGGAAGAGAGAUCGUGGAGGCCUCACCCGACGCUGUCCCUUAAAGAGACCCUGUAAACUCAUCACGAGGAAAACGAGAAUUGCCACCACAAUUGUCGGCCAGCCACUGGUUGCUCUGGGGGAGUGGUGAGAGCACUGAGGGCCUGGUGAGGUGGCGCCUUGCGGGGCUGCCGCGGCCAGAGUUCUGCCACUCAAAUUUGUCGGCGUUGCAGGGACAGACCCAUGCACAAGCGCCGUGCCAGGGGAGCAACUCCACAGGUUGGCGUCAAUCUAUCGAGCGAUCAAGUCAAGCAGGUUAAGCAUGGAAUAGUAAAUUAGCUCAGACGAAUGCGAGAGGGAUACAUGCCACUGGGUCAGGCCCGAGCGGCUUGGGGAUAAUGCAGCCCGAGGGGCGCCCCCAACAAGGUAACCUAAAGACGUGAACAAAAGAGAUACAUACCAUAGGGACGGACCCACGCGGCCUGGGAAUGAUGCAGCCCAGGGGGCGCUCCCAGUUGAAAAUGGAACUUUGAAAGAUGUCACCUGAUAUCGUAGGAGAUGAAGGAAUGCUGAAGUAGAGGACGACGCGCGGCGAGGAAGCCGCUACUCACGAGCCCCCAGGACCCAGAGCCUCGGGGGCUCCGGGGGGGUAGGCGGCCCCUCGAGGACCAUCUCCAUCUUUGCCAGGACCACGCAAUGCCUGACCUCCUGAGCCUCCAAAACGCUCCUCAACAGGCGCUGAUGAGCAGCGGCCGCGUUCGGCAGGCCGAGAAGCAUGCGAACGUAGCUGUGGGGCGGACCCUCGUAUCGUCCCACGUGCGAGGGCCAGAGGCGCUCCUGAGACGCGGCUCGGUUGAGCCCUGGCACAUCAAUGCAGACGCGCAGCCCACCAUCCUCGCCUAGAUGGGGGGCUACGGCGGGUAAGCGACGGCUGCCGCGCAUGACUCUUGACUCCUGCAGCUCCUGAGUGUUUCUUGCGAUGAACUCCUGAGGGUUUGGCCCUCCUUGCCUUAUACCUUCCUUAGGGAAACGUGCCGUGAAGCAUGCCUCCAAGUGGUGCCCGAGCGCCUCCCUCGUGACCUUGGAAAAGUCGGUGGCCCUCCAGGAGAGAGCCCCCGAGCCUUGCCCGAGGAGGGUGCUGGGCACGCCUUCCUAUGCAACAGAGGGAGGCGCCCCUUGAAUGGGCGCGGAUCCUGACGCAACGCCCCUGGAGGUGCCCGCCUCCUGAUGGUUCGGGCCAGGUGAUGUCUUCUUCUUCUUAGGGACUGCCUCGGGAAGGCUCCCGCUCCUGUGAUAUGGGUCUUCGAUUGCCACGGCCUGGAAGGCACGCUCGAGAGAACACAUUGCAUCCUUCUCCUCACAGGGGACUGUGAUGACUCCACCGCUUCUUGGCAUCUUGAGGACAUUGUAGCCAUGGUGAGUCACUGCCAUGAACUUGGCCAGGGCCGGGUACCCGAGGAUGGCGUUGUAUGGCAGGCGAAUGUGGGCGACGUCGAAGUCAAUGAGCUCAGUAUAGUAGUUCUUGUGCUGUCCGAAGGUGACAGGGAGGCGGACCUGCCCUAUCGGGAUGGUAGAACCAUCAUUGACUCCUGAGAAAGGCUUGGUUGGCUGAAGUUGAUCAUACGACACUUGGAGAUUGUUGAAUGUCUCGACAGACAGAACGUUGAGUCCUGCUCCACCAUUGAUGAGGGUCCCGGUGACCUGCACAUUGCUGAUGACUGGGGAACAGAGCAUUGGGAGAACUCCAGCCGUUGCUGCGGACUUGAGCUGAUCCGCUGAGCUGAACGUGAUGGCACAUGUGGACCACCUGAGAGGGCGCGAGGCCUCGGGCUUUGGUAGGACUGCAUUCACCUCGCGAGCAAACUGAAGAUACGCUGAGAGGCUGGGGCCUGAGCUCCGCCCAAGAUACAAGUGAUAGCUCGUGGCUCCUGGAAGCCCCCAGCCCCCUCGUCCUGAUGAUGGUCUUCAUUCCUCCUUGGCGGUGGUGGCAGAGGAGGGAGGCAUGCAUUGCCUUGUGGGCGAUCCUCAUGAGGCUGAUCCCUCCAACCCCCCUCACGAGGCUAGUCCUGCCAGCAGUCCUCGCGAGGUCGGUCAUGCUACCCUUAGCGAGGGACACGAUCUUCCCAUUGUCCUCCGCCUCUUCCUCCUCCUCGGCCAUAGCCCCGAUCAUUGCGCUCGGGGCAUCGGCCGAUACGUUCAUCUCGCACAGCUCUGAACUCUUGGCAUUCGUUGGUGUUGUGGGUGUGGAGGUCGUGGUACACGCAGUACCGACUGCCCUUGGAUGACUCCGGCUGAUCCCUGCCUCGCUUGGUAUCUGGCUCAGCUGCGAGCACAACUGCUCCUUUGUGCUUCAUGUCCUUGACCUUGGGCUUCUUCUCUUCCGGAUCAGCAGCUGGAAGCUCGAGGAGGGAGAGGUGCCCUUCCUCAGCCCUGGCGCACUUGGUUGCCAAGUUGAACAGCUCCAGAGAUGUGCACAGAUCCUCAUGGAUCGCCAGCUCUUCCUUCAUCUUGAUGUCAUGAACGCCAUCGGAGAAGGCUGAGAUGAUGGCUUCCUCCGUCACCCUGGGGAUCUUGAGGCGGGCGUUGUUGAAGCGCUGGAUGUACUUUUUCAGGGUCUCUCCUGGCUGUUGCUUGAUGCGGCGCAAGUCACUCAUGGCCGGGGGCCGGUCGCGAGUGCCUUGGGAGUUGGCAAUGAAGCGAGUGCGCAUCUCGUCCCAAGAGGAGAUCGUGCUGGGAGGCAAGUUCAGGAGCCAGGUGCGGGCGCCAUCCUUGAGCGCCAUGGGAAACCAGUUUUCCAUGACCUUUUUGUCCCCGUUGGCCGCCUCGAUGCCCAGCUCAUAGAGCUAGAGGAAGUCCGCAGGGUCGGCAGUGCCGUCGUAGUGAGGAGGCAGAUCUGACUUGAACUUGCUCGGCCAGGCCACGCUGCGCAGCUCGGCGGUGAAGGCGCGGCAGCCUGCAGUGGCCACAGGGGGCCUUUGGUGACGAAGGGCUUGAUCUUGGAGGUCUCCGCGCACUGCCGCCAGGAGCAGCGCGGGGUCUUGGCGCGCUGGAGCAGGAGCUCAGUCAUGGCGUGCUGGCGCAGGGAGCAUGCGAGCACCUUCUUGAGGGCGAGGGAUCUCUUGGCAGCUCUUUUCUUGCUGCGCGGGCGCUGGAUGCAGCGGGUCUCGUCCAGGGGCAGCGAGCCUUGGGACCAGGGCACCUUCAUCGAUGGGGCGGUAGUGCAGGAGCUCACGUGCCAGGAGCAACGCGGCGUGCGCGUCCGCGGGAGCGCGACGAGCGUGCGACGACAAACCUGCUGGAGUCAGCAACAGGGUGGCGGUGUGGCCUUACCACCACACUGAGGGAUGCAACGACGACGCCUGCUGCUCGUUCCCCGCCGGGCCGGUGGCGGCAGACGACGGGGAAUGAUGGGGAGGCCCACUGACGGGGGCCGUCUGGGCGACAUGGGCCGCGAGAGCAGCUCGACGCUCGGCGUGGGCUCAGCGAGCGUCAUACAUGCACGCGUCGGAUGACGAAAUGCAAGACGAAGGGAGACAAUAUUCCGGCGCUCCCCUACCUGGCGCGCCAAACUUCGGAUUUCAGGUUCCGGCAGACCCUUGAGGUUCGAAAUCUGGGGUGCACGCGAAGAUCUCUCCCCUAUCAACUCACGUCUCGAAGCCUCGCAAGGAAUCUAGGCUACACGAUGAACAACACAAGGGACGCAAGGUUUAUACUAGUUCAGGCCACCAUUGUGGUGUAAUACCCUACUCUAGUUUGUGGUGUGGUGGAUUGCCUCAGGGGCUGAUGAUGAACAGUACAAAGGAAGAACAGUCUCGCGAGAGAUGUUCUUGUGGUGGUGUUGUCCCUUUGGAGGGGUCGAUUCCCCAUGCCUCUAUACUAUGGUGGCUAGCCCUAUAUAUAUAGAGAGAGGCCCUGGUCCUCUUCCCAAAUAUUGAGCGGGAAGGGUGCCAACAAUUGGCCAUUUUGAAGGGGAACAUCUAGUACACUUAUCCUGACUAAAGUUGGUCUUCGAUUGCCAAAGACUCUGACGAUGACGCUGUCUUGGGCUCCACGGUGACCUCCAUCCUGCCGCUCUACUGGUCUUGGUCUUGUUGCACCGAAACGGUAAACUUUGCCUGAUGCCUUGGCCUAUGAUUGCUCCCUUUGCACCAAAGGGGAAACAAGGACACUGCGCAGGCUAGCGCCCGCCUGGAGCCUGCCUGGCCUCGAUCGUCAUGGCUUGCGUCACGGGCACCUCGCGAGGUACCCCUGCCUUGAUCUCUCCACCUCCUCACGAGCCUGCCUGACGAGGCUGCUCUUGAGGAAGCUUCCUGUCAUCCGCCCCGCGAGGCUUGGCCCCUCGCGAGGGUCUUGAACUUGAGCUGAUGAAGGUGGGCUGCACUGGGCCACUACUUGAGCCACGCCGCAGGCCGCACGUAGGCAAGUCUGGGGACCCCCAUUCCCAGAACGCCGACACCACCAUUAUGGCCAGCCUUAAUCAUCACAUGCAAUAAUUUAGCGCACCUUCAAAUAUUAACAUGUGUGGGGGCAUGCAUGUUUUUUAUGACUUGAGACUAUACCUAGCCUGGCAUGCAAGAUGACUUAUUAUGCACCGUUUCCUAUACCUGCAGGAAGCCCGUGUGUCUCCAAAUCUUUUCCUCUCCAUGUGUGAAAACAAUAUGCCUGCUAGACUCUCCUACUCCCUCCGGCGGUCCCACCACUCCACCCCAUGUGGAAAAAUUCUGCAUGCAUGACUCUCCUCCCCCCGCGCUCGUCCAAUCCGUUGUGACCAGCAAUAUUUCCACCCCUUCCCUCCCCCGUAAUUUACUCCAACAAACAUGCCCAUGUAGCUGUUACGUUAAUCACGCAACAUAUCUUACGGGACGCUGCUUUAGUUAGUUAACUGCAGGUGCAUUGGGUCACUAACAUAUGGGCCCAACAGGGGUCUAGCCCACAUGUUAGUGACGCAACCGGACCUGCAGUUAAGUCAAUGCAGCUCAGUCCAUAUCUUACGUAGGUGUGCCAUUGCUCACUAUAAAUACUACGCCUCCCACGACAUUCAGAAGAACGCUCAUGUUCAUUGCUAUCUCCUCCCCCCUCUCACGUCAACCACCAUGGCAUCGCCCCUCCCAAGCCCUAGGUGCCCCUCGUUGCACCGCGCGGACGGACACGCGUCGCCGUUCUAUUCCUCGCCACCACUAGUCGAGGAGGACAUGUCGGUGUUCCACUCCUCACCGCGAUGCGUCGAGGUGGACGCGUUGGUGUUCCCAAUCUCGCCAGCACGCGCGUCGGAGGACGCGUCGACUCCCCUCUACAAGGAGAACGCCAUGCCGUAUGUCGAGCCCCCCAGCCUUGAGGAGCUUUGGAAAGAAAUGGAUGUCGCCUUCUGGCAGGCUUUGCCUCUGACAGAGCACGCCAAAAUAGAGGCAGAGAAGAAGGACGAGGAAGAGAAGCGCGCCGCAGGGCAAGCUGCCUGGCAGGUCUAUGUCGCGUCCGAGAGAGUCAGGCAAUUGGCUCUUUGGCAGAAGGCUCAUGCGAGGGCCGUGAGGGUGGCAGAGGACGCCCGUGCCAAAUCCCUAAGUGCAGUCGGUCCCAAGCGCCUCAUUACGCUUGGUGGUACGUGGACCAGGUGCAUGCUUCCAGCGAGGAGGAGUACCUGUUGGCACCGGAUCACCACACCGGUGAGAUUGCGCUCGCCCGCCAGCACGCCGCCAAUCAGCACCUCUCGAGUUGCGAGGCUGAGCAAGAGGCAUUGUGUCGGUGCGCUGGGAAACGGCCGCGCACCAGGGCACACUUGGUGCGCCGCAAGUGCUCCUGCGAGCGCUGUGGCUUUUAGUAGGAGUAUAAUUUAGUUUCGUAAGGCGAUCUCAUUAGUUUUGGGACGCAAAUGAUAAAUCCCGAACGUUCGGGAAUUAUUAGCGUCCUUAAUUAAGUAUGUAAAAGGGAAAGUUUGGAAACCUUGUGUAUCCAUACACAUUUUGUAAGUAUGUGCAUAUAGCACAAACUUUACUAUAUACUAUCACACUACACGUCUCUCUCUAUAUAUGCUUGCAGACUGUGCUACUCCCUCUGUCCAGGUGAAUAAGUCAUCUUUGGUUGUGCACCGUGACCAAGAAGGAGGGAAGACUUAUACACCUAGAUGGAGGGAGUACUAAUAUUACUUACGUACGUGCAAAUGCACGUUUUAACAUUCUGAUGCGGUUUUUGUAAAAGUAGAAAAACAUCACUAGUCAAGCUUGUGAAACGAUUCAAUGCAAAACAAAUGCAAAAAUGCUCAUUUGAUUGUUUACUUUUAGCUUCCUUCUCUGUGGUUAUUUCUCUGUUGUACUCUGUACGGAGUAUCUCACUAGUCGGAAAGGCAUUCAAAUUCCCAAACCACUUUCUACACCCUGUAUCAAAUUUUUUGCCUAACACGUUGUGCCGUGCAAUUGGAAUUCCAACUUGAGUACUACUACUAGUAGGAGUACCAGGGGCCAGUUUGUUUAGGCUUCUAGAUUAGUAAUCCCAUUAUUACUACCUCCGUCCUAUUUUAUUGGUCCCCAUUGUAAUCUGUAUCAAAUUUUGAUCAUAAAUUUAACUAAUGAUAUGUUUGUGCAUGUCACAUGCACUAACAUUUUAUUAGUUAAACCUUUGGUCAAAAUUUAGCAGUAGUUUAGAAGCCCAAAUAAAUGAGUGAGGCGCCUUAAUGUUACUCCCCACUUUGACUAGUCUUAUGGGAAAAGCUGGGGAAGAGACGGCUUAUUUUUUAAGCUGACAAAAGUAUCGGCCCUAGGAGUAGUAGCUAGGGAUACUAGGAGUAGUAGCUAUGGAUCGAGUGUGUGAGAUGAACCGGCGAAAGUAAAUGCAGAGAGAUGAAAUGCAAAAAGACAGAGGUAUGUGAUGGUUGCUUGUCCAUUUAUUUUACCAGGCUACUUAUUACUAGGAGUGGUUGAGUUUUGUGAUAUGAUGGCUUUACUGCCGCGCCACGAGCGGGGUGAGACUCCCGUCCAGCGCCGCCCUCUACACUAGUACUACAUCGGUUGUGGUUUAUUAGUCCCCCAUUGAAUUUGACUGAAGAUUUAACUGACAAAAUGUUAGUGCAUGUCAACAAAAACUAUAUUGUUGGAUUCGUAUUUGAACAUAGUUUUCAAUGAUAUAAUUUUAGGUGACAUGCAUCGGCAUUUAUUGUACUAUAUAUAAUGUUAGUUCAAUUUUUGGUCGUACUAAUCUAUAGUAAGGUGCCCAUGCGUUGCAUGAAGAGUGAAAUGCAUUGAUCGUGGAGUUGUUUAUUUUGACAAAGGAUGUGGGGGUCAUCUCAUGUGUAACGGGUAUCGAUAGGUUUCUUAGGAUAUUAUUUGUCAGAGUAAUGGGCCACGGGUAGGCCCACCCGAGCCCCAGGAUUUAUCAAGACUUUGGGCCAGCUCCGCCUAGCUGAGCCCCAAGCCGAAACUCCGCCCUCUGAGGCCGGCUGGCUCGGUGGCCAGCUGCCAGAGGGCGGGUGACCCAAGACUACCACGCUCCGAGUGGCCGGCUCCUGGCGGCCGCCCUCCAGAGAGGGCGGCUACAGGCAGGCGGCUACUUCACGACUACGGGGCGGCCGAGCUCCCAUCAGGAGUACAAGACGAAGUGAAAGCACAAGUGCUCCCUAGGUGGUUUUGGUAAUUAAUGUCAACAUAUCUCUUGUUGGACUAACACUUUUAUCUAGUAUAUUUCAGACAAGUUCAACAUUGAAGUGGCAUGGACUAAAGGAUGUGGGAACUCCUUCAAGAUGCUAAGGACAAAGGAUUGGCUCAAGCUUCAAGCUAAAGACUCUUCAUUUUACAUUUUAGUGAUCCAAGAUCACAUUGAGUCUAUAGGAAAAGCCAAUACUAUCAAGGAGGGAUGAGGUGUUGCUUAAUGAGCCUCUUGCUUCAUGUGCUUAGUGAUAUGCUCCAAAAACCCUCAUCUACUUUCUCACAUCAACAAAUGACCUAAACCUAAAACCAAAAAUGGCCAUACCAAUUCUUUCUAUUCGGCGCCACCGAGUUUGGAUGUCUUAGCCACUGCCACAAACCCUAGGCAAAUCGGUCUUACCGAUAGGGAUCUCGGUCUCACCGAGAUGGGAUUGUAAUCUCUCUGUGUAUGUCCAUUAUCAAAAUCGGUCUCACCGAGUUUGAGCAAUCAGUACUACCGAGAUUACAAUGCAAACUCUCUGGUUAACUUAUUACCAAAAUCGGUCCCACCGAGUUUGAGUAAUCGGUCCCACCGAGUUUGCCUGACCAACUCUCUGGUUAGCUAAUUACCAAAAUCGGUCCCACCGAGUUUGUGUAAUCGGUCUCACCGAGAUUACGUUAUGCCCUAACCCUAACCAUAUCGGUCCCACCGAGUUGCAUUUCGGUCCCACCGAAAAUCCUAACGGUCACUAAAUUUGCUAAAUCGUUCCGACCGAGUUUGUUGAUUCGGUCCCAUCGAGUUUGGUAAAUUGUGUGUAACGGUUAGAUUUUGUGUGGAGGCUAUAUAUACCCCUCCACCUCCUCUUCAUUCGUGGAGAGAGCCAUCAGACUGAACCUACACUUCCAGCAUCCUAUUUCUGAGAGAGAACUACCUACUCAUGUGUUGAGGCCAAGAUAUUCUAUUCCUACCAUAUGAAUCUUGAUCUCUAGCCUUCCCCAAGUUGCUUUCCACUCAAAUCUUCUUUCCACCAGAUCCAAAACCUAUGAGAGAGAGUUGAGUGUUGGGGAGACUAUCAUUUGAAGCACAAGAGCAAGGAGUUCAUCAUCAACGCACCAUUUGUUACUUCUUGGAGAGUGGUGUCUCCUAGAUUGGCUAGGUGUCACUUGGGAGCCUCCGACAAGAUUGUGGAGUUGAACCAAGGAGUUUGUAAGGGCAAGGAGAUCGCCUACUUCGUGAAGAUCUACCGCUAGUGAGGCAAGUCCUUCGUGGGCGACGACCAUGGUGGGAUAGACAAGGUUGCUUCUUCGUGGACCCUUCUUGGGUGGAGCCCUCCGUGGACUUGCGCAACCGUUACCCUUCGUGGGUUGAAGUCUCCAUCAACGUGGAUGUACGAUAGCACCACCUAUCGGAACCACGCCAAAAACAUCCGUGUCUCCAAUUGCGUUUGAAUCCUCCAAAACCCUUCCCUUUACAUUCUUGCAAGUUGCAUGCUUUACUUUCCGCUACUCAUAUAAUCUAUGCAUGCUUGCUUGCUAUGUGUUGUGAAUGUUAAACUUGUGCCUAAACUUCACUUAAACUUAAAUUUGCUAAAAACUGCAACUUUGGUACUUAGUGUCUAAUCACCCCCCUUUAGACACCUCCUCUCAAGGUCCUACAAGUGGUAUCAGAGCCAGGUUUCCAUUGCCUUGGUUUAAUCACCAUUGGAGGAAGAUGGAUGAGUCUACUUUGGGGAGUCUUAGACAUAGAGUGCCUAUUCUUUAUGGAGAGUAUUUUCAUGAGUGAAAAAAUGAGAUCCUUGUAAUUUUCAAUCAAUAUCAUUUGAACAAGUACAUUGCUAGUCCUUGUGAACCUCAUGUUGAUCCUAUGCAUCCUACCCAUGACGAGUCAAUUGACAUGGUUAGGAAUCUUAGAACUGUUAAUCUUAUCACUAGAGGCUUGCCUAGAAACUUGAUUAUAAAACUGCCUACUCUUGAGUGUGCCUACACUAUAUGGAAAUUUCUUGAGGAACGAUUUCCAGAUUAUUCUUUGAAAAAUCUUGAUGAAAUUCUCCAUAAGUCUAUUGCUUUGAGUAAGAUGAAUACUAGUGAUCCUAUGUUUGGUGAUCGUCUAUUUGAGCUUACGAGCCUCAUGCGUGCCAAAGGAAAUGUUGGUAUUAUUAGUGAUAUUAUUUCCGAAGCUAUAAAAAUUCAUAGACAAGAUCAUUGUCAAGCUCACUCUAACGAAUCACCCUCUCUAGGAUUUGAUCCACCACAUGACGAUGUUGAACAUGGAUACUAUGACGAGGAUGAUGAAAGUGACUUCGAUCUUGAUGAUGCAAUGUGACACUUUGGUCUUAUGGCAAAUCUUCGGGGAUAUUUGUCAGGAGGAAAGGAAUGGGUUCUUGAUAGUGGAUGUACCGAUCACAUGACCGGAGAUAAAGACAUGUUUCGUGAGCUUGCUGAUAAUGAUAGUCCUCGAAAGUAUGUCACUUUCGGUGACAACUCAAAGGGUAAGGUGGUUGGCCUCGGUAAGGUGGCCAUAUCACAUGAUAGCUCCAUACAAAAUGUUAUGCUCGUUGAAUCUCUUGGAUACAACUUACUUUGAGUAUCUAGACUUGCUGACUUUGGUUUCAAUGUCUUAUUUACUGAAGUUGAUUGCCAAGUGUUUCUCGAGACAAUCAUAAAAUGGUCUUUACCGGUAUAUGUAGAGGUGAUCUUUACAUUGUUGAUUUCACUAAAAAGGCCCAACCUAAAACUUGCUUCAUUGCUAAAUCCUCAAAAGGUUGGUUAUGGCAUAGACGACUAGGUCACGUUGGCAUGAGAAACCUUGACAAGAUUAUUAAAGGGAAUCAUAUCCUUGGUGUUAAUGAUGUCAUAUUUGAUAAGGAUAGACUUUGCAGUGCUUGUCAAGCAGGUAAACAGGUUGGAGGAAGGCAUCCCGUGAAGAACAUCAUGACCACAAGGAGGCCACUCGAGCUACUUCACAUGGAUCUUUUUGGUCCCAACUCUUACAAGAGUCUUGGUGGAAAUUCUUUUGGUCUAGUUAUAGUUGAUGUUUUUUCAAGAUUUACAUGGGUGUUCUUUCUCGAUGAUAAAUCACAGGUCCAAAAGAUCUUCAAGAACUUCGCUCGGAAGGCCCAAAAUCAAUUUGAAGUGAAGAUCAAGAAGGUUCGCAGCGACAACGGAACGGAGUUCAAGAACGCAAAUGUGGACACCUUUCUUGACGAAGAAGGGAUUUCACAUGAGUUCUCGGCUACGUACACACCUCAACAAAAUGGAGUUGUUCAGAGGAAGAACCGGACGCUCAUCAAAAUGGCGAGAACGAUGCUUGAUGAGUACAAGACGCGGAAGAACUUUUGGGCAGAAGCGGUUGAGACAGCUUGUCAUGCAACAAAUCGCUUGUAUCUUCACAAGCUACUCAGCAAGACGGCAUACGAGCUCCUCACCGGUAACAAACCCCAAGUUGGAUACUUUCGAGUAUUCGGCUCAAAGUGCUGCAUUCUUGAUAAGCAUCGUCAUUCUAAAUUUGCUCCUAAGUCUCAUGAAGGUUUCCUACUAGGUUAUGGCUCAAACUCUCACACAUACCGUGUCUACAACAAUUUCACCCGAAAGGUUGAAGAGACGGUAGAUGUGAAGUUUGAUGAAUCUAACGGCUCGCAAGUAGAGCAAUUGCCAAUUGAUGUAGGAGACAAAGAUCCUUCGGAAGCAAUCCAAGACUUGUCUAUUGUCAAGGUUUGUCCAACGGAGGUGAAGGAGAGUACCUCGUCCGUCCAAGUGGAAGCUUCUACUUCACGACAAGGUGAACCAAGAGUUGAUACGGAAGCAUCCACAAGUGGGACACACCAAGAUGAAGAAAACGAGGAAGUGCAUCAAGAACCUCAACAACCUCCUUCUCCACCACAACAAGAGAACGACAACGCCAACAAUGAAGAAGGACAAGAAGAAGAACAAGAUGAAGAAGAAGUUCAACCAAGAACCAAGCAAAAGCUUUCAUGAGUUCGAGCAAGAAUUGCUAAAGACCAUCUCAUCGAGCAAAUCUGCAAUGAUAUUCAAACCGGGAGAAUCACUCGCUCUAAAACUCGUUUAGCUAACUUUUGUGAAAACUAUUCUUUCAUCUCUAGCAUUGAACCUAUGAAGGUCGAAGAAGCAUUGGAAGAUCCGGAUUGGAUAAACGCUAUGCACGAAGAGCUACACAACUUUGAGAGAAACUAAGUUUGGACAUUGGUUGAGAAGCCCGACAACAACCACAACAUCAUCAGUACCAAAUGUGUGUUUCGCAACAAGCAAGAUGAAGAUGGAAAAGUAGCUCGCAACAAAGCACGUCUCGUCGCCCAAGGCUACACACAAGUCGAAGGUAUGGACUAUGGUGAGACUUAUGCUCCCGUUGCUAGACUUGAGUCUAUUCGCAUCUUACUUGCCUAUGCUAAUCACCAUGAUAUCACAUUGUACCAAAUGGACAUUAAAAUUGCUUUUCUAAAUGGUGAAAUAGAGGAGGAAGUUUAUGUUAAACAACCUCCCGGCUUUGUCAAUCCUAAGAAACCAAAUCAUGUUUACAAACUUCACAAAGCUCUUUAUGGUCUUAAACAAGCUCCUAGAGCUUGGUACAAAUGCUUAACUAAGUUUCUUCUUGGAAAAGGAUUUGAAAUUGGGAAAAUUGAUUCUAUUCUUUUUACUAAAAGGGUUAAUGGAGAACUGUUUGUGUGCCAAAUCUAUGUUGAUGAUAUUAUAUUUGGUUCAACUAACCCUCAUUUUAGUGAGAAGUUUGGAAAGCUAAUGUCGGAGAAGUUUGAGAUGUCAAUGACUAGUGAACUCAAAUUCUUUCUUGGGUUGCAAAUCAAGCAAACUAAGGAAGGUACUUUUGUCUCUCAAAUGAAGUACACUAAGGACUUAUUCUAGAAGUUCAAUAUGCAAGAAUGCAAAGGUAUGACUACACCCAUGCCUACUAGUGGACAUCUUGAUUUGACCAAAGAUGGUGAACCAGUUUAUCAAAAGGUUUAUCGCUCUAUGAUUGGUUCAUUGUUAUACCUAUGUGCUUCACGUCCCGAUAUUAUGCUAAGCGUGUGCAUGUUUGCAAGAUAUCAAGCUGCUCCUAAAGAAUGUCAUCUUAAGGCUGUGAAAAGGAUAGCGAGAUACUUAAUACAUACACCAAAUUUUGGCAUUUGGUAUCCUAAGAGGGCCUCUUUCGAUCUUGUUGGCUACUCUGACUCAGACUAUGCCGGAGACAAGGUUGAUAGAAAGUCCACUUUGGGUACUUGUCAAUUUCUUGGUAGAUCUCUUGUGUCUUGGUCCUCCAAGAAGCAAAACUCGGUAUCCUUAUCCACUUCCGAAGCGGAAUACAUUGCCGCUAGUUCAUGUUGUGCUCAAUUACUUUGGAUGACCCAAACUCUUAAAGAUUAUGGGAUAUAUGUGAAACAUGUUCCUGUGCAACAUUCUCGAACUAAGCAUAUUAAAGUUCGUCAUCAUUUCAUUCGAGAUCAUGUUGCUAAGGGUGACAUUGAUCCUAAGCAUGUUCGCACCGAAAAGCAAUUAGCGGAUAUAUUGUAACACCCCGGAUGUAACUUUCCAUCUUUGUAACUCCAACUCUUGCCAUUAUCGGCCAUGUGUUAUGAUAUUCCCUCCGUGGUUGGAUUUUGUCUUUUGUUUUGAAUUUUAUUAAUGUCAUGCAUAUCAUAUCAUGUCAUCAUGUGCAUCUCAUUUGCAUAUGUGUUCGUCUCAUGCAUCCGAGCAUUUUCCCCGUUGUUCGUUUCGCAAUCCGACACUCCCACAUGCACCAGCGCACCCCUCUUGUCUCUUCUCAUGUGCGGGCGUCAAACGUUCUCGGAAUGGACCGAGCCUUGUCAAGUGGCCCUGGUAUAGCACCAGUAGACCACCUAUCAAGUUUCGGGUCAUUUCGAGCUCGUUUGAUACUCCAACGGUUAUCCGCUUAUCCCCAAAGGCCUCUUUUGAGUUGGAGCCCAACACACCUCCAAAACAGCCCAAUAACCCAUCUAAGUCACUUCCAUGCUCUCCGUCGUCGGAUCACGAUCGUGUGGGCGAAAACCGCACCUCAUUUGGACACUCCUAGCUCCCUCUACCUAUAAAUAUGUGCUACCCCCCGGAUUUUUCGCAGUCCAACCCUAGCCCCGCUCCUCUCCGCGGCUCCGGACACGUCCGGACGGAGCCGGACGCGUCCGCCGCCGCCCCGGCGAACCAGGAGCUGCCACNNNNNNNNNNNNNNNNNNNNNNNNNNNNNNNNNNNNNNNNNNNNNNNNNNNNNNNNNNNNNNNNNNNNNNNNNNNNNNNNNNNNNNNNNNNNNNNNNNNNNNNNNNNNNNNNNNNNNNNNNNNNNNNNNNNNNNNNNNNNNNNNNNNNNNNNNNNNNNNNNNNNNNNNNNNNNNNNNNNNNNNNNNNNNNNNNNNNNNNNNNNNNNNNNNNNNNNNNNNNNNNNNNNNNNNNNNNNNNNNNNNNNNNNNNNNNNNNNNNNNNNNNNNNNNNNNNNNNNNNNNNNNNNNNNNNNNNNNNNNNNNNNNNNNNNNNNNNNNNNNNNNNNNNNNNNNNNNNNNNNNNNNNNNNNNNNNNNNNNNNNNNNNNNNNNNNNNNNNNNNNNNNNNNNNNNNNNNNNNNNNNNNNNNNNNNNNNNNNNNNNNNNNNNGCCGUGCCGUCCGCCGCGCCCCGCCGUCUGGCUACUCCGGCGCUGCGCCCGCCGCACGAGUCCUCCGCGGCAGCGCCCAUUCGCCGCUGCCGCCGCCAACGCCAUCUCCGGCGUCCCCUCGCCGGAGGACACCCAGAUUCGGCCGGCCGGGCUCCUCUCCGGCCGUCCUCCUCCGGCCCCAAGCUCCAUCUCCGGUCGGCGAACCUCGAAGCCCGCGCUCGGAUCCAGAUCCACCCCUCGGUUGACUUUUCUUCUUCCCCGAAUUUCGUCUAAGUCCUUAUCUGCCAUUAUUUUUGUUGCAUGUUCAUCGCCCCACAACUUUGCACCCGUGGCUCCGUUUUGGGCGUAUAGCAUACCGAUUUGUUCGCCCCAAGAGUACAUCAUUUCAUCUCAUUGCAUCAUUUUCUUUUGAGCUUAUCUUGAUGCCCGAAAUGCUGUUGGAAGAGUGCUUCAUAAUAUUAGUUUCAGAUUCUUAUCAGAACAUGCACUUUUGUCAUUUUUGCCAUGAUUGAUGUGUGCAUGCUAUGUACUUGAGCCCUACAUGUGAGUUGAACUAUGCCAUGUCUUCUUUGUAGAGGUACUUGCCAUGUAUUUUUGUGAUCAAUGUGGUGACUAGCACAAGCAUGCAAACUAGGCUUCGUGAUAUUGCUGAUUUUAGUCCCUGUUCUGCUGUUAUUUUCAUGCCAUGUAAACUUGAUGCUACAGAGAGAUCCUUGCAUAUUGUGAGAUACUUCAGUAAGGGUGUUUUGAACAUAUGGUUAUGCUCUAUCCAUACAUGGCCCUGGUUGAAAUUAUGGGGUAGUCUAGCAUGUCAUUUUCGUGCUCUACUUUUGCUUCAAAAUGUUUCUUGGCAGAUUGUUUACAUGUUAUUCAAUUUUACCGAGGUUGUUGUAGUUGAUCCGUGUAUGCUAUGAUGUUGUUCUUGCCAUGUAUAGCUUCUAUGACAUGUAUUCUUGAUGGAUGUAUUCUUAGUUUAUCAUGAAGUCCUCUGUAGUGAGUGCAUCGAGCUCACGAAGGUGCCUUCAUAAUUAUGUCAAUGCCAUGCUUUGUUUGCUGAAUCUGUUAACGAAACUUGCUAUGUUUACAUGGGUGCCAUCAUAUUUUCUGAUCCUUUUUGGCUUAUGGUCAGUAAGGUACUUUUGAUAUAUGCUUUGAGUAGAUUCAUGCCAUGCCUUGUUUUGCUAUUAUAAGUUCCUGUAGCAUGUUGAUAACCUGCUCUGAACAUUGCUUCGUGAUGGUGUUUAUGCCAUGUCCAACCUGUUAUUUUUUGCACUUUCACCAUGCUUGUUUGAACCUGUUAUGAUGUGAUUUAGCCGUAUCUCAGUGUUACUUUUUUGUUAAGCAUCUCCUGUAAAUCACUGCCAUAUGUUUUGUUUUUUAUGUUGGGGUGCUGUAGUAUAGUUUCUUGUUGCAUGCUAAGUAGCAUCGUGCUGUUAAUCGCAGCUUUGUGCCAUUCUUGUUUUGCUUGCCAUUUGCAAAUCGUGCAUCCGUUUCCGGUGAUCCUUAUAUCGAUUUCAAUCGAAAUCAUCUCAUCUUUCCAGAGGCAUACUUAGUUUGCCAAGUUGAUGCCUUGUUCAUCCUUUUUCCUCCCGAAGCACGCAUAUGCAUUGCAUAUCACAUCUCGCAUAUCAUGACAUGUUUUGCAUCAUGUUGCUUGUGCAUUGCACUGUGAUUUAUUGUGGUUCCUUUGCUUGUGUUCUUGCUUUGAGUAGAGCUGGGAGACGAGUACGUGCAUGAGGAACCUAUUGAGUACGCUAACGAGGAUCAAGCCUUCGACAACUCUGAGAACCUUGCAGGCAAGAUGACCAUACCUUCGAUAUCACUUCUAUCUUUGCUUGCUAGUACCCGCUCUAUCGCUAUGUUAGCUCUACCUGCCUUUGUUUAUCAUGCCUCCCUAUUGCCAUGUCAAACCUCUAACCAUCCUUUCCUAGCAAACUGUUGUUUGGCUAUGUCACCGCUUUUGCUCAGCCCCUCUUAUAGCGUUGCUAGUUGCAGGUGAAGAUGAAGUUUGUUCCUGGUCGGAACAUGGAUAUUUUGGGAUAUCACAAUAUCUCCUAUUUAAUUAAUGCACCUUAUAUACUUGGUAAAGGGUGGAAGGCUCGGCCUUAUGCCUGGUGACUUGUUCCACUCUUGCCGCCCUAGUUUCCGUCAUACUGGUGUUAUGUUCCUUGAUUUUGCGUUCCUUACACGGUUGGGUGAUUUAUGGGACCCCCUUGACAGUUCGCUUUGAAUAAAACUCCUCCAGCAAGGCCCAACCUUGGUUUUACCAUUUGCCACCUAAGCCUUUUUCCCUGGGGUUUUCGCGAACCCGAGGGUCAUCUUUAUUUUAACCCCCCCGGGCCAGUGCUCCUUCGAGUGUUGGUCCGAAAUGAGUAGACUGCGGGGCCACCUCGGGGAAACUUGAGGGCUGGUUUUACUCGUAGGAUGUCUCAUCCGGUGUGCCCUGAGAACGAGAUAUGUGCAGCUCCUAUCGGGAUUUGUCGGUGCAUCGGGCGGCUUUGCUGGUCUUGUUUUACCAUUGUCGAAAUGUCUUGCGAACCGGGAUUCCGAGGCUGAUCGGGUCUUUCCAGGAGAAGGUAUAUCCUUCGUUGACCAUGAGAGCUUGUGAUGGGCUAAGUUGGGACACCCCUGCAGGGUAUAUUAUCUUUCGAAAGCCAUGCCUGCGGUUAUGAGGCAGAUGGGAAUUUGUUAAUGUCCGGUUGUAGAUAACUUGACACUUGACCUCUUUAAAAUGCAUCAACCGUGCGUGUAGCCGUGAUGGUCUCUUCUCGGCGGAGUCCGGGAAGUGAACACGGUUUGAGUUAUGCUUGACGUAAGUAGUUGCAGGAUCACUUCUUGAUCACUUCUAGCUUCUCGACCGAUGUGUUGCUUCUCUUCUCGCUCUCACUUGCGUAUGUUAGCCACCAUAUAUGCUUAGUGCUUGCCGCAGCUCCACCAUAUUACCCCUUUUACCUACCUAUGAGCUUAAAUAGUCUUGAUCUCGCGGGUGUGAGAUUGUUGAGUCCUCAUGACUCACAGAUUCUACCAAAACAGAUGCAGGUGCCGAGGAUACCAGCGCAGAUGGCGCCACUGAGCUGAAGUGGGAAUUUGACGAGGCCCUUGGUCGUUACUAUGUAUCGUUUCCAGAUGAUCAGUAGAGGAGCCCAGUCGGGACGAUCGGGGAUCUAGCAUUUGGGGUUGUCUUCUUUUCAUUUGAACUUGACCGUAGCCGGUCUAUGAGUGUAUUUGAAUGAUGUAUGAUCUUAAUUUAUGUAUUGUGUGAAGUGGCGAUUGUAAGCCAACUCUCGUAUCCCUUUCUUAUUCAUUACAUGGGAUUGUGUGAAGAUGACCCUUCUUGCAACAAAACCACUAUGCGGUUAUGCCUCGAAGUCGUGCUUCGACACGUGGGAGAUAUAGCCGCAUCGUGGGUGUUACAAGUUGGUAAUCAGAGCCGUCCCCGACUUAGGAGCCCCUUGCUUGAUUGUUUGCUGGCGAUGUUGAGUCUAGAACAAAAAUGUUUUGAGUCUUAGGAUUAUAUAUAUCGGAGAGUAGGAUUCUUUUUACUCCUCAGUCCCUUCGUCGCUCUGGUGAGGUCUCCUGACGUAGAUGUUUUGACUGUCCUCUCCUCAAAUUUCACUAAAAUUUUUUUAGGAUCACGCGGGUAUCUUGGAAUCGUUCUAAUGGUUUUGUGACGAGAACAUUGUUCUUGGUGCCUCCUGUCUAUUAUGUGGCUUUGACCCAGGGAGUUGAGCUCUAAGGUGUUGUCGUCACAAUUUUAUCGUUGCAGUUCUGGAAUACCUGAGUUUUGCCGACAUCGAAAAUCUCUUUUAUGCAGUUGUUGGUGAGAUAACCUCGACGCCACCCAGUACUGGGGCGGUAGUUCGGGAGUAUUGCCAUAACUCGUAUAACGGAUGCUUUUCGAAGGUUGAGGUACACGAUUUCCGAAGGUUUCUUAGUUAUGUGUUGACGGAUGGAUACAGCUGGAUGUAGGGAUUGUUAGUUUGGGUGAGAUAUAUUGCUUCCCCUGUAUCCCCAACACCUGAUUGCAUAACCAGAAAGUUUUGGGAGUUUAUAGGUGGGAUUCAAGUAGCUCUAGCAUUUCUUCCCGCAGAUAUUUGGUUUGUGAUUGGGUAAUCCUUACCACUUAUUUGUUCCAGUUGUACCUUGUUUAUUUCAUUCAUCAAUCUCUUAUCAAGUGGCUUAUCACCUUAAUGGACGUGUGAUGUUUGCUUUGGAAUUCAUUCGUUCAUCCUUGUUCGAACGUUUAUUGUGAAGACUAUAUGUUGCAAUUUCUAUCCAUUGAUUCAGCUUGUCUAUCUGUCUAUCAAGAUGCUAACGGAUGUCACCCUCUUCAGGGUGGCUCCGCCAACGCGUCAGAAUCCGGAACGCAAUGAUGGGAGUCAGGCGAACCCUCCACCUCCACCACUGCCUCCGGAGGCAUGGCAAGCUUUGAUGGCAGCCACAAGCGCCAAUGCUCAGAUGAUGAUCCAGCUCAUGCAAGAGCGCAACCAAGGCCAAGGCAACCAAGGGAAUCAAGGUCAAGGGCAGUUCAAUCAUCAUCCUCUAUUUCCUACCCUCAACCAAUUCCUUGCAAAUCAGCCGAAGUCUUUCAGCUACUGUGUCGAGGCCACAGAUGCCGAUGAUUGGCUCAUGGAUAUCAACAAGCAUUUUGAAUGCAGCAAUGUCAGGCCUGAGGACUAUGUCAAGUUCGCUUCUUUUCAGCUCAAGGAUCAGGUAGCUGAUUGGUUCCAGCAAUACAAGGAUUCCAGAGGAGGUCGAGUGAUUACUUGGACUGACUUCUGUAGGGACUUUAAAGCUCACCAUAUUCCUACCAGUGUUGUUGAGAGCAAGCAUGAGGAGUUCCGCAAUCUCAAGCAAGGCAACAUGUCAGUGUACGAAUACAAAAAGCAGUUUCAAAAACUUGCUCGCUUCGCUAAGCAAGAUGUUCCUGAUGAGAAGAAUAUGAUCUAUCAAUUCAGAGGUGGCCUAAGAGAGGAUCUGCAGUUAGCUCUCGUUCUUGUUGAGCCUACUCAGUUUGAUCAAUUCUACAAUAUGGAACUCAAGCAAGAAGGUGCUCAGCUCAAGUGUGAGGCUUCUAAGAAGAGAAUCAGGGAUGCAGUGCAAUCUUCUUCUUCCUCACAAGUGGCAGCUAAACAAUAGAAGUUCUACCUUCCUUCUCCUCCGUUUCAUCAGCCUUACCAACAGAAGAACUCAGGUGGUCGUGGAUCUUCCCACCCACCCAACCCAGGCUAUCAGAACAAGUCUCAGCCUCAAGCUCCAAGGUCAAGUGCUCCUUAUCAUCGUCCGUUCUUAGAAGUGACUUGCAACAAGUGCCAGCAGAAAGGUCACUACGCGAACAAAUGCUUCAAUCAAAGGCGCCUUCCUCCUCCUCCUCCUGUGAGAUCUUCAAGCAAUGUUGUGGUCAAGCAUAAUCCAAAGCAUGCAAAGGUGAACAUGAUGAAUGCAGCUCAGGCAGAGGAUUCUUCAGAUGUGAUCAUGGGUAAUCUCUCAGUUAAUGAUAUUCCUGCAAAAGUCUUAUUUGAUACCGGUGCAUCGCAUUGUUUCAUGUCAAUACCGUUCUUUACCAAGCAUGAUUUCACUUCGGAAUAUUUGGAUAGAACUCUAGCAAUUGUUUCCCCGGGCAAGCACAUGAGUUCUCGUUUGAUGGUUCCAAAUGUCGGUAUCAAGAUGGGCGACUAUAAAUUUUUGUCUUCUCCAGUUGUUCUUGGUGACUCUGAUAUUGAUCUAAUUCUCGGGAUGGACUGGCUUUCUAAGCACAAGGCUCAGCUUGAUUGUGCUGCCAGGCAAAUUCAAUUGGGACACCCUUCUGAGGAUGUUAUCAUCUAUGCCGCUCGUGAUGAAACCAUUCGGUUGUUUUCUCUCAAUGAGAAGGGCGAGCUGGAUGCUAUUUCUCAAAUUCCAGUCGUUUGUGAGUACCAAGAUGUCUUUCCAGAAGAGCUUUCGGGUAUGCCUCCUCAUCGGCCAGUCGAGUUCAUUAUUGAUCUUGAGCCUCGAACGGAACCCGUUUGCAAGCGUCCAUACAAGCUUGGACCCAAGGAGCUGAAGGAAUUGAAGAAACAGCUCGAUGAACAAGAGCAUCUGGGCUUGAUCAGACCGAGUUCAUCCCCAUGGGGUUGUGGAGUUCUUUUUGUCCAUAAGAAGGAUGGCACGGACCGACUUUGCGUCGAUUACCGUCCAUUGAACAAGAAGACAAUCAAGAACAAAUAUCCACCUCCCAACAUAAAUGAGCUUUUCGAGCAACUCAAAGGUGCUAAAGUAUUCUCCAAGCUUGACUUUCGUAUGGGUUAUCAUCAGAUUCACAUUCGUGAACAAGAUAUUCCCAAGACAGCAUUCAGAACAAGCUAUGGUUCUUAUGAAUAUACUGUCAUGUCUUUCGGCCUUGUCAAUGCUCCUCCAACGUUCUCUCGCAUGAUGAAUUUUAUCUUCAACCCCUACACCAAUGAAUUCGUUCUGGUGUAUCUCGAUGAUAUUUUGGUCCUCUCCAAGAAUAAGCAGGAUCAUGCCAAACAUUUGCGAUUGGUGCUCGACAAGCUCAGAGAGCAUCAAUUCUAUGCGAAGUUUUCCAAAUGUGAGUUCUGGCUUGAUGAAGUUCUUUACCUUGGUCAUAUCAUCUCUGCCAAGGGCAUUGCUGUUAAUCCCGCGAAGGUUUCUGCAGUUCUGAAUUGGGAACCUCCUCAGAAUGUCAAACAGCUCCGCAGUUUUCUUGGUCUUGCAAGCUAUUGCCGAAGAUUCGUUGAGAACUUCUCUAAGAUUGCAAAGCCUCUUUCCAACCUCCUCCAGAAGCAUGUCAAGUAUGUCUGGAUGCCUGAGUGUGACGUCGCUUUCAACACCCUCAAAGAGAAGCUAGUCACAGCUCCUGUCUUGACUCCUCCUGAUGAAUCCAAGCCAUUCGAAGUAUUCUGUGAUGCUUCCCUUCAAGGUCUCGGUGCUGUGUUGAUGCAAGAGAAAAAAGUUGUGGCCUAUACCUCUCGUCAGUUGAAGCCCAACGAAAAGAACUACCCCACUCAUGAUCUUGAGUUGGCGGCAGUUGUCCAUGCAUUGAUAACAUGGAGACAUAUCUUAUUGGGAAGGCAAGUGGACAUUUUCACCGAUCACAAGAGCCUCAAGUAUAUCUUCACUCAACCCAACCUUAACCUCAGGCAAACUCGAUGGGUCGAAAUGAUUCAAGAGUACAAUCCGAGUAUUGAAUAUACUCCUGGCAAGGCGAAUGUGAUUGCAGAUGCUCUGAGCAGAAAGGCUUAUUGCAACAGUCUAAUUCUCAAGCCGUUUCAACCGGAUCUUUGUGAAGCCUUCCGCAAGCUGAAUCUUCAAGUUGUUCCUCAAGGCUUUCUUGCCAACCUCAUAGUCUCUCCUACUUUGGAAGAUCAAAUCCGUGAGGCACAACUCCUGGAUACCAUGGUGAAGAAGGUGAAACAUGGUAUUGACAAGGGCAUUCCCAAAUACAAGUGCUAUCGCUUGGAUGACAAAGAUACUCUUUUCUUCGAGGAUCGAAUUGUGGUUCCAAAAGGUGAUCUGAGAAAAGUCAUCAUGAAUGAGGCACACAAUUCCCUCCUAUCCAUUCAUCCUGGAAGUACAAAGAUGUACCAUGACCUCAAGCAGUCGUAUUGGUGGACUCGAAUGAAGCGAGAGAUUGCUCAAUUCGUGAAUGAAUGUGAUGUCUGCAGAAGGGUGAAAGCAGAACACCAAAGACCAGCUGGUCUCCUCCAACCUCUUGCUAUUCCGAAAUGGAAGUUUGACCAUAUCGAGAUGGACUUCGUGACUGGUUUUCCUAAGUCCAAGCGUGGAAAUGAUGCUAUCUUCGUUGUCAUUGACAAGCUUACCAAAGUGGCUCAUUUUCUUCCUAUCAAAGAAUCUAUCACAGCAGCUCAGCUGGCAGAGCUAUACUCCUCCAGAAUUGUCUCCUUGCACGGCAUUCCACAAUUGAUAUCUUCAGAUCGUGGAAGCAUCUUCACUUCUAAGUUCUGGGAAUCCUUUCAGACGGCCAUGGGCACCAACAUUCGUUUCAGCACAACUUUCCAUCCUCAAACAAGUGGCCAAGUCGAGCGAGUCAAUCAAAUCCUUGAAGAUAUGCUCAGGGCUUGUGUCAUUUCCUUCGGUAUGAAGUGGGAAGAUUGUCUUCCAUAUGCCAAGUUCUCCUACAACAACAACUUCCAAACGAGUUCGGGCAAGGCCCCAUUCAAAAUUCUCUAUGGCAGGAAGUGUCGUACUCCUCGCAAUUGGUUCGAGACAGGUGAACGCCAACUUCUUGGCAACAACUUGAUCACAGAAGCCGAAGAAAUGUGCAAAGUCAUUCGUGAGAAUCUCAAAGCCGCGCAAUCGCGACAGAAGAGCUAUUAUGAUAGCAAGCACCGUGACUUGGCUUUUGAAAUCGAAGACCAUGUCUAUCUCUGCAUCUCUCCAAUGAAAGGCACUCGUCGCUUCGGUAUCAAAGGGAAGCUUGCCCCUAGAUACGUGGGUCCUUUCAAGAUCAUUGGCAAAAGAGGCGACCUCUCCUAUCAACUUCAGCUUCCAUCCAACUUUGCGAACGUGCAUGAUGUGUUUCACGUGUCACAGCUUCGCAAGUGCUUCAAGACUCCUGAGCGCACUAUCAACUUCGAAGAGAUCGACCUCCAAGAAGAUCUCUCUUAUCAUGAGCACCCCGUUGCUAUUCUUGAAGAAACCGAGCGCAAGACUCGCAACAAGUCACUCAAAUUCCUGAAAGUGAAGUGGUCACACCAUUCCGACCGAGAAGCCACCUGGGAGCGCGAGGAUCACCUCCGUUCCGAAUAUCCGGAGUUCUUUCAGUCCUAGAUCUCGGGACGAGAUCCUCUUGUAGUGGUGGAGUGUUGUAACACCCCGGAUGUAACUUUCCAUCUUUGUAACUCCAACUCUUGCCAUUAUCAGCCAUGUGUUAUGAUAUUCCCUCCGUGGUUGUGUUUUGUCUUUUGUUUUGCAUUUUAUUAAUGUCAUGCAUAUCAUAUCAUGUCAUCAUAGGCAUCUCAUUUGCAUACGUGUUCUUCUCAUGCAUCCGAGCAUUUUCCCCGUUGUCCGUUUCGCAAUCCGACAGUCCCACAUGCACCGGCACACCCCUCUUGUCUCUUUUCGUGUGCGGGCAUUAAACGUUCUUGGAAUGGAACGAGCCUUGUCAAGUGGCCCUGGUAUAGCACCGGUAGACCACCUGUCAAGUUUCGGGUCAUUUGGAGCUCGUUUGAUACUCCAACGGUUAUCCGCUUAUCCCCAAAGGCCUCUUUUGAGUUACCGCCCAACACCCCUCCAAAACAGCCCAAUAACCCAUCUAAGUCACUUCCAUGCUCUCCAUCGUCGGAUCACGAUCGUGUGGGCGAAAACCGCACCUCAUUCGGACACUCCUAGCUCCCUCUACCUAUAAAUAUGUGCUACCCCCGGAGUUUUCGCAGUCCAACCCUAGCCCCGCUCCUCUCCGCGCCGUCGGACACGUCCGGACGGAGCCGGACGCGUCCGCCCGCCGCCCCGGAGAACCAGGAGCUGCCACGUGGCCAAGGCGCCCGCGCCGCCGCCCCCGGCCCGCCGAGCCCGCGUCCGGCCCCCGCGGCCCAUCGCCUGCGCCGCCGCCNNNNNNNNNNNNNNNNNNNNNNNNNNNNNNNNNNNNNNNNNNNNNNNNNNNNNNNNNNNNNNNNNNNNNNNNNNNNNNNNNNNNNNNNNNNNNNNNNNNNNNNNNNNNNNNNNNNNNNNNNNNNNNNNNNNNNNNNNNNNNNNNNNNNNNNNNNNNNNNNNNNNNNNNNNNNNNNNNNNNNNNNNNNNNNNNNNNNNNNNNNNNNNNNNNNNNNNNNNNNNNNNNNNNNNNNNNNNNNNNNNNNNNNNNNNNNNNNNNNNNNNNNNNNNNNNNNNNNNNNNNNNNNNNNNNNNNNNNNNNNNNNNNNNNNNNNNNNNNNNNNNNNNNNNNNNNNNNNNNNNNNNNNNNNNNNNNNNNNNNNNNNNNNNNNNNNNNNNNNNNNNNNNNNNNNNNNNNNNNNNNNNNNNNNNNNNNNNNNNNNNNNNNNNNNNNNNNNNNNNNNNNNNNNNNNNNNNNNNNNNNNNNNNNNNNNNNNNNNNNNNNNNNNNNNNNNNNNNNNNNNNNNNNNNNNNNNNNNNNNNNNNNNNNNNNNNNNNNNNNNNNNNNNNNNNNNNNNNNNNNCCUUCGCGGCCCCACCCGUUCGCCGCUGCCGCCGCCAACGCCAUCUCCGGCGCCUCCUCGCGGGAGGACACCCAGAUCCGGCCGGCCCAGCUCCUCUCCGGCCGUCCUCCUCCGGCCCCGAGCUCCAUCUCUGGUCGGCGAACCUCGAAGCCCGCGCUCGGAUCCAGAUCCACCCCUCGGUUGACUUUUCUUCUUCCCUGAAUUUCGUCUAAGUCCUUAUCUGCCAUUAUUUUUGUUGCAUGUUCAUCGCCCCACAACUUUGCACCCGUGGCUCCGUUUUGGGCGUAUAACAUACCGAUUUGUUCGCCUCGAAGAUUACAUCAUUCCGUCUCAUUGCAUCAUUUUCUUUUGAGCUUAUCUUGAUGCCCGAAAUGCUAUUGGAAGAGUGCUUCAUAAUAUUAGUUUCAGAUUCUUAUCAGAACAUGCGCUUUUGUCAUUUUUGCCAUGAUUGAUGUGUGCAUCCUAUGUAUUUGAGCCCUACAUGUGAGUUGAACUAUGCCAUGUCUUCUUUGCAGAGGUACUUGCCAUGUAUUUUUGUGAUCAAUGUGGUGACUAGAACAAGCAUGCAAACUAGGCUUCGUGAUAUUGCUGAUUUUAGUCCCUGUUCUGCUGUUAUUUUCAUGCCAUGUAAACUUGAUGCUACAGAGAGAUCCUUGCAUAUUUUGAGAUACUUCAGUAAGGGUGUUUUGAACAUAUGGUUAUGCUCUAUCAAUCCAUGGCCCUGGUUGCAAUUAUGGGUUAGUCUAGCAUGUCAUUUUCGUGCUCUACUUUUGCUUCAAAAAUUUUCCUGGCAGAUUGUUUACAUGUUAUUCAAUUUUACCGAGGUUGUUGUAGUUGAUCCGUGUAUGCUAUGAUGUUGUUCUUGCCAUGUAUAGCUUCUAUGACAUGUAUUCUUGAUGGAUGUAUGCUUAGUUUAUCAUGAAGUGCUCUGUACUGAGUGCAUCGAGCUCACGAAGGUGCCUUCAUAAUUAUGUCAAUGCCAUGCUUUGUUUGCUGAAUCUGUUAACGAAACUUGUUAUGUUUACAUGGGUGCCAUCAUAUUUUCUGAUCCUUUUUGUCUUAUGGUCAGUAAGGGACUUUUGAUCUAUGCUUUGAGUAGAUUCAUGCCAUUCCUUGUUUUGCUAUUAUAAGUUCCUGUAGCAUGUUGAUAACCUGCUCUGAACAUUGCUUCGUGAUGCUGUUUAUGCCAUGUCCAACCUGUUAUUUUUUGCACUUUCACCAUGCUUGUUUGAACCUGUUAUGAUGUGAUUUAGCCGUAGCUGAGUGUUCCUUUUUUGUUAAGCAUCUCCUGUAGAUCACUGCCAUAUGUUUUGUUUUUAUGUUGGGGUGCUGUAGUAUAGUUUCUUGUUGCAUGCUAAGUAGCAUCGUGCUGUUAAUCGCAGCUUUGUGCCAUUCUUGUUUUGCUUGCCAUUUGCAAACAGUGCAUCCGUUUCCGGUGAUCCUUAUAUCGGUUUCAAUCGAAAUCAUCUCAUCUUUCCAGCGGCAUACUUUGUUUGCCAAGUUGAUGCCUUGUUCAUCCUUUUUCCUCCCGAAGCACGCAUAUGCAUUGCAUAUCACAUCUCGCAUAUCAUGACAUGUUUUGCAUCAUGUUGCUUGUGCAUUGCACCGUGAUUUAUUGUGGUUCCUUUGCUUGUGUUCUUGCUUUGGGUAGAGCCGGGAGACGAGUACGUGCAUGAGGAACCUGUUGAGUACGCUAACGAGGAUCGAGCCUUCGACAACUCUGAGAACCUUGCAGGCAAGAUGACCAUACCUUUGACAUCACUUCUAUCUUUGCUUGCUAGUACUCGCUCUAUCGCUAUGUUAGCUCUACCUGCCUUUGUUUAUCAUGCCUCCCUAUUGCCAUGUCAAACCUCUAACCAUCCUUUCCUAGCAAACUGUUGUUUGGCUAUGUCACCGCUUUUGCUCAGCCCCUCUUAUAGCAUUGCUAGUUGCAGGUGAAGAUGAAGUUUGUUCCUGGUCGGAACAUGGAUAUUUUGGGAUAUCACAAUAUCUCCUGUUUAAUUAAUGCACCUUAUAUACUUGGUAAAGGGUGGAAGGCUCGGCCUUAUGCCUGGUGACUUGUUCCACUCUUGCCGCCCUAGUUUCUGUCAUACCGGUGUUAUGUUCCUUGAUUUUGCGUUCCUUACACGGUUGGGUGAUUUAUGGGACCCCCUUGACAGUUCGCUUUGAAUAAAACUCCUCCAGCAAGGCCCAACCUUGGUUUUACCAUUUGCCACCUAAGCCUUUUUCCCUAGGGUUUUCGCGAGCCCGAGGGUCAUCUUUAUUUUAACCCCCCCGGGCCAGUGCUCCUUCGAGUGUUGGUCCGAAAUGAGUAGACUGCAGGGCCACCUCGGGGAAACUUGAGGGCUGGUUUUACUCGUAGGAUGUCUCAUCCGGUGUGCCCUGAGAACGAGAUAUGUGCAGCUCCUAUCAGGAUUUGUCGGCGCAUCGGGCGGCUUUGCUGGUCUUAUUUUACCAUUGUCGAAAUGUCUUGCGAACCGGGAUUCCGAGGCUGAUCGGGUCUUUCCAGGAGAAGGUAUAUCCUUCGUUUAUCGUGAGAGCUUGUGAUGGGCUAAGUUGGGACACCCCUGCAGGGUAUAUUAUCUUUCGAAAGCCGUGUCCGCGGUUAUGAGGUAGAUGGGAAUUUGUUAAUGUCCGGUUGUAGAUAACUUGACACUUGACCUCUUUAAAAUGCAUCAACCGUGUGUGUAGCCGUGAUGGUCUCUUCUUGGCGGAGUCCGGGAAGUGAACACGGUUUGAGUUAUGCUUGACGUAAGUAGUUUUAGGAUCACUUCUUGAUCACUUUUAGCUUCUCGACCGAUGCGUUGCUUCUCUUCUCGCUCUUACUUGCGUAUGUUAGCCACCAUAUAUGCUUAGUGCUUGCGGCAGCUCCACCAUAUUACCCCUUUUACCUACCUAUGAGCUUAAAUAGUCUUGACCUCGUGGGUGUGAGAUUGUUGAGUCCUCGUGACUCACAAAUUCUACCAAAACAGAUGCAGGUGCCGAGGAUACCAGCGCAGAUGGCGCAACUGAGCUGAAGUGGGAAUUUGACAAGGCCCUUGGUCAUUACUAUGUAUCGUUUCCAGAUGAUCAAUAGAGGAGCCCAGUCGGGACGAUCGGGGAUCUAGCAUUUGGGGUUGUCUUCUUUUCAUUUGAACUUGACCGUAGCCGGUCUAUGAGUGUAUUUGAAUGAUGUAUGAUCUUAAUUUAUGUAUUGUGUGAAGUGGCGAUUGUAAGCCAACUCUCGUAUCCCUUUCUUGUUCAUUACAUGGGAUUGUGUGAAGAUGACCCUUCUUGCGACAAAACCAGUAUGCGGUUAUGCCUCGAAGUCGUGCUUCGACACGUGGGAGAUAUAACCACAUCGUGGGUGUUACAUAUAUUCACUAAACCUCUUGAUGAGAAAGUGUUUUGCAGGUUGAGAGGAGAAUUGAACAUCAUAGAUGCUUCAAACUUGGAGUAGAAACUCCAUUGGAAACAUGCAAGACAUGAGCUUAUGACUAAUCCUUGAUAUUUCUCUUAUGAUGAAAAUCUUAUAUCUUGGACAUAUUUGCUUCUUGCAUGUUAUCUAACCCAUGUAGGUACAUGGUUGAAUCAAAUUCUAUGAGAUUGUAACCUACUCACAUCUUGAGCAAUCUCUACAUCACCAUGUCUCUAUACAAAGGUGGUUGAAGACAAGGAAGCACGAAACCAUUCAAACAUAUCCUUUGACAAAUUCUAUGUUGAGCUUCAUGAUUGUCAUUUUUGGAUACACAAGUGCUGUUCCUUGCAAGAACUAACCCAUGUAGGUAGAUGGACUCAAAUUUCAAGUGGUGCUCCCAACUCUUGAUGAGCUACAUCAACCUUCAGCAACCCACACAAGUUCAACUACAUGAUCAACACCACCAACCAAGGUAUGUUAUUCCAUCUUAGAGAAGCUUUACUCCGAGUCAUGAGCUAAAGCAACUCGACAAGAUGUGAAUACAUCAAGAUGCUUAAAUGAAAAAUGGUAACUGUCGGGGAUAUACCCCGCGGUAUGACCCAGCCGGAGUCGUAAACCGGACGGGACUUGGUAAACUGGCGGAUGGUAAACCGGCAGACCGUUAAGGCAGAUGGCUGAGUCAGACGGUAAACCGGCGGGUGUUAAACCGGCAGAUGGCUAAGACAGACGGUAAACCGGCAAGUGUUAAACCGACAGAGUUAAGACAGAUGGCAGACAUUGUUAAACCAGCAGACAUUGUUAAACCGGCAGACAUUGUUAAACCGGCAAACAUUGUUAAACCGGCAGGCAUUCUUAAACCGACAGACAAUGAUAAACCGGCAGACAUUGAACAGCCCAGGAAAGGAAGUCAAAAUAGUUUAAGUUAAAGUCCGAGUUGGACUCCACAUGUAACCCGCCCCUUCAACAUAUAUAAGGAGGGACAGGGCUCUCCAAAGAGGGACAAGAAAGAAACAAUCUCUAGGGCUAGACACAACUAGAGGAGAGCCGGUUUACGUCGACUCCCUCAUGACGAUAAUGAGAUCUAGCCUCAAACAGCAUGUAGGGUUUUUACCGGAUGAUGUUUCCCGGGGCCAGAAGCUGUCUAAACCCUUGUCUUGUGUUGCGUCUCUCAAUUCUGCUCAACCCCUCUCACGCUACCACAUAGAUGCGUUGGCCUCGCGACUAAGUCCUCACACUAAGGACAUCUGACGUGUUAAUUCCACGACAGUUGGUGCCCACCGUGGGGCCUGCGCACGGUGGUGUUGAGUUCUUGGAGGGAUCUUUUCUAUGGAUCGAAAAUUUCGCGACGUACCUGAUGGAAAAAUGCCGGAGCUGAAGAUAACAUCGUCGAUGAACCGUCGAAACAAGAUUUAGAAGAUCUAGUUUAAAGGAAGCUAGGGUUUUAUCGUAGGCGCCGCCGAACGUGUCUACACUAAUCAGUUAGUCCGAUGGAUUGAGGACUACUACAAAGACCUGUCUGCUCACGUAAGGACCAAAGUCAAUUCGUCAACUGAGCACUAUUUUUUUGCUCCUUGCAUGUUGAAGCGAACAAUGCAAAGAAAGAAGAAGACCAUAAUGGUAUCCACUGCUCGUAUCUGCUGUCGCGGUUUCUGAGUUUGUACCAAUCCGCCGAGACCGAGUCACCUCGCUCUGCCUCCGGUUUGUCUCCACUACACCUACCAGCCGCUGCUGUUCUGCGUUAAAAUCACUGUUGCAGCUGCUUCUGACCAGAUCAUCAUCAAUCGAGAAAGUCUUACUGCAGUUUGCUCCUCGCGUGGUGGUCAGGCCGGGCCACGAGUGCUGACUCAGCCUUGGACAAACUGCCAGCUGCCUCACAACUACCGAGGGCCCCGUCUCAUCUACAGCUGUGGCCGGUGCGCCCAACGUUACUGCUUCACAUCGCCAUAAACCGCCGCUGAGUUAUCUCCGAGCCGCCGGGUCAGACGGCUGUACUUCAAAGUAGCUGCGCAGCCCAGGUUUUCCUUGCUUGGUAGUACCUUGCUUGCGGUUUUGCCUUUGAACAGAUGCAUAAAGCCUAAAUUAGAUGACAAGGACGUGAUAUGUGCCACAAAAUUUCCUCACGUAAGUCCGCUAAGCAUGCUAGCUCACGUUCAAAGCCAAAGAUUGAGCCGGACAUGACCCGGAUGGAUUGUACUUUGACUCUGCUUCCAAAUCACCGCUACGCCAAUAGAUGCCUAGCUUCCUUCUGUUUCCAAUCCGGAUUGGGCCUCGCUCUGCAUCGGCUUCCGAUCCGCUGCUAUUAAAUCGCCAUGGCCUCUCGUUGCCUCCGACCCGGUCUGCGCGUCCGUUAAAUCGCCCGGCUGUGCCCAGCCUCCUCUGCUGACCGUGGAGUCUGCGCCCGCCUGCCCAAACCGCCGCCUCCGUGCCACGAACCGUCGCCGGCCGGUCUCCAGGUCGCUUUGCUACAACCUGCCGCUGACCGGAGUCGCUGUAGUGGGCCUCCGGGGAGCCACCAAUGCUCUCUGGCCUGAGUCGCCUCGCCUCCAAGUUUCGCUGGCGCUUCUCCGCAGCCGCUGCCGAGCUGUUUUCGCUUUGGUAAUCUCUGACAUGCGGCCUCACCGAGUCAUCGUCAUGGCCGAAUUAAAUCACCGCCUUCGCUGGGUCACCCUUCGUCCGCGGCCGGCGCCGGUUCUGCCCUACCUGAGCUGCCGUCUUGGACCUUGCCGCCUCGUCGUGGCCGUGUUACCUCGCAGAACAAUCACCACCGUCGUUGUAGGGUCAGCACCGCGCCUCCGCCUUGGGCACGGCGCCGCUGCUUCAUCCGUUACUUGGAGUCACCCCCACGCUCGGCCUUCAGUGCCCUGAACCGGUCGGUCUUGAACCGGCCUCCGUCACCUCAAGCCGCCGCCUGGCCCUCCACCAUCGCCGCCGCUGACUCACCAUGGUUCGCCCUUCCACCGCAGACUCGCUGAGCCGCCAGGAGCCUCACCAGUACCGGUCGGUCAGAUGGACCGUCAGCCGCCGUCGUCCGAGUGCUGAGCCGCACCGCGUUGAGUGGUCCCCGCCUACAAGCCGCUACUGCGCUCAACCCGUUUCCUGCCGUGGCCAUGCCUUCGCCCGUAUUUCUCUACAUCAGCCGUUGCGGCCUCGCCUCGCGGGCGCUUCUCUGCUGCUGCGCCAGGCCUGAGCCGCCCCGUCCCCGGCUAGGCCUAGUAUGGUUUCCCCUGCCGUCAAGCCGCCCUGGACGACGAGUUGAUUCGGUCACCACGAGCAGCUCUCUCCACUUUGAUCUGCCUUCGCGGCCUCAGGUUUUUUCCCGAAUCGCCGUGAUGAGAACCGCCGCCUUCGCUGGCCUCACCUUCACCGUCGCGCCGUUGAGCAUCUGCUCCGUGUCGCCGCAUUCGCCUCAGGUCGCCGGGCCCCACUGAUUCGACCCCAAGCCGCCCACGGCCGUGGUUCGACGCCGCCUUUUCUUCUGCUGCACGCGCGGCCGUCGGAGCCGCCCUCGUGCUGCCAUUGACCCGGCCUGUUGCAGCCACAAGCUGCCCCUACCUUUGCUGUGGUCGCAGGUGUUUUUAUGGAAUCCCAGAGAGAAGCCGCGGGUGGUAGAACACAAGAGCAGAACCUACAUCCUGGAGUAUUGUGGCAUUAAAUCUGUGCUUCUAUCCUCGCCAGCAACAACAAAAGAGAUCAGUAUUAUCAUUGCUAAUCUGGCUUCAUUGCUGUUUGGAGAACCAAGCAAAAAACAAUACUGGUCAAAUACAAGUCUCUUUCAAUUAGAGCAUUCCCGUGGAAAGGAAGUGCAUGCAUGAAGGCCACUCUGCCAAUUAAACCAGAGCACGAGUCCCAGCAAUCUGUGCUGGCUGUCAUAAGAAGAUGCAAAAAGCAUUGUGGAGCACUACCAGUACUCUGUGAAAGAUUCUAUGUACAGAUCAUUAGUCAUUCAAAGACAUCAAGAUAAUGAUUUAUUAUAAAGGUGGAGUCAUGCCGUGCCCAUGGAAUGUGCAUUAGCAUCAUCAUGCACCGGCGUCUGCGCCCGCUUACUGUUGAACGGGCAUGCGGAAGCCGCCGCUCAUGCAGGCCACUCUACACCAACACGACACGGCCGACUCGCCCGUCCGCGCGGUGUCAUGCGCCUGCGAUUGAUUUGCCCUUCCGCACCGGCUUACAAUGCCACGGUCGAUUUAUCGGUUGUCCAGGCAAAUCAGGUGCUAUCCCUCCUAUCCGCAUGUACUUUGUUUAAGAACAAUUACUCUGGCCUAUAUCUUUUUAUACAGGACAAGUGCUCACUAUAAAAGUGAUGCCCUACUGCGAACGGCGCGCGCUAGCUGUUUUACACCGACAUUUGUGCAUCACAUUGAUGAACCGGAACACAAACCGCCGCCCCUGCAGUCCGGACUAGAUCAACAAUGCCGCGGCCGACUCUCUUGUCUGUGCUGGCUUAUAACCCCGCGGUGGAUAUUAACUGGCCUGACAUAUCAGGUAAAAUCCAUCCAUUAUAUUUUUAUAUUAUAUAUUGCUUUCUUUAAAAAGAGCAAUCACUCUGGCUUGCAAGGUUAUCUAAAUGCAGGACCUUAAACCGCCAUAUGGGUGCAAAUUUAAAGGCCAUCAGAAAAUUUCCGGCUUAAAAAGGAGGAUUCUGGUUUAAUAUCCGGUUUAAGGGAAAGUUAUCUCCCACCAAGCUUUGAAGCUCUCGAUAUCCGGCUCAAAAUACCAGUUCAAGAAGAAUUUAUCUCUUGCAAAAAAUUAAAGGUUGCCGAAGAGGACCUGCUGCCCUGACGCGCGGUUCAAAUAUGGGUAUCCUGCCUUAUGGGCUCAUCUUCAUAUGAUCACUUGGGGGUUUCCUGUUCAAACAUAGGUGUGUUCACCAAAGAGAACAUAGAGCUACUACCCUCUUGAUCCGGCUAUCAAGCCAAUAUUAUCAUAAGAGUAUAGCUCUGGUUACUUCGGUAAUCCGUCUAUCAUGCCACAACAAAGCUUGGGAGCUUCACACCCAAGGGGCCAAAGAGAGUUUGUUGCCAUGCACAGCUCAAACAUAGGCACCCAAUGAGCACAACUCAUCACGUUACUUGGGGGAUCCUUGUGUCAAUACCAAGGAGUUUUAACGGACCCUUGUAGCUGGGUAUCGACCCACGGCUUAGAAGCCUGGUAUAUUUACCUAAAACCUCGGGUUAACCUGCCUUCAUCAAGUAAGACACUCCUAUUCAGGUCAUCCUGGCACGGCCCUCCGAAUGUUUGACUGUUACUCUCAUUGAGACCCUGCACUUGUCAAAGUUAAAAUGGUGAUUGGUUAGUUGGAGGUCCGUCUUAAAAGGCUUUGCUAAAUGGUUUAACUCACCGUCCUGGCAGCCCAUGAAAAGCCUCGAAUUUGGGCCUGGCAGCCCUCAAAAAGCCUCGACUACACGGUUUUAUUUGCCUUUGUCAAGAUUUUUCUCUUUUGAUAAAUUUUAUGUUGAACCGGUGUCUAUUGACCCGGCAUGACUAUCAGUCAUCAAAUUAACCCUGUGUUCAUUAACCCGACUCGACUUUCAACUACAAGUUGUCAGUACAUAAUCACUUAUAAUCCGGUGUUUAUUGACCCGGCCUGGUUUGGACUAUAAGUCGCCAGCAUAUAUUUGGAUUGCGCCAUUGGAAUUAUGCGCUUAUAAAUCAUUGGGUAUAUUAUUCAAAUAGCCAACAUGGCUGGAUUUCUAUUAUGGUUAUCAGUAACCAGUAUUAUGAUUAAGGUUUUCAAGUCGCUUUAGCGCAAUGGCUAUCAUAUUAUCAAUGUAUAUGAUUUUUGUUUUACAAUUUUAAGGAAUAGUCCCGAGUUGCUGCAGGCUUACAACCCGACACUUGGGGGCUACAUUACUUAAGUUGAGAUUAUAUCAAAUAUGCAAGUCUCAUGUCGCUGCAAGCAUGCACCAUGACACUUGGGGGCUAAUGCAAAGUCAUUUUUUGCUCAUCUUAUUAAAGACCCGACUCAUCACAUUAUAAUGAGCCGGCCCUUGAGGGCUACCAAUUUCUCAUGUCAACAAUUCAAGGUAAAAAGCUUUUUAUUCGUUAUAUUAAAGGGUCCACUGCUCAGUUGGUAAAGCACAAGGCUCUUCAUCUUGCGGACGUGGAUUCAAGUCCCAUGAUGGGGGUUACAUCAUAUGGUGUUAUUUUUAUUGAAGUAUAUAUCAAGUCCCAGCUCAAUAUUAUCUUACUGAGCCGGCCCUUGGGGGCUACACAUCAUUGCUCAAAUCUACAUGAUUAUACCUACAAAGUCCCUGCUCAUUAUUGCAUAAUGACCCGGCCCUUGGGGGCUACACUGGUUAAAGUUUUUAUGAGUAUAAGACAAUUACAAAGUCCCAGGUUGCUGCAAGCAUGACAACCCGGCACUUGGGGGCUACAUAAUAUGGAGUAUUCAGUUUUUACUUAGUGACUGGGAUGAGCAACAUGGAUUUCUUCUUAAGUGGCAGUAUUUAUACAGGUAUUAUAUUAUUAUCGAAGAACUAUUUUCAAAUUCUCUGUUUUGAGAAAACUGGAUUGACCCGGCGUCACCAAUCAUUAUGACCCUGUGUCUACAACCCGGCGUCAUCAAUAAUGAUGAACCGGCAUUGGCAACAAUCAUGAACCGGUGUUGGCAACAAUCAUGACCCGAAAUUAUCAGUUUUUAUAACCCGACAAUGGUGGUACUCAUAAACCGGCAAGUUUUACAUCUUCAAGCCGGCUGGAUAUCAGUUGAAUAUUUCAAAGACUAAUAUUUUUGUCAAGUCAGAGCAUUGAAGGCCGGUUCAAAUGGAUUCUUUAUUUACAAAAUUUCUUCUGCAAGCAAAUUGAUUAUGAAGAUGGUUAUCAACUUGGAAGGAAGUGACAAGGACUUAAGGCUGAUCAGGAUCAGUUUAACAUUGAUAAAUCCAAAUUAAACUAGGGGCUAAUGUCGGGGAUAUACCCCGCGGUAUGACCCCGCCGGAGUCAUAAACCGGCCGGGACUUGGUAAACCGGCGGGUGGUAAACCGGCAGACCGUUAAGGCAGAUGGCUGAGUUAGACGGUAAACCGGCGGGUGUUAAAACCGACAGAUGGCUAAGACAGACGGUAAACCGGCAAGUGUUAAACCGGCAGAGUUAAGACAAAUAGCAGACAUUGUUAAACCAGCAGACAUUGUUAAACCGGCAGACAUUGUUAAACUGGCAAACAUUGUUAAACCGGCAGGCAUUGUUAAACCGACAGACAAUGAUAAACCGGCAGACGUUGAACAGCCCAGGAAAGGAAGUCAAAAUAGUUUAAGUUAAAGUCCGAGUAGGACUCCACAUGUAACCCGCCCCUUCAACAUAUAUAAGGAGGGGCAGGGCUCCCCAAAGAAGGACAAGAAAGAAACAAUCUCUAGGGCUAGACACAACUAGAGGAGAGCCGGUUUACGGCGACUCCCUCAUGACGAUAAUGAGAUCUAGCCUCAAACAACAUGUAGGGUUUUUACCGGAUGAUGUUUCCCGGGGCCCGAAGCUGUCUAAACCCUUGUCUUGUGUUGCGUCUCUCGAUUCCGCUCAACCCCUCUCAAGCUACCACAUAGAUGCGUUGGCCUCACGACUAAGUCCUCACACUAAGGACAUCUGACGUGUUAAUUCCACGACAGUAACCCCAUUUUGAGCUUAAACGAUGAGUAUGACCUAUGAUCAAGUGAUCUCAGUUGACUGCUAAGUCAAUAUACUCUAACAUAGGUGUCCUUGUCGCCAACCAUCUCUAGAUGAAGUUCUCUUGUGUUCUCUUCUGUGUUUUUGCAUUUGUCUCAUGCAUAAUUGUUUCCCCUUCAAAAAAAACUUCAUCUAGAUUUCUUUCUUUUCUUUUUGUUGCUCUUCAUUUUAUGCAUCAAGUCAUUGCAUAUCAUUCAGUAAAUUCCUUGCAAAUCUUUGUGAGAUCUUUCUAGACUAGUGAGCUGAGGUGACAAGUGUUUUCUCUGUGAUGAACUCGGUUACACCGAUUUGUAAUUUUCGGUCCAACCAACAACUUUCGGUACCACCGAAGCAUACCACUCGGUGCCACCGAUUUCACAAUAGGAAAAACAGUUUGCCACUUAUUCUGUGAUUCUUCUGAUCCAGCUCCACUCAAUGAAUCUUGUCCUCUAACAAGCAUCACAUUUUUAUCAAGUGCUUUAUGUUGUGACUCAAGGAUCAAACCCAUUCACGACAAAUUCCAGAGGGAGAGAGAGAGAUCACAUUUUUAUCGAGCCCUUCUUGGAAAUUGACGUCAAAGGGGGAGAGAGAGAUCACAUCAAAGCUUAUCAUUUUAGAGAGAGUAUCACCUUCUCAGGGGGAGGGACAUCCUUCAGGGUGAGAGAGAGAGAGAGAGAGAUCUCCAGGGGGCUAGAAUACUAGUAGAAAGUAUUUCUCAAGGAUCCCAGAUGCUUGGUGUUCAAGAGGAGAGAUGCCACAUGUCUUCUUGAGGGGAAAGACAUGUUCAUAUGUGCUUACUUGCAUUAGUUUGCAUUAGCUCUGUUCAUUUAUAUCUUUCAGCUCUGAUUUUCUGUUCCCUAUCUUUUCCCAGUAUCCAAUGCUAGAUUCAGGGGGAGCAAGACAUCCAAGGGAAAGAAAUCAUUCAAAUUCAUUGCAUAUCUUUACUCUUGGGGACAUGUCUAAUCAAAUGUCAUCCCAGUCUUGGUAUUCUUGUGGUUUCUUCUGUUUGCUCUGGCUAGUAGAUGUAUCUGUGUUAUCUAACCUUGUUUACACAGGUUCAUUCCAUCCUAAGCCUACUCAAGACUACAAGGUAAGUAUAUGCAUCACAAUCAUGUGUAUGAGGAAUUCUUGCUGAUGUACAUACUGUUUGCAAGAAGGACUCAUGGGCAUGAAGGUAUUUCCUUCAAUACUAUUUGCUCUGAUGCAUAUGGCCAAGAUACAUGUAACACAUUGCCUGCUCUAUCAUGGUUAUGCUCUCACAUGCUUCUAUAUUUCAUAUUCACAUGAUUGCAUACAUGUAGGGGGAGCCUAUGCUUGUUACAUGUCUUUCCAAAGCUUUACUUGCUAUUUUUCAUAUCCUUAUCUAAAGCUUUCAUGUAUGUUGUCAUCAAUUACCAAAAAGGGGGAGAUUGAAAGCACAACUGCUCCCUAGGUGGUUUUGGUAAUUAAUGUCAACAUAUCUCUUGUUGGACUAACACUUUUAUCUAGUAUAUUUCAGACAAGUUCAACAUUGAAGUGGCAUGGACUAAAGGAUGUGGGAACUCCUUCAAGAUGCUAAGGACAAAGGAUUGGCUCAAGCUUCAAGCUCAAGACUCUUCAUUUUACAUUUUAGUGAUCCAAGAUCACAUUGAGUCUAUAGGAAAAGCCAAUACUAUCAAGGAGGGAUGAGGUGUUGCUUAAUGAGCCUCUUGCUUCAUGUGCUUAAUGAUAUGCUCCAAAAACCCUCAGCUACUUUCUCACAUCCACAAAUGACCUAAACCUAAAACCAAAAUCGGCCAUACCAAUUCUUUCAAUCCGGCGCCACCGAGUUUGGAUGUCUUAGCCACUGCCACAAACCCUAGGCAAAUCGGUCUUACCGAUAGGGAUCUCGGUCUCACCGAGAUGGGAUUGUAAUCUCUCUGUGUAUGUCCAUUAUCAAAAUCGGUCUCACCGAGUUUGAGCAAUCGGUACUACCGAGAUUACAAUGCAAACUCUCUGGUUAACUUAUUACCAAAAUCGGUCCCACCGAGUUUGAGUAAUCGGUCCCACCGAGUUUGCCUGACCAACUCUCUCGUUAGCUAAUUACCAAAAUUGGCCCCACCAAGUUUGUGUAAUCGGUCUCACCGAGAUUACAUUAUUCCCUAACCCUAACCAUAUCGGUCCCACUGAGUUGCAUUUCGGUCCCACCGAAAAUCCUAACGGUCACUAAAUUUGCUAAAUCGGUCCGACCGAGUUUGUUGAUUCGGUCCCACCGAUUUUGGUAAAUUGUGUGUAACGGUUAGAUUUUGUGUGGAGGCUAUAUAUGCCCCUCCACCUCCUCUUCAUUCAUGGAGAGAGCCAUCAGACUGAACCUACACUUCCAGCAUCCUAUUUCUGAGAGAGAACUACCUACUCAUGUGUUGAGGCCAAGAUAUUCUAUUCCUACCAUAUGAAUCUUGAUCUCUAGCCUUCCCCAAGUUGCUUUCCACUCAAAUCUUCUUUCCACCAGAUCCAAAACCUAUGAGAGAGAGUUGAGUGUUGGGGAGACUAUCAUUUGAAGCACAAGAGCAAGGAGUUCAUCAUCAAUUCACCAUUUGUUACUUCUUGGAGAGUGGUGUCUCCUAGAUUGGCUAGGUGUCACUUGGGAGCCUCCGACAAGAUUGUGGAGUUGAACCAAGGAGUUUGUAAGGGCAAGGAGAUCGCCUACUUUGUGAAGAUCUACCGCUAGUGAGGCAAGUCCUUCGUGGGCAACGGCCAUGGUGGGAUAGACAAGGUUGCUUCUUCGUGGACCCUUCUUGGGUGGAGCCCUCCGUGGACUCGCGUAACCGUUACCCUUCGUGGGUUGAAGUCUCCAUCAACGUGGAUGUACGAUAGCACCACCUAUCGGAACCACGCCAAAAACAUCCAUGUCUCCAAUUGCGUUUGAAUCCUCCAAAACCCUUCCCUUUACAUUCUUGCAAGUUGCAUGCUUUACUCUAUGCAUGCUUGCUUGCUAUGUGUUGUGAAUGUUAAACUUGUGCCUAAACUUCACUUAAACUUAAAUUUGCUAAAAACUGCAACUUUGGUACUUAGUGUCUAAUCACCCCCCCUCUAGACACCUCUUCUCAAGGUCCUACACGAAGUAUGGCUACAGUGAAGCACGUCGCCUCCCACGCUCGAGACGGGCGUGGCUACAGUGCUCCGUACAGACGGAGAUCUCUGCACGACGGAGCAGUGUGCCGUAUCUAUCCUAACGUUGCUCCUAGCAGGCGGAGUCCUGUUCCCCACGACGGCCUGUCGGUAUGGCCCGCUAGAGGCGGGCCCUAUCGGACAGUGACCCCAAGGAAGAUGGCGGAAGUUCGACCAGGUGGAUCAGAGAGGGGCCGACCUCCAGCAGGCGGCCGUCCCUUGCCCCGAGGCGAGCAAGCCAUUAAGCUGACAAGACCAGGUGUGGCUACAGUGUCCUCCCACCAGGAGGUGGGACUGUAGCCAUGCUAAAGAUGACCAAGCCCCCGUCACUGGGGAUACGACUACAGUGAACAGCCACCAACCAGCCGGCAGGGCCCACCAGGCGGAGGGCCCCAGCGGUCGGCGGAGAAGCUGGAGGCCGGAGACACUGACGGCCGGGCCCGGUAGCCGGCCAGAUUACUAUUGUACCCCUGGGGGGUAGGCCUAUAUAAACCACCCAGGCCACCCAUGCAAAGGGUUCCCAUUCUGAUAGAACUAGCCAGAAACCUAGGGCUGGGGAGAGCUAGCCUUGCUUUCUCCUUCCCCUAGACACAGCUCAAGGAGCACUUUGUAUCACUAGUGCCUUAGUGAUCGUGCGGAGACCCCUAGAGCAGGAGUAGGGGUAUUAUCUCCACGGAGAGCCCCCAACCUGGGUAAAGUUCGCCGGCGUACGUGUCUACGCCUCAUCCCGCUUCCAAGCAUCGGCGACGUUCUACUCGCUCCCACCAUGAUAAGCCAUCCAUUGGCAUAUGUCGCACCCAACCCCCGAGAUUUGGCGCCCACCAUGGGGCGAGGUGCACCGUCUCCCGAAGAUAUGCUUUGGACAGGAACCCUGUUCCUUCCUGGCGAGCAAAGCCAACCCAGCAUGCCCGACGGCGUCAGCCCCGAUGCGCUGCACGGCGCGGAGAUCGCCUGCGCGGAAAGCUGCCUCACUGACCUCAUCGGUGAGAUCGACCUCUCCGACGAGCCGGCCUCUGACGCGGGCACAAGCUGCCCUGAGAGCCGCCUCGUCAGCCUCCUCGACCAGCUCCAUGUGGCCAGCGAGCCUACUGCGGACCUGGAGUCUGUCGGCUCGACCGAUCCGAUGAUCGUCGACUCCGACACAGCGUUGCUCGACGCGUUCCGCACCAACGUGGUGGUCUAUGACGAGCCGCCUCCUCGCGAGUACAACGGCGGGAGCACCAUCACGGAGGUGCUCGUCAUCCAUAGUGAGGGGCGCUCGGACGGGAAUACUCAAGAUCCCCUCGACGCCGCUCUGCGCGACCUCACGGCGCCCAUUCCCGAGGGCGCGCAUGCUGAGGUGCUGGAGGCACGCCACCUCCAGCUUCUCGAAAAUGCUGUCCACCUGGCCAGCAUGCGCCGGCUUUCGGACGCCUACCGGCGCGAGAUGGACCGGGCCGUAGGCGGCACGCCGGCUCCUGAGGGGCCUAGCCGCCUCGGCACAGUUCGGCAGCAUGGCACGACCGUCGCCAUCAUGUUCGGGGCAGAGCGCCCCGUCUACGCCACGCCUGCGGAAAACAUCCGGGCCGCCCAGGCGGUAACGGAUGAGCUAGACAAAUGCGACGGCGAAGAGCGCCGCCUCAUGACGGAGCGAGUCCAGCAGCUCCUAGACGCGGCAGCCGCGCAGCACGAGGCCGCCUGCCGCGCCGAAGUCCCACCCGGAUGAAACAAUGAGCCGCCCCCAUGCCGAGAUCAUGGGGCGACCUCCCGGACGUCGACUGGUGGCGCCCGCGGAGGAAAGGGAAACGAGCCGGUUGCCAGCCGCAGUCGGACACGCCUCUCCAUCGAGCGGGACGAAGACGGCCGCCCUCGCGUAGUAGAGCGGCGAGGCGACCUGCCGCCUCCCCCGCCUCGUGGAGCAAGAUACCCCAUCCCACCUCCUGUCACGCAUCCGACACUCGGCAACCGCCUUGGCCAUCGGGAGGGAGUCGGAGAGAAUGAUGCUCGCCAUCGGAUCGAUCGUCUCAACCGAUCCCUGGCGCUCGAAGAAGAAGAUGCGCUGGGCCCGCCCUGUUUUGGCCCCCGAAUCCGAGAUGAGCCCUUCCCUAAAGGGUUCACCCUCCUGCGAGACACACCCAAGUACACCGGCUCCAUGAAGCCGGAGGACUGGCUGGUCGACUACUCCACGGCCGUCAGUAUAGCGAACGGCAACAAGCGCGUUGCCAUGAAGUACAUCCUGCUCAUGCUUCAGGGCACUGCCCGGACGUGGCUCAACAGCCUGAAGCCCUGCAGCAUCAACAGCUGGGUUGAUUUCACCGAGGUCUUCAUCGGCAACUUCACCAACACCUACAAGCGGGCUCCCAAGCCCCGACAGCUCUCCUUGUGCAUUCAAGGACCCACAGAGUCGACUCGCGACUACCUCACGCACUGGACCGAGCUGCGCAAUUCCUGCGAGGGCGUGCACGAGGUGCAGGCGAUCGAGUACUUCACCACCGGGUGCCGAGAGGGCACCCUCCUCAAGCACCGACUCCUCUGCGACGAGCCCGAGACCCUCGAUGAGCUGCUGGUCAUCGCCGACAAGCAUGCCACGGCCGACUCCUCCAUGAAGGCGGAAAUCCUGGUUGAUGCGUCUGGCAAGGUGGCCCCUCAGGCGCCUCAGACUCCGGCUGGUGACACCAGUCGGCGACAGCAACCAGGAGAUCACAAAUGGAAGGCCACCCAGCCGGCUUCCACCAGCCGGCAGGUGGCAACGGUCGAGGAUCAGCAGCCAGAAGGGCAGCCAGCCCCCAAGCGGCAGAAGGGCGGCAAGACCAAUUGGUUGCCUACUUUCUCUUACGAGCAAACCUUGGAUGCACCCUGCAAGUUCCAUAGUGGCGCGAAGCCCUCCAACCACACCACUCGCAAGUGUCACUAGCUCACCAGAAUUGCCAAGGGAGAUGGACUCCUGCCUCCUCCACCUGCCGGCCCGCCGCCUCCUCAGCCCUAGCAGCCGGCGGCCAUACAAGACGAGUACCCAGAGGAGCACAGAGCCUACAUUGUGUUUACCAGUGUGGCCAAUGACAAGCGCAGCAGACGGCAACAGCAACAAGAAGUGCAAGCAGUGGCCUCCAGUGCUCCAGGGUUCAUGCAUUGGUCCGAGAAGCCUAUCAGUUGGAGCAGGGCUGACCACCCGGAAGUGAUGCCUUCCCCUGGUUCGUAUGCCCUAGUCUUGGAAGAAACCCAUGCAACGGAGAGGCGGGCCGCCCGUUUCUCCAGAAUCCUGAUAGAUGGCGGCAGCAGCAUCAAUAUCCUGUACCGUGACACAAUGGAGAAGUUGGGAAUCAAGUAGAAGCAGCUCACCCCUAGUCGGACUGUUUUCCAUGGCAUAGUCCCUGGCCUUUACCGCUCACCAAUCGGCAAGACCCAGAUUGAUGUCCUCUUCGGAGACAAGAAUCACUUCCAUCGAGAGUCAGUUUGGUUUGAAGUGGUGGACCUUGAGAGCCCCUACCAUGCCCUGCUUGGCCGGCCUGCUCUUGCCAAGUUCAUGGCGGUCCCCCACUACGCCUACCUCAAGAUGAAGAUGCCAAGUACCAAGGGAAUCCUGACAGUAGUCGGAGACUACAAGAGAUCGAUCGCCUGUGCUGCAGAUAGCAGCAGGCUGGCCGAGUCCCUCGUGAUCGCUGCCGAGAAGCGGCUCCUUGAACGGGUGGUGGCGUUGGCAGGCAAGAAGCCGGAAAUGUCACCCAUCCCCCAGGAGUCGGAGGCUAAGGGCUCGUUCAAGCCGGCCAAAGAAACAAAGAAAAUACCCUUGGACCCGGAGAGGCACGCUGUUGUAGGCACAGGCCUUGACAGCAAAUAGGAAAGCGAGCUCGUCGAUUUCCUCCGUGAGAAUUGGGAUAUCUUUGCAUGGUCUCCCAAAGACAUGCCAGUUGUCCUGACGGAUUUCACCGAGCACAAGCUACAUGUCCGACCUAACGUCAAGCCGGUCAGGCAGACCUUGCGCCGCCUGUCGGAAGAGAAGAGAAGAGUUGUCAGAGAAGAGAUAGCCCGGCUCCUAGCAGCCGGAUUCAUUAUGGAAGUAUUCUUUCCAGAGUGGCUAGACAACCCAGUCCUAGUGUUGAAGAAGAACAAGCAGUGGCGCAUGUGCAUUGACUACACCAGCCUCAACAAAGCCUGCCCUAAAGAUCCCUUCGCUCUGCCAAGGAUUGAUCAAGUAAUAGACUCCACGGCCGGAUGCGAGCUAUUGAGUUUCUUGGAUGCAUACGCUGGGUACCACCAAAUCAAACUGAACCCGCCUGACAGACUGGAGACCGCUUUCAUCAUGCCAUUUGGAGCCUUCAGCUACCUGACCAUGACAUUCAGCUUGAGAAACGCUGGCGCCACGUUCCAGCAUUGCAUGUAGAAGUGCCUCCUCAAGCAACUCGGAAGAAAUGCCCAUGUAUAUGUGGAUGAUGUGGUGGUGAAGACGGAGAAGCGUGGCAUGCUGCUGGAGGACCUCAAGGAGACCUUUGAGAACCUGCGCCGAUUCCAGAUCAAGCUCAAACCGAAGAAAUGUGUCUUUGGAGUACCAGCCAGCUAGCUCCUCGGUUUCCUGGUCUCAGAGCACGGCAUAGAGUGCAAUCCCGUAAAGAUCAAAGCAAUUGAGAUGAUGAAAGUGCCCACCCGACUGCUGGACAUGCAGAAAUUCACCGGCUGCUUGGCGUCAGUCAGUCGUUUCAUCAGUCGGCUGGGCGAGAAGGCCCUUCCCCUAUACCAACUCAUGAAGAAGACCACUUUUUUUGAGUGGAACGACAAGGUGGAUGAAGCAUUUAUCCAACUCAAGAAAAUGUUGGCAACCCCGCCUAUCCUGGCAGCUCCGACUGAGAAGGAGCCCAUGCUCCUCUACAUUGCAGUCACCAGUCGGGUUGUCAGCAUAGUCAUGGUGGUAGAGCGCAAGGAGAAGGACAAAGCAUUGUCGGUCCAGAGACCAGUGUAUUACUUGAGCGAAGUGUUGUCCGCCUCCAAGCAAAACUACCCCCACUACCAGAAGAUGUGUUACGGCGUGCACUUCGCCGCCAAGAAGCUAAAGCCCUACUUCCAAGAGCACCCAAUAACUGUUGUUUGCAUAGCUCCACUCGCUGAGAUCAUCAGGAGCCGAGACGCCUCUGGCCGAGUGGCCAUGUGGGCCAUUGAUCUGGCCCCUUACGCCAUCUACUACCAGCCUUGCACCGCCAUCAAAUCACAAGUGUUGGCCGACUUCCUCAUUGAUUGGGCCGAGACCCAAUAUUUGCCGCCUGCUCCAGACUCCUCUCAUUGGCGGAUGCAUUUCGAUGGCUCGAAAAUGCGCACCAGCCUGGGAGCCGGCGUCAUCCUCACCUCUCCCAAAGGUGACAAGCUCAAAUUCGUGUUGCAAGUACACCUCGCCGCCUCCAACAAUGUAGCAGAAUAUGAGGCACUCAUACAUGGGCUCCGGCUUGCCAAGGAACUCGGCAUCCGCCGGAUCCUGUGCUAUGGUGCCUCCGACUUGGUGGUCCAGCAGUCGUCAGGCGACUGGGACGCCAAGGAUGCAAACAUGGCAAGCUACCGAUUCCUCGUGCAGCAACUCAGCGGAUACUUCGAUGGGUGCGAGUUCCUUCACGUGCCAAGGAAUGACAACGAGCAAGCAGAUGCUCUGGCACGGAUUGGCUCCACCCGACAAGCAAUACCAGCCGGCGUCGCCCUACGCUGCCUUCUGGAGCCAUCUGUCAAGCCGUCUCCUGAUUCAGAAUCCAUCUUUGUGCCGGCCCUUCCCGAAGCACUCGGAUCCGACUCGAGGGCCCCGGAGGCCGGCAUAGGGACCUCGACAGCCGGCCCGGGGACUGCUACAGUCGCGCCCAGCCCGGGGACUUCAGCAGUCAGCCCGGGGACUUCUCCAACACAGCAGAUGGAAGCAGGUGCCAACCCGCCGCCUCCCCUCUCAGCCGCCCUCAUUCAAGUUGCAGUCGAAGAAAUUGCGGCGCCCUCAUGGGCCCAGCCAAUCCUCAAGUUCUUGGUGAAUAAAGAGCUGCCAACCGAUGAAGUCUCAGCCCGACAGGUGCAGAGGCGAGCUGUAGCUUACACCAUAGUCAACAAAGAGCUGGUGCGACGAAGUGUAACAGGGGUUUAUCAGCGGUGUGUGGAGUCGGACCAAGGCCAAGCAAUACUCAAGGAUAUCCAUCAGGGCGAAUGUGGCCACCAUGCGGCUUCAAGAGCCCUGGUGUCCAAAGCUUUCCACCAUGGGUUCUUCUGGCCCACGGCCCUGGAAGAGGCCAAGGAGCUAGUUCAGAAGUGUUAAGGGUGCCAGAGGUUUCGCUCCAAGCCACACCUGCCGGCUUCUGCACUCAAGACCAUUCCCAUAGCCUGGCCCUUCGCCGUAUGGGGAUUGGAUAUGGUGGGACCAUUCAAGACGGCCCGCGGUGCCUUGACUCACUUGCUGGUUGCGGUGGACAAGUUUACCAAGUGGAUAGAGGCAAAACCAAUCAAGAAGCUGAAUGGGCCGACUGCCGUGACCUUCAUCGCCGACAUCACCACGCGGUAUGGCAUCCCGCACAGUAUCAUCACCGACAACGGUACCAACUUCGCCAAGGGAGCCUUGGCCCAUUUUUGUGCAACACAGGGCAUCCCCCUGGACUUAGCGUCCGUUGCCCACCCUCAGUCAAACGGCCAGGUGGAACGCGCAAACGGCCUCAUUUUGUCCGGCCUCCAUCCCCGACUGGUCGAGCCUCUGGAGCGUUCGGCCGGCUGCUGGCUCGACGAGCUGCCAGCCGUCCUAUGGAGCUUGCGCACAACUCCAAACAAAUCAACAGGCUUCACGCCUUUCUUCCUCGUCUACGGUGCCGAAGUCUUCAUCCCGACGGAUAUCGAAUUCGACUCCCCAAGGGUCACCAUGUACACCGAGGCGGACGCCAAGGAGGCACGAGAAGACGACAUCGACUUGCUGGAAGAGGGCCGGCUGUUGGCACUCAGCAGGUCGGCCAUCUACCCAGCAGAGCCUGCGCCGAUACUACAACCGCAAGGUGAAUCCAAGGUCCUUCCUGGAGGAAGACCUUGUGCUCCGGCUGAUCCAGCAAACAGCCGGACAGCACAAGCUCUCGGCACCUUGGGAUGGCCCUUUUAUCAUCAGUAAGGUAUUGGGCAACGAUGCCUACUAUCUGAUCGAUGCCCAGAAGCCUAGAGCGCGCAAGAGAGAUGAUUCGGGCAAAGAAACAGAGAGGUCGUGGAACGCAAACCUCCUCCGAAGGUUUUACAGUUGAAAGCAGUAUGUAUCAUGCUACCUUUUGUACUAUGUAUAAAGACUCUGGGUCCCCCGAGAAGAGCUCGGGGACUACCCUCUUUUAUCUAUAUGAUAAGUAUCAUGCCUAUGAGAAUGUAUAGUCUUUUUUUCCGCCUGGCACCGGGUUCGACCUGUCGGCCCAGAGCCUCGCCGCCUUCUACAAUAUGCCGCCCCCUGCAGUCGGACAAGUAGUGUGCCAGCACCAAGGCUUCCUUUGUCAGAAGCCACAGCUCGCAGAGCGACUACAUGGCGGGCAAAGGUCGCAAAGAGGUGCCCCACACGAAAAAACGACUAAGGAGGGAAGCGCAUAUAGUAGCACGCGGCAUCGCGCCCAGCCGUCUGGCUGCUUGGCGGCCAGACGGCCGGCCUCCACCUUACUCCUUGCGCUGGGCCUCGAUCAUCUGGGUGGCGGCUACAGAAUGGCCCUGGAAAAAGUCUGUCCGGGCAGAGGAAGAAAAAGGCCAAGGUUAUAAGCAAGGACUGAUAACUCAAGACAAGAAACUAAGAGAAUAGGGCUUACCAUCGACCAAGUCCUCAAUGCUGCUGAAGCAGGCCGUCACCUGGGCCUCCUUGUCGGCCCAGGCAGAGCGCUCGAGCUCAAACUCGGCAAGGAGGCUGGUCUCCGCCGUCUCCACCUUCAGCUGGGCCGCCUUGAGGUUUUCCGCCUGUUCGGCAAGUUGGGCGGCCAGGCGGUCCCGCUCCUCUGCCAGCUUGCUGCACUCCGCCUCCUUGCCAUGAAGGGCGGUCUUGGCUUCGCCCAGCUGCUGCUGCAGGUCGGCAUUAGCCUCUGAAGAAAGAAAGAAAAGAAGAAGGCAUCAGUCAAGCGGACAAGAUAAAAGAAAGAAAUAACCGAGGAGAUUCGGCCCGACUGCUCAGCAGUCCGCCCGAACCUCGGGGACUACAGCCCGCGGGCGCGCCAGCGCGCCCCCGCGGAAAAGAAGUAGCCAACAAGGAAAAAAGAACAACUGAGGAGAUUUGGCCCGACUGCUCAGCAGUCGGCCCGAACCUCGGGGACUAUAGCCCGCGGGUGCGCCAGCGCCCCCAUGAAGAAAGAAGAGAAGAGACAUACGUCGGCUUUUGGCGAGAUGGGCCGUCUAUGCUUCCAGCUCCCGAACCUUGGAGUUGUAGGCGGUCGCGUGGAGGUUAUGAUAAUCCUGCAGAAGAAACAACAAAACAAAAAUCAGCAAUCAGUGACUACAAGUUAAAGUUCCGACCCACCUGCUCAGCAGCCGGCCCGGAACUUGGGGACUACACCCAGUGGGUGCGCUUGCGCGCCCCCAGGAAAGAAGCAAAGAAGAACAUUCGGAGAGAAAACCAAAAGAUGGCUUACUCGGAUGGCGGUGCGUGACUCCAAGUAGGCCUCAUUGCAGCGCUUGAGUGCCACUGCCUCCGCCCGGAGCUUGGCUUGGACGUCAAGGGACGCCUCGUUUAGGGCGCCAGUUCUGCCCCCGCGUACCCAGCCCGCGGGCGUGGCACUGGUCGCCUCGGUGUCAAGGGAUGACGUGCUCGAGGCGCCAAUCUCCUGCGGCCGCGGUGCCGAGGCCGCCUUCUCCAGAUAGCGGCGCGUGCGAAUGCGGACCGCGGGAACCAGGACCGUUGCCGCGGUCUCGACCGGUGGCACCAGCGGCGCCACUGGUUGUUCGUCCCGUGGCUCGCUGGGUGGUGGAGGCGGCGGUGGGGGCGGCGGCACGAAGACGUCCGGCAUGGCUACGUCACCGCCCCCCGCUCUUGGAUCGGGUAGUUGCGGCCAGCUCCUCCCACUGUCGCCUCGAAAUCAGGCGGAGGCGGCGCGGUGUUCACAGGGGCCACAAAUAGUGGCUCUCGGCGGAGGGCAGCCUCCGUGAGCCAUUCCCUCUCCGCGGACUGAGCUUCCGCCUGCGCCAGCGCCCUUGCGGCGGACGCGGUGGACAGGUCCGCCUGCUCCUUGGCCAGGCGGUCGGCCUCCGCCUCGUCGUGCGCCUCCCACACAUUCUGCUCUGCCGCCUCCCGGAGGUCGGCGGCCGGGUCGAUGCGCCGGCUGGUCGAGGAAGUCACUGUCGACCUGAGGACAGAGCCGGCACCUAAACUUCUCAAGGGUCAGCGGGGCCCUGAAAUAAGAGGACAAGUCAGAUGAUUUUCACGACAGAUUAAUGAAAAAACAAGGAGUAAGGAAAUGAUGCUUACGCCGACACAAUAACUGGCACCUUCGGUUGCCUUUGAUAUUGGGUCGCCCUGGCCGCGGUCUCUUUCCGCCUGGUCGCCGCGGACGGAUUCUUGGGCUUCUUUGGGGCACUGCCAAAUAGGGUCGAGCCCUAUUUCCGCUUGCGCUUGCCGCCUGGGGCAGGCGGCCCAGAAGAGGGGCCGGCGUUGGUGGUGGCAGAGCUCCGGGCGGAGCGCGGCUCGUCUUCGUCUUCGUCAUCGUCAGGCCAGGUCUCCAUGCCGCCGCCCCCCUCGGAGCCGCCUGCUCUGCCACCGCCGUCCGCUCUGCCGUCUCCGCCUGUCGCGUCGUCGACCAGGGCGGCCGCCCCCAAGUCGGGGUCGUCCAGGUCACUCUCCGCCCUGUCCGCCUAGAGGUUAUCACCCGCCCCAGGAGGGCGGCCGUUGCCUCAGACAUGUAAAUCUGCAACCAAGAAGGAAUAAAGUCUUGAAGAAGCGGCAUCAUAAAGAAAAAGCAGAAGAAACUUACAGCAGGAGGCGGGUUGUGGUGAGAGUACGGCCGCUUCCCGAACCGCCACUCCUUCUCCGACAUCUUGAGGUCGGAGAUCUCAUUCACCAUCCGCGAGACUUCGGCAGGCGGCAUUCCUUUCGUGCACAGCCGGCACGGGUCGCGGUGUUGCCCAUCCGGAAGAUCGGAUGAGGGCGACUCUAGAGCGGGAGAACCCGGCGCUCCACGAAGGCAACAAGAAGGUUGGAGGCCACGAGGCCCUCCGACUCUUGGAGCACUCGGAGUCGGCCGAUGGCGGCCGCCACGUCCCCCGACACCGGCUUCGGCUUGUACUUCCAGGAGACGCGAGCUUCGAUGGUGGGGCCGGCCUCAUAGGCCAGCAGGUUGAGGAAGUCGGCAGCAGGGUCCACGUUCUCGACGUAGAAAUAGGACUGCUGCCACAUCUUCAUCGACAGCGCCAGCUUGAUGAAGGGGAAGGCGUUCCGUUUCGCCGGCCGGCGCCCGACGAGGAAGGCCCCGCACUCGGCCACCGUCUCCUUGGCGGAGGUGCCGAGCUUGCCAUAGAAGAACGCUCCCCAUAGCUUGAUGGUGGGGAGGAUGCCGAGGUAGCCCUCGCACGCCGUGACGAAGGCGGAGAGCAAGGUCACGAUGUUGGGCAUGAGGUGAUGGGGAUGAAGGUUGUAGAAGUUGAGAAAGGCGCGGAAGAAAUUUCUCGCAGGGAGGCCAAAGCCCCGCAGGAAAUGCGAGUGGAAGACGACCCGCUCGCCUUCCUACGGUGCUGGCGAGAUCUCCGUCUCCGGCGGCACCCGUGCCUUGACGAAGGCCGCACUGGGCAUCCGGCGCGUGUCGCGAAGGAAAGCGAUGUGAUCCCUGAUCACGGUCCAUCCAUCCCAAUCGCCCAUGGCUCCGGCUGGCGGCGUGGGGAGGAAAGACACGUCAGCGUCGAGCAAUGGCGGCGGCUCUACGGCAGAAGUGGCAGCGGAGGCCAAGAGAAGAAGAAGAAGAGUGGGAGGGGGCGCAGGAACUUUGCCGCACCUCUCCCCCCUUCCUACUUAUAGCGCCCGGGCUAUGUAGCCGAGCGGGCGGGACGUGGGGUCGUGGGAUUUACUGCGCCCACGUCCCCACGACCCCCCGUCUCCCACGCGCAUUUACCCCGUCGUGAAUAGUCGUGGGGAUGGCAACCGCCCCCUCUGGCGCAGUAAAUCCGCCCGGUUGCCGAGGCGUAGUAGUGGCGGGCCCGGCCCGAGUCCUGUCCCGUCAAGAACGUGGGAUGGCAGGCUUGUCAGGCUGACGUACGCCGUGUGGCGCGUCCGUGGCGGGUGGCAGCUUGGGGAAGCUUAGUAGGCACGCCACCUGUUUCCCGUCUUGAAGUUCAAAAUCGAUCACUUAGCCCCGCCUGGGAGAGGCCGGCUCGAGUGGCCUACUAGCCACCAGGCGGUCGACGUUUUCCCCGAGCACGGGGAGGGGGGAAGCCAUUGAGACCUCGCAGCCCGUCGACCAUGACGCGUCACCGGCUUCGUGGACUACUGUCGGAGUAAUGGGCCACGGGUAGGCCCACCCGAGCCCCAAGAUUUAUCAAGACUUUGGGCCAGCUCCGCCUAGCUGAGCCCCAAGCCAAAACUCUGCCCUCUGAGGCUGGCUGGCUCGGCAGCCGGCUGCCAGAGGGCAGGUGACCCAAGACUACGACGCUCCGAGUGGACGGCUCGUGGCGGCCGCCCUCCAGAGAGGGCGGCUACAGAGAGGGUGGCUACAGGCAGGCGUCUUCUUCACGACUACAGGGAGGCCGAGCUCCCAUCAGGAGUACAAGACGAAGUAUGGCUACAGUGAAGCACGUCGCCUCCCACGCUCGAGACGGGCGUGGCUACAGUGCUCCGUACAGACGGAGAUCUCCGCACGACGGAGCACUGUGCCGUAUCUAUCCUGACGUUGCUCCUAGCAGCUGGAGUCAUGUUCCCCACGAUGGCUUGUCGGUACGGCCCGCCAGAGGCGGGCCCUAUCGGAAAGUGACCCCAAGGAAGACGGCGGAAGUUCGACCAGGCGGGUCAGAGAGGGGCCGACCUCCAGCAGGCGGCCGUCCCUUGCCCUAAGGCGAGCAAGCCAUUAAGCUGACAAGACCAGGUGUGGCUACAGUGUCCUCCCACCAGGCGGUGGGACUAUAGCCAUGCUAAAGAUGACCAAGCCCCCGUCACUGGGGAUACGGCUACAGUGAACAGCCACCAACCAGCCGGUAGGGCCCACCAGGCAGAGGCCCCAGCGGUCGGUGGAGAAGCCAGAGGCCGGAGACACUGACGGUCGGGCCCGACAGCCGACCAGAUUACCAUUGUACCCCUGGGGGGUAGGCCUAUAUAAACCCCCCAAGCCACCCAUGCAAAGGGUUCCCACUCUGAUAGAACUAGCCAGAAACCUAGGGCUGGGGAGAGCUAGCCUUGCCUUCUCCUUCCCCUAGACACAGCUCAAGGAGCACUUUGUAUCACUAGUGCCUUAGUGAUCAUGCGGAGACCCCGCAGAGCAGGAGUAGGGGUAUUAUCUCCACGGAGAGCCCCCAACCUGGGUAAAGUUCGCCGGCAUACGUGUCUACGCCUCAUCCCGCUUCCAGGCACCGGCGCCGUUCUACUCGCUCCCACCAUGAUAAGCCAUCCAUUGGCAUAUGUCGCACCCAACCCCCGACAUUAUUUCAUCUCUAGAGCUUACAAACAUCCGGGUGAAAUAGAUAAAAAAGUAUAUUUUGGAAACAAAAGCGUUCAACUGUUCAACCUGGAUCCAAAACUUGUGAAGAAAUAACACUUAUUGUGCUUUGCAAGAAAUGAUCUUUAAGAAUUAGUUUUUGAGUAUCUUGUUAUACAUGUUGGCUACAGAUGACAUGGCACUUUCCUAUAGUCAAUAGUUGGCUAUACUAUUAAGUAUUAAAGAUGCCCUUCUACACCUAGACAGAGGGAUUAAUUCAGGAUGACUUGGAAGGCGGCAGAGGAGAUGUAAGAAAUGGUUCAUUGUAAGUGUUUCACCAGUACUGUAGUAAAAAUUCAUACAUGGAAGAUUCUAGACUAAACCGUAAAUGGAUACACUUUUAUUCAUGCACGAUACUCUAAUAGAGCAAGAUCUUGCAUGGAAGUCUCCACAUGCUUGGACAGCGGAUUACAUUGAGUGAAGACUAAUGAUCAACAUUUAACUUGGUAAUGCAUAUAUGUCCAGGUGAACCUCCUUGGAGUCCCCGUGCACUGCGUUGGUGGGGGGGGGGGGUAAAUCAUACCAUGCGUUUUCCAUGUCCAGAUCAGCGGAAAGGUCCCAGCUCUGCAUAGUCCUAGUCAGCAUGAUGGAGCCGAUGUCGCCGCCCACGUACCUGUGAGGGGUAGUAACAGUGAGCACGCACCAGUACAUCGACCUCGUGUCAGUGUCAGCGACAGCGGUGUCGCCCCUGACGCACACUACAAAGAUAGGGCGAUGGCCUGCGCGGGCCUCGCCGGUGCCCACGAUCAAGAGGAAGGCGCUGCCGUCCUCCUCCGAGACUAGCAUGCGGCAGUGAUCCUCCAGCGACUCCGGCACGUGAACGGGUAGCACGUCUCGUACUUGAUGUUCUUCACCAAGGGCCAGUAGUGACCGCCGCACGCAUCCGUGAGGUGAUGCACGAUGUCUGCUGGCGAGCCCCAAAACGGCAUCGGGAACUCAUAGCAGUAGAUGAAGGGCUCCUUGGAGGCAUCGACCAGGCCGUCCAUGAAAUGGGAGUGGCUGUAGGGGACGUUGCGCCAGUUGAAUAUAUGAGCAAGUAACUACGAGAUUUAGUCCGAAUAAGCACAAAUUAAAUCAUGACGGCUAUAAUAGAGAUUAAGCUAAUCAUGUGGACUAGCAUACUAGAUGAACAGAUAGAAUCUAGGAUACAGAGUGGAAACAUGAAUUCUACCAUGAUUUCGAACAGGAAGGACAGAAACACAUACGGUGCAAUGGGAGCAGCACCGUUGGCAUUGAGGUUGUCGCCCAUGUUGUUGAGGAAGAGGUUGCUGAGGUCGGGGAAGAAGUCAUCGUUAGUGAAGUCAUCACUGCCAGUAGUCGCGAGAGUGCACUCCCCAAAUUUCAACAUCGCCCACCAAAUGGAGCGCAGGAGUAGCACAUGAAGCAGUAGAUGCUGCUCCUCCCUAAGUCUCUAUCUCUACUCUUAUCUCUAUCUCUACUACUCUUCUUUGUUUUUAAUAACAAAUCAAAUAGUACUGCGUCGUCCGUUGCACGCCCGGCUGAACACGCCUCCUUGCCUCCAUCAUAACCAACUGAGUCUUUUAUAGGAGUAGGAGUAGAGAAAAAACCGAGUUGGCGAUGAUGGAGUGCCUGCCAUCUUAUAAUAUAGACUGUCCGAUCUAUAUCUGACGAAUAGAAAGCAAACUAUGACAAUUUUACAAAAGAUACCCGCACCUCUCUCCACAUUUACAGAUAAGGCAUUGCCUCGUUCAUCCUUAUCUCCCACAACCUCAUUGCUGAGCAACUAAAAGAGGAAGUCUCUGGAACAAUCUGGCAUGGUGGCCGCUGCCGGCACCGUCCAUCCCCAUUUCGAUGAAAUGGUCGAGAUACCAUUUUACGAUAAAAUGCUCGAGAUAUCGUUAGUUUUUACACAUGGGAUUACUCCUGCAUGGGUCAAUCACAACAAGUGUUUUGUAAAAAAUUGCAUCUUGAUGUUCCAUGCAAUGCACAAGCAUCUUGCUAUUUUUUUGCAUAUAAUUCCAAGCACCACAUAGACACGGUCUUUGACCAUUUUACAACUAUGUUAGUAUCAUUGUUAGUGGUCAGCCGGUGCAAGUUAUAGCCUUGGGUGUUUUAAUCUUUUUUUAGUAAUGAUAUCUGGCGAUUGUUCGCCAUGAGCUCAAUCCUGGCGAAUCCCAUGUUACCGUCAGAUUUCCAUCCGACAGUGGCCUAUUUUUAAGACAUAGUAUUUGACAAAACCGCCACCCUUACACACGUAACGUAACUACGUCGCGUGCGUUUGCAACUGCCAUGUCUCCCAGCGAACGUUUGCUGGGGAUUGGAGUUAGCACCGAUGGCAGUUCGUAGUUGUUCCAUGCUCGGGCAUUGAAGUUUGUAACUAUUUUAGAUUAGAAUGUACUACUCCUCCGGUGCUAGUAGUAGCGCAGAGUCCUACUCCACUACUACUCUACUCAAGCAAGUUAGGGCAUAGUAGUAGGUACUGUAGGGAGUAACAGUACUAUGAUCACUCAAGCAAGUUGUCUGGCAGCGAUAUGACCCUACACUACUGGUAUGUGUCUCGUAAGUCAAGCGGUGUGCUGUAGUCAUCAUCACAUGUCCACUUCCCGCAGCACAUAUUCGCUUCUCCAUCUUUGUCUGCACAUAAUCUCGUCCAAUUUCCAUCCUCGCUAAGGCGCCUCCCCCCCGUCUGAAACCCAAGCACUAACAAUGGCAGAAUUGAGCAGCAUCUGCCAAAAGAGUGGCUGGAAUUCGCUCCCCACAGAGGUAAUCAAGCUCAUUGUUUCACAUGUGGACAAUCUAGUACCAUGCUGCUUGCCGCGUGCUUGUCGGGGUUGUACCAUUUACUCAAAGCCCUCAGGCCGGAGCUUUUUAAGCCAAUUCCUUGCUUGCGGAUGCCGCCUGAUCUUCAGAAACGACGUGUCACGUAGCAUUAUGAUCAUAGGGUGGCGAGCAUCAACCCCCUUGACUAUGAUCCGAUCCCUGUCACCCUCAACUACAUUAACGGUAUGUAUUGGGUCGACAUGAACACGUCUUGGAUGGUGCUCGUCGACGGUCGCGGCAGCUGGAUGCUCGUGGAGGUCUACACCGGCGAUUAAUCCCCCUUCCUUUGAUUAACACUGCACUGCUUUGGCACCGCGGCCCAGAAUACUUGGAAUCUUAUAGUAGCCAGCAUGAUACCAAGUUUGAUUUGCUCAAGGUUGUAAUCUGCUCAAGGUUUAAUUGUGUUCUUCUGCUGCGGUCUCGCCUAUCUGACAGGUCACUAUGGUAAGUGGAUAAAUCUGCACGUCCAUCGCAGGAUCAUACAUCCUCCAUGGUUCUGUGAUGCCAUUGAACACAAGGGCUUCGUUUAUGCUGUCGACUCCUUCUAUGGCUGGACAUAUUGCUGGCCAACUCCAGUCAUUGCUACAAACGGCUAUUACAGCAGUAUGUUACUUUCCUAUGAUAUCAUGAUGGCUUGCUUAUAUUACUGUCAACAUUUACUGAACAAAUAUUCAAGCUCAUAACAUGAUGUUCUUAAGAUUGACUACAUUAAGAGCACUUUUUUAUUCGACUCCAACUUGAUAUGAUGUUGUAGGCUGCCUGGUGUCCCACCCUUCCUAAUCCCAGAACCUUUCAAAGAAAAGCGGCAUGGCAAUUGCAGGUGGUUCCUGGCUCGAUCAGACAACGGUGAACGAUUGAUGAUCAUUCACACGUGCCGGACGUGUUGUUUCUUGGAAUACAAUCAUAGUCACUGCAAGGUCUUUGAGCAGGAUCCCAGCUUCUCUGGGCCUUCAGGAAUUUUUGACUGGAGGCUGGUAAGUAGCCUUGGUACAUGAUCUCUGUUUCUCAGACUGAAUUAUCCGAUUAACUAGGAGAUAACCGACGGCAAAGAUCAUGAUGGCAGCGCGGUUUUGUUCAUCAGGAAAAACUAUAUGUACACAACGUACCAUGCAUCUCUGCAUGCACCAUACCCUGAAAUGUGCCGCCACGCUCUGCAGCCCAAAGUAGGAGAGAGGGUCGCAAGUAUCAGAUUUCGACCUGCUGGCUGGAGUUUCCCCCGUCAGGCACCUAUCUGGUUCAAUCCGUCAGCCAAUCUCCACAGCUUAAUAAAUAGUAACGUCUAACUGAGCCAGUUAAUUAGGUGCGUACACUUGGUGUAGUGGGAUCUUUAUUUAGUUUGAUGCAUACACUUGUUCUUUUUUGGUAGCCCUUUUGUAAUGAUGGCUAAUGUUUGGUUUGGAAGAGAGAGCUGCGUCUUUACUCUUCUGGCCUGCUUACUGCUACUGUUGCACCCCCAGCCCUGGUUGCUGCCGCUGCUAUUUUCAAUGUACAAUCAGUACUAUAUUUUGUCUGUUGGUUGAAUAAAUGUGUUGUUAGAACGACAAACACAAUGUUUUGGAAGUAGUUGCACGAUUCGAUCCUUUAGUGCCCCGUACCGUACAUAGCGCAUACUAUUUUUGGUACGGAACACAUUUUCCACUUGUUGAUAACAUGUAGCCCAUUGAUGAAUGCCCAAUAGAGGAGCCCAUAAUUAACUGGAAGGGAGGCUAUCACAUGAAUCCGGCCCAGGUACAUGCUCAUGGUCCCCUAAACAUAAAUAAGUAAAUAAAUAAAUAAAGCUAAAUGCUCAUGCACCUGUUCUUUAAAUUCACGAUUUAACAGGAGGAUAUUAUUUCCUAUGAUAAUGUCAUUACGUUCAGUCGAUAUUAUUCUUAGAAAAAGAUAGCGACCAGUCUUGUUUCUCCCAUAAUUUUCUUCUCGCAACCAGCGGACCCAUGCAAAUCGUAGUCAACAUCGUAAAUAGUUCCGAUCCAUUUUUACUUUUCAAUAAGAAUGUCCAACCCAGCCCAACACAUUGGCAACAACACUUUAUCCUCUGCCUUGGUGCGCUUGCCGCGGUGCCGCUGUCCGGCCCUGUCAACAAAGUGAAUCGGGAGAGGACUGUAGUUGUGAGUAUGAUAGUACGGACCCACCAGGACCACUCCUGAACACAAGCAAGCGCAUCUUUUACUACUCAGAUGCACCCCUCAUUUUUUUACUCUAAUCCACCCUGCUGAUAUCUGGGACCCACAUCAUUUUCAGCGUAUAGUCAACUAACGAUAGAAUUGCAAAACUUUUUUUGAGUAGUAAUUCGGAGGAGCAGGCUAUAUACUUGGUUGUGCGGUCUCUGUGGACCGUCUAACAACAUGACAAGCUCAGCAGUUUUUUCUUUGGGAAAAAAUAGGUAUCCCAGUAUUUGUUUUUGAAAAAUACCCAAGCUAGGCCUAUUUGUUUUCUCUGACUUACUAGGCUGCAAAUCUUUCAAGACGAGGAGGGAUGCAUUCCAGCCUGGCCAAAGAGUAUGGUGAGUGUCUGCUAGAAGUAAUAUCAAAGGGAUUGAAAAUUCCAAAAAAAUAUAUCAAAUGGGAUAUUAGUUUCUUUUUUCGUUUUUGUUCUUCACUGAUAUUUUAUACUCCCUCCGUCCCAAAAUUCUUGUCUUAGAUUAGUCUAGAUACAGAUGUAUCUAAUACCAAAACGUGACUUGAUACAUCCGUAUUUAGAUAAAUCUAAGACAUGAAUUUGGGAUGGAGGGAAAAUUUCAUUUGAUUUAACAUGACAUAGUACUAAUUAUUUUUAAAUUUGUUUUAGUAUGGCUACUAAUUUUUGGAUUAAGAAUGUUUUGUUCCCCAGCAAAAAUUUGUGAAUUUUCAAAAUUUCGCAUAUAUCUAGUUCAAUUUUUUAACCCUGGUACUGACCAAAAAGUGGGCAGCAAUUCUAAAAAUGGAAAAGGUGCCGCAAUAAAUUCUAUAUGAAUUAGAAAAUGAGUAAAAAUUAUAAAAAUAAUAGCAAAUGGGCUGUACACGCCACAGAUUUCAAGGCUGACUUGUUUAUGCAAGACUUUGUCAGUCAGCACACGAUUCUAGCAGCAGUGACUGUUGGAUGUCCAUCCAACGGUCGACGUGCUUCUUCAAUCUAUGAUCUUCCUGCUCCAGCCGCCUAAACUAGCACCGACGAGACUGUCUGCUCCCUCCACUUGUGGCCCGUUGUGAUGCUGCACAGGCUUCACCGGCCCAUGCUACUCCCUCCGCUGGCCUGGCCGGGCGCAAUCAACUGCCUCAACAAGAUCCCCUUUUGGAGCAGCUUGACUGGUUCUUUACAUCUUGCAACUGGACACAUUCUUACCCUAAAAUCAUUGUUAAACCCUUAGGUAAACCAGUGUCUGAUCAUAUCCCAUGUGUUGACAUAAUUGAAACGACAAUUCCAUGGAGUAAACUUUUUUGGUUCGAGCCUUUCUGGAUUGAACAUCCUGGUUUUAUGGAGAUUGUCCAAGCUGCUUGGAAUAAACCUGUUAGAGUGACCAAUAGUGCAACCAUCCUAUGCAGAAACUUCAAACACUUACGCCAUUGUCUAAAAAAUUGGAGUAAAAAUAUCUCCCGCCUAUCCAUUGCCAUUGAAAACUCCAACAAGGCUUUGGCUGAGCUUGACACGAUUGAAAACCGAAGGCGGCUGACCAUUCCUGAGAAAAUUUUUAGGAAUAUCCUCAAAGCCCACAUUUUGAGGUUAUUAUCCUACCAAAGACAAUAUUGGAAAAAGCGGUGCACAAUUUGAUGGCUCGCUUUGGAGAUGAGAACUCAAAAAAAUUUGAAGCCAUGGCAUCGGAACGAUAAGGGAAAAACAACAUAGCCUCUCUAACCCUCCAAGAUGGAACUAUUGCUGAAGACCAUGCAAGCAAAGAAUCAGUCAUCUUCCACUCUUUCAAAGAGAGAUUAGGGACCUCCUCCAAGCAUGAGAUGAAUUUUAAUCUUGAAACCAUCAUUGAGAAGAUGAGGGACUUGAUGCUUUAACGUUCCCAUUUACUAGGUAGGAGAUUGACCUAGUAAUCAAAGAAAUGCCGGCCGACAGGGCGCCAUGGCCGGAUGGAUUUAAUGGUUCAUUCCUCAAGUCUUGUUGGCACAUAAUAAAGGAAGAUUUUUAUGCUUUACGUGACCAAUUCUUUGAUGGAGGACUCAACUUAGAAAGCAUAAAUGAUGGUUAUAUACCACUGGUCCCCAAGGUUGCCGCGCCACAAGGAGUCAAUGACUUCUGACCGAUUACUUUUCUUAAUUGCUAUCUCAAAGUCAUUACAAAACUUCUAGCUAAUCGGUAGCAAAAACUUAUUUUGAAGAUUAUACAUUGCAAGCAAUAUGGUUUUGUGAAAAAGAGGUCCAUCCAAGACUGCCUUGCGUGGGCGUUUGAAUAUAUAAACCAAUGCCAAACUUCAAAACAACCAAUUGUUUUACUCAAGUUGGACUUCAUGAAAGCCUUCGAUACUAUUGAACAUGAGGCAAUGUCGGAAAUCAUGAAACACAUGGGAUUCGAUGACAAGUGGUUGGGGUGGAUUAAGGACAUUUUUUUCCUCUGCCAAAUCCUCAGUUCUCCUCAACGGCGCUCUAGGUAGAUAGUUUCAUUGCAAAUGUGGUGUUCGACAAGGUGAUCCAUUGUCUCCCCUCAUUUUUGUCCUUGCUGUCGGUGUCAAAACCGACGGAUCUCGGGUAGGGGGUCCCGAACUAUGCAUCUAAGUCUAAUGGUAACAUGAGGCGGGGGACAUGAUGUUUACCCAGGUUUGGACCCUCUCAAUGGAGGUAAUACCCUACUUCCUGCUUGAUUGAUCUUGAUGAUAUGAGUAUUACAAGAGUUGAUCUACCACGAGAUCGUAGAGGCUAAACCCUAGAAUCUAGCCUAUGAUAUGAUUGUUGUUGAUGUCCUACGGACUAAACCCUCCAGUUUAUAUAGAUGCCGGAGGGGGCUAGGGUUACACAGAGUCGGUUACAGACAAGGAGAUCUACACAUCCGAAUCACCAAGCUUGCCUUCCACGCAAAGGAGAGUCCCAUCCGGACACGGGACGAAGUCUUCAAUCUUGUAUCUUCAUGGUCCAACAGUCCGGCCAAAGUAUAUAGUCCGGCUGUCCGAGGACCCCUUAAUCCAGGACUCCCUCAGUAGCCCCUGAACCAGGCUUCAAUGACGAUGAGUCCGGCGCGCAGAUUGUCUUCGUCAUUGGAAGGCGGGUUCCUUCUCCAAAUACUCCAUAGAAGGUUUUGAACACGAGAGUCGUGUUUGGCUCUGCAAAACAAAUUCCACAUACCAGCGUAGAGAGCAUAAUAUUCCACAAAUCUAACCUGCUGACGAAUUUUCAUGGCGUGACAUCACGCUGCGGCCCGGUAAUUAUUCAAACCAUUUUUUCCCAGCCUGCUACUGCACGUAUUGCAAGGCGGUUUCCUUGGCACAUCUUUUUCGAAGCAGAGAUCAUGUCCCCUUAUUGCGGGAUUCUCAUCAAUACGGGUGUGGGUAACCCAACCGUGUUUGUUAAUAUUACCCCUCGAUUUUAGGCAAGUUCCAAACGAUUAUGCGGGGGACGCUUGAUAUUCACCACCUUUAUAAAGGGAUCAAGGCCUGUCCUUAUCUUCCCACACUCGAUCCUUACUCUUACCCCACCUCGAGUUCUAACGCCCCGGGCUCAAGUUUAGGCUCUUCGGACCUUCAAUCAUGUCCGAAUCCAACCUUCAAGGCCGGUGGAUGGCCUCCUCUGGCACAUAGGAGGACAUCAAGAAGCUUAGGGGGCCAGGUAUCUGACCGCCGACAUCCUGCAUAGGCUGCAUGCUCAAGGGCAGGUCAUCCCCACUCCCAAUCCCAAUGAGAGUGUCAUAUUUGUUUCCCACUUCCUCUGAGGGUUAGGCUUUAGUCUUGAUCCCUUUGUUAGACGGCUCAUGUUCUAUUAUGGGCUAGACUUUCAUGAUCUAGCUCCGGACUCCAUUCUUCAUAUCUCGUCGUUUAUCGUUGUGUGUGAAGCCUUCCUCCGCAUUACCCCACACUUUGGUUUAUGGCUUAAGACCUUCAAUGUGAUGCCGAAGAUGAUCGAUGGGCGUCACGCAGAGUGUGGAGGCGCUAUAAUAAGCACGGUCAUCGACGCCCUAUGGCCAAAGGGUUCCUUCCCGGAGGUGUCCGAUUUAUGGCAACGGGAGUGGUUCUACAUCACCGCUCCUUGAGGCACAAAGUGGGCGGCCGCCCCUGCCUUCCGCUCGGGCCCUCCGCCUCAACUCGCAUCAUGGGUCAACAAGGGACUGGACUGGGGGGCCUGCUAAUGACAUACCGAUAUUGCAGAGGGAUGACAGCCUCAUCAAAAUAAUUCAAGUAAUGCUAGCUCGCCAGGUCCUUCCAUGCAAACGUCGACCUCUCCGGAUGUGGGAUUUCAACCCAGAACGAUCGCGAACUAUUCAACACUUCUUCGGCAUGACGCUCGAAGGGAUGUAUCGGUUAUUCUUUGGAUCACUAAAGUGUCCGGACACCACCGAGGAUGUGGGCUUGAAUUGCAAUCAUACCCAAGUAAGUAACUCUGCAACCGAACAUGCUGUUCAUGUUUAUCAUAACGUUAUUCUGAGAACUAUCCAUGACCAGGAUUGGCUAAGAAAGGCAGAGAGGAUCAGGUGUCCGGCCCCUCUUCCCUAAAGCUCGUCGGACCCCAUGCUAAGCAGGAUGCUCGAGCGUGCACCUUAUCAAGUGCCAUCAGGAGAAGAUGAAGGGAGGCAUAGAGAAGCCGAGAGCGGGCUUCACACUUUAUACAUCCAGACCGGGGGAAUUAAUGUCUCCAUGAAGUAGGAUAAUCAGGGAGGUGAAUCUAAAAUUCCCUCCCCCCCAUGGGAAGAAAAGGGCCGCCUCCGAAGACUUAAAAGCGGAGGUGUCCAAACAAGGGAAGAAACCCUCUCUAGGGAGCCGUGCCCCAGAGGGCGUCCUUACCGCACAGCGCCCGCAAAUGGGCCAGCCCUCCACUAAGAUCUAAGUGAAUGAAAAGUACUUUGAUAAAUAUAUCCUGCUUUAUCUCUGAGAAUAAUAACCGAGACCUAUCUUGCAGUCUGGAUCAUGGCCCUUCUCAACAAAGUUCGUCCUCAGGGGAUCUUCUUCUAAAGAUGAUGGAGAGUGAAAUGCCUCCUCCUGCCCCCCGCCCCAUGGGGCAGACAACCCUGAGGUGUCAUCACGGAGGAUUUCUCCUGAUCCAGUAAGGCCAUAAGUUAAUGCUUCGGCCGCCUGAAGCCUGGAGUAUUCGGCUCCCAAGGAGAGCAACAAGAAGAGUCCGGGAUUGCUCGACACACAACCGGACACACUGACGGGCCUUCUGGAGCGAGCGGCUAUCUCAUAGGCGCACCAUACUUUAAUGGGUACGGUGUUUGAGAGGAUUUCAUCCGCCAAAAGCGGGUUGAAUGAAGCUUUUACGAGCCUGCUCAAAGGCUUCGAGGUACGCAAAGUAAUAUGUAAAAUUUCGGCUGUACCACACACGCUAGGUGUGCUCCAUAUAGAUAGUACCCCCUGAGACUCUGGUUGCCAGCCCGAGGCGGCAAACGGAGGAUCAUACUCCCAAGUAAUGAUCGCGCUGUGUUAUGUGCAGACGGCUCAGGGUCCGGCGGUUGACCGAACUGCUGAAUUCGCCGAACUGAGGCGACAGCUUGAUGUGGCGGAUGUCGACAUCGCGCUUGUGAACAAGCGGCUUGACGAGGCAUAGGGUAUGUGUUUUCUUUUGUUGUAUUGUCAGCAAAUAUUAAGAGGAGCAUGAUGCUAGUAUCUAUAAUAUGCUGUGGCUGCAGAUGGAGCUGCUGCCGUGGAGGCCCUUAGGGCGGAACUUGCCCUAGCCAAGGAACAAGCCAGGAUUAGUGAUGCGGCCGCCCAAAAGGCGGCCGAAGAGUUAAGAGCUGAGCAGGCUGCUCAUCGUCGGAGCGAAGAUAAAAUAGCCGAGAUGGCCGUUGAGCUGAGAGAUGCCGCCGGCUGAUAUGAGCUCCUUGAAAAGGAGAGCCAAGAAAAACGGCUGACCUGAAGAAGGCCUUGGAACCCGCCAAGGAAACGCGCUCUAAAAUAAGAGCUGCACGGGAGGAGCUUCAACAAGCCGGAGAUAUCAUGGCUGGGAGGCCCUUUUUGUUGCGGAUGAAGUUCAGAGAUCCAAAGUAUGCUCCUCUGGAUCAGUUAUGGAGUGCUGUAGAUGCGUAUGCGGACCUGGCGAAAAGUACUACUGAUGCAACCAAGUUUUUCAAAUAUCAGAAAGAUCAUGAGGGGGAAAGAUUGUUCUGGUCGCAGUUCAGUUCCCCGACGUGUCUGUUGCCGUUGAAUGAAAGGAUGGCCGUGUGGGCCGAGCUCCAUAGAUUGUCCAGACUUGCUAUGAGGUCUGUCGUAGAUCAUCUUUGGCUGAAGCGACCAAGGCCGGACAUUUAUUUUGGUUUAGUGCAACAAUUCCUUGGUGUUGUGUCGCAUAUCAACGCUGUGAAAAGUUCGGCGUGCAUAGAGGGUGCACGGAUGGCUCUUGCGAGUGUCAAAACAUAUUGGGCAGGUUUGGAGACAACCAAUAUUGCAACCCGGGGUCCGGCGGGAGGCCAGGACCCGCCUGAGCACUAUUUUGAAGAAGUCCUAUAAGGCGCCCGUUUAAUAGAGGCUUAGUGCUCGAAGAGUACCAUGUUCUAGUGACAUGCAUCUCAGUUGUAAAAACAAUGCUAUUUUGAUUAUAAAGGCCGUGUUUAUACUUUUGCUCGAAAGUAUUAUAGUGCCUCCUGUGCGUCCGUUUAUGUAUGUAUAUAACCUGAAAGUUUGCAGUCGUCGGCUUCAGCCCCCACGCAUUUAAUGCCGGGGUGUUCAAAAAAGGCGCAUAAUCACACUUUAUCCAACGUCUUGGUCCGUUAAGGAGGUGAUAGCGCGACGAACUAGGCAAUCAGACUAUAUCACUUUAACACUUUCACUUAGCCAUAGGAGUUUGACGGUGGGGCUACUAUAUAUCCCCUGGUACUUCCUCGUUUAUCCGAAUACGGUGUGCGUACAUACAUGACCGGGAAACCGGCCCUUCGUUAAUGCGGAGGAAUCGCGAAGAUUCUGCUGAGUCAUUGAGUGGUUGACCACUCUCUCGCUGUAUCAUGACAGUUAGUUUUCGGCUUUCUCUACUGAGGUGCUCAUCCGGAAUAACCAUGGCACAAUCGAGUAGUUCUCCUUUGGCCGCCUUAGCCGAUAAAACGGAACGUAAGGUAGCAAAACCUAGGAGCCGGGCAAACCCAACAUUUGACCAAAGACAUGAUUCGGAGCUGAUGCAUAUAAGGCCAAACUCGCGACGCCGAACACUCCCUAAGGUAUUCUGACUUUACAACAUAUACUGGGCCGAGUAACGCCCUCGAUAAUGAGCCCUGAAUUUCCAGAUACGCGCAUAGGUCUGUCGUGGCGAAAUGCCAACAACGCCAGCAUCCCUCUCGGGUGUAUUAAGUGCCCGGAGGGUGUUAAGCAACAAGAGACAUUAAAGAAGGUUUACGCAGGGGCUUAAUCUAAAGAGAAACCUUUGAGAGGGGCCCUGCUGCACGUCUGCACCUUUAUCUCCGUUGUGCCGUAUCUUGGAAGGGUGUAGCACGAUGAUCAUCUGUAAAAAGAAAAAACCCCAGGUAAAAGAGUCUAGUGUAAUCAUGCGAAAAGUUGGUUAUUCUCAAUGAAUCGUGAAGAUGCAAUCUAUUAUUGUAUUAAUAGGGUCAAGCCAAACUGUGGGCUUUUUUACAUGCGCGCAGCCCCUAGCACCGCCUAUGGGGGUAUUCCAUAGACCCAAGCUCAGGUUUAUCUGGGCUAUUACCACCGGCGGUGCGCCGGACUCGUCUAACCGUGUCCGUGGUCUUGAUGACCGAUCAUGUAUUUUGGUCGGAGAGGCCGCUCAGUGUUCGGCUGCUAGAGCUGCCACAUAUUCUUUCACUCGUAAGGAACGCUUUGUGUUUCCGCUAACUGUGAUGACGCCACGUGGACCGGGCAUCUUGAGUUUAAGGUAGGCAUAGUGCGGUACUGCUUUGAAGCGAGCGAAGGCCGCUCUUCCGAGUAGUGCGUGAUAGCCGCUUCGGAAUGGAGCGAUGUCGAAGAUUAAUUCUUGGCUUCGGAAGUUGUCGUGAGAACCGAAUAUAACCUCUAAUACGAGAGAGCCCGUGCAGUGGGCCUCGACGCCUGGUAUGACUCCUUUAAAGGUAGUGUUACUUUGGCUGAUUCUUGAUGGGUCUAUCCCCAUCUUGCGGACAGUGUCCUGAUAUAUCAGAUUAAAACUACAGCCGCCGUCCAUAAGGACUCAGGUGAGAUGGUAUCCAUCAAUUAUUGGAUCGAGCACCAAGGCAGCCGAUCCUCCGUGUCGGAUACUAGUCGGAUUAUCCCUCCGAUCAAAAGUGAUCGAGCAGGCCGACCAAGGGUUGAAUUUGGGGGUGACAGGCUCUACACCGUAUACGUCUCUGAGUGCGCGUUUGCGCCUUCUCUUCGGUAUGUGAGUUGCGUAAAUCAUAUUCACUGUUUUGACUUCUGGUGGAAUUUUUUUCUUUCCUCCAAUGUUCGGCUAGCGAGGCUCAUCCUCGUCUUCACUUGGCGUCUCCCUCCCCUUGUGUUCAGCAUUUAGCUUGCCGGCCUGCUUGAAAACCCAGCACUCUCUGUGGGUGUGAUUUGCAGGUUUUUUGGGGGUGCCAUGAAUCUAACAUAACUUGUCUAGAAUCUUAUUUAGGCUGGACGGUUCAUCUCUACUACCUUUAAAUGGCGUCUUCCGUUGACCGGGUCGGGAGCCCCUGAAUCCGGCGUUGACCAUCGUAUUAUCAGGGCUGUCUUCAUUGUUCCGAGGAUUGUUUUUGUUGCAUCGUGGCUUCCCGUUUCCAUCCCUGAUUUCGGAUGUGCUCGGGUCGCUGGUGCAGCUACGGGCCAACCAGCUGUCCUCUCCCGCACAGAAGCGGGUUAUAAGGCUUGUUAGGGCUGCCAUUGUCCUUGGCUUUUCUUUGCCGAGGUGUCUAGCGAGCCAUUCGUCUUGGAUAUUGUGCUUGAAAGCUGCUAAGGCUUCGGCAUCCGGACAGUCAACAAUUUGAUUCUUCUUAGUGACAAAUCUGUUCCAAAGCUUACGGGCUGACUCUCGGGUUGUUAAAUUAUGUGGAUUAAAUUGUCUGCAUCCGGAGGUCGGACAUAGGUCCCUUGAAAUUGUCCCUGAAAGCAUCCUCAAGUUCCUCCCAACUUCCAAUUGAGUUUUCUGGAAGGCUUUUCAACCAAUGCCGAGCUGAUCCUUUCAACUUGAGGGGCAGAUAUUUAAUGGCGUGGAGAUCAUCUCCACGAGCCAUGUGGAUAUGGAGGAUAAAGUCCUCAAUCCAGACCCCAGGGUCUGUUGUUCCAUCGUAUGCCUCUAUAUUCACGGGUUUAAAUCCCUCUGGAAAUUCAUGAUCCAGCACCUCAUCGGUGAAGCACAGGGGGUGCAGAGCACCCCUAUAAUUGGAUGUGUCGUGACGUGUUGCUGACGGUUGCUGUGUUUGGGGUUGAUUCCGAGCUUGUAUUCGAUCAAUAUGAUCAUUUUGGUGGCUGUGAUCUUGCACCGGAGAACGUUUUCUAGAUCCAUAGAUGGACCUGGUCACACCGGCCUUUUUGUCCAGGAGCUCACGUAAAUCGUGUGCUGACUUGUGUGCGGCAUCAAUAGCCGCCCUGUCGCGGCCACAGGGUGGUCGGUCCGGCUGAUCGGCCGUAUUAUUCUUUGGCGGAAUGGGCUCUAUGGCCUCGUCAUCGAAUUCGGGCAGCAGCUUGCUCUUUGGGUAGCUCUUUGUUGGCGAUCAUCGCCGUGUUUUUCUUCAGUGUCUAGCACUUCGUUCCAUCUGCGAUUGAGCGUAUCUUGUGUGGCCUUAAGCCUUUGCUUCUGCUUCUUCAGGCUCCUCGCGGUGGCCAUAAGCCUUCUGUGGAGGUUCUCUUGUUCCAAAUGUUUUUCUGGGAUGAUGAAUGUGUCGUCGUCCGGACUGUCCUCCUCUCUGGAGGCAGGUUGAUGAGUUUUAUCCUCGGGAUCGCCGUGGUCGGACAACUGCUCUGGGCUAUGUUUGGUGUCCCCUGGCUCAUCCUGCUCCAUCGCUGGGUCCAUGGGGUCGUCGUUUCCUUUGGGGUCGACCGGGGUGUUAUUUUUUCUUGCGCUGUUGUUGCUAGUUUUGCUGUGGCUGGAUUUAGAGCGGCGCCUGCGCCGUCGCUUUGGUUUCUGCCCGAGGGGGUCAUCCUCCGUUGUAUCCUUUUUGUCGUUGUUUUCCUUGGGUGUAUCCACCAUGUAUAUAUCAUAUGAGGAGGUGGCUGUCCAGCGCCCCAUGGGCGAUGGUUCUCGUUCAUCUCCAGCAUCGUCGUCCAUACCGUCGAUGUCUUCGGAGUCGAAGUCAAGUGUGUCGGUUAAGUCAUCUACAGUGGCUAUUAAGUGGGUGGUGGGUGGGUAACGAAUUUCUUUGUCGUCCGCUUACCACUCAAGCUGGACAUAGUUCGUCCAAGAGUCUCCUGAUAAAGAGAGAGACCUUAAUGAAUUUAACACAUCACCCAAGGGCGAGUGCUCAAAGAUAUCCGCGAAGGUAAACUCCAUGACCGGCGCCCAGUCGGAUUUGAUAGGCACGGACGUACGCGGUUCGGAUCCUGUAGUCGGAGUCAAGUCCGAGGGUCCGAUGAUACCGGUAUCAUAGGAGGUAGGAUCCCUUGAAUACUAUCCGAUGGCAGAUCUAAGUCAUGCUCGUCGUGACUGUUCGGCGCACCUGACAAGGGCUCGAAUCCGUCGAAGAUCAAGUCUCCGCGGAUGUCGGCAGUAUAGUUCAAGCUUCCAAACCUGACCUGAUGGCCGGAGGCGUAGCUUUCGAUCUGCUCCAUAUGGCCAAGCGAGUUGGCCCGCAGUACAAAGCCGCCGAAUACGAAGAUCUGUCUGGGAAGGAAAACCUCCCCUGGACCGUGUCAUUGAAGAUGAUUGAAGGAGCCAUCUAACCUUAUCGCGAUGGCACAGUGGAACUCUCAAUGAAAGCACCAAUGUCAGUGUCAAAACCGGUGGAUCUCGGGUAGGGGGUCCCAAACUAUGCGUCUAAGGCUAAUGGUAAUAGGAGGCAUGGGACAUGAUGUUUACCCAGGUUCGGGCCCUCUCGAUGGAGGUAAUACCCUACUUCCUGCUUGAUUGAUCUUGAUGAUAUGAGUAUUACAAGAGUUGAUCUACCAUGAGAUCGUAGAGGUUAAACCCUAGAAGCUAGCCUAUGAUAUGAUUGUUGUUGAUGUCCUACGGACUAAGCCCUCCAGUUUAUAUAGACAUCGGAGGGGGCUAGGGUUACACAGAGUCGGUUACAGAGAAGGAGAUAUACACAUCCGAAUUGCCAAGCUUGCCUUCCAUGCAAAGGAGAGUCCCAUCCGGACACGGGAUGAAGUCCUCAAUCUUGUAUCUUCAUGGUCCAACAGUCCGGCCAAGUAUAUAGUCCGGUUGUCCGAGGACCCCUUAAUCCCGGACUCCCUCACUUGCUGCUGACUUGCUUCAAGCGGCUAUCAAUGAUUCAUAUAGAAGAAAUGAACGCAAACUGCCCUUUCAUCGCCCCAACCAAAUGGACUAUCCUGUGAUCCAAUAUGUCGACGAUACAAUCAUGUUACUCCCGGCAUGCGCUGACCAAGCUACACUUGUCAAGAAAAUCCUCGCUGACUAUGCAACAUCCAUAGGGCUAAAGAUCAACUUUCAUAAGUCAACCAUAGUGCCCUUGAAUUGUGAUGCAGCCACUUCACAACAUAUUGCACAAAUCUUCGGUUGUGUGGUAGGGAAGCUACCUUUCACCUACCUGGACUGCCCAUGGGUACCUCAAAACCGUGAGUGCAAGAUCUAAUGCCUCUGGUUUGUGGAGUUGAAAGAAGACUCUCCUCAACCUUGUCGAUGAUCUCUUAUGGAGGCAAACUGUCUCUGUUGAAUUCUUUUAUUACGCCACUGAUAAUCUUUGCGCUUUGCACCUUGAAACUACCGCCAAAAAUUAUUGAACUCCUUGAUAAAAUCAGAAGGAAAUGCCUUUGGACAAAGAAGACUGAUGAUGGAGACAAGUGCAACUCUCUGGCCUCCUGGCAAAUGUUUUGCCAUCCAAAAGAGUGUGGAGGACUCAGAGUUCUUGACAUUCAAACCCAAAGUGAUGCCUUGCUCAUGAAAUACCCCCGUAAAUUUUACAAUCGUUGGGACCUGCCAUGGGUAGAUUUGAUAUGGUCCACCUAAUGUAUUGACAAGAUCCCCCAUGCCUCAGAUUCCUGCAGCUCCUUCUGGUGGAAAGAUAUCCUCAAACUUAGUCGAAUUUAUAGAGGCAUCUCCAAUGUGACAGUUCAUUCGGGAGACACUGCACUUAUGUGGAAAGAUUUAUGGCUAGAUGAGGUACUUGCAGAAUCACACCCGCGUGCAUUUUCAUACGCUAAACUUCAAGAUAUCUCGGUCAGAGAUUUCCUUGGGUGCACCAACCUCAAUGAGACCUUUCAUCUGCCACUCUCCAUGCAAGCCCAUGACGAACUACGCUAGAUCCAGGAAAUCACAACACAUAUUAGCAACCAAACGGAUACGAUUGAGAGGGAUUUGUGGGGCUAUGCUUGUUGCUCUAAUGUUUACACAGCCAAAAAUUCUACAAAUUCUAUUUUCGGGACGUGACAGCUCACAAAUCCUACUAAUGGCUCUGGAAAUCCCCGGCCACAAUGAAAAUCAAGGUAUUUGGAUGGUUACUUCUCUCCGACCGCCUUAACACAAGGAAUAUGCUCAAGAGAAGGCACUACAAUAUUGGAGAUAAUUAUGGGUGCAUCCUAUGCGGUAGUACUGAUGAGGAAACUCUGGAACAUAUGAUCUUUCACUGCCAAUUCAGCACGGCAUGUUGGCACACUUUGAACAUCCAGUGGGCCUCACAUGGAGAUAGAUUGUUUUGGAUCCAACAAGCCAAAUCUGUUUGGAACAAUCCCAUGUUCAUGGAGAUAUUCCUAUACACUUCUUGGAGCUUGUGGAAAGAGAGAAAUAAUAGACAUUUCAGAGGUGUUGAUCCUACUAUCAGGUCAUGGGCAAGAAGAUUUAAAGGGGACUUCUCUCUCCUCAUACAUAGAACCAAGGAGAGACACAGAGGGUUUAUUCCCUCCUUCCUACAGAACUUUGUACACCCUUAGUGCAGUCUUUUACCUUCCUCACUCACCCCAAAAUUUUGUUUUCCCUCAUGGCCAUGGAUGUAAGGUUAUGACUCUAUAAGACCUUUUUUGAUACUUUAAUUAAUAUAUACAAUAGGAGCCUCUCCUACUAUUUCAGGUGUCGAAAAAAAUCAACUACCUCCUUAUUACGCAAAAAAAAUGAUUCCUCCCAUUGAUAUCUGGAGGCUGACCUAUGGGCCUACUAAGUUGACGCGUAUGCAGGGCUUGUCAACUUAGUCAAGAAACGAUUCUAGCAGCAGUGAUUGUCGGAUUUGAAUCGAACGGACCUGCUGCUUCUUCAAUCGCUGCUCUUCUUGCACCAGCCGCCCAAACUAGCGCCGAUGAGACAGCCAGCUCCUGCCUCCAUUGACCGGCUGUGCUACCGUUGAGGCCUCACCGCCCCCUACUACUCCCACCGCUAACCAGGCCCUGUGACGAUGACAGCCUCACACCGCAGCCUAACUAGUGAACCCUCGUACUCCUCUCCGCAUGGGCGUCCACUGCCGAGUCUGCCCCGGCUCCGCGUUGUCCCCUUCCUAGGCCUCACCGUCAUCCACCGCGCUGGUGCUCUCGGCACAGCAUGGUCAACGUGGUCAAGGACCGACUUCCAUCGGAAGAGUACUGUACAUGGAGAGGCUGACAGCUGGGUCCACGACCGCAGAAAAGAAGUGCCUCCUUAUUACGUGGAAAAUAAUGAUUCCUCCACCUGAUAGAGGGGACCACCGGACGGGCCACUAUAUUUCGCGGAAAAACGUUUCCCCCUGACUGCUGGGACCCACCAGCUGUCGGAUUUCAGGUUCCGGCAAACCCUCUAGGUUUGAACUCUGGGGUGCACGCGGAGAUCGCACGCGGAGAUCGCAAGGAUCUAAACUACACGAAGAACAACUCAAGGGACACGAGGUUUAUAGUAGUUCGGGCCACCAUUGUGGUGUAAUACCCUACUCUAGUUUGUGGCAUGGUGGAUUGCCUCAGGGCCUGAUGAUGAACAAUACAAGGAAGAACUGCCUCGCGAGGGGUGUUCUCGGGUUUGUGGUUCUGGCUAGGGUUCAACUGCUCGAUCCCCUGCCUUGAGAGUGGCUAGUCCUAUUUAUAGAGCGAGGCCCUGGGCCUCUUCCCAAAUAUUGAGCGAGAAGGGCGCCAACAAUUGUCCAUUUUGAAGGGAAACAUCUAGUACACUUAUCCUGACAAAAGUCGGUCCUCGCCUGCCAAAGACUCUGGCGGUGACGCCGGCUUGGGCUCCACAAUGACCUCCAUCCUGCCGUUCUGCUGGUCUUGGUCUUGUUGCACCGAAAUGGUUGCCUUUGCUUGAUACUCUUGCCUGCGCUUGCUCCCUUUGCACCAAAGAGGAAACAAGGACUCUACGCAGGCCGGCGCCCGCCUGGCCCCCGCCUAGCUUUGGUCGUCAUGGCUUGCGUCACAGGCACCUCGUGAGGUACCCCGACUUGAUCUCUCCGCCUCCUCGCGAGCCAGCCUGAUGAGGUCGUGCCUGAGGAAGCUUCCUGUCAUCCGCCCCGCGAGGCUUGGCCCCUCGCGAGGGUCUUGAGCUUGUGUUGAUGAAGAUGGGCCGUACUGGGCCACCCCUUGAGCCACGCCGCAGGCCGCAGGUAGGCAAGUCUAGGUACCCCCGUUCCCAUAACACCGACAGUAGCCCCCGAGCCCAAGGCGCGCCUGGACUUGGCUUAGCUGAGAAGAGAAGGGGCAAGUGCGAAGCGCCGCGAGCCCCAACAGCCUGCGGUCUUGGGUGCCGCGUGGUGGUUGAUUGGACAUGGGCAUCCCUGUUCCCCACGCCUCCUUAUUUUGCGCCCGGCUAGGCGGACCCGCAGUUGUACACAGUCAUCCCUCUUCUCGUCGCUUGUGCGUCCCCUGCUCUUCUUCCUCCAGAGCUCUAAUCUCCGCUUCCAAUCCAAUCUCAAACCCUCCCCUUCCUGUCGUCAUGGCGCCAACAAAGAAAGGGAAGGGGAAGAAUCCGGUGUCCUCGCCCAGUUUGCUGCCACCGACGACUCCCGCCGUCGACCAGUCGAUCAUACUCAAUUUGGAAGCUUUGUGCAAAGUCAGUUCCGCCCUUGCCACCGCCUUCAACGAGUGUGGAGUACGGCGGUCUGGCCCGCGUCCCACUUCUCUAUUGACAGAAUAGCCACCGAGGUUCGGUACUUCGCUGACGCACUAUGGGCGGGGCUGGUUCCUCCUUUUUCCGAUUUCUUCAACGCUGUGCUUUCCCAUUACGAGAUUCACAUGAUGCAUUUGGGUCCUUAGUCCAUUACUCUCCUUGCCGUCUUCGCUUUUGUCUGCGAGGCAAUGAUGGGCAUUCCUCCUUCGGUUGCCUUGCUGCGCUACUUCUUCUCUUUGCGCCUUAGUGAUCCCUCCCAAUGUUCAGGAUGCAUGAGCUUCUUUGCCGCACCAGGGGUGGAAGCCUCGGGGAUUGACUUCAGCCUUCCUCCGCUCGCGACUGGGUUCCGAGAGCGGUGGUUGUAUGUGGAUGUCGGAGUACCCAGCCCCCUUCAUCUGGCGUCGCUUCGCGAGUUUGAGGGCGCUUGGUGUGACGGAUCCCAAGGUGGUGAAAGAGUUCCUCCAGCGCCGCAUUGCCCCUCUCCAGCGCCAUUCCCGCGGAUGUGGGCCUUCGGGGGUCAUGAAGACCGCACGAGGCUCCAGAAGGAGGAUCUGGCGCCUAAAGUGCUGAGGAAGGUUCUCGUGAUUCUAGCCGGGGAUCCUUCCCUUGGCAGCGUCCGGCAAGGGGGUGCCUUGCUGUAUCUUUGCUCAGGCAGGGAUGAUUUCGACAGAUGCCUAGCUUCCCUCGUGGGACCUCGUGGGACCUCGCGAGAACCCAGUUGCGGUGGUUGCCCUCCCGGUCUCCCAUGGCGGUCCUUCCUCGAGUGGUGGAGGUGGGAGGCAAGGGCCGCCGGGGGCUGAGGGGGCUGCCGUCGGGAUAACUGCGCCGCGCGGAACCACCAAGGUGGCGGCUCCUGAAGCUGGCCCAGCAGCGACCAAAGGCGUUGAGCUGCACCCCACGGCUUCCGUAGUUGAGGCACCUGAGGCCCCGGCCACCCUCAAUGGGGCGGCGUCUGGUGGCGUGUGCCGCGGUGACGUCCCCGACGCCGGUCACCUUGGCGCUUCUUCCUCGUCGCAGACUGAUCCUUGUGCCGAGCUCCUGGGCCGCUUCCGCGUGGACUUCGAGGCUCUCCGAAAGAGAAGGGAGGCCUUGGGUGGAGAUGAUUACCCCUGCCGCCCGCUGAAGCGCAGGAAGUACUUCGCCAUCGACGAGUAAGCCCUCUUCUAACUUAAUCCUUUACUUUCCCGCUGCUUCAUCUGACCAUUGCUCUGCAGGGCCCUCCCUGCCGAGUUCACGGAGACGGCUGAGGAGCCAUCUCCCCAGGCCCCGCCCUCUCCACCGACUCCAAGCGUUCCGAGCUCGAGCGCUACCCCGGUGGUGAGGACGGUUGGAGAGGUGAGCCAUCUUGCGGUGCAUCCUGAUCCUGUGUUCCUUGCACCCUUCCUUCGUGAGCCCUUCUGGGGCAUAGCCAGCCUGCCCCGGACCUUGGUUGUGGACUGUGACUAGCUAGGGUCUUCCUCGCAUUCUUCCCGCGAGGGCGAACGGGCUCAGGGCCAAGCUUCUGGCAGAGCGCUCCUGGACACCACGAUUGCGCCAGCCCCUAGCCACCUGCCCAGAGGGGGUAUGCCGGUUCGUGGCCCUCCGCAUAAGCCGGGGGUGGAGGACGACGUGGAAGACGUGCUUGAGCGCGCUCGGGAGCGCCGCGCCUUCCACUAAGGGUUUCUCCAGAGGGCGUCCGACGAAGUGAGCCAGCUUGGUCUAGAGCUUGUCGUUGAGGACGCACGCCUUGAGGCCGAGGGCCUGCGCCUUGCUGAAGAGAGGCGCAAGCUGAAGGUGGCCAUAGCCCUUGCGCGCUACCGACGCGACCUCGAUGAUGCGAAGGCCGAGGCAUCGUUGGUGGCUAUUCAGGAGGCCUGCUCCUAGGCCACCGAGGGGGGCUGGGAGGCUGACCAGUAGCGCGAGGCCGCAGAGGAGCGGGCGCGGGAGCUCCAGGCCUGGAGUAACUCCCUGGAGCAGCAGGUGGAGCUGCAUGAGGCGGCCCUUGCGUCAAUGAAGGGGGCGUCGGUCGACCAGGCAGAGCUCCAGAAACGCGAGGAGGCACUGAUGCUGGAGGCCGCCGAGCGUGCUCGUGACCUUGAGCGGCUGGAGACGAGAGAGCGCCUGGUGGUGCAAGUGGAGGAAGAUGUUGCCGCGCGGGAAGCCCGAGUCCUAGAGGAGGUUGAGCACCGGGUGGCGGAGGCGCGCUCGAACCUCGGGCAUGCGUACGAGGAGAGGCUGGAGAUGACCAGGGUCGAAGCAGAAGGCAGAACCAUCGCCCUGAGGGCCAGCCUGGAUGAAGCAACGUGGCGCACUGAUGCUGCCGGGGCCGCCCUUGGCGCGGCACAGGGGCAGCUGGCCUCCUCUCACGCCGAGGUGCUUCUUCUCCAGCAGAGAGUUGAUGUGGCUGAGGCUGUUGCGCAGCGGAACAAGGACGAGAUUCGCCAAAGGCAGACCUUGGAGCACAUGCAUGGCCCCAUGCUCCUCACGCUCCGGGAGAGAGCCAACACGGCCCUGGGCAACAUCUGCGAGGCAGCCGUUGGGCAGCAUCAUGUGGUUAACUAUGCCGGCAACCUUCAGUUCUUCACUGAUGUGGUGAUGCAGCUAGAGGCUCGGUCGGGCAGGGCCGACAGGUUGGUGGAGGGGAGGAGCCAUGCCCUGCUCGGGCGUGCCUUUUCUCGCAUCUUCAGUCAUCUUCAAAACAUGGAUCCCCAGUUUGACUUUGAUGCCGCCAUCGCCCCGGUACCCCUGGCCGUCCGGGACAACCUGUCGCACUUGGUGGAAGACAACGUAGACGCCCUCGUCAGGGGCUUCACCACUGAUAACGACGGGGUGGUCGUGGUUGCUGAUGAGGGUGGCGUGGUGAACGCCGGACGCUGCCGACGGCGACGCAGAGAGUGAUGGCGAGGCCAGUUAUGCCAGCGACGAUUCAGGUGGCGCCCUUGAGGAUGCAUUGGGGGAUUUAUCCGAUUGACCGCGUGCUGCUCCUAUUUUUUAUCCUGCACAGAGAGAGCUUGGGCUUGGCCCUGAGGGUAGUAAGAGCAUUUUGGGGAGGGGGAGCCCCUCCUGUAAAAAACUUGCGGUUAGCGUAAUUGUAGAUACGAUGUUGCCUAUAUGACUGCGCUGAGCGAUUGUCCUCGCGAUGAGUCAAUUUGCUUGUUUACCCUUGACCCGCGUGGGCCCUGAGAGAGACCGUGGGAGGGCCGUGGUGUCCUGAGUGCCUUCCGAACGAAUCCAUUGAACCUGUAGCGAAAGCCUCCUGAGAAGGCGCGGUGGCGGCAGUUCGGGCUGCGCGCACGCUGGGCCUGGCCCGACUCGCGAGGGGCUCGCGAAGGGAGGCAGCUGAAGCUGGAUGGGUGCAAAGCAGCAGCCAGAACACGAGAGAUUGCUCGAACAAGACUAAACACCCCUUCCCCAAACACGCGCAAGUCUCAAGCUCAAAUCCAACUUAAAUUCGAACAGGGGAGAAAACGACAAAAAGGCAAAAAAGAAAGCAGAAAGGCCGCGUCCGGCACCUAGUCUAGUCUUCGACAUCUUCUCACCAGCGCGGAGCUAAGUGCUACCACUGGGCGUGGGCGGGAGCCCCCGAGGCCCGAGGGCGGCUCUCCGGAGACUCCGGGGCGUGUACAACCCCACUCAUUAUUACGUGAGAGUGUCACGGGGUGGCGAGCUUCACAGGCACUGGGCCUUCUUCACAGGUACCGGACUUGCAUCAUAUCGCCAGACAAGGGCCCCGCCUUGCGCCACACUCUAUUGCCAUCGACGACGGCCGAAGACCGAGGACGUCGCUGAUGGGAUAGAGCGGUCUCCAGCGGUUCCCCCGACGACCACGGGUCCUCUGCCGGGGGCAGGCCCUGAGGCACCUCCCCGGCAAAGUGCCUACCUCCUGAGGAUGCCUUGCUCCAAACACCGCGGUGGUGAUGCCGAAUCUCGGCCCCUUUCCUGCAACCCUCGGUGCCCUCCUCCUGAGGGGUAGGAGGUUGCUGGGUUGGGGCAGCCAUCCGCCGAGACGACCUGUACCUCCUGUGAUCCAUGGUUAGUGUAUGUCUGCUCCUGAGGAAUUAACGGUACCCGGUAGCCGCUGCCUCCAGCACGGUCGAUGAGGCUUUCUUGGGGCUCUUGAAAGAGCUCAACUUUUGGUGUUUCUUCCCCCCAGCUUGGGCCGAGGAACAAGCCAUGGUCUUCCUCCUGCGCGUGCCCUUGGUCCAUCAUGUGGGGCACGUACGCUUCCGGGGCCGCCGCCCCAAAUGCUUCGCUAUAGUGCCCCGUGUGCCAUACAGUCCUGCUCGAUGUGCCAACCUGGGGGUGGUAGCGCAGUGGUCCACUGGGACCGCGUGCUAUGGCAAGUCCUCCUUCGCUGGCCGGAGGCGGAGGCGGCGCCGUUGUUAGCCCGGUGCUGAUGGCCAGGUUGGCGUUGGGGUAGCCUUGGAAUCCGCUUAGGGCUGCGCGGGCGCGUGCGGGCCCCCCAUGCGGUCCGCCUUGGACCUAAGGCUGUGGCUGGGUGCAGAAGGGUUGAGCCCCCGAGGCGGCGAAGCCCAGGAGCUCUGCCGCCCGCUCCAGCAGCACGUCGUGGCCGCCCUCCAACAGCCUGCAUUGCAGCAACUCUCGGGCCACCAUGAGCGUGGCCCUUGAGUUCGCCUGCUCUCGCAAGGGUGUAUGUCGCUGUGGCCGCGGCGUGGCUUGAGGCCCUCGCCGCUGACCGCACUUGCCGCGGCGUGAGAGCUGACGUCGCCUGACCGCGUCGCCCGCGGCCCGCAGCGCCCUACGGACCGCGGGCUGCCUGGGGCACAGGGUUGAGGUCGCCCUGGGCGAGCGGCUCUGCGCGGGCGGGCCAGGCCGCCCAGGGAUCAGGAUUGCCCGUUGGGUCGCCGGACAUGAUGACGACGAUGCGACGGGACGCGAGGUGGUGGGAGAGGGAUUCCGGCGCACCCCUACCUGGCGUGCCAAAUGUCGGAUUUCGGGUUCCGGCAGACCCUCUAGGUUCGAACUCUGGGGUGCACGCGGAGAUCGCACCUCCUACCUACCUAUGUCUUGUCACCUCGCAAGGAUCUAAACUACACGAAGAACAACUCAAGGGACACGAGGUUUAUACUAGUUCGGUCCACCAUUGUGUUUUAAUACCCUACUCUAGUUUGUGGCGUGGUGGAUUGCCUCAGGGGCUGAUGAUGAACAAUACAAAGAAGAACUGCCUCGCGAGGGGUGUUCUCGGGUUUGUGGUUCUGGCUAGGGUUCAACUGCUCGAUCCCCUGCCUUGAGAGUGGCUAGUCCUAUUUAUAAAGAGAGGCCCUGGGCCUCUUCCCAAAUAUUGAGCGGGAAGGGCACCAACAAUUAGCCAUUUUGAAGGGGAACAUCUAGUACACCUAUCCUGACAAAAGUCGGUCCUCGCCUGACAAAGACUCUGGCGGUGACGCCGGCUUGGGCUCCAUGAUGACCUCCAUCCUGCCGUUCUGUUGGUCUUGGUCUUGUUGCAUCAAAAUGGUUGCCUUUCCUUGAUACUCUUGCGUACGCUUGCUUCCUUUGCACCAAAGAGGAAACAAGGACUCUGCGCAUGCCGGCGCCCGCCUGGCUUUGGUCGUCAUGGCUUGCGUCACGGUCACCUCGUGAGGUACCCCGCCUUGAUCUCUCCGCCUCCUCGCGAGCCAGCCUGAUGAGGCCGUGCCCGAGGAAGCUUCCUGUCAUCCGCCCCGCGAGGCUUGGCCCCUCGCGAGGGUCUUGAGCUUCUAUUGAUGAAUAUGGGCCGUACUGGGCCACCCCUUGAGCCACGCCGCGGGCAGGCAAGUCUGGGUACCCCUGUUCCCAGAAUGCCGACACCAGCUACAUCUUCACACGCAAGGAAGUGCGUCCAUAUUACAAAGAAAAAAACGAUUCGGCCCCUAACGCGGGCCACCUUGAUGCUUCCUCUUUGCUGCCAGCUGACCCCUGCGCUGAACUCUUGGGACGCUUCUGCAUGGACUUUGAGGCCCUCCAGAAGAGAAGGGAGGCCCUGGGCGACGAUUACCCUUGUCGCCCGCUAAAGCGCAGAAAGUACUUCGCCAUCGAUGAGUAAGUCCUCUCCCUUCCCAGCUCCAGAUUCUUCUGCUGCCCUUCAUGAACCUUGCUCCGCAGGGCCCUUCCUCCCGAGCUCACGGAGAUGACUGAGGAGCCAUCCCCCUGCUUCCGCCUUCUCCACCAUCUCCGGUCGUCCCGAGAAGUCGAGCCCUUGUGGUGAGGCCGGUCGAAGAGGCGAAUCAUCCCGAGGCGCAACGCGGCUCCGCACGCCUCGUGACCUUCCUUCACGAGCCUUCUCAGGGCCCAGCCAGCCUGCCGUGGGCUUCUCGUUUGGUCGUGGAUCGCGAUUGGCUGGGGUAUUCCCAGCGCUCUUCACUUGGGGAUGGACUGGCCCCAGGCCGGGCUUCUGGCGAGGCGCGCCCGGUCACUUCAAGGGUGCCAACCCCCAGCCCCCUGCCCGGAGGGGGAGCACUGAUCAGUGCCCCCCGGCGCUUGCUUGGGGCGGAUGACGGCCUGGAAGACGUACUUGAGCGCGCUCGGGAGCGUCGCGCUCUUCGCCAAGGGUUCCUUCGAAGGGCGGCUGACGCGGUGAGCCUACUUGGUGAAGAGCUUGCUGAUGAAGACGCGCGCCUUGAGGCCGAGGGCCUGCGUUUGGUUGCGGAAAAGCGCGAGUUGGAGGCGGCAGUUUCCCUCGCGUGCCGCCAAUGCGAUCUUGAGGAUGAGGAGGCCAAGGCGUCGCUGGCGGCCUCUUGGGUGGCCUGUUCCCAGGCCGCCGAGGAGGCCCGGAAAGCUGACCAGCGGCGAGAGGCGACGGAAGAGCGGGCACGGGAACUCCUGGCCCAGUGCCGCUCACUGGAGGAGCAGGUGGAGCUGCACGAGGCGGCCCUCGCGUCGAAGAAGGUGACUUCCGGUGACCCAGCGGAGCUCCCGAGGCGUGAGGAAGCGCUGACGUUGGAGGCUGCCGAAUGCGCUCAUGAGUACGAGCGCCUGGAGACAAGGGAGCGCUUGGUGACUUGAGAGGAGAAUGAUGUCGCUGCAUGGGAAACCCGUGUCUUGGAGGAGGUCAGACGCCGGGUGGCAACGGCGCGCUCGAACCUCGAGCAUGAGUUCGAGGAGAGGCUGGCGUUGAUCCGGACCGAGGCUGAAGGUAGGACCACCGUCUUGAGGACCAAGAUGGAGGAAGCGACGCAGCGGGGUGAUGCCUUGCGGGCCGCGCUUGAAGUGGCGCAGGGGGAGUCAACUACUUCUCGCGCCGAGGAGCUUCUUCUUCGCCAACGGCUGGACGAGGCCGAGGCCGUUGCGCGCUAGAAUGCGGACGAGAUACGCCAGCAACAGCUCCUGGAGCAUGAGCACGCCCCCAUGAUCGCCACGCUUCGGGAGAGAGCCAACGCGGCCUUGGGCAACAUCUGGGAGGCGGUCGUUGGCGCGCCGCAUGCAACCAACUACGCUGGCAACCUUCAGUUCUUCACCGACAUAGUGACGCAGCUGGAGGCGCGGUCGGUCAGGGCCAACAGGUUGGUGGAGGAAGGGAGCCGCGCCCUUCUCGGGCGCGCCUUCUCCCGCGUCUUCAGCCAUCUCCAGAACAUGGACCCUCACUUUGACUUUGACGCUGCCAUCGCCCCAGUUCCCCAGGACGUCCGGAGCGACCUGGCGGACUGGGUGGAAGACAAUGUGGACGCUCUUGUCAGGGCCUUCGCCUCAGACGAUGAUGAUGCAAUCGUGGCCGCCGACGAGGGCGGCGUGGUGAACGGUCCUGACGCCGCCGGCGACAACGCGGAAGGUGAUGGCGAGGCCAGCGACGCCAGCGACGGUUCAGGUGGUGCUCCUGAGGAUGCAUUGGGGGAUUUAUCCGACUGACCGCGCGUUGCUCCUAUUUUCUUACCCUGCAUGAAUAGAACUCAGGCUUUUCGACCUGCCGAUUGUAAGAGAAUUUUGGGAGGGGGUGCCCCUCAUGUAAAGCUUAUGUUCGUCGUACUAGUGGACGCUAUACGGCCCACGUGCCCGCGCCAAGUGGUUGGCUUGGUGAAGAACCGGAUGGCUAGUUUUACCUUUGUCCCGUGUGCGUCCUAAGAUAAUACACGGGAGGAUGUGGCGUCUCGAAUGCCUUUUGAUCGAAUCCGUAGGAUCUAUAGUGAAAAAGUCUCCUGAGAGGAUAUGGCGGCGGCAGUCUGGACUGCACGCAAGCUAGGCCAGACCUGGCUCGCGAGGGUCUCACGAGGGGAGGCAGCUGAGGCGAGGUCGUAACCGAAACGCGAGAGAUUGCUCAAAUGAGACUAAGCACCCCUUCCCCGAACACAUGCAAAUCACAAAUCCGAAUCCAAUUUAAAUCCAGCAGGGGAAAGCAACAACCAAGGGAAAGGGAACGAAGGCAGAAAAAGGCCGUGUCCGGCACCUAGUCUAGUCUUGGACGUCUUCUCACCAGCGCGGAGCUAAGUGCUGCCACUGGGCGUGGGAGGGAGCCCCAGGGCCUGAGGCCGGCACCCCUGAGACUCUGGGGCGUGUACAGCCCCACUCAUUAUUACGUGAGAGUGUCACGGGGCGGCGAGCUUCUCAGGCGCUGGGCCUUCUUCACAGGUACCGGCCUUGCUUCAUAUCGCCAGACGAGGGCCCCGCCUUGCGCCACACUCUAGUGCCAUCAACGAUGACCGGAAACCAGGACGCCGCCGAUGGGGUAGAGCGGUCGCCAGCGGUUCCCCCGACGACCACGGGUCCUCCGCCAAGGGCAGGCCCUGAGGCGCCUCCCCAGCGGAGGGCCUACCUCCUGGGAACGCCUUGCUCUGAACGCCGCGGUGGUGAUGUCAGAUCUCGGCCCCACCCCUGCGGCCCCCAAUGCCCUCCUCCUGAGGGGUAGGAGGCUGCGGGAGCGGGGCAGCAGCUCGCUGCGGCGACCUGCAUCUCGUGCGACCCAUGAUUAGCGUAUGCCUGCUCCUGAGGAAUUAAUGGUACCCUAUAAUCGUCGCUUCUAGCGUGGUCGGUGGGGCCGACCCGGGACUCCUGGAAGAGCUCAGCUUCUGGUGCCUCGUCCCCCCAGCUUGGGCUGAGGAGCGAGCCUUGUUCUCCCUCGCGCGGGUGCCCUUGGUCCAACAUGCGGGGCACGUACUCUUCGGGGGCCGCCACCCCGAAGGCCACAUCAUAGUGCUCCCCGUGCCAUGAAGCUCUGCUUGAUGUGCCAACCUGGGGAUGGUAAUGCGGCGGCCCACUAGGGUCGUGGGUUGUGAUGAGUCCUUCUUCGCCAGCGGGGAGCGGAGUCAGCGCAACCGCUGGCCCGGUGCCGACGGCUUCAUUGGCACCGGGGUAGCCUUGGAGCCCGCGGGCGCGUGAGGGGCCCCCGCGCGGGCUGCUCUGGGCCUGAGAUGGGAGUUGAGUGCAGAAGGGGUGAGCCCCCGAGGCAGCAAAGCCCAGGAGCUCUGCCACCCGCUCCAGCAGCACAUCGCGGCCACCUUCCAUCAGCCUGCACUGCAGCAGCUCUCAGGCCACGUGAGCGCGGCCCUUGAGUUCGCCUGCUCCCGGCGAGUGUACGGCGCCGUGGCCGCGGCAUGGUUGGAGGCUCUUGCUGCCGACCGCGUUUGUCGCGGUGUGAGGGCUGUCGGGGUCUGUCCGCGUUGCCCACGGCCCGCAGCGCCCUGUGGACCGCGAGCUGCCUGGGGCACUGGGUUGCCUUGGGCGAGCGGCUCUGCGCCGGCGGGCCAAGAUGUCCAGGGGGCAGGGUUGCCCGCUUGGUCUCCGGACAUGGUGAUGACGAUGCGGCGGGACACAAGGUGGCAGAAGGUGGAUCCCGGCGCACCCUUGCCUGGCACGCCAAAUGUCGGAUUUAGGGUUCUGGCAGACCCUUGAGGUUCGAACACUGGGGUGCGUGCGGAGGUUUUGCCUUCUACCUACCUGUUCCACGCCGAAUCGCUAGGAUCGCGAGGGUCUGUUCUUGUGGUCUCUUUCUCUUUGCCGGUCGGAUGGAUUGAUCCAUCCCCCCUACCCUGUGGGUGGCCAGUCCUAUUUAUAGGCGAUGGCCCUUGGCCUCUUCCCAAAUAUUGAGCGGGAAGGGCGCCAACAAUUGGCCAAUUUGAAGGGGAACAUCUAGUACACUUAUCCUGACUAAAGUUGGUCCUCGCCUGUCAAAGGCUCUGGUGGUGACACUGACUUGGGCUCCACGAUGACCUCCAUCCUGCCGUUGGACUGGUCUUGGUCUUGUUGCACCGAAAUGGACGCCUUUGCUUGAUGCUCUCGCCUGCGCUUGCUCCCCUUGCACCAAAGAGGAAAGAAGGACACUGCGCGGGCUGGCGCCCGGCUGGCGCCCUUGGUCGUCAUGGCUUGCGUCAUGGGAACCUCGCGAGGUACCCCGCCUUGAACUCUCCGCCUCCUCGUGAGCCAGCCUGACGAGGCGGUGCCUGAGGAAGCUCCUUGUCGUCCGCCCCGCGAGGCUUGGCCCCUCGCGAGGGUCUUGGGCUUGCGCUCAUGAAGAUGGGCCGUGCUGGGCCCCCUUUGAGCCACACCGCAGGCCGCAGGCAGGCAAGUCUGGGGACCCCCGUUCCUAGAACACCGACAACAGCCCCGCCCAGACAAGUGGCUGGCACAGUAGGGCUUGACGAGGUGUAUCUGGGCACCCGUGAGCAGCGCAGGACUCACGGGGCCCUACCUCAAGGCGGGUUGUGCCUGGCUCUGGGCCUUUGUUUGUGAUGUGUUCCUGCAAAUUUGGUUAAAUUCUAACGCUCUACGUCCUCAGGUCCCGGCCCUCGAGCGAGCUCAGCCGUCACUGGUAUUCCAGGCCGCGAUGCCGUGGACAAGGCCAGGAGGUGAGGGCUGGAGAGCCAGUAAGAGCCCGUGAGUCGCGAUGCUCAGGUACCCCCCCCCUUUUAACGUGCAAGCGGCUAGCAUGAGGGAAGAAGGGCGCCGUCAUAGGCAUCAAGUAAUAAUCAUGGCGGGUCAAAUGCAUGACCUGAAUAGAUGCGAGAAAGAUGCAUGCCGCUGGGUCAGGCCCGAGUGGCUUGGGGAUAAUGCAGCCCAAGGGGCGCCCCCAACAAGGUAACCUGAAGGCAUAAACAAAAGAGAUACAUGCCGUAGAGACGGACCCACGUGGCCUGGGAAUGAUGCAGCCCUGGGGGCACUCCCAGCUGAAAAUGAAACUCGAUGGAUGUCACCUGAUGAUGUUGGAGAUGAAGGAAUGCUGAAGUAGCUGACGACGUGCGCUGCCGAAGCCAAUCCUCACGAGCCCCCGGGCCCAGGAGCCUCGGGAGGCACCGGGGGCGCAGGCGGCUCUUCAAGGGCCAUCUCCAUCUCUGCCAGGACUGCAGAAUGCCCGACCUCCUGAGCCUCGAGAAUGCUUCCUCAUAAGAUGCUGACGCGCGGCAGCUGUGUUCGGCAGACCGAAAGGCAUGUGAGCAUAGCUGUGGGGUGGACCCUUGCAACGUCCCACGCAUGAGGGCCAGAGGCGCUCCUGAGAGGCGGCUCGGUUGAGCCCUGGUACAUCGAUGCAGACGCGCAGCCCACCAUCCUCGCCUAGAUGGGGAGCUACGGCGGGAAGCGGCGGCUGCCAUUCAUGACUCUUGACUGCUGCAGCUCCUGAAUGAUCCCGCUGAUGAACUCCCGAAGGUUUGGCCCUACUUGCCUCGUUCCUUCCUGAGGGAAACGUGCUUUGAAGCACGCCUCCAAGUGGUGCCCGAGCGCCUCCCUCAUGACCUUGGCAAAGUCGGUGACCCUCCAGGAGAGAGCCCCCGAGCCUUGCCCGAGGAGGGCGCUGAGCGCGCCUUCCUAUGCGACAGAGGGUGGUGCCCCUUGAAAGGGCGCGGAUCCUGACACAAUGCCACUGGAGGGGCCUGCCUCCCGAAGGUUCGGACCAGGUGAUGCCUUCUUCUUCUUGGGGACUGCCUCGGGAAGUCUUCUGCUCCUGUGAUCUGAGUCUUCGAUUGCCGCGGCUUGAAAAGCACGCUCAAGAGAACACACUGCAUCCCUCUACUCACAAGGCACCAUGAUGACUCCACCACUUCCUGGCAUCUUGAGGACAUUGUAGCUGUGAUGAGUCACUGCCAUGAACUUGGUCAGGGCUGGAUAACCAAGGAUGGCAUUGUAUGGCAGGCGAAUGUGGGCGACGUCGAAGUCAAUGAGCUCGGUGCGGUAGUUGUUGUGCUGCCCAAAGGUGACAGGAAUGCGAACUUGCCCUAUUGGAACGGUGGAACCAUCAGUGACUCCUGAGAAAUGCUUGGUUGGCUGAAGCUAAUCGUAUGGCACUUGGAGAUUGUUGAAUGUCUUGACGGACAGGACGUUGAGUCCCGCUCCGCCAUCGAUGAGGGUCCUGGUGACUUGCACAUUGCUGAUGACUGGGGAGCAAAGCAUCGGGAGGACUCCGGCCGUGGCUGCGCACUUGAGCUGACCCGCUGAGCUGAACGUGAUGGCGCACGCUGACCACCUGAGAGGGCGCGUGGCCUCAAGCUUGGGGAGGACUGCAUUCACCUCGCGAGCAAACUGUUUGAAGAUGCGCUGAGAGGCUGGGGCCUGAGCGCCGCCCAGGAUGCAAGCGAUUGCGCGCGGCUCCUGGAAGCCCCCAGCCCCUUUGUCCUGAUGAUGUUCUUCAUUCCUCCUCGGCGGAGGUGGCAGAGGAGGGAGGCAUGCGUUGCCUUGAGGGCGAUCCUCAUGAGGCUAAUCCCUCCAGCCUCUCUGGUGAGGCUGGUCCUGCCAGCGGUCCUCGCGAGGGUGGUCACGCCACCCUUGGCGAGGGCCACGGUCUUCCCAUCAUCCUCCACCUCUUCCUCCUCCUUGGCCAUAGCCCUGGUCGUUGCGCUCGGGGCGUUGGCCGAUACGCCCAUCUCGCGCAGCCCUGAGCUCUUGGCAUUCGUUGGUGUUGUGGGUGUGGAGCUCGUGGUACACGCAGUACCGGCUGCCCUUGGAUGACUCAGGCUGAUCCCUGCCUCGCUUGGUGUCUGGCUCUACUGCAAGCACAUCAUCCCCCUUGCGCUUCACAAUCUUGACCUUGGGCUUCUUCUCUUCUGGAUCGGCAGCCGGAAGCUCCAGGAGGGAGAGGCGUCCUUCCUCAGCUAUGGCGCACUUGGUCGCCAAGUUGAACAACUCCAGGGAUGUGCACAGGUCUUCAUGGAUUGCUAGCUCCUCUUUCAUCUUGAUGUCACGCACGCCGUGAGAGAAGGCUAAGAUGAUGUCUUCCUCAGUCACCCUGGGAAUCUUGAGGCGAGCGUUGUUGAAGCGCUGGAUGUACUUUUGCAAGGUCUCUCCUGGCUGUUGCUUGAUGUGGCGCAGGUCACUCAUGGCCGGGGGCCGGUCACGAGUGCCCUGGAAGUUGGCGAUGAAGCGAGUGCGCAUCUCGUCCCUGGAGGAGAUCGUGCUGGGAGGCAAGUUCAGGAGCCAGGUGCGGGCACCGUCCUUGAGCGCCAUGGGAAACCAGUUCGCCAUGACCUUCUCGUCCCCGUCGGCCGCCUCGAUGCCCAACUCGUAGAGCUGGACGAACUCCGCAGGGUCAGCCGUGUCGUCGUAGCACGGAGGCAGAUCAGGCUUGAACUUGCCCGGCCAGGCUACGCUGCGCAGCUCGGCGGUGAAGGCACGGCAGCCCGCAGUGGCCACAGGAGGCCAUUGGUGACGAAAGGCUUGAUCUUGGAGGUCUCCGCACGAUGCCGCCAGGAGCAGCGCGGGGUCUUGGCGCGCUGGAGCAGGAGCGCGGUCAUGCCACGCCGGUGCGGGGAGCACACGGGCAGCUUCUUGGGGACAAGGGAAUUCUUGGCAGCUCUUUUCUUGUCACGCGGGCACCGGACGCGGUGGGUCUCGUCCCGGGGCCGCGCGCCAUGGAGCCAAGGCGCCUUCUCAGGGAGGAGGUGGCGGAGGCACCUCCCGAUCCAAGCCUCCUGCACAGGAUGGAGGGCGAGGCAGCGAGAGAGAGGGCAUAGGAGAGCCCCCUGCAGCGCUGACGAGCUCGCUAAUGCGGGCGAGCCAGUCCUCGUUGAGGUCGUCGACAGGAUGGUAGUGCAGGAGCUCUCGCGCCAGGAGCAGCACGUUGUGCGCGUCCGUGGGGGCGCGACGGGCGUGGGACGAUGAACCGGCUGGAGUCGGCGACUGGGUGGCAGUGCGGCCUCCUCGCUGCACCGAAAGAUGCAGGGAUGAGGCCUGCUGCUCGUUCCCCGCCGGGCCAGUGGCGGCGUGGGCGGCAGGCGACGGGGAACGAUGGGGAGGCCCUCCAACGGGGGCCAUAUGGGCGACAUGGGCCGCGAGGGCAGCCCGGCGCUCAGCGCGGGCUCGACGAGCGUCAGACAUGGUUGCGACGGAUGACGAAAUGCAAGACGGCGGAAGGCGUGAUUCUGGCGCACCCCUACCUGGCGCGCCAAAUGUCGGAUAUCGGGUUCCGGCAGACCCUUAAGGUUUGAACUCUGGGGUGCGCACGGAGAUCACUCCUCUACCAACUCAUGUCUCGUCAUCUCGCAAAGGAUCUAGGCUACACGAAGAACAACACAAGGGAUGCAAGGUUUAUACUGGUUCAGGCCACCAUUGUGGUGUAAUACCCUACUCUAGUGUGUGGUGUGUGAAUUGCCUCAGGGGCUGAUGAUGAACAAUACAAAGGAAGAACAGCCUCGCGAGGGGAGGAGUUCUUGUGUUGGUGUGGGUGGUUCUGGCUAAGGUUCGAUUGGUCGAUCCCCUGCCUAGAGAAUGGCUAGUCCUAUUUAUAGAGUGAGGCCCUGGUCCUCUUCCCAAAUAUUGAGUGGGAAGGGCGCCAACAAUUGGCCAUUUUGAAAGGGAACUUCUAGUACACUUAUCCUGACUAAAGUUGGUCCUCGCCUGCCAAAGGCUCUGAUGAUGACGCCGUCUUAGGCUCCAUGAUGACCUCCAUCCUGCUGUUUUGCUGGUCAUGGUCUUGUUGCACCGAAAUGGUAGCCUUUGCUUGAUACCUUGGCCUGCGCUUGCCCCCUUUGCACCAAAGGGGAAGCAAGGACACUGCGCAGGGCGGCGCCCGCCUAGUGCUAGCCUAGCUUUGGUCGUCAUGGCUUGCGUCACGGGCACCUUGGGAGGUACCCCGCCUUGAUCUCUCUGCCUCCUCGCGAGCCAGCCUGACGAGGUUGCGCCUGAGAAAGCUUCCUGUUGUCCGCCCCGCGAGGCUUGGCCCCUCGCGAGGGUCUUGAGCUUGUGUUGAUGAAGACGGGCCAUACUGGGCCACUCCUUGAGCCACGUUGCAGGCCACAGGCAGUCAAGUCUGGGUACCCCCGUUCCCAGAACACCGACAAUAGCAACAUUAAUCUUAGAACAUAGUGGAUACUAGGGAUCAAACCCUAACAAAACUAACUCGAUUACAUGGUAAAUCUCAUCCAACCCAUCACAUCCAACAAAGCCUACGAUGGGAUUACUCAUGCACGGUGGUGAGCAUCAUGAAAUUGGUGAUGGAGGAUGGUUGAUGAUGACGACAACGAUGAUUUCCCCUCUCCGGAGCCCCGAACAGACCCCACACCUGCCCCCCAGGAAGAACAGGAGGUGGAUGUGGCUCCGUAUCAUAAAACGCGAUGAAUCGUUCUCUCUGAUUAUUUUUCUCCCUGAACGUGAAUAUAUGGAGUUGGAGUUGAGGUCGGUGGAGCUUCAUGGGACCCACAAGACCAGAGGGCACGCCCUCCAUCCUUGUGGACACGGUGUGGGUCCCCUCUAGAGGGGUCUCCGGCUGUGGCAUUGAAGCCGGAGCGGACGUCAGCUGGGCCACGGAUUGGCCCAACCCCUCUUUGGCGACCUCGGGGACCUUGUCCCCUUGGGCCAUGCUGGUCGAUUCUCCGGCCCCCGUCAUGUCACCUUGGGGGGCUGGGAUAGAUGUUGCCUACCCUAGCUCGUCAUGAGUUGGCGGAGGAGUGUCGGGAUCCGGGGUGCCGCUGGCAGAAGGCAACCCGCUAGAGGAGUUGCUUUGGCGCGCAUUCAAUGGGUUGCAUAAGAGUGCUUGGGUGAAUUCAUUCCCGCUAAAGAAACUUGACGAAAAUUAGAUAAGAAAACAACAAACACAUACCCUCGGGGCGCCGGUUUCUUCCUUCCCAUGGCAAGGGCGUCCUCCUCUGAAUCAUCAAAGUGAACAAUUUGCUCCGACGUCUGGCCGGCGGCCCCGGCCAAGGACCUCUUCGACCUCUUCGGCCGCAUGGCGGCCUCGACGUCCUUUGACGCCACCCUCUUCCCUUUUGAAGGGGGGGGGUUCUCCUCUUCCUUGUCCUCCUCCUCAUCGUCAUGUGUGGAGGACCCGUGUGUCUCCUCAGACCGGGAGGCCGAGGUGUCACGGAUCUGAAGACCCGCUUGGCCCUUUUCGGGGCUUUGAUCCCUUGGGGAUCACUACGCGUGGCUCCUCCAUGAAGAGUGUUGUGACUCCUUUGGCAAUGGGGCCGGGGAGCGCAUUUUCUACAUUGCGGCUAAGCUUUUCAGCACUGCGGAGUCAGGUGGUUCGUAAAGAUCUAUCUUGCUACACAAGAAAGAACAUAUGUAAUAAUGUAUACUUACGGGAGGAGCUCCAUAGCCGACCUCGAAACCCAGGUCCUUCCCCUUCAGGGGGAUCUUAUCCUUGGCCAGCUUGAGUAGUUGGGUCCACACGCCGACUAGGUUCAAGUGGAAAAAGUGGAGAAUGGGCCCCACCACUCCAGAUUUGUGCUCCCACAUUGGAGCAGCCCAGAGCUGGAGCGGGAGGAUGCGGCGGUGGACCAUGACAUUGAUCACCUAGGGGAGCUGGAGGUUCUUCUAGGUGGUCCACCACUUGAUUUUCUUGAUCAAUACCUCCACCUCCUUAGGGUCCCCCCAGAUGACACCCUUCUCGCUCCAGGAUUUAAGCUUCUUUGGGGGCCCGACCGACAAGGCUGGGACCUCAGCCCGGCCCAGGGCGAGUGGCUUGGUGAUGUAGAACCACUCGCUCUACCACUCCUUCACCAUUCUGAUGAAGGUGCCCUUGAGCCAGUCAGCAUUCUGGUUCUUGCUGACCAUGGCCCCACCGCACUCCGCCGGAUCAGUGCCACUAGACUUCGGCUUGAUGCCGAAGAUCUUCAGCCAGAGGCCGAAGUGUGGCUCGACGCGGAGGAAUGCCUCACGCACCAUGAUGAAGGAGGCGAGGUGGAGGAUGGAGUUCGAGGCCAAAUGGUGGAAGUCGAUCCUACAAUAUAACAUCACCCCACACAUGAACGGGUGCAACAGGGACCCUAGGCCUCAGAGAAGGUGGGGAACAAAAACUACCAGCCCCCUUGGUUGGGAGCGGGUGUCUGCUGGUUGGCCUCAGGAGCACGGGAGGCGAUGUCGGUGGAGAGAUACCCCAUGUUGCGUAGCUCUGAAAUGGUGUUGUCCAUCACGAAAAAAACCACCCCAAUGCCCUUUGAGAGUAUUGCCCAUGGCUGGGAGGGGGCGGGGAUUUGCUAAGGAAUAAACAAAACUAGAUUUGGGCGUUAGAGCUCAGUGAGGAGGCAUGUAGAGGAACUGAGAGCGUGGUGGCUGAUAUGUCCAUUUUGCAUCAUGCUUUUAUAUUGAUAUUUAUUGCAUUAUGGGUUGUUGUUACACGUGAUAUCACAAUACUUAUGCAUAUUCUCUCUUAUUUUACAAGGUUUACAUGAAGAGGGAGAAUGCCGGCUGCUAGGAUUAUGGGCUGGAAAAGGAGCAAAUGUUGAAGACCUAUUCUGCACAACUCCAAAAGUCCUGAAACUCCACAAAAGUCAUUUUUGGAAGUAAUAAAAAAUACCGGCGAAAGAAUCAACGUUAGGGUGCCCACACCCUGCCCAUGAGGGUGGGCCCCCCCCCAGGGCGCGCCCCUGCCCCGUGGGCCCCUUGGCAGCCCUCCGGUGGCCAUCUUCUGCUAUAUGAAGUCUCUUACCCUAGAAAAAAUCAGAGGCAAGCUUACGGGACGAAACUCCGCCGCCACGAGGCGGAACCUUGGCGGAACCAAUCUAGGGCUCCGGCAGAGCUGUUUUGCCGGGGAAAUAUCCCUUCGGGAGGGGGAAAUCAUCACCAUCAUCAUCACCAUCGAUCCUCUCAUCGGGAGGGGGUCAAUCUCCAUCAACAUCUUCACCAGCACCAUCUCCUCUCAAACUCUAGUUCAUCUCUUGUAUCCAAUCUUUGUACCAAAACCUCAGAUUGAUACCUGAGGGUUGCUAGUAGUGUUGAUUACUCCUUGUAGUUGAUGCUAGUUGGUUUAUUUGGUGGAAGAUCAUAUGUUCAGAACCUUAAUGCAUAUCUAUACCCCUUUGAUUAUGAACAUGAAUAUGAUUUGUGAGUAGUUACGUUUGUUCCUGAGGACAUGGGAGAAGUCUUGCUAUAAGUAGUCAUGUGAAUUUGGUAUUCUUUCGAUAUUUUGAUGAGAUGUAUGUUGUCUCUCCUCUAGUGGUGUCAUGUGAACGUCGACUACAUGACACUUCACCAUUGUUUGGGCCUAGAGGAAGGCAUUGGGAAGUAAUAAGUAGAUGAUGGGUUGCUAGAGUGACAGAAGCUUAAACCCUAGUUUAUGCAUUGCUUCGUAAGGGGCUGAUUUGGAUCCAUAUGUUUCAUGCUAUGGUUAGGUUUACCUAUACUUCUCUUGUAGUUACGGAUGCUUGCAAUAGGGGUUAAUCAUAAGUGGUAUGCUUGUCCAAGAAAGGGCAGUACCCAAGCACCGGUCCACCCACAUACCAAAUUAUCAAAGUAACGAACGCGAAUCAUAUGAGCGUGAUGAAAACUAGCUUGACGAUAAUUCCCAUUUGUCCUCGGGAGCGCUUUUCUCAUAUAAGAACUUGUCCAGGCUUGGCCUUUGCUACAAAAAGGAUUGGGCCAUCUUGCUGCACCUUAUUUACUUUCAUUUCUUGUUACCCGUUACAAAUUACCUUAUCACGGAACUAUCUGUUACCGGUAAUUUCAGUGCUUGCAGAGAAUACCUUACUGAAAACCGUUUGUCAUUUCUUUCUGCUCCUCUUUGGGUUCGACACUCUUACUUAUCAAAAGGACUACGAUAGAUCCCCUACACUUGUGGGUCAUCAAGACUCUUUUCUGGCACCAUUGACGGGGAGCAUAGCGCUUUUGGUAAGUGGAACUUGGUAAGGAAAAAUUUAUAUAAUGUGCUGAAAUUUACUGUCACUUGUUACUAUGGAAAAUAAUCCUUUGAGGGGCUUGUUCAGGGUAUCUUCACCCCGACCAGUAGAGCAAAGAGUUGCUCCUCAACCUACUGAACCUACUGAAAAUGUUUACUUUGAAAUCCCUUCGGGUAUGGUAGAGAAACUGCUAGCUAAUCCUUUUACAGAAGAUGGAACAUUGCAUCCCGACUUGCACCUAAUCUAUGUGGAUGAUAUUUGUGGAUUAUUUAAGCUUGCAGGUAUGCCCAAGGAUGUUAUCAAGAAGAAUGUCUUCCCUUUAGCUUUGAAGGGAGAGGCAUUGACAUGGUUUAGGCUAUGUGAUUAUAUGGGAUCAUGGAACUACAACCGAUUGAAAUUGGAAUUUCAUCAGAAGUUUUAUCCUAUGCAUCUUGUUCAUCAUGAUCGUAAUUACAUAUAUAAUUUUUGGCCUCGCAAAGGAGAAAGCAUCGCUCAAGCUUGGGGAGGCUUAAGUCAAUGUUAUAUUCAUGCCCCAAUCAUGAGCUCUCAAGAGAAAUGAUUAUUCAAAACUUCUAUGCUCCGCUUUCUCUCAACAAUCGCUCCAUGCUCGAUACUUCUUGUGUUGGGUCUUUUAUGAUGAAGACUAUUGAAUUCAAAUGGGAUUUAUUGGAAAGAAUUAAAUGCAACUCUGAAGAUUGGGAUUUCAACGCAGGUAAGGAGUCAGGUAUGACACCCAAGUUUGAUUGUGUUAAUCUUUUAUGGAUGCCAAUGUCUUCCGUGAAUUUGGCACUAAAUAUGGACUUGACUCUAAGAUAGUAGCUUCUUUCUGUGAAUCAUUUGCUACUCAUGUUGAUCUCCCUAAGCAGAACUAGUUUAAAUAUAAUCCUCCCACUAAAGUAAAAGUAGUUGCACCUAUUAAAGUUGAAGAAAAUACUAUCACUUAUAAUGAUCCUAUUGUCCCUACUACUUAUAUUGAGAAACCACCUUUCCCUGCUAGGAUAAAAGAUCAUGCUAAAGCUUCAACUAUGGUUCGUAAGAGUAAUACUAAAACACCUACACCACCUAAGAAAAUUAAAGUUGAACCUAGUAUUGCUAUGGUUAAAGAUCUCUUGGCUGAUAAUAUUGAUGGGCAUGCUAUUUACUUCUAUGAUGAAGCUGCUAGAAUUGCUAGACCAGAUUCUAAGAAUAAACAUGGACCUAUUGUAGGCAUGCCUGUUAUUUCUGUUAAAAUAGGAGAUCAUUGUUACCACGGCUUAUGUGAUAUGGGUGAUAGUGCUAGUGCAAUACAUUAUUCCUUGUUUACAGAAAUUAUGCAUGAUAUUGCACCUCUGAGAUAGAAGAAAUAGAUGCCACAAUUAAGCUUUCCAAUAUAGAUACUAUUUCACCAGUUGGGAUUGUUAGAGAUGUUGAAGUCUUGUGUGGGAAAGUUAAAUAUCCUGCUAAUUUUCCUGUUCUUGGUUCCCCACAAGAUAGCUUUUGUCCCAUUAUAUUUGGUAGACCCUUCUUGAAUACUGUUCAUGCUAAGAUAGAUUGUGAAAAGGAUAUUGUUACAAUUGGUUUGGAUGAUUUGACUCAUGAGUUUAAUUUUGCUAAAUUUCGUAGACAACCCCAUGAUAAAGAAUUGCCUAGUAAGGAUGAAGUUAUUGGUCUUGCUUCUAUUGUCGUUGUCAGUGUCAAAACUGGCGGAUCUCGGGUAGGGGGUCCCGAACUGUGCAUCUAGGCGGAUGGUAACAGGAGACAAGGGACACGAUGUUUUACCCAGGUUCGGGCCCUCUUGAUGGAGGUAAAACCCUAUGUCCUGCUUGAUUGAUAUUGAUGAUGUGGGUAUUACAAGAGUAGAUCUACCAUGAGAUCAAGGAGGCUAAACCCUAGAAGCUAGCCUAUGGUAUGAUUGUUGUUCGUCAUACGGACUAAAACCAUCUGGUUUAUAUAGACACCGGAGAGGGCUAGGGUUACACAGAGUCGGUUACAAUGGUAGGAGAUCUACAUAUCCGUAUCGCCAAGCUUGCCUUCCAUGCCAAGGAAAGUCCCAUCCGGACACGGGACGAAGUCUUCAAUCUUGUAUCUUCGUAGUCUUGGAGUCUGGCCGAUGAUGAUAGUUCAGCUAUCCGGACACCCCCUAGUCCAGGACUCCCUUAGUAGCCCCUGAACCAGGCUUCAAUGACGACGAGUCCGGCGCGCAUAUUGUCUUCGGCAUUGCAAGGCGGGUUCCUCCUCUGAAUAAUUUAUAGAAGAUUGUGAACACCAGGAUAAUGUCCGGCUCUGCAAAAUAAAUUCCACAUACCACCGUAGAGAGAAUAAUAUUUACACAAGUUCAAUCUGCUGAUGUAUUUUGUGGCGUGACGUCACACCACAACCAAGCCUUUACUCGAAUCGUUUUUAUUAUACCACCUCCACGCGUUUAGCGAAGCGGUUUCCUUGGCACGUCUUGUCGAAGCAGAGAUCGUGUUCCCCUUAUUCUGGGAUUCCCAUUAAUACGGACGUGGGUAACCCAACCGCGCCAUUGAUUGCGGCGCUUGGGAGAUAAGCGAGUUUUAUCAGGCCAAUGGGGACGCAUGAUUUCGUCUGCCCAUAUAAGGGGAUAAAGAUCCACCCUUUUACCUACGCCUUAUUCCUCCUUUGCUUAUCCAUCUCCGCGAACUCGAGCUCCAGCGCCCAAGUCCGCACUUCUCACCUCAACCUUCUCCAACUAUGUCCGGAGCGGGAGGCAAGUGGAUGGCCUCCUCCGUUACGGAGGGACACAUCCAGAAGCUGCGCAGCGCCGGAUAUCUGUCCAACGACAUCGUGCAUUGGCUCCCCGACGAGGGGGAGCUCAUCCCCACCCCCAGGCCCCAUGAGAGGGUAGUAUUCCUUUCCCAUUUCCUCCAUGGACUGGGCUUCCCACUCCAUCACUUUGUCCGGGGGCUCAUGUUCUACUACGGCCUGGAUUUCCAUGAUCUGGCCCCGAAUUGCAUCCUCAACAUCUCGGUGUUUAUCGUCGUGUGUGAGGCUUUCCUCUGCAUCUAGCCUCACUUCGGCUUGUGGCUCAAGACCUUCAGUGUCAAGCCGAAGGUUGUGAAGGGCAGCCAAGCGGAGUGCGGAGGUGCCAUGGUGGGCAAGAUGCCCAACGCUACUUGGCUCGAGGGCACCUUCGUGGAAACCAUUAAGGGGUGGCAAUCGGGGUGGUUCUACAUCACCGAGCCACGUGACCCUGAAUGGGCAGCGGCCCUCGAAUUCAGAUCUGGCAUCCCCAUACGGCUCACCUCCUGGAAAGAGAGUGGCCGGACAUGGGGUGAUUCGGAGGAGCUGACCGGACUCCAAGCCUGCAUCCAAAAGCUAGUGAGCAAGAAGCUCAAGCUUGUAAACAUAGUCCAGGUCAUGCUCAUCCGUCGGAUUCUCCCGUGCCAACAACGGGACUUCAAUAUGUGGGAGUUCGAUUCGGCGCAGCACCAGACUUUGAGCAGGCUCUUCGACACUACAUACGAAGAGGCCUGGGGGGUGCUGUUUAAGGGCGCCAAGGCUCCCGCAUCCGUUACCGAAGAUCGCGGAUUCAGCUCGCAGCGUCCGGCUAGCGAGGUAAGCGAUUUUACCCUUUACGGGACACUUGUUUUCCAUAGUUUGACUCUAUGCGGGAUCUAAACUCCCUCUCCUUUGACAGGACUGGCUGAAGAAGGCCGAGCAGACUAACUGUCCGGCCCCUUUGCCAGAAGACCCAGCGGACGCCUCCUUAAAGGGGCUGCUGGUUCCGGCACCCCACGUGGUGCCGGAGAAGGCCAAGAAGAAGGCCACGGGCACUCGAAAGAGUUCCCGUUUUCAGGUUUCAUCGGACUUAUCGUCCGGUGACUCCGAGGCGGACUCCUCCCACGAAGGCAAGGAGGAGAAGAAAGAGGCCUCUCCCCCAGCGGGGGGAGGGAAGAAAAGGAAGGCCUCCCCAACAAGGGAGGUCGAAGGGUCCAAGAUGGGAAGGACUCUUCCCCCGGACUGCUGUGCCAACGCCGGCGACAACGACGAGGAUUGGCCUUUAAGGGCCAAGCCCCUGGCGAGAUCGUAAAUAUCCGGACUCCCGAAUAACUUCAUGAUUUUUCUUUUCGCCACAUGGUAUCUUUCUAAUGCCGCAUACAACCCUGCAGUCCGCCCAAGGAUGAUCUUCCCGCUUCGUCGAGCGGGUCCUUGGGUGCGUCGGAUAUGGAUUCCCUUCCGACCGCCUCCACCCCCCGCGAUGCGGAUGAUGCCGAGGUGGGAUCCCGGGAAGGGACCCGCCAGGAGGAGGAGGCCCCGAAGGUGCCGCAGGGAAACCUCCCGGACUUUGCACCGGACUCCGCACCGGAACCUGUAGUGACUCCGGAGUCCGACGGGCGGCCCCUUCGUAAGAAGGGCAAGACCAUGACGCCGGCGGCCUCCGUCCAACCGGAGGCGCUGGAUAGCUUGCUGGAGGCGCUCAACGGCGCUUCCAUCAAAGAGGAACACCGCACCGUCAUGAGUGCGGUGAUUCAGAAGGUUCAACUCGCCAAGAGCAGGCUGACCGAGGCCUGCAACAGCCUUCUAACAGGCUUUGAGGUAAGAAUUUUGAUAUAUGUAAAAUAGUACCGCAUAGACAGUAGCCCCUGAUGCUCGGUUCGGUGUUCGAAAAGAAAAGCCGGACUGAGGAUCUAAAAAGGUAUACACAGGAGUCAUAAAAAAUAUGUCAAUAUGGGGUUGCAGGCUGUGCUGCUGACCUCUGCCGCACUGACUGCGGAGGUCAAUACUUUGAAGCAAAGCCUCGAGCGGUCCGAGAACGAGCUCGGCCGUGCCAAGAAGCAGCUCGAGGACCAGGAAGGUGAGUAACACCUUAUUAAAAUUGUACCUUACAGAAAAGGAUUUGGUUGCAAGAAGAAUGACAAGGAUAACGUGGGUAUUGCAGGGGCCACGAACGAGGUGGCGACCCUGAAGGAGGCGGUGUCCGCGGCCGAACAUAAUGCGGCCGUGGAGCGCACCGAGCGAGAGAAGCAGGAGGUGCGAUUGGCGGAGCUACAGCAAGAGCUCCAGGCUCUGGUGGAAAAACAUGAGAGUUUGGAGCGCAACUCGAAGACUCGAGAGUCCAAGCUUGCAUCGGCUCUUGAGAGUGCAAAAGCCGCUAAGGCUGAAGCCUACAAGGCCCUCCGGGAAAUCGAGGCGUUGAAGAAAAUAGCGGCGGGUAAGGCAUUUUUCAUGCAAAGCAAGGAUGUGAGUGUGAAUUACCUAUCACUUACCCGAAUUCGGAGCUUUCCAGGAGCAUUCGCAGAUCUGCCCUGCAGUGUGUCCGAUGCUGCCGCUUUCUACAAGGCCGAGGAGGGGAGCUCGAUGGAGAAGGUCUUCUGGUCUCAGUAUGCUGAGGCCGGACAUCCGGUGCCCCUUAGCGACCAGCUGAAGCAGCUGGUCGAGCUCCACAAGGUGGCCGAGCAGGCCAUGAAGGGCCUCAUAGUUCGGCUGUGGCCCAAGGAGGCCAUGCCUGGGAGCUACUUCGGCCUGGUGCGGCGGCUGGUGGAUGCGUGUCCAUGGGUUGAAGUCAUCAAGCACUCCGCCUGUAUUGAUGGUGCCCGUCGGGCCCUUGCCCGCGCAAAGGUGCAAUCGGGCAAGAUGAAUGCUGAGAAGCUUGAGACGGACGUACCACCGCCGGGCAAGGAGUAUCGCACGCCCGAGAUGUAUUAUAAGAGUGUGCUGAAGGGUGCCCGCAAUAUUACGGGUGAAUGCUCCAAAGAUGUAAUAUUUGAGUAGACUCGCAUUUUGUUAUCAUGUGCGCUGAAAACUUUGUUCAUAUGCGCUAAGCAACGCUUGUUAAUUUAAAAUAUUACCUUCUGUGCGGCCGUUUAUCAAAUCUGAGAGAUGGCAAGUCGUCGGCUUCAGCCCCCAUGCCACGAGUGCUGGGGUGUUCGGGCUAAAUUUGAGCACUCUUGUUCCCAUUUUUGGGUCCAUCUAGGGAGGCGCUCAACACAACGAACGAGGCAACCGGACUUAUAAUGCUUGAACACUCUCACUUAGCCAUAGAAUUCUAUAAUUUUAAAUUUCGGCGAAGCCCCUAGUGUUUGGAAGGCUGAAUUUGGGGCGCUAUCCACGCCUGGGCCGGACAAAGCCGGUUCCUCGCUCUAAGCGGCAUAAGUCUUUAGGGACUCGAAAAGGACCUCUCGAACAGCGACCGACUCUCGCCUCAUCAUGACGGUCAAUUUUAGCUUUCUCCACUAAGGCGCUCGCCCAGCUCAACUGGGGCGCAAUCGCAGUGGUUCUCCCAGUGGUACCUUAGCCGAUACAACGGAACGUAAGGUACCAAAACAUGGGAGCCGGACAAACCCAACUAUUGACCCAAGACAUGAUUCGGAGCCGAUGCAUAUAAUGUUAUAAGUUCGGGGUGCCGCACUUGUGAAAGUGUUCGGACUUAUCACACCAUGAUGCGGGAAACAUAAGCCCCUGGUGUAUUUAGCCGUACCAAAGUGUACGGAUGCAACAUGUCAUAAAUGAACAUAUAUAUAAGAAAGAAAUGCAAUUAUAAGCAAAAAUGUGCUGCAUUGUUUUAUUCAAGAAAUACUGUCGUGAAUGCAGAACGAUACAAAUAGUGCGGUAAACAAGGGAUGGGACUAUUAAACAUGUCCCCCUCCAGGGGUAGGCUGCGGAAUGGUGUAUAAAACAGAUUUAAUGCUCGUAAUGGAGACCACCUGGAUAUUCGUCGUAGCAUUUCUCCUUACCUGGCUUUUGCAUCAUGAGUUCGGCCGGUCUACUGCCGGACACGGCCUCUGAUGAACGGAGUCAUGUGGGUAAGAAAAAAAAGAAAAAGAUAAAAAAAAAAAGAACGACACACUUGAGAGCCCCUGGUGUGGUUAAGCAGCAUUCUGGGCCUAUCGUGGUCGUGCCCCUCCCCCUAUGCCCAUGGUAUCUCCAGAGCGUAAUGAUGUACGCGAAGGACCAGUCUUGCAAUUUUGCAGGGGCUGGGGCUAGGGACGCAUUGCUACGCGUGCUCGGAACGUGCCAGGUGGUCUUGUUGUAGGUUACUCCGGGCGCGUUUAGCCGUGUCCGGUCGCUUAGCGGCCGGACUCGAGAAUUGCCUUAAGAGGCUGCACUGUACUUCUGCCGGGAGAGCCGUUGUAUGUUCCUCCGUUCAGAGAGAGCGUUCAGUGUUUCCGUUGACCGUGAUGACUCCUCGAGGGCCUAGCGUCUUGAGCUUGAGGUAUGCGUAGUGCGGCACCGCGUUGAACUUUGCAAACACGGUACGUCCGAGCAGAGCAUGAUAGCCGCUGCGGAACGGAACUAUGUCGAAGAUUAACUCCUCGCUUCGGAAGUUAUCCGGGGAUCCGAAGACCACUUCUAGUGUAACUAGGCCUGUACAAUUGGCCUCUACACCUAGUAUGACGCCUUUAAAGGUCGUCUUUGUGGGUUUAAUCCUUGAGGGGUCUAUGCCCAUUUUGCGCACUGUAUCCUGAUAAAGCAGGUUCAGGUUGCUGCCGCCGUCCAUCAGGAUUCUGGUGAGGUGAAAUCCAUCGACGAUUGGGUCUAAAACCAAUGCGGCGAAUCCGCCGUGGCGGAUGCUGGUGGGGUGGUCCCUUCGAUCAAAAGUGAUCGGGCAGGAGGACCAUGGGUUGAACUUCGGGGCGACUGGCUCCAUCGCGUAUACAUCCCUGAGUGCACGCUUCCGCUCCCUUUUGGGUAUGUGGGUUGCGUAUAUCAUGUUUACCGUCCGCACUUGUGGGGGGAAACCCUUCUGUCCUCUAUUGUUCGGUGGUCGGGUCUCUUCCUCGUCAUCGCUAUGCAGCCCCUUGUCGUUGUUUUCGGCAAUUAGCUUGCCUGCCUGCUUGAAUACCCAACAGUCCCUGUUGGUGUGGUUAGCUGGCUUUUCGGGGGUGCCGUGUAUCUGGCACGAGCGAUCGAGUAUUCGGUCCAAAUUGGACGGACCCGGAGUAGUUCUUUUGAAUGGCUUUUUCCGCUGACCGGAUUUAGAGCCUCUGAAUCCGGCAUUGACUGCCGUAUCCUCAUUAUUGUCGCCGUUAAUGCGGCGUUUGUUCUUGUUGCGACGCGACCUGCCAUUGCGGUCCUUGAUAUCCGGACUGCCAGAAUUUUUGCUGAGGUUGUUGCUGCGGGCUAGCCAGCAAUCCUCUCCCGCGCAGAAGCGGGUCAUGAGUGAUGUGAGGGCUGCCAUAGAUUUCGGCUUUUCCUGUCCCAGGUGCCGGGCAAGCCACUCGUCACGGAUGUUAUGUUUGAAGGCCGCGAGGGCCUCCGCAUCCGGACAGUCGACGAUUUGAUUUUUCUUAGUUAAGAACCGUGUCCAGAAUUGUCUGGCCGAUUCGUCUGGCUGCUGAAUUAUAUGGCUUAGGUCGUCAGCGUCUGGUGGUCGCACAUACGUGCCCUGGAAGUUAUCAAGGAAUGCAGCUUCCAGGUCCUCCCAACACCCAAUUGAUUCUGCUGGCAAGCUGUUGAGCCAAUGCCGAGCUGGUCCUUUAAGCUUGAGUGGGAGGUAUUUGAUGGCGUGAAGAUCAUCACCGUGGGCCAUGUGGAUAUGAAGGAGAUAGUAUUCGAUCCAAACCGCGGGGUCUGUUGUGCCAUCAGAAGGUUCAAUAUUCACGAGUUUAAACCCUUCGGGGAUUUGAUGAUCCAUGACUUCAUCUGUGAAGCAUAGUGGGUGUGCGGCGCCUCUGUAUUGGGCUAUAUCACGACGAAGCUCAAAAGAGCUUUGUCUACUGUGUUCGGCCCGGCCGGACUUGUUGUGUCCGGUGCGACGGUUAUCGUCACAUGUCAUGGGGCGCCCCCGUGAUCCGUAGAUCGAUCUUGAUUGUCUUGCCUUAUCCUCCAAUAUAUCUCGCAAGUCUAGAGCGUUCCCCUGUGGCCUUGUGCUUUUCGAGCGAUGCCGGGGUACGGUUCUAGUGGAGGGCCUGGAGGCCUCUCUAUCGCGGCCACGGGGUGGUCGGUCAGCCGUAUUGUGCGCUGGUGAUGCAGGUUCAUAUGCCUCCUCCUCUAAUCGGGGGAGCAGCUUGCGUUUGGGGUAGCUUUUGGAGGGGCGUUCGAGCUCAUGCUCUUCGGCCACAAGGACUUCGGUCCAUCUGUCGGCUAGCAGAUCUUGAUCAGCUCUAAGUUGUUGCUGCUUUUUCUUGAGGCUGUUUGCCGUGGCCAUAAGCCUGCGUUUAAAAUGCUCUUGUUCGACGGGAUCCUCAGGUACGACAAAUUCAUCGUCGUCGAGGCUUACCUUGUCUCCGGAGGGAGGCAUGUAAUUAUCAUCCUCUACCUCUUCGUCUGCCGCUCUCUUAUGAGGGCUGGCUUCUCCGUCCUCCUAUGCUGAAUCUUGCUGGAGGGGGUUGUCUUCGGCACUGUCUAGGGUAUUAUUAUCUCCGGUGCCGGAAUCUCCAUUCUUGAUGUGGCGGGAUUUAGAGCGGCGCCGCUGACGCCGGCGCUUGGGCUGUUUCUUGGAGGGGUCAUCCUCUGCUGUUCCUUCGCCAUUCCCAUCCUUUGGGAUAUCCACCAUGUAUAUGUCAUAUGAUGAGGUGGCUUUCCAGUGCCCAGUAGGCGCUGGUUCUUCGUCGUCUCCGGCAUCGUCGUCCAUACUGUUAAUGUUUUUGGAGUCAAAGUCUAGCAUGUCGGUUAGAUCAUCGAUAGUGGCUACUAAGUGGGUGGUGGGUGGGCUUUGAAUUUCUUCGUCGUCCGCAUCCCAACCGUCCUGACCGCAGUCUGGCCAGGGCUCUCCUGAUAACGAGAGAUACUUUAGCGAACUCAAGAUGUCGCCGAAAGGUGCAUGUUGAAAGAUGUCCGCAGCGGUGAACUCCAUGAUCGGCGCCCAAUCGGAUUCGAUUGGAGGGGUUGCGGGAGGUACGGAGUCCGGCGAGGAGUCCGGCACCUCGGAGUCACGAGCUUCACAAGGGACAAAGCCAGUAUUCGGCUCCAUCGCCGUAGAGGUUGGAGCCCCCGAGGCGGUGUCUAACCACCCGUCCUCGAUCUGCGCAGCCGGCUCCGAAUCGAGGGUCGGAGCGGGCUCGUGUGCGGCCUCUAGGGCACUGUCCGGCUACAGAGCUAAAUCAUGCCCAUCGUGACAGUGCAACGCGCUUGGCUGUGGCUCGAAUCCAUCGAAGAUCAAGUCUCUGCGGAUGUCAGCCGUGAAGUUCAAACUUCCAAAUCUGACCUGACGGCCAGGGGCGUAGCUUUCGAUCUGCUCCAGAUGGCCAAGCGAAUUGGCCCACAGUGCAAAGCCGCCGAAUACAAAGAUCUGUCCGGGGAGAAAAGUCUCACCCUGGACUGCGUCAUUGUUGAUGAUCGAAGAAGCCAUCGAGCCUAUCGGUGACGACACAGAGGAACUCUCAAUGAAAACACCAAUGUCGGUGUCAAAACCGGCGGAUCUCGGGUAGGGGGUCCCGAACUGUGCAUCUAGGUGGAUGGUAACAAGAGACAAGGGACACGAUGUUUUACCUAGGUUUGGGCCCUCUUGAUGGAGGUAAAACUCUACGUCCUGCUUGAUUGAUAUUGAUGAUGUGGGUAUUACAAGAGUAGAUCUACCACGAGAUCAAGGAGGCUAAACCCUAGAAGCUAGCCUAUGGUAUGAUUGUUGUUCGUCCUAGGACUAAAACCAUCUGGUUUAUAUAGACACCGGAGAGGGCUAGGGUUACACAGAGUCGGUUACAAUGGUAGGAGAUCUACAUAUCCGUAUCGCCAAGCUUGCCUUCCACGCCAAGGAAAGUCCCAUCCAGACACGGGACGAAGUCUUCAAUCUUGUAUCUUCAUAGUCCUGGAGUCUGGCCGAUGAUGAUUGUUCGGCUAUCCGGACACCCCCUAGUCCAGGACUCCCUCAGUCGUGCCUCCUAAUGAUCCUUUAGAACAAUAUUUGCUAGACCAUGAAAAUGAUAUGUUCAUGAAUGAAAGAAGGGAAAUAGAUGAAGUAUUCUUUAAAUAGGGACCAAUUUUAAAACACAACUUGCUAGUUGAAAUUCUAGGGGAUCCUCCACCACCCAAGGGUGAUCCCGUGUUUGAGCUUAAACCAUUACCUGAUACUCUUAAAUAUGCUUAUCUUGAUGAAAAGAAGAUAUAUCCUGUUAUUAUUAGUGCUAAACUUUUAGAGCAGGAAGAGGAGAGAUUAUUGAAAACUCUGAAGAAGCAUCGUGCUGCUAUUGGAUAUACUCUUGAUGAUGUUAAUGGCAUUAGUCCGACUCUAUGUCAACACAAAAUAAAAUUGGAGGAAGAUGCCAAACCCGUUAUUGAUCACCAACGAUGAUUAAAUGCUAAGAUGAAGGAAGUGGUAAGAAAGGAAUUACUAAAGCUCCUAGAGGCAGGUAUAAUUUAUCUUGUUGCUGAUAGUAAGUGGGUAAGUCAUGUCCAUUGUGUCCCUAAGAAGGGAGGUAUUACUGUCGUUCCUAAUGAUAAAGCUGAAUUGAUUCCACAAAGAAUUGUUACAGGUUAUAGGAUGGUAAUUGAUUUCCGCAAAUUAAAUAAAGCUACUAAAAAGGAUCAUUACCCUUUACCUUUUAUUGAUAAAAUGCUAGAAAGAUUACCCAAACAUACACAUUUUUGCUUUCUAGAUGGUUACACUGGUUUCUCUCAAAUACAUGUGUCAGUGGAGGACCAAGAAAAGACUACUUUUACUUGCCCUUUCGGUACUUUUGCUUAUAGAUGUAUGCCUUUUGGUUUAUGUAAUGCACCUGCUACCUUUCAAAGAUGCAUGAUGGCUAUAUUCUCUAACUUCUAUGAAAAGAUUUGUGAGGUUUUCAUGGAUGAUUUCUCCGUUUAUGGGUCUUCUUUUGAUGAUUGCUUGAGCAACCUUGAUCGAGUUUUGCAGAGAUGCGAAUACACUAGUCUUGUCUUGAAUUGGGAGAAGUGCCACUUUAUGGUUAAUGAAGGCAUUGACUUGGGGCAUAAAAUUUCUGAAAGAGGUAUUGAAGUUGACAAAGCCAAGGUUGAUGCUAUUGAAAAGAUGUCGUGUCCCAAGGUUAAAGGUAUAAGAAGUUUUCUUGGUCAUGCCGGUUUUUAUAGGAUUUUCAUUAAGGAAUUUUCUAAAAUUUCUAGGCCUCUGACCAAUCUAUUACAAAAAUAUAUUCCUUUUGUCUUUGAUGAUGAUUGUGUAGAAGCAUUUGAAAUACUUAAGAAAGCUUUGGUUUCUCAACCUAUUGUUCAGCCACCUGAUUGGAAUUUACCCUUUGAAAUUAUGUGUGAUGCUAGUGAUUAUGCCGUAGGUGCUGUUGUAGGACAAAGAGUUGAUAAGAAACUAAAUGUUAUUCAAUAUGCUAGUAAAACUCUAAACAGUGCUCAGAAAAAUUAUGCUACUACUAAAAAAGAAUUUUUAGCAGUUGUAUUUGUUUGUGAUAAGUUCAGACCUUAUAUUGUUGAUUCUAAAGUGACUAUUCACACUGAUCAUGCUGCUAUUAAAUAUCUUAUGGAAAAGAAAUAUGCUAAACCUAGACAUAUUAGAUAGGUUCUCUUUCUACAAGAAUUUGAUUUACAUAUUAUUGAUAGAAAGGGAGCUGAGAACCCCGUUGCAGACAACUUGUCUAGGUUACAAAAUAUUCUUGAUGACCCACUACCUAUUGAUGAUAGCUUUCCUGAUGAACAAUUAGUUGUCAUAAAUGCUUCUCGUACUGCUUCGUGGUAUGUUGAUUAUGCUAAUUACAUUGUUGCUAAAUUCAUACCACCUAGUUUCACAUAUCAGCAAAAGAAAAAGUUUUUUAUGAUUUAAGACAUUACUUCUAGGAUGACCCACACCUUUAUAAAGAAGGAGUAGAUGGUGUUAUUAGACGUUGUGUACCUGAGCAUGAACAUGAACAGAUCCUACGCAAGUGUCAUUCCGAGGCAUAUGGAGGACACCACGCUAGAGAUAGAACUGCACAUAAGGUAUUGCAAUCUGGUUUUUAUUGGCCUACUCUCUUCAAGUAUGCCCGUAAGUUUGUCUUGUCUUGAGAUGAAUGUCAAAGAAUUGGUAACAUUAGUAGACGUCAAGAAAUAACUAUGAAUUAUUCUCUUGUUAUUGAACCAUUUGAUGUUUGGGGCUUUGAUUAUAUGGGACCAUUUCCUUCCUCUAAUGGGUAUACACACAUUUUAGUUGCUGAUGAUUACAUUACUAAGUGGGCAGAAGCUAUUCCAACUAGUAGUGCUGAUCAUAACACCACUAUGAAGAUGCUUAGGUUAUUUUUCCAAGGUUUGGAGUCCCUAGAUACUUAGGGUGUGUUUGGUUUCAUGACUCGCACCUGGCUCCUACCUGCCUUGCAAUUCUAUCGCUGUUUGGUACGCUGCAUGCUUCUCUAGGCCAGGCCCGACGGAUGCAAAAGGAGCCUCUCAGCCAGGAUGAGGCGAACACAAGAAUCCGCCGUAUCUCCGAGCCAGGCCCGUGCCCGCAUGCGCACCUCGUGUUUCUCCUUUCCCCCUUUCUCUCUCUCACGCCUCAGAUUGGAUCGAGCACCCAACUCGUUGUUGCCCCCGCCUCCUGAGAUCCGUCGUCCAUCACCAGUCCGGGCUCCCUCGUCGACCACAGGUUCGUGCUCCCUCCCCGAUGCUCCUCCACGCCCACGCUGGGGGCCACGGCGGCCGCCAUAGAUCAAGAGGAGGAAGGGGGUAGGUGAGCACCUGGGCGCCGUGAGCCGCAACUGGCGCCGCCUUUCUUCCCCUUGAACUGUGCCAGCCAAUACAGUUGUAGUCGCACCUCCGCCGCCGGCAUCUCCUCCGACAGGCCAUCUCUGCCACGGCCAUCUCGUUGCCCUCACAUGUUCAUCUGGAUGUUCUCAGCCAUGGCCAUCUACUCCAUCUCAGUACAAUGUGCCAGAUUGGUGGAAAUAUUCUGAUUUGUUUGCGAAAUUCCUGAUGAAUAAAAUUGACACUUCAAUUUUUGGUUCAAUUUCAGUUCAAAUUUGUUCUACUUGUUCCAUGGAAUGGUCUAGAUCCAAUUUAAAAUUUUCUAUGGUUGAAAUUGGAAGAGAAGAGUUUACAGAAUUAAGCCCAAUUCAGCCUACCAAACAACAUCUGUCGUGUAUAGCAUCCCUCAUGCAUCCAUAUCAUGCAGUCAACCAAACCCGCAUCUCACUCCAUCCUUGCAUCCACUCAAGCAGGCCAGGCUCACCCAGCAUGCCUCAUGUGAUGCAGUCUAGAGCCACCCAGGCAACCAAACACGCCCUUAAUGACUGAUGGUGGUUCACAUUUUAUUCGUGGUGCUUUUCGUAAAAUGCUUGCUAAGUAUGAUGUUAAUCAUAGAAUUGCAUCUCCUUAUCACCCACAGUCUAGUGGCCAAGUAGAGCUGAGUAACAGAGAGCAUAAAUUCAUUUUGCAAAAGACUAUUAAUAGAUCUAGAAAGAAAUUGUCCAAGAAACUUGAUGAUGCAUUAUGGCUUACAAAACUGCAUAUAAGAAUCCUAUGGGUAUGUCUCCAUAUAAAAUAGUUUACGGAAAAGCAUGUCACUUACCUAUUGAACUAGAACAUAAGGCAUAUUGGGCUAUUAAAGAGCUCAAUAAUUAUUUUAAACUUGUCGGUGAGAAGACAUUAUUUGACAUUAGCUCACUUGAUGAAUGGAGAACUCAAGCCUAUGAGAAUGCCAAACUAUUUAAGGAAAAAGUUAAAAGAUGGCAUGACAAAAGGAUACAAAAGCGUGAGUUUAAUGUAGGUGAUUAUGUGUUGCUUUUCAACUCUCGUUUAAGAUUUUUUGCAGGAAAACUUCUCUCUAAAUGGGAAGGCCCUUACGUUAUCGAGGAAGUCUAUCGUUUUGGUGCCAUAAAAAUCAACAAUUUCGAAGGCACGAAUCCGAAGGUGGUGAAUGGUCAAAGAAUCAAACAUUAUAUCUCAGGUAAUCCAAUAAAUGUUGAAACUAAUGUUAUUGAAAUCGUAACCCCAGAGGAAUACAUAAGGGACACUUUCCAGAUCGUUCCAGACUCCCAAAAGGAAUAGGUACGUGGUACGGUAAGUAGACCGACUUCAAUACUGUUCUAACAACAAUUUUUCUUCGUUUUGGAAUAUUUAAGAAAAUAGGAAAAUAAGAAGUAGUCCGGGAAGGACACGAGGCAUCCACGAUGGUGGACGGCGCGCCCUAUCCCCCCUGGGCACGCCCCCUGUCUCGUGGGCACCUCGUGUGCUCUCCAAACUCUGUUUUCUUGCACGAUACUUCUUUUGGUCGGCAAAAAUUCAUUAUAUAAUCUCCCGAUGGUUUUGACCACCGUAUCACACAAAUAUCCUAUGUCUUUGUUUCGAGCUGUUUCUGUCGCAGAUUUGAACAAUAUGUCAUCCCAGGAUUCGAAGGGAGAGAGCUAUGUAGCUGAUUACCUUGCAGACCCUAAGGUCUACGGGGACUUGGACCAUUAUGGUUGGACAACUAAGGAAGAAGAAGAUUAUGAGCCUAAGGGAAAGGAGGAUACGAGCUCAGAUGAAGAUGAAGUCACAUUACCUCAACUUGGGGACAUGCAUGUGGAGUUUAAAAAGUCAAGCCUCCCUGAUAGAGCAAAGAAACUUAAGAUCGAGUUUAUCCCUUUUCAUCUCUUGCAGGAGAACAAAUAGGAAUUGUGCAAAAAGAUAUUAAGCCUUGAGCAGGAGAUCGAUGAUCUAAGGGAGCAAAAUUCUAUCCUCAAACACAAAUUAAGGAAGAGGCCUACAUCAUCAACAACUCCAUCACCACCCUCUUCACCAGCAAAGGAUGCAUAAUCACAUGGGUAUGGGCACUCCCCUUGGCAACUUCCAAGCUUGGGGGAGGUGCCCCGAUAUCGUAUCACCAUCACACUCCUAUAUUUACUAUUUUACUUAGUUCGAUCCUUUUUAGAAAUAUUUUGAUCUAGUAGAAUAAAGCUUUGGUAUGAUUUAGUUUUGAGUUUUGCUUUUCGAUCGCUCUAUGUAAUCGAGUCCAUGAGCUAUAUAUAAUAAAGAUUAGUGUUGAGUCAAGGGCUUGGCUGUUUAGCUAUGAUCUUGAGGGAAUAAAAAUAAAAGAAGUAUAAAAAGAAAUAAAGAGAUCAUAUCGACCUUAUGGAGAGUGAUGACUUCACAUAUAAAGAGUGUGAUGAAUAAAAGUUGUUGGGAGUUGGCAAACAUAGUUUUGGUCAUCGUUGCAAUUAAUAGGACGUGAUAAAGAAAGAGAGGUUCUCACAUAUAAAUAUACUAUAUUGGACAUCUUUUAUGAUUGUGAGCACUCAUUAAAAUAUGACAUGCUAAAGAGUUGACGUUGGACAAGGAAUACAAUGUAAUGUGUUAUGUUUUCUUAUAUCCGAAAUAAACUAUAUUGUCAUGGAUCAUCCAACAUGCUGAGCUUGCCUUUUCCCUCUCAUGCUAGCCAACUUCCUUGCCACAAUUAGAGUUACAACUUGUGUUUCCGAAUACCCUUAAAACCAGUUUUGCCAUGUCCACCAUAUCUACCUAUGGAUUGAGUAAGAUCCUUCAAGUAAGUUGUCGUGUUGCAUGCAAUAUGACUUAUUAGUGCGGAGAAAAUAAGCUUUAUGCGAUCUUGUGAUAUGUAAGUAAUAAAAGCGAUGAACUGCAUAAUAAAGGUCUCUAUCACAAGUGGCAACAUAAAGUGAUGUUCUUUUGCAUUAAGAUUUCAUGCAUCCAACCAUAAAAGCACAUGAGAACCUCUGCUUCCCUUUGCGAAGGGCAUAUCUUUUAUUUUUUGUCUUAUACAUUAUGCAAGAGUCAUGGUGAUCUUCACCUUUCCUUUUUAGAUUUUAUCCUUUGGCAAGCACCUUGUGUUGGAAAGAUCCUGAUAUAUAUAUCCAAUUGGAUGUAAGUUAGCAUGAACUAUUAUUGUUGACAUUAUCCUUGAGGUAAAAGGUUGGGAGGCAAAACUAUAAGCCCCUAUCUUUCUUUGUGUCCGAUUAAAACUUCAUACCCAUAAGUAUUGCAUGAGUGUUAGCAAUUGUGAAAGAUUAAAUGAUAGUUGAGUAUGUGGACUUGCUGAAAAGUUCUUAUAUUGACUCUUUCCGAUGUCAUGAUAAAUUGCAAUUGCUUCAAUGACCAAGAUUAUAGUUUGUUAGUUUUCAAUGAAGUUUAUGAUUCAUACUUGACAUUGUGAAUAGAUUGUUACUUGAGCAUAAGAAAUCAUAUGACAAAAGAUAUAUAUGUUGCUGUUAUAAGAAUGAUCAUGAUGCCUUCAUGUCCAUAUUUUAUUCUAUCAACACCUCUAUCUCUAAACAUGUGGACAUAUUUUUCGAUAUCAGCUUCCGCUUGAGGACAAGCGAGGUCUAAGCUUGGGGGAGUUGAUACAUCCAUUUUGCAUCAUGCUUUUAUAUCGAUAUUUAUUGCAUUAUGUGAUGUUGUUACACGUGAUAUCACAAUACUUAUGUCUAUUAUCUCUUAUUUUACAAGGUUUACAUGAAGAGGGAGAAUGCCGGCAGCUGGGAUUCUGGGCUGGAAAAGGAUCAAAUAUUGAAGACCUAUUCUGCACAACUCCAAAAGUCAUGAAACUCUAGGAAAGUAAUUUUUGGAAUUCAUAAAAAAUACUGGCGAAAGAAUCAACAUCAGGGGGCCCACACCCUGCCGACGAGGGUGGGGGGCGCCCCUCCUAGGGCGCACCCCCUGCCUUGUGGGCCCCCUGGCAGCCCUCCGGUGGCCAUCUUCUGCUAUAUGAAGUCUCUUACCCUGGAAAAAAUCAGAGGCAAGCUUACGGGACGAAACUCCGCCGCCACGAGGCGGAACCUUGGCAGAACCAAUCAAGGGCUCUAGCGGAGCUGUUCUGUCGGGGAAACAUCUCUCUGGGAGGGGGAAAUCAUCACCAUCGUCAUCACCAUCGAUCCUCUCAUCGGGAGGGGGUCAAUCUCCAUCAACACCUUCACCAGCACCAUCUCCUCUCAAACCCUAGUUCAUCUCUUGUAUCCAAUCUUUGUACCAAAACCACAGAUUAGUACCUGAGGGUUGCUAGUUGUGUUGGUUACUCCUUGUAGUUGAUGCUAGUUGGUUUAUUUGGUGGAAGAUCAUAUGUUCAGAUCCUUAAUGCAUAUCCAUACCCCUCUGACUAUGAACAUGAAUUUUAUUUGUGAGUAGUUACGUUUGUUCCUGAGGACAUGGGAGAAGUCUUGCUAUAAGUAGUCAUGUGAAUUUGGUAUUCAAUCGAUAUUUUGAUGAGAUGUAUGUUGUCUCUCCUCUAGUGGUGUCAUGUGAACGUCAACUACAUGACACUUCACCAUUGUUUGGGCCUAGAGGAAGGCAUUGGGAAGUAAUAAGUAGAUGAUGGGUUGCUAGAGUAACAGAAGCUUAAACCCUAGUUUAUGCAUUGCUUCAUAAGGGGCUGAUUCUGAUCCAUAUGUUUCAUGCUAUGGUUAGGUUUACCUUAAUAGUUCUCUUGUAGUUACGGAUGCUUGCAAUAGGGGUUAAUCAUAAGUGGGAUGCUUGUCCAAGAAAGGGCAGUACCCAUGCACCGGUCCACCCACAUACCAAAUUAUCAAAGUAACGAACACGAAUCAUAUGAGCGUGAUGAAAACUAGCUUGACGAUAAUUCCCAUGUGUCCUCGGGAGCGCUUUUCUCAUAUAAGAACUUGUCCAUGCUUGUCCUUUGCUACAAAAAGGAUUGGGCCAUCUCGCUGCACCUUAUUUACUUUCAUUUCUUGUUACCCAUUACAAAUUACCUUAUCACAAAACUAUCUGUUAUCGAUAAUUUAAGUGCUUGCAGAGAAUACCUUACUGAAAAUCGCUUGUCAUUUCCUUCUGCUCCUCGUUGGGUUCGACACUCUUACUUGUCGAAAGGACUACGAUAGAUCCCCUACACUUGUGGGUCAUUAGUGGCCUGCACUAUGCUCCUUUUUUGACUCUUAUAGGCUGUUGAAAGGCCAAGCAUCUCCCUUGCCGCGCCGAUAAAAACGACACCCCCAUAAAAGAUGAUGAUUACAGGUAUGGGGGAAAACAAAAUCUUGAUGAUAUCCCUAAGAAAACGGGCACGAUCUCCCCUUGAUGGGAUGCGCCAGUAGAAAGGCUACCCCAAAGCGCGACUUGGGGUGAGCAGGAACUGCCUAACCCGUCAUGGGGUGCGCCGCUUCGAUAAAGUUGUCAGACUGAGUGGCACUACUCACACCUCUCCGGGUGGCCUUUGAGGCUAAGUUAUCUCAACUCUUUGGACAAAGAUUGAUCUCGGUGAAAUCCUAUGUGUGAAACACUACUCCUUUAAGAAGUAGUCCGGGACAUUUAGAAACCGAGAGGAGGAACUCGUUUGUCAAGCCAAGGACUCCGGAUUCGAGGUUAUCUUCAUUUAAUAGAAUCGUCCUCAGCAUAGAGGACUAGUUUGGGGGCUACUAACGGUGUCCUGGGGUAGGGGGUACUAACCUAGCUUAUCCAUGCACUUCGGGCUCGGCCGAAGGACCUUCAUUCUUCGCAAGAUGGACUCCGGGGGCCGCACGCUACGGAGGAGACCAAGACUACAUCUAUCGGAGACUUGCCGUACACUCCAAGACCUCUUCCGCUGCCUCCAUGUCAAGAUGCUGACCUUGUAACCCUAGAUACCCUACUCGACUUGGGUAUAAGCUGAGGGGUUUAGCCCGUAGAGAGGACAUCAAUGCAAUCUCAUUCUCCAAGCCCUAGAGUUAGAACACAUCUAAAGAUCUCGAGGUAGAUCAACUCUAUACUUGUAACAUCUUCAUCAAUAUAACAAGAGCAGGAUGUAUGGUUUUACCUCCAUUAAGAGGGCUAAAACCUGGGUAAACAUUGUCUGCCAAGUUCCUGUUACCAUCUAUCCAAGAUCCACAGCUCAGGACCCCCUACCCCGAGGUCAACCAGUAUUUACACCGAUAAGUAGGAUAUAAACACUAUGAAUAUAAAUAUUGUGGAGGCUAUGUUGGUUUUGAAUCAACUACAUGCGUGAACAUGUGCCAAGUUAAGCCACUUGAAACAUUCAGAGGAGGAUACCAUACUAUCAUACUAUAUCAUAAUCGUUUUAAUGCAUGUUGACACCCAUGAUAAAUCAUUAUCCACUCCUAGCUACUUAAGCAUGGCAUGACCAACUAUAAUUUCUAAUUUUCAUCACAAACAUGUUUACUCAUAAUAUACUGAAUCAUGGAUAUCGAGUUAAGUAUAUUUACUAAAAUAAAAACAAGUUGAGUUCAUACCUGCUUUUCCUUGCCACGGUCACUUCAUCACAUUAUGUUCAUUAUUGCCUUUCACUUGCACGACCGAAUGAUAUGAAAAUGGUAAUAGUGCAAGAAUGUUGUGGACUAAGAUGGAAUCUUCAAACAUUUUAUUCAAAGGAGAAGAAAAAGUAAUAUGGGCUGUUGCUUAGAUCAAAAUAAUGCAUAUGAGAGCCCCUCAACAUUUUCAUUGUGGUCUUCUCCUUACGAUGACUCAAUGAAAAGAAACGAAUUUCAGAGAAACACACUAGAAUAUUUUUGGAGUUUUUAUUUUUCUUGAAGAAAGCAAAUCAACGAAGGAAAAACAAAAGCGAGAAAAACUAUUUACAUGGGAAAGCUCCCAACAAGCAAAACAAGAAACAAGAAAUCAUUUUGGGUUUUCUUUUAAUAUUAUAAAUUAACUAAACAAGAAAGAAAAACGGAAAAUAAGCAAGAAAUAUUUUUGGGUCUCCAAAGUUUUUCAAACACACAAGAAGAAAGCAAAAAAAACUCACAUGGAUUAUACAAUGAAAGAGGGUGAACACCGGAACUGGAAUGAAAUGUAUGAACAUGAAUGUAAUGUCGGUGAGAAAUAUGUACUCCCCCAAGAUUAGGCUUUUUCCUAGCUUGGUAAUCACCAUCCGUAGUAACCAUCUGGUCCAAUAUGGAAGUACUGGGGCGGCGGCACUUGAGCGUCCCAAGCCCGAGCCUCAUUCUUCGCCGCUACCAUCAUGUUCCGAUAAGCAGUGAUGUCCGGUGGCAUGACCAUGUAUCCGUUCCUGGCAUGGGAGUCAAACAAAGCAGGUGCAUGCAACGGAAUAAUAUCACGAGUGUCCUCACUGAAUAGCAACCUAUAGUGAAUAUGGUGAGGAGGCUCAAGGUCAUCAAUAAAAUGGUGAUCUAUCAUAGACUGGUGAACUACGUACAUCCUAGGCAACAAAUAAUCAUGGGGAUAUUAACAUGGAAAUGUAUCGCUAAGCAUGUACCAUAAAUACCACCAUGGAUCUUACCCUUAGUCCUAUUAGUAUGAAGGCGGGAUGCAAUGAUAGCUCCGAGGCUAUAGGUGUUACCACUAAAAAGUGCUCGUCAUAAGAUGGCGAGGUCAGGGGCACAUAGCGCGCUACCUUGCUCCCUAGCAGUCAAACAUUUCCAUAUGAAUAAAGCAAAGUAAUGCACAAUAGGAAAUUGCAAACUAGUAGCUUGGGCUUUUGACACGCCCCUUUCCUCUCCCACAGUUCAAAGUGCAGGGAAACCCUCAAACUCCUCUGGUCUAGGCUCUCUUAAUUCCCCGCCAGAAGGAAUCAAACAUAUCUUACAAAAUUCAGCAAGUAGUAUCUCAUGAUUUUCAGCAUAUAAAUCAAAACGCACCAUGGGGGUGACCCUAUUCAAGAAAUGGAAAUUUUACACAAAGGAAUUCGUAAGGAUGUGGUGCUAGUCACACUCAUCUACGAGGAAGUCGGUCAAUCUGGCAUUUGCAACAAAUUGCGCGAACUCCUGAUAGAAUAUGGCUUCAUUCAUGAAGGCAUCGUGCGUCCAUUCGCACGGCCAAACCUCCGUCCUACAUGGAAUGUUGAGGUCGCUGUCCGAGGAGUCCCGAAUGGCUCCCUUAGCAUCCCGUUUUGAGGAGCUUCUCCGAAAGAAGUUCAUUUUUCCUACAAAAAAAAUUCUGAAAUUUUGGGCUUCAAAAUGAUAUCAAUACAACUUAACAAUAUUGAUAGCAUCUACUCAUAUGAAGGUCUAGAGGUUAUAUCAAGCAUUCAAUCUAUGUGGAACUCAAAGAAUUCAACAUGCAAGCUCAUUUUCAGUAGCACCAAGAGCAGCUAAUUAUGCAAAAUAUAAUCCACUAAAGCAAAAACUAAUGGGAGCAAUGGAGGAGUCACAUACCACGGAGCAAUUCCCCCAAACAGUUUUAGAAAUGGAGCUCCGAGCAAAGAGAUCAUUUAGGAUUUUUUUUUCUAAAGGUAAGGGAUGAAGUGGGCUAAAGGGAUAAGUGAGUGGGUCCCUAUGGGGCCCACAAGCCACCAUGGCGCUCCCGGCGGGUGGUCAUGCCCUGGUGCCUCGUGGGCACCGAAGGCAUCCCCCUGGGUUGUGUUUAGUGCUAGAAAUUCUUAAAUAUUCCAGAAAAAAUCAUGUUACAAUUCUACGUCAUUCUAAGCACGUUUAUUUUUGUUCAUUUUUUAUUGCACGGAUAAUUCAUAAAACAGUACAAUCAUGGCAUUUUACUUUAUUUAACUAAGAAAAACAACAGAAAAAUAGUAGGUAUAGAGAGUUGUGCUUACUAAAUUCAUCAACCUCAUGCCCCUCUAAAGAAUCCAUUAAUAAGGUUGAUCAUGUCUUAUUAACAAACUGUUUCCAAGUAACAUGAAACCGAAGAAUCUUUGUAUACACUAGGUUACCUCAAUGGGGAUACGCAUCUCCCCGAUAAUAAGAGUUUUAUAUUUAUUUUUGACAGUAGGAACAUGGAGUUGAAAACUUCCAAUAGUAAUUGUCAAAGCUUUUUCAAUAAUAUUGAUACCGUUCACUUGAAAAAAAAUCUUUGAAAAGUGCACCGUAUGCUCAUUACCAUUAAUAUGAAAAGUGACCUUGCGUUUGUUGCAAUCAAUAAGGGCCCCUGUAGUAUUCAAGAAGGGUCUACCAAGGAUAAUCGACAUGUUAUCGUCCUCGGGCAUAUCAAGUAUAACAAAGUCUGUUUAGAUAGAAACAUUUGCAACUACAAUAGGCACAUCCUCACAAAUACCGACAGGUAUGGCAUCAGCCAUUUGCAAUAAUAGGUGUGAGUUUAUGCAAAUAAAGUCUUCCAUACAAAGAGAAAGGCAUAACACUAACACCGGCUCCCAAAUCACAUAAAGAAGUUUUGACAUAAUUUAUUUUAAUGGAACAUGGUAUAUUAGGUAUUUCUUGAUCUCCUAGUUUUUUAGGUACUCCAUCCUUAAAAGAAUAAUUUGCAAGCAUGGUGGAGAUUUCAGCUUCAAGUAUCUUUCUUUUAUUAGUGACAAUAUCCUUCAUAUAUUUAGCAUAUGGGGUCAUUUUUAAAAUAUCAGUCAAACGGGUAUGCAAAAAGACUGGCCUAAGCAUUUCAGCAAAACCUUCAAAUUCUUCCCCAUCCUUGUUUUCAGGUGUUUUAGUUGCAAAAGGCACAGGUUUUUGAACCCAUGGCUCUCUUUCCUUACAUGUUUCCUAGCAACGAAAUCACUUUUAUCAUAACGUUUGUUCUUAGGAGGUGGGUUAUCAAGAUCAACGACAGUUUCUAUUUCAACAUCAUUGUCUGGUUGAGCAUCAACAUGAACAUCACUAUCAUUAUAACCAGGUAGAUUUUCAUCACCAGAUUGUGUCUCAGCAUCAGAAAUAGAAUCAUCAUUACCAUUCUCAGAAGGUUUUUUUACUACCGGUUCACUAGAAGCAUGCAAAGUUCUAUCAUUUUUCUUUUUAUUUUUCUUAUUAAUGGACUAGUUGCAUCUAUAUUAAUCAUUCGAUAAUCUUGCUCAAUUCUUUUAGGGUGACCUUCGGGAUAAAGUGGCUCUAGAGUCAUUCUAUCUCCUCUAGUCAUUACCCUAACAGCAUGACCAUUCAUAUUAUUAUUCAUCUCUUUAAGAAAAUCAUUUUUGAGACUUAGCAACUUGUCCUAACCGAGUUUGGACCAUGGAUGCAUGUUUACCUAAACCUUUAACAUCAUUAGCAAUUCUGAACAUUAAGUCACUCGGACGAUCAAUCAUGAAGGCAUUAUGUUUCAGUUGAUUCAUAACAUACAUGUUAAAGUUUUCUUGCUUAACAAUGUAAUUGUAAAAUUCAUCGAGGCAUUGACUAGCAGAUUUAUUAUAAGGAAUAUUAACUUCAUCAAAUCUUAUAAGAGAAUUUACCUCCACUACCUGUGUAAGGGUGUCAAGUCCAUGUAUUUCUUCAAUAGGUGGUAAAUUCUUAACAUUUUCAUCUUUAAUACCCUUUUCUUUCAUAGAUUUCUUUGCCUCUUGCAUAUCUUCAGGACUGAGAAAUAGAAUACCUCUCUUCUUCAGAGUUGGUUUAGGCGGUGGUUCAAAAAGUGUCCAAUCAUUAUCAUUCUCAAUAUACGAUUCAAUAGUUCUUUAGCUUGUUUGAUAGUUUGUUACCUGAAAACACAACCAACAAAACUAUCUAGGUAGUCCCUAGAAGCAUCGGUUAGUCCAUUAUAAAAGAUAUCAAGUAUUUCAUUUUUCUUGAGAGGAUGAUCAGGCAAAUCAUUAACUAAUUGUAGAAGCCUCCCCCAAGCUUGAGGGAGAUUCUCUUCUUCAAUUUGUACAAAGUUAAAUAUUCUGUAAGGCAGCUUGUUUCUUAUGAGAAGGAAAAUACUUUUCACAGAAGUAAUAUAUCAUAUCCUGGGGACUACACACACAACCAGGAACAAGAGUAUUAAACCAUAUCUUAUCGUCACCCGUUAGUGAGAAAGGAAGCAACUUAAGGAUAUACUAGUAGUGAUUUUUUUUCACAUGAGCAAAUAGGGUGUUUAUAUCAUUCGGUUUAGUAAGGUAUUCCACAGCAGUUUCAGAUUCAUAACCAUGGAAAGGAUCCGAUUCAACCAAAGUAAUUAACUCAGGAUUGACAGAGAAUUCAUAGUCCUUAUCAGUAACAAAGAUAGGUGAAGUAGCAAACUUAGGAUCAUGUUCCAUUCUUGCAUUUAGAGAAUUUUUCUUUCAGCCUACAUAGUAGUUUCUUAAUAUCAUCCCUAUCAAUACAAGCAACUAGUUCUCUAGUUAUCUCUUCACCCACAACAAAACCCUCAGGUAUGUUAGGCAUUUCAAUUCUAGGAUAGCUAGGCCUAAAAGUUGAAUCAUAAAUUUCGUCAGUUUCAACAUUCUUAAACUCUUUAGCUUUAGCAAGUUGUUCAUCAAGAAAUUCACCUAGUGGCAUGGUUUCAUUAAGCAGAGUAUAAGCGUCAUCAAUAGCAUCAUUCAUAGUAGAAGUAGCAUCAUCAAUUACUUGCGACAUAUCACAAUUAAUAGUAGGUGGUGGUGUCGCAAGCUUACUUAAAAUAGAAGGUGAAUCAAGUGCAGAGCUAGAUGGUAGUUCCUUACCUCCCCUUGUCUUAGAGGGAAUGAUCUUAGUUCUAUCAUCUUUAAGAUUCUUCAUAGUGAUCAAAAGAUAUAAAUUCCAAGUGACUCUACAAAUAGAGUUAUGCUCCCAGCAACAGUGCCAGGAAAAGGUCUUGAUAACCCACAAGUAUAGGGGAUCACAACAGUUUUCAUAGGUAGAGUAUUCAACCCAAAUUUAUUGAUUUGUCACAAGGGGGGGGGCAAAGAAUAUUUACAGGUAUUAGAAGUUGAGUUUUCAAUUCAACCACAUAUAGAGAACUAAAUAUCUGCAGCAGAGUGAUUAGUAGCAUAGUAGUAUGAUAGUUUGAUAGCAUGAUAGCAAUAGUGACAGUAACUAUAACAGUAACAAUAGAGGUUUUGUAGCAUUUGUAAUAGCAGCAACAACAGUAGUAAGUUAGGAAAGAUCAAUAUGCAAAAUGCGUAGGCAUUGGAUCAAUGAUGGAUAAUUGUGUUGGAUGACUUUCAUCAUGUAAUAGUCGCAACUUAGAGUGACACAGAACUAGCUCCAAUUCAUCAAUGUAAUGUAGGCAUGUAUUCCGUAUAUAGUCAUACAUUCUUAUGAUAAGAAUUUCCAUGACAUCUUUUGUCCUACACUCCCAUUGCAGCGGGGUCCAUAAGGAAACUAAGGGAUAUUAAAGCCUCAUUUUAAUAGAAAACCAGAACAAAGCAUUAACACAAGGUGAAUACAUGAACUCCUCAAACUUUGGUAAUCACCAAAAAGAAUCCCAAUUAUCAUCACCUUGGGGUAUGUGGAUCAUAACAUGUAAUAGGUGUGUAUAACUUGCAAGGUAGGAUCAAGAACUCAAAUAUAUUCCUGAAAACAUAAAGGGUUCAGAUAUGAAAUUAUCGCACUCGAGCCCUGGUGACAAGCAUUAAGCAUAGCAAAGUUAUAGUAACAUCAAUCUCAAUACAUAGUCGGUACUAGGGAUCAGGCCCUAAAAAACUAACUCGAUCACAUGAUAAAUCUCAUCCAACCCAUCACCAUCCAGCAAGCCUUUGAAGAAAUUACUCACUCCCGAUGGUGAGCAUCAUGGCAUUGGUGAUGAAGAAGGGUUGGUGAUGAUGAUGGUGAUGAAUCCCCUUCUCUGGAGCCCUGAACGGACUCCAAAUCAACCCUCCUGGUCAAGAACAGUAGGUGGGGGUGGCUCCGUAUCAUGAAAUGCGAUGAAACUUCUACCCUUAUUCUCGGGAAAUAGGAAUUUAUAGGCUUUAUAUUAGGGUCGGCAGAGCCAUGUGGGAUCCACCAGGCACUAGGGCACGCCCGGGGGGUGGCUGCGCCCUGGUGGCUUGUGGGCCACUGGUGGGUCCCCUCCUAUGGAUCUUGGCUCUAGUAUUUUUUAUUAUUUCCAUAAAAUAUCUCCAAAAAGUUUCGUCCAAUUCUGAGAACUUUUAUUUCUACAAAAAAAACACCAUGGUAGUUCUGCUGAAAACAACAUCAGUCCGAGUUAGUUUCAUUGAAAUCAUGCAAAUUAUAGUCCAAAACAAGAGCAAACAUGUUUGGAAAAGUAGAUACGACGGAGAUGUAUCAUGGGUUGCUAGAGUGACAGAAGUUUAAACCCUAUUUUAUGCGCUAUUCAGUAAGGGGUUGAUUUGGAUCCAUAUGUUUCGUGCUAAUCAUAAGUGGGAGGCUUGUUCAAGUAAGAACAUGUUUUAGUCCGUUUUCGGACCGUUCGAUCGCCAUUGGACGGUCCGGAUCGGAGGGACUUAGGUGAGGGGGUAGUGGGUUGUGUAGAAGUCCAUGGACUGAGAAGAGACGGGAGAUGGCAGCCCGGCAACACAUUUUGGUACACCGAAAAUGUCCUACGUUUAUGCGGCUAUAGUGCCGCUAUAGAUUAAUGGUUGGGCUAUCAAAUGCACUCCGAAUGUGAAAAAAUUUGACAGGCGGUCUACCUACAAAAUAAGAAGACCGCAUGCUAACUUCCACUCCAUUUCAAGAAAUUUUUUAUCCCACUUAUAAAAUAAUAUUUUGGAGGUGUCGCGGGCGCGUGCGAAUGUGGUUGGACUCAGAAAGGACGACGGAGAUAACGAAGAGAAGAGCCAACUACAAACGGUGCAAGUUUUGAAAAGGAUGAUGACACAAGUGCCGAUGCAUUACAAAUGAGGCGACUAUGAAUGCAACAAACAAUUGAAACACACGGCGACAACGAAAAUAAAUGGAAGCAACUGUAGCAUCAGUCUUGGGGCAUCACAAACCUACUACACCUACUGAAAAUAUUUAUUAUGUGGUUCCUUCGGGUAUGAUAGAGAAACUAUUACCUAAUCCUUAUGUAGAAGAUGGAAUGAUACAUCCUGAUAUGCACCUAAUCUCUAUGGAUGAAGUUUGUGGAUUAUGUAACAUUGCAGGUUUAUCCGAAGAUGGAGUUAAGACGAAGAUUUUCCUUUAUCACUAGAGGGAAAGGCUUUGACAUGGUAUAGGCUAUGUGAUGAUAUUGGAACGUGGGAUUGGAACCAAUUGAAAUUGGAAUUUCAUCAUAAGUUUUAUCCUAUGCAUCUGGUUCAUCGUGAUUGGAAUUAUAUAUAUAAUUUUUUUGGCCUCGUGAAGGAGAAAGUAUUUCUCAAGCUUGGGGGAGGCUUAAGUACAUGAUGUACACAUUCCCCAAUCAUGGGCUCUCAAGAGAAAUUAUCUUACAAAAAAAUUAUGGUCGGGUCUCUCAUAAUGAUCAAACCAUGCUCGAUUCUUGUUCUACUAGUUCCUUUAUGAAGAAAGCUAUUGAAUUCAGAUGGGAUACUCUGGAAAGAAUUAAACACAACUCUAAAGAUUAGGAACUCGACAAAGGUAAAGAGUCAGGUAUAAAACUUGAGUUUGAUUGUGUUAAAUCUUUUAUGGACACUAAUGCUUUUCAUAAGUUUAGCACUAAAUAUGGACUUCACUACUUUUACAUGCCCUUUUGGUACCUUUGGUUAUAGACGUGUGCCUUUUGGUUUAUGUAAUGCACCUACUACCUUUCAAAGAUGUAUGACUUCUAUAUUCUCUGACUUCUGUGAAAAGAUUGUUGACGUUGUCAUGGAUGAUUUUUCCAUUUACAGGACUUCUUUUGAUUUUUGCUUAAGCAACCUUGAUCGAGUUUUGCAGAGAUGUGAAGAAAGUAAUCUUGUCUUGAAUUGGGAGAAGUGUCACUUUAUGGUGAAUUAAGGUAUUGUCUUUGGGCAUAAAUUUUUUGAAUGAUUUAUUGAAGUAGAUAAAGCUAAAGUUGAUGCAAUUGAGAAAAUGCCAUGCCCUAAAGAUAUUAAAGGUAUAAGAAGUUUCCUUGGUCAUGUUGGUUUCUAUAGAAGGUUCAUUAAAGACUUCUCUAAAAUUUCUAGGCCUCUUACUAAUCUUUUGCAAAAAGAUGUUCCAUUUGUUUUUAUGUUGAUUGUGCAGAAGCCUUUGAAGUACUUAAGAAAGCCUUAAUCUGUGCACCUAUUGUUCAACCACCUGAUUGGAACUUGCCUUUUGAAAUUAUGUGUGAUGCUAGUGAUUAUGUUGUUGGUGUUGUUCUAGGACAAAGAGUUGAUAAGAAAUUAAAUGUUAUCCAUUAUAUUAGUCAAACUCUAGACAGUGCUCAAAGAAAUUAUGCUACUACUGAGAAGGAAUUUUUAGCACUUGUGUUUGCAUGUGAUAAAUUCAGAUCCUAUAUUCCUAACUCUAAAGUAACUGUGCACGUUGAUAUGUCUCCAAUGUGUCUAUAAUUUUUUAUUAUUCAUGCUAUUUAAGUAUCAAUCUUGGAUGUUUUAUACACAUUUACAAGCAACUUUAUAUCAUUUUUUGGGACUUACCUAACUUAGUGCCAAGUGCCAAUUGCUGUUUUUUGAUUGUUUUUGGUUUCGAGAAUAUUAGCACAAGACAAGGUCCAAAUGCCACCAAACUUUUUGGACAUUUUUUUCGGGACAAAAGGGAAAGUAGAAACUUCGGGAGAAGACGAGACAUGGGAGCAUGGACCCACCACCCACAAGGGUGCGCCCAGGGGGGUAAGCGCACCCUGAUGGGUGGUAAGGCCCACAAAGCUUCGUUUGACCUAACUCUGCCUCUAUAAAUACCCAAAAAUUGGGACACCAACAAGGGAGUCCACAAAAUACUUUUUCCACAGUCGCAAGCCUCUGUUCUUGAGAGAUCCCAUCUAGGGACCUUUUCUCGCACUCUGCCCAAGGGGGAAUCGAUCACGUAGGGGUUCUUUAUCAACCUUGUUGCCCCUCCGAUGAUUUGUGAGUAGUUUACCAUAGACCUACGGGUCCAUAGUUAGUAGCUAAAUGUCUUCUUCUCUCUUGAUGUUUCUCAAUACAAUGCUAUCCUUGUUGUUGUUGGAGAUCUAUUUGAUGUAAUGACUUUUUGUGAUGUGUUUGUUCAGAUUUGAUGAAUUGUGAGUUUAUGAUCAGAUCUAUCCACAAAUAUUAUUAGAGUUUUAUGUAAACUCUUUUAUGCAUGAUUAUAUAGCUUCGUAUUUCUUCUAUGAUUUAUUGGUUUGGCUUGGCCAACUAGAUCGAUUUAUCUUGUGAUGGGAAGUGGUGCUUUGUAAAUGGGUUUGAUCUUGCGGUGCUCAAUCCCAGUGACUGAAAGGGACAUGACACAUAUGUAUCUGUGCUAUUAAGGGUAAAAAGAUGGGGUUUAUUCAUACGUUAGUUUAUCUUGUCUACAUCAUGUCAUCUUGCCUAAUGCAUUCCGCCAUUUUCCAUGAACUUAAUACACUAGAUGCAUGCUGGAUAGCGGUCGAUGUGUGGAGUAAUAGUAGUAGAUGUAGAAUCAUUUUGACUUACUAAUCUUGGAUGUGAUUCCUAUAUGUUUGAUCAUUGCCUUGGAUAUCAUCAUAAUUAUUUGCUUUUCUAUCAAUUGCUCAACAGUAAUUUGUUUACCCACUGUAUGCUAUUUUCUCGAGAGAAGCCUCUAGUGAAAACUAUGCCCCCGUGGUCUAUCUUUUAUCAUAUAAAAAAUCCUAAAAAUACCUUGCUUUAAUUUUAUUUUAUUUUAUUUAUUCUGUAUUUUUGUCCAAUCUAUCUAUCAAAUCUUAUACCAUUUAAUCUUUCUCAUAACCAUUGAGGGAUUGACAACCCCUCUACGUGUUGGGUUGCAAGUAUUUGUCGUUUGUGUGCAGGUGUUAUUUACAUAGUGUUGCUUGGUUCUCCUACUGGAUUGAUAACCUUGGUUUCAUAACUGAGGGAAAUACUUAUCUCUACUGUACUGCAUCAUCCCCUCCUCUUCGCGGAAAUCCUAACGCAGCUCAGAAGUAGCAGAAAGAAUUUCUGUUGCCGUUGCCGGGGAGACAUCAUCAACAUCUAUCAAGUACCUACGCAUAAACUUUCAUCUCCUUGCAAUUAUUUUAUUUUCCAUUUGCCUCUUGUUUUCAUUUCCCCCACUUCUAGUUUUUUUUACAAAAAUCACGAAAAUAUUUUUUGCUUGCCUUUUUCUUGUUUGAUCUGUUAUUUUCUUGUGAUCUUGUUUGUGUAGUCAUAGUAUCUCAAGAAAAUACAAAGUUGUGUGAUUUUUCUAAUACCAAUAAUAAUGAUUUUAUUAGUACUCCGAUUGCUCCUCCCGCCAAUAGUGCGGAGUCUUAUGAUAUUAAUGCCGCUUUAUUAAAUCUUGUUAUGAAAGAGCAAUUUUUUGGUAAUCCUAAUGAGAAUGUCCUGUCCCACCUAAACACAUUCAUAGAAUUGUGUGAUAUGCAAAAUAAAAAAGAUGUGGACAAUGAUAUUUUGAAACUAAAAUUAUUUCCAUUCUCUUUGCGGAAUCAUGCAAAAAUCUGGUUUUCAUAUUUGCCAUGAAAUAGUAUUGAUUCCUGGGAUAAGUGCAAAGAUGCUUUUAUUACUAAGUAUUUUCCUCCCACGAAAAGUAUUUCUUUUAGAAAUCAAAUUAUGAAUUUCAAGCAACUUGAACAUGAACAUGUUGCACAAUAUUGAAAAGAAUGAAACUAAUGCCAAGAAAUUGCCCAACUCAUGGUUUAAAUUUGUAGAUGAUCAUACAAAAAAAUUAUGCGGGGUUGAAUUUUUUCUCUAGAAAUAUUUUAGAUUCCGCCACGGGUACUUUUAUGGAAAUUACUUUGGGUGAAGGUGCUAAAAUACUUGGUAAUAUCAUGGAAAAUUAUUCACAAUGGCAUACAGAAAGAGCACAUACUGGUAGAAAGGUUAAUUCUGAUGAAGAAAAUAGACUUUGAGUGAAAAAGUUGAUGCACUUAUGAAAUUGGUUGCUAGUAAAAAAUGCUCCUAUUGAUCUUAAUGAUGUGCCUUUGUCUACUUUGAUUGAGAAAAAUAAUGAUCCCGUAGAUGUGAAUUUUGUUUCGCGAAACAACUUUAAGAAUAAUGCUUAUAGGGGUAAUUUCAAUCCUAGGUCGUUUCCUGGAAGUUCCUCUAAUAAUUAUGGCAAUUGCUAUGGUAAUUCUUAUAAUAAUAAUAAUAAUAAUAAUAAUAAUAAUAAUAAUAAUAAUAAUAAUAAUAAUAAUAAUAAUAAUAAUAAUAAUCUCUACCUAAUAUUAAAGCAAGGAUUGUUUCUCCACUUUUUAUGGUCCAAUCAUGGGUUUCUGGUCCGUCGUCCGUUUUCAUACCUUUUUGUGUUGUACGUACAAAAAUUGCAUUCCAUUUUGCCUCAAAAAAUAAAUUGUGCUACAUGGGACUCGAACCAGGCCGGUUGAGUCCAAGACCGCACACUCACACCACUUCGCCUAGGUAACUUCCGUUGAAGACCUAAUAUUACAGGGAGGAUUGUUUCUCCACUUUUUAUGGUCCAAUCAUGGAUUUUUGGUACCUUUUUGUGUUGUACGUACAAAAAUUGCAUUCCGUUUUGCCUCAAAAAAUAAAUUGUGCUACAUGGGACUCGAACUAGGCCGGUUGAGUCCAAGACCGCACACUCACACCACUUCGCCUAGAUAACUUCCGUUGAAGACCUAAUAUUAAAGGGAGGAUUGUUUCUCCACUUUUUAUGGUCCAAUCAUGGGUUUUUUGUUCUUUUUGUGUUGUACGUACAAAAAUUGCAUUCUGUUUUGCCUCAAAAAAUAAAUUGUGCUACAUGGGACUUGAACCAGGCCGGUUGAGUCCAAGACCACACACUCACACCACUUCGCCUAGAUAACUUCCAUUGAAUGAAGAAAGAAAGAUAGCCUUUUAUAUUUCUUUCCCCGAAGCUUGGGUCAAGCGGCCACAUUAGCUAGAUCAUCUGUUGAUUGGGCUGAGUUGGGCCUGAUCUAUACAUUUCCCUUUAAUGGUAGAGAUGCGGGUCCCUAGAAAAACAAAGGAAUGAAAAUCCUGCAAAUGAAAGAAAUAAAGAACAAAAUAUAAAGGAAAUGAGAGGCUAAUUUGGCCAUUAAAGGGAGGCUAAUUUGAUGAGAAAUAAGAAGAAGAAAAGAGAAAGGAAAGACAGGAAAAUUGCAAGGGAAAUAAAAAGAAGGAAAGAGAAUAAAAGGAAAGAGAAGCUAAUUGCAUGAGAAAUAAAGAAAGUAAAUAGAGGCUAAUUAAAUGAAAGAAAGAGCGGCUAAUUACAUUCACGCAUGAUCUCUGAUAAAUGAAUGAAAAAAGUAGGAGUAGUAGAGAUAUAAGAGGACCACACUAAUUCAAACUAGCCUUUCCGGCUUCUCAAGGGAAAUAAAAAGCGUCUUGAUAACAUCUGAAGUUUUACGCAUGAUGCCCUUGAUAAAUGAAUAAAAAAUAGCAAAGAUAUAAGAGAUUGUCUAAUCAUGUGUUAAAAAAGGGAUGCUUUAAUUGCGACAUUGAGAGAUUGGUGGCGCACAAUAAAAAAUAAGGACGUAUUAAUUGUGAGACUGAGAGAUCAUUUAAAAUUGGCAGUCAGAACUAAAAAACCAGUUUCAUGUGUGAGACACAUUAUAAUUGUGGGAUUUGAGAGACCCAUGUAAAUCAUACAUGCAUAAGUGGUGAGCACUAAAACCGAAUUUAUGAACACGAAAAAUAACCAGAUUCAUGUGGGGGACACAUUAUACUUGUGGGAUUUGAGAGAGAUCCAAUUAAAAUCAGACAUGCAUCGACUGUGAGCACUAAAAACUAGAUUCAUGUAGGGGACAAAUUAAAAUUGUGAGAUUUGAGAGACCCGAUAAAAUUAGACAUGCAACGGUACGGUGGUGAGCACUAAAAUCAAGUUCAUGUGAGAAUAUAUUUAAAAACUUCCUUACAUUGUCAUAAUUCAAUGUCUGGUGUGUCAUGCGGUGGAAAAGAUCACUGCCUUAGGAUUCACCAUGUUUUUGGAUGCAUUGUGAUCAUGUAGGCACAACCCCUUUGACGGUGAGGGUGAGAAGGAGGAUAAGUCGCGAGAUGUCAGUGUGUCGCAUUGAAACAAAGUACACAUACCGAUGAAGAGUCUUGAGUCAUGCUUAUUUAGUUAGAGCCAUGUGAAUUUUUUUCUUCCGUUGCAACGCACGGGCAUAUUUGCUAGUAAUAAUAAUAAUAAUAGGAUGCCCAGUGAUCUUGAGAAUAAUAUCAAAGAAUUUACUAAUGCUCCAAAAGUUUUUAACACUGUGAUAGAAGAAAAAUUGACUAAGAUUGAUGAUAUGUCUAGGAGCAUUGAUAGAAUCACACACGAUGUAAAAAAUCUCAAGAUUAAAAAAUUUCCACUCAAGGUUGAUAUAUGAAUUUAUUAAAGUUUUAUAUGUCUCCAUGGAUGAGAGUAAGAAAAGAACCGCUAUGCUAAGAGCUAAAGGAGAAUUUUUAGAAAAGGCGAUUCCGCCCGAUUUUUUCGUAGUAAUGAUGAAGAUGUUAAAAUGAUUGGUGUUUCUUCUAUUGAUUACUUGUUUAGCAAUAUUAAAAUUAAUGAUAAGGGGACUGAAGAAGAGUCGUGUUUAGUUAGAAGGCAUCCCCAUAAUUCGUAGGGUGAAAAUCUUAAUGAAUUUUUUUGUUAAAAGUGGGUUUGGGGAGGUAAAAACUUUAACUAGUGAUGUGCCCACUCUCUUCGAUUACAAUGACUUUAAUUAUGAUAGUUGUUCAUUGAUUGAAUGUAUUUAUUUGUUACAAUCCAUGCUAAAUUCACCCAACGCAUAUGAACAAAAUAAGACUUUUACUAAACGUAUUGUAGAAGCUAUGAUGAAAGCCUUAGAAGAAAAGUUAGAAUUAGAUAUUUCAAUUCCUAGAAAAUUAUAUGAUGACUGGUAACCCACCAUUAAAGUCAAGAUCAAAAAUUAUGAGUGCAAUGCUUUAUGUGAUUUCGGUGCUAGUGUUUCCACAGUUCUGAAAUCUCUGUGUGAUUUGCUAGGUUUUACCAAUUUGGAAGAAUGCUCUCUUAAUUUGCACUUGGCGAAUUCUACUAUUAUAAAGCCUUUGGGAGAAUUAAUGAUAUUCUUAUUCUUGCAGUUAGGAAUUAUGUGCCCUUAAACUUUAUUGUACUUGAUAUUGAUUGCAGUCUGCCUUGUCCCAUAAUACUUGGUAGACCGUUUUUAUGAACUGUACGUGCCGUGGUUGACAUGAAAGAAGGGAAAAUUAAAUUUUAGUUUUCAUUAAAGAAGGGUAUGGAACACUUCCCUAGAACUAGAAUUAAGCCACCAUAUGAGUCAAUCGUGAGGGCGACCUAUGGAGCAAAAACCAAAUAUGACAAUACUUGAAACUAUGCAUUAUGCCUAGCUAGGGGGCAUAGAACAAUAGCGCUUGUUGGGAGGCAACCCAAUAGUUAUCUUAUUUUGUCUUAUUUACCUUCUAUUUUUUGUGUUAACACAAUUAUGCUACUGUUAUGAUUGUGAUUUUAUGUUUUAAUUAUUGUUUGUGCCAAGUAAAGCCUUUAGGAUUAUGUUGGAUGAUAGUUAACUUGAUUCUGUGGAAAACGUAAACUUUUGCGCCAAGUUCUGGAAUUUUGUAAAUUCACAUAAACAUGUUUUGCUCUAAUUCUUUUUCAAAUAAUUGGUAUACAAAUUUCCCACGUUGUCCUAAUUUUUCAGGAUUUUUGGAGUUAUAGGAGUAUGAGCAAUAUUCAGAUCUCUACACACUGUUCUGUUUUUGACAGAUUCUGUUUUCGUUGCAUUGUGUGCUUAUUUUGAUGAAUCUAUGGAUUGUAUCAGGGGGUAUAAGACAAGGUAAAGUUAGAAUACAGUAGGUAUAAUGCACUAACAUAAUAUGAAUGAGUUUGCAACAAUACUUAAAGUAGUGAUUUGUCUUCUUAUACUAACUCUCAUGAAGGUUUUGUUGAGUUUUGUGUGAUUGAAGUUUUCAAGUUUUAGGUGAGAUCACGAUGGAUGAAGGAAUAAGGAGUGGCAAGAGCCUAAGAUUUGGGAUGCCCGAGGCACCCAAGGUAAUAUUCAAGAACUUCCAAUCAACUAAGCUUGGGGAUGCCCCGGAUGGCAUCAUGUCUUUCUUCUAACGACCAUCGGUAAUUUUACUUGGAGCUAUAUUUUUAUUCGUCACAUGUCAUGAGUUUUGCUUGGAGCAUCUUGUAUUAUAUGAGUCUUUGCUUGUUUUUAUUUUUAGUUUGUCACAAUAAUCCUUGCUGGACACACCUAUUUUAGAGAGCCUUAAUGAUAUCAUGAUUUGUUAGAAUUUCUCUAUGUGCUUCACUUAAAUUUUUUGAGCUAGGCAAUUGCUUUAUGUGCUUCACUUGGACUUUUUUUAGCAUGGUGGUGGUUAAAAUUUUGAAGAAAUAUGCUCUCGUGCUUCACUUAUAUUAUUUUGAGACUUAAAAAUUUUGAAGAAAUAUUUAUGCUCUCGUGCUUCACUUAAAUCUUUUUGAGAGUUGAUAAUAGCAAUGGUAAUUUGCAUAAGAUAUGAAUUUGGUCCAAAAGUGAUAGAUAUUCAAGAGGGAUAUAAUAAAAACUUUCAUGAAGAUCAUUGGAUAUUAAAAACUUGAUUACUUGCAAUAGUUUUGAGAUAUGGAGAUAGUGAUAUGUGACUCAUGUUGGUGAGUAAUUCCGCUUUAGUAAGAAUAUUGGUGUUAAGGUUUGUGAUUCCCUGUGCAAGCAUGAAAGUAAAUAGUUUUGCAACAAAGUUAUAUCCUACUUGUGGUGCAUUAUUUAGUGUUACUUAUGUUUAAUGCGUAUUUAUUACUGUUUGCAUUUUUGGUUGGUCGCUUCUCAAUCUAUUUGCUAGCCUUCAUUUGUACUAAAGGGAAUGUUGCUUGUGCAUCCAAAUCCUAAACCAAGGUUUUGCCAAAUGAGUCCACCAUACCUACAUGUAUGUGAUAUUUCCAUGUCGUUCCAAGUAAUCUGUAUGUGCCAACUCUAAUAUUCAAAAUGAAUUUCCAUUUUGUGUGCCCAUACCUCUCAUGAAGCGGUAAGGGUGGCCAAUAUUUUCCAUGCUAGGUAUGUUAUUCUCAAGAUGAGUGUUUAUUCACUUGUCAUUGCACGAGAGUGUGGCAGGCAAUAGGGAUUCCUAGUCUUGAAAUGAAAAUACCUUGGAAAGUGUUGGUAUGGAAGGCACCCGUGGAUAUGGCUAGCCAUGGAUUGUGUAAGCUGGUGGAUAGGAAAUAAACUUUAUGUUCUGUUUGGUAACCGCCUAUGAUUUAUCUAGCAUGGAAGAUAUUGAGAAUUCUUGGUCGUUUUCAUUGACAAGAAAAGCAUGCCUCUCAAAAUAAUAUUAUCUCCCAAUUUAAGCUCUGGCACGACUAUAAAUCUCUGCUUACCUCUAUGAAGGGCCUUUCUAUUUACUUUUAUGCAAUUUUUAUUUUUAUUUUGAGUCUCCGUCUUCUGUUAUAAAGCACCAACAAGGGAACACUAUUGUCAUACUUAUGCAUUGGAUGUAGCUAGUAUUUGAGUGUGUUUCAUGAAUGGGUCAAUGACUGAGCAUAAUGGGCUAGGGAUAAAUUUAUUUAGUGUUGUUAUUUUGAAAGACAUCGUUGCUUGUUGAUAUGCUUGAGUAUUGAUGUCUUCAAGUAAAAUUAUAUACUAUUGCUUUGAAUCAUUUAAAGUCCAAAUAUCCAUGCUACAAAAGAAAAGAAUAUGUCAUGAACAUGUUAGGUAGCACUCCGCAUCAAAAAUUCUAUUUUUAUCAUUUACCUAUUCGAGGACGAGGAGGAAUUAAGAUUGGGGAUGCUUCAUACGUCUCCAACGUAUCUAGAAUUUUUUAUUAUUCCAUGCUAUUAAAGUAUCAAUCUUGGAUGUUUUAUAUACAUUUACAAGCAACAUUAUAUCAGUUUUUGGGACUAAUCUAUUAACUUAGUGCCCAGUGCUAGUUUUUUUUUGCUUGUUUUUGAUUUUGCAGAAUAUAAGUACCAAACGAAGUCCAAAUGCCAUGAAACGUUUUGGAGAUUUUUUUUCUUGGACAUAAGGGACACUAGAAGCUAUGGGAGAAGACCAGACAUGGGAGCAUGGGCUCACCACCCACCAGGGUGCGCCUAGGAGGCAGGCGUGCCUUGAUGGGUGGUGGGGCCCACUAAGCUCCAUUUGACCUAACUUAGCCUCUAUAAAUACCCAAAAAAAUAGGAAACCAAUAGCGGAGUCCACAAAAUACUUUUUCUGUCGCCAUAAGCCUCUAUUCUCAAGAGAUCCCAUCUGGGGACCUUUUAUGGCACUCCGCCGGAGGGGAAAUCAAUCACGGAGAGGUUCUUCAUCAACCUUGCUGCCCCUAUGAUGAUGCAUGAGUAGUUUACCACAGACCUAUGGGUCCAUAGUUAGUAGCUAGAUGGCUUCUUAUCUCUCGACGUUUCUCAAUGCAAUGGUCUCCUUGUUGUUCUUGGAGAUCGAUUUGCUGUAAUGACUUUUUGUGGUGUGUUUGUUGAGAUCCGAUGAAUUGUGAGUUUACGAUCUGUUGGCAUUCUGGGAACCAAGGUAUCCAGUCCUGCCUGCCUACGGCCCAUGACGUGGCUUCAUCGACGGCCUGGUACGGCCUAGCUUCGACUACGGCAAGACAAUACCCUCGCGAGGGGCCAAGCCUCACGAGGCGGGCGACAUCAAGACCUCCCAAGGGAGCGGCCUCCUUAGGCUGCCUCCUGAGAGAAGCAGAGAUUUCUAUGCAAGACCCAGCCUCACGAGGAUAAAAUCACAUCAGCCAUGACGACCAUGUACAGGCCCGCGCCAGCGGGCACAGUACCGCAGGUUUCCUCUUUGGUGCAAAGGAGGCACGCGCAGGUGUGGAGUCCCUAGGAAUGAGCCAAAAGUUGCCAUUUGCGUGCAACGAGACCAAGACCGCCAGAACAGCGGGAUGGAUGUCAUCACCGAGCCCACCAUGAUGUCAUGCUCAGAGGCUUUGCAGGCGAAGACCACCUUUCGUCAGGAUUAGAUGUACUUCUUGUUCCCCUACAAAUUUGGCCGUUGUGGGAUCCCUUCCCGCCUAAGUUUUGGAGGAAGAGGACCAAGGACACUAUAAAUAGGGCCUAGCCACCACCGUAGAGAGAGAGAGAGAGAUCAUCUCACCAGACGAUCAACUCAUAGAACAACCAAAGAGCUCACCACAAGAACACGCCUCCUGAGGUUGUUCUUCCACUUGUACUAGUUCUUCCUCGGCCCAUCGCAAGGCCAAUACACCACAAAGCAGGAGUAGGGUAUUACACUGCAAGGUGGCUCGAACCUGGGUAAACUGCUAUGUCUUUCUCUGUCAUGUUCAUCAAGCUAGGUCAUGAGAGCAGUAGAUCGGGAGGCUUGAGAGGUUGAGUUCUUCGCACACGCCCCUGAGUUCGAACCUUUCUUGGGUUUGCGGAGUCCGGAAUCCACAUUUGGCGCACAAGGUAGGGGGCCUCUUUCACCCCCACUCCGCCAUUCUCAUGGCGGACGCUUGUCGAGUUCAUGCUGAGCGCCGGGCAGCCCUUGCCGCGCGUGUCGUCCAGACAGCGCCCGCUGGCAACGGUGCUCCUCGCCACUCCCCGUCUCCCAUGGCCAAUGCUGCCACUAGCCCUGCAGCCCACGAGCAGUAGGAUUCGUUGCUGCCACCCUCUGUACGAUGCAAAGGUCGCACCGCCACUCCAUCACUGACCCCGGUCGCUGCCUCGUCCUCCCACGCCCGUCACAGGCCGAUGACCCCGCAGUCGGCGCUGCUCAUGGCGCGUGAGCUUCUGUGCUACUGUCCGGCCGACGACCUCUACAAGGAUUGGCUGGACAGCAUCACCGAGCUCGCCAGCGCUGUUGGAGAGGCUCCGGCAUCCUACCGCUUGCUGCCUCUCCUGCAGCCUCAGGCAGGCGACGUCGCUCACAGCGCGCCUCCUGCCCCUCUCUGGCAAGACAUCGUCCCCGAGCCAAGGCGUGAGGCCUCCCAGCGCAAUCAGCCACGCAGAGCGCCCAUGCGCUUUGAAGAAAGUUGUCGUGUCAUGCAGUGGCCCCAGCCAGAGGCGCGUGCGCUCCCAUCUCCUCCUGCACCUUCGCGCCAAGACCACGAGCAGCCUGAGGUGGUUGCAUGUGGAAAUCAAGACCUAGAUCCCCCUCUGAGGCGAGCCCCCGUGGCCACGGUGGGAUGCUGAGUGUUCACUCCAGACCUUCCUCGCAUCAUCUGGCUCGGCAAGUUCAAGCUGGAUCUGCCUCCACGCUACGAUGGCACCCUCGACCCGGCCGAGUUCCUUCAGCUCUACGUGUUGAGCAUCGAGGUGGCAAGCGAUGAUGAGAAGGUCAUGGUGAACUAGUUCCCCUUGGCUCUCAGGAUGGCGCGUGCUCGUGGCUCCUGAACCUCCCGGUGGGGUCGAUCUCCUGCACCAACUUCCAAGGUACCCGCGACAGCGCUCCUGCAGCUGGCGACCUGCGACGCAUCAAGUAACAACCAGGAGAGACCUUGCAUAAGUACAUCCAGCGCUUCACCAACGUUCGCCUCAAGAUCCCCAAGGUGUCGGACGAGGCCAUCAUCUCAGUGUUCACCGAUGGCGUCCUGGAUGUCAAGAUGAAGGAGGAGCUCGCUAUACAUGAGGACCUGUGCUCGGCUCUGGAGAUGUUCAACAUGGUGACCCGGUGCGCGAGGGCAGAGGAAGGUCGCCUCUCGCUCCUCGAGCUCCCUGAAGCCGAUCCUGAAGACAAGAAGGCCAAGGCGAAGGACGUGAAGUGAAAGGGCCCGGCUGUGCUCGCAGCUGAGCCUGACAUGAAGCGUGGCUGUGAUCAUCCUGAGUCCUCCAAGGGCAGCCGCCCAUUUUGCGUGUUCCACAAUAUAGACAUCCACAACACCAAUGACUGCCAAGAGCUCAGGGCUAUCCCCGACGGAUGCCUUUGUCGGCAUCCUGAGCAUAGAGACCAUGGCUACGGCCGUAGAGGAGGCCGUUGGGAUGAUCGUGGCCCCCGCUAGGGCUGGUGAGAUCAGCCUCAUGAAGAACGUUGGCAGGACCAACCUCGUGAUGGCCCGUGGCGGGAUCAGCCUUGCGAGGACCAUCCUCGGGGCAACACUAGCCUCCCUCUUCUACCGCCACCACCAAGUAGGAGCAACAACCAUCGUCAAGAUGAUGGGGUUGGGGGCUUCCAAGAGCCUCGUGCUAUCGCCUGCAUCCUGGGAGGUGCUCAGGCCCCAGCCUCCCAUCGCAUCUUCAAGCAGUUCGCUCAUGAGGUGAACGCGGCCCUCUCCAAGCUCGAGGUGCCGCGUCUGCUCAGGUGGUCCAAGUACGCCAUAACCUUUGAAUCUUCAGACCAGCUCAAGUGCACGGCCACCUCAAGCGCACUUCCCAUGCACUGCUCACCUACCAUCAGCAACAUUCUCAUCACCAAGACACUCGUCGACGGCGGCGCUGGACUCAAUGUUCUCUCCGUCAAGACAUUUGACAGGCUCCAGGUGCCAUAUGACCAGCUUCAGCCCACCAAGUCAUUCUCAAGGGUAAUUGAUGGCUCCAUGCACCCAAUCGGGCAGAUUUGUCUCCCCGUCACCUUCGGCAAGCACGACAACUACCGGACCAAGCUCAUUGACUUCGACAUCGCUCACAUUCGCCUGCCGUACAAUGCCAUCCUCGGGUACCCAGCUCUCGCCAAGUUCAUGGCAGCAAUGCACCAUGGCUACAACGUCCUCAAGAUGCCAGGAAGCGGUGGCAUCAUCACGUCGCCUGCGAUGAGAAAGAUGCGGUGUGCUCCCUCAAGCGCGCCUACCAGGCUGCAGCGGUCGAGAACUCAAAUGGCGAAGGUCUCGUCCUUCCCUCUGAGGUUGCCCCCCAGAAGAAGAAGCAACUCCUCCUCAAUGCCACUCAGGAGGUAGGCAAGCCAGAUGGUCGUGACUCAGGCCCCUCGCCCUCUGUCAGGAUGCCUUUCCCUCUCGCAUAGGAAGGUGCACUCGGCGCCCCCCUCGGGUUGGGCUCGGGGGCUCUUCUCUGGAAGGCCUCCGACCUGGCCCUCGUUGCGACGGAGGGGUUCGGGCACCAUGUGGAGGCGUGCUUCAACGCGCGCUUCCAGGAGCAAGGUGGAGGGUGUGAGGUACCAAGCGCACAGGAGUUCAUCGCCAAGGUGAUCGAAGAUCUUCAGGAGGCAUGAGCCAUGCGGGGCGAGUGACGGCCCGCAUCUCUCAAUGCAGUUGUUGCUUAGGACACGAGCGGCGAGGUACGCGUGUGCGUCAACAUCCCGAGCCUCAACAGAGCUGCUUCUUAGGAGCUCUUCUGGCCGUCCAGCAUCGGCUGGUGUGGACGCCUCCCCCACAGCUACGUCUGCAUGCCUUUCGGCCUGCCGGGCGCAGUGGCCUUGUUCUAGCGAUGCAUGUAUGGUGUCAUGGCGUCUCAUGAAGCUAGGCUCCAUCAGUCCUGACGGAAGAGGAGUCGGAGCCUCUGGAGCCCCCCGAGGCUCAGGAGCCUGCUGGUUCAUGAGGAGCAACUUCUGCGGCCCACAUCUCCAGCUACUUCAACACUCCUACCCCAACGGUGCAAGGUGACUUUUUCGUUUGUUUAGUUCAGGGCGCCCCUCGGGCUGCAUUAUCCUCAAGCUGUUUGGGUCUGCCCCGCAGCAUGUAUCGUUUUGCGCAUCUAUCAGAACUGAUCUCGCCACUUUUAUGAGUUGUUUUAUACCAUUAUCGGCAUCACAUCCAUUGCCCUGUCAUCUGCGAGGCCGUCCCGCAUGGCCCCCACACGCUACUUGUUGGGGAUAUGAGUACUGAGUUAAACCGCCCAGGAGGGGCCGGGUUAACUCACAAGGCGUCCUGUGCAAGAGCCCGUGAAGAUGAAGGCUAUGGCACUUUAACCAUGAAGACUUAGAGGCCCAGAGCCCGAUGGCGGAUUAGGGCCCAUAUUGGUAAACCGCCAUAGAUGUGUAACUUGUGUUGUAAGUCAGGGAAAGGAGAAACUGAGCCGAACACUUGUAUGAGCCGGCCUCGGGAUUCUGUAAACCGGCCCGGGCGUCAACCUGUGUAUAUAUAGGGACGACCCAGCGGCGGUUCAGGGACAAGAAACAACAACUUGAGAACUAGGCAAAGCAUGUAUGCUCCCUGGUAAUCAAGAACACCACAACUAGAUCAUAGGCUUUUACCUUCACCGCAAGGGGCCGAACCAGUAUAAACUCCUUCUGUCCUCUGUCCGGUUUAACCCCUCUAAGCUAACCGAUCGCGAUGGCUCCACGACUAAGUCCUUUCACUAGGACAUCUGACGUGAUAAUUCCACGAUAGUUGGCACCCACCGUGGGGCUAUCGCACGAUGGUUUCAAGUUCUUAGAGGGCAAGUUCGAAGGGCUUAAGGGAUACGCAGUGGGCCGGAUGACUAAGAGUCAUCACGGCAAGCUCUACAUCAACGACGCAGGCUGGGGCCCCAACGCCGGCUCAAUCGAGUACGGGUAUCGGGUCCCCUUCGGAGGAAUUCACGUCUUCAUCGGCAAGAUCGGCGAACCAGGCCCUGAGCCGGACAUCUGCACCAACCUCAUCGAGACGGCUCAGCAUGCGAGUCCUGCCCGGAUUCAGCCCGCCAUGAAGCGUGCGUUCAUAGGAUGUAUCCAUGGGAUUGAAUCUGAACCAGUGUCUGAUGGUGAGACGGCUGUGUACUCCGAUGGCGAGUCAUCUACCAGUGAGACCGAGUCUUUGUAUCAAGUUCAGGAUGGCCUGUUUGGGGGGUAUUCCGAUGGCAGCAGUAUUUCGGACCCCUUUGAACCGCCAAACCGGGUUGCAAUCUUCAUGGCUGGCACGCAACCCGCCCCACAAUCUUCAACAGGAGCAGUGAUAAUCUCUGGAUCACCGGCUGGGGCAGGUGGCCCUGUGCGCUCGCUGGUUCAAGUCUUGUCUGGAUUAUUGGAUGCUUUAGCAACAUUGUUGGCUGCUGAAAUUACUCCGGAUAAACGGGAUGAGCAUAAUGCGGAAGUCAAAAAGUUGCGAGAUCAGAUAGCCCAGGCUAAGGAGGACAUGGCUGCUGAGGAGACCAGGAUGGUCGAGGAACGAACCGCUUUAAAUGUUUAGGCACAGCGAGUUCAUGCAGAGACUUAUCGGCUUAUGUUGGAUCAGAAUGCUUCAAAUGAGGUGAUGAGGAGAAGGCACCAAUCUCGUCUGUCGUCGGUUUACGAAGGAAGGAAUCUCUUUAACACACCAGGAGUGGGCACUCGCAACCCACCCGUGGUGAACCGGAUCGAAGCACCCAAGACGGGAGCACCGGAUCAGCCGGGCACGAUGGGUCUGCCUCAGCAGAAUCGUGAUCCGCCUCAAUACGCACCAGCACCACCGGGUCAUUUUCCCACCCCUUUGGACAACAUGAUUGCUGCGGUGUCAAGAUUGGCUACUAUUCCAAUGGAAGGUGACUCCCCCGCAGCGGUUGAAACACGACGGGCUUGGGAUCUACUCCAGACCGCAAUGGUUCAGCAACAGGCUUAUUCAUACAGUCGAGACAGGAUACACUCUACCCCUUGUCCAAGCCGGAGUUACAGCAGGCGUGUUGAAGAGCCAGCUGUGUCAAGCAGUGGACGGAAUCAUCAUCCGCCACGGAGGCCUAACCCGGCAAGGGGAAGGAAUGAAGCGCAGGAUUUGGUGGACCAAGGACGAGCGCGUCAUGGCGCCGGUUUGACUACGCAAGACAUGGAGCGCCAGCUUACGCCGGUUCGUCCGACCACUACCAUAGAGCCAGGGGUUGCCUUUACCACUUUGGGAGUGUCGUAUCUCACACCGGCCCUGCGCAAUGCGUGGUUACCCAAGGAUUUUAAGGGUCCUCAGAAAGUACCCAAUUACACUGCUGAUUUACAUCCUGAGUCAUGGAUAGAAAGCUAUGAGAUAGCCAUGGAGAUGCUGGAUCUGGAUGGAGCGGUAUGUUCUAAGUACUUCACUAUGAUGCUAGAAGGAACAGCUCGCACUUGGCUAAAGAGUUUACCACCCAAUUCAAUUGGGUCAUGGGAGGCGUUGAAGAGCCGGUUUAUCAAUAACUUCAAAGAUACUUGUAAGAAACCGAUGUCAAUCGUUGAUCUGGCCACUUGUGUUCAAGCAGAGGGUGAAUCGACUACCCAUUGGGUACGCCGGGUUUUUGAGAUCUUACAUUCAUCUGACCGCAUCAAUGCAGACUCAGCAAUCAUAAUGUUGGAAGGCAAUUGCAAGUUCAAACCUUUGAAGCUCAAGUUGGGGCGGAUGAAGCGUCACUGCAAUGAUAUGGGAACACUCAUGGGGGCUCUGGUUAAGUAUGCUCACUCUGAUAAUACCAAGGAUCCCGAGUCUGACGAGGAGAAGCCGGGGAAGGGAAAGAAGAGCGGCAACACCAAGGGAAAGCAGCCUAACCCGGCGAGCAAUGGUAACAACGGUAAACGUAAAGCGAACAAUUCAGAUUUUGAGGCUAACACCAAUGUGCAGGGCAAUAAUCAACGUCGUAAAGGUAAACCGCCCCAGCGCGGUGGUGGUAUGAAUCUGGAGCGUAUGUUGAAUCAACCUUGUCCGAAGCACGGGACGAAGGAGGUUCCAGCCACCCACCUUUGGAAGGACUAUUUCAUUAUGCGGGAGUUUAAAAACUCUGAUAUUUUCCGGUAUGACCAAGGCCCAUCCGGCGGUUCAGGAACCAUGGGCCGGGUUAUGGUGGUGGCGGUUCAAACUCUACAUUCCAGGGCAACCAAGGCAGUCAAGGCAAUCAAAACAACCAAGGUGGUUAUAAUCAACAGAAUAAUCAGGGAAAUCAGCAGCAGUCAGGUUAUCAGAACCACCCGAAGCAAUUGAGUAGUGGGCAGUAUCAUGUUUUCACCACUAGCUUGUGCAAGCGCGAUCAGAAGCUUCACAAGAGGGCAGUAAACGCUGUUGAACCGGCAGUGCCUCGUUACUUGCGUUGGUCCGAACAGCCCAUUGUGUGGAGCCGAGAGGAUCAUCCACCCCGGGUUCACAAUCUGGGUCAUCUGGCUUUGGUGGUGGCACCUCAGGUUGGAGGUUAUAAAUUCACCAAGGUGCUCAUGGAUGGAGGGAGCAGUAUCAAUAUUUUGUAUUAUGAAACCUUCCGGUGCAUGGGAUUGACGGAUAAAAAUCUUAAACCAUCAAACACUGUUUUCCACGGAGUGGUACCAGGAAAAUCGGCAUACCCAAUUGGUAAGAUAAAUUUGGAAGUGGUAUUUGGAGAUGACCAUGAUUCCAGGUCAGAAACCUUAACCUUUGAAGUGGUAAAAAUCCAGAGCCCAUAUCAUGCCCUGUUUGGACGGACAGCUUAUGCAAGGUUCAUGGCAAGGCCCUGUUAUGUUUAUCUGCAGCUCAAAAUGCCGGGUCAUAAGGGGACCAUUACGGUACAUGGGAGUCGGAAGAUAGCCUUGGACUAUGAAGAGGGUGAUGCGGCUUAUGCUGAGUCGGUUUGUGCGGCAGAAGAGUUAAAGUUCUACAAGGACAAUGUUGAUCCGGCAGAUAUGACUCCUCUGAAGAAGCCCACCAUAGAGCAUGACCCAACCCUGAAGUUCAAACCGUGUAACACCCUGGAUGUAACUUUCCAUAUUUGUAACUCCAACUCUUGCCAUUUUCGGCUAUGCGAUAUGAUAUAUUCCCUCCGUGGUUGGGUUUUGUCUUUUUUUUCAUUUUAUUCAUGUCAUGCAUCUCAUAUCAUGUCAUCAUGUGCAUCUCAUUUGCAUACGUGUUCAUCUCAUGCAUCCGAGCAUUUUCCCCGUUGUCCAUUUCGCAAUCCGACACUCCCACAUGCACCGGCGCACCCCCUCUUGUCUCUUUUCAUGUGCGCGUGUUGAACGUUCUCGGAAUGGACCGAGCCUUGCCAAGUGGCCCUGGUAUAGCACCGGAAGACCACCUGUCAAGUUUCGGGUCAUUUGGAGCUCGUUUGAUACUUCAACGGUUAACCGUACUCCCGCAAAGGCCUCUUUUAAGUUGCAGCCCAACACCCCUCCAAAACAGCCCAAUAACCCAUCUACCUCCCUUCCAUGCUCUCGGUCGUUCGAUCACGAUCGUGUGGGCGAAAACUACACCCCAUUUGGACACUCCUAGCUCCCUCUACCUCUAUAUAUAGACCCCUCCCCCGAAUUCCGGACAAAACCCUAGCGAAUUCCCCUUCCGCCGCCACCGGACAUGUCCGGCCACAGCCGAACACGUCCGGGUCGCCCCGCCGCUGCCACGUGUCACCGCCUGGUUCGUCCGCGCCGCCGCCGCGCCAGUCCCCGCCGCCGGCCCGGCGAGGCCCGGAUCGGGCCCCCCCGGCCCAUCUCCUCGCGUCGUCGNNNNNNNNNNNNNNNNNNNNNNNNNNNNNNNNNNNNNNNNNNNNNNNNNNNNNNNNNNNNNNNNNNNNNNNNNNNNNNNNNNNNNNNNNNNNNNNNNNNNNNNNNNNNNNNNNNNNNNNNNNNNNNNNNNNNNNNNNNNNNNCCCCACGUCGCCGCCGCCCGACUCCGGCGAGGGUCCGGCCGGAGCAGCGCGCCCCGGCCUCGCCCUCCUCUCCUCCGGCCGCCGUCUCCAGCGCACCCCGGCCUCAUCCUCCUCCCUCCGGCCGCCGUCGUCCCCAUCUCCGGCGAGCCGCGCCGCCGCCUCGGGAACCGCGCGCGCCAGAUCCAGAUCCAGAUCGGACCGGUUGACCUCUUCCCCCCCUGUUUAUUUCACUGUCUUUUAUCUGCUGGUAAAAUCAUUGCAUGUUCAUCGCAUCACAUCUUCGCAUCCGUAGCUCCGUUUUGUGCGUGUAAUAUGUCAAAUUGUUCGUCUCGAAGAGUAAAUCAUUUCACUCCAUUGCAUCAUUUACAUUUGAGCUCAUCCUGAUGCCCGAAAUGCUGUUGGAAGAGGGCUUCAUAAUGUUAGUUUCAGAAUCUUAUCAGCACGAGCUCUUUUGUCAUUUUUGCCAUGAUUGAUGUGUGCAUCCUAUGAACUUGGUCCCUAAAUGUGUUUUGAACUAGGCUAUGUAUUCUUUACAGAGGUGCUUGCCAUUUAUUUUUGUGAUCAAUGUGGUGACUAGCACAAGCAUGCAAACUAGGCUCCGUGUUAAUGCUGAUUUUAGUUCCUGUUCUGCUGUAAUUUUCAUGCCAUGUAAACAUGUUGCUACAAAGAGAUCCAUGCAUAAUUUGAGAUACUUCAGUAAGGGUGUUUUGAAAACAUGGUUAUGCUCGAUCCAUCCAUGGUCCUGGUUGCAAUUUUGGAGUAGCCUAGCAUGUCAUUUUCGUGCUCUACUUUUGCUUCAAAAUGUUUCCUGGCAGAUUGUCUACAUGUUAUUCAAUUUGGCCAAGGUUGUUGUAGUUGGUCCGGAUAUGCUAUGAUGUUGUUUCUUGCCAUGUAUAGCCUCUAUGACAUGUCUUCUUGAUGGAUGUAUGCUUAGUUUAUCAUGAGGAGCUCUGUAGUGAGUGCAUCGAGCUCACGAAGGUGCCUUCGUAAUUAUUUCAAUGCCAUGCUUUGUUUGCUGAAAUCUGUUAACGAAACUUGCUAUGUUUACGUGGGUGCCAUCAUAUUUUCUGAUCCUUUUUGGCUUAUGGUCAGUAAGGGACUUUUGAUCUAUGCUUUGAGUAGACUCAUGCCAUGCUUUGCUUUGCUAUUAUAAGUUCCUGUAGCAUGUUGAUAACCUGCUCUGAACAUUGCUUCAUGAUGUUGUUUAUGCCAUGUCCAACCUGAUAUUUUUAUGCACUUUCUCCAUGCUUGUUUGAACCUGUUAUGAUGUGAAUUAGCCGUAGCUCAGUGUUCCUCUUUUGUAAAGCAUCUUCUGUAGAUGAUCUCCAUAUGCUUUGUUUUCAUGUUGGGGUGCUGUAGCAUGGUUUAUUGUUGCAUGCUAAGUAGCAUCGUGCUAUUAAUCGCAGCGUUGUGCCAUACUUGUCUUGCUUGCCAUUUGCAAACCAUGCAUCCGAAUCCGCUGAUCUUUAUAUCGAUUUCAACCGAAAUCAUCUCAUCUUUCCAGCGGCAUAUUUGGUUUGCCAAGUUGAUGCCUUGUUCAUCAUCUUUCCUUCCGAAGCACGCAUAUGCAUUGCAUACCACAUCUCGCAUAUCAUGACAUGUAUCACAUCAUGUUGCUUGUGCAUUGCACCGUGAUUUAUUGUGGUUCCUUGCUUGUGUUCUUGCUUUGGGUAGAGCCAGGAGACGAGUACGUGCACGAGGACCCUGUUGAGUACGCUAACGAGGAUCCCGCCUUCGACAACUCCGAGAACCUUGCAGGCAAGAUGACCAUACCUUCGAAAUCAUUUCUAUCUUUGCUUGCUAGUACUCGCUCUUUCGCUAUGUUAGCCCUGCCUGCCUUUGUUUACCAUGCCUACCUAUUGCCAUGACAAACCUCUAACCCACCUGUCCUAGCAACCAUUGAUUGGCUAUGUCACCGCUUUUGCUCAGCCCCUCUUAUAGCAUUGUUAGCUGCAGGUGAAGAUGAAGGUUGUUCCAGGUCGGAACGUGGUUGUUUUGGGAUAUCACAAUAUCUCCUGUUUAAAUUAAUGCACCUUAUAUACUUGGUAAAGGGUGGAAGGCUCGGCCUUAUGCCUGGUGACUUGUUCCACUCUUGCCGCCUAGUUUCCGUGAUACCGGUGUUAUGUUCCUUGAUUUUGCGUUCCUUACACGGUUGGGUGGUUUAUGGGACCCCCUUAACAGUUCGCUUUGAAUAAAACUCCUCAAGCAAGGCCCAACCUUGGUUUUACCAUUUGCCACCUAAGCCCUUUCCCUUGGGUUUUUGCGAGCCCAAGGGUCAUCUUUAUUUACCCCCCCCCCCGGGCUAGUGCUCCUUCGAGUGUUGGUCCAACCUGAGCGAUGUCCGGCGUCCCUUGGGCAACCACGGUCUAUACCAACCCGACGUCUGGCUCAUCCGGUGUGCCCUGAGAACGAGAUAUGUGCAGCUCCUAUCAGGAUUUGUCGGCACUUCGGGCGGCUUUGCUGGUCUUGUUUUACCAUUGUCGAAAUGUUUUGCGAACCGGGAUUCCGAGACUGAUCGGGUCUUCCCGGGAGAAGGUCUAUUCCUUCGUUGACUGUGAGAGCUUGUGAUGGGCUGAGUUGGGACACCCCUGCAGGGUAUAUAAUCUUUCGAAAGCCGUGCCCGCGGUUAUGAGGCAGAUGGGAAUUUGUUAAUGUCCGGUUGUAGAUAACUUGACACUUAACCUCUUUAAAAUACAUCAACUGUGUGUGUAGCCGUGAUGGUCACUUCUCGGUGGAGUCCGGGAAGUGAACACGGUUUGUGUUAUGCUUGACGUAAGUAGUUUCAGGGUCACUUCUUGAUCACUUCUAGUUUCUCGACCGAUGUGUUGCUUCUCUUCUCGCUCUCACUUGCGUAUGUUAGCCACCAUAUUUUGCUUAGUGCUUGCUGCAGCUCCACCAUAUUACCCCUUACCUACCUAUAAGCUUAAAUAGUCUUGAUCUCGCGGGUGUGAGAUUGCUGAGUCCCCGUGGCUCACAGAUUCUACCAAAAUAGAUGCAGGUGCCGAGGAUACUGGCGCAGAUGGCGCAACUGAGCUGAAGUGGGAAUUUGAUGAGGCCCUUGGUCGUUACUAUGUAUCGUUUCCAGAUGAUCAGUAGAGGUGCCCAGUCGGGACGAUCGGGGAUCUAGCAUUUGGGGUUGUCUUCUUUUCAUUUGAACUUGACCGUAGCCGGUCUAUGAGUGUAUUUGUAUGAUGUAUGAUCUUAAUUUAUGUAUUGUGUGAAGUGGCGAUUGUAAGCCAACUCUCUUUAUCCCAUUCUUGUUCAUUACAUGGGAUUGUGUGAAGAUGACCCUUCUUGCGACUAAACCACCAUGCGGUUAUGCCUCUAAGUCGUGCUUCGACACGUGGGAGAUAUAGCCGCAUCGUGGGUGUUACAAGUUGGUAAUCAGAGCCAUCCCCGACUUAGGAGCCCCCUGCUUGAUUGUUUGCUGGCGAUGUUGAGUCUAGAACAAAAAAAUUUUGAGUCUUAGGAUUAUAUAUAUCGGAGAGUAGGAUUCUUUUUACUCCUCAGUCCCUUCGUCGCUCCGGUGAGGUCUCCUGAUGUAGAUGUUUUGACUAUCCUCUUCUCAAAUUUUUCACUAAAAAUUUUUUUUAGGAUCACGCGGGUAUCUUGGAAUCAUUUCAAUGGUUUUAUGACGAGAACAUUGUUCUUGGUGCCUCCUGACAUUUAGGGGUUGUGGCAGUGUCCCGGGGAGUUGAGCUCCGAGGUGUUGUCGUCACAAUUUUAUCGUUGCAAUUCUGGAAUACCUGAGAUUUGCCGACAUCGAAAAUCUCUUUUAUGCAGUUGUUGGUGAGAUAACCCCGAUAACCCAGUACUGGAGCGAGCUCGGGAGUAUUGACAUAACUCGUAUAACGGAUGCUUUUUGAAGGUUGAGGUACACGAUUUCCGAAGGUUUCUUGGUUAUGUGUUGACGGAUGGAUACAGCUGGAUGUAGGGAUUGUUAGUUUGGGUGAGGUAUUGUGCUUCCCCUGUAUCCCCAACACCAGAUUGCAUAACCAGAAGGUUUCGGGAGUUUAUAGGUGGGAUUCAAGUAGCUCUAGCAUUUCUUCCCGCAGAUAUUUGGUUUGUGAUUGGGUAAUCCUUACCACGUAUUUGUUCCAGUCGUACCUUGUUUAUUUCAUUCAUCAAUAUCUAUUCAAGUGGCUUCUCACCUUUAUGGACGUGUGAUGUUUACUUUGGAAUUCAUUCGUUCAUCUUUGUUCGAAUGUUUAUUGUGAAGACUAUAUGUUGCAAUUUCUAUCCGUUGAUUCAACUUGUCUAUCUGUCUAUCAAGAUGCUAACGGAUGUCACCCUCUUCAGGAUGGCUCCGCCAACGCGUCAGAAUCCGGAUCGCAAUGAUGGGAGUCAGGCGAACCCUCCACCUCCACCUCCGCCUCCGGAGGCAUGGCAAGCUUUGAUGGCAGCCUCUAACGCCCAUGCUCAGAUGAUGAUCCAGCUCAUGCAAGAGCGCAACCAAGGCACGGGCAACCAAGGGAACCAAGGUCAAGGGCAGUUCAAUCAUCAGCCUCAGUUUCCAACCCUCAACCAAUUCCUUGCAAAUCAGCCGAAGUCUUUCAGUUAUUGUGCCGAGGCCACAGACGCCGAUGAUUGGCUCGUGGAUAUCAACAAGCAUUUUGAAUGCAGCAAUGUCAGGCCUGAGGACUAUGUCAAGUUCGCUUCUUUUCAGCUCAAGGAUCAGGCAGCUGAUUGGUUCCAGCAAUACAAGGAUUCCAGAGGUGGUCGAGUGAUUACUUGGACUGAUUUCUGUCGGGACUUUAAAGCUCACCAUAUUCCUACCAGUGUUGUUGAGAGCAAGCGAGAGGAGUUCCGCAAUCUCAAGCAAGGCAACAUGUCAGUGUAUGAAUACAACAAGCAGUUUUAGAAACUUGCUCGCUUUGCUAAGCAAGAUGUUCCAGAUGAGAAGAGUAUGAUCUAUCAGUUCAGAGGUGGCCUUAGAGAGGAUCUGCAGUUAGCUCUCGUUCUUAUUGAGCCUACUCAGUUUGAUCAAUUCUACAAUAUGGCACUCAAGCAAGAAGGUGCUCAGCUCAAGUGUGAGGCUUCUAAGAAGAGAAUCAGAGAUGCAGUGCAAUCGUCUUCUUCCUCACAAGUGGCAGCUAAGCAGCAGAAGUUUUAUCUUCCUCCUCCUCCGUUUCGUCAGCCUUACCAUCAGAAGAACUCAGGUGGCCGUGGAUCUUCCCACCCACCCAACCCAAGCUAUCAGAACAAGUCUCAGUCUCAAGCUCCAAGGUCAAGUGCUCCUUAUCACCGUCCGCUCUCAGAAGUGACUUGCAACAAGUGUCAGCAGAAAGGCCACUACGCGAACAAAUGCUUGAAUCAAAGGCGCCUUCCUCCUCCUCCUCCUGUGAGAUCUUCAAGCAAUGUAGUGGUCAAGCAUAAUCCAAAGUCUGCAAAGGUGAACAUGAUGAAUUUAGCGCAAGCAGAGGAUUCUUCUGAUGUGAUAAUCGGUAAUCUUCCUGUUAAUGAUAUUCCUGCAAAAGUCUUAUUUGAUACUGGUGCAUCGCAUAGUUUCAUCUCAAGACCUUUUUCAUCUAAGCAUGAGAUGGUUUUUCAAGAUUUUCCUAGACCGUUAUCAGUUGUCUCUCCGGGUAAAUUCAUGAACGCAAGCUCCAUGGUUCCGGAUGUUUCCAUCAAGAUGGGCGACUAUAAAUUUCUGGCUUCUCCAAUUGUUCUUGGCGAUUCUGAUAUUGAUCUUAUUCUUGGGAUGGACUGGCUUUCUAAGCACAAGGCUCAACUUGAUUGUGCUGCCAGGCAAAUUCAAUUGACACACCCUUCUGAGGAUGUUAUCAUCUAUGCUGCUCGUGAUGAAACCAUUCGGUUGUUUUCUCUCAAUGAGAAGGGCGAAUUGGAUGCUAUUUCUCAUAUUCCAGUCGUUUGUGAGUACCAAGAUUUCUUUCCAGAAGAGCUUCCGGGUAUGCCUCCUCAUCGGCCAGUCGAGUUCGUUAUUGAUCUUGAGUCUGGAACAGAACCCGUUUGCAAGCGUCCAUACAAGCUUGGACCCAAGGAGCUGAAGGAAUUGAAGAAGCAGCUCGAUGAACAAGAGCGUCUGGGUUUGAUCAGACCGAGUUCUUCCCCAUGGGGUUGUGGAGUUCUUUUUGUCUAGAAGAAGGAUGGCACGGACCGACUUUGCGUCGAUUACCGUCCAUUGAACAAGAAGACAAUCAAGAACAAGUAUCCACUUCCCAACAUCAAUGAGCUUUUCGAGCAACUCAAGGGGCUAAAGUCUUCUCCAAGCUUGACCUUCAUAUGGGUUAUCAUCAGAUUCGCAUUCGUGAACAAGACAUUCCCAAGACAGCAUUCAGAACAAGCUAUCGUUCUUAUGAAUAUACUAUCAUGUCUUUCGGCCUUGUCAAUGCUGCUCCAACGUUCUCUCGCAUGAUGAAUUUUAUCUUCAACCCCUACACCAAUGAAUUUGUUCUGGUGUAUCUCGACGAUAUCUUGGUCUUCUCCAAGAAUAAGAAGGAUCAUGCCAAACAUUUGCGAUUGGUGCUCGACAAGCUCAGAGAGCAUCAAUUCUAUGCGAAGUUUUCCAAAUGUGAGUUCUGGCUUGAUGAAGUUCUUUAUCUUGGCCACAUCUUCUCCGCCAAGGGAAUUGCUGUUAAUCCGGCGAAGGUUUCUCCAGUUGUGAAUUGGGAACCUCCUCAGAAUGUCAAGCAGCUCCGCAGUUUUCUCGGUCUUGCAAGCUAUUGCCGAAGAUUCAUUGAGAACUUCUCUAAGAUUGCAAAGCCUCUUUCCAACCUCCUCCAGAAGCAUGUCAAAUAUGUCUGGACCCUGAGUGUGACGUCGCUUUCAACACCCUCAAAGAGAAGCUAGUCACAGCUCCUGUUUUGACUCCUCCUGACGAAUCCAAACCAUUCGAAGUUUUCUGUGAUGCUUCACUUCAAGGUCUCGGUGCUGUGUUGAUGCAAGAGAAGAAAGUUGUGGCCUAUACCUCUCGUCAGUUGAAGCCCAACGAAAAGAACUACCCCACUCACGAUCUUGAGUUGGCGGCAGUUGUCCAUGCAUUGAUAACAUGGAGACAUCUCUUAUUGGGAAGGCAAGUGGACAUUUUCACCGAUCACAAGAGCCUCAAGUAUAUCUUCACUCAACCCAACCUUAACCUCAGGCAAACCCGAUGGGUCGAAAUGAUUCAGGAGUACAAUCCAAGUAUCAAAUAUACUCCUGGCAAGGCGAAUGUGAUUGCAGAUGCUCUGAGCAGAAAGGCUUAUUGCAACAGUCUAAUUCUCAAGCCGUUUCAACCGGAUCUUUGUGAAGCCUUCCGCAAGCUGAAUCUUCAAGUUGUUCCUCAAGGUUUUCUUGCCAACCUCAUAGUCUCUCCUACUUUGGAAGAUCAAAUUCGUGAGGCACAACUCCUGGAUACCAUGGUGAAGAAGGUGAAACAUGGUAUUGACAAGGGCAUUCCCAAGUACAAGUGCUAUCGCUUGGAUGACAAAGAUACUCUUUUCUUCGAGGAUCGAAUUGUGGUUCCAAAAGGUGAUCUGAGAAAAGUCAUCAUGAAUGAGGCACACAAUUCCCUCCUAUCCAUUCAUCCUGGAAGUACAAAGAUGUACCAUGACCUCAAACAGUCAUAUUGGUGGACUCGAAUGAAGCGAGAGAUUGCUCAAUUCGUGAAUGAAUGUGAUGUCUGCAGAAGAGUGAAAGCAGAACACCAGCGACCAGCUAGUCUCCUCCAACCUCUUGCUAUUCCGGAAUGGAAGUUUGAUCAUAUCGAUAUGGACUUCGUGACUGGUUUUCCUAAGUCCAAGCGUGGAAAUGAUGCUAUCUUCGUUGUCAUUGACAAGCUUACCAAAGUGGCUCAUUUUCUUCCUAUCAAAGAAUCUAUCACAGCAGCUCAGCUGGCAGAGCUAUACACCUCCAGAAUUGUCUCCUUGCACGGCAUUCCACAAUUGAUAUCUUCAGAUCAUGGAAGCAUCUUCACUUCUAAGUUCUGGGACUCCUUUCAGACGGCCAUGGGCACCAACAUUCGUUUCAGCACAGCUUACCAUCCUCAAACAAGUGGCCAAGUCGAGCGAGUCAAUCAAAUUCUUGAAGAUAUGCUCAGGGCUUGUGUCAUCUGUUUUGGUAUGAAGUGGGAAGAUUGUCUUCCAUAUGCCGAGUUUUCCUACAACAAUAGCUUCCAAGCGAGUUCGGGCAAGGCCCCAUUCGAAAUUCUCUAUGGCAGAAAGUGCCGUACUCCUCUCAACUGGUCUGAGACAGGUGAACGCCAACUUCUGGGCAACGACUUGAUCACAGAAGCCGAAGAAAUGUGCAAAGUCAUUCGUGAGAAUCUCAAAGCCGCGCAAUCGCGCCAAAAGAGUUACUAUGAUAGCAAGCACCGUGACUUGGCUUUUGAAAUUGAAGACCAUGUCUACCUCCGCGUCUCUCCAAUGAAAGGCACUCGUUGCUUCGGUAUCAAAGGGAAGCUUGCCCCUAGAUACGUGGGUCCUUUCAAGAUCAUUGGAAAAAGAGGCGAUCUCGCCUAUCAACUUGAGCUUCCAUCCAACUUUUCAAAUGUGCAUGAUGUGUUUCACGUGUCACAGCUUCGCAAGUGCUUCAAGACUCCUGAGCGCACUAUCAACUUCGAAGGUAUCGACCUCCAAGAAGAUCUCUCUUAUCAUGAGCACCCUGUUGCUAUUCUUGAAGAAACCGAGCGCAAGACUCGCAACAAGUCAAUCAAAUUCCUGAAAGUGAAGUGGUCACACCAUUCCGACCGAGAAGCCACCUGGGAGCGCGAGGAUCACCUCCGUUCCGAAUAUCCAGAGUUCUUUCAGUCCUAGAUCUCGGGACGAGAUCCUCUUGUAGUGGUGGAGUGUUGUAACACCCCGGAUGUAACUUUCCAUAUUUGUAACUCCAACUCUUGCCAUUUUCGGCUAUGCGAUAUGAUAUAUUCCCUCCGUGGUUGGGUUUUGUCUUUUGUUUUUCAUUUUAUUCAUGUCAUGCAUCUCAUAUCAUGUCAUCAUGUGCAUCUCAUUUGCAUACGUGUUCGUCUCAUGCAUCCGAGCAUUUUCCCCGUUGUCCGUUUCGCAAUCCGACACUCCCACAUGCACCGGCGCACCCCCCUCUUGUCUCUUUUCGUGUGUGGGUGUUGAACAUUCUCGGAAUGGACCGAGCCUUGCCAAGUGGCCCUGGUAUAGCACCGGUAGACCACCUGUCAAGUUUCGGGUCAUUUGGAGCUCGUUUGAUACUUCAACGGUUAACCAUACUCCCGCAAAGGCCUCUUUUAAGUUGCAGCCCAACACCCCUCCAAAACAGCCCAAUAACCCAUCUAGCUCCCCUCCAUGCUCUCGGUCGUUCGAUCACGAUUGUGUGGGUGAAAACUACACCCCAUUUGGACACUCCUAGCUCCCUCUACCUCUAUAUAUAGACCCCUCCCCCGAAUUCCGGACGAAACCCUAGCGAAUUCCCCUUCCGCCGCCACCGGACACGUCCGGCCGCAGCCGGACACGUCUGGGUCACCCCGCCGCCGCCACGUGUCGCCGCCUGGUUCGUCCGCGCCGCCGCCGCGCCAGUCCCCGCCNNNNNNNNNNNNNNNNNNNNNNNNNNNNNNNNNNNNNNNNNNNNNNNNNNNNNNNNNNNNNNNNNNNNNNNNNNNNNNNNNNNNNNNNNNNNNNNNNNNNNNNNNNNNNNNNNNNNNNNNNNNNNNNNNNNNNNNNNNNNNNNNNNNNNNNNNNNNNNNNNNNNNNNNNNNNNNNNNNNNNNNNNNNNNNNNNNNNNNNNNNNNNNNNNNNNNNNNNNNNNNNNNNNNNNNNNNNNNNNNNNNNNNNNNNNNNNNNNNNNNNNNNNNNNNNNNNNNNNNNNNNNNNNNNNNNNNNNNNNNNNNNNNNNNNNNNNNNNNNNNNNNNNNNNNNNNNNNNNNNNNNNNNNNNNNNNNNNNNNNNNNNNNNNNNNNNNNNNNNNNNNNNNNNNNNNNNNNNNNNNNNNNNNNNNNNNNNNNNNNNNNNNNNNNNNNNNNNNNNNNNNNNNNNNNNNNNNNNNNNNNNNNNNNNNNNNNNUGCGUCGCCGCCGCCCGACUCCGGCGAGGGUCCGGCCGGAGCAGCGCGCCCCGGCCUCGCCCUCCUCUCCUCCGGCCGCCGUCUCCAGCGCACCCCGGCCUCGUCCUCCUCCCUCCGGCCGCCGUCGUCCCCAUCUCCGGCGAGCCGCGCCGCCGCCUCGAGAACCGCGCAUGCCAGAUCCAGAUCCAGAUCGGACCGGUUGACCUCUUCCCCCCUGUUUAUUUCACUAAGUCUUUUAUCUGCUGGUAAAAUCAUUGCAUGUUCAUUGCAUCACAUCUUCGCAUCUGUAGCUCCGUUUCGUGCGUGUAAUAUGUCAAAUUGUUCGCCUUGAAGAGUACAUCACUUCAUUCCAUUGCAUCAUUUACAUUUGACCUCAUCCUGAUGCCCGAAAUGCCGUUGGAAGAGGGCUUCAUAAUGUUAGUUUCAGAAUCUUAUCAGCACGAGCUCUUUUGUCAUUUUUGCCAUGAUUGAUGUGUGCAUCCUAUGAACUUGGUCCCUAAAUGUGUUUUGAACUAGGCAAUGUCUUCUUUACAGAGGUGCUUGCCAUGUAUUUUUGUGAUCAAUGUGGUGACUAGCACAAGCAUGCAAACUAGGCUCCGUGUUAAUGCUGAUUUUAGUUCCUGUUCUGCUGUAAUUUUCAUGCCAUGUAAACAUGUUGCUACAGAGAGAUCCACGCAUAAUUUGAGAUACUUCAGUAAGGGUGUUUUGAAAACAUGGUUAUUCUCUAUCCAUCCAAGGUCCUGGUUGCAAUUUUGGAGUAGCCUAGCAUGUCAUUUUCGUGCUCUACUUUUGCUUCAUAAUGUUUCCUGGCAGAUUGUCUACAUGUUAUUCAAUUUGGCCGAGGUUGUUGUAGUUGGUCCGGAUAUGCUAUGAUGUUGUUUCUUGCGAUGUAUAGCCUCUAUGACAUGUCUUCUUGAUGGAUGUAUGCUUAGUUUAUCAUGAGGAGCUCUGUAGUGAGUGCAUCGAGCUCACGAAGGUGCCUUCGUAAUUAUUUCAAUGCCAUGCUUUGUUUGCUGAAAUCUGUUAACGAAACUUGCUAUGUUUACGUGGGUGCCAUCAUAUUUUCUGAUCCUUUUUGGCUUAUGGUCAGUAAGGGACUUUUGAUCUAUGCUUUGAGUAGAUUCAUGCCAUGCUUUUCUUUUUCUAUUAUAAGUUCCUGUAGCACGUUGAUAACCUGCUCUGAACAUUUCUUCGUGAUGUUGUUUAUGCCAUGUCCAACCUGAUAUUUUUAUGCAUUUUCUCCAUGCUUGUUUGAACCUGUUAUGAUGUGAAUUAGCUGUAGCUCAGUGUUCCUAUUUUGUAAAGCAUCUCCUGUAGAUGAUCUCCAUCUGCUCUGUUUUCAUGUUGGGGUGUUGAAGCAUAGUUUAUUGUUGCAUGCUAAGUAGCAUCGUGCUGUUAAUCGCAGCGUUGUGUCAUACUUGUCUUGCUUGCCAUUUGCAAACCGUGCAUCCGAAUCCGCUGAUCUUUAUAUCGAUUUCAACCGAAGUCAUCUCAUCUUUCCAGCGGCAUACUUGGUUUGCCAAGCUGAUGCCUUGUUCAUCAUCUUUCCUUCCGAAGCACGCAUAUGCAUUGCAUACCACGUCUCGCAUAUCAUGACAUGUAUCGCAUCAUGUUGCUUGUGCAUUGCACCGUGAUUUAUUGUGGUUCCUUGCUUGUGUUCUUGCUUUGGGUAGAGCCGGGAGACGAGUACGUGCACGAGGACCCUGUUGAGUACGCUAACGAGGAUCCCGCCUUCGACAACUCUGAGAACCUUGCAGGCAAGAUGACCAUACCUUCGAAAUCAUUUCUAUCUUUGCUUGCUAGUACUCGCUCUUUCGCUAUGUUAGCCCUGCCUGCCUUUGUUUACCAUGCCUACCUAUUGCCAUGACAAACCUCUAACCCACCUAUCCUAGCAAUCAUUGAUUGGCUAUGUCACCGCUUUUGUUCAGCCCCUCUUAUAGCAUUGUUAGCUGCAGGUGAAGAUGAAGGUUGUUCCAGGUCGGAACGUGGUUGUUUUGGGAUAUCACAAUAUCUCCUGUUUAAAUAAUGCACCUUAUAUACUUGGUAAAGGGUGGAAGGCUCGGACUUAUGCCUGGUGACUUGUUCCACACUUGCCGCCCUAGUUUCCGUGAUACCGGUGUUAUGUUCCUUGAUUUUGCGUUCCUUACACGGUUGGGUGGUUUAUGGGACCCCCUUAACAGUUCGCUUUGAAUAAAACUCCUCCAGCAAGGCCCAACCUUGGUUUUACCAUUUGCCACCUAAGCCCUUUCCCUUGGGUUUUCGCGAGCCCAAGGGUCAUCUUNNNNNNNNNNNNNNNNNNNNNNNNNNNNNNNNNNNNNNNNNNNNNNNNNNNNNNNNNNNNNNNNNNNNNNNNNNNNNNNNNNNNNNNNNNNNNNNNNNNNNNNNNNNNNNNNNNNNNNNNNNNNNNNNNNNNNNNNNNNNNNNNNNNNNNNNNNNNNNNNNNNNNNNNNNNNNNNNNNNNNNNNNNNNNNNNNNNNNNNNNNNNNNNNNNNNNNNNNNNNNNNNNNNNNNNNNNNNNNNNNNNNNNNNNNNNNNNNNNNNNNNNNNNNNNNNNNNNNNGGCGUCCCCUAGGCAACCAGGGUCUAUACCAACCCGACGUCUGGCUCAUCCGGUGUGCCCUGAGAACGAGAUAUGUGCAGCUCCUAUCGGGAUUUGUCGGCACUUCGGGCGGCUUUGCUGGUCUUGUUUUACCAUUGUCGAAAUGUUUUGCAAAUCGGGAUUCCGAGACUGAUCGGGUCUUCCCAGGAGAAGGUCUAUUCCUUCGUUGACCGUGAGAGCUUGUGAUGGGCUGAGUUGGGACACCCCUACAGGGUAUAUAAUCUUUCGAAAGUCGUGCCCGCGGUUAUGAGGCAGAUGGGAAUUUGUUAAUGUCCGGUUGUAGAUAACUUGACACUUUACCUCUUUAAAAUACAUCAACUGUGUGUGUAGUCGUGAUGGUCUCUUCUCGGCGGAGUCCGGGAAGUGAAUACGGUUUGUGUUAUGCUUGAUGUAAGUAGUUUCAGGGUCACUUCUUGAUCACUUCUAGUUUCUUGACCGAUGCGUUGCUUCUCUUCUCGCUCUCACUUGCGUAUGUUAGCCACCAUAUUUUGCUUAGUGCUUGCUGCAGCUCCACGAUAUUACCCCUUACCUACCUAUAAGCUUAAAUAGUCUUGAUCUCGCGGGUGUGAGAUUGCUGAGUCCCCGUGGCUCACAGAUUCUACCAAAACAGAUGCAGGUGCCGAGGAUACUGGCGCAGAUGGCGCAACUGAGCUGAAGUGGGAAUUUGAUGAGGCCCUUGGUCGUUACUAUGUAUCGUUUCCAGAUGAUCAGUAGAGGUGCCCAGUCGGGACGAUCGGGGAUCUAGCAUUUGGGGUUGUCUUCUUUUCAUUUGAACUUGACCGUAGCCGGUCUAUGAGUGUAUUUGUAUGAUGUAUGAUCUUAAUUUAUGUAUUGUGUGAAGUGGCAAUUGUAAGCCAACUCUCUUUAUGCCAUUCUUGUUCAUUACAUGGGAUUGUGUGAAGAUGACCCUUCUUGCGACUAAACCACCAUGUGGUUAUGCCUCUAAGUCGUGCUUCGACACAUGGGAGAUAUAGCCGCAUCGUGGGUGUUACAAACCGGCUGAUGAGACUAAGCUGGUUGAUUUUGUUCCUGGCGAUUCAUCCAAACAGUUUAGUAUCAGCACUAAUCUGGAUCCGAAAUAGGAAAGCACGCUCAUCGAGUCCAUCCGUGAGAACCGGGACAUCUUUGCAUGGAAACCUUCUGACAUGCCAGGUGUACCGAGGGAACUCGUUGUGCACAAUCUGAAUAUUGAUCCCAAGUUUAAACUGAUCAAGCAGUUUCUUCGUCGCUUCAACGAAGAAAGAAGCAAGGCCAUUGGUGAAGAGGUAGCCCGGUUGUUGGCCGCGGGGUUUAUCGUUGAAGUUUUUCAUCCAGAGUGGCUGGCCAAUCUGGUGCUAGUGCUUAAGAAGGAUGCACUUGGCGCAUGUGUGUGGAUUACACGGACUUGAACAAAGCUUGUUCGGACGAUCCUUUUGCUCUCCCUUGUAUUGAUCAAAUCAUUGAUGCUACGGCGGGUUGUGAGCAUUUGAGUUUUUUGGAUGCUUAUUUUGGUUAUCAUUAGAUCAAGAUGGCAGUUAAGGACUAGGAGAAAACAGCUUUCAUCACUCCCUUUGGAGCCUUCUGCUAUGUUUCUAUGCCCUUUGGACUCAAGAGUUCCCAGGCGACUUAUCAGCAAUGUGUGCAGAAUUGUCUCCAUACCCAAAUUGUGCGCAAUGUUCAUGCUUAUGUGGACGACAUAGUGGUCAAGUCUAGGAAGAAAGAGACCUUGAUUGAAGACUUGAAGGAGACUGAGGGAGUCCUGGAUUAGGGGGUGUCCGGAUGGCCGGACUAAGACCUUUGGCCGGACUCCCGGACUAUGAAGAUACAAGAUUGAAGACUCCGUCCCGUGUCCGGAUGGGACUUUCCUUGGCGUGGAAGGCAAGCUUGGCGAUACGAUAUGAAGACCUCCUCCCAUUGUAACCGACUCUGUGUAACCCUAGCCCUCUCCGGUGUCUAUAUAAACCGGAGAGUUUUAGUCCGUAGGACGAACAACAAUCAUACCAUAGGCUAGCUUCUAGGGUUUAGCCACUCCGAUCUCGUGGUAGAUCUACUCUUGUACUACCCAUAUCAUCAAUAUUAAUCAAUCAGGAGUAGGGUUUUACCUCCAUCGAGAGGACCCGAACCUGGGUAAAAACAUCGUGUCCCUUGUCUCCUCUUACCAUCCGCCUAGACGCACAGUUCAGGACCCCCUACCCGAGAUCCGCCGGUUUUGACACCGACAUUGGUGCUUUCAUUGAGAGUUCCUCUGUGUCGUCGCCGUUAGGCCCGAUGGCUUCUUUGCUCGACAAUCGCGAUACGGUCCAGAAUGAGACUUUUCUCCCCGGACAGAUCUUCGUAUUCGGCGGCUUCACACUGCAGGCCAACCUGCUCGGCCAUCUGGAGCAGAUCGAAAGCUACGCCCCUGGACACCAGGUCAGGUUUGGAAGCUUAAACUACACGGCCAACAUCCGCAGGGACUUGAUCUUCGACGGAUUCGGGCCACGACCGGCCGCGCCGCACUGUCUCGAUGGGCAUGAUCUAGCUCUGCCGCCGGACAGUGACCAGAGUGUCGCUCGGGUGUUCACUCCUACCAUUAGUUCGGAGCCGACUGCGCUAGCCAGGGAUGGACGGUUGGACACCGCCCCAGGAGCCGCAAUCUCUGCGGCGAUAGAGCCGAAUAUCAGCCAAGUCCUUUGUAAGGCCAGUAACUCCGAGGUGCCGGACUCCGUUCCGGACUCUGAAUAUUCUGCACCCCUUUCGAUCGAACCCGAUCGGGCUCCGAUCAUGGAGUUCACCGCCGCGGACGUCUUUCAGCACUCGCCCUUUGGCGAUAUCCUAAAUUCGCUAAAGUCCCUCUCUUUGUUGAAAGAACCCCGGCCGGACUAUGGUCGAGGUGGUUGGGAUGCGGAUGACGAAGUUUGAACCCCACCCACCACCCACUUGAUAGCCACUGUCGAAGAUAUAACCGACAUGCUCGAUUUCGACUCCGAAGAUAUCGACGGUAUGGACGCCGAUAAAGGAGACGAUCAAGAAACAGCACCUAUAGGGCUCCGGAAAACCACCUCAUCAUAUGAUGUAUGCAUGGUGGACACAUACAAUAGAAACGACAACGAGGACCAAAAGGAUGCGGCCAGGGACCGCUCCCCCGAAAAACAUUCAAAGCGGCGGCGUCAGCGCAAGGCCAAACCCCACCUCGACAAAAACCCAGCCAUAGAGCAGGGUGACUCAACGGACGAUGAACAUGCCGUCGAGCAUCCAUCCAAGCAGGGCAGACAAUCCGAACAACCAAUCCCCGGGAAAGAUAAUAGCCCGGACGACCUCACACCAGACAAAUUGCUGGAACAUCAGAACCUCCACCAAAGGCUCGUCGCCACUGCAUGUAGCCUGAGAAAACAGAAGCGGAGGCUCAAGACAGAGGAAGACGCACUCAGGAUCAGAUGGGGCAAAGUACUCAAUACCGCACACAAGUACGGCAGUAGUCGCCACACAAAGAGCUAUCCGAAGCAGAAACUACUACCGGAAUUUGACGAAGAGGCCAUAAAGCCCCCAUAGUCAAAUAAUAAGGAAGCCACAAGGUCGGAUAGACGACCCUAGGAUCAAUCUCACGCAUCAAAGGACGCCGCACUCAAUAUGGUGCGCGAUCCGUCCAAGAAUUCGCAUCAGAAAACUGGCCCUACCAGAUCCAUCUAUAGGCCAAGAAAGCAAGCUCCAAUGAGUGAUGCAAUGCAAAAAAUACCCGAACAACGCGGCACGCCUAAAUACAGGGGCGCCGCACACCCCCUAUGUUUUACCGAUGAGGUGCUGGAUCAUGAAUUCCCAGCCAGAUUCAAGCCAGUGAACAUAGAAGCAUACGACGGAACAACAGACCCUGGAGUCUGGAUCGAGGACUACAUCCUCCACAUACACAUGGCCAGAGGAGAUGACCUCCACGCCAUAAAAUACUUAACCCUUAAGCUCAAAGGGCCAGCCCGGCAUUGGCUUAAAAGCCUUCCCGAAAACACCAUGGGAAGUUGGGAAGUGCUUGAGGAUGCUUUCCGGGAAAAUUUUCAAGGGACCUAUGUCCGGCCCCCGGAUGCAGAUGAUCUGAGUCAUAUAAGUCAGCAUCCCGGAGAGUCAGCCCGGAAGCUCUAGAACAGAUUCCUUAUCAAAAAGAAUCAGAUAGUCGACUGUCCGGACGCAGAGGCCCUAGCAGAUUUCAAACAUAGCGUUCGAGACGAAUGGCUCGCCAGACACCUCGGCCAAGAAAAGCCGUGAACAAUGGCCGCGUUAACAAGCCUCAUGACCCGCUUCUGUGCAGGAGAGGAUAGCUAGUUAGCAAGAAGCAGCACCAGCGACCCGAAUACGUCCGAACCCAGAGAUGGGAACGGGAAACCGCGCCAUAACAAAGAACUGCGCCGGAUAAAGGACAACGGCCCAAUGAGCACGGCAGUAAACGUCGGAUUCAAAAGCUCUCAGCAAAAUCAGAAAAAGCUGCCCCCCAAAGACGAUAGGGACGAGCUAUCCAACCUCAACAAAAUUUUGGACAAAAUAUAUCAAAUCCACAGCACUCUGGGGAGACCUGCAAACCAUACCCACAGAGAUUGUUGGGUCUUUAAGCAGUCCGGCAAGCUCAACGCCGAACACAAGGGGCUCAACACACCAAGCGAAGAUGACGAUGCACCCCACAAGCAGAACACCGGAGAACAAAAGAAGUUCCCACAAGAAGUCAAGACAGUAAAUCUACUUCAUGUGAUGAAAGGGAAGAGCAGAACGGCACCUACAACGACACGCGCCGUACAGCCAGCCCCGGAGGAGCAGCCACACUGGUUGUUACAACCAAUCACCUUCGAUCAUCAGGAUUACUCUAGAGGAGACCAGAACGCAGGCUGGACUGCCUUGGUCUUAAAUCCAAUCAUUAACAGACUCCAAUUUACAAACGCCCUUAUGGACAGCGGCAGCGACUUGAACCUGUUAUAUCAGGACACAGUCUGCAAACUCGGGGUAAACCCAGUCGCAAUCCACCUCGAUAACACUUCCUUUCAAGGAGUAACGCUAGGUUCGGAUACCCCAAGUAUGGGUUCCCUUACGUUAGAAGUCACAUUCGGACCACCCGAAAAAUUCCGAAGAGAAAAGCUAACAUUUCACAUCGCCCCAUUCGUAAGUUGCUAUCAAGCGCUACUGGGACGUGAAGCUUUCGCCCGCUUUAACGCAAUACCGCACUACGCAUCCCUUACACUUAAAAUGCUCGGUCCAAAGGGCAUCAUUUCAUUACGAGGGAACAUAAAUUGACCCCCAAAGUACGGGCAGGGGUGCGGCUGCCUAGACAGCCGCCCACAAAUCCAGCCCUACUAUCCCAGACACGGCUAGACGAGUCCGGCGUCAACAUGCUUAAAUACCGCAUACCCUCAUGCAAGGGGCUCCGUGUGCUCACGCUCGGAGACAAUACGGCCCAACUCUUGCUCCAACUAUAUUUUGUUUAUUUCAAUAUAGAUUUCUCGCACGCUUAUUUUUUACUAAGUUCCUCUCUUUCACAGACGAACAUCGUGCUACGCCCGUCCAGGAUACGGCACAACGGAGACACAGGCGCAGACGUGCAGCAGGGACCCGUUCCAAGGAUUCUUUUCAGAUUAAGACCCUGCGUAAACCUUUUUUACUGUCUCUUGUUGAUAACAUCCCCUGGUUUUCUCUAUAGCCGAGGAGGAGGCUGACGUCUUGGCAUGUGGCCAUGCCAGAAUUUUUGCACAUACCUAGACACUAGGGGCUUUUUUACCAGGGGAUCUAUUUCAGCCCGUCUUCAUAAAGACCGAAUACCUUAGGGAGUGUUCGGCAUCGCAAGUUUGGCCCUAUAUGCAUCAGCUCCGAAUCAUGUCUUUGGUCAAAUGUUGGGUUUGCCCGGCUCCUGUGUUUUGCCGCCUUACGUUCCGUUAUAUCAGCUAACGCGGCACCAGGAGAACUACUACGAUAGUGCCCCGGUUCGGCCGGGUGAGCACCUCAGUAGAGAAAGCCGAAAACUGACCGUCAUGAUAUAGAAAGAGACUGGUCAACCACUCGAUGACUUUCGGAAUCUUUAGGAUUCCCCCGCAUUAACGAAGGGCCGCUUCCCGGUCAGGCACACUCGCGCCCCGAAUUCGGACGAGCGCGAUGCCCCUCGGGGCUAUUCAGUAGUCCCACUAUCAAACUCCUAUGGCUAAGUGAAAGUGAUAAAGCAUUAUAGUCCGCUUGCCUAGUUCGCCGCGCCACCACCUCCUUUGUAGGACCAAGACGUUGGAUUAAGUGUGAAAAGGCGCCUUUUUGCGAACACCCCCGCAUUCUAUGCAUGGGGGCUGAAGCCAACGACUGCCAUCUUUCAGGUUAUAUACAAAUAUACACAUUAAACGGCCGCACAGGAGGCAUCUUGAUUCUUGCAAGCACAAGUAUAAAAAAGCUUUUUACAUAAAAACACAAUUCGUCUUACAAAUAGUAUAAGCUAUUCAAAAAUAACAUCCUUCGAGCACGGCGACUCUAUUAUACGAGCGCCAGGAAGAACUUCCUCAAAAUAGUGCUUGGCAGGUACUCGGCUUUCGUCCGAAUCCUGGGACGCAACAAUACUGGCCUUCAUAUCUGCCCAGUAUGUCUUGACACGGGCAAGAGCCAUCUGUGCGCCCUCUAUGCACGCCGACCUCUUCAUUGCAUCAGCAUGCAGCACCGAACCAAGGAAUUGUUGCACCAAGCCAAAAUAACUCUUCGGCUCCUGCUUCUCCGGCCACAGACGACUCGCAACAUACUUCAUGGCGAGUCCGGAUAAUCUGUUCAGCUCCGCCCAAGCGGCUAAACGGUCGGAUACUGGCAGUGGGCGUUCUGGAUUGUGGUACUGCGACCAAAAAAGCUCUUCCAAUUCAUGGUCACCUCAGCUGCGGAAGUGUUCGGUCGUGUCUGCCGCACUUGCGGCCAAAUCCAGAUAAGCAUUUUCCGAACUCCACUGCCGGUCUAAUGGAGCAUACUUGGGGUCUCCGAACUUCAUCCACAGCAUAUAAUGCUUUCCAGCCGUGAUAUCUCCGGCCUGACGCAACUCCUCCUUCAUCGCUCUCAUGACAGAGCGAGUAUCCUUGGCUUCGGUAGUGAUCUUUUCAAGGUUCUUCUGAGCCGCCCUGUCUUCUUGUUCAAGCAAUCUACAACGGUCGGUAGCAUCCUUCAAUUUUAUGGCCAUCUCGGCCAUUUCCUUUUUGCUCUGGCAGUGAGCAGCCUGUUCGGCUUUUAGCUCUUCAACCGCUUUAACGGCAGCCGCAUCACUCUUCCUUGCUUGCUCCUUUGCUCGGGCAAGUUCUGCCCGAAGGUUCUUCAUGGCAGCAGCACCAUCUACAUAAAACAUAUAUAAGGCCCGAGCAUCAAGCUCCUAUUACUGGGUGUCUUUUGAACAUACCUUGAGCCUCGUUUAGCCGCUUAUGUACAAGCGCGAUGUCGGCAUCUGCUACGUCAAGUUGCCGCUUCAGUUCGGCAGAUUCAUCAGUCCGGCUAGCCACCAAACGCCUCGUCACCUUCAUGGAAUAGGCGGCACAUUAUACCUGGGGUGAUGGUCCCUGUGCACCGUCACUCGUGACGACACACAGAGUCUCAGGGGCUACUAUUCAUACAGGGCACAUUUAAUAUGCGGAUCUACCAAAAGGUACACCUUUUUACAUAUCUCAAAGCCUGUUAGUAAACUCCUGGCAGCCUCGCACAAUCCGCUUUCCGCGGAUGAAAUCCUUCCAAUCACCGUAUCCAUCAAAUUACGGUGUUCUUCUGAGAUGGACGCCCUACUAAGCAUAUCCUUCAGCCCCUCUGCCGGCGCGCAAGAGGGUGCCGGACUAGUCUGACGACCUUUUCCAGGGUCCGGACUUGAAAAAACCCUCCGAGACGAUACCACGGGGUCGCCAGCCUCGUGAGAUGGUGGAACAAGGGGAGGCGUUUCGCUCUCUAUCAUCUCUGGACGAAGAUCCCCUGAAGAUGAGCUCUGCUGAGAAGGGUUGAGAUCCGAACUGCAAGAUAAUGUUUCGGUUAUUGUCCUUAGGAAUAAAACAUGAAUGUGAUUCAUUAUGGAACCCCUCCCUUCACUUACGCCUCAGGGGAGAGCGGGUCCCCUUUAGGGGGCGAUUCGGCUGGGGCGUUCUCCGGUGCCGAACCCUCUGACGAAGAUUUCUUUCCUCGUUUUGAGGUCAUCACCUCCGGGUCUUCAGAGGCAGUCAUUUUCUUUCCCUGGUCGGGAGAAUUUUCGAUUCUUCCCUUCCUAACGGCCUCCUUCGUGGAGGCGGUAGCUCCUUGGUUCUCCCCUUCGCCUUCCGCCAACGGCGCGGCCUCCAGCAUCCUGGUUAGCAUGGGAUUCGGCACGGUCUCGGGCAGGGGGGCUGGACACCUGAUAAGCUUCGCCUUCGCUAUCCACUGUUGUUCAAAGGGCAACUCUGCUAAAGGGUAGAUUUGAUAAAAAUAUGGAUGGUGUGUUCAAAUACGGGGCUACUUACUUUAGCAUCCGGGCGGUUGCAGCUUAGACCUGCGUCCUCGGACAAAUCCGAACACCUUGCUUGUGAUCCGAAGAACAAUUUGUACAUCUCCAUGGGUGUCAUUCCCAUGAAAUGUUGUAGGACUCGUGGUCCCUCCAGAUUGAACUCCCACAGGCGGAGAGUUCGACGUUUGUAGGGCAGUGUGCGGCAAAUCACCAUGACUUGCGCCACUAUGGUCAGAUUGAUAUCUCUUUCUAGAACAUCUCGAAUAUGGCCCUGCAGCAGGGGCACAUCUUUUGGCGGCCCCCAGAUAAGUCCUUCAUUAACCCAUGACGCCAGCCGUGGUGGGGGACUCGAGCGAAAAGUAGGCGGUGCCACCCAUGUGGUGCCCCUAGGGGCUGUGAUGUAAAACCAGUCCCGUUGCCAUAGGUCGAGCUCCUCUUGAAAAGAGCCUUCGGGCCAUGGAGCGUCGUCCAUCUUGCUUAUUAUAGCCCCUCCGCACUUAGUGUGCUGCCCCUCGAUCAGUUUCGGUUCCACUUUGAAAGUUUUUAACCACAAUUCAAAGUGAGGGGUGAUAUGGAGGAAGGCCUCGCACACGACAAUGAAUGAUGAGAUCUGGAGGAUGGACUCCAGAGCUAGGUCGUGGAACUCCAGCCCGUAGUAAAACAUAAUCCCCCUCACGAAGGGAUCGAUCGGGAAGCUUGGUCCCCGAAGGAAGUGAGAUGCGAACACCAUGCUUUCACCAGGCUGGGGAGCGGGAACAGCUUGCCCUUGAGUAGGCAGUCUAUGCGAGAUUUCGCCGGUUAGAUACCUGGCAUCUCUUAGCUUUCGCACAUCUUCUUCCGUAAUGGAGGAAGGCAUCCACCGGCCUUGAGGGUCGGAGCCGGACAUCUUCGAAGGUCCGAAGCGCCUAAAACUAGAGCUUUGGGUGUUGGAACUCGAAGCGAGGGGCGGAUUUGAUUGGUUUAAGAACAAGGGAGCCGGGCCUUGGUUCCUUUAUAAAGGAGGUGAAUACCAAGGGCCCUCCCCGUAACCGUUUGAGACUCGCUUUUAAUUAGGGAGUCAUACCUAAGUCGCGGUUGGGUUACCCACACCCGUAUUGAUGAGAAUCCCGGAAUAAGGGGACACAAUCUCUGCUUUGACAAGACGUGCCAAGGAAACCGCCUCGCUAAACGCGCUGAGGUGGAACAAUAAAAUGAAUAAAAGCCUGGCUGUGGCAUGAUGUCACGCCGUGGAAUACGUCAGCAGAUCCGAUUGAUACAAAUAUUAUUCUCUCUACGAUGGAAUGUGGGACUUAUUUUGCAGAGCCGGACACUACCCUGGUGUUCAAACAUCUCCUAUGAAAUAUUCGGAGGAGGAACCCGCCUUGCAAUGCCGAAGACAACUUGCGCGCCAGACUCGUCGUCAUUGAAGCCUGGUUCAGAGGCUACUGAGGGAGUCCUGGAUUAGGGGGUGUCCGGAUGUCCGAACUAAGACCUUUGGCCGGACUCCCGGACUAUGAAGAUACAAGAUUGAAGACUCCGUCCCGUGUCCGGAUGGGACUUUUCUUGGUGGGAAGGCAAGCUUGGCAAUACGAUAUGAAGAUCUCCUCCCAUUGUAACCGACUCUGUGUAACCCUAGCCCUCUCCGGUGUCUAUAUAAACCGGUGAGUUUUAGUCCGUAGGACGAACAACAAUCAUACCAUAGGCUAGCUUCUAGGGUUUAGCCACUCCGAUCUCGUGGUAGAUCUACUCUUGUACUACCCAUAUCAUCAAUAUUAAUCAAGCAGGAGUAGGGUUUUACCUCCAUCGAGAGGGCCCGAACCUAGGUAAAAACAUCGUGUCCCUUGUCUCCUGUUACCAUCCGCCUAGACGCACAGUUUGGGACCCCUACCCGAGAUCCUCCGGUUUUGACACCGACAGAGACCUUUAACAAUCUUCGGGUGUAUAAAAUGAUGCUCAAUCCGGCCAAGUGCGUCUUCGGUGUUUCGGCAGGCAAGCUCUUAGGUUUCCUGGUGUCUAACAGGGGCAUUGAGGCUAAUCCAGAAAAGAUCAAGGCGAUUACGUCUCUGGCUAAAUCUGUGUGUAUCAAUGAUGUCCAGUGUCUGGCGGGUCGAAUUGCAGCUUUGAGCUGGUUUAUCAGCCGUUUGGGAGAGAAGGUGAUCCCUCUGUAUCAGAUGUUGAAGAAUAUAGACACUUUUGUCUGGAGUGACGCUGCUAAUGCGGCGUUUGAGGACUUGAAGAGGCAGUUGGCUAAACCGCCGGUCCUUGCUGCUCCGGUUGAUAAUGAGUCGUUGUUAUUAUAUGUGGCUGCUAAUGCCCGGGCUGUCAGUGUGGCUAUUGUGGUCGAGCGCAAGGAAGCUGGGAAGGAAUAUCCGGUUCAACGGCCGGUUUACUACAUCAGCGAAGUGCUCAUCGAGUUAAAACAAAGAUAUCCGCAUUGGCAGAAGCUGGUGUAUGGGGUUUUUAUGGCAAGUCAGAAGCUUAAGCAAUACUUUCAAGGCCAUCCCAUCACAGUAGUCAGUUAUGCUCCUUUGGGCGAUAUAAUUCAGAACAGGGAGGUAACUGGCCGGGUUGCGAAGUGGGCUAUUGAGCUUGGACCGCACGGAUUGAAGUACAUGCCUUGGACAGCUAUCAAAUCUCAAGCACUUGUUGAUUCAAUGAUUGGAUAGAGUUGUAGGCACCGGAAGACAAACAGGAUAACACAUACUGGACUAUCCACUUUGACUGUUCCAGGCAAUUGGAGGGCUCGGGGGCUGGAGUUGUCCUUACUUCCCCUCGGGGUGAUAAAAUUCAUUAUGUUCUUCACUUAAUGUUUCCUUGUACUAACAAUGCAGCUGAGUACGAGGACUUGCUCCAUGGUCUUGGCGUGGCUAAGGAAAUGAACUUAAGCCGGGUACGAUGCUUUGGAGACUCUGAUCUGGUGGCUCAGCAAGUUUCUGGUACUUGGGACUCUAAGGAUCCACUCAUGGCGGCUUACAGAUGAGAGGUGGAUAUUGUGGCUAGUCACUUCAAAGGUUAUCAGGUUGAGCACAUUGAUCGGCGCAAAAAUGAAGCAGCAGAUGCUUUAAGCCGGCUGGGGUCCCAGCAUAAACCGGUGCCACUCAAUACAUUCCUGUAUGUCUUGCAUAACCCGUCAGUUAAGUUGCCUACAAAAGAGGAUUUGGCUAUUCCUGAUCCCAAGGCACAGUUGGUGGCCGCUUUACACGUCAUUCCGGAUUGGAUGAUUCCGUAUCUAGCAUAUAUAACCGGGGCGAGUUACCAGAGGACAAAGUUUUGGCCAGACAAAUAGUCCAGUGAUCAAAGUCCAUGGUUAUUCACAAUGGCGAGUUACAUCACUGCAGUGUCUCAGGCGUGUUCCAGCGCUGCGUUUCUCCUGAAGAGGGCCAAGAGAUUUUGCGUGAAAUCCACGAAGGAGAUUGUGGUCACCACGCUGGUUCAAAAUCCUUGGUUGCUAAAGCUUUCUGUCAUGGUUUUUAUUGGUUAACGGCUCAUGCUGAUGUUGAAGACCUGGUAAAGCUGUGCGAUGCUUGUCAGAAGUUUUCACGUCGAGCUCAUGUUCCGGCUCAAGAGCUGUGGAUGAUUCCAAUCACUUGGCCGUUUUCUACUUGGGGGCUUGAUAUGGUAGGGCCUUUUAAGCGGUCCAAUGAUAAGAAGACACACCUGUUGGUGGCGGUUGACAAGUUCACUAAAUGGGUUGAAGUGGAGCCAGAAAGUAAGUGUGAUGCAGCCACGACGGUUCAAUUCAUCAAGAAGGUGAUCUUCCGGUUCGGCUUUCCACACAGCAUCAUCACAGAUAAUGGCACGAACCUCUCCAAAGGUGAGAUGGAGGACUUCUGUCAAAGAGAACACAUCCGGCUUGAUGUGUCAUCAGUGGCCCACCCCCAGUCUAAUGGUCAAGCUGAGAGAGCUAAUCAGGAAAUCUUAAAGGGUAUCAAGCCCCGGCUCAUGGUUCCUUUGAAAAGGACGCCGGGUUGUUGGGUGGAGGAAUUACCUUCUGUGUUAUGGAGCAUAAACACCACCCCCAAUCGAUCCACGGGAUAUACACCUUUCUUCAUGGUUUAUGGGGUAGAGGCGGUACUCCCAAGUGAUAUUCGUCAUGAUUCACCCCGGGUUGCCAAUUAUGUCGAAGCGGACAAUGAGCAAGCACGUCAAGAAGCACUGGACCUAUUAGAUGAAAAACGGGACAUGGCGUUGGCUCGUUCGGCGAUUUAUCAGCAAGACCUGCGGCGUUAUCACAGCCGUCGGGUUAAGACAAGAACCUUUGAAGAAGGCGACUUAGUGCUUCGGCUUAUCCAGGAUCAGACCGAUAUGCACAAGUUAUCCCCACCUUGAGAAGGACCCUUCGUGGUCAGCAAGAAUCUGCACAACGGAUCAUACUACCUCAUCGAUGUUUGAGAGCAUGCAGACUCACAUAAAUCUGAGGAGGAGACCCGACGGCCGUGGAACAUAGCUCUCCUUCGGCCUUAUUACACUUGAGCCAUAGGCUACUCAUUGUACAUAUUUUGACAAUGUAUAUAUUAUGAUCAAUAUAAUAAACCAGCAUCCUUGCUAUAAGCAGGGCCUCUGCUGUUUUUUCCAAUAUCUCUUGGUUAUAUGCAGGCUUCAGCUAGCAAAGGGGAGUUCUGUUCAUUAAUCCGGCUGUCACGCCACACUAUAGCUUGGGAGCUUCACACCCAAGGGGCCAAAGAGAGUCUGGUUGCUAUGCACAGCUCAAACAUAGGCACCCAUUGAGCACAGCUCACAAAGUUACUUGGGGGCUCUUUGUGCAAUGCAACAAAGAGUUUGAAAGGACCCUUGUAAUAUGCUAUCAAGCACGCCUUGGAAGCCUGGUGUAUUCAUCUAAAACCACGGGUUAACCUGCCUUCAUUAAGUAAGCCACUCCUAUCCAAGUAAUCAUGGCAUGACCCGCCGAACAUUUGACAAGUCAAUCUUAUACAGACCCUGAACUUGUCAAAGUUAAAACGACGAUUGGUUAGUUGGAGGCCCAUCUUGAAAGGCUUUGCAAAAUGGUUUAACUCAGCGACCUGGCAACCCAUGAAAUGCCUCGAAUUUGGGCCUAGCAGCCCUUGAAAAGCCUCCACUACACGGUUUUAUUUGCCUUUGUCAAGAUUUUUUUCUAUAAAUUUUAUGUUGAACCGGCGUCUAUUGACCCGGCAUGACUAUAAGUCAUCAAAUUAACCCGGUGUUUGUUAACCCGGCUUAGCUUUCAACUACAAGUUGACAGGCCACAUUCAAAUUUAAAACCGGUGUUUCUUAAACCGGUCUAGCUUUGACUACAUGUCACCGGCAUGAUCAUCCGGUGUUCAUCAUAACCCGGUAUGACUUAUUAUACACCAGCACUACAUGGUGGGAGUUAUCAACACUCAAGAUUUGGGUUCUCACCCUUACUAUAAGCAAAUUGGUAAGCCAACAAUAUGAUGUAAUAUCACAGGUGUGAGCUAUUUCAUAUUUUGAUAUUUUCACAGCCUUGGUUAUGAACCAGGCUUUGUAUUGGGCAUUAUGACCCGUCCGGCGGUAAACCGCCAGGACACUUUUUAUGCAGGCACAAGGAUUGCAUGAAAUUAUCAAGGUAUAUAAGCAAGCAUAGCAAUAAUCAUGGCGGAUCAAACAGCAUCAUGUAGCAGUGCAUGAUGGCAGCAGAUCAAAGUAUUUCAACUAGCCUAUUACAAGGCGCUUUGAUGCCCAAAAUAAGGAUUGUUUGUUGCGCAGAACACAGUCUGUGGAAAUCAAGCUAGUUGCCGGAUUAAGACUCGUCACCAGGUUGACAUGAAGUUGAUGGAUCUUCUUGCGUCGGUUCAACCUCCUCCUCCCCACCCAGUGGCUGGAAGUCAAUGGUGGCCCAAUCAAUCUAGGUUAAAGCUUUGAAGACAGCUUUGUCAUUUAUAAGAUUGGCUGGUUCAAUGUCAGGGGCAUAGGUGUGCUUACGGAUUGGCGGGAUAAGAUUCUGCACUUCUUUAACAGUUGCAUCAACCCGUUUGUUAUCCGCAUCAUAGCUGGACCGAUGGACAUACAAGUCAACUUCUUCGGCCAAUUGGCUUGCAAGCGCGCGCAUCUCCUUGGUCAAGGUUUUGAGGGCUUCAUUGUCAAAUGCUGACCCGUCUUCUUGUUCACCAGGAUAGCCCUUUGUGAUAUCUACCAAAUCAAGAUCAGCUAUCCAAGCUUUGGCCCGAGUCAGUGUUGAUAAAGCGCCAGCCCUGGCAGCAGGUCGCUUUACCUCUUCUAUCUGGGCAUGUGUCAUAGAUAAUUUGGUCAAUGUAUCCUUGAUCAAGGUUGGUGGCAGUUUAUUGUAUGAGGCUGCGCAGAUAACUCAUUGAGCGCUGGUAUACUAUUGUUCUAUCAACGUAUAGGCUGCCUUCAAUUUCUUCCACAUAUCUGAGCCCAGAUGAGCAACACGACUACCUGCAAUGGGUCAAGAAAUUGUUGUUAGACCGGCAGUGUCAAAAAUGUUCAACAAAGCAGCUGAAUAAGAAUACUUACCAAAUAUAGUAGAAGUCAUUGCGUUGAUUUGCUGUUUUAAGCUGGUCAGUUCUUCUGCUACCGAUUUAAGUGUUGCUUCAGCAUCCUCUGCCCGCUUCAACAAAGCAGAUUUUUCAGUUUCCCAGCAUGCACGCUCAUUCUUAAAGCCAUCUUUCAAUUGCUCCAUGGAUGUCAAAGCGCCUUUCAGUUCAUCUUUGGCCUUGGAGGUUUCUUCUUGCUGGGACUUGAUAUUUUCUUGAAGAUCGGCAAUUUGGGAAUCCUUAUUGCUCAGGUCAGCCUACAACAGACAGAUGAUAAGUUGUUAAUAUCUUCUCAAAAGUCCCAAGCACAUAGCAAGUUAUACACUUGGCACUUGGGGGCUGUGACGCCCCCGAUUCAAUCGUACACUAAUCAUACACGCAAACGUGUACGAUCAAGAUCAGGGACUCACGGGAAGAUAUCACAACACAACUCUAAAAAUAAAAUAAGUCAUACAAGCAUCAUAAUACAAGCCAGGGGCCUCGAGGGCUCGAAUACAAGUGCUCGAUCAUAGACGAGUCAGCGGAAGCAACAAUAUCUGAGUACAGACAUAAGUUAAACAAGUUGCCAUAAGAUGGCUAGCACAAACUGGGAUACAGAUCAAAAGAGGCGCAGGCCUCCUGCCUGGGAUCCUCCUAAAUACUCCUGGUCGUCGUCAGCAGCCUGCACAUAGCAGUAGGCACCUCCAAUGUAGUAGGAGUCGUUGUCGAUGGUGACGUCUGGCUCCUGGGCUCCAGCAUCUGGUUGCGACAACCAGGUAGAAGGGAAAGGGGGAAAAGAGGGAGAAAAGCAACCGUGAGUACUCAUCCGAAGUACUCACAAGCAAGGAGCUACACUACAUAUGCAUGGGUAUAUGUGUAAAGGGCCAUAUCGGUGGACUGAACUGCAGAAUGCCAGAAUAAGAGGGGGAUAGCUAAUCCUGUCGAAGACUACGCUUCUGGCAGCCUCCGUCUUGCAGCAUGUAGAAGAGAGUAGAUUGAAGUCCUCCAAGUAGCAUCGCAUAGCAUAAUCCUACCCGGCGAUCCUCCCCUCGUCGCCCUGUGGAAAAGCGAUCACCGGGUUGUCUGUGGAACUUGGAAGGGUGUGUUUUAUUAAGUAUCCGGUUCUAGUUGUCAUAAGGUCAAGGUACAACUCCGGGUCGUCCUUUUACCAAGGGACACGGCUAUUCGAAUAGAUAAACUUCCCUGCAGGGGUGCACCACAUAACCCAACACGCUCGAUCCCAUUUGGCCGGACACACUUUCCUGGGUCAUGCCCGGCCUCGGAAUAUCAACACGUCGCAGCCCCACCUAGGCACAACAAAGAGGUCAACACGCCGGUCUAAAUCCUAUGUGCGCAGGGGUCUGGGCCCAUCGCCCAUUGCACACCUGCAUGUUGCGAGGGCGGCCGGAAGCAGACCUAGCCUCCCUUAUACAAGAGUAGGCGUUCCAGUCCAAUUCGGCGCGCGCCGCUCCGUCGCUGACGUCAAGAAGGCUUCGGCUGAUACCACGACGUCGAGUGCCCAUAUCUUUCCCGCGUAGUUGGUUAGUGCGUAUAGGCCAGUGGCCAGACUCAGAUCAAAUACCAAGAUCUCGUUAAGCGUGUUAUUAUGAAGUAACCACGGACGCUGACCAGGGCCAGGCCCACCUCUCUCCUAGGUGGUCUCAACCUGCCAUGCCGCUCCACCACAAAGGAACAGUCGGGGGCCGUCAGGAACCCAGGCCCACCUCUACCAGGAUGGAGCCACCUGUCCUUUCAGCCCCCACAUCGGAAUCACUUGCGGGUACUCAACGAGCUGACCCGACUUUAGUCACCAUCUGUAUAGUAUGUAUAUUGAAUAGUAUAUACCCAUGAUCAACUCCCAAGUGAUCACAGCCCAAUAGUAUAGCAAGGCAUACUGACAAGAAUGUAGGGCCAAUGAUGAUAAACUAGCAUCCUAUACUAAGCAUUUAGGAUUGCGGGUAAGGUAUCAAUGACUGUAGCAACAAUGACAGACUAUGCAAUAGAAUAGGACUAAUCGAACAGUGACAUGCUACAAUACUCUAAGGCAAGCAGUAUAGAGAAGAAUAGGCGAUAUCUGGUGAUCAAGGGGGGGGGGGGCUUGCCUGGUUGCUAUGGCAAGAAGGACGAGUCGCCAACACUGUAGUCGAACUGGGGGUCGCCGGCAGACUCGGGGUCUAUCGGAAAGAAGUAGCGGAGAGGGAACACAAUAAAUAACAAAGCAAACAAAGCAUCACAAAGCAUAACAAGGCAAUACGCGGUGUUCGGUGUGUCCUAACGCGGUAGUCGGUGGUACCGACGGGGGGAGAAACAUCCGGGAAAGUAUCCCCGGUGUUUCGCGUUUUCGGACAGAUGAACUAGAGGGGGAAAGUUGCGAGUUUUCUAUGCUAGGGAUGUGUGGCAGUCAAACAGGCUGCGCAUCCAGAAUCAUCUCGUCGUUCUGAGCAACUUUCAUGUACAAAGUUUUUCCAUCCGAGCUACGGUUUAUUUUAUAUUAAUUUUUAGAAGAUUUAAUCAAUUUUAGAAUUUAUUUAAUUAUUUUAAAUCAACAUUAUCCAGAAUAGUGUAUGCUGAUAUCAUCAUGACAUCAGCAGUCAAUAGGGCGCUGACUGGGUCAAACUGAUGUGAGGGCCCCGCAUGUCAUUGACUGAUUAAUUAACUAACAAUUAAUUAGGUUAAUUAGUGAUUAGAUUAAUCUAAUUAUGAUUAAUUAAGUUAAUUAAUUCUUUAAUUAAUUAAUUAAUUAAUAUUUUAUUUAUUAUUUUUAUUACUAAUUCUUUUUUUUAAUAAAACAUUCUCGGGCUGGGCCCCGUUUGUCAUUGGCCAGGGGCCUUAACGGGCGUCGGGUGCUGGGUCAUGGGCGUCGCCCGAGUGGGAGGGGGCGAGGCCGACCAGGGAGGGAGCGGGGCGAGCCCGACCAGGGGGGAGCGGGGCGAGGCCACCAGCGGACGGCCGUGGUGCGGCAGCCAUCGAGGGGCCCCAGCGGAGGCAGCCAGCAGGGCAGUGGCAUGCACGGCAGCCCGGGGCGGGGCCAGCGGCGGCAGGGAGGCAGAGGGAGUCGAGACGCAGACAGCGCCAGGGUCGGUUGUGCGCGGGGGCGCCCACGAGAGCGAGGCAGCAAGGAGAGGAGGGUGGUCGCUCACAUCGUUGGAGAGAAGGGGUUGGCGAAGCGUGUCGGCACAGAUGAGGAGGAGACGGGGACGCGAACGACGAGGACGACGCAGUUCAGCGAUGGCGCAGCCAUGGAUGAAGCGGCGAGGCCUAGGAUGACGCGUCGAGGUAGCGAGGCGUCGGCUUGGGGUCGGGGAGGCGGCGGGCAUCGGGGCGCCGGCGACGUGGGUGCGGGGCGGCGCGGGAUCUGGCUCUUCUGCCUCGAUCCGGACGGGAGGGAAGGGAGAGGAGCAUGGGGGAGAUCGAGGGGAGUGGGGAUCAGGUAGUUAGGGUUUGGGUCGGGGUUGGCCUUGUAGGCCAGAGAGAGGGGCUGGCUGGGCUGGCUGGUUCGCCAGCUGGGCCGGUUGGCCCAGCGUAGGGGGGGUUCCUUUCCUUUUUUUGUAGUUUUGUUUUCUGUUUUUAUUCUUUUCCUUUGUCUUUAUUUUCUCUACUUUUUUAGCUCAUUCUUUAAAAAUAUAGGCCUUAUAUAAAAACAUGGUUUCUUUAUGACAAAUAGUUAGGGAAUAUUUUCAACACAUCGAACAUUUCAGUUCUGACUUUUGAAAACUUUAAUUGUUUUAACUUUAACUUGAAUUCAGAAUUUGAAUCCGUUUUGAUCUAACGUGGGAUUAUCAACAGUAACCGAGGUGACGUGGCAUCAUUAACACGGGAUUACUGUAGCCUGAUUACCCGGGUGUCACAAUUCUCCUCCACUACAAGAAAUCUCGUCCUGAGAUUUAAGAGGUAGUGAAAGGGAGAAAGGUUUUGGUUACGAAUCUAGCGGGACUUCUCAUCCUGGCUUGCUCUUCGCGAAGAAGUUGAUCCCUGUCGUUGAUGUCUUCAUUUCUCUACUUCAGGUCAUCUUGACGAAGUCGCAUCCUUUCUUCGGGGUCAGUCUCGUAAUUACGAAUAGGUAACGGGGCAGAACGGCAAUGACAUAAUUCUAUAAGGGUAAUAAUCUGGGAUUAACCCAUGAAUGAGCAUAUGAGUACCUCUCGAGUUGAACAAUUAAAACACAUCGAGAGUAAAGUCCGAAGGUACCAUAAGAAAUUUCAAGCGGAUAGACAACCGUUCAUUGUCGGAAACAUAGUGUGAAAGGGGUUUAGAGCAACGGGAAUUAGUUUUGUGUCUGAUACCAGAAUCGACGAUCUCGCGGAAGCUGGCUCAUGAAUUACCUACGAGCCACGCGCGAGGAAUAUCUUUGGGAACAGGGGGUGUACAGGAGAGUCAGGUUUUGAUCAUGUGGAACUGUGGGUUAUGGGCCCACCAUGUGGUCUAAAAGUAGGAAGGUGGGUGACAUCUUGCACGAUCACGUAAACAAGGCAUGUCAGAGGAUAGUUGUCAGUUAUGUCGGCAACAACAUUGGUACCAAGGGCGAGGGAUGAAGAGAACCAUCUUCCUGCUCGUUGAACGAGGCGGGCCAGUAGGCAAAGUUCUCGUCCAUCGGUGGUUACCGGAAUGUCAUCAACAAAAGUAACAGGGUCUUUCUGGCAAAAUUGUACACCGAGGUGUUUACAAAAGCAAGAGAAUAUUACUGCUUAGAUCAUAUAGAUCACAAGAAAGGUUAAACCAAACAAUGGAAAGGAAAAGGUGAUCUUCAUAUUAAACAUAACAAUGGAAAGGAAACUGUAUUUAAACACAUAUUUCAAGGGUAUAUCCUUCCCAAGGACAAGCAGAGCAUGAUAUCCAUGACAUGAUAUAAUGUAGAAAACUCUUUAGAUAAGGUGAGAGAAAUUUCAUGACAUUACCCAUACAACGGUGUUAGGGUAAUUGAUAAGGAAAAUUUAGCAUUUGUGCUUCAAAUGUUCUUACUGAAAAUCGGAGUGCCACAGACAUGCUUUGAGAUAGCAUUGACAUGGUCUUCAAGCAAGGGUCAGACUUUGGAUACACAAAGGAUCCAUCAGGAACAACUCAUAUAAUAAGUCUUAUAAUUUCCUCAUGGAAGAAUGGUUAACCUUGCCAAAAUUGAACUAUAACAAUAGGUCCUUCGGCCAGGUGUGCUAGGCAUGACAUCACCUUACCGGGUCAUAUAAAGGCCAAUGUUAUAUCUCAUGGAAAUAUGUUCCAACCAUCAUAUCUGACCGAGAUUUAGUUCUGAUUGGUGUCAGGAUACCUCAGACUCAUGAUGCCUGAGAAGGAAGGUGCAACACAAGUUGUCGAGAUGACAUUGUAAGAUUCUCGGGAAUUGAACUAUGGAAGCGAGUUCCAAAACAAGAGUUCAUCAUUAAAUCAAGGAGAGGUGAGGAGGUGGCUGAUUGACUCAGCAACAAUUCAUUGACAAUUUCAAAGAAUGGAUUUCCACAAUUAUGUGAACAAGGAGAUAACAUUUGUCAGAUCAAAUGAUAUAAUGAGAUAUGCUCGAGGAAAACAUACCCAAGUAAACAACAGUUGAAAGGUGCACCCCGAAAUAUGGGCGUAGGUAGCUUGAUCUAUGUUAGAAUGGUGAUUCAAUAACCAAUAGUCUAAGAAUGAACAAUCGUCCAUUAACUUCAAAGCAACAGGGUUGCUAGAAGUGCAAAAUUCAAGUAGCACCGUUCACCUAUUGGUAUUCCGGUUGGAAGCAACACGGGGACCAAGGAAUGAACGGAUAUGGCAAGAAGUAUCACCUAUAUCCAGAAUUCUUAAGAGGUGGUGAAAUUCUCACGACAUUCUUGACAUAAAACAUGGUAAUACCCCAAGUUAAAGAAGAACAAAUGUUGGAUAGCAAGGAUCUCAAUGUAUUACACAAAACACGAACAAGUUUGGGUUGAACGGAAGGCAAUAAAGUGGUUGAUGACAACACAAUUCAUCGAGGGCAAGGAUGGUAUUUCUCAUCAUGAAUUCGAUUGGUAUCCUGGAAGGAGUUCAAAUGUUGAUGAUGAUCACAACAAAUUUUGUCGAGAGUCUCCAUGAAGAUGCAAUCGAUCGGCGAUGACAUCAAGUUAAAGGAAUGAUGAAGUGAAAGGUUAUUGGAACCAUGGGUACGACACAAACUCGAAAUCAAUUUUGUUGUUCAAGGAGAAAUGAUAUGACAAGGAAGAUCGACGUAAGAUUAGCUCACUGUCGAAAUUUGUGCUCCGGGAAGAACCAGAUAGCACAGUUAAAUUUAGCACAAUAAUGAUGUAGCCGAUAAGGCUAGGAAUGACAUGAUGGAGUAUUAAACUCAUAAGCAAUGAAUAUUACUAAUAGUUGUCGAAUCGCAGUGCGGACUCGAUUAACUAUUCGGUGUUCUCAUUGACGACAACCCAAAACUCAUGGAGUGACUAUGAUAGGGAAAGGUAUUACUCCGGCACAAAUUCAUAAGAUGUAGUGCAAUGGCAUGAUAUCCUCGAGAUACCAGGGAGAUAAUACUUGAGGGCAUAUCAAAUUAAAGGUUGAGGUGGGGUGUAUUGAUCUAUAGAAGACAAGCGCUUUUACUUGUCUGAGAAAUGGAAUCAAAGGAAGAAAUUAUGGUCGAAACCACGAUUACAAAGGAUCAAUUCAUAGAUCCAGAUGAUAUUUUCAAGGAGAUAGUUAUUAUUGCAAGAAGCUUCCAUGAUAGGAUCUACACCGUGUCCAUGGGCAUGAACACAAAGGUUCAAGGUCGACUCCCACUUCGUCAAUGCAUAAUCUUCCAUUCACUUCUCAUUUUUCAAAGAAGUUGUAAUGUUUAAAUUUUAUCUAGCAAAACACCAGAAGAGUAUGACUCGUGAUAGCUCUCGGGUUUACCCAGAUCUGGGAAGGUAUAGGUUCAACCCUUAGGGGUAUCUUGGGAAAAUAUACCACAACUUCGGAGUAAAUAACUCAAGCUCGGGAGCAGAGCAUGGUUGACAAAAGCAGGGGAUACAAUUUACCAAAGGCAUUAUGUAUCUGAGGAAAGCUCACAAGGUUAAUGAAUACGAAUGACGGUGUCGGACAAAAUCCAACAAAGGAUUUGACGGUCCACAACAGAGCUGAUGUGAGCAUUGGCACACAAUCAGAGGAAGAAUCAAGGCAAGGGCCUUAGAUUAUAGAAACAACUAACUAACUCAAAGCUCAAAGGCAAAGAAUCAUAAUUUCCAAAUCAAGGGCUCAGAGGCAAAAACUCUGAUUAAGGAUGGAUAAGUUGAGUAGGCUUAGGGUAUAAUCGACGACAAUUGGAUUGCUUCAGAACCAGCCCACGUUUCAAAUGAUGUCCGAGCCGGAAGGAAAUUUCCAGGGAAUAACUGAUGAUUGUGUGCAUUACACACAUGUUGAAUCAACCGGAUCAGAAUGUCAAUCACAAGGAUUUUAAUGGUUAUUGCUAGACAAAUGGAAUUGUCCAGACUGCAAGAAGACAAGUAUUUGCAGAGCAAUAGUUGGCAAAGGAGUACCGGAAGAUCGGGUAGUAUUUCAAUGCAUCUAGUGAAUCCUAUGAAUAACUAGUAAUGAACGGUUCCUCGAUAAGUAUAAUAAAAAUCGUAGGGAUAUUUUUGCGGCAAGGAACCGCAAGGCAGUGGCACAAGGGAUUCUUGGAACAACGACGAGUAUUACAGGGUAUCUUGUAAUAAUAAGAGCAACUGGGGAUGAAGGUAUGAAUGAGAAGUUACCCAUAGAGGUUUAUCGAUGGAUGGGAAUUGCAAAACCAAUGGCACAAGUCUCAAGAGAACAUCAUAGAGUAUCUUCGGAAUCUUCUGGUGCAGUAGGCGGUCAUUGGUAACACGGGGCUCUCUGGGUGGAAGUGAUCACGAGAUCCUAAUGUUAGAGUUAGCAAAAUUCAUUUAACCCGAAUAGAAGAGAGAUUAGAGUCUCAGAGUAUAGACGAGGAGUAAAAGAUCCUAAUACCACCCAAUGGCGACGUGGGCCCGUAAGCCGCACAGCCAUGUUAGUAAAAGAUUUUCAAUGACUAGACUCGACUUCGGCGUAGGAGUUGGAAAGGGGGAUUCCUACAGGCAGUCGGUUCUGAUACCAACUUGUGACGCCCCCGAUUCAAUCGUACACUAAUCAUACAUGCAAACGUGUACGAUCAAGAUCAGGGACUCACGGGAAGAUAUCACAACACAACUCUAAAAAUAAAAUAAGUCAUACAAGCAUCAUAAUACAAGCCAGGGGCCUCGAGGGCUCGAAUACAAGUGCUCGAUCAUAGACGAGUCAGCGGAAGCAACAAUAUCUGAGUACAGACAUAAGUUAACCAAGUUGCCAUAAGAUGGCUAGCACAAACUGGGAUACAGAUCGAAAGAGGCGCACGCCUCCUGCCUGGGAUCCUCCUAACUACUCCAAUUGUGACACCCGGGUAAUCAGGCUACAGUAAUCCCGUGUUAAUGAUGCCACGUCACCUCGGUUACUGUUGAUAAUCCCACGUUAGAUCGAAACGGAUUCAAAUUCUAAAUUCAAGUUAAAGUUAAAACAAUUAAAGUUUUCAAAAGUCAAAACUAAAAUGUUCGAUGUGUUGAAAAUAUUCCCUAACUAUUUGUCAUGAAGAAACCAUGUUUUUAUAUAAGGCCUAUAUUUUUAAAGAAUGAGCUAAAACAGUAGAGAAAAUAAAGACAAAGGAAAAGAAUAAAAACAGAAAACAAAAGUACAAAAAAAAAAGGAAAGGAACCCCCCGCCGACGCCCGUCGCCUCCCCGACCCCAAGCCGGCGCCCCGCUACCUCGACGCGUCAUCCUAGGCCUCGCCGCUUCGUCCAUGGCUGCGCCAUCGCUGAACUGCGUCGUCCUCGUCGUUCGCGUCCCCGUCUCCUCCUCAUCGGCGCCGACACGCUUCGCCAACCCCUUCUCUCCAACGAUGUGACCGACCACCCUCCCACAUGUUGCCAACUUCCUUGGAUGCAUCGACAACUUCGAGAUCAACACAUGCACAUGAAACUUCAUAAUUAUCAUGUGAAGCAGAUGUGGAUCCAUGCUGCGGCCCAUGAGCUGCAGAAGUGCCAACAAUGUGACACUAUGCUUGAAGCGCCGAAGAGGCGCACAGUAGAUUAAGCUCGAGGCUGUUGAUAUGUCUCAAACAUAUUGAUAAUUUUGUACGAUUCAUUCUACAUUGUUGUCAACUAUAAACGCUAUAUAGGCACACUUCUAUUGAACCAACAUAUUAAUCCAGUGCCCAGUUCUAGUUUUUAUUUUCUGGUAUUUUAGUAUUUUUAAGGAAAAUACCUAGAAAAUGUGUUACUUAUGGUGGAUCAAAGUAGUAAUAUAUUGGACUAACAUGAUAUAUUGCUACAAAUUACAAACACUCUGGGCAUACCUUCUAUUGUUUGUUUUUGUCCGAGGAAAGGAACACCGGUUAAGAAAAUUCGAUGAAACUGUCUUAUGCCAAAGGAAUGGACGCAAAGCACACAUCAAAGCAGGCAACCCUCAUUUUGGAGGCCGAUGAGGGCAAAGGAGCACGCACGAUUUUGAUUAGACCAGAAUUCAGGUAUGCUUCCCGAAACAAAUAGACGAAGCAUGGUGCCAACUUUCUUAACUUCAAUAUCAAAUUGUUCCGAGGCAUGUUGCCAGCUUUCUUGGAUGCAUCGACAACUUCGAGAUCAACAUGUGCACAUUAAACUUCAUAAUGAUCAUGUGAAGCAUAUGUGGAUCCACACGGCCCAUAAGCAACAGAAGAGCCAACAAUGCGACGGGAUGCUGGAAGCAUCGUAGAGGCACGCAUUGGAUUAAACUUGGGGAUGUUUAUAACUGAUAGCAAAUGUAGCAUGAAUCAUACAAAAAUUAUUGAUAUGUUUGAGACAUAUCAAAUCCCCAAGUUUAAUCCACUGCGUGCCUCUACGGCGCUUCCAGCAUCACGUCGCAUUGUUGGCUUAUAAUGGAUCAGUUACCAACAUAUUAAUCCAGUGCCCAGUUCUAGUUCUAGUUUUUGUUCACGAAGACUCUGGGCGUGCCUUUUAUUGUGUGUUUUUGUCCGAGGAAAGGAACACCGGUUAAGAAAAUUUGAUUGAUGAAACCGUCCUAUGCCAAAGGAAUGGACACAUUUUGGAGGCGGGUGAGGGCAAAGGGGCACGCACGAUUUUGAGAAGACCAGAAUUCAGGUAAGACCAGAAUUCAGGUAAGACCAGAAUUCAGGUACGCUUCCCGAAACAAAUAGACGAAGCAUGGUGCCAACUUUCUUAACUUCAAGAUCAAAUUGUUCUGAAUCAUGCUGCCAACUUUCUUGGAUGCAUCAACUUCAAGAUCAACACGUGCACACAUGGAACUUCAUAAUGAUCAUGCGAGUAUUUUUACUCGCUAAGCAGGCUGGAGGCCGGUCGAGAGGAAAGGGAACACUUAACGUUUUAAGUAGUAUAUAUAGAGAGAAGGGAGAUUUUCAAGUUGUGGGCGGGUGUAAUUGACAGAUAUUUGGCACAUCUUGCAGUUCAGGCAGCAACCGCACGACAAAAAAUGAUGUUCAAUCUCAAACUUCUAACUCUAAAAUAUAUGAUCCAGAACAUGCAUCAUUUACUCUAAUAGAUAUAGAUAUUCAUCAGAACAUGCAUCAUUUACUCUAAUAAAUAUAGAUAGUCAUCAGCACAUCAUCUACAUAACAUCAUCAAUGCAACUUGGAUCAUCAUCUUGAGCAAUCGUCAUCUUCGAUACGAGCGUCACCAAAGUGCUCAACAACAGUCACCAGAUUCCAGGUCUUCACCUCACACACUUGAGCUUACGGUUCUUUGAAAGAAACCCUGCACGCUUAUGCUUCUUUGAAAGAGUUGUAACCUUGUCGUUUUCCGAUGUCAUCCCUUUGAAAACAGAAAUAAAAAAAACAAGUCCAGGUGAUAAACAUCUGAACAUCUUGCGAGCAGCAUUGACAGAUAAGAUGAACUGCACUUCAAAAAAAAAUGCUGUGCACAACAAUAGUUCAAACAAGAAAGAGAAAUGACAUCGCAUUGGGAUAUAUUGAUAAACAAUAGUCCAGGUUGCACAAGAAUGAAAGCAGCAGAUUCGAGAAAAAUCAAGUCCUGACAAACAGUCCAGGUGCAAGGAAGUCGGGCAAUCAAGAGAAAGAUAGUCACAUGAGAAGGAUAACAACGCUAAUACUACAGGAGUUCUACGUAAUGGCAUUCCCAUGGAGGUGGAAUGGCUUUUCACUGGCCCAGUAUCUGCUUACACGAUAUAGAAAGAUAUUUGAUCUCACAUGAGAAGGAUAAAUAAAAAGUACACACUCUCUGAAACAACAGGAUGGUUUCUAACAGAAACACCCAAAAGAUAUCGUGACCUGAUUGACCUAAAGUAACCAAACGAAACACAUUCGAAAACUUCAAGAAACAGAGAAAAAAAAUGUGUUAUACAUAUAUCAUCUAAAGUUACAAGACAUUUGCUCCGGGUUGUAAACUAGAGGGCCAUCCAGUUUUAUUAUGCUUACAAGAGCAACCACAAUAGUGGCUACCUAGAAUUCACUUCAAAAUAGCACACCAGACUAGCAGCAACAUAAGGCUGCCCAAUGCAUCAAUUAUAUGAACAGACAAUGGAUAAUGGAUACUUCCCAUAAUAAAGAGCAAACGAUCCAACAAGUAAAUAUAGAGGAUUCUCUCGGCUCUCAAGGACAACCUGAUGGAAGAAUAAGGCUAAUACUACAGGAGCUUUACCUAAUGGCACUCCCAUGCAGGGAGAAUGGCGUUCACGAUCUAAGAAGCACACACUCUGAAACAAAACGAUUCUAACAGAGAUAUCCAAAAGAAGUGACCUGAUGAUUGACCCAAAGUAACCCAACAAAACACAUUCUAAAACAUUAUACAACAGAAAAAAAAAUGUGUUAGAAGGUUCAUACAUAUAUCAUCUAAAGUUACAAGACAUUUGCUCCGGGUUGUAAACUAGAGGGCCAUCCAGUUCUAUUAUGCUUACAAGAGCAACCACAAUAGUGUGGCUACCUAGAAUUCACUUCAAAAUAGCACACCAGACUAGCAGCAACAUAAGGCUGCCCAAUGAAUCAAUUAUAUGAACAGACAAUGGAUAAUGGAUACUUCCCAUAAUAAAGAGCAAAAGAUCCAACAAGUAAAUAUAGAGGAUUCUCUCGGCUCUCAAGGACAACUUGAUGGCAGAAUAAGGGUAAUACCACGGGAACUGUACCUAAUGGCAAUCCCAUGCAGGGAGAAUGGCUUUUCACUGCCCAAUAUCCAAUUACACGAUCUAAGAAGUACGCACUCUCUGAAACAAAAGGAUUCUAAGAGAGAUAUCCAAAAGAAGUGGCCCGAUUGACCUAAAGUAACCCAACAAAACACAUUCUAAAACUUUUACCAGCAGAAAAAUAUGUGUACAAGACGUUUGCUCCGAUGUAGAAAAUAAGAGAAACAUCCAGUUGUAUGCUUUACAAGAGCAACCAAAAUAGUGUGGCUCCUAAAAGUUCACUUCAAAAUAGCACACCAGACUAGUAGCAACAGGAGGGUGCCCAAUCCCCAAUGAAUCAACUAUACAUGCAGACGAUGGAUAUAGUCCCAUAAAUGAAGAACAAAAAGAUCCAACAUGGUGAAAUAGAGGAUUCUAGGCCCUCGAAGGACAACUUGAUGGCAGAAGGACCAAAGUUUAUUGUUGAUAUAUACAGUGUAGUAGUGCACCUACACAACUGGAGCUCCUAAAACUAACACUUGGGAACAGCCUACAAGAAGAUUCAUGGCAACAGUAUAUUAAAUGCUUCAAUUGAUUAAGAUAUACUAUAACACAGCGACACUGGAGGUCCGUGAUUCAACCAAGGAAGGCAGCAAAAUGGAAUUUUCAAGACAGGAGUAACGCAACAGAGGAUAACAUACGGCAAACAACGCUUGGUUAGUAGAGUGGUAUGGGUCUACAAAGUCGUUGCACAGAAGGGGGGCGGGGGGACACUUAGAGCGGGCAGCAUACAGUAGCUAUUAAAACAGAGUUCAAUUACCAUUGAGAAUCCUACAGCCAAUGCAACCGGGCAGCGUAUGUAUUGCAUCAUAGGUAAAAGAGACGAGCAAAAACACGAGCGUUAAGAGUAGCAUAUCCAACAGAAAGCUAAGCAAAGGCAGCCAUUUUACGUAAUAGGUAAGAAAAUACAUAAAAGGGACAUCAUAGCAUUCUGAAUAUUAAGAGAGAUUCUGUUAGUUACCUGCUGGCCUUUCAAGGUAUUUGCAGAAAACGGUUGGAAGUAGGGGGACAGUAUGAAACUGGGCAUGGUGAGCUUUCGCAUCCGCAGACUCAGACUCAGGAGUGCAUGACCGCACACAUGCAUGGCCGUCAACAUAAGGUGCAGCACAGAACAUACGGGUCAUCGGCGCUAAUGAUUGGGAACUCAGGAAGGCGUUGAUGUAUACCCAGAGCUCGGUAAGCAGGUUGCCCCCAGAGACGAUGCAGGCUAAUAUCAUGAUGUAGGUCCCACUCGAACUUGGAGUUCAAAGUCCAAAUGGUGAUUUUCUGGGGAGGCUGAUGCUGCUCAUGGCUUUUUCUCUCAGGAAGCUAAAUCCAUUGGCUGGGAUCAUGGAGUCGGUCAUGGAAGUCAUUGUCAAUGUGGACAAAGCGCAUCUUGCCUUGGCUGAUGGACACACUUCGGAAUCUCUCGGGUAAGUAAUUUUCAACCCUUACCUUAUCAUGGUACUCUUUUUCUCCGGGGAAAGGUACGAAGCGGAGCACCGGUGAGUCUGUCAUGGAGAAGUCACAUAGCAGGACACCGCUGAAGUAGUCAAUCCAGCAAAGGAAACGACCAGCAAAAGCAAACACAUGGUGGGUUGACCAGAGGUUGGUGAACUGGCCGCCAUUGAUGUGGUCGUCGAAAGCGAUCUUGGGGGUGAUUUCCCACUUAUUGAGGUAGGAGUCGAAGACGCAGAGUUCAGCACGCAAGCCCGCUUCUUCAGAGUAGACAUUGAGGUCGGCGACGAUGUAGCGGUCCUCCGCUUUGAGCCGCAGGAUGCCUGUGGCAAGGUUAUCCAUCAGGAACGGCUUUUUCCCGCGCUCAGUGCACGGAGGGAGCCGCUGCACCGAGGGGGAAGAGCCGGCGGCCGUGUAGACGAACAGAUCUGGCGGGACGAGGUAGCUGUCAGUCUGGGCCGGGGUGGAGAUGUCGAAGAGGAUGAGUUCCUUGUCGGCUGCCCGGACGGAGGGAUAGGCUGGCGGGAUGGCUGCGUCUUGUCCCUCCGGCCAGUGGAGGUUGAGGUAGGAGACCCCUUUUCGAGGAGCCGCGAGGGUGAAGGACACGUAGCAGAAGGGGCCGCCGGCCAUGUGGAGCAGAGCGGCGGUCUUGUUCUUGUUGAGAGCCACACGAGCAGCGCCUAGGCUGUUGUGGCAGCGCGUGCGGCCGAUGCGACCCAGCAUCACCCAAUCGGGAUUGGGGAGGACGCCGGUCCCCUCCUCCGGCUGCGGCUCGCCUUCGGUGGGCAUGGCGAUCGGGAUCGGAGGGAAAAAGCGGCCGCCGCCACCCAAACCCUAACCCUACGCUUUUGGUGGGGGAACUGAUGGACGGGAAGGAACGAAGGGCGACAGACUCAGGUUACCACACUAUAUAGCAGGAGGGCCGUCGAUCUCGUUGGGCCAGCAAACUAGUCGCGCAAGCGAACAAAGUGGUCACUCUAUGUUUUUUUUUAUAACAAUAGUAUAGAGUAAAACCGAAGCCAAAAACCAAUUUUAUGAUUUUUGGCUUUCGGUACCGUAUGGGAUUCUAAUUUUUUUUUGAAUUUCAGUUUUUUUUCAAGGGUAAAGGGAGUUUUUAUUGCAUAAUCAUAGAGUUACGGUCGAGAGGCCAUACAUCCUCAAUACAAGGAGGGAUCGAGCCUAGCCACACAGCAGUAGCACGCUCCGAACGACUAUAGUUUGCCAGCCGAUCGGCAACUCUAUUCUGCGCACGACUAAGUUUCUGAGGAAUAAACUCCCUAGUACCAGAUAAGUGUUUGAUCUCCAUCACUAAAUGGCCAUAAGCAGACCGUUGGAGGGCAUCCGUAGCCAGACAUGAUAGAGCUUCGGAAGAGUCCGAUUGAAGAAUCACCGGGGCCUCUGAGUGCACAAUGGCCAACGUCAUGCCCUGCAUCAUCGCAUGUAGUUCCGCCUCCAACGGGUCAUUACAAUGAAAAACAUAUCUGUAAGCUGCAAAAAGGAUGACCCCUUCAUGGUUCCUAAGUGUCAUCCCCACCGCCGUCGAGCCGUCCUCGGCCUGGAAGGAGCCAUCGACGGACAGGGCCACAGUCCCACUCGGUGGUGCCGGCCAUGGCAGGUCACCGGCCCUAACCUUUUGGCGUGGUUCCACCGGGGCUUCCGAGGGCAUCUUUCCUUUGACAAUCUCCUCCACAGUAAAUUUGCCAGCCAAGUUGAUAGAUUUAUAGUAGCUGUCCAAGAAUUCAACGGAGGCCAUCACUGGGGUGCUUCCUUACCAUGAUAUACAUCAUUACGGAUCUGCCAAAUCCUCCAAAUCAACAAGAUUACCAUGUUGAAUUCUUGGACAGAUGGCCCUGCCCCUGGCGCUGUCCGCGUCUCGACUCCCUCUGCCUUCCUGCCGCCGCCGGCCCUGCCCCCGCCGGCCCUGCCCCGGGCUGCCGUGCAUGCCACUGCCCUACUGGCCGCCUCCGCUGGGGCCCCUCAAUGGCUGCCGCACCGCGGCCGUCCGUUGGUGGCCUCGCCCCGCUCCCCCCUGGUCGGGCUCGCCCCCUCCCACUCGGGCGACGCCCAUGACCCAGCACCCGACGCCCGUUAAGGCCCCUGGCCAAUGACAAACGGGGCCCAGCCCCAGAAUGUUUUAUUAAAAGAAAGAAUUAGUAAUAAAAAUAAUAAAUAAAAUAUUAAUUAAUUAAUUAAAGAAUUAAUUAACUUAAUUAAUAAUAAUUAGAUUAAUCUAAGCACGAAUUAACCUAAUUAAUUGUUAGUUAAUUAAUCAGUCAAUGACAUGCGGGGCCCUCACAUCAGUUUGACCCAGUCAACGCCCUGUUGACUGCUGACGUCAUGAUGACAUCAGCAUACACUAUUCUGGAUAAUGUUGAUUUAAAAUAAUUAAAUAAAUUCUAAAAUUGAUUAAAUCUUUUAAAAAUUAAUAUAAAAUAAACUGUAGCUUGGAUGGAAAAACUUUGUACAUGAAAGUUGCUCAGAACGACGAGAUGAUUCCGGAUAUGCAGCCCGUUUGACUACCACACAUCCCUAGCAUAGCAAACUCGCAACUUUCCCCCUCCGGUUCAUCUGUCCGAAAACGCGAAACACCGGGGAUACUUUCCCGGAUGUUUCUCCCCUUCGUCGGUACCACCGACUACCGCGUUAGGACACACCGAACACCGCGUAUUGCCUUGUUACGCUUUGUGAUGCUUUGUUUGCUUUGUUAUUUAUUGUGUUCCUCUCCGUUACUUCUUUCCGAUAGACCCCAAGUCUGCCGGCGACCCCCAGUUUGACUACGGUGUUGGCGACUCGUCCUUCUUGCCAGAGCAACCAGACCAGCCCCCCCCCCUGAUCACCAGAUAUCGCCUAUUCUUCUCUAUACUGCUUGCAUUAGAGUAGUGUAGCGUGUUACUGUUCGAUUAGUCCUAUUCUGUUGCAUAGCCUGUCAUUGUUGCUACAGUCAUUGAUACCUUACCCGCAAUCCUAUAUGCUUAGUAUAGGAUGCUAGUUUAUCAUCGUUGGCUCUACAUUCUUGUCAGUCUGCCUUGCUAUACUAUUGGGCUGUGAUCACUUGGGAGGUGAUCAUGGGUAUAUACUAUUCAUAUAUACAUACUAUACAGAAGGUGACUAAAGUCGGGUCAGCUCGUUGAGUACCCGCAAGUGAUUCCGAUGUGGGGGCUGAAAGGACAGGUGGCUCCAUCCCGGUAGAGGUGGGCCUGGGUUCCUGAAGGCCCCCAACUAUUCCUUUGUGGCGGAGCGGCAGGGCAGGUUGAGACCACCUAGGAGAGAGGUGGGCCUGGCCCUGGUCAGCGUCCGUGGUUACUUCAUAAUAACACGCUUAACGAGAUCUUGGUAUUUGAUCUGAGUCUGGCCACUGGCCUAUACGCACUAACCAACUACGCGGGAAAGAUAUGGGCACUCGACGUCGUGGUAUCAGCCGAAGCCUUCUUGACGUCAGCGACGGAGCGGCGCGCGCCGGAUUGGACUGGAACGCCUACUCUUGUAUAAGGGAGGCUAGGUCUGCUUCCGGCUGCCCUCGCAAUGUGCAGGUGUGCAAUGGGCGAUGGGCCCAGACCCCUGCACGCAUAGGAUUUAGACCGGCGUGUUGACCUCUCUGUUGUGCCUAGGUGGGGCUGCGACGUGUUGAUCUUCCGAGGCCGGGCAUGACCCAGGAAAGUGUGUCCGGCCAAAUGGGAACGAGCGUGUUGGGUUAUGUGGUGCACCCCUGCAGGGAAGUUUAUCUAUUCGAAUAGCCGUGUCCCUCGAUAAAAGGACGACCCGGAGUUGUACCUUGACCUUAUGACAAAUAGAACCGGAUACUUAAUAAAACACACCCUUCCAAGUUCCACAGACAACCCGGUGAUCGCUUUUCCACAGGGCGAUGAGGGAAGGAUCGCCGGGUAGGAUUAUGCUAUGUGAUGCUACUUGGAGGACUUCAAUCUACUCUCUUCUACAUGCUGCAAGACGGAGGCUACCAGAAGCGUAGUCUUCGACAGGAUUAGCUAUCCCCCUCUUAUUCUGGCAUUCUGCAGUUCACUCCACCGAUAUGGCCCUUUACACAUAUACCCAUGCAUAUGUAGUGUAGCUCCAUGCUUGCGAGUACUUUGGAUGAGUACUCACGGUUGCUUUUCUCCCUCUUUUCCCCCUUUCCCUUCUACCUGGUUGUUGCAACCAGAUGCUGGAGCCCAGGAGCCAGACGUCACCGUCGACAACGACUCCUACUACAUUGGAGGUGCCUACUGCUACGUGCAGGCUGCUGACGACGACCAGGAGUAGUUAGGAGGAUCCCAGGCAGGAGGCAUGCGCCUCUUUCGAUCUGUAUCCCAGUUUGUGAUAGCCAUCUUAUGGCAACUUGUUUAACUUAUGUCUGUACUUAGAUAUUGUUGCUUCCGCUGACUCGUCUAUGAUCGAGCACUUGUAUUCGAGCCCUCGAGGCCCCUGGCUUGUAUUAUGAUGCUUGUAUGGCUUAUUUUAUUUUUAGAGUUGUGUUGUGAUAUCUUCCCGUGAGUCCCUGAUCUUGAUCGUACACGUUUGCAUGUAUGAUUAGUGUACGAUUGAAUCGGGGGCGUCACAGGGGCUAAUGUUGAUUGCUUCUUAAACUGAUAUUUUAAAGUCCCAAGGCUCAAUACAAGUGUUAAUCUUGACACUUGGGGGCUAAUGCCUAAUUGAUCAGAUCAACCGGAUGAUAAGGAAUUCCACAAAGUUAAACUUUUCGACAGAAAGACCCAGUUCAUCUUGCAGAGGUCAACCGGCCCUUGGGGGAUACACAGUUGCAGUUUCUUUUAUCAAAGUCCCGGUCCAUCUUGAAGAGAUAAACCGGCCCUUGGGGGCUACAAUGGGAUUGAUAUAAAGCACAAAGAAAGAUUUAUAGAAGUUACCUCAUAGCAUUCUUUCAUCAAGUUGACUAAACCUCCCUCAUAAUCUCGACUUGAAUACAGGCGGUUUAGAUAUCCAGAAUGGAGCUCCUGAGCACUAAGAUGAGCGCAGUUUGACAAAUCAGUAUUCCAUUUGCCUUUUUCCACAGCAGCAGACUCCACUUUGGCACUAUGCUUUGACAAAGCGACAGGGUUGCCAGGGGAAGUGUGGCCAAAACCAGUGAUUACUACAUCAUCAGUCUUGCCAUCAAAAAUGUCAUCUGUGUUGGACGGUUUGGCAGUGGCUCUUGCUGGGCUUGGAGGGUUCGCAGCUGGACUUGGUGGAUUGGCAGCUGGGCUUGGCGGAUCAACAUGAGGACUGGCCGGAUUAACUUCUCGUAGAUCAACAUAAGUGUCCUAACCUUGUGGCACAGGAUCAUCCAUAGCAAUAUCAGUAUCUCCACCAGCGCCUUCUGAGAUCCUCUCCGGUUCAAACUCCUCAGUGGGGAAUAUUCAGUUUUGCUUUUUUGCUAAGUCGGGCUUUGGCACUGCAAAUAGCAAACAGAGGUUAAUAUGGUAAACUAGUGCAAGAAAUUAAAGCUAGAGUUAUCAUACUCACCCAGGGACGGUCUUGAGUGGAGGCAUCUGGGUGGUUGAUGAAUCGCCAGAAGAUGAAUUGGAAGUUACCUGAUAAUUCGAGUCAGACGGAUUAAGAGAAUAUCGGAAGUAACCCGCCAAGGGAUAAGAUUUGUUAGAAUUACAAGAAACCUCUGCACGAUGCUUCUGGAUUGGGGUGUCUGGUAAACCGGAGGAAGUGACUUGCUGGCCACUGUGCCGGGUUGUGCGACAAGCUUCAUGUUGCUAUGUCUUCAAAGAAACAUAUGGAUCCAAAUGAGCAAGAGGAUGUGAGCGUUUCACUUUCCGGACUGCGCGGUGAAGUUUUUGUAUUGGCACAUGAUUUGAAUCGGAGGAAAGGGAGAUUACCUCUACAUGGUUAGCGCGGCUGGCUUCCGCAUCGUCCUGAUAAUGAUCAUUGUCAAUAAGAUGCAUGAAAAAUGAACCAAGGGAGUCAAGUUCUACCUCUGGUUCUGAAUCAUCAACAUCUUAGGGCGGAUCAAAGGACUCGGCGGUUCUCUUUUUAGCAGGCUUCUUGAUGACCUUGGACUUAGCCCGAGGUGCUAUCAUCGGUUUGUCUGUUGGUUUGGUCGGUUUGUCCUGCGAUUACCUCUUCCAAAACGGAUCAUUACUCUGCAAAGAUAAACCGAAAGGCUAUCAGCAAGUGUCAAAGAGGGCGGAUUAAAACAGAAAAAGGCAGUUCUUACAGCUGGCGGUUUGUUGAGAGCACAGAACGGAUGAAGCCCAGUUUUGCUGCAUUCAGCUACCGGUUCAUCCAGCAUCUUCUUAACGCAUUCAGUAAUCUCGACAUCAGUCAAUUGAAUGUCAAUAUAACAUUGAGGGUCUUUCACAUCUCCUGUGUACUUGCACAUUAAACCGGAACGACGGCUCAAAGGCAAGAUACUCCAUGAAACCCAGCAACGGACAAGGUCAAUACCGGUGAAACCAUUUGCCAUAAGAGCCUAGAGCUUAGCAAGAUGUGGUGCAUAUGUUUGUCGUUCUUUGGCAGAAAGCCGUUGAGGCAGUGGAUGUUCAUUGCUGAGCCGGUAAGCACGAUAACCCGACAGAGGAUUUUCAUCAGCAGGAGCAGUGUUCCAGCAGUAGAACCACGUCUAAUUCCAAUCCUUGGGGUGGUUGUGAUGUUUGGCAUGAGGAAAAUUAACUUCUUUCCUUUUCUGAAUCGACACCCCGCCAAGUUCAGUGUUGGGGCCGUCGGUGAAUUCAGUUCGGCGGUUCAAGUGGAAGAUGUCUCUGAACAGUUCAACAGUUGGUUCUUCUUGCAGAUAAACUUCACAAAAUACUUGGAAGUUGCAAAUCUUGGGCAAAGAGUUUGGUCCAAUAUCUUGAGGGUGGAGUUGGAAACUGGCAAGUACAUCACAGAAUUUUUUUGAUCCGGGAGGGCUAAACCCUAGAUCCAGAUGCUGCAUAAACACAACCACUUCUCCAUCUUGAGGUUCAGGAGGAUUUUCAGUACCAGGGACUCUCUAAUGAAUGACCUCCUUCUUGGCUAAGGCGCCAGUCACAACAUAUCCAGUAAGUUGCUCUUCUUUAAUCCGGGAGGGAACCCAAUUACAAGAAGAGAACUGUUUGGCCAUUUUUAUGACAAGCUAUAAAGGAAGUUCAAGUACCGGUUCACGGUUCAAGAUUGAUAUGCAUAAACCGGUGUCAAACCGGGGGAUUUAAUCAAAGCAUAUAUACAUGUUAAACCGGAUACUUAUACUCAAAAAAAGUUGGCGGUUUAAGUAAGGGCUAAUGGUACCUGGCGGAUUAUCAGUUUCUAAGAGUUAAACCGUCUACACUGGAAGAAGCAGAUCUGAAAUUUACUAAGUACUGAAGAAAUAGGUUUCACAAGAUGGUGUUAUAGUUUUGGAUCUACCGCGGUUCAGUAAAGAAAAUUUUCUGAGCCCUAAAAUGGCGACGGCAGAACACCAAAAGUCCAGAUGGGAUCUAUCCAGGCACAAAGAGAUACUAUGGCAAGGUAAACUAAAGCUAUAGCUUCGGCCGCAAAAGGAAGAUGACAAGCUCAUCUAGACUCAAUAAGACAGUAAGGGAGAAGCAACGAACGAGGAUGAACACGGAUGAACACUGAAACCCUAAUGCAGAUCUGAUAAGUUGGAAAGAGGAGAACUUACUGGGGCUGCGGGGCAGUGGAAGAGCGUCGCAGUGUUUUUGGUCAAGAACAGGUUGAUGCAGUGGCCUAGUUGGUGCAGAUGCAAAGGUCGGCGGCGGCGGUGAUGCUUGAGCUCUUCGGAGUCACGAGGAAGAAGAAGAGGCAAGGGGGAAAAAGAAAGGACCCCUGGGCCUAUUUAUAAGGUGAAUGGAUAAGUAAGGCAAGCGCGGGAAUCGAGGAGCCCGAAACAGAGAAUAGGGCAUAGCUGUCGCCUCGAUCUUUGGAUAUCAGUUCAUAAAAAAGAAAUCUUUAUGAUUUUUUUACACAGAUGACGUCAUGGCGGUUUAAGGCGACUCCAGAAGAUGACGUCACGGCAGUUUACAAGGACAACACAAAGACGUUCAAAUCAGAAUCUUUCUAAGUUGAAGAUUGACAUGAAAAGGUUCAAAUCAAUCUGGGGCCUAAUGUUGGGGAUAUGACUACUGAGUUAAACAGCCCAAGAGGGGCCGGGUUAACUCACAAGGCGUCCUAUGCAAGAGCCCGUGAAGAUGAAGGCUAUGGUGCUUUAACCAUGAAGACUUUGAGGCCCAGAGCCCGAUGGCGGAUUAGGGCCCGUAUUGGUAAACCGCCAUAGAUGUGUAACUUGUGUUGUAAGUCAGGGAAAGGAGAAAUCGAGCCGGACACUUGUAUGAACCGGCCUCGGGAUUCUGUAAACCGGCCCGAGCGUCAACCUGUGUAUAUAUAGGGACGACCCGGUGGCGGUUCAGGGACAGGAAACAACAACUCGAGAACUAGGCAAAGCAUAUCUGCUCCCUGGUAAUCGAGACCACAUCAAGAACACCACAACUGGAUCGUAGGCUUUUACCUUCACCGCAAGGGGCCAAACCAGUAUGAACUCCCUGUGUCCUUUGUCCGGUUUAACCCCUCUAAGCUAACCCGAUCGCGAUGGCUCCACGACUAAGUCCUUUCACUAGGACAUCUGACGUGAUAAUUCCAUGACACUACUAACCCACCUUGAGUUUGUCCCGAUAUAAGGGUCGUCGGCACGGUGCCUGUGCAUGGGUUCGUCCCUGCAGUGCUGAAAAACCUGAGGGGCCGAGCUCUGGCUCGCAGCCAGCCCCGCACACGCCACCUCACCAGGCCCUCAGUGCCUUCGCUUGUAGGAUCGUCGACACGUCAGCAGGCAUUAUUCUAUAUCAUGCUUCCUUCCUCCAGCUAACCUGCAAGAAUCUCAGGACCGGUUUAGCGGGUCACGAUCCCAUCAAGGCGCCUGCGCGAGGCCAACUGUCUCCUUCCUCCACCCAACUCUUUUGUGCGUUAAACGGGGAGCCUCUGAGCAUCGCGCGUCAACGGCCCCUACUGGCCCCCGAGCACUCACCCCCGGCCUUGCCCACGACAUCGCGACCUGGCAUACCAGUGGCGGCUGAGCCGCGCUCGGGAGCCGAGACCCAAGGAUGUAGAGCACCCAGAUGAGGGGAAGGGAAUGGGACGAUGUGAGCCUCGCUUGAGUACUGCCGCGGCCAUGGGAACAUGGCCAGACGUCGCGCAAAGGUUGCCGCUACAGCAUGAAGACAAACGUGAAUCAAAAGAUAAGUCCUUAAACAUGUGCAUAGCAUUAAUCUCGCAAUCGAUGCCACGCCCCUCGUGACCUAGCUGGGGAAAGGGUGCUUCCCUUUCAGUCCUUCGGGAGCUGCUUGCGCGUCAAGGGGGACCUCCUGAGAAUCGCGCCUCACGGGCUCUUAUCGGACCUCGGGCUGCUCACCUCCUGGCCUUGACCACGGCAUCAUGACCUAGCAUACCAACGACUGCUGAAGCCUACCUGGGGACUAGGUCCCGCAGACGUAGAGCGCUAACCUACCACGAGAAUGAAAGGGGGGAUCGUGCCUUAGCAAGAGACGCAAGCGCAACAUUAAUUGGAAAGCGAUAGUUACUAAGCAAAAGUAUUACAUUAUUUUUACAUGCCCCCACGGGGUUCGUCAUGACAUGUUGCAGGGAUGAAACAAAAGAGGGAGUCCUAAGGAGAUCACGGCCCCGAUGGCUUCACCGACGACGUCGGGCUGACGCCGUUCCCGAGGCACGAGCAUGGCGGCUCGAUGGCUCGUAGCUGAAGUCGUCGCUUGAAUCAUGCUCGGAAGAAGCACUGCUGCUAUCCGAGGAAGCACUGCCGCUGCCGGAGGAGUCGCUGGCAAGGCCAAGGGCAAGUUCACCGCCGAUGGCCCUGUCAUCGCAACCUCCUCCGCUAGGGUAGCACCCCAAGCGUUGGCCUUCCUCAUUGAAGAUCCUGGAGAAGAGUGUCGAUGCCCCAUUGUACGUGAAGUAGAUGGCCUGGGUCCCCUCCGGGCGACACGUGCGAGCAAUUGCGCCCCACCCAUAGGUCAUGAAGGCGUCGCCGGUGUCCAUGACCUCGACAUCAGCUUCUGUGGCCUGGCCGUAACACCCGCCGUGCUGCAGCCAUACCUCGACUGGUCCUCUCGGUGGUAUCUCCCUCGCAAAGGGACUAGGGAGGCGAAUCCAUGUGUGCGGCAGCGUUGCCGCCCACACCAUGAACUCCUGGGUUGAGCCUUCGGCAUGGGCUCGCGAAGGAGGCAGCCCAGUGGUUGCCGCUCGCCUUCCUCCACGGCUCCGCUCCUCGCGAUGCCGGUCAUCUUGCGCAGGGCCCUGUGCGCGGGCGUACAAGGUAAUCGGGAAGCCCGGCGGAGCCCGUUCGUGCCAAGGCCCGUCACCACGGCCUCGUCAGCAUUACCCCAGGAGUGAUCCAGCCUCUUCUUCGACGGGAACCGCUCGGCUUCCACCUCAGGAGCUUCUCCCUUCUCCGCCGCGGAGAACCUCCUGAUUAGCGCCAUGGGUACUCUGGCAAGAUGGUGGGGCGAGGAGAAGGAAGAGCAAGGAUCAAGAAGAUGGAGAUGGGUAGGGGGCUCCGCUCGCUCCCGCAUUUAUAGCUAGGGGAAGGUAAAUAGUCGGCCUCCCACAAUCCCCAGUAAUGAUGAUUCUCUCUACAUGCGGCAUGCAGUUGUCAAGUAGAACGGUUGUCGAGGCGACAUGGGGAAGCGGAAACGCCCAUGUCCCAUCAAGCGCCACGUGUCGGCUCGGUCCGCAUGCGAUUGGGGCCGGCGGUGUUCCGCACACUUGCCUUUUGGCUUCGCGUCGAAGCCAAGUGCGAGCACGCCUUGGGCCCGGGGGUUUCUGUCGGCAUUCUGGGAACUAGGGUGCCCAUUCCUGCCUGCAUGCAGCCCACAACGUGGCUCCAUCGACGGCCUGGUACAACCAGCUUUGACUACAGCAAGACAAGACCCUCGCAAGGGGCCAAGCCUCACGAGACAGGCGACAUCAAGACCUCCCGAGGGAGCGGCCUUCUUAGGCUGCCUCCUAAGCAGAGCGGAGAUUUAUAUGCAAGUCCCAGCCUCACGAGGCUGAAAUGACAUCAGCCAUGAUGACCAAGGCCAAGCGUGCGCCAGCAGGCGCAGUACAGCAGGUUUCCUCUUUGGUACAAAGGAGGCAAGCGCAGGUGUGGAGUCCAAGGAAUCAGCCAAAUGUUGCCAUUUGCAUGCAACAAGACCAAGACCACCAGAACGGUGGGAUGGAUGUCAUCACCGAGCCCACCAUGAUGUCAUGCUUAGAGGCUUUGUAGGUGAAUACCACCUUUCGUCAGGAUUAGAUGUACUUCUUUUUCCCUUUCAAAUUUGGCCGUUGUGGGAUCCCUUCCUGCCUAAGUUUCAGAGUAAGAGGACCAAGGCCACUAUAAAUAGGGCCUAGCCACCACUGUAGAGAGAGAUCGAUCAAUCAGCUCACCAGACGAUUAGCUCAUAGAACCACCAAAGAACUCACCACAAGAACACGCCUCCUGAGGCUGUUCUUCCACUUGUACUAGUUCUUCCUUAGCCCAUCGCAAGGCCAAUCCAUAACAAAGCAGGAGUAAGGAAUUACACCGCAAGGUGGCCCGAACCUGGGUAAACUGUUGUGUCUUUAUCUGCCGUGUUCAUCAAGCUAGGUCGUGAGAGCAGUGGAUCAGGAGGCUUGAGAGGUUGAGUUCUUCGCACACGCCCCUGAGUUCGAUUCUUUCUUGGGUCUGCGAAGCCCGGAAUCCGACAUUUGGUGUGCCAGGUAGGGGCUUGUCGAAGCCUCUCUUCCACCAGUUUCACCCCCGCUCCGCCGUUCUCAUGGCGGAUGCUUGUCGAGUUCACGCUGAGCGUUGGGCAUCCCUUGCCGCGCGCGUCCCCCAGACGGCGCCUGCUGGUAACGGUGCUCCUCGCCGCUCCCUGUCGCCUGUGGCCAAUGCUUCCACUGGCCCUGCAGCCCACAAGCAGCAGGAUUCAUCGCUGCCACCCUCUGUGCAACGCGAUGGCCGCACCGCCAUUCCAUCGCUGACCCCGGCCGCUGCCUCGUCCUCCCACGCCCGUUGCGGGCCGGCGAGCGCACAGUCGGCGCAGCUCAUGGCGCGUGAUAUUCUAUGCUAUCGUCGAGUCGACAACCUCUACAAGGAUUGGCUGGACUGCAUCUCCGAGCUCGUCAGCGCUGGUGGAGACACUUCGGCGCCGUCCCGCUCGCUGCCUCCACCGCAGCCUCAGGCGGGUGACGUAGUAGUCGAUGUCUGGAUUAAUAGUAGUAGAUGCAAAAUCGUUUCGAUUUACUAAUCUUGGACGUGAUACGUAUAUGUUUGAUCAUUGCCUUGGAUAUCGUCAUAAUUAUUUACUUUUCUAUCAAUUUCUUGUCAGGACCCCGACUCAAUGCCACAUCGAUCUAGCAUGUAACACCUCAUAUCACUUUGCGGCCUCACGCACGGUAUUCCCACGGGUGUCGCCUUACCUUUGCCCGGGACCGUUUGCGCCUUUUGGCACACGUAUAUGACAGUGUCGCUAGCAUCCAUAUGAUAAGGAGCCCGGGCUGACAUGGCUAGUCGUAAACCCAAAGUGGCACAGACUUAUAGGGACAGGCAUCCAUGACCCAGCAUCGAACGUGUCGGUCAUCAGCGAGUGAAUCCAGGCUGUAGCACUGGGCUAGCAGGACUCCGGUGAACCGGGCUGUAGCACGCUAACAGGACUCCGGUAUUCAUCGCGUGACAUUUCCCCGAAGGGACAGACACAGGAACGAAGAAGGACACAUGCCGGCCAGCCUAAGUGUUCCGGAGCAGUAGCAAGCUACCAUGGCUCAGUGGAAACACUAGGAGACAUUUCCCGGUAAGAGAGGCUACUAAAGAUAAACAACUAGAUGGUCAGAUCCCACACAUACCAAGCAUUUCAAUAACAUACACACAAUAUGCUCGAUAUGUGCAAUACAACAUGGCAUCACAAAAUGACAAUAAUUCCACACCUAAGAAGGUGGUAAACGAUUGUCAACGUAGCGAGGAGUUGAGUUGCCAUGAUACCACGACGAAACAUCCUGGAGGAGGGCGAUUCGUAGAUUAUUAUCUUAAGUGGCAAAAAGAAUUACUUUUGAUUCAGAGAUCAUUGGAACUCUUUAUACCAGCCUAAGGUAAUCACAAGCGAUCAUUUGGAGGGGGUCGGUAGAAUGGCAUACUCAGACUUGGAUGAUGUGGAUUACCUUGUUGAAAACAACGUAAUGGAUGAAUUUUGCUUAUCACCGGAAAUGGAAGAGACCCAUGGUAGAAUGGCACAUUGGCGGUGCAAGCUGGGAACAAAAUGCAAAUGCUGGGAAUGAUUCUGGUAACUGGGGAAGAACCCAACAAUAGAGAGUGAAUUCACUGUUGGACUGGUUAUAGCAUAACCGAAGAAUCUGGGGCAAUCCCAGCUAGUGCCGAUGAUAAGACGUAGCGCUUGUGCGUGCUCUCAAGAACUUAAGCAUUUCCACAUUCAUCAAGAUUUUACCAAUAUCCGUGUCAAGGAUUCUGGUAACACAACUUACUACCAUGAUGAAUGAGGAAGGAUGACGCAGAUGCAAAGGAAGAUAACACUUUCUCAGAUUUCACCUUAGCGAGGCCAAGGAAACAAAAUCUGGACGAUCGACCGAGAGACAUUUAGCACUCCGCUUCUAAUGUUCUCCUUGAUGUGCUAGUGUAACCCAUUCAUAGAUAUGGUUUGAUACCUAGAACAUCAAGUAAAAGGUCGGACUUCGGGAAUACAGAAAUCCAUAAGGAACAACUAGGGAGUAAAUCCUACGAAGUCCUUAUGGGAAGGUGGCCAACUUCAUCAAUCAAGAUAUUAUAAUAACAGGUCUUCCGGCUGGGUGUGUUGGCCAUGACAUCCACUUUCCCGGUUAUCGCAAGACCAAUAUUAUAGUUCUUGGGAAAUGUUCCAACCAUCACAUCUGCCUGAGAUUCAGAUCUGGUUGGUGUCAGAAUAUUCCAGACCCAUCGAGUCUAGGAAGGAAAAAUGAAAGUUUGCAACACAAAUCGACGAGAUGACGUUGCGGGAUUCUCGGGAGAUGAACUACGAUAGCAAGCUCCAAAACAUGAGCUGGUUCUGCUACAAACAUGUGAACACGUUGUCCAAGACAAGCAUGACCACAAAGUAGUCUUAUAAUAAAACACUACCGAGUUCAGGUUGGGAACCAUCAGCGAGGAUAUCGAAGUUCUUUCAUAAGUCCGGAUUAGCUCUUAUGAAGGAACUCCUUCUCCUCGAACAAAUCAGUCAGUGGCUUGGUGUGCUAGGGAUACAUAUAGAUUGAAGGUUGCAAGUCUUCAAACCACAGCAUUCUUCGCACGUGUGCAUGACUGAUUUGGAAUGAUUCCAAAGAAAGCAACAUUGACUUUCUCGAAUCCACGGUGGCAACUUGCAUCAGAUGCACAUGAAUUAAAGGAAGUCACUACCUUCAUCCAAACAUAUGCUUCAUGAGCUAGCAUGAACAAAUGCUUUCAAAAGUUCCCAACACUAGCUUAAUGUUCAGCAAAAUUAUGGAGAAGACAAGGAUGUUGUCAAUGGGCACAACAACAAUUCAUCUGGGUUUCCUUUUAAAAGGAAUUCCAUAGUUAAGUGAACAAGUGAUAGCAUUGGCCAGACCUAAAAGAUAUAAUGGUGUAUGCUCGAGGGAUCAACCACGAAUAAGACAACAUUACGAGCAUCGUUGGUACUGAUUUGAUUUGACGAUAGCCCACACUCAAAUCAAAGGAUUGAUAAGACAAUAGGUCCAGCAACUGAUCACAGGGACCAAUCAAUGAAGAUAUCAUCUUUCUUCAACACACACUACACAAGAAUAUCCCUUUGGAACGAACUAAGUCAGGCAAGCUUUUAUCUUCCAACCCUCCAAGUUAUUGUUUAGCUUAACCAACUAGCUCAGGGAUAUCUAACACCGAUUCUUGGAGAGAAGGUGGUUCACAAGAAACCAACUGGAUCACGAGCUCAACAUAGCGGUCAGGUGACAACCUGGUGAUACUUCCGAGAAGACAUUCAGAAAAUCACGAACCACCGAUAUGUUACUAAGCUCGAGAACAAUCUUGCUUUUCAGGGCAAGAUGAUAUGAUCAAAUGAGCGAGGACUUGACAAAAUCCUAACUCAUCAAUCAAAGAGUGCACCAGGAAAUAAGGACUAGGUAGCACGAUCAGUCUUAGAGGGAUGAUUCAAAAACCGACACACUAAGAAUGAAAUUAUUGUCCUUUAACUACCCAGCAACGAGGUUGCUAGGCGUAUUGAUUUCACACAUCACAAUUCAUUUGUCGGUAUUCCGGUUGCAUCAACACGAAGACCGAGGAAUGACUAAUGACGACAAGAAGUAUCACUGUACCAAGAGUUCAUAGGAUGGUGUGCAAUUCCUAUAACAAUCCCGAUUUAAAGAUGGUAAUACUCCAAGGUAGAACAGAGCAAAAGCUGGAUUGGCAUUUUGAUCUGCGGAGCACAACUUCUUUGACCCAAUCCUGGAUAUGGGAGAGGUACUGGAGUUUGUUUCUCCUAGUCGUUCUGCGAUAGAAUGGCUUGACGGACCACAAGAGUAAUAGGCAUCGAUAAACGGACGCACGCAUACUCUUGACUAUCAAUUGAUAGACGAGGGUCAGAAUGCAACUAAAGAGAGACAAUUCAAAGGAACUUAUGAUUUUCUGAGUUGUGGAUGCAUGGUUUAGCAUGUCGAACGAAUUCCACAUGUUUCUUCCGGAUAACCCAUGCAGAAAAGUAGAACUGGCAGAGUUACAAUGUAGAAUUGAGAACCCAUCGAGAGCACUCUGAUUGUGAUCUUUCGAUCAGCGAGGAACAUCUGCCAUAAGCGGUUCAUAGUAUUUGGAAGAAAGGAAUACCACGAACAUCGAGGACUAAUGCAAAGGUUACUAAUAUCCUAAAGGAACUAGCAAACACUAUCAACAUGAAAUAAGUAGGGUGGAUCUCGGGUUCAAAAACCCAGGAAUAGAAUACCUACUACUAAGUAGCAUCACGGGAUGCUUUCGAGAAUGAUGGCCAGAAUCAUCACACUGGGAACACAAAUCAUGGCUAAAUUACUAGAUGAUCCCCUAAGACACCUAGGGUCAUAAUAAUAACUCCAACAUAAAGGUCGAGGCANNNNNNNNNNGGGAGCACGGCAGGAGGAGCUGGGGCGUGCUACGGACUCCUGAGAUCACGGUGAGCACGUCAGUGGGCUCGGAUACGAGCUGGGGUGGCUGUGGCCACGGCCACGCCAUGGCCGGCGGCGAGAGAUUCUCGGGCAAAGUGGUGGGGCUAGCUAGAGAGGGAGGUGGGGCACGGGGAGAGGGGGAAUCGAGUCGAGGGCUCACCGCGGUUCUUCUGGUGCUGCUGGCGAGGCAGGGGAGGCACGGGGUCCGGCGAAUCGACGGAGGGGAGCUUCGGUGGCCGGCGACGGAACGGCGAUGGUGACGGCGUUGCAGGGCUUCCGGAGGGCCGUGGUUCGGUGGGGAGGAAGGAGGGGGUCGAGGCGGAGCUCCUGGGUGCAUCGGCAAGGCUAGGGGUGCACGGUGGCUGCGGCAAUCGGCGUCGGUGGCGGCGGCUCCGUUCGGGCCCGAGGUGCGGAGCGAGAGGGAGAGCAGGAGAAGGGGAUGAGUGAGGGGGUCCAGGGGUUCGACGCGGCGCCGAAGAGAAGGCCCGAGGCGUCGCGGUGGCGAGGGACGCAGGCAGGCAGGGAGGUGGCGUGGCGCCACGGCGCGCGCGUGCGCUGUCUCCCUCCUCUGCCUACUGGCAGAGGUAGAGGACGACUGGCACCAGGCCAGUGGGCUGGGCUGUCCACUGGGCCAGCCAGGUAAGGGCCCAGGUAAGACUCUCUCUCCUUUUUCUAAUUAUUUCAGUUUUGUUUUAUUUAAUUUCGUUUUGCCACUGUUUUGAGUUUUAGACAAAUUCAAACAAUGCCAAAAACUCCUCUGAAUAAUUUUAUUUGGCUAGAUGGACUUUUCCAAAAGCUCAUAAAAUAUUUCAGGGGUAUUUGAAAUUAUAUUCUAAUUAUAUGAAUAUAAUUCAAAUUCAAAUAGCUAAUGAUUUAAAUUCAAAGUCCCAAAAAUAAAUCCUUAAAAAUGUUCAAUAUUUUGGUUGGGACCAGAACCCUUACCAAAAAUUAUCAAACAUUUAAGAAGAGCCUUUUGGAGCAAUGAAUGAGAUUUCUAGGGUUUUUGCCCCUCUUUUAUUUAGGGUUUUGAGGCUUCCAAUAUUCCUCAAUUCAAGUUUCAAAAAUAUAGACAUGAUGCACACAUGAAGCUAGGCUAGAGCAAUGCCAGAAGCUAGGGAUGUGACAUUUCUCAACAGUAAUUUGUUUACCCAUCAUAUGCUAUUUUAUAGAGAGAAGCCUCUAGUGAAAACUAUGGGCCCGGGUCUAUCUUUUAUCAUAUAAAAAUCCUAAAAAUACCUUGCUGCAAUUUUAUUUUAUUUAUUUUAUUUGUAUUUUUUAAGAUCUAACUAUCAAAUCCUAUACAAUUUAAUCUUGCUCGUAACCAUUGAGGGAUUGACAGCCCCUCUAUAUGUUGGGUUGCAAGUAUUUGUCGUUUAUGUGCAGGUGUUGUUUACAUAGUGUUGCUUGGUUCUCCUACUAGAUUGAUAACCUUGGUUUCAUAAUUGAGGGAAAUACUUAUCUCUAUUGUACUGCAUCAUCCCCUACUCUUCAGGGAAAUCCCAACGCAGCUCACAAGUAGCACACACCGAUCAUGCUGCUAUUAAAUAUCUUAUGGAAAAGAAAGAUGCUAAACCUAGGUUGAUUAUGUGGGUUCUUUUGCUACAAGAAUUGGAUUUUCUUAUUAUUGAUAGGAAGGGAGCUGACAAUCCCGUAGAUGAUAAUUUGUCUAGAUUGGAAAAUGUUCUUGAUGACCCACUGCCAAUCCCGUAGCUGUUAUAAAUGAUUCUCGUAAUACUUCUUGGUAUGCAGACUAUGCUAAUUACAUUGUUGCUCUAUAUAUACCUGUUGUUUCACAUACCAACGAAAUACAAGGUUCUUAUUUGAUUUAAGACAUUACUUUUUGGAUGACCCACAUCCUUAUAAUGAAGCAGUAGAUGGUAAUUUUUAUUAUUUGUGUACCUGAGCAUGAACAGGAACAAAUCAUACGGAAGUGUCAUUUUGAGGCAUAAGGAGGACACCAUGCUGGAGAUAGAACCACACAUAAGGUAUUACCAUCUGGUUUUUAUUGGCCUACUCUUUUUAAGGAUCCACGUCAGUUUGUCUUAUCUUGUGAUGAAUGUUAAAGAAUUGGUAAUAUUGGUAGACGUCAGGAAAUGCCUAUGAAUUAUUCACUUGUUAUUGAACCAUUUGAUGUUUGGGGAUUUGAUUAUAUGGGACCUUUUCCUUCCUAUAAUGGGUAUACUCAUAUUCUAGUUGAUGUUAAUUACGUAACUAUGUGGGUAGAAGCUAUUCUAACUAGUAGUGUUGAUCAUAACACUUCUAUUAGAAUGCUUAAAGAAGUUAUUUUCCCGAGGUUUGGAGUCCCUAGAUAUCUAAUGCCCGAUGGUGGUUCAUAUUUUAUUCAUGGCCCUUUCCGAAAACCUCUUGCUAAAUAUGAUGUUAACCAUAGAAUUGCAUCUCCUUAUCAUCCUGAGUCUAGUGGUCAAGUUGAAUUGAGCAACAGAGAAAUCAAGUUAAUUCUGUAAAAGAAUGUUAAAAGAUCUAGAAAGAAUUGGUCUAAGAAACUAGAUGAUGCAUUAUGGGCUUAUAGAACUGCUUAUAAGAAUCCUAUGGGCAUGUCUCCGUAUAACAUGGUCUAUGGAAAAGCAUUCCAUUUACCUCUUGAGCUAGAACAUAAAGUGUAUUGAGAAAUUAAAGAACUUAACUAUGAAUUCAAACUUGCUGGUGAAAAGAGGUUAUUUGAAAUUAGCUCGUUAGAUGAGUGGAGAACCCAAGCAUAUGAAAAUGCCAAGUUAUUUAAAGAAAAAGUUAAAAGAUGGCAUGAUAAAAGAAUUCAAAACAGGAAUUCAAAGUGGGUGAGUAUGUUCUAUUGUACAACUCCUGUUUCAGAUUCUUUGCAGGAAAACUUCUCUCUAAAUGGGAAGGACCGUAUAUCUUCGAAGAAGUUUAUCAUUCCAGAGCUAUCAAGAUCAAUAAAUCCAAAGGCACUAAUCUGAGGGUGAUCAAUGGACAAAGAAUUAAACAUUAUAUUUUAGGUACACCCAUUAAUGUUGAAACUAACAUUGUUCAAAUUAUGGCACCGGAGGAGCACAUAAGUGAGACCUUCCAGAACACUCCAGAACCCUGAAAAGGGAUUGGUAUGUGACACGGUGAGUAAACCGACUCCAGAACUUCCAUAAAAAAUAUUGUCCAUUUUGGAAUAUUAGAAAAAGAUACCAAAAUAAUAAACAGCCGAGGGGACCCACAUGGCACCUGGGGUGCCCUGGUGGCUUGUGGGCCCCCCGUGUGCCUUCCCGACUCUGUUUUCUUCUAGAAUACUUGUUUUGCAAGAUAAAUAUUAUGUAUAUAUAUUGCCAUAUGUUUUGCUCAUAGUAUCACAGAGGUCUCCUCUAUUCUUGUUUCACGCUGUUUUCUGGCAGAUCUGACAGUAUGUCAUCUGAAGACUCAGAUGGAGAAAGCUUUUUAUCACACUAUGUUGCAAAUCCGAGGAUCUAUGGGGACAUAUAUCCCUAUGGAUGAUCCACGGAGGAAGAGCGAGACGUUGAUUUGAAGAGGACGGAGGACACAAGUUCAGCAGAAGAUGAAGCCCCUCUACCUCAACCAGGGGAUGUGCAUGUGGAGUUCAAGAAAUUGAGCCUCCCAAACAUAGUAAACGAAUCUAAGUUUCAAUUUAUCCAUCUCCAUCUUCUAUAGGAAAACAAGAACGUAUUAUGUGAGACCGUAUUGAAGCUUGAGCAAGUAGUUGGCAAUCAUAGAAGGCUAAAUGAUAGUUGAGUAUGUGGACUUGCUAAACAAAAGCUCUUACAUGAGACCCUUCUUGAAAUAUGAUAAAUUGUAAUUUCCUUGUUGACUGAGAACAUAGUUUGUUAGUUUUCAAGAAAGUUUAUGCUUUAUACUUUGUUAUUGUGGACAAUUAUUACUUUCUCAUGAGAAGUUCUAUGAUAGUAUUUAUUGAUGCUAUGAUAAUGAUCAUGAUGCUACUAUGUUCGUAUUUUCUUUUAUCAACACUUCUCUCUCUAAACAUGCUGUCAUGAUUAUCGAUGUCAGCUUUCGUUUGAGGAAAAGCGAGGUCUAAGCUUGGUUGAGUUGAUACAUCCAUUUUGCAUCAUGUUUUACUAUUGUUAUUUAUAGUGUAUUUGAUCAAUAUGAUACUUUGUAGUGUAAUUCUAAUGCCCUUUCGCUCUUAAUUUUCAAGAUUUACAUGAAGAGGGAGAUUGCCGGCAGGUGGAAUUCUGGACCUGAAAAAGCUAUGUCAGAGAUACCUAUUCUGAAAAACUCCUAAUGAGUUGAAAUUUCAUGGAGAAUUAAUUUGGAAUAUAUAAAUAAUACUGGAGAAAAGAAAUACCAUAGGAGGCCCACCAGGUGCCCAUGAGGCACAUGGGCGCUCCUAGGUGGCUUGUGGGGCCCCUGGCCAGCCUUCGAGGCCCAUCUUCUCCAAUAUGAUGUCAUUUGCCCUAGAAAAAUAAGAGAAGGACUUUUCGGACAAAGAUCCACUAUGUUGAGGCGAAACCUGGGCAUGAGCACUUUUGCUCUUCGGUGGAGCGAUUCCGCCGGGGAUACUUCCCUCCGGGAGGGGGAAAUCGAAGCCAUCGACAUCACCAACAACCCUCUCAUUGUGGGAGGACCAAUCUUCACCAGCACCAUCUCAUCUCAAAACCUAGUUCAUCUCUUGUAUUCAAUCUUUGCCUAAAAACCUUAGAUUGGUACUUGUGGGUUGCUAGUAGUGUCGAUUACAUCUUGUAGUUGAUCCUACUUAGUUUAUUUGGUGGAAGAUUAUAUGUUAGAUCCUUGAUGUUAUUCAACACCCCUCUAAUCUUGAACAUGAAUAUUAUUUGUGAGUAGUUACUUUUGUUCUUGAGGACAUGGGAGGAGUCUUGUCAUAAGUAAUCAUGUCAAUUUGGUAUUCGUUCGAUAUUUUGAUGGUAUGUAUGUUGUUGUUUCCCUUAGUGGUGUCGUGUGAACGUUGACUAUAUGACACUUCACCUUAUUUGGGCCUAAGGGAAGGCAUUAUGGAGUAGUAAUUAGAUGAUAGGUUGCUAGAGUGACAGAAGCUUAAACCCUAGUUUAUGCGCUAUUUCGUAAGGGGCCAAUUUGGAUCCAUGUGUUUCAUGCUAUAGUUAGAUUUAUCUUAAUUCUUCUUUCACUAAGAACGCUUUGCUUGUUAUAAGAGAUCAUUCUGGCAUGUCCUUUGCUAUAAAAAGGAUUGGGCUAACUUUAUGCACCUUUGUUACAAUUGUUACUUGUUGCUAGUUACAAAUUACCAUGCUAUAAAACUACCUGUUACCGAUAAUUUCGGUGCUUCCAGACAUUACCUUGCUGAAAACCGCUUGUCAUUUCCUUCUGCUCCUAGUUGGGUUCGAAAGUUCAGUUUCUACUGUUCGGUUAUUUCUCAAAAUCGGUUAGUCAGAUUACUAACCAAAAAAUGCACAAAAAAAUCAGAAACAAAAAAUUCGGUUAACCGGAAGUUCGGUUUGGUUUUCAGUUUACACCAAAAAAAAUAGCUUCAUUAUUCAUCAGCCAGCUACGUGCACUUUAGCUGUGGCACCCUGCCUUCUUAAAUAGCCAACGUCACUACCUCGUCUCGUCAAGCUAAGCGAGGUGGGACAAAUCCUAAUGAAGUCACAUACUGGCACAGACUGGGAGAAGCAAUUAUGUACAAAGUGGGCCUUGGAUGAUAGCACGUACGUAGCCGACCCAUGAGACAAACAAGGUCGUCCCUGACUGGCGUGCGGCCACGCGCGUAUGUGGAAAGGUCAAUAGCAACCUAGGUGCUACUAUUUAUGCACUACUUCGGUUUCUAUUUCGGUAAUCGGUUUAAAAUCGAAAUUUCCUGUAGAAGUGAGAAAAAGAGAAAAUUGGUUUUUUCGGUUUUGGCAUCGGUUCGGUAUUUGGUUUGUCGGUUUUUAUGCCCACCCCUACACAUGUCCAUGGCUAGGAAACUUAACCAUCUUUGGUCAACAAGCUAGUCAAGUAGAGGCAUACUAGGGACACGGUGUUUUGUCUAUGUAUUCACACAUGUAUCUAGUUUCCGGUUAAUACAAUUCUAGCAUGAAUAAUAAACAUUUAUCAUGAUAUAAGGAAAUAUAAAAUAAGAACUUUAUUAUUGCCUCCAGGGCAUAUUUCCUUCAGUCUCCCACUUGCACUAGAGUCAAUAAUCUAGUUCACAUCGCCAUGUGAUUUAACACAGAUAGUUCACAUCCGUAUGUGAUUAACACCCAUAGUUCACAUCGCCAUGUGACCAACAACCAAAGGGUUUACUAGAGUCCAUAAUCUAGUUCAUAUCGCUGUGUGAUUAACACCCAAAGAGUACUAAGGUGUGAUCAUGUUUUGUUUGUGAGAGAAGUUUAGUCAAUGGAUCUGCAAUAUUCAUAGUCGUAUGUAUUUUUCCAAUUUUCUAUGUCUACAAUGCUCUGCAUGGAGCUACUCUAGCUAAUUGCUCCCACUUUCAAUAUGCAUCCAGAUUGAGACUCAGAGUCAUCCGGAUAGAUGUAAAAGCUUGCAUCGACGUAACUCUUUAUGAUGAACUCUUUAUCACCUCCAGAACCAAGAAAUAUUUCCUUGGUCCUCUUAGGUAACUAAGGAUAACUUUGACCGCUAUACAGUGAUCCACUCCUGGAUCACUAUCGUACCCCCUUGCCAAAAUCAUAGCAAGGCACAGAACUGGUCUGGUACAUAGCAUAGCAUAGUUUAUAUGAGCUAUGACUGAGGCAUAGGGAACGACACUCAUUCUCUUUCUAUCUUCUGCCAUGGUCGGGCUUUGAGUCUUAUGCAACUUUACACCUUGUAAUGCACGCAAGAAUUCCUUCUUUGACUGAUCCAUUUUGAACUCUUUCAAAAUCUUCUCAAGGUAUGUACUCACUGAAAAAUCUUAUCAAGCGUCUUGAUCUAUCUCUGUAGAUCUUGAUUCCCAAUAUGUAAGCAGCUUCACCGAGGUCUUUCUUUGAAAAUCUCCUUUCAAACUCUCCUUUAUGCUUUCCAGAAAAUUCUACAUCAUUUUCAAUCAACAAUAUGUCAUUCACAUAUACUUAUCAAAAAGGCUAUAGUGCUCCCGCUCACUUUCUUGUAAAUAAAUGCUUCACCACAAGUUUGUAUACAAGUAUAUGCUUUGAUCAAUCCAUCAAAGAGUAUAUUCCAACUCCGAGAUGCUUGCACCAGUCCAUAGAUGGAUCGCUGGAACUUGCACACCUUGUUAGUACCUUUAGGAUUGACAAAACCUUCUGGUUGCAUCAUAUACAACUCUUUUUUAAGAAAUAUCCAUUUAAGGAAUGCAGUUUUAACAUCCAUUUGCCAGAUUUCAUAAAAUAUGGCAAUUGCUAACAUGAUUCGGACGGAUUUAAGCAUCACUACCGUUGAGAAAAUCUCAUUGUAGUCAACACCUUGAACUUGUCAAAAACCCUUUGCGACAAGUCAAGCUUCAUAGAUAGUAACACUACUAUCAGCGUCUAUCUUCCUCUUGAAGAUCCAUUUAUUUUCUAUGGCUUGCCGAUCAUCGGGCAAGUCCACCAAAGCCCACACUUUGUUCUCAUACAUGGAUCCCAUCUCAGUUUUCAUGGCCUCAAGCCAUUUCGCGGAAUCUGGGCUCAUCGUCGCUUCCUCAUAGUUCGUAGGUUCAUCAUGGUCUAGUAACAUGACUUCCAAAAUAGGAUUACCGUACCACUCUAGUGCGGACCGUACUCUGGUUGACCUACGAGGUUCGGUAGUAACUUGAUCUGAAGUUUCAUGAUCAUCAUCAUUAUCUUCUUCACUAAUUGGUGUAGCAAUCACUGGAACUGAUUUCUGUGAUGAACUACUUUGCAAUUCAGGAGAAGGUACAAUUACCUCAUCAAGUUCUACUUUCCUCCCACUCCCUUCUUUCGAGAGAAACUCCUUCUAUAGAAAGGAUCCAUUCUUUAGCAACGAAUAUCUUGCCUUCAGAUCUGUGAUAGAAGGUGUACCCAACAGUUUCUUUUGGGUAUCCUAUGAAGACACAUUUCUCCGAUUUGGGCUCGAGCUUAUCAGGUUGAAGCUUUUUCACAUAAGCAUCGCAGCCCCAAACUUUAAGAAAGGGCAGCUUAGGUUUGUUGCCAAACCAGAGUUCAUAUGGUGUCCUCUCAAUGGAUUUUGAUGGUGCCCUGUUUAACGUGAAUGUAGAUGUCUCUAAUGCAUAAUCCCAAAACAAUAGUGGUAAAUCGGUAAGAGACAUCAUAGAUCGCACCAUAUCUAAUAAAGUGCGGUUACGACGUUCGGACACACCAUUACGCUAUGGUGUUCCAGGUGGCGUGAGCUGUGAAACUAUUCCACAUUGUUUUAAAUGAAGGUCAAACUCGUAACUCAAAUAUUCACCUCCACGAUCAGAUCGUAGAAACUUUAUUUUCUUGUUACAAUUAUUCUCCACUUCACUCUGAAAUUCUUUGAACUUUUAAAAUGUUUCAUACUUGUGUUUCAUUAAGUAGAUAUACCCAUAUCUGCUCAAAUCAUCUGUGAAGGUCAGAAAAUAACGAUACCCGCCACGAGCAUCAACACUCAUCGGGCCGCAUACAUCAGUAUGUAUUGUUUUUGAUAAGUUAUUAGCUCGUUCCAUUGUUCCGGAGAACGGAGUUUUAGUCAUAUUUCCCAUAAGGCACGGUUCGCAAGUAUCAAAUGAUUCAUAAUCAAGUGAUUCCAAAAGUCCAUCUUUAUGGAGUUUCUUCAUGCGCUUUACACCGAUAUGACCAAAAUGGCAGUGCCACAAAUAAGUUGCAUUAUCAUUAUCAACUUUGCAUCUUUUGUCAUCAAUAUUAUGAAUAUGUGUAUUACUAUGAUCGAGAUUCAAUAAACCAUCAACAUUGUGUGUAUGACCAUAGAAGGUUUUAUUCAUGUAAAUAGAAUAACAAUUAUUCUCUGUCUUAAAUGAAUAAUUGUAUUGCAAUAAGCAUAAUCUAAUCAUAUUCAUGCUCAAUGCAAACACCAAAUAACAUUUAUUUAGGUUCAACACUAAUCCUGAAAGUAUAAGGAGUGUGCGAUGAUGAUCAUAUCAAUCUUGGAACCACUUCCAACACACAUCGUCACUUCUCCCUCAAUUAGUCUCUGUUUAUUCUGUAACUCCUAUUUCAAGUUACUAAUCUUAGCAACCGAACAAGUAUCAAAUACCCAGGGGCUACUAUGAACACUAGUAAGGUACAUAUCAAUGACAUGUAUAUCAAAUAUACCUUUGUUCACUUUGCCAUCCUUCUUAUCCACCAAAUAUAUGGGGUAACUCCACUUCCAUUGACCAUUUCCUUUGCAGUAGAAGCACUUAGUUUCAGGCUUAGGUCCAGCUUUGGGCUUCUUCACGGGAAUGACAACUUGCUUGCCAUUCUUCUUGAAGUUCCCUUUCUUUCCUUUACCCUUUUCUUGAAACUAGUGAUCUAUUUUAAUCAUCAACACUUGAUGCUUUUUCUUGAUUUCUACCUUCAUUGAUUUCAGCUUCACGAAGAGCUCGGGAAUCACUUUUGUCAUCCCUUGCAUAUUAUAGUUCAUAAUGAAGUUAUAGUAACUUGGUGAUGGUGGCUAGAGAACUUUGUCAAUCACUAUUUUAUCUGGAAGAUUAACUUCCACUUGAUUCAAGCGAUUGUAGUACCCAGACAUUCUGAGCAGAUGCUCACUAGCUGAGCUAUUCUCCUCCAUCUUUUUAGGCGAAGUAAUUGUCUAAGGUCUCAUACCUCUCGGCACAGGCAUGAGUUUGAAAUACCAAUUUCAGCUCUAGGAACAUCUCAUAUGCUCCGUGGCAUUUCAAAACGUUUUUGAAGUCCCGGUUCUAAGUUGUAAAGCAUGGUGCACUAAACUAUCAAGUAGUCAUCAUAUUGAGCUAUCCAAACGUUCAUAAUGUCUGCAUCUGCUCCUGCAAUAGGUCUGUCACCUAGAGAUGCAUCAAGGACAUAAUUCUUUUGUGCAGCAAUGAGGAUAAACCUCAUAUCACGGACCCAGUCCGCAUCAUUGCUUCUAUCAUCUUUCAACUUAGUUUUCUCUAGGAACAUAUCAAAAAACAUAGGGAAGCUACAAUGCGAGCUAUUGAUCUACAACAUUAUUUGCAAAUACUAUCAGGACUAAGUUCAUGAUAAAUUAAAGUUCAAUUAAUCAUAUUACUAAAGAACUCCCACUUAGAUAGUCAUCCCUCUAGUCAUCUAAAUGAUCACGUGAUCCAUAUCAACUAAACCAUGUCCGAUCAUCACGUGAGAUGGAGUAGUUUUCAAUGGUGAGCAUAUCUAUGUUGAUCAUAUCUACUAUAUGAUUCACAUUCGACCUUUCAGUCUUAGUGUUCCGAGGCCAUAUCUGCAUAUGCUAGGCUCAUCAAGUUUAACAUGAGUAUUCUGCACGUGCAAAACUAGCUUGCACCCAUUGUAUGUGAACGUAGAGCUUAUCACACCCGAUCAUCACGUGGUGUCUCGGCACGACAAACUGUAGCAACGAUGCAUACUCAGGGAGAACACUUAUACCUUGAAAUUUAGUGAGGGAUCAUUGAGGGAGUCCCGAAUUAGGGGGUGUCCGGAUGACCGGACUAUAACCUUUGGCCGGACUCCUGGACUAUGAAGAUACAAGAUUGAAGACUUCAUCCCAUGUCCGGAUGGGACUUUCCUUGGUGUGGAAGGCAAGCUUGGCGAUACGGAUAUGUAGAUCUCCUCCCAUUGUAACCGACUCUGUGUAACCCUAGCCCUCUCCGGUGUCUAUAUAAACCGGAGGGUUUUAGUCUGUAGGACAAACAACAAUCAUACCAUAGGCUAGCUUCUAGGGUUUAGCCUUUCUGAUCUCAUGGUAGAUCUACUCUUGUACUACCCACAUCAUCAAUAUUAAUCAAGCAGGAGUAGGGUUUUACCUCCAUCGAGAGGGCCCGAACCUGGGUAAAAACAUUCUGUCCCUUGUCUCCUGUUACCAUCCGCCUAGACGCACAGUUCGGGACUCCAUACCUGAGAUCCGCCGGUUUUGACACCGACAUUGGUGCUUUCAUUGAGAGUUCCUCUGUGUCGUCGCCUUUAGGCCCGAUGGUUCCUCCGAUCAUCAGCAAUGAUGCGGUCCAGGGUGAGACUUUUCUCCCCGGACAGAUCUUCGUAUUCGGUGGCUUUACGCUGCGGGCCAAUUCGCUUGGCCAUCUGGAGCAGAUCAAAAGUUAUGCCCCUGGCCAUCAGGUCAGAUUUGGAAGUUUGAACUACACGACCGACAUCCGCGGAGACUUGAUCUUUGACGGAUUCAAGCCACAGCCGGGCGCGCCGCACUGUCACGAUGGGCAUGAUCUAGCUCUACCGCCGAACAGUGUCCAGGAGGCCGCCCCAGCAUCCGCUCCGACCCUUAGCUCGGAGCCGACUGCGCCAAUCGAGGACGGGUGUCUGGACACCGCCUCGGGGGCUUCAAUCCCUACGGCGAUCGAGCCGAACACCAGCCUUAUCCUUUACGAAGCUCGUGACUCCCAGGUGCCGGACUCCUUUCCGGACUCCGAACCUUCCGCGCCCCUGCCGAUCGAACCCGAUUGGGCGCCGAUCAUGGAGUUCGCCACUGCGGACAUCUUUCAGCACUUGCCCUUCGGCGACAUUCUGAAUUCACUAAAGUCUCCCUCUUUAUUAGGAGAGCCCUGGCCAGACUAUGGUCAGCGAGGUUGGGAUGCGGAUGACGAAGAAAUUCAAAGCCCACCCACCACCCACUUUGUAGCCACUAUCGAUGAUUUAAUCGACAUGCUCGACUUCGACUCCGAAGACAUCGACGGUAUGGACGCCGAUGGAGGAGACGACGAAGAACCAGCGCCUAUAGGGCACUGGAAGGCCACCUCGUCAUAUGACAUAUACAUGGUGGACACCCCAAAAGAAGGGAAUGGCGAUGGAACAACAGAGGAUGACCCCUCCAAGAUGCAGCCUAAGCGCCGGCGUCGGCGGCGCCGCUCUAAAUCCCGCCAAAGCAAAAAAUGAUGAUUCCGGCACGGGAGAUAAUAACACCCGGACAAUGCCGAAGACAACCCCCUCCAGCGGGAUUCAGCACAGGAGGAUGGAGAAGCCAGCCCUCAUGAGAGAGCGGCAGACAGAGAGGUAGAGCACGACAAUUACAUGCCUCCCUCCGAAGACGAGGCAAGCCUUGACAACGAAGAAUUUGUCGUGCCUAUGGAUCCCGUCGAACAAGAGCGUUUCAAACGCAGGCUUAUGUCCACGGCGAGCAGCCUCAAGAAAAAACAACAGCAACUUAGAGCUGACCAAGACUUGUUAGCCGACAGAUGGACUGAAGUCCUUGCGACCGAAGAGUACGAACUCAAACGCCCCUCCAAGAGCUACCCAAAGCGCAGGCUGCUACCCCGAUUAGAGGAGGAAGCACCUAAACCUACGUCACCAGCGCACGACGCGGCCGACCGGCCACCUCGUGGCCGCGACAGAGAGGCCUCUCGGCCAUCCACUCAAGCCGCACCUCGGCAUCACUCAAAAAAUACCAAGGCACGAGGAAAUGCGCCAGACCUGCGAGACAUAUUGGAGGACAAGGCAAGGCAAACAAGAUCGAUCUACGGAUCGCGUGGGCGCCCCACGACACGUGACGAUAACCGUCAUGCCGGAUAUGGCCAAUACGGCCAGGCCGAACACAGCACACAAAGCUCAUCUGGGCUACGUCGUGAUAUAGUCCAGUACAGAGGCGCCGCACACCCACUAUGCUUCACAGAUGAAGUAAUGGAUCAUCAAAUCCCCGAAGGUUUUAAACCCGUAAACAUCGAAUCAUACGAUGGCACAACAGAUCCUGCGGUCUGGAUCGAGGAUUAUCUCCUUCAUAUCCACAUGGCCCGCGGCGAUGAUCUACACGCUAUAAAAUACCUCCCACUCAAGCUUAAAGGACCAUCUCGGCAUUGGCUUAACAGCUUGCCAGCAGAGUCAAUUGGUUGCUGGGAGGACCUGGAAGCCGCAUUCCUUGACAAUUUCCAGGGCACUUAUGUGCGACCACCAGACACCGAUGACCUAAGCCACAUAAUUCAGCAACCAGAGGAAUCGGCCAGACAAUUCUGGACACGGUUCCUAACCAAGAAAAAUCAAAUAGUCGACUGUCCGGAUGUAGAGGCCCUCGCAGCCUUCAAGCAUAACAUCCGAGAUGAAUGGCUUGCCCGGCACCUAGGACAGGAAAAGCCGAAAUCCAUGGCAGCCCUCACAACACUCAUGACCCGCUUUUGCACGGGAGAAGACAGCUGGCUAGCUCGUAGUAAUAACAUGACCAAGAGCCCUGGUAAUUCGGAUACCAAGGACAACAAUGGCGGGUCGCAUCGCAAUAAGCACAAGCGCCGCAUUAACGGUGACAACACUGAGGAUACGGCAGUUAAUGCUGGAUUCAGAGGCUCUAAACCCGGUCAGCGGAAAAACCAUUCAAAAGAAAUACUCCGGGCCCGUCCAGUUUGGACCGAAUACUCGAUCGCUCCUGCCAGAUACACGGCACCCCCAAAACACCAGCCAAUCACACCAACAGGGAUUGUUGGGUGUUCAAGAAGGCAUGCAAAUUAUGUGCCGAAAACAUAGACAAGGGGCUGCAUAGCGAUGAUGAGGAGGAGCCCCAGCCGCCGAACAACAGGGGACAGAAGGGCUUUCCCCCACAAGUGCGGACGGUGAACAUGAUAUACGCAACCAACAUCCCCAAAAGGGAACGGAAGCAUGCACUCAGGGACGUAUAUGUGUUGGAGCCAGUCGCCCCAAAGUUCAACCCAUGGUCCUCCUGCCCGAUCACUUUUGAUCGAAGGGACCACCCCACUAGCAUCCACCACGGCGGAUUCGCCGCGUUGGUUCUAGACCCAAUCAUUGACGGAUUUCACCUCACUAGAGUCCUUAUGGACGGCGGCAGCAGCCUGAACCUACUUUAUCAGGAUACAGUGCGGAAAAUGGGCAUAGAUCCCUCAAGGAUUAAACCCACAAAGACGACCUUUAAAGGUGUCAUACCAGGUGUAGAGGCCAACUGUACAGGCUCAGUUACACUCGAAGUGGUCUUCGGAUCCCCGGAUAAUUUCCGAAGCGAGGAUUUAAUCUUCGACAUAGUCUCGUUCCGCAACGGCUAUCACGCGCUGCUCGGACGAACCGCAUUUGCAAAGUUCAAUGCGGUGCCGCACUACGCAUACCUCAAGCUCAAGAUGUCAGGCCCUCUAGGAGUCAUUACGGUCAAUGGAAACACCAAAUGCUCUCUCCGAACGGAGGAGCAUACGGCGGCCCUCGCGGCGGAAGUACAAAGUAGCCUCUCAAGGCAAUUCUCCAGUCCGGCUAUUAAACGUCUGGACACCGUCAAGCGCGCCCAGAAUAACCUACAACAAGACCGCCUGGCACGUUCCGAGCAAGCGUAGCAGUGCGGCCCCAACCCCAGCCCUCGCAAAAUUGCAAAACCAGUACCACACGUACAUAAUUACGCCCUGGAAAUACCAUGGGCAUAGGGGGAGGGGCACAACCACGGCACGCCCAAAAUGUGGCACAACUGCACUAGGGGCUCCCGAUUUUGUCAUUUCUGUUUUCUUACUUUCAGGACUCCAUUCUCCGGAAGGCCUGUUUGGCAAUACAAUCGUCGAACACACGAUGCAACAGCCAGGGAGCCAGCAAGCUACGUCAAAUGUCCAGGUGGUCUAUAUAAUGAGCUAAAUACUUGUCUUACAUAAAGUCUCGCAGCUUGUCCCUGGAGGGGGACAUGUCAAAUAAUCCCAUCUCUUGCUUAUCGCACUAUUUGUAUCGUUCUGCUUUCACAGCAGCCUUUUAAUAAACAAUACAUAGCUCUUGUCUAUUAUCGCAUUCAUUUUUUAUGUAAAUAUGUUCAGUCAUGACAUUAUGCAACCGUACACUUUGGUAUGGCCAACACACCAGGGGCUUAAGUACCCUAGAAUAUGGUGUGAGAAGUCCGAACACUCUCACGAGUGCGGCACCCCAAACCUAUAGCAUUAUAUGCAUCGGCUCCGAAUCAUGUCUUGGGUCAAUAGUUGGGUUUGCCUGGCUCCCAUGUUUUGGUACCUUACGUUCCGUUAUAUCGGCUAAGGUAGCGCUAGGAGAACUACUGCGAUUGUGCCCCAGUUGAGCUGGGUUAAGCACCUCAGUAGGGAAAACUAAAACUGACCGUCAUGAUAGGGCGAGAUCCGGUCGCUGUUCGAGAGGUUUUCGAGUCCCUAAAGACUUAUGCCGCUUAGAGCGAGGAGCUGGCUUUGUCCGGCCUAGGUGUGGAUAGCGCCCCGAACUCGGUCUUCCGAAUACUAGGGGCUUCGCCGAAAUUUAAAAUUAUAGAAUUCUAUGGCUAAGUGAGAGUGAUAAAGCAUUAUAGUCUGAUUGCCUUGUUCGUUGUGCUGAGUGCCUCCCUCGAAGGACCCAAGAAUGGGAACAAGAGCGCUCAGGUUUAUCCCAAACACCCCAGCACUCGUGGCAUGGGGGUAGAAGCCGACGACUUGCAUCACUCAGAUUCAAUAAACGGCCGCAUAGAAGGUAAUAUUUUAAAUUCAACAAGCGUUGCUUAGCGCAUAUGAACAAGUUUUCAGCGCACAGGAUAAACACGAGCGAGUUUACUCAAAAAUUACAUCCCUGGCACAUUCAUUCGCCACAAGGCGGGCACCCUUCCGGACGCCCUCAUAAUACAUUUCGGGCCUGCAAUGCUCAUUCCCCUCCCGUGGCCCAUCAGUCACCAGCUUCUCAGCAUCCAGCUUGCCCCAGUGUACUUUCGCACGGGCAAGGGCCCUACGGGAGCCUUUGAUGCAUACGGAGUGCUUGAUGACUUCAAGCCAUGGACAGGCAUCCACCAGCCGCCUCACCAGCCCAAAGUAGCUCCCGGGUAUGACCUCCGCAGGCCAUAGUCAGACUAUUAGGCCCUUCAUGGCCUGUUCGGCUACCUUAUGGAGCUCGACCAGCUGCUUCAGCUGGUCGCUCAACGGCACCGGGUGUUCGGCCUCAACAUACUGGGACCAGAACACCUUCUCUGUCGAGCUCCCUUCCUUGGCUUGGUAGAAUGCGGCAGCAUCGGACACACUGCGGGGCAGAUCUGUGAAUGCUCCUGGAGAGCGCCGGACUCGGGUAAGUAACAAGUAAUUCACUUUCACGUGCUUGCUUUGCAUAAAGAAUGCCUUACCCGCCGCUAUCUUCUUCAUCACCUCAAUUUCCUGGAGGGCUUUUUGGGCUUCGGCCUUGGCAGAUUUGGCGCUCUCAAGGGCCGAGGCAAGCUCGCACUCUUGAGUCUGUGAGUCAAGCUCCAAUCUCUCGUGUUUCUUCACAAGAGCAUGGAGCUCUUGCCGCACCUCCGCCACCCGCGCCUCCUUCUUUUCUCGCUCGGUGCGCUCCACGGCCGCAUUGUCUUCGGCCUUGGACAGCGCUUCCUUCGGGGUCGCCACCUCAGUUGCGGCCCCUGUAAUACUCACAUUGGUCCUGUCAUUAUUUGCAACCAGAUCUUUUUAUAUCACUAUACAAGGUACUACUUACCUUCCUUGUCCUCGAGAUGCUUCUUGGCAAGGCCGAGCUCGUUGUCGGACCGCUUGAGGCUCUGAUUCAAUGCAUCGACCUCCGCAGUCAGUGCGGCAGAGGUCAGCAGCGCAGCCUGCAUUCCCAUAUUGACAUACUUAUGUUAGACUCCUGCGUAUAUCUUUUUAGAUCCUCAGUCCGGCUUUUCUUCCCGAACACCAAACUGAGCAUCAGGGGCUACUGUCUAUGCGGUAAUAUUUUUACAUAUCUUAAAUACAUACCUCGAAGCCUAUUAGAAGGCUGGCACAGGCUUCUGUCAGCCCGCUCUUGGCGGACUGAACCUUCUGGAUCACCGCACUCAUAAUAGUACGGUGCUCCUCGUCGAUGGAGGCGCCGUUAAGCACCUCCAGCAAAUUGUCCGGUGCCUCCAGUUGGACGGAGGGCACCGGCGUCGUAGGCUUGCCCUUCUUACUAGGGGGCCACCUGCCGGACUCCGGAACCACUAAAGGUUCUGGUGUGGUAUCCGGCCCAGGGCCGGACUUAGAGCCCUUUGGGGUUUCAUCCCCUUUGCGCCUGGAGUCCAGAAUGUCGCCUUGCGGCGCCUCUGGGGCUGCCUCCUCCUGGCUUGGCCCCUUUUGGGACUCCACCUCGGCAUCGUCCGUGGGGCGAGGGGAGGUAGCAGUCGGGAGUGAAAGACUAUUCACAUCCGAUGAAUCCAGGGAUCCGCUCGAUGAAGCGUCGAGCCGGGCCUUGGGCGGACUGCAUGAUUAUAUUCGGCGUUAGAAGAUACUGUGCAAUAAAGGAACGUCAUGAGUCAUUCUGGUAUCUGGAUACUUACGAUUUUGCCAUGGGCUUGGCCCUGGAUGGACACUCCUCUCCGCCGUCGUCGGCGCUGGUGGAGUAGUUCGGAAGAAGGGUCUUUCCCUUCUUGGACCCUCCGACCUCCCCAGUUGGGGCGGCCUUCCUUUUCUUUCCUCCCCCCGUUGGAGGGGGAGAGGCUUCUUCUUCGUCCUCCUUGUCUUCGGGGUAGGGGUGCGCUUCGGGGUCGUCGGGUGAUGAAUCCAACACCACCAGGCGCCGGGGACUCUUUCGAGUUCCCGUGGCCUUCUUCUUGGCCUUCUUCUACGGCACCACGUGAGGUGCCGGGGCCAGCAGCUUUGCCAAGUGAGCAUCUGCUAGGCCUUCGGGCAAAGGAGCCGGACAGUCGAUCUGUCCGGACGUCUUCUUCCAGUCCUGUCAAAGGAGCGGGAGCUUAGAUCCCGCAUAGAGUCAAACUAUGAAAAACAAGUAUCCUGUAAAGGGUAAAACAAGCUUACCGCGCUGGCUUGGCACUUCGCGCAGAAUCCGCGAUCCUCAGUAAUGGGCGGGGGAACCUCGGCGCCCUUGAAUAGCACUUUCCGGGCAUCCUCGUGCGUUGUGCCGAAGGGCCUGGACAAAGUUUGGUGCUGGGCCAGGUCGAACUCCCACAAGUUAAAGGCCCGUCAUUGACACGGGAGGAUCCGGUGGAAGAGCAUGACCUGAACUGCGUUGACAAGUUUAACCUUCUUGUCCACCAGGUUUUUGACGCAGGUUUGGAGUCCGGUCACCUCUUCCGAAUUACCCCACGACAGGCCCGUCUCUUUCCAGGAGGUGAGCCGUGUGGGGAUGCCAGAUUGGAAUUCGGGAGCCGCUGCCCAUUCAGGGUCACGCGGCUCGGUGAUGUAGAACCACCCCGAUUGCCACCCUUUGAUGGUUUCCACAAAGGAGCCCUCGAGCCAUGUGACGUUGGGCAUCUUGCCCAACAUGGCGCCUCCGCACUCCGCUUGAUGGCCGCCCACAACCUUCGGCUUGACAUUGAAGGUCUUUAGCCAUAAGCCGAAGUGGGGCUUGAUGUGGAGGAAGACCUCGCACACGACAAUAAACACCGAGAUGUUGAGGAUAAAGUUCGGGGCCAGAUCGUGGAAAUCUAGGCCGUAGUAGAACAUGAGCCCCCGAACAAAUGGGUGGAGUGGGAAGCCCAGUCCGUGGAGGAAAUGGGGGAGGAACACCACCCUCUCAUGGGGCCUGGGGGUGGGGAUGAGCUGCCCCUCGUCGGGAAGCCGGUGCACAAUGUUGUUGGACAAGUAUCCGGCUUUCCUCAACUUUUUGAUGUGCCCCUCCAUGACGGAGGAGGCCAUCCACCUGCCUCCCGCUACGGACAUCGCUGGAGGAGGUUGAGGUGGGAAGUGCGGACUUGGGUGCUGGAGCUCGAGUGAGCGGAGAUGGAUAAGCAAAGGAGGAAGAAGGCGUAGAUGGAAAAGGUGGAUCCUUAUCCCCUUAUAUGUGCGGACGAAACUAUGUGCCCCCACCAGCCUGGUAAAACUCGCUUAUCUCCCAAGCACCGUGAUUAAUGGCACGGUUGGGUUACCCACGCCCGUAUUGAUGAGAAUCCCGGAAUAAGGGGACACGAUCUCUGCUUUGACAAGAUGUGCCAAGGAAACCGCCUCGCUAAACGUGCCGAGGUGGGACAGUAAAACGAUUCGAAUGAAGACUUUGCUGUGGCAUGAUGUCACGCUACGGAAUACGUCAGCAGAUUAGAUUUGUACAAAUAUUAUUCUCUCUACGGUGGUAUGUGGAACUUAUUUUGCAGAGCCGGACACUAUCCUUGUGUUCAAAAUCUUCUAUGAAGUAUUUGGAGGAGGAACCCGCCUUGCAAUGCCGAAGACAAUUUGCGCGUCAGACUCGUUGUCAUUGAAGCCUGGCUCAGGGGCUACUGAGGGAGUCCCGGAUUAGGGGGUGUCCGGAUGACCGGACUAUAACCUUUGGCCGGACUCCUGGACUAUGAAGAUACAAGAUUGAAGACUUCGUCCCGUGUCCGGAUGGGACUUUCCUUGGCGUGGAAGGCAAGCUUGGCGAUACGGAUAUGUAGAUAUCCUCCCAUUGUAACCGACUCUGUGUAACCCUAGCCCUCUCCGGUGUCUAUAUAAACCAGAGGGUUUUAGUCCGUAGGACGAACAAUAAUCAUACCAUAGGCUAGCUUCUAGGGUUUAGCCUCUCUGAUCUCGUGGUAGAUCUACUCUUGUACUACCCACAUCAUCAAUAUUAAUCAAGCAGGAGUAGGGUUUUACCUCCAUCGAGAGGGCCCGAACCUGGGUAAAAACAUCGUGUCCCUUGUCUAAUGUUACCAUCCGCCUAGACGCAUAGUUCGGGACCCCCUACCCGAGAUCCGCCGGUUUUGACACCGACAAUCAUCUUAUAGUGCUACCGCCGUACUAAGAAAAAUAAGAAGCAUAAAAGAUAAACAUCACAUGCAAUCAAAAUAUGUGACAUGAUAUGGCCAUCAUCAUCUUGUGCCUUUGAUCUCCAUCUCCAAAGCACCGUCAUGAUCUCCAUCGUCACCGGCUUGACACCUCGAUCUCCAUCGUAGCAUUGUUGUCGUCUAACCAACUAUUGCUACUACGACUAUCACUACCGCUUAGUGAUAAAGUAAAGCAAUUACAUGGCGAUUGAAUUUCAUACAAUAAAGCAACAACCAUAUGGCUCCUGCUAGUUGCCGAUAACUCUGUUACAAAACAUGAUCAUCUCAUACAACAAUCUAUAUCUCAUCAUGUCUUGACAAUAUCACAUCACAACAAGCCCUGCAAAAACAAUUUAGACGUCCUCUACUUUGUUGUUGCAAGUUUUACAUGGCUGCUACAGGCUUCUAGCAAGAACCGUUCUUACCUAUGCAUCAAAACCACAAUGAUUUUUCGUCAAGUGUGAUGUUUUAACCUUCAACAAGGACCAGCCAUAGUCAAACUCGAUUCAACUAAAGUUGGAGAAACAGACACCCACCAGCCACCUGUGUGCAAAGCACGUCGGUAGAACCAGUCUCAUGAACGCAGCCAUGUAAUGUCGGUCCGAGGCGCUUCAUCCAACAACACCUCCAAAUCAAAUUAAGACGUUGGUGGUAAGCAGUAUGACUAUUAUUGCCCACAACUCUUUGUGUUCUACUCAUGCAUAUCAUCUACGCAUAGACCUGGCUCGGAUGCCACUGUUGGGGAACGUAGCAUGCAAUUUAAAAAAAUUCCUACGCUCACGCAAGAUCUUUCUAGGAGAUGCAUAGCAAUGAGAGGGGGAGAGUGUGUCCACGUACCCUCAUAGACCGAAAGCGGAAGCGUUAGUUAACGCGGUUAAUGUAGUCGAACGUCUUCAAGAUCCAACCGAUCCAAGUACCGAACGUACGGCACCUCCGAGUUCAGCACACGUUCAACUCGAUGACGUACCUCAAACUCUUGAUCCAGCAAAGGGUCGAGGAAGAGUUUCGUCAGCACGACGGUGUGGUGACGGUGUUGAUGAUGUGAUCCGUGCAGGGCUUUGCCUAAGCACUAUGAUGAUACUAUCGGAGGAGUAAACGGUGGAGGGGGGCACCGCACACGGCUAAGACAAUGUUGUGCCUUUGGGGUGCCCCCUUGCCCCCAUAUAUAAAGGAGGGACGAUGAGGCCGGCCACCAGGGGCACGCCAAGGUAGGGGGGACUCCUACUAGGACUCCAUUCCUAGUAGGAUUCGGCCCCCUUCUUUUUUCCUUCUUACGGAGGUGGAAAGGGGGAAGGAGAGGGACUAGGAGAAGGAAAGGGGGGUGGCGCCCCCUUUCCCUAGUCGAAUUCGUCCAACUCCCUUGUGGGGGGUGCACCAGCCCCUUGUGGGCUGGUUAGCCUCCCUCCUAUGGCCCAUAGGACCCAUAUCUUCCACUAGGAGGUUCCGGUAACCCCUCUGGUACUCCGGUUUGUACCCGAUACACUCCAGAACCCUUCCGGAGUCUGAAUACCACCUUCCAAUAUAUCAAUCUUUACCUCUCGACCAUUUCGAGACUCCUCGUCAUGUCUGUGAUCUCAUCCGGGACUCGGAACAAACUUCGGUCAUCAAAACACAUAACUCAUAAUACAAAUCAUCAUCGAACGUUAAGUGUGCGGACCCUACGGGUUUGAGAAAUAUGUAGACAUGAUCGAGACACAUCUUUGAUCAAUAAACAAUAGUGGAACCUAGAUGCUCAUAUUGGUUCCUACAUAUUCUUCGAAGAUCUUUAUCGGUCAAACCGCAUAACAACAUACGUUGUUCCCUUUGUCAUCGGUAUGUUACUUGCCCGAGAUUCGAUCGUCGGUAUCUUCAUACCUAGUUCAAUCUCAUUACCGGCAAGUCUCUUUACUCGUUCCAUAAUGCAUCAUCACAUACUAACUCAUUAGUCACAUUGCUUGCAAGGCUUAUAGUGAUGAGCAUUACCGAGAGGGCCCAGAGAUGCCUCUUCGAUACACGGAGUGACAAAUCCUAAUCUCGACCUAUGCCAACCCAACAAACACCUUUGGAGACACCUAUAGAGCAUCUUUAUAAUCACCCAGUUAUGUUGUGACAUUUGAUAGCACACAAGGUGUUCCUCCGGUAUUCGGGAGUUGCAUAAUCUCAUAGUCAGAGAAACAUGUAUAAGUCAUGAAGAAAGCAAUAGCAAUAAAACUGAACAAUCAUUAUGCUAAGCUAAUGGAUGGGUCUUUUCCAUCACAUCAUUAUCCUAAUUAUGUGAUCACAUUCAUCAAAUGACAACACAUGUCCAUGGCUAGGAAACUUAACCAUCUUUGAUCAACGAGAUAGUCAAGUAGAGGCAUACUAGGGACACGGUAUUUUGUCUAUGUAUUCGCACAUGUAUUAAGUUUCCGGUUAAUACAAUUCUAGUAAGAAUAAUAAACAUUUAUCAUGAUAUAAGGAAAUAUAAAAUAACAACUUUAUUAUUGCCUCUAGGGCAUAUUUCCUUCAGUCUCCCAGUUGCACUAGAGUCAAUAAUCUAGUUCACAUUGCCAUGUGAUUUAACACCAAUAGUUCACAUCUGUAUGUGAUUAACACCCAUAGUUCACAUCGCCAUGUGACCAACAACCAAAGGGUUUACUAGAGUCAAUAAUCAAGUUCACAUUGCUAUGUGAUUAACACCCAAAGAGUACUAAGGUGUGAUCAUGUUUUGUUUAUGAGAGAAGUUUAGUCAACGGGUCUGCAAUAUUCAGAGUUGUAUGUAUUUUGCAAAUUUUCUAUGUCUACAAUGCUCUGCAUGGAGCUAUUCUAGCUAAUUGCUCCCACUUUCAAUAUGCAUCGAGAUUGAGACUCAGAGUCAUCCAGACCGGUGUAAAAUCUUGCAUCAAUGUAACUCUUUACGACGAACUCUUUAUCACCUCCAUAACCGAGAAAUAUUUCCUUAGUCCUCUUAGGUAACUAAGGAUAACUUUGACCGCUAUACACUGAUCCACUCCUGGAUCACUAUCGUACCCCCUUGCCAAACUCAUAGAAAGGCACACCACUAGUCUUGUACAUAGCAUGGCAUACAUUGUAGAACCUGUGAGUGAGGCAUAGGGAAUGACUUUCAUUCUCUUUCUAUCUUCUGUCGUGGUCGGGCUUUGAGUGUUACUCAACUUUACACCUUGUAAUACAUGCAAGAAUUCCUUCUUUGACUGAUCCAUUUUGAACUCUUUCAAAAUCUUGUCAAGGUAUGUACUCAUUAAAAAAUCUUAUCAAGUGUCUUGAUCUAUCUCUAUAGAUCUUUAUGCCCAAUAUGUAAGCAGCUUCACCGAGGUCUUUCUUUGAAAAUCUCCUUUCAAACUCUCCUUUAUGCUUUCCAGAAAAUUCUACAUCAUUUUCGAUCAACAAUAUGUCAUUCACAUAUACUUAUCAAAAAGGCUAUAGUGCUCCCACUCACUUUCUUCUAAAUACAGGCUUCAUUGCAAGUCUGUAUAAAACUAUAUGCUUUGAUCAACUCAUCAAAGUGUGUAUUCCAACUCCGAGGUGGUUACACCAGUCCAUAGAUGGAUCACUGGAUCUUGCACACCUUGUUAGUACCUUUAGGAUCGACAAAACCUUCUGGUUGCAUCAUAUACAACUCUUUUUUAAGAAAUAUCCAUUUAAGGAAUGCAGUUUUGCCAUCCAUUUGCCAGAUUUCAUAAAAUAUGGCAAUUGCUAACAUGAUUCGGACGAAUUUAAGCAUCGCUACAAUUGAGAAAAUCUCAUUGUAGUCAAAACCUUGAGCCUGUCAAAAACCUUUUAUGACAAGUCGAGCUUUGUAGAUAGUAACACUACUAUCAAAAUUUGUCUUCCUCUUGAAGAUCCAUUUAUUUUCUAUGGAUUGCCGAUCCUCAGGAAAGUCCACCAAAGCCCACACUCUGUUCUCAUACAUGGAUCCCAUCUCAGAUUUCAUGGCCUCAAGCCAUUUCCCAAAAUCUGGGCUCAUCAUCGCUUCCUCAUAGUUCAUAGGUUCAUCAUGGUCUAAUAACAUGACUUCCAGAAUAGGGUUACCAUACCACUCUGGUGCGGACCGUACCCUGGUUGACCUACGAGGUUCGGUAGUAACUUGAUCUGAAGUUUCAUGAUCAUCAUCAUUAUCUUCUUCACUAAUUGGUGUAACAAUCACUGGAACUGAUUUCUGUGAUGAAAUACUUUCCAAUUCGGGAGAAGGUACAAUUACCUCAUCAAGGUCUACUUUCCUCCCACUCACUUCUUUCGAGAGAAACUCCUUUUAUAGAAAGCAUCCAUUCUUUAGCAACGAAUAUCUUGCCUUCAGAUCUGUGAUAGAAGGUGUACCCAACAGUUUCUUUUGGGUAUCCUAUGAAGACACAUUUCUCCAAUUUGGGCUCGAGCUUAUCAGGUUGAAGCUUUUUCACAUAAGCAUCGCAGCACCAAACUUUAAGAAACGACAACUUAGGUUUGUUGCCAAACCACAGUUCAUAUGGUGUCAUCUCAACGGAUUUUGAGAGUGCCCUGUUUAACGUGAAUGUAGUUGUCUCUAAUGCAUAAUCCCAAAAUGAUAGUGGUAAAUCGGUAAGAGACAUCAUAGAUCACACCAUAUCUAAUAAAGUGCGGUUACGAUGUUCGGACACACCAUUACAUUGUGGUGUUCCAGGUGGUGUGAGCUGUGAAACUAUUCCACAUUGUUUUAAAUGAAGGCCAAACUCGUAACUCAAAUAUUCACCUCCACGAUCAAAUCAUAGAAACUUUAUUUUCUUGUUACAAUGACUGUCCACUUCGCUCUAAAAUUCUUUGAACUUUUCAAAUGUUUCAGACUUGUAUUUCAUUAAGUAGAUAUACCCAUAUCUGCUCAAAUCAUCUGUGAAGGUCAGAAAAUAAUGAUACCUGCCACGAGCCUCAACACUCAUCGGACCGCAUACAUCAGUAUGUAUUAUCUCCAAUAAGUCAUUAGCUCGUUCCCAUUGUUUCAGAGAACGGAGUUUUAGUCAUCUUGCCCAUAAGGCACGGUCCGCAAGUAUCAAAUGGUUCAUAAUCAAGUGAUUCCAAAAGCCCAUCAGCAUGGAGUUUCUUCAUGCGCCUUUACACCAAUAUGUCCUAAACGGCAGUGCCACAAGUAUGUUGCAUUAUCAUUAUCAACUUAGCAACUUUUGGCACAUGAUCAUGAUAAAGAUGGAUCUUCGUAAAAGAAUUGCAGAAACACAAUAUGUUGGCCAUCUUAUGCUCCCAUUCUGAUUAAGGCAUUGCAUGCGAAGACAAGAGGACUAAGUAUGAAAUGCAUUCGACCGUCGACAUACGAGGCUGAGCUGACAUACUCUGACAGUAAAAAUAGGGAAUGGAGAUAUCUAGUGAAGCUUGCAACUAAGGAAUGCAGUUGUAGGCAAUGGCAUAUCCACAGGAAGCCGUGCAUACAUGCCCUACAUCUCAUGACUGUUAUUGGAGGUGAAGAUGGUGAAGUUGAUCAGUAUUGCUCUGAAUAUUUCUUUGUUGCCAAAUUUAGGGCUGCUUACGCUCAAAAUGUGCCUGCACUCUUGGGAAAAGACCAAUGGAACAUAGUAGACCCAGGGUUCAAACUCUAUUCUCCUGUACUAACUAGACCACCAGGAAGACCAAGGAAAAACAGGAUAAGAGCUGGUGAAGAGGGUCAUGUAAAAAAUAGUGUAAGUGAAAAAGAUGUGAUAUUCUAGGGACAUAUUUCUAGGCUUUGUACCAAUCAAGUUGAUGCAUCAUUUGCAGAAGAGGAACAAUGAGUAGCACCAAAUGUAGAGGAGAAUGCAGCAGCAGAGGAGAAUGCAGCAGCAGAGGAGAAUGCACCAGCAGAGGAGAAUACAGCAAGUUUAGAGGAGAAUGGAGCAACUGAAGUAGCAUCUUGGUACGUGUGCAACCUUUCCCUUUUUGCAUUUCUUCUCUUUUUUAUCGAUGGCUAGGCUUAUUUCUGUUUGACCCAUCUCUAGGAUAAUUAGAGGCACAGGAAAGAAAAGACCUAGAGAGGAAGAAACUUCGGUUGAACCAUCACCUGAUGCAAAAUUUGAAACCAGGGCUUAUGAAGGUUUUGAAGCUAUAAGAGAGGAGGAAAUUAUUUUGUCUGAAGUUCCUUUAAGGAUUAGUGAACCCACAGAUGACCGUCAACUGGUCAUCACUUGCUCGAUCAGUCAAAGCUCAACUAAACCACCACCACCAGAAGUGAAGAUCGGAAGCAACAAGACAAAGCUUUCAAAAGCACAAAAUAUCCCAGCUAGGGAAACCAGGAGCAAGACGGUUAACCGAUCCCGAAACACAAGGAGGAAGGCGAAGAUUUGAAUUUGAACUUGAAUGCAAGACAUAAACUUUGAACUUUAAGGAUUUAUAAUAAGGAUUUUGUCAUCAAUUUGAACUACUGUGAAAACUUGUAAGGUGUCAUAAUUCUAUUUUUAAUUUGAUGUGAAAUUUGAGGUAGAAUACAAAACUAAGGCAAAAUUUGAAUUUUAGGCAAACUUUGAAUUUGAACUGGCACUUGAAGUCCAUUGUCGUGUGGUGUGAGUUGCAAAGUUUGUUGAACUAUUAUAAAUGUUAGGUGAUCAAUCCGAUCUCUUUUGCGUGGUAAAACUUGUAGUCAUGAGAAAUGUGCUCCAAAUGAGCUCCCAAGCUAGGGUAAAAAGCCCCAUUUGUAAUCAUGUUUUUUUGGACCUACUCUAAAUGAGCCAAAUAUUUUUUUAUUAACACCUAUUCAAUCUAUAUAGUGUAGAUUCGAAGUAUCACUAUUUAUUGAAUUAAUCUUCAUAUUUUUACAUUUUUUUGAAAAAAACAUACUUUAAUGGAAAACCAUUAAAAACAUGUUUAAAUAUGAAAAUGGAAAACUAAGUUCAGAUCCUUCUUAUUCACUUUGAAAUCAAGCUUUGGUGAUUUUUUUUAAUUUUUUUUUUAAUUUUCAAAACCGAAGGGAACCCUACCUCCUCUCCUUGGACUCUAUGAAAUGUUAUAUGUGAUAGCUCAUAUGUGUGAAAAUGUCCAUAGACAAAGUUUAUGAUUUUUGGUUGGUAACAUGUCACACAAGACAACAUUGUGCGCAUGUUUUAUUUUUUCUUGAUUUUUUCAGUUAAUGGUGCUCAUUUGACCUCGAUCGUGCUAGCUAGGUUUUUUUGUAAAUGUCCGUAUACUAAGUUUAGCAUUUUUCCUUGUUAGUGUGUUAUAAAACAACACAUGAUGAAGGUUUCAUGUUUUUCGAUUUUUUAAAAUUAGUUAUUGUCAGUCAAAGCCUUGGAAACCCAGCUGACCAGCUCAAAACCCCUGUAAACCCCGUGGAGUUUCGCCUAACCCUAGCUCUGAAUGUCAGCCGUCCGAUCAUACCCUAGCGGCAAGCGAUAGCCCUCAGAUGUGGUCUUCUAGAAGGAAUUCUGAGGGUAGGCUACGUGCAAGCUCCGCGUCGUUGGAUCACAUAGGUGGCUCUGCAUCGUUGGAUCAUGGGGUGAUCCACGAGAGGCGGUCCGCGAGAGUUGUUGAUUGUGCUCGCCCACCCUUGCCUCCCCUUUCUUCUUCUGCUUAUACUACGGCGGUGAGAGGAGCCACUCCUCUAUUUCUUCUUCUCUGGCAAUGAGAGGAGGCACUCCUCUGCUUCUUCUUCUCCGAUGACUUUGGGCGAUAUGUCGAGCUCCACUUCAGCCUCCCGCCCCUCAUGGACCCAGUAUGGUCCACUUCCCAUGGAGCGAUGUCUUGGUUGCCCAUGCAACGCGCCACUGAUACAGUUGACUUCAAAGGAGGUCAAGAAUGGCAACUAUGGGUGCGAGUUCGUGAAAUGCGAGAACAAGCCAGAGGGGCCAGUUAGAUCUCAUGAUAUUUCUCUAAUUUCUUUUUCUAUUUUAUUUUAAUUAUUUUUCCAUGGAUCUAGAAUUUAGGGUUCAUGUUUUCGUUUCAGAUCGUGAAGAAAUGCACACAUUUUGAAUGGCUGGAUGACUACAUUAAGCGGAUUCAAUUCAAUGGGGCCCCAACCCGGGAGCUCAAUCUGCCGUCAGCACCAACAAAUUUGGUCUCUGAAAGUGCUGCUCUGACAGCUGGGGAUGCAGAUCUGAAGGGGGAAUUAAAGAAGAUGAACAAGAACUUGAAGUAGAUGAUUGAAUUGAACAAGCAGGCGAAUCUGAUAGCUUUAGGAUUUUAUCCCUUUUAUUUUUGUAUAGUUGCUCUAGGAUUUUCUUACUUGCUGGUCAUCACUCGUUAGAGAUGUUAUUAGUGUGGUGUCAUGUGCUCUAGUAUUUGGUUAAAUUUGUGGAUCAUGUGCUCUAGGAUUUGCUUAAAUUUGUGGAUCAUGUGAUCUAUGCUCUGUGUUGCUUAAUUUGUGGAUCAUGUCAUUUUUGUCAGUUUUGUACACUUUCAGUUUCGUCAAACAACACCGACCGUAGAAGAAAAAAAUGUAUUUCUAGGGCCCAAGUUGAAACUAAGCUCUGGUUGGGCCGUCGCAUUGCGUUGAGUGUCGAAGGCCCACAAAGAUAAAAGAGGCCUAGAAAAUAGUGCACGUGUUGGCUCUAUUUUUUGCUUCAUUAUUGCCAUGCUAAAUACAUUUAUUGACAUGCCGAACAAAAAUAGUGCAUGAUGGUAAAUCGAUUUAUUGUUGGACUUGCCCAUGUCAAAUUUAUUUGUACAUAUCAUGGAAAUUUCCUUCUGUAUAUAGCCUACGGCACAACACUUUGAUUUUUUGACAUGCGGGUAUUAUCAACAUGUUUUUGUUGUAAGAAAAAUAUUGUAUACACGAUUUUUUUGUUUUUGUUUUUGCUUUUGUUAUUAAGAGCAUUUCAGAUUUAAUUAUGUAGGUCAUGAUAUCCAUCUGAAACUGCGUCUAAAAUAAAGUCCGGUGGCACCAUGAACCACCAUAUCCAUCUAGAGAGCAUGUCUAGGGCUCGGCUACGGCACCAUAUCCAUCUAGAGAACAUGUAUAGGGCUCGGCUACAGCACCAUAUCCAUCUACCGAUAUCUCACGUAGCAAGCAUACAUCCAUAACAUAGAAAGUAGCAACCAUAUCAUAGUUCUUACAUAAACCAUAGGGUGCCCUAACUCAUUUUUUUGCGGGUGAAAUAAUGUAUUACUCAUCACGAAAGGUUCAAACAAUCAAUGACAGCUAGCCCUGUCACUACCAAAGGCCCAGACCCUAUCCAAGUCAUAGUUCUGCCUUCUAAACGAGCAAACUUGCCUAAGCUAUCACUAACUUAAUUUUGGCUACGAUUGAUAUGACUAAUACAAGAUUCACGUAGAGACAUAAAGUAUCUAAUCUCCUUAAUAAGUGAUGCGUAGAUAGGUCUAUCCACCUCUUUUGCUUGGAUCAACUUCACUGCAACAAGGGAGUCAAUCUGGAUCAUAACAUGAAGAGAUAACAACAAACCCUCCAUACACGCGCAUAGUUUAUCUUUGAGGGUAGCCAACGACAUAACAUAAAUAUAUAACACGUUGUACAUAAAAGAGUUCAUGGUACAACCAACUACAUAACAUAGAAAUAUAUAAAAAGCACUAACGGGCAAGACAAGCUUCACGAGACCUGCUGGGCCUUCACCACCAUCUUCAUUGUGCUUUCUCUUCACUACUCCUCCUCCAUGUCGUCCUCGUCGAGCUAGUAGGGGAGGUUGUGCAUACCAUUGCGAGUGGGGAAGAUUCAAUUGAAGUCCCUGAAGAUGUUGUAGGUGGUAAAUGCGAUGAACUUGCACCCACACCAAAACACCUUGCCAAGGAGGUAGUACGCAUUGAAUAUGUUGGUUAAGUUGGCGAUGAGACCUAUCAUCGAGAGUGGUGGAGUUUGGACGCACUUCCUACAGUCGGAACAUCACUGGCGAGCCCGCUGGGAGGUGGGCGUAGCCCGCACCAGGGAGCCACUGGGCCAAACUCCUUUCCACCCAUCCAGCGUGAGCACGCCCACACGCGGAGCAUCAUCUCCACGACGACACCACUGGGAUACCGCCUCUCCGGCACGGUCGGUGGGAGCUGGAAGGUGGGGCCGUUGUACUGCAUCCUCGCCUGGCUUUGAGAGUGCUCUGGGUGUUGGGGAACGUUGCAGAAAAUUAAAAAUUUUCCCACGGUUUCACCAAGAUCCACCUAUGAGUUAAUCUAAGCAACGAGUCAAGGGAGUGAGUUUGCAUCUACAUACCACUUGUAGAUCACAUACGGAAGCGUUCGAGGGAACGGUGAUGAUGGAGUCGUACUCGUCGUGAUUCAGAUCACCGAUGACCAAGUGCUGAACGGACAGCACCUCCGCGUUCAACACACGUACGGUACGGGCGACGUCUCCUCCUUCUUGAUCCAGCAAGGGGGAAGGAGAGGUUGAGGAAGAAGGCUCCAGCAGCAGCACGACGGCAUGAUGACGGUGGAGAGGCAGUACUCCGACAGGGAUUCGCCAAGCACACAACGGAGGAGGAGAGGUGUUGGGGAGGGGAGGGGCUGCGCCUUGGCUUGGGUGUUCAGCCCUCCCCUCACCCCUCUAUUUAUAGGGGAAGGGGCAAGGGGGCCGGCCCCUCUAGAUGGGAUCUAGAGGGGGGGCGGCGGCCAGGGAGGGGGGACUUGCCCCCCAAGCAAGGGGGCGCCCCCUCUAGGGUUCCCCCCCCCCCCAACCCUAGGCGCAUGGGCCCAAGGGGGGGCGCCCAGCCCUCCAGGGGCUGGUUCCUGCCCCCACGCGGCCCAUGUGGCCCCCUGGGAGAGGUGGCCCCUCCCGGUGGACCCCCGGAACCCUUCCGGUGGCCCCGGUACAAUACCGAUAUGCCCCCGAAACCUUCCGGUGUCCGUAUGACAACUUCCCAUAUAUAAAUCUUUACCUCCGGACCAUUCCGGAACUCCUCGUGACGUCCGGGAUCCCAUCCGGGACUCCGAACAACUUUCGGUAAUCACAUACAAGUCUUCCUAAUAACCCUAGCAUCGUUGAACCUUAAGUGUGUAGACCCUACGGGUUCGGGAGACAUGCAGACAUGAUCGAGACGGCUCUCCGGUCAAUAACCAACAGCGGGAUCUGGAUACCCAUGUUGGCUCCCACAUGCUCCUCGAUGAUGUCAUCGGAUGAACCAUGAUGUCGAGGAUUCAAUCAACCCCGUAUGCAAUUCCCUUUGUCAGACGGUAUGUUACUUGCCCGAGACUCGAUCGUCUGUAUCCCAAUACCUCGUUGGUCUCGUUACCGGCAAGUCACUUUACUCGUACCGUAAUGCAUGAUCCCGUGACCAAACACUUGGUCACUUUGAGCUCAUUAUGAUGAUGCACUACCGAGUGGGCCCAAUGAUACCUCUCCGUCAUACGGAGUGACAAAUCCCAGUCUCGAUCCGUGUCAACCCAACAGACACUUUCGGAGAUACCUGUAGUGCACCUUUAUAGUCACCCAGUUACGUUGUGACAUUUGGUACACCCAAAGCACUCCUACGGUAUCCGGGAGUUACACGAUCUCAUGGUCUAAGGAAGAGAUGCUUGACAUUGGAAAAGCUCUAGCAAAACGAACUACACGAUCUUGUGCUAUGCUUAGGAUUGGGUCUUGUCCAUCACAUCAUUCUCCUAAUGAUGUGAUCCCGUUGUCAAUGACAUCUAAUGUCCAUAGUCAGGAAACCAUGACUAUCUGUUGACCAACGAGCUAGUCAACUAGAGGCUCACUAGGGACAUGUUAUGGUCUAUGUAUUCACACGUGUAUUACGAUUUCUGGAUAAUACAGUUAUAGCAUGAAUAAAAGACAAUUAUCAUGAAUAAGGAAAUAUAUAAUAACCCUUUUAUUAUUGCCUCUAGGGCAUAUUUCCAACAGUCUCCCACUUGCACUAGAGUCAAUAAUCUAGUUACAUUGUGAUGAAUCGAACACCCAUAGAGUUCUGGUGUUGAUCAUGUUUUGCUCGCGAGAGAGGUUUAGUCAACGGAUCUGCGACAUUCAGAUCCGUAUGUACCUUGCAAAUAUCUAUGUCUCCAUCUUGAACAUUUUCAUGGAUGGAGUUGAAGCGAUGCUUGAUGUGCCUGGUCUUCAUGUGAAACCUGGGCUCCUUGGCAAGGGCAAUAGCUCCAGUGUUGUCAGAGAAGAGUUUGAUCGGCCCCGACGCAUUGGGUAUGACUCCUAGGUCGGUGAUGAACUCCUUCACCCAUAUUGCUUCAUGCGCUGCCUCCGAGGCUGCCAUGUACUCUGCUUCACAUGUAGAUCCCGCCACGAUGCUCUGCUUGCAGCUGCACCAGCUUACUGCUCCACCAUUCAACAUAUACACGUAUCCGGUUUGUGACUUAGAGUCAUCUAGAUCUGUGUCGAAGCUAGCGUCCACGUAACCCUUUACGACAAGCUCUUCGUCACCUCCAUAAACGAGAAACAUGUCCUUUGUCCUUUUCAGGUACUUCAGGAUAUUCUUGACCGCUGUCCAGUGUUCCUUGUCGGGAUUACUUUGGUACCUUCCUACCAAACUUACGGCAAGGUUUACAUCAGGUCUGGUACACAGCAUGGCAUACAUAAUAGAUCCUAUGGCUGAGGCAUAGGGGAUGACGCUCAUCUCUUCUUUAUCUUUUGCCGUGGUCGGGCAUUGAGCCGAGCUCAAUCUCACACCUUGCAGUACAGGCAAGAACCCUUUCUUGGACUGAUCCAUUUUGAACUUCUUCAAAAUCUUAUCAAGGUAUGUGCUUUGUGAAAGACCUAUGAGGCGUCUCGAUCUAUCCCUAUAGAAGUUGAUGCCUAAUAUAUAAGCUGCCUCCAAGGUCCUUCAUUGAAAAACACUUAUUCAAGUAGGCCUUAAUGCUGUCCAAGAAUUCUAUAUCAUUUCCCAUCAAAAGUAUGUCAUCUACAUAUAAUAUGAGAAAUGCUACAGAGCUCCCACUCACUUUCUUGUAAACGCAGGCUUCUCCAUAAGUCUGCGUAAACCCAAACGCUUUGAUCAUCUCAUCAAAGCGAAUGUUCCAACUCCGAGAUGCUUGCACCAGCCCAUAAAUGGAUCGCUGGAGCUUGCAUACUUUGUUAGCAUUCUUAGGAUCGACAAAACCCUCCGGCUGCAUCAUAUACAGUUCUUCCUUAAGAUGCCCGUUAAGGAAUGCCGUUUUGACGUCCAUCUACCAUAUCUCAUAAUCAUAGUAUGCGGCAAUUGCUAACAUGAUUCGGAUGGACUUAAGCUUCGCUACGGGAGAGAAAGUCUCAUCGUAGUCAAUCCCUUGAACUUGUCGAUAACCUUAGCGACAAGUCGAGCUUUAUAGAUGGUGACAUUUCCAUCCGCGUCCGUCUCCUUCUUAAAGAUCCAUUUGUUUUCUAUCGCUCGCCGAUCAUCGGGCAAGUCAGUCAAAGUCCAUACUUUGUUUUCAUACAUGGAUUCUAUCUCGGAUUUCAUGGCUUCUAGCCAUUUGUUGGAAUCUGGGCCCGCCAUUGCUUCUUCAUAGUUCGAAGGUUCACCGUUGUCCAACAACAUGAUUUCCAGGACAGGGUUGCCGUACCACUCUGGUGCGGAACGUGUCCUUGUGGACCAGUUCAGUAGCAACUUGAUCCGAAGUACCUUGAUCAUCAUCAAUGUUUUCCUCUUCAGUUGGUGUAGGCAUCACAGGAACAUUUUCCUGAGCUGCACUACUAUCCUGUUCAAGAGGUAGUACUUCAUCGAGUUCUACUUUCCUCCCACUUACUUCUUUCGAGAGAAACUCUUUUUCCAGAAAGGAUCCAUUCUUGGCAACAAAGAUCUUGCCUUCGGAUCUUAAGUAGAAGGUAUACCCAAUGGUUUCUUUAGGGUAUCCUAUGAAGACACAUUUUUCCGACUUGGGUUCGAGCUUUUCAGGUUGAAGUUUCUUGACAUAAGCAUCGCAUCCCCAAACUUUUAGAAACGACAGCUUAGGUUUCUUCCCAAACCAUAAUUCAUGCGGUGUCAUCUCAACGGAUUUAGACGGUGCCCUAUUUAAAGUGAAUGUAGCUGUCUCUAGAGCGUAUCCCCAAAAUGAUAGCGGUAAAUCGGUAAGAGACAUCAUAGAUCGCACCAUAUCCAGUAGAGUGCGAUUACGACGUUCGGACACACCGUUACACUGAGGUGUUCCAGGCGGCGUGAGUUGUGAAACGAUUCCACAUUUUCUUAAGUGUGUACCAAACUCGUGACUUAAAUAUUCUCCUCCAUGAUCCGAUCGUAAGAAUUUUAUCUUUCGGUCAUGUUGAUUCUCUACUUCAUUCUGAAAUUCCUUGAACUUUUCGUAGGUCUCAGACUUGUGUUUCAUCAAGUAGACAUACCCAUAUCUACUCAAGUCAUCAGUGAGAGUGAGAACAUAACGAUAUGCUCCGCGAGCCUCAACGCUCAUUUGACCGCACACAUCGGUAUGUAUGAUUUCCAACAAGUUGGUUGCUCGCUCCAUUGUUCCGGAGAACGGGGUCUUGGUCAUUUUGCCCAUGAGGCAUGGUUCGCAUUUGUCAAAUGAUUCAUAAUCGAGAGACUCUAAAAGUCCAUCAGCAUGGAGCUUCUUCAUGCGCUUGACACCAAUGUGACUAAGGCGGCAGUGCCACAAGUAUGUGGGACUAUCGUUAUCAACUUUACAUCUUUUGGUAUUCAUGCUAUGAAUAUGUGUAACAUUACGUUCGAGAUUCAUUAAGAAUAAACCAUUGACCAUCGGGGCAUGACCAUAAAACAUAUCUCUCAUAUAAAUAGAACAACCAUUAUUCUCGGAUUUAAAUGAGUAGCCAUCUCGUAUCAAACGAGAUCCAGAUACAAUGUUCAUGCUCAAACUUGGCACUAAAUAACAAUUAUUAAGGUUUAAAACUAAUCCCGUAGGUAAAUGUAGAGGUAGCGUGCCGACGGCGAUCACAUCGACCUUGGAACCAUUCCCGACGCGCAUCGUCACCUCGUCCUUCGCCAGUCUCCGCUUAUUCCGCAGCUCCUGCUGCGAGUUACAAAUGUGAGCAACGGCACCGGUAUCAAAUACCCAGGAGUUACUACGAGUAUUGGUAAGGUACACAUCAAUUACAUGUAUAUCAAAUAUACCUUUUGUGUUGCCGGCCUUCUUAUCCGCUAAGUAUUUGGGGCAGUUCCGCUUCCAGUGACCCUUCCCCUUGCAAUAAAAGCACUCAGUUUCAGGCUUGGGUCCAUUCUUUGACUUCUUCCCAGCAACUGGCUUACCGGGCGCGGCAACAUCUUUGCCGUCCUUCUUGAAGUUCUUCUUACCCUUGCCCUUCUUGAACUUAGUGGUCUUAUUGACCAUCAACACUUGAUGUUCUUUCUUGAUUUCAACCUCCGCUGACUUCAGCAUUGAAAAUACCUCAGGAAUGGUCUUUACCAUCCCCUGCAUAUUGUAGUUCAUCACAAAGCUCUUGUAGCUUGGUGGGAGCGACUGAAGGAUUCUGUCAAUGACCGCCUCAUCCGGGAGGUUAAUGUCCAGCUAGGACAGGCGGUUGUGCAACCCAGACAUUUUGAGUAUGUGCUCACUGACAGAACUAUUUUCCUCCAUCUUACAACUAUAGAACUUGUCAGAGACUUCAUAUCUCUCGACCCGGGCAUGAGCUUGGAAAACUAGUUUCAUCUCCUUGAACAUCUCAUAUGCUCCGUGUUGCUCAAAACGCUUUUGGAGCCCCGGUUCUAAGCUGUAAAGCAUGCCACACUGAACGAGGGAGUAAUCAUCAGCACGAGACUGCCAAGCAUUCAUAAUGUCUUGGUUCUCUGGGACGGGAGCGUCACUUAGCGGUCCUUCUAGGACAUAUUGUUUCCUGGCAGCUAUGAGGAUGAUCCUCAGGUUUCGGACCCAGUCCGUAUAGUUGCUGCCAUCAUCUUUCAGCUUGGUUUUCUCUAGGAACGCGUUGAAGUUCAUGUUGACAUGAGCGUUGGCCAUUUGAUCUACAAGACAUAUUUUGCAUAAAGUUUUAGACUAAGUUCAUGAUAAUCAAGUUCAUCUAAUCAAAUUAUUUUAAUGAACUCCCACUCAGAUUAGACAUCCCUCUAGUCAUCUAAGUGUUACAUGAUCCGAGUCGACUAGGCCGUGUCCGAUCAUCACGUGAGACGGACUAGUCAUCAUCGGUGAACAUCUCCAUGUUGAUCGUAUCUUCCAUACGACUCAUGUUCGACCUUUCGGUCUCUUGUGUUCCGAGGCCAUGUCUGUACAUACUAGGCUCGUCAAGUUAACCCUAAGUGUUCUGCAUGUGUAAAUCUGUCUUACACCCGUUGUAUGUGAACGUAAGGAUCUAUCACACCCGAUCAUCACGUGGUGCUUCGAAACGACGAACUUUAGCAACGGUGCACAGUUAGGGGGAACACUUUCUUGAAAUUUUUUAUAAGGGAUCAUCUUAUUUACUACCGUCGUUCUAAGUAAACAAGAUGCAUAAAACAUAAUAAACAUCACAUGCAAUUAUAUAGUAGUGACAUGAUAUGGCCAAUAUCAUACAACUCCUUCGAUCUCCAUCUUCGGGGCUCCAUGAUCAUCUUUGUCACCGGCAUGACACCAUGAUCUCCAUCAUCAUGAUCUCCAUCAUUGUGUGUUCAUGAAGUUUUCACGCCAACGACUACUUCUACUUCUAUGGCUAACGCGUUUAGCAAUAAAGUAAAGUAAUUUACAUGGCGUUCUUCAAUGACACGCAGGUCAUACAAAAAAUAAAGACAACUCCUAUGGCUCCUACCGGUUGUCAUACUCAUCGACAUGCAAGUUGUGAUUCCUAUUACAAGAACAUGAUCUCAUACAUCACAAUAUAUCAUUCAUCAUUCAUCACAACUUCUGGCCAUAUCACAUCACAUGACAAUUGCUGCAAAAACAAGUUAGACGUCCUCUAAUUGUUGUUGCAUCUUUUACGUGGCUGCAAUUGGGUUCUAGCAAGAACGUUUUCUUACCUACGAAUAACCACAACGUGAUCUUGUCAACUUCUAUUUACCCUUCAUAAGGACCCUUUUCAUCGAAUCCGCUCCAACUAAAGUGGGAGAGACAGACACCCGCCAGCCACCUUAUGCAACUUAUUUAAAUAUGUGCAUGGUUAUGUGAAAAGUUGUGAACCUGAAUAAUGUUAAUCGCUACUAUGAUUGACAGAGAACAGAUUUUUAAUGCGUAUAUCAAUUCAGUGUGCUUGUACUCUGCCACCUCUAUUUGGGUCAUCGGUUGUACGUUGUCAUUGAUAGAGGUGCUGUCAACAGGUAGAGCCAUCAGUCUCCGUCUCAGUGUCAUAUGCUGAAGACACGGAUGGAUGCGUUUAAUUUUUAGAGAGAUAUUUUUCCAAGAGAAUAUUACCAAAAAAAGGGUUUCCCCGCUUUGUAUACAAAGCAGCCAACCGAACCAUACAGGGAUAGGUGCUGGGGUGAAAGCAGCACAGUCACGCCCAAAAGAAAUGACAGAGAAAGAGCAAAAGAAACAAAUGCCGACAACGGCGGAUCAACAAAAACAAAGAAGCCUCGUGAUCGCUGCACCCACCGGGCUCUUCCACUACGCUCCAAGACUCUGAAGCGCCGGCACCAAUCAACACCUCCAAGAAGGAUCGCGACGAUGACGAUGUUGUUGCCAAGGGUUUCCCCCGGUACACGAUGAGGCGAGAGGAACGGUAGCCCCCGAUGCCCUCCUAGAAGGUCAGGUGGCACCCACAGGCGCCACCGCGCCGGAGUCGGCCAUGUCGACAGAGGUUUCCCCCGAUACCAACCCGCACCUCGGGCGCUCCGGAUCCAGCCACCCAACCAACCACCACCUUGCGCCAACGCGGUCAUGGGGCCCCCAUGCCGUCUCACCACGGCACCGCGAAGUGAGGACAGCACGACAAAAAAUCAGAGCCAGGACUAGGGCAUCAGCACCGUCGGCACGCGGGAGGGCCCCACCUCCACCGUCAGCGACGGUAGCCGUUCGGGCGCAAUAGCAGGAGCACACCAGGCCCGUAGGCCCACAGGCCCUUCCGAGCCCUCGUGGGCUCGUAAAGUUGUCGCCUUCGCACUGUUGCCGGCACGCCGUCGGCGCCGACGCCCCAUAUCCGAGCCGCUCCUCCACCUCCCCGCCCCACAUACAACGAGACCACGCCGGAGGGCCGGCGUGCUAGGGCCCAGAUGGGGCCCGUCGGGCACAGAUCUGGGCUGGGGGCGCGUCGUCGGUCACCCAGCACCACCACGCCGCCCCACCGCCAAGGAGCGGCGCCGUCACCACGCCUGCCGCCGGCCGCCGCAGCAGGGCCGCCGGACCGCAGCCAAGCCGGGUUGCAUCGCCACCGCCUCCCUGCCCCGGGAAGGAAGCGCAUGCGCGGGGGGACGAGAAGGCCCGCCGCUGCCGGCACCACCCGGGCCAGCGCCGGGGGCGCCCGCCGGCGGCGGCGGGGGGAGACGGGGGAGGAUAGGACCCGCAAGAGAAGAGCACAAGCUCCACCCCGGCCACCUCCCGGGGAGGCGGAGUGAGGCGGAUCUGGACGGAGGAAUGAAAGUGUGUUAUAUCGACUAGAGGGAGGGUGAAUAGGCGAUUUUUAUGAAUUCUUCACUCAGUAAUUUGCCGGUGAGGAAAUUCCUAAGCGAAGAACUACUUGCAGCGGAAUAAAUACUCAGAAGUAAGCAUAGCAGGAUACAGACAUAGUCAUCAUGAUGAAAUGAAGACAAGCUCAGAAUACAGAAAGCGUAAACACAGGGAUGAAGACAAACAGACUGAAGAAAUUGAACUGAGGAAAUUGAGAAAGUCUUCAGUCAAAGUCUUCAAACACAGAUAUGAACAAUCGCUCAACACACUAAUGAGGAAAUGAAAGAGUUGAGGAAAUAGAACCAGUUAGGUUGGUGAAGACAAUGAUUUGGUAGACCAGUUCCAACUGUUGUCUCAGUUGUACGUCUGGUUGGAGCGGCUGAGUAUUUAAACUCGAGGACACACAGUCCCGGACACCAAGUCGCUGAGCACGCAGCUCAGGACACUCCUCACCAUAUUCUCCUUGAACUAAGGUCACACAAACCUCGUCCAAUCACUCGUGGUAAAUCUUCAGGCGACCUCCAAACCUUCACAGACUUCGGUCACUCGGCGAUCCACAAUUCCUCUUGGAUGCUCUAGACCAUGACGCCUAACCAUCUGGAAGAAACACAGUCUUCAAAGGUAACAAGCGUCGGAUCCACGCAGGAUCAAUCUCUUCAGUGAUGCUCAAUCACUUUGGGUUUGUAGGUGUUUGGGUUUGGGUUUUUCCUCACUCGAUGAUUUUCGCUCAAAGUCCUCGGAGGAUGGGUUGCUCUCAAAUGACAAGUGUCAGUUUCUCUCGGAGCAGCCAACCAGCUAGUGGUUGUAGGGGGCGGCUAUUUAUAGCCUAGGGAGCAGCCCGACAUGAUAAGACAUAAAUGCCCUUCAAUGAUAUGACCAUUGGGUGGAUAAGAUAUUUUGGGACAGCUGGCGCGCAGCACAACAACGGUCGGAAAUUUGACUCUCAAAUUCCUCAGGGCUAUCAUGUUCCUCACUGUGUAGGCAAUCCGCACUGGCGAAUUCCUAACUCCUCAGUCAGAACAAAUUCCUCAGCGACCAGAAGAACUUCGUCUCUGUCACUGAAGAAAUUGACUGAACUGUAUGAGAUUUCCAAUGGCUUCACUCGAAGGGAUUGGUAGGUGUAGGAUUUUGAGUUGAGCAUCACAUGGAAAUUUUUCCUUAGUAUUUCCUCGACCCCCUUUAACAGUACGGUGUUUCCUAUGACUCAAGAAAGAGAAAAACAAAACUAUGAAAACGAAGUCUUCAAGCUUCAUAUUCCUCGCAUGAAUAUCAAGUCUUCACGGACACACCAAUUUCUUCACUUUCAAAGUUUUCAUGAAAGUCUUCAGAAAUACCAAAAUCUUCAGUCGAAGAUAUUCAUUUUUAGGGGUCGACUUUCCCUGUAAAUAUCAAACUCCUCAUAGACUUAUAGACCUGUGUACACUCAUCAACACAUUAGUCCCUUAACCUAUAAGUCUUCAAUACACCAAAAUCACUAAGGGGAACUAGAUGCACUUACAAUCUCCCCCUUUUUGGUGAUUGAUGACAAUAUAGGUUAAGUUUUCAACAGGGAUAAACAUAUGAAGUGUAAGUACUGAUAUUGAGGAAUUUGAUUGCAAGAUAUAGAAGAACUCCGCCUGAAGAUGUGCAUAGUGAGGAAUUUGCUUUUGAAUCAAUGCACACUUGAAGAGUUGAAUCAUGGAGAUCUCCCCCUAUAUCUUGUAAUUCAUACAUGCAUUUGACAUAUAUUAUGAAGAAUUUGAAAUGCAUGAUGAAAUAUGGUGCCUGAUGAAAUUCAGCAUGCGUGCAAUAAUAUUAAUGAGGAACAAGCAUGCAUAAUAACACAUCAAAAGUAUCAGAGCACAGUGCAAAAGUAUCAGAGCACCAUCGGGUUUAAGUUUACAACUCGAUCCAAUAAAGUCUCAGAAGAACGAGAGUUGUAACUCAGCAAAAACGCCCAUAUAAUAGACCCGCUUGAAGACUAACUCAAACUUCUCCCCCUUUGUCAUUGAAUGACCAAAAGGGUCGAAACUGAGGAUUAACGCCCCUUAAGAAUAUCAAGUUGAUGGAGGAGCGUCAACGUUGUCGCGGUCGGUUGUCGUAGUAGGGCAUGUCGCAGUGUCGUCCAAGUCUUCAUUUUCAUCAGUGUCGCGCGAUGAAGAAUAGGAGCUGGCUACCAAGGAAGGAACCUUGACCUUCUUGAAUUUCUUCGGUGGAGGUGCAGACCAGUCAAAUUCUUCCUUGAGACCCAUUUUAUUUAGAUCUGUUGCGCUGUAGACAUGAGAUAGAACAGCCCAGGUACGGUUGAAGGUUUCAUGGAGGUAGUAGUGGUUUUUCUUCACUGCAUUGUGUGUUGAUGUCAUGUUGUGAAGAAUUGAACCAAACUGACGCUUGACCCAUUUAUGAUUGCGAUCAACCUUCUGAUAAAGACUGAGGAGUAACUCACGAUCAGUCAUCACCCUGGGUGUUGUGGCUUGAGGAUUUUGCUUAGCGGCAGAAUCAUGUGUGGCAGAGUCAUCAUUGGUGGAGUAGGAUGCAUCCUUGCGGAAUUGACCAUCCAAUGGACGAAUGCCUUCAUCUAUCACAGCAGUUGCCUUGCCUCUGUCAUCAGCUAAGGAAUAUGUCCGUUUAAGGACUUCAAUUGGAGGCAAGUAGCUGCCAUGGUUCAGAGUAUCAGCCUUGUAAUUGAGUGAAGACCUUGUCCUGAUGAAUCUCAUAAUCCAUGGUGCAUAAGGCUUCAGCUCAAAUGGUGACAUAGCAAUAUUCGCCAGAGUCCUCGUGAAGAAAUCAUGGAAGUUGACGGGAACACCAUGAAUGAUAUUGAAAAGCAUAUUCUUCAUGAUGCCAACGACUUCUUCAUCAUUUGAGUCGUGGCCUUUGAUAGGACUCAUUGUCUUCGUCAGAAUGCGAUAGACAGUCCGAGGCACAUAUAGUAAUUCCUUUACGAGGAAUUUGGUUCGAGGGACCUGCCCUGGCUUCAAAGGCUUCAUCAGCACUUGCAUGUAAUGAUUUGAAAGCUCAGGUUCACUAUAGACGCAACGUGCACCGUCAAGGGGAGGACUGAGUGGUAAGACACGAAGAAAUUCAGUAGCUGGUGCCUUGUAGUGAGUAUUUUCAGACAUCCAGUCCAGUACCCAUGAAUUCACAUCUUCAGAAUUUCCUAUGAUGUGCAGCAUCGCAUAGAAUUGAAGAAUGAGUUCUUUAUUCCAGUCACAGAUGUCACUGCAGAAAUUUAGCAAUCCAGCAUCGUGAAGAACACUAAGGACUGGCUCGAAGCACGACAGAGACUCCAUGUCCACAUGAGGAAUAUGUUCAUGAUCGAAGACUUUGUCUUUGUUGAACAGUACUAAGGAAUAGAAAUUUGCUUGACUAGCAGUCCAGAAACGCCUCUUCCUUAUGCGAGUAGAGUCAUAUGGGUUGUAAUCAGUGAAGAACACAUGCUCGCUGAAGAAAUCUUCAGCCUUGAACUUUUGCUUCUUUGAGAAUGGAUUCGUUGGCUUUGGCACCGGAGUGUCAGUGAGUUGCAUCACAAUCUCAGGAAUCGCAAUCUUAGGUUCUUCAGGCUGAGGAAUUUCUAGUUCCUCUUUAGUGGCAGUCUGCGUGUUCAAAGGAUCAGCAACAGCAGUUUCUUCAGCACUAGCGGCUGGAAUGUCUUCAUGCACAGACGAGGUGGGAUGAGUUUCUUCAGAGCCCAUUUGAACGGUUGGUGCAGGGGACUAAGGUAUUUGUUGAAUUGGAGUGAAGAGUGGAGAAUUGGGGUGCUGACUUUCCCAAAAGUCAUCAUUCAUCACGAGCGUUGUGCAGCCAAUGUCCACGUCUUCAUCUUCAUUUUCUUCAACGCCAGCCUCUUCAGCUGUGAACUGAGGCAUAGGCGAGGAAGCAACAGUCGUUGAAGGGAUCGUAUCCACUUCAAUUUCUUCAUCAAUCUGCUCUGACGAAGCAGCAGAUUGAGGUUCUUCAUCAGAUCCGCUUGGGAUCACAUAUUCUUUACCAUAAGGAACAAGGUCCUUUGAUGGUAUGGUGGAAAUCAGAACAACAUCAAUUGGAUUUUCAAUCGAGCUUGUCAGAGGCUUCAUCUUCUUCGGAGCUGAAGAUUCUGAAGUAGUUGAUGCUUUCCUUUUCUUCACUGCAGCUCGCUCUGCAGCCUUGGUCUUCUUCACAUACAAUGUAGAUGGAAGGAUCGGAGUUGGUGUAGGCGCAGGAGGAGCUGAGGAAUCUGGUUGAUUUUCUUCAGGCGCAACUAAUGCAGUUGCCCUGACUUCUUCAAUUUCUUCAGGCGCCCCGCUAGUGGAUGCCCUGGCAAUUUCUUCAGCGGCUGGAAUGGAGUCAUCAUCCCUGGAACUAGCAUUUUCAUCAGCAGCCUGAAAGUCAUCAGCGGUGUUGGCAUGUUCUUCAGUUGGCUGAGCAGAUGCUUCAGCUUGAGGAAUUUCUUGUUGCGAUGGGGCUGCACCAUUGGUGAACUUCUCAGUCAGUUUCACAAACCUGACUUUGGCUCCUUGCCAAUCAGCAUAAUAAGCAUGGAAAUCAUCAUUGAGGGCUUUGAUUUUAGCUUGGAUCUUGAGGAGUUCAUCAGUUGUCAUAUUGACAAUGUUUUUCUUCAAGAACUUCUCCUUUCUGAACUGAGUCUUCUUGAUCUACCUGGCCUUCUCAAAUUUCCAUUUCUCUUUAGUGAUGAAAUGGGUCAGCAUGUGACUUUGACCAGGAGUCAAAUUGAAAUCAGGCAUAGGAGUAUUUUGAUCCUUGUGCCAGAGAUCAAUGUAAUCAAGGAUCGCCCUUGGAUCCAAAAGCAGUGGCACAUUUGUGCCUUUGGCUCUAGCGUCCCUUUCUUGUCGGUCUCUGAUGAUUUCUGCAAGUUCAUCAUCAUCAGCUUCAUCAUCAGAUGGCACUUGGAAGGCAACCUGUUUUUUCUUCGGACUUGGCCGAGGACCUCGACCAGUCGUUGCCUUUGUCUUCAGCAGAGUGCGGCAUGAUGAAGAUUUUGGUGCAGCUGAGGAACUCGCUGAAGCACCAGAGGCAAUAGAGAUGCCUGUAGUCCUUUGGCACGUGGCUAGAUGUACAUGUGUUGAGGACUUUGCCGGAGCAGCUGAGGACUUUGGAGGAGGAGCUGAGGAUUUUGGAGGAGCAGGAGCAGCAUGAGGAACUGGCCGUGAAGGCUUUGAAGAAUCUGGUCGUGAGGGCUUUCAAGAUUCUGGCCGUGAGGGCAUUGCUGAGGAACUUGGCCGUGAGGGCAUAUUUGGUGAAGCACUUGGCUUGUGAGCAGGCUUCUUUGCCGUUGAUUUUCUAGGCUUGACAGAGGCCUCAGUGGCAGCAGCAAUAGCAGAGUCUUCAUUGAAUUUCCUCGCUUCUUCUUUGGCUUGUCUUGCCAACUUGGCUUGGCGUUUGGCCCAUUCUUCAGGAAAAUCCUCACCAUGCUUGAUGCUGGUGGGGUCAGCUUCUUGGCCAGGUGCCAAUGGAGCUCUUGGGCAUGGAGGAUUUAGUGCGAAUUUCUUCAUAUGCUUUGGAGUGACAUAUCUGUACUCCCUCCAUUCUCUUGCCCAUCUCCUUUCAAUCCUUUGUAUGCGCACCUUGUGCUAAGUUUUGCUUUCUUUUCCGAACUCGGCCUCAUUAGGUGUGCAAUAGUAAGCAUAGAGGUCCUCGGGGAUUUCAAAAGCAGUCAUGACCUCAGGCUUCUUUCCUCCUUUCUGCGGCUUCUUACCAUCAGCCAUAUUCUUCAGAUGAGGAAUUUGAACAAUCGAAUUCUCUGAAGAAGUAUGCAACUUUUCUUCGAGGAACGCUGCAAAUGAGUUAAGUUGAUGAGAACCUAGUGAUUCAGUAGCGGACAUGAGUACCUGUGAACAGAGUAUAGUUGCGAGGAAUUUGGAGAGGUCAUAUGCGUUCUCAGAAGGUUUUUCAAAAAGAACAAGUUUGAGGAAUUUGACCAGAUGAGCCUUGAAGAAUUUCACUAAGCGUUCUUUGUCUUAGGUUCCAGAGUUGUAUAGAUCGAGGAUCCACACAAUUGAGGAAUCUUGAAGAAAAAUGAUGCUUCGAGAAACGAAUCAAGAGCAGUUGACUAGUGAGGUGUUUUCUGUGUGAGGAUUUGAAGAAUAAAACACCUUUGAAGAUUUUGUUGUGAAAUUUCGAAUCAAAAGAGGGUAGUAAAAGUAACUUUUAAUUACCCUGGAUGAAGAACACGAUGAACUAUGAAGUAGAAUAGUGAAGUUCGUCGGUGUAGAUCUUCCACGCCCUAACUCGGCGGAGGAAGACGGCUACAGCGGCGGCGGAGUGAAGAUUUCCGCGAUCGGCGCGAGUACGACGGUGACGAGGUCGAGGCAGUGAAGCUCUUGCUCACCGGCGAUGAUGGAAUAGUGGUGGCGCUAGGGUUUGAGAAGCUCGAGCGAGAGAGAGAGAGCGGUCGAGCAGAGUAAAGGAAGUGAGGAAGGGGUGAGGGGGUAUUUAUAGUCGCAGUGAAAAACUGUUCGCCCGAAGAUUUAGGACGAACGUGCCCCUGACCCUUCUCAUCUGCAUGACAUGUGUCACCCAUGUACUGAAAAGUGGAGAUCGUGUUAGAUCGUGGGUGAAUAGAUAAGUCUAUCGUGGGAUACGGGAUGGUUUGAGCGGUAAAACUGAAAAUUUGGAUCAGAUAAAUUUUGAAGUUCCGUUCGCAAUUUCUUCAGCUGACAAGGACACAGUGAAGAUUUUGAACGAGUUUCAAAUAGAACGCACAUGAAGAAUUUGUGAAUAGAUUGGGUUGAGUAUAGCAUAGAGGGGGAAGGGUCCGAUCACAUUCACUUAGCAAAAAUUGCAACUUCAAGAAAUAGCCAUAAGUGAAUGUUGUAGAGGACAUAAACCCAUAUAUAUAUAUAUAUAUAUAUAUAUAUAUAGCCAAAGAAGAAAAACGACGGAGACUGGCGAUUUUGCAAAGUUGAAGAAUUUGAAAAACUGAAGAAUUUCAAAAACUGAGGAAUUUCAAAAAUGAAGAUUUUUCAACUUUGGUGGUGGAGUGACCCACCGUAUAAGAAUGAUGAUUCAGACACCGCGUACAAUUGUUGUAGGGUUCUGAGAAUCAAAUUAUUCAUUAAUUUCUUCACACUUAGAGUGUUAUUCUUCAUUGAUUGAAGAAAAACGUAAGUCAUCAAUUUUGCAUAAGUGUUAGGAUGAGUGUCCUUUUUCAAAGAAUAUUCAAAGAUUCUAGGAUAUUUAGCUCACACCGCAGCUUGCUAAAUCUCUUCUCAUCCAAGGGCUUUGUGAAGAUAUCGGCUAGUUGUUCUUCAGUCUUCACGUGCUCGAUGGAGAUGUCGCCCUUCAACACAUGAUCACGAAGAAAAUGAUGACGAAUCUGAAUGUGCUUUGUCUUCGAGUGCUGAACUGGGUUGUGAGCAAUCUUGAUGGCACUCUCAUUGUCACAGAGGAGAGGCACAUUCUUCACGUUGAUACCAUAGUCCUUGAGGGUUUGCUUCAUCCAUAGUAGUUGAGCACAGCAAGAACCAGCAGCAAUGUACUCAGCCUCUGCAGUAGACAGUGAUACGCAGUUCUGUUUCUUCGAGGACCAACAGACCAAAGAUCGUCCGAGGAAAUGACAAGUACCAGAUGUUGACUUGCGGUCCACACGAUCACCAGCAUAGUCAGAGUCAGAAUAUCCAAUGAGAUCAAAAGUAGAGCCCUUGGGGUACCAUAAUCCUAGUGUUGGUGUGUGAGCUAGAUAUCGAAGAAUAUGCUUCACAGCCUUAUGGUGUGAUUCCUUCGGUGCAGCUUGAAAUCGGGCACACAUGCAAACACUAAGCAUUAUAUCUGGCCUAGAUGCACAUAAGUACAAUAAAGAACCAAUCAUGGAGCGGUAUACCUUGUGAUCGAAGUCAAUACCAUUUUCAUCAGUGCAUAGAUGGCCAUUUGUGGGCAUAGGAAUUUUGACGCCUUUGCAAUCUUGCAUGCCGAAUUUCCUCAGAACAUCCUUGAGGUAUUUCUCCUGAGAUAUGAAUAUGCCAUUGUGCUGUUGACGAAUUUGAAGACCUAAUAAGAAUUUCAACUCUCCCAUCAUAGACAUUUGAUAUUCUUCACUCAUCAUAUAGGGAAAUUCAUCACUAUAACGUUGGUCAGUACAACCAAAGAUAAUAUCAUCAACAUAUAUUUGGCACACAAACAGUUCACCAUCAUAAGAUUUAGUAAAGAGAGUAGGGUCGAGUGAACCGGGUGUGAAGCCAUUCUUCAUGAAGAAUUCCUUCAAAGUGUCAUACCACGCCCGAGGGGCUUGCUUGAGGCUAUACAGGGCCUUGUUGAGUCUGAAGACUUUGUCAGGAUUCUUUGGAUCUUCAAAACCUGGGGGUUGAGCAACAUACACUUCUUCCUCAAGCUUACCAUUGAGGAAUGCACUUUUCACAUCCAUUUUUUAUAAGAUAACAUUAUGAUGGUUAGCAUAAGCAAGUAAUAUGCGAAUAGCCUCAAGUCUAGCAACAGGUGCAAAAGUUUCAUCGAAAUCAAUUCCUUCAACCUGUGUGUAGCCUUGAGCUACAAUUCGUGCCUUAUUCCUCACCACAAGGCCAUUUUCAUCUUGCUUGUUGCGGUAGAUCCACUUCGUGCCAAUGAUAUUAUGCUUGCGAGGAUCUGGACGUUUGACUAGUUCCCAGACAUUGUUGAGCUCGAACUGAUGUAAUUCUUCUUGCAUGGCCUGAAUCCACUCAGGCUCCAGAAAUGCUUCAUCUACCUUAGUGGGCUCUGUGAUAGCGACAAAAGCAUAGUGCCCACAAAAGUUAGACAAAUGUGAAGCUUUUGAGCGUGUGAGAGGACCUGGCGCUCGAAUGUCAUCGAUGAUCUUUUCAACUUGCACUUCUUUUGCAAUGUGAGGAUGAGCUGGUUGUCGUUGAGGAAUUUGAUCAGCAUUUUCUUCAGCACCAUUUUCUUCAGCAUUUUCAUCAGGUGCACCAGCUCGAUUUUCUUCACGUUCUGGAAUGAAUUCUUCAGUAGAUUCUUCGGUAGGAAUAACAUCCUCAGUAGCCUUGAACUUGAUAGAACCCUCAGGUGCUGGUUCAUCUAUCACAGAAGGUAGGUGCUCUCUUUGCGAGCCAUUAGUUUCAUCAAACCGCACAUCUAUAGUUUCAACAACCUUGUGAAGAACGUUGUUGAAGACUCUGUAGGUGUGCUAGUCCUUUCCGUAACCAAGCAUAAAACCUUCAUGUGCUUUCGGUGCAAAUUUAGAAUUGUGAUGAGGAUCUAUAAUCCAACAUUUAGCAUCGAAGACUUUGAAAUAACUCACAUUAGGUUUCUUGUCAGUGAGGAGUUCAUAGGCAGUCUUCUUGAAGAAUUUGUGAUAUACCCGAUUGAUGACGUGGCACGCAGUAUCAAUUGCCUCAAUCCAGAAACAACGAGGCGUCUUGUAUUCAUCAAGCAUAGUGCGAGCCAUUUCAGUGAGGGUUCUGUUCUUGCGCUCCACAACGCCAUUCUGCUGAGGAGUAUAAGGAGCAGAUAACUCAUGAGUAAUACCAAGUUCAUCAAGAUAGUCAUCAAGACCGGUAUUCUUGAACUCAGUCCCAUUGUCAGUUCUGAUGUGCUUGAUCUUCACACCAAAGUUGGUUGAAGCCCAGGAGGAAAAUCCUUUGAAGAUUUCCUGCACUUCAUGUUUGUAAGUAACAAUGUGUACCCAUGUGUAACGAGAAUAGUCAUCAACAAUAACAAAGCCAUAUAGAUAUGCAUCAUUUGAAACAGCAGAAUAAUGAUUAGGACCAAAGAGAUCCAUGUGAAGCAAUUCGAAUGGACGAGUAGUGGUCAUGAUAGUCUUCGCAGGAUGCUUAGCCUUUGUCAUCUUUCCAGCUUCACAAGCUCCGCAUAAGUGAUCCUUGAGGAAUUUGACAUUCUCAAUGCCAAUGACAUGCUUCUUCUUCGCAAGCGUGUUCAGAUUCCUCAUGCCAGCAUGACCAAGUCGUCGAUGCCAUAGCCAGCCUUCUGAAGCUUUUGCCAGUAAGCACACGGCUGGUUGUGGUCCUGUAGAGAAAUCAACAAUAUACAGAUCUCCUCUCCUAAAGCCUUCGAAGACUUUGGAAUGGUCAGCUUCCAUGAUCACAACAUAACGAUAUCUUCCAAAGACAACGACCAUAUCGAGAUCACAAAGCAUUGAGACAGACAUGAGGUUGUAUCCUAAGGACUCGACAAGCAUGACUUUGUCCAUGUGUCGAUCCUUUGAGAUUGCAACCUUACCUAGACCCAAUACCUGACUUUUGCCUUUGUAAGCAAAGAUGAUAUGCUUCAGAUGUGACGGUAAUAAGGGAGCAUCCAUCAAUAGGUUCUUGUCACCAGUCAUGUGAUUUGUACAUCCACUAUCGAGGACCCACUCGUUUGCUUUGGGCUGAUCAUCCUGUGGAUGAAUUAGUGCAUCUUACGAACUCUUAUACUUCAUCAGUGAAGAAUAUGACAUCAAAUUCAUCAGUUCAAUUUCAUCAAGCAAUAGCACAGAUAAGAAGUGUGAGGACGUGUGAAAUGAAAGUUCAUUUCAUCAUGAUUCGCCUGCGUCCUUUCAGGCAUUUUUGUUAGGCCCCCAGCAAAUUCAUCAGACGUUAAAGCACGUCUGGAGACCUGACCCUGCAGAAGAAAUUAGUUCUUUUUCUUGACCACCCACAUCUGAAGGGGUGGCAAAGAGUUCAUCACUCUGCGAGCACCAUAUGAGAAAGGUGGCAUAGAGGCCAAUCCAUUUCAUUUCACAUAAGAGGGGUUAGGGUAAGCAUAUGAAUAAGCAGAGAAAUUCUUCGAGGACUUAUGAACAUAAUGAUUUGAAGAAUAAUGCGCAUAUUCAUAGCCCUUAGCUCUACCCUGUGAAACAGAGUUGUUAGCACGAUGAUGAUCAUAUGAGGACUUUGAUCCAUUUGAGGAAUUUGAUCCACGUGAGGAAUUUGGUCCGUAUGAGGACUUGGAUCCAUAUGAAGAAUUUGGUCCAUAUGAAGAGUUUGAUCUGGGGUUCCUGUUCUUCACAGGUGGUGUCAUGAGGACAUUCACCUGAAGACUUUCAACAUAACUUUUGGGAACCCAGAUUUUCUUCAUAGGGGAACCGUUCCUGCAGUUAGUGCCAACAUAUCUAGCAAAUACUUCACCAUUCUGAUUUUUGAACAGUUUAUAGUUGGAGUCAAAUGACUCAUCAGAAGAAUGAGGAGAUUCACAUGUAAAGCCAGAUAAGUUAGAUGGAUCAACUGGAGGUCCCUUUGCAGCAACCCAUGAGGUUUUGGGGUACUGCUCAGGCUUCCAAUAUGUUCCAUCAGCAUUGAGUUUCCUCUCAAAGGCAAUACUUUCUUUCCUAGGGUUUCUAUUGAGGAUCUGCUUUUUGAGCACAUCACAAAGAAUCUGAUGCCAUUUGAGGCUUUUGUACAUGCCUGUCGUGUACAAUUCCUUCAGCCCUGCAUUGUCAAUGAUACUAGCAAUGUCCUCAGAUGAGGAAUUAGUGAUAGCAGAGGCAUGUGAAGAAUUUGUAACAGUUGAAGCAUUUGAACAUUCAGGUGAAGAAUUAGUAGAUUCACGUUCAAUGCACUUUAAGCAUGGAGGAACAAAUUCUUCGUGAGUAGCGCUGAUUUGUUGAGCAAGUAAUGAAUCACGAUCCUUCUAAAGAUCUUCAUAACUCACUCUUAGCUUCUCAAGAUCUUGCUUUCUUUGAAGAAAUUCAUAAGAAAGCUUCUCGUGAUCAGAUAAGAGAGUGUUAUGAUGACUUUGAAGGUUGUCAAACUUAGACUGAAGUCUCUGAAGAUUUUCAGUUAAGCCUUUAGUGCGGUCCAUUUCAUCACCCAACAUAUCAUCAUUUUUGUCUAGCAUGUUUUGAAGCUUUUCAAUAGCCUUUUGUUGUUUCACAACAAUCUUAGCAAGUUUAGAGUAGCUAGGCUUAAGAUUUUCAUCAGAUUCAUCCUCACUAGAUUCAGAGGAGGGGUAUUUAGUUACCUUGGCACCCUUUUCCAUGAAGCAAUAGGUGGGAGCGUAGUCAUCAUUAUCUUCAUCACCAUUGUUGGUGUUGCCAUUUUCUUCAGAGUUGAAGAUAGACUUGCUGACAAAUGCGGUAGCAAGAGCUAGACUUGCCACACCUGACUCAGACUCCUCGGAUGCCUCCUCUUCCUCAUGUUCCUUAGAUUCAGCUUCAGAGUCCAUUUCCUUGCCAAUGAAUGUCUGAGCCUUCUUGGAGCUGCUCUUCUUGUGAGAUGAAGACUUUGAAGAUUUUGAUGAUGAAGACUUUGAAGAUUUCUUCUUCUUCUUGGCAUCAUCAGAACUGUAACCCUUGUAUUUCUUCUUCCUUAAUUCCUUGUCCCACUGAGGACAAUCUUGAAUGUAGUGACCAGGCUUCUUGCAUUUGUGGCAUAGCCUUCUCUUAUAGUCACUUGAUGAGAAAUCACUGCUCCUUGAGGUUUUUCCAAAGCGACCACGUCUUGAGAACUUCUGGAACUUCUUCACGAGCAGUGCUAGGUCCUGGCUCAAUUCCUCAGGAUCACCAAGGCUACUACCAGAGUCUUCACAUUCAGAUUCAGACACAGCCUUGGCCUUCAGGGCACGUGUUUUGCCAUAGCUUGAACCAUAGGGAUCUCUCUUUUCAGCAAGCUGGAACUCAUGAGUAUUUAGCCUCUCGAGGAUAUCAGCGGGAUCUAGUGACUUGUAAUCAGCACACUCUUGUAUCAUCAGUGCCAGAGUAUCAAAUGAGGAAUCUAGCGAUCUCAGCAAUUUCUUCACCACCUCAUGGUCGGUGAUGUCAGUGGCGCCAAGCGCUUGAAGCUCAUUUGAGAUGUCAGUGAGGCGAUCGAAGGUUUGCUGAACAUUUUCAUUGUCGAGUCUUUUGAAGCGGUUGAAGAGAUUGCGAAGAACGUCAACACGAGAGUCACGUUGAGUUCAGACUACUUCGUUUACUUUGGAGAGCCUAUCCCAGAUAAGCUUAGCAGUUUCCAAAGCACUCACUCUACCAUACUGCCCUUUACUCAGAUGACCACAUAUGAUAUUCUUCGCUUGAGAAUCGAGUUGCUUGAAUCUCUUCACAUCAGCAGCAUUCAGGGAAGGUGUGACUGAGGGAACACCAUUUUCCACAACAUACCAGAGAUCGUUGUCAAUUGCUUCAAGAUGCAUUCGCAUCUUAUUCUUCCAGUAGGGGUAGUCCGUGCCAUCGAAGGUAGGACACCCAGCAGAGACCUUGAUCAUACCUGCGGUCGACAUAACUAGAACUCCAGGUGGUUAAACCAAAAUCACACAGAACAAGGGAGUAUCUUGCUCUGAUACCAAUUGAAAGUGCGUUAUAUCGACUAGAGGGGGGUGAAUAGGCGAUUUUUAUGAAUUCUUCACUGAGGAAUUUGUCGGUGAGGAAAUUCCUAAGCGAAGAACUACUUGCAGCGGAAUAAGUACUCAAAAGUAAGCAUAGCAGGAUACAGACAUAGUCAUCGUGAUGAAAUGAAGACAAGCUUAGAGUACAGAAAGCGUAAACACAGGAUAACACAAGAUGAAGACAAACAGACUAAAGAAAUUGAACUGAGGAAAUUGAAAAAGUCUUCAGUCAAAGUCUUCAAACACAGAUAUGAACAAUCACUCAACACAGUAAUGAGGAAAUGAAAGAGUUGAGAAAUAGAACCAGUUAGGUUGGUGAAGACAAUGAUUUGGUAGACCAGUUCCAACUGCUGUCUUAAUUGUAUGUCUGGUUGGAGCGGCUGAGUAUUUAAACUCGAGGACACACAGUCUCGGACACCCAGUCGCUGAGCACGCAGCUCAGGACACCAAGUCCUCACCGUAUUCUCCUUGAACUAAGGUCACACAGACCUUGUCCAAUCACUCGUGGUAAGUCUUCAGGCGACUUCCAAACCUUCACAGACUUCGGUCACUCGGCGAUCCACAAUUCCUCUUGGAUGCUCUAGACCAUGACGCCUAACCGUUUGGAAGAAGCACGGUCUUCAAAGGUAACAAGCGUCGGAUCCACGCAAGAUCAAUCUCUUCAGUGAUGCUCAAUCACUUUGGGUUUGUAGGUGUUUGGGUUUGGGUUUUUCCUCACUCGAUGAUUUUCGCUCAAAGUCCUCGGAGGAUGGGUUGCUCUCAAAUGAUAAGUGUCAGUUUCUCUCGGAGCAGCCAACCAGCUAGUGGUUGUAGGGGGCGGCUAUUUAUAGCCUAGGGAGCAGCCCGACAUGAUAAGACAUAAAUGCCCUUCAAUGAUAUGACCGUUGGAUGGAUAAGAUAUUUUGGGACAGCUGGCGCGCAGCACAGCAACGGUCGGAAAUUUGACUCUCAAAUUCCUCAGGGCUAUCAUGUUCCUCACUGUGUAGGCAAUCCGCACUGGCGAAUUCCUAACUCCUCAGUCAGAACAAAUUCCUCAGCGACCAGAAGAACUUCGUCUCUGUCACUGAAGAAAUUGACUGAACUGUAUGAGAUUUCCAAUGGCUUCACUCGAAGGGAUUGAUAGGUGUAGGAUUUUGAGUUGAGCAUCACAUGAAAAUUUUUCCUUAGUAUUUCCUCGACCCCCUUUAACAGUACGGUGUUUCCUAUGACUCAAGAAAGAGAAAAACAAAACUAUGAAAACGAAGUCUUCAAGCUUCAUAUUCCUCGCAUGAAUAUCAAGUCUUCACGGACACACCAAUUUCUUCACUUUCAAAGUCUUCAUGAAAGUCUUCAGAAAUACCAAAAUCUUCAGUCGAAGAUAUUCAUUUUUAGGGGUCGACUUUCUCUGUAAAUAUCAAACUCCUCAUAGACUUAUAGACCUGUGUACACUCAUAAACACAUUAGUCCCUUAACCUAUAAGUCUUUAAUACACCAAAAUCACUAAGGGGAACUAGAUGCACUUACAAGGAAGGGGGGGAGGGGGGCAGAGGCCGGGCGCGAGGCCGGCGGCCGGCCGCGGCGGGAGGGAAGGAGGGGAAACCCUAGCGCCUAGUCGCGGGAGCCCGUUUCGGCCAACUGAUUCUCCAAGAGAAUAUUGCACUUUGUGUUGCAGUGUGUUGUUAUUUCCUUGUGUCAUACAGCACAACAGUUGUACUCACACUUCCAAGUGACGGUGAGCACGGCUGUAUGGAAUAUAUCUAUUUUUGGUUUCAUCUGAUUCUGAUGACAGUAUUGCCUCUCAUUGCCCCUUGUUGUGUUAUUGUGUUACUAGUGCUUUUCAUGGUUUCGUCGAGUGCUACUUGUGCUUAAUUUAUAAUUAUUUUCACAUGAACCGCAAAUGCACUAGUCAUUUUUCUUGCCACUCUAUCUCGUUUCUCUGUUCGUUACUUUUCUUAGAUUUUCAGUUCAUUCUUCUAACAUUUGUUUUUCAAUCUACUCCCUCCGUUCCUAAAUAUUUGUCUUCCUACAUAUUUCAAAUGGACUACCACAUAUAGAUGUAUAUAGACCUAUUUUAGAGUGUAGAUUCACUCAUUUUGCUUCGUAUGUAGUCACUUGUUGAAAUCUUCAGAAAGACAAAUAUUUAGGAACGGAGGGAGUAUAAUUCUUUUCAACUAAGUUGCCAACGCCUGUAACUCCAUGGCCAAUUAUGAUUGUAUCUCUAUGGUCUCAGCUAUGUGUGGGAUUCAAGGCUGGGCAGACCUCCGCAUGGCCUACUUCACUCUGUUGUUGCUCUGUAAGACUGUAACUCUAUUGGAAUCAUUCCUUGACAUCGUUGCCUUCACAGCCACCUGCCGUUGUUGCCUUCCCCUCCGAUCUCUCCAAAUCGAUGUUGUUGCCACCUCUCCUCCUCCAGCCGCAUGUCCCUCAGUGCUCUCCUCGUCCAUGCCCAUUUAGCAGCAGACUUGUACGUAAACAUUCAUGUUAUGUUACUGAUCUUGCCAACCAAGGCACCUAACGUUUUGGUGACAGCAAAUCCCCACCAAGUCCUCUGGAUAGUUCUUCUUGUGGAUGUCUUCACUGGUGUUAGUAUCUCAACUACCGGUCGAUGGAUACAUUCACCUCUACGACUACGAUGUUGCCCUCACGCCUCCUCUUUCAUCACCCAACUCACAUCUCCUGAUCAACACUGGACACCACAAUUAGUUUUGGCGUGUUGGUAGUAAUUCUUGCUUGUAUGUUCUCCUCGAAAUGAAAUGAUUAAGAAGAUUGUGGUCUUCAAAGGCCAGGUCUUGGGCAUGGACCAUGGUCGCGGACUGUUUCUCGUGCACUUAGUACCCCGGAUUCACACACAGAAAAUAGCAGUUGAUUUGGAUGGAAGCAUCUUGCCCACUUGUGGCUCGUCGCGUGCGACGACAUGCUUCUCAUGCUUGGUUACCAGGAAUAUUCUCCAUCAACAGGGGAUACCUUUGAAGGCUUCCGACUCGACUUAUCGACUGAGCCUACAAAGUGGGUGAAGGUGGAGAAGUAGGAACUGGGCGAUCUUCAUCAGCAUCAAAGAGAGAUGGAAGGAAGGAGCAACUGCAUGUACUGCUAUGAUUCUAAAGAGUGGAUCACAUUUUAUUAUUAUUUUUGAAUGGUGAGUGGAUCACAUGUGAGUUGGGUCACUCACUGUAGGAAGGCGUCUCCAUUAUAAAUUGUGGCAAACUGAUGCAACCCAUGUGGGUUGUGCCCAGUAUGUUUUAUUCGUAUCCGUGAUGAUCGACGGUGGCGAUGGAUUGUUAUUAGUGCUCUCCAUAUGAGCUUCCCCCGUAAGAUAUCUCGACUUCAUGUACGUAGAUGUGGUUCAACAAAGUUUUGAACCUUUGAUAUGUCGGAUCAUGUUGGCAAUGCUCAAGUAUAUUAGGAGCAUAUGGUGUCAUCGUCGAUUUCUAGCCUCUUACUUCAGCAUUUAUGAAAAUGCUGAAGCAACUCUACCAGCUUGUGCCGAAAAAUUGCUCUUCCAGCAAAAGAACAGAACAAUGGCUCUUUUGCAGUCUGUGUAGUUCCAUCCACUGGCGGAGCUAUAUACAAGUCUGAGGGGGUCGUGGCCCCCCCAGCCCAAAGGAGAUUAAUUUUUAUUUACUACUAGUGGCCCCUGCAGUCUGCCUGCAUGCAUACGUCCAUCUUCAUGCAUGCACAGCUCUGCUGCUCCAUCUCAUCCAGCAGGACUGACGCCACACUAGCUCGAAGCUACUCUUGACGAGCUACACCUCUAGGCCGCGCGUGAAGCUGGCAACAACAAGGAACAAGAACAGCUCGAGCUGUGUCUUCGCCACUAAUCCAGUGCCGCCGAUGUUCUUGCCCAAAUCUGCAUGAACGGCCGGCCGGUCGGCCACUCCUUGUCCAGUUAUUUUGGUUUCCUAUAUGCGUUUGAUUAGUACUCUUAUUGACUUGGUCUCAUUAAGGAUUGUCUUGGCGUUGGCAGCACAUAUUUGUUCACCUAGUUACUUGAAUUGAGACUAAAAAGAGACCAAAAAGCUGAUCUAUAGUACCCCCAUGCUGUGGCCUCUAUGAGGUCUGAAAGCUUAGCAGUAUACGUAUACAAAAUGUAUGUUUUCGUUGAUUUUUGAAGUAUAUAUGUAUGUACUUUGCAACCAAUAUAGAUAAUAUUAAUAUAAUUCUGUCUGAAGGUUACGAGUUCUAGUUUAUUAGAGUGGGUAAAAAAAAUUGGCCCCCCCCAUACAUUCUUGUCAAGCUCCGCCACUGGUUCCAUCCUUGAGUGUUCAGAACAUAGUAAGAGAUGUUCCCUUUAUCAGUUAGGCGUGUUGUUUAACUGAUUAUUACUGAUUCUUCUGUCUUUGGUGGAACUGACAAGUUUCAAGUGUAGUUUUGCCUUAAGAGUUAAGAGGCAUGUGGGGGCCUUAUUUAUUUUGAAUGGCCGGCCCUAUGAAUUUAUCAGUGUGUUAGCAAAGGAUUCUUCUUCAGUGCAUGGUCUGGUCUUAGGUUGCAAGCAGCUGUCAAAAUGACUGAAGACGUGUACCGGAAAAAUGAAUUUGGUGUCUGGUUGUUGGCCCUGAACAUGAAGAAGACAUGUAUUGCACUGAACCGUCUGCUUGUGCCAGAUUAACAUCUGUGUGCUUGCUCUUGUGCUACGAGUUCUGCAGAGAGACUUGCUAGUGCUAGCUAGUAACCUUGGUUGUGACACGUCUGAUUGUAAAGUUGUUGACGUUUUAGUUUCAUGCUCAAUGAAUGAAACCAGAUCCAAGGUUUUGUGUCAAGAAUUUGUCGCGGCUAAAUGAUACUGUCCCAGCGGGUGCUUGCCAAAUUUUACUGACGAAGUAUACUAAUAGUACCGAGCCACUAGACUGCAGUGACUACAUGUUUCUUCAUGUGUUCUUCCCAAAUUUCACUUAGUUGUAUCAGGAACCAGAUGCAUAUGUUACGUAGUUAAGAGAAACUUGGAUCAGAACCCUCAGCCAUUACUGAAAUCUCCAUUCAGAUAACCUUCAGAGGAUAGCUCCCGCCAGCUGACCACCAGACGAGGGACCGGAUUGCAAAAAAGGUCAUCGUACGACUUACGACGGCCAGCCGGACAGGGACCAAACUUAAAUUUUGAAGGAUCGACAGGGGCCGCGCGAACGCGUACCCCCUCUACCACAAAUUAUGACGUCCACUCUCCCACUUGGGAAGAUGGUGGACCAACGCAUUCACCAAGUGCAAUGUGAACCACUGACCCAGGCCACGAGCCUUCUUGAUCGCUCGUCGACCCCGUCCAGGUAAGUAUGGAACAACGUCGCACCUUGCCCUCCUUUUAUAGCCAGCGCUCCUGCUGGGUACUCCUCCGCUAGGCGAGGUGGGACUAAAAACCGAAGCGCAGCAGCGGGCGGUGCGGGAGCCAGUCACGCGGGAGGACGUUCGUUUGAAAUGGGCUGGCGUUUGCUAUAUCUGGACCUCAGUUACGGACGAAGUAUAGAGCUGGGCCUUGAAAGCCGUAGCAGCAGCUUUGUGCCAGUGUUUUGUUGCUGGCCUUCUCCUCGUGUAAAUCCUGUUGCACUCUCCUCUGCCCCUCAAAAAAAAAAGGUUGAUUCUCAAAAAAAAAUGUUGGACUCUCCUCUGUAAAAAAAAUCCUCCCGUGGGAAUUCUUUCCCAAACAAAUGAAACGAUAUCAUGGCAAUUCUUAAGAAAAUUCAUGGUGUAUCCCCUAAAAAAUGAUGGUAAUUUCAUGCCUCCUUCCUUUAUUUUAAAAGUUAUUCUUUCUUUUUUGUGCGGAAGAUUUUUAGUUGUUCUUGUAACAAAAUAUUUUUUUAGGGGAUGUAACAAAAGAUAUUUAGUUGUUACUCCCUCCCAUCUCCUAGGGCCGGCGCCCCCCUGGGGUCCCUAUAUAAAGAGGGGGUGGGAGGGCAGCCGCACCCUGACACCUGGCGCCUCCCUUCCCCCCUUGCUACACCUCUUCCUCCCGUAGUCGCUUGGCGAAGCCCUGCCGGAUCCCUGCUGCAUCCACCACCACGCCGUCGUGCUGCUGGAUCUUCAUCAACCUCUCCUCCCCCCUUGCUGGAUCAAGAAGGAGGAGAUGUCACACUGACCGUACGUGUGUUGAACGCGGAGGUGCCGUCCGUUCGGCGCUAGGAUCUCCGGUGAUUUGGAUCACGACGAGUACGACUCCCUCAACCCCGUUCUCUUGAACGCUUCCGCUCGCGAUCUACAAGGGUAUGUAGAUGCACUCCUCUCUCUCGUUUCUAGAUGAACUCAUAGAUUGAUCUUGGUGAACGUAGGAAAAUUUUUAUUUUAUGCAACAUUCCCCAACAAUUAAUGGAGGAGAGAGGGGGCAAGAGGGUGGGAGGAAGGAGAAGCACCUCCUUAAAUAGGGUCCCCUCAGAUCCAACCGUUAUGCGCAUAAAUGCAUAGGAGCGGUACUUCCGCAAGUGUCACCGGUACAACCGGUGAAUGCGGGAAACCCCUGCUAGGGCACCAGGGCGGUACUUCCGGUGAGAGAACCGGUAGUACCGGUAUAUCAAAACAUACCGUAACUACCGUCCCACCACCGCCCGACUACCGCCUCACCAUAGAAGGAAUCACCCCAGGCCGGUAGUUAGAGCGGUGGUUGGCCGGAGCUACUACUAGGCCAGCAGUUCCUGAGUAGUGGAGUGCAAUGCGGUACUACCGCCCUGAACACCGGUAGUACCAGUUUGUUAAGAUAAAUCGGAACUUCUGAUCCACUACCGGUCUACCACCAUACCUGGUACAGAAGGGAGUCACCCCUGAGCGGUACUUGGGGCGGUGGUAAGACCGGAACUACCGACCACCGAUACAACCGCUCAAUGGAGUGGUACUACCGCCAUGGGCAGAACUGCACAGAACAAAGAUCUUUGGGGAACCCCUCACUACUCAAACGGAGGGUGUCUGGUGGGUGCAGAGAAUGUCUACGUGAAAUGAUUCACCCAAUACCAUCCGAUGCGGAUUCCCUCUUAAAAGUACGGAUAUCCUACGACCCAAGGAAUAAAACUUCAGAAACUCCGUCUUCGAUCUUUUCCGCAUAGAGGGAAGGCCUAACCGUCUUGCGCCGCACAAUGUGUACCUGAGAAAACUAGGACGCACGAUUAGUCCACAUGAGUGUCAUCAUCAUCACCAAAACCUUAAGGUAGAAGAUGCCCUUACACAAGCUCUAACAAAACAAACUUGAUUACAUGAUGAAUCUCAUCCAACUCCUCACCGAUCAGCGAGCCUACAAAGGAAUUACUCACUCCUGGUGGACAACAUCAUGGAAUUGGUGAUGGAGGAGGGUUGGUAAUGAUGAAGACUGAAGAUUCCCCUCUCCAUAGCCCCAAACAGACUCCAGAUCUUGCCUCCCGACGAAGAACGGGAGGUGACGGCGACUCCACAUCGCGAAAUGAGAUAAUUCUUCCUCCCUGGUUUUUUCUCCGAAAAUAGGAUUUAUAGCGUCGGAGCUAGGGUCUGCGGGGUCACCAGGUGGGCACAACCCACAUGGGCGCGCUUGGAGGGGGGGCGCGCCCUGGUGGGUUGUGCUCACCCAGGGGCAAAGUUUCGUUCCAAUUCGAGAACUUUUAUUUCUGCACAAAAAUAACACCAUGGUAGUUCUGCUGAAAACAUCAUCAGUUCGGGUUGGUUUUAUUCAAAUCAUGCAAAUUAGAGUCCAAAACAAGAGGAAAAGCGUUAGGAAAAGUAGAUAUGACGGAGACGUAUCAACUAACAGGCCCAGGCUAUCAGAAACGUGUUUUAAUCACUGCUGACACACCUAUUAACGAACGUUUGGGUCACGCCGUCUCCCCGUCUAACAUGGCCCUGACUACUCAAGAUACAUAUGCAAUGGUGUAGGACAACGCAGCCCCGAAGACUUCUGCUUCCAGCCGCUCCAUCACCAGCGACCUUCCUAUGAUCCUAUCUUGUGUAGUCCAGGCGCAAAACAUAACAGAGUUGUUGGACUCACUAUGUGCAUUUAGAAACCAAACGGAACCGAGAAGACCCGAACUGAGCCUAUAUUUUGGUUUAUAUGGUUUUUGGUUUUUGGUAUGGUAUAGGAUUUAAAAACCAUUUGGAAGUCGUUUUUUUGAUAGAAAACCGAAAAACGGUUUUUACCAAAUAAACCGAAUAUAAUUUAUGCCCAGCCUAGUAAGAGCACUUCUAGUCUAGUUCUUGAUCUUUUCUAUAGCCCAACGCGACAACUAAUCCUUGUACUGAAACCGGAAAGAAAGUGAAGAAGCAUGCAACCUCAAGAGCAACAAUAUGACUAUACUACACCAGGCUUCCCAAUGAUCUACACCGCGCUUCAUGCAACUAUUUUGUAACUGCAUUUGUGUCACACUAAGUAUAUGGAGUUCUGUACACACGACAUUUGUGUCACUUUUCGGUGAAUACAAAAUAUUAUAUGGCGUGAACGAAUCAACACCACAACCAGCAUCUAGUGAUUGUGCUAGUGAGUGUUCAACACCACAAUCAUAUUUCAUGCUUAUGCGGGCUUUAUACAACAAGAGCGUGAAACUAACUACUGGUGAUGGUAGUCGUAGAACUAAAAUAGACAAGUACUUAGCUGAAGAUGUAGAAGAAAAUAGUCCUGGAUUCAAGGUUCUCAAUUGGUGGAAAUGCAACUGAUUAUGCUUUCCUAUUCUUUCAAGCAUAGCUCACGACAUGUUAGCAAUUCCUAUUUCAACCGUUGCUUCCGAAUAUGCUUUUAGCACUAGUGGGUGUAUUCUUGAUGCCUUUCGAAGCUCUUUGACUCCGAUGACACUCCAUGCCUUGAUUUGUACACAAGAUUGGCUGCGGCAUAAGUGUAUCAACAUCGAGGCCAAUCUGGAGGAGUUGUCUAAACUAGAAGAAGGUACUAUUUAUAGACACAUAAGCCAUGAAGCACAACUUGCUAUUACUCAGUACAAAGUACUGACCAUUAUAUUGUUUUUCAUGCAAGAGUUUUAGAUCUCUAAGCCUGAACGAGGAUCUCUUUAUCGUUGACUGGUGUGUCCUUGAAGCAACAAAGCUAUUUCAUUUUGGGUAAUUAGGCUGAUGGGAAUUGUUGAAUGUUGAAACUACUUUUGGUAAUUAGGUGGCUGGCAUGGUAGUUGUUGAAGCGUGAAGCAAUGCUGGUGAAAUAUUUUGGUAAAUAGUUGCCCCAGGACAACACUACACAACCUGAGAAACUACGGUUAUGCACAUGUUCUGUACCGAACUAGUGACUAAUGUGUAAAUUUGUUAGACAUGCUUGUGUACUAAUUAUGAAAUGCUAAGUUGCACUAGGCUUGUUUUGUUUCAUGAGUGAUGGGAUGAUGGCCCUUAUGGAUGAAUGUUGACGCUAUGUACCAAGUUUGAACAUGUACAACCUUUCUUGGUUGUCUCGUAUACGUGAAUCUGUGAUGGCCCUGCUCCUGAUGGCUGAAUGUUGAAUUGUUGAUGCUAUUUACUCUCAAGUUUGAACAUGUACAGAAUAUUUAGUCACGGAAAUAUGUAACCAGAACUAAAUAGUUGUUGUGUUGUUUUCAUAUUCACGUUAACUUUGGUUACAGUUACCCGACUCCUCCCUUGUCGCCCCUGCGCGGCGACCGUGGGGGGGGGGACCCUAGCGCCGCCACGUCCUCGUCCCUCCUCCGACCUCUCUUCCUCGCCGCCGCCGAGCAAAGCCCGGUCAGCGUCGGCGGCGGCGGGAUCUCUUCUCCCUCGCCUCGCUAGAUCUGGCGCGGGCGGAUCACGACGGUGGUUGGCGGCGCGUUGGAGGCGGGGCACGCCGGCGCGGACUUAGGGGUGACGACAGUUUCCCCUGGUGUACGUGGUAGUCCGCUCGGGGCGCGCGGCGCCGGCCCUCGGCAAGCGGUGGCGGGCGCUGGGCUCUCGGCGGCGCUCUAGCGUGUGAAGAUGAUGGUGGUCCCUGUGCGCGGUCGGCGGCUCCGUCUCUGACCCGCACGGCGUGGGGGUGGCGGCGGCCCAGCGUGGCCGGCGAUCUGGAUGCGGUGGUGCCGGCGGCCCGCCGAUCUGCCGGUGCUCCAGGGUUCUGUCUGGUGGUGCUGGUGGUGACGGCGACCCGUGCACGAGAGUUGGAUCCUUUCGAACUGAUCUAGGUGAGAACCUGCCUUCGACAUAUUCUAAGGCCUGCGGUGGCGGCGCUAUUUGCGUCGUUCCCUUCUGGAAGGCAUCACCGUGGAGAAGUUCAAGGCCACUCUCUGCUACCUCUGGGGGAAACCCUAGAUCGGAUGAUCGGAUGACGGCGGCACUCUGGUGUCGUUCCUCCCUUGGGGGCGUCAUUCUUGGAGGUACACACGUGACCGAGGGACCAGAGGACGGAUUCUUUGGUGGAGCGGUCUUCAUCCUACACACUGAUGGCGACGGAUCUUGACGGCAUGGCAUAGUGCAGAUUCGGAGUUCGCUGUGGGAGGAUGGACUCACGCAGGAGGACGACACUGUCGGGCGUCGUGGUGGCGUUGAUGGCAGAGAGACCUGACACGGUACAUGCAACAGUAUAGCUCUGAAGAUAGAUUGGUGGCAGGUGGUUGCGGCGGCCUCAUACCCGGCAGGCGUCCUUGUUGAGGACUGUUGGAAAUAAGCCCUAGAGGAAAUAAUAAAAUGGUUAUUAUUGUAUUUCCUUGUUCAUGAUAAUUGUCUAUUGUUCAUGCUAUAAUUGUAUUAACUGGAAACUAUAAUACAUGUGUGAAUACAUAGACCACAACAUGUCCCUAGUGAGCCUCUAGUUGACUAGCUCGUUGAUCAAUAGAUGGUUAUGGUUUCCUGACCAUGGACAUUGGAUGUCAUUGAUAACGGGAUCACAUCAUUAGGAGAAUGAUGUGAUGGACAAGACCCAAUCUUAAGCAUAGCACAAGAUCGUGUAGUUCGUUUGCUAAAGCUUUUCUAAUGUCAAGUAUCAUUUCCUUAGACCAUGAGAUUGUGCAACUCCCGGAUACCGUAGGAAUGCUUUGGGUGUACCAAACGUCACAACGCAACUGGGUGGCUAUAAAGGUGCACUACAGGUAUCUCUCAAAGUGUCUAUUGGGUUGGCACGAAUCGAGACUGGGAUUUAUCACUCCGUAUGACGGAGAGGUAUCUCCGGGCCUACUCGGUAAUGCAUCAUCAUAAUGAGCUCAAUGUGACUAAGUAGUUAGUCAUGGGAUCAUGCAUUAUGGAAUGAGUAAAGAUACUUGCCGGUAACGAGAUUGAACAAGGUAUAGGGAUACCGCCGAUCGAAUCUCGGGCAAGUAACAUACCAAUGGACAAAGGGAAUUGUAUACGGGAUUGAUUGAAUCCCCGACAUCAUGGUUCAUCCUAUGAGAUCAUCGUGGAACAUGUGGGAGCCAACAUGGGUAUCUAGAUCCCGCUAUUGGUUAUUAGCUGGAGAACGUCUCGGUCAUGUCUGCAUGGUUCCCGAACCCGUAGGGUCUACACACUUAAGGUUUGGUGACGCUAGAGUUGUUAUGGGAAAUAGUAUGUGGUUACCGAAGGUAGUUCGGAGUCCCGGAUGUGAUCUCGGACGUCACGAGGAGUUCCGGAAUGGUCCGGCGGUGAAGAUCGAUAUAUUGUAUGAAGGGUAUUGGAGUACGGAAGUGUUCCGGGGGUACCAGGCUAUGGCCAGCAUGACCGAAAGGUCGGGAGCCCCGGCAAGCGUUGGAGGGCCUCAUGGGCCAAAGGGGAAGGGGCAAACCAGCCCACUGAGGGGUGGUGCUCCCCCCACACCCUUUCCCACGUUAUUUGGGGAGGUGGGGCGCCUCCACAUGGCUUGGGAGGCAAUCCUCCACCUGCUUGGCUUGGGGGGCAAGUCUCCCUAGGAUUUUCCUUAGGGAGAUCCAAUCUGCUUGGCCGCCGCCCGUAGGGGAAACCCUAGGGCGCCUCCCCCUCUCCCCUUGCCCCUAUAUAUAGUGGAGGGGUGGGAGGGCAGCCGCACCUCUUCCCUGGUGCAGCCCUCUCCCUCCUCCAACACUAACUCCUCCUCUGUAGUGCUUGGCGAAGCCCUGCAGGAAUACCACGAGCUCCACCACCACCAUGCCGUCGUGAUGUCGGAGUUCUCCCUCAACUUCUCCUCUCCCCUUGCUGGAUCAAGAAGGAGGAGACGUCACCGGGAUGUACGUGUGUUGAACGUGGAGGCGCCGUCCGUUCGGCGCUAGAUCGGAUCUUCCGCGAUUUGAAUCGCCGCGAGUACGACUCCAUCAACCGCGUUCUUGUAACGCUUCCGCUUAGCGAUCUUCAAGGGUAUGAAGAUGCUCAUCCUCUCCCUCUCUUGUUGCUAGAAUCUCCAUAGAUUGAUCUUGGUGAUGCGUAGAAAAUUUUGAAUUUCUGCUAUGUUCCCCAACAGUGGCAUCAUGAGCUAGGUGUAUUGCGUAGAUUCUAUGCACGAGUAGAACACAAGUUGUUGUGGGCAUUGAUUUUGUUCAAUAUGCUUACCAUUACAAGUCCUAUCUUGUUUCGAUGGUAUUGUGGGAUGAAGCGGCCCGGACCGACCUUACACGUACACUUACGUGAGACAGGUUCCACCGACUGACAUGCACUUGUUGCAUAAGGUGGCUAGCGGGUGCCAGUCUCUCCCACUUUAGUCGGAUCGGAUUCGAUGAAAAGGGUCCUUAUGAAGGGUAAAUAGCAAUUGGCAUAUCACGUUGUGGCUUUUGCGUAGGUAAGAAACGUUCUUGCUAGAAGCCCAUAGCAGCCACGUAAAACAUGCAAACAACAGUUAGAGGACGUCUAACUUGUUUUUGUAGCAUAUGUCGUGUGAUGUGAUAUGGCCAAAAAGGAUAAUGAAAUAUAUGUGAUGUAUGAGACUGAUCAUAUUCUUGUAAUAGGAAUCACGAGUUGCAUGUCGAUGAGUAUGACAACCGACAGGAGCCAUAGGAGUUGUCUUUAUUUAUUGUAUGACCUGCGUUUCACUAAAUAACGCCAUGUAAUUACUUUACUUCAUUGCUAAACCGUUAGCCAUAGUAGUAGAAGUAAUAGUUGGUGAGACAACUUCAUGGAGACACGAUGAUGGAGAUCAUGGUGUCAUGCCGGUGACGAUGAUGAUCAUGGCGCCCCGAAGAUGGAGAUCAAAAGGAGCAAAAUGAUAUUGGCCAUAUCAUGUCACUAUUUGAUUGCAUGUGAUGUUUAUCAUGUUUUUGCAUCUUAUUUGCUUAGAACGACGGUAGUAAAUAAGAUGAUCCCUCGUAAUAAUUUCAAGGAAGUGUUUCCCCUAACUGUGCACCAUUGCGAAAGUUCGUUGUUUCGAAGCACCACGUGAUGAUCGGGUGUGAUAGAUUCUAACGUUCGCAUACAACGGGUGUAAGCCAGAUUUACACACGCGAAACACUUAGGUUGACUUGACGAGCCUAGCAUGUACAGACAUGUCCUCGAAACACAAGAGACCGAAAGGUCGAACAUGAGUCGUGUAGUAGAUACGAUCAACAUGAAGAUGUUCACCGAUGAUGACUAGUCCGUCUCACGUGAUGAUUGGACAUAGCCUAGUUGACUCGGAUCAUGUAUCACUUAGAUGACUAGAGGGAUGUCUAUUUAAGUGGGAGUUCAUCAAAUAAUUUGAUUAGAUGAACUUAAUUAUCAUGAACAUAGUCAAAAGGUAUUUGCAAAUUAUGUCGUUGCAUACGCUUUAGUUCUACUGUUUAGAUAUGUUCCUAGAGAAAAUAUAGUUGAAAGUUGAUAGUAGCAAUUAUGCGGACUGGGUCCGUAAACUGAGGAUUGUCCUCAUUGCUGCGCGGAAGGCUUAUGUCCUUAAUGCACCGCCUUGGUGUGCUGAACCUCGAACAUCGUCUAUGGAUGUUGCAAACAUCUGACAUACACGUUCUGAUGACUACAUGAUAGUUCAGUAAUGUUAAACGGUUUCGAAUUGUGGCGCCGAAGACGUUUUUGAAACGUCAGGGAACAUAUGAGAUGUUCCAAGGGCUGAAAUUGGGAUUUCAGGCUCGUGCCCACGUCAAGAGGUAUAAGACCUCUGACGAGUUUCUUAGCCUACAAACUAAGGGAGAAAAGCUCAAUCGUUGAGCAUGUGCUCAGAUUGUCUGGAUACUACAAUCACUUGAAUCGAGUGGGAGUUAAUCUUCCAGAUGAGAUAGUGAUGUUUCUCCAAAGUCAUUUGCCACCAAGCUACUAGAGCUUCGUGAUGAACUAUAACAUAUCAGAGAUAGAUAUGAUGAUCCUUGAGCUAUUCGCGAUGUUUGACACCGCGAAAGUAGAAAUCAAGUAGGAGCAUCAAUUGUUGAUGGUUAGUGAAACCACUAGUUCCAAGAAGGGCAAGGGAAAGAAGGGAUACUUCAUGAAACGACAACUCAGUCGCUGCUCUAGUGAAGAAACCCAAGGUUGAACCCCAAACCCGAGACUAAGUGCUUCUGUAAUAAGGGGAACGGUCACUGGAGCAGAAUUACCCUAGAUACUUGGUAGAUAAGAAGGCAGGCAAGGUCGACAGAAGUGUAUUAGAUAUACAUAUAUUAAUGUGUACUUUACUAGUACUCCUAGUAGCACCAUGGUAAUAGAUACUGGUUCGGUUGCUAAGUGUUAGUAACUCGAAAUAAAAGGCUACGGAAUAAAUGGAGACUAGCUAAAGGCGAGGUGACGAUAUGUGUUGGAAGUAUUUCCAAGGUUGAUGUGAUCAAACAUCGCACGCUCCCUCUACCAUCGGGAUCGAUGUUAAACCUAAAUAAUUAUUAUUUGGUGUUUGCGUUGAGCAUAGACAUGAUUGGAUUAUGUCUAUCGCAAUACGAUUAUUCAUUUAAGGAGAAUAAUGGUUACUCUGUUUAUUUGAAUAAUACCUUCAAUGGUCUUGCACCUAAAAUGAAUGGUUUAUUGAAUCUGAAUCGUAGUGAUACACAUGUUCAUGCCAAAAGAUAUAAGAUAGUAAUGAUAGUACCACCUGCUUGUGGCACUGCCAUUUGAGUCAUAUUGGUAUAAAACGCAUGAAGAAGCUCCAUGUUGAUGGAUCUUUGGACUCACUCAUUUUUUGAAAAGUUUGAGACAUGCGAACUAUGUCUAUUGGUAUGUAUGCAUGAAGAAACUCCAUGCAGAUGGAUCGUUUGGACUCACUUGAUUUUAAAUCACUUAAGACAUGCAAAUCAUACCACAUGGGCAAGAUGACUGAAAAGCCUCGUUUUCAGUAAUAUGGAACAAGAAAGCAACUUGUUGGAAGUAAUACAUUUUGAUGUGUGCAGUCCAAUGAGUGCUGAGGCACGCAGUGGAUAUCGUUAUGUUCUUACUUCACAGAUGAUUUGAGUAGAUGCUGAGUAUAUUUACUUGAUGAAACACAAGUCUGAAUUAUUGAAAGGUUCAAGUAAUUUCAGAGUGAAGUUGAAGAUCGUCGUGACAAGAGGAUAAAAUGUCCAUGAUAUGAUCAUAGAGAUGAAUAUCUGAGUUACGAGUUUGGUACACAAUUAAGACAUUGUGGAAAUUGUUUCACAACUAAUACCGCCUGGAACACCAUAGUGUGAUGGUGUGUCUGAACAUCAUAGAUGCACCCUAUUGGAUAUGGGGCAUACCAUGAUGUCUCUUAUCAAAUUACCACUAUCGUUCAUGGGUUAGACAUUAGAGACAACCGCAUUCACUUUAAAUAGGGCACCACGUAAUUCCGUUGAGAUGACACCGUAUGAACUAUGGUUUAGAGAAACCUAAACUGUCGUUUCUUGAAAGUUUGGGGCUGCGACGCUUAUAUAAAAAAGUUUCAGGCUGAUAAGCUCGAACCCAAAGCGGAUAAAUGCAUCUUCAUAGUACACCCGAAAACAGUUGGGUAUACCUCCUAUCUCAGAUCCGGAAGAAAAAGGGGUUGUUUCUUGAAUCGGGUCCUCUCGAGGAAAAGUUUCUCUCGAAUGAAUUGAGUGGGAGGAUGGUGGAGACUUGAUAUGGUUAUUGAACCGUCACUACAACUAGUGUGUAGCAAGGCACAUGAAGUUGUUCCUGUGGCGCCUACACCAGUUGAAGCGGAAGCUGAUGAUAUUGAUCAUGAAACUUCAGAUCAUGUAACCAGAACUAAAUAGUUGUUGCGUUAUUUUCAUAUUCACGUUAACUUUGGUUACAGUUACCCGACUCCUCCUGUGUCGCCCCUGCGCGGCGACGGGGGGGGGGGGCCUAGCGCCGCCAUGUCCUCGUCCCUCCUCCGACCUCUCCUCCUCGCUGCCGCCGAGCAAAGCCCGGUCGGCGUCGGCAGCGGCGGGAUCUCUUCUCCCUCGCCUCGCUGGAUCUGGCGCGGGCGGAUCACGGCGGUGGUUGGCGGCACGCUGGAGGCGGGGCGCGCCGGUGCGGACUUGGGGGCGACGACAGUUUCCCCUGGUGUGCGUGGGAGUCCGCUCAGGGCGCGCGGCGGCGGCCCUCAGCAAGCGGUGGCGGGCGCUGGGCUCUCGGUAGCGCUCCAGCGUGUGAAGAUGGCGGUGGUCCCUGUGCGCGGUCGACGGCUCCGUCUCUGACCCGCACGGCGUGGGGGUGGCGGCGGCCCGGCGAUCUGGAUGCGGUGGUGCCGGCGGCCCGCUGAUCUACCGGUGCUCUAGGGUUCUGCCUGGUGGUGCUGGUGGUGACGGCGACCCGUGCACGAGAGUUGGAUCCUUUCGAACUGAUCUAGGUGAGAACCUGCCUUCGACAUAUUCUAAGGCAUGUCGUGGCGACGCUAUUUGCGUCGUUCCCUUCUGGAAGGCAUCGCCGUGGAGAAGUUCAAGGCCACUCUCUGCUACCUCUGGGGAAAACCCUAGAUCGGAUGAUCAGAUGACGGCGGUGCUCUGGUGUCGUUCCUCCCUUGGGGGCGUCAUUCUUGAAGGUACACACGUGACCGAGGGACCAGAGGACAGAUUGGAGCGGUCUUCAUCCUACACACUGAUGGCGACGGAUCUUGACGGCAUGGCGUAGUGCAAAUUCGGAGUUCGCUGUGGGAGGAUGGACUCGCGCAGGAGGACGAGGUUGUCGGGCCUCGUAGUGGCGUCGAUAGCAGAGAGACCUGACACGGUACAUGCAACAGUAUAGCUCUGAAGAUGAAUUGGUGGCAGGUGGCUGCGGCGGCCUCAUACUCGGCAGGCGUCCUGGUUGAGGAGUGCGCCAGACUGGUAGGUGCCCCAUACCCGACAAGCGUCCUGGUUGGGACCUCAGGUCUUAAAUGUUUAGGUUUGGCUGCGAUGUCUGUUUGGUAUUAGCACCAGACUAUAUGCGCCCCUUCAUCAAUUGGAUAGGUGUAGCGACAUUUGUUGCUUAGACGGUGGCUUUAGUCUUGGUGUUGUAUGGCUUUGUAAGGCCUUGUGAGAAUAAUUAAUAAAGUGGUCGUAUGCAUCGCCCAGAUGCAGAGGCCGGGGGUCAUCCUCCUUUUCUAAAAAAACUUUAACUUUGGUUAUUUUGGCAUGUACCGAAACUAUACCGAAAUAUUUUGAUUUUGAUAUAUUUUUUUGCAUGGUAAUACAUGUCUCAUUUAUAUUAUAAAGAUCAUAGUACAAGCCACGUACACACCGACCUGACAAAACUGAAAAGACAGCAAAACGCUAGGCUUUGCACACAGGAACACCAGCCAAGAAGUAAAAUUACAAACAAGACUGAAGAAUCCUCUGAGCUUGACACCAACGCUCGUCACCUGCUCCUGGCACCACCAUAGCAGCCACCAAAGGAGAAAAUGACGGAUCACCUCCACACCCAAGCUCGACGCGGCUCCAUCGCUGAUAUGCAGCUUUGCAGACCUCCAAUAAAGGCGAAGCCAUUGCCGUUGAACGAAUCAGACCAGUGCAACACUCCAGACACGCCAUCGAACUCCAGAUCUAGCAUCCCGCCCAACUAAAACGUCUGAGGAGGAAAUCAUACCUGCCUGCCACGAACCACGACCCAGAUCCACCAUCUUACCGAAGCCGAACUGUAUUUAUUGAAGUAUCAAUACCGUAUAAACCGAGAAACCAUGUUUACUGAACCACGUACACCAAAUAAACCGAAAGCACAGAGUGAUGCUGGACGGCACAACAGAAAGUGUACACUUUCACCGGCGCAGGACUCGUCCCUCUCGGUAACAAACAAGUUAACGGCCACUCGGUGUACAUGCACGCACGCGUCAUCAUCAAGCUAACAUUUGCAACCGGUGCACGCACGCACGCAUGGUUAAAUUAUACCGCUAGAUGUUCAUGUUAACUCCAAUUCCAUGAAUCAAUGGAGUGAAACCAAUCCAUGGCGAUGCCUAAUAAGCUCACACAUGUUCGCCUGAGCCGAUGGCACACCUGUAUCUGCAGCCCUGCCAAGAACACAUGAUCCAUCCUCUUGUUUGUGCACGCUCAUGUUCGAUCCUGUCUCGGGUGUGAGCUGCAGCUUAGGAUUCAUCAAGGUUGAAUGUUUAAGAUCGAUCUCCAUGAACCGAGUUCUUGAGUUUGCGUGUGUUAUGCGGGUCACCCAGCAAGGAUCACCAUGAGCCGAGACCAUGCAACUAUAUUAUCUGAUAGUACCAAUCAGUGUGGUACAAAAUAAAUAAUUUGCAUCCUCUCAUCUUCUCGGCAGACUUCAAUUGGCUCGUCGUUUGCAUUUCGGAAACUUGAUGGAUUCAUAUGCGUUGGGAUUUUGCUGUGAUCAGCUCGAUCGAUCCAUCAUAGUGUUUGGCCGAGAGCACUAUACGUACACCCAACGCUUCCUGGACAGAAUCCUUGAUCCCAACAGCACCUAGAGAUUUCAAAAUUUCCAAUCCAGUUCGUCAUUGCAGCAAAGACUAAAUACAAAUUGCGUCGCGCAUCAAGAAGUCACCCAAAAUUACGAACUAAUUUGAUCUCACAGUCACGAGUAGCACAAGGCCAGCUUGUAUGAUCACCCGGUAGACUUUCCCCAACCACAAGUACACACACCGAUCACUCCAGUGCAAACUAAUCCAGACUCAAAUGUGACAUCGCAAAUGCAGCAGCUGGGAAGCCUUCCCCAUGUCCACACCUGCCGGAGCACGGCGGUUCUCCGGCGAGCCGGCCGGCCACCGCGCCGGUGAAGGGAGCAAAGCUGGGCUGAACUCACACACCACCAGCAAAGGUUGCCACAAAGUUGUGCAACUUGUGUCCCGUUCAAUCGCCUGGUUGCCUAUCGAAACGACGGCGGAUCAGCGUGUUUCCCAUACGUACGUGUUGCUACGUUAUCUUGCUACAACACCACGCCGGAAAAUCCCAUCGUUAACCGGAGCACCCCGUGCCGCCGGCCGGAAAUCUCCGGCGAACUCGCACAAAGGCACCAUCCUGACCAGUCCCUGAUCACCGGCUCAUUUCUCCCAGAAUACUCAACCAAAUCACACAAACUCAAUCUCGUUACAAAGCCAUGGUCCGUGCCUACACUAUGCAAAAAAUCACACUCGAAUCGGUGCAUCCGAUCGAGCGAUACUUGAUCAGAAAUCGAGAGGAGAAGCACACUCUGGAAGUCUGGAGGCUGGUUCGUGAGCCGGGGAGGGCCAACCAGGGGGGAAGCAAUCCGCGGCAUCGGAUGGGGCGCGUGGAGGACCGUUGGAUGGGAGCGGAUCGGGCGGGCCAGGUUUGCUGACGGCCGCUUAGGGGGACGAUCCGUGGCGUCGACCAAUCAGCGCGGCAUUCGGCCCUGCCCGUCUUCCCGACGUCUCCCACUAUUUAACCACCGCUUGCUCCGCCACGACCUCAUCACCCACCACCGCGCCUCAGCUCACGCAUCUCUCCCUCAGCUCCGGCAAGCAACACCAGCUCUCCUCUCCCCUCGCUCACCUGCUACAAUGUCGACCGACGUGGCCGCCGAUGUCCCGGCCCCUGAGGUGGAGGUGGCCGCCGACCACGUCGUGGAGACCACGGCCGAGGCCGCCGCCGGCGACGCGAAGCCGGUCAAGGAGACCAAGGCCAAGGCGGCGAAGGCCAAGAAGCCCUCCGCCCCGAGGAAGCCCCGCGCCACCCCCGCCCACCCGACCUACGCCGAGGUAAACACCGAGUCCUUCGCCGAAUCUCGCUCCAUUCUCGUUGUAUCUCGUUCGAAUUGCUCUCUGUUCCUUCGUGUUUGCGUUUGAUCUGAUGGCUCGUUCGUAUUUGCGUUUGUGCAGAUGGUGUCGGAGGCCAUUACCGCCCUGAAGGAGCGGACGGGGUCGAGCCAGUACGCCAUCGCCAAGUUCGUCGAGGACAAGCACAAGGCGCACCUCCCCGGCAACUUCCGCAAGAUUCUGUCGGUGCAGCUCAAGAAGCUGGUCGCCUCCGGCAAGCUGACCAAGGUCAAGGCCUCCUACAAGCUGUCUGCCGCAGCGGCCAAGCCCAAGCCGGCGGCCAAGAAGAAGCCCGCGGCGAAGAAGAAGGCGCCAGCCAAGAAGACCGCCACCAAGACCAAGGCCAAGGCCCCCGCCAAGAAGGCCGCCGCCAAGCCCAAGCCCAAGGCCCCCGCGAAGACCAAGUCCGCCGCGAAGCCCAAGGCUGCCGCCAAGCCCAAGGGCCGCCCCGCCAAGGCUGCCAAGACCUCUGCCGCCGCCGCGGCGCCCAAGAAGCCUGCCGCCAGGAAGGCGCCCACCAAGAGAUCCACGCCGGUGAAGAAGGCCGCGGCCGCCAAGAAGGCAGCGCCGGCGAAGAAGGCCCCUGCCGCCAAGAAGGCCAAGAAGUAGAUCCUUGGAGGAACUUCCUAGGGCUUGGCGAUAGUUUUCCGUUAGCAGUUUUUCCUGUUCUGUGCUGUUAGUCGAGAUGUCCGUGCUGUGUGGAGGGUUCUAGGCUGUAAAUUUGAAAUCUGGGUUGGGGUGCACCUGUGAUCCGGUGCACCCUUGGUGUGUGUGCGUGAGAAACUGUGGCGACGAUCGCGUUGUACUAAGCUUAUGUAUUUGUGUAACUGAAUUGGGGUAAUUGAAUCUUCAUUUUAGCAAAAUCCUUCUGAAAUUUGUCACAGUUUACGUUGAUUCCUUUGCCCAAAAUGUUUGGUACUGCACAAUUGAAA
rnacentral:lncRNA from 1 species